AAAAUCAUACAUGUCGACGACUACGGUACUUAGGAAUAAACCGAUGUAAACCCACCUCGACAGCUAUCCCUUGGCAGCGGUACACUCCCACAGCUGUGGCGCCACCUGCUGGGUCGAUCGUAGCCCUUCGAACCCAAGAAUCGCGCUAACUCCAAGCUCUACACCAAACAAUUCACCGUUUCAGUCUAGUUUUCGCAGCAGUGGAGUACAACAAGGAUUCGACCAAGCUAACCUUCACCAAAUCCAGCAAGUAAGGGCUUCGCGGAUUCCUCUCACAGUCCUGAAUCCAACGAACCAAGCCUCGUAGAAAUCCGAUGCUCCUACGUCGAGAACGAGCUGAAAUACUAACAGUCGACGAAGAAAUUCAGCAAACAACAUCUCUCCGAGUUGAAGUAGUAAACACUUGCCUAAAAAUCAAGGAAUUAAUGAAAUACCCACCUCGACAACGCCGAGCACCCGAGUGACAGCAAGAACGGCGAAAAUCCCUGCUCGCCCGAUCUCCACGCGCUACCUCGGCGUCAAACACAAGCUCGAACGGCCUCGCAGCGCGACGUCGGCGACGAAACUCCCACCGAGCUCCACCGUGCGCAAGGACACCGCUAGAGAGAGAGAGGAGAAGAAGCAGAACAUUCCCUCUCUGCUCUACACCAAGCUAUAUAGAGGGAGAGAAAAGGAUUGAUACAAACGAGGGAGAGAAAAUUACUCAUUUAGCGCUCUACCUACCCCCUUGUACCGGUACACGGGCUCUUGUACCGGUACAAGAGCCAACCCGAGAGCUGUUAAGCCUCUGCGCGAUGGUUGUACCGGUACAGCCACGCUGGUUGUACCGGUACAGCAAGCAGAGAAAUCUGCAGUUUUGCAAAUUUCUUCGUUAUAAGCUGCUCUCGCGUCGCACGGAGUCCGUUUUAUGUUUAUUUGACGCCAACGCGACUCGGACUUGUCCCGACACUCUCCAGAGCUGUCGGCAAGCCUCCACAGCUGAACACUAGGGAUCUCACAUCGUAUAAAUUUAAAUUUAAAUUUUAUAUUAUAAAUUUAAAUUUAAAUUUGAAUUAUAUUUUAAAUUAAAUUAUAAAUUCAAAUAAAUAUUUUUAAUUUAAAAUUUAAAUUUAAAUUUUGAUUUUGGAUUCAAAUUCUAAUUUUAUAUUUAAGUUUAAAUUCAAAUUCACAUUUUGAAUUCUAAUUCUAAUUUAAUUUCAAACUUUGAUUUAGAAUUUCAAGUUCAAAGUGUGAAUUUGAAUUCAAAGUUUAAAUUCAAAUUUAGAAUUGAAAUCAAACUUUCAACGUAACACACUGAACUUUAGCAAAUUGUGAGGUUCCAGUGUUAUAAUAGCGUUUUAGGCUAUUCCUGCUGUUUUUGUAGAUCGUUGACUGAAUACCAACCCAUUUCUCGUGUUGCGAGAAUGCGCGAGGAAGUACUUAGCAACAAAACCUCCAAACUGCAGGUUUUAGGGUGCUGGGUACCAGUACCAGAGAGAGUGAGUGCCGGAACUCCCCUGCAUAAAUCGAGAAAUGCUGCCCUCGGGUUUAAGCUGUCAAGUGGUCGGGUACCGGUACGGCAUCGGCCGAGUACCGGUACGCCACUGUUUCUGCUUGGCCGAGGCUCGGGUUGGCAGUUUUGUUGAACUGGUAUCGGUACUCUUGCCCGCGUACAGGUACGCAGUGUAAAAACUGCAGUUCGUGCAGUUUGUGAUUUUUGGUGUUUUGAGGGAUUUUUUGGGGUUUGUUAUAACAUGUUAUAUAACACCUCUUCCCCCCCAACACCACCCUUUGUGCUGAGCUGAGAGAAGAGCAAAGUAGGAUUUUUUUCUCCCUUUCUCUCUCUAGAUUUCUCUUCCAAACUUCUUUUAAUUUGAGGUUUGAUCUCUCUAUCUUCUCCCUCUUCAUGGUGGCAAGCUUGUGGACCUUGGAGGAAGCUUGAAUGAGAAGAGGAGAGCUUCUUGGUGGAUUAAUCUUGAACCCUAGCUCAAGAUAGUUUGAUUUGGAGCUCUCUUAAAGGUUAGUACACAUCUUGCAACCUCUAUUUGUGAUUUUUGCAAGUUUUGGAGAUGAAAAUCUAGUUUUGAGAAAACUAGGGUUUAUUUUGGGGUUUCUUGAUUUGAGGCUUUUGGAACCUAAUUGAUGAAUGUAGAACACUCUUGUAGGUUGGAUUUGAAGCUUGGAAGCUUCAAUUUGAGCUUUGGACAAGUGUAGCUUGAUCAAAGGUAUUUUUCACCUCACUGUGUGUGUAUUUUUCGAAGAUUUUCGAAAUAGUCGUUUUGGAGUUUUUAACCCUUUAGAAUUUCUCUUAGAGUGUUAGAAGUUCAGGGGACAACUUCGUUUGAAGGAACGAAAGGGUUCGAAGUGCUUCCGGUGGAUUUGAGCUCACCGAAAUGGGUGAACCCCCCUAUGUCUUCCUUUUGGUUUUAAGACAUAAUUAGAUGCUUUUCAUACUCAUUAUGACAUGCUAGAAUUUAUGAGAACAUAAUAUAUACAUGUUAUGUAUAGUGAACAUUUCAUGCUCUAUAUAAUAGAAGCAUAUAUGUGGACUUGAGUAUAAAAUAAAAUUUCAUGAUGACUUUUCUUAUAUGCCAACUUAGAAAGCAUAUUAGAGUAUGAAUGAGGAUACAUUCUUUGAAGAGUACCUAGUAAAUGGGUUAGAAAAUGAUUAUCUCACAGAUGAACAAUAUGCUUGUGUAGUCAAGUAAAUGUGACAACUUCUCUAUGGUUAUAAGACUUAGAUGGAAGUAUACUCUUGCAUAUUGGAACAUGGUAGAAUUUUAGAGUACAUAGUACAUAUGUGUUGCAUGUAGAAAUUUAUACCCUAUAUAGUAGAGGUACUUUGUGAACUUGCAUUCUACAUGACAUAUGUUUGCUUGAUAGAAAGCAUGUUAGAGAUGAUAGGGACUUAUCUUGUGUACCCUAUUUGGAGGGUGGGGGUUAAAUGAGACUUAGCAAAUACUUGCGUGAUAAUAUUAUACUUGUUGCAGACAAGGUAGUUGUGACAUUGUGACAUAGUACAUGUAAGAUCAUCAUGAAGCUAAGUUGGAGCAUUUAAUCUAGUUGAAUAACUAGUGCUUGAUAUUGUGAUAUUACAUGUGAUCUAGGGAUCGAUAGUUGCAUUCUAUAUUUUAGACAUGAUGAUAGUGAUUGGAAAGCCUUUGGGUGAAUGGCAAGAUGGAUAAUUGCAUGUAGCAUUAAUUGAAUAAAAUCACUUGCAUUAUAGUUUAUCACUCCAUGUAGUGGAGGCAUUGGUAGAAAAGCAUGUGCAUGACAUACACCAUGAAUGUUUGAAUACUUAAGCCAUAUGUGUUACUCGUCACAAUUAUAGUCUUUAUGUAAUAGAGAGAGAAUUGUAUAGUAAAUUUGCAUGUGAAAUGACAUCUUAUUAUUAUGUUGGAAGUCUUGUUAUAUUUAGUGAAAUGACUAGCUUUUACAUGCUCAUGAACAAGGACAUGUGUUGAACAUAGAGAUCAUUAAUGUCAUAAAGUGGCAUUCGAUUUAGUAAAUAGUUUAACUUUUACACUAUGACAUAGAUCUGGACCUUUGGGUUGCUAGAAUUUAUACCAUAUUGCAGACAUGACUACCGUGUAUUUGAGAUGAUGAUCAUGCUUGCUUGCCAUUUGUGCUCAUUCGCACAUACUUGUGAGGGUUGCUCCCCACAAGCCGGCACUUCGGAGUUAGCCUAUUCGACAUAUGCCUAUUGGGCCCGCGUUUGAUAGACUCAUUCCUAGAGUGGGAAUGUUGGAGCUACCACGGGCAAUUAGGCGGCACAAACCAGACUACACUUGUGUAGGUAGUGGGCUCGCAUAGGAUAGACUCAUUCCUAGAGUGGAAAUGUUGGAGCUACCACGGGCAAUUAGACGGCACAAGACGGACUACGCUAGUGUAGGUCCUUAAUUGAAAAUGAAAAAAUGACACCUAAAGUGUAAUGUGAAAACUACUACUAGAUGGUGCAUAUUAGUUGGACUAGUGGACAUGCAUAUAGUGCAUAUUGUGGACCUUAUGUUAGCCAUUCAUAGCACUGACACUCUAGUGGUAGUAUGUUUACAUCUACAUCGAUUGUAUGUAUGCAUGGCUAGAAUAACAAUGGAAAGCACAUUUACUCUAUGUAGCAUCAUGGACAUAUUGAAUAUGUAUGUAAAUUAACAUUGGAAUAUAGUUGAACAAAUGAAUUUAGAACAUUAUAUAUUUGAUAGUUAAUCCUGUAGUGGAGGCAUGACUAUGAUCGAACAUGUUUAAUUACUCGCUUUUCAUAUAUUGCUUAAUUAUCACCUUAUAGCACGCUUCAGUUGACCUAGUGAUGUAUUUCGCCACUCUUGGUGGCUUACCCACCGGGAACUAUUGUUUAAUAGUUCUCACCCCCAUUUGUUGUCAGUUUUUGUUUCAGAGCCUUUCGCGACGGAAAAGGCUGGGGAUCGUGGCAAGGGGUUGGCGACUAACUAGAGCCCCUACGGAGUUACUUAGAGGGACCCGUCAUCAUCUUUCUUUUUGUAUCUUGUGGAAAGAUGUAUAUGUAUAUGAUUUUCGAGAUGUUGUGAGACUCUUGGUUUUAGUUGUAUAUCUUUUUGUAUAUCUUGUGGAUCCCUUUUUGAUAGAGUAUUAGUGAUUUUAUAUUACUCGCUCUGAUAACCUUGUUAGGACCUUACUAUGUUCAUCUCUUGUUUUGGUAGACGCCGUGUGUGCAUUUUGGUUGUUUCAUGUACACGGCGGGUCUGUGCAUGCGCCGGGUGGGCUUCCGUUGGGUCCCGGGGUGUCACAACCCGCGACCACCCGCCUAUUUGGCCGGGUCGCGGCGCCGCCGACAGACCGCCGAACGAACCGGAUUUCCCCUAUACCGCGGACAGAGUCUCCCCUGUACAUUCAAGGUGUCACAAUCAAUACAAUGUAUGAAGUUCCAACCAGGAACACAUUUCAAUCAUAGAUUGCAUAAGAAAGUAUCGAAAACAUAACUAUUUGCUAUUACAAGCAUUCACAUUUACUAGAUACAUUUUACAUCACAAUUACAUAUUACAUUUAACUUUCAAAUAUAAUCAUGCUUUUAUUACAACUUCAUUCUUUUUCAUUCUUUACAUCUCUAAGUAAAGCCAACUCAGGGUACCGCUAUCUCUGGUCUCGAUAGUAGGGCGCUAACUACGGAGCUACGCCCUCGCCUCUCGCCGCCGCGCCGCUCACGUGUGAACCUGUAACACUCCAAAACAGCGUGGGAUGAGAACCAACUCCAUGAUUUCCGGUGGGUACGACCACCCAAGGAAAAAGCUUGACCAAUAGGUCCAAAAGAGGCAACAACAGGUUAGUUUAAUAAACAGAUAUAUAUAUAUAUCUUGAUUAUGCAACUAAUAAAACCAUACUUUGCCUCACGAAUGCAAUAAUGUCAUGCUAUAUGCGAAUCAUGCAACUAAACAAGUAGAAUAAAUGAUUUAACUUUCUAUCAUGCUAUUCAUAGCUUUUUCAUAAUUUAUAUAUCUUGUCACUUUACAUCGUUGGUUAUUUUCUCCUAAGGUUUUUUUCUACCCUAGCCAAGCUAACCACCCGACUCGGUCUCGAGUCAAUCAUCUGCGGAAUAUCGCAUACGUCCAGGCUCGAGGUAAUGGACGUCUCACAUACACCUCAGCCCCAAAAUCAACUCGACAGGGAUACCCAAUCUAUAGCUCAUAAUGCAAGCUUAAUGUACUUUCACUUGGCUUUUACCCAAUUGCAUUGAGGUUCACCCAGUUUCCCCCGAACUCACAACCCAAAAUCCCUUUUGAUCGGGGAGGCUCUAAGCACUGCAAGACCCGAGGGAUCGUCUUUAGGGACCGCUCUCCCAUGGUGACAAUUCCGGAAUGCACCGCUUAAGGGGGAGCUACCGCCCUCAAGCCAAGACUCAAUGUGAGUAUGAUCCAAUUACCAAUUUGGGAAUGUAUAGCCAUAAGCCACAAUGCCACAAAUGCCACAAUCAUAAUAGGUUUUCUACCUAUUUAUUCAUGCCGCUUUCUAGGUCAUUCUUGUCUCAAUGCCACUCUUGGUUAAACUAUGUUUAACAACUAUGUUCUCUAUGCCAAUCAAUGUGUCACGCCCCGGGGUCCCUUUUAGUUUAAAAGGUAGCGGAAAAGCGUCUGAAUUUUUUUUUUGAAAAUCUGACCCCAGAGUGUGCCAGAUCCGCCACAAAUACAGGAGUUCCACUGUUCACACGGACAGAGUCUCCCCUGUAUUUGCACGGCGUCGCACAAGUACAAGAGAGUAUAGAUGCACACAUACAACCACAACCACAACCAGAUGAACAACAAGAUAGAUAACAUUCAUCCAUUCCAUUCACACACACAGAUAUGAUACUUGAAUUAAGAAUAACAUUCCACAUCUAUCAGUUAAAACGUUUCCUACCUAGAAACUGAUUUUGAAAUACUAAAUCCAUAAAACCACAGAAAAAUCAAUUUGAAAACUGAUCCCCACACGGGAACCAUUCCUUUUCAAAACCAGCUACCACGAGGGGUAGAAAACUGUUUUAUUUUAAGAAAACUCCAAUCCUUUAGUACAUUUCAAAACCAAUUGAAAACCCAGAUAGUCAGAUAAUAAAAUAGAACUGAACCAUAAUAAGUCUAAGUAUUUAUUCAAGCAUGAAGGGGAAAAAGGAAUAACCGACUCGGGAAGGAGCUCUAUCGCACGCUAGACACGCUCCUCACCAGCUGUCCCACUCGGACCGGCUACGUCACUUGUAAUGGGGGCGGGGAGUGAGAACAUGUAAACAUGUCUCCCCUCCCAGUGGGUACCGCAAGCCGAAGAAGGCGAGGGGUACUCACUAGUCACGGAGAUAAACAAAUAUAUGGAUAAUGGUAGUACAGUAGCUAAAAUAAACAAGUACUGAAGUGAAUAUAAAUGAGCAACUACAGCUACUAUAUGUAUGCAUCAACGGGACAAUCAGUCCAAAAGUACCCAAUCUGAACCCACUACUCUCUUAGUCAGCACCGUAGACCUCAAGCCAAUGCCACAACUACUCUCUAGUGCAUAUUACCCCUUUAGGGCUCACGGGUUGUCACCAUUCAACCACUUUUUCAGAAAAGAACACUCCUUGCGGUGGAUCAGACCGCCAGUGUUCGUGAAAUGCGACGAGUAUCGGGCGAUCAAUGCAAUAUGCUCAAUGAUCAACCGUCGGCAACCAGCCGACAAUCCUGCCCCCCAGGGCCCAUCGACCGCAUGGGUCAUCAUGUAACCAAAUCGACCAACCAGGUCACAAGUAUGGAGUAUGAAACUCGACCAACCAGGUCAUAGAUACAACAAGGGAGAAUCAACCAACCAGAUCACAGAUAUCAUAUGCUGAAGAAAUCUACUCUACUCCUACACAAGAUACCGAGCAUGGAAACAAUCGAGUAGAGUAAUACGAGGAUAAUAUGAUAAGCAAUGUAUAUGAUAAGCAAUGUAAAUAGGAAGGGUGGAAAGAACGUCACCGAGCGUGCACCACUGUACCGACGUCGGGUCGAAGUACCCACCUGUACGUAUCUGACGAAGGUCUCUCGACUGUGAAGACGGUGCGACCGAACCUACGAAAGGUCCAACGGGUUAAGGUCAAACCCACUGACAUGUAAUGCUAACUCACAACCCCCGCUCACCAGAACCACGACCGGUUUUCCAAAACCGAUUACCGAAUAAGCCGGAAGUCCCGAAAACCGCACCGGAACUUCAUCGUCGCUCACCCGUCGUUUCCGAACCCCCAACACGACGCGGGUGACCAGCCAACAAGGCUCAGCGACGCUACAAUCAGCCACGAGGCACCGUCCGAUGAAUUCCGAACCAAAACCGCGUUCUAUCGGCAGAUUUCACCGAAAACGCUCCGGAAAUCACUUUUCGAUUUCCGCAAGGGCUUGGGCCUUGGACGAUCAGUCCAGAGGUUAUCCUCAGCCCAAACAAGCUGCCUACAGCAUCUACAACGAAGCGGAAAACCUAAAAGCCCAUACCGAUACAUGAAAUCGCAUCAUUUCAUGUGAUUUCUAGGCUUUUCUGGACCGUGCACGCAAACCGGAGGUCGAUUAAUCCGACCGUCGUACUCGCUGACAGGUUUCAGCAUGUCGGAGGCCGUGCUCACCUUUCGGAGCACUGCCGGCCACUGCGGUGCGCGCACGAGCGACGCGAAGUACUGAUAAACUGCGCGCACAGCGCGAAGAUCGCGACUAACUCGCAAACCAGGGCAUCUUUGCCGCUGUUGGAGGUGAGCACGAUGUUCAGCACGAGUUGUAGAUCAUCGUGCUCACUUCCCGAGACUUAGAAGGCUUCUCGGAUCACCGGAAAAGAGACCGGAACCUCGGAAAACAGUGCUGGAACAUAAAAUGUCCUUACCAGACCCGAGGAGAGCUAGGGUUGGUCGCCGGCGGCCGGGAGGCGGGCGGUCCGGCCGGAGGUGGGAGCACUCGGUCCAGGAGGUCCGGGGAGGGCGCUGGCCGGCGGCGGGCGGCAACCGGUGGUGCGGCGGCCGAGAUCAACCCUUCACACUUCCUCUCGGGUUCGGGCUUCCCGGCGGCGUGGCGGCGGCCGGAGGAGGUCGGGGCGACUCUGGUGCGGCGCCGGAGGCCGAGGGGAAGACGGUGCACCCCUUGGUGGGCUGCGGCAGCGCCUGGAAGCCAAGCGGGCCCGACCUCGGCCCGCACGUGACUGGGCGGCCACAGGAAGCUCCAGCGGCGGCCGGCGGCGCGCGGGGACGGCGGGGGACGCGCGCGCCGGGUAGCCGGAGGUCGCCGGGGCCGACUGGGGGGCGGCGCGGCCGAAGCGAGGCGAGGACGCAGCACCCGAGCCGGCUCGGUCUGGGCUGACCCGAGCUGGCUGCAGGGAGCCGGGGUGGCUCCGGCGGCGUUCGAGGGUGGCCGGGGCCGGCGGGGGAGGACGCCGGAGGAGAGCCUCGGCCAGGUGAGGGGGAAGCUCGGCUUUGAUGCCCUCCCGAGCACAACAAUAGAAAAAGGUGGCAGGUCGGGGCUAAGGGAGAGCCGAGAGGUGGCCGGGGUGACCUUUCCGGCGGCCGGAGUUGCCCGCCGGCGGCCGGGACGUGCGCACAAGUUGGGCAGGGUGGUAGUGGGGCGGUUAGGGUUUUCUAGAUAAUCAUGGCAGCCAAAGUAACCCUGGAAAACCCUAGAUGCCCUUUUAUACAUGGUGCCACUUUGCGAGGAACCCCUCCAAAGUCUACUAUUUACACUCCAGCCCCUGCCAACGAGUGGAUUACGCAUACAGGUCCCUCGACAUUCAAAUUCGUGCAAGAUCGCGCAUAAAAUAUUGGACGUUUCCGCGAAUAAUCGAUCUUGCCAACUUGACCUCUCAGCGGACAUUUCACGAUUCCCGAAGAUCCGUCCGUCGGAUUUCCGAACGGAUUGCGCCAGCGCGUUCAGCACGACUGGGGCAUCGAAUCUAGCAUUUUAUUUCGUCUGAUUUGGUCUCCGAUCAGCGACGAAACCUGCCCUCUCAAUCUCCACCCAUAAACCACUUAUAUUAAUACAUGUAAUUUCCAUUAAACCCCUUUUUCUCGACAACCAUGCAUCAGAACCCAAUUCCGUCAGUGCCAUUGGGUCCAGGAUAGUCGAGCGGUUGAAAACGAGCUAUUGGAAGGCUAUAUUCGGAGUCCGAUACGCGUCGAAAGUCCACUCUACUCCGCGGUCUCUCCGGAAAACCGGAGUUACUAUUCACUUAAGUCGAACUUCCGGGUCGCGUAACUUCUCCGUUUUAACUCGUUUUCUCCUGAAAUUUGACGAGUACACUUAUAAUUAUAUUACACACAAGAACAUCGUCAAACAAAAGGGUUUAAUUUUAUUUAUCCAAAAACUUCAAUUAUUACACAAUGUCUCUAUUGUCAAUGUCACCUUUGUUUACUAAUGUCCAAGUCCAACUCUCACAUUCACACAAUAAUAGGGUCCUAACAUACAUGUCCAUUAUGGUUCUACCUUUCUCUAUGUUCAACUACGUUAGAAACAUGUCAUUGAAAGCAACCAAGAUUCACAUGUACUUAGCCUUAUCAAGCAUGAAUGAUACAAAGUAUAUAUGCUCAAAUACCAUAAGUGUUUGCUAGGUUCAUGACACUAGGUUCACACUAUACUUGUUCAACCUAUGAUCAAGACACUAGGUUUAAUGCCACUUGAUGUCCAACCUAUGUUCUUUGAGACUAGGUUCAUAUCAUCCAUGUUCAACCUAUGUCAAUGACUCUAGGUUUAAUGCCACUCGAUCUAAUGUAUAUAGAUUGUCCAUAUGCACAUUUCCAUUACUUAUCAUUAGUAUCUCUACAACAUGAUUAUCAAGUAUAUAUUAGUAUUAGCCCCAUGCUUACAUUUAGCAUUUCCAUGACAUGCAUUCAACUAACAUUAACCAAUGCAUAUAUUCUAGCAUUUAUAUGACAUGCUUAUCCAAAUUAGCAUUCUUUACAACUUAUCAUUAUACAUUACAACUAGCAUAUUCUCUAUUUUAUGUUAACAUGCAAAUGUCAUUUAUCUCAUGCUUUUAACUAGCAUCAUUCCUACUAUAUCCUCAUGCAUUCUUUGGUAGCCUACUUAGCAUUCACUUCAUGCAUUCACAUAAUUUACCAUUAGCCACCAUUAUAUGCAUCAAUAUAAAACCAUUUCUCUUAGACAUACAGGCGACCUAGUCGCUUCGGUAAGCACAACCCACCUCAAAUCACUUUCCGAUUGCUUGUCGACACUUGCAAUCGGCCUCCUGCGGCAUUCGGCAUCCGGUUUGGCCCGAUUUUGCUAAUACUCACCAACCGUGCAUCGAAUCGCGACACCGAAAAUUUUAGGUCUUCGGUUAUGUGCCACGGUGCUCCAAAUCCGUUUUCAUGACUUUACGAUAUCGCCUCGGUCCUCCAGGCGGAAACGAAGCCUAAACGUCCGUUUCUUUAAUAACUUCGCAACGGCUCGACGAAUCGCCGAACCGACUUCGCCAACGAGUUCGUUUACCUAGCAAUUAGGUUUACGGAGGGUCAAAUGAGAUCAAACCCUACUAUUUUACAAAACUCCAUUUUUGAACCCUAAAUUACAACUAGGUAAAAAUCUACUAUUAAUCCUCUAGAUUCUAGCAUUUAUCCUCUAUUUAGCAUGCUAGGAUUCCAAAUAAACCAUUUUUAGAGCAUAUAAAUGAAGCUAUAAAGAUCUACCAUGAGAGGGCAUCAAAGCUUACCUCUCAAACAAGCUCUAAUGGAGAGGAAGAAGACGAAGAAGAUGAAGAUCAACUUCCAAGCUUGCUUCUCCACCAAAACUUUCAAUUUUGGGAGAGAUCUAGAGAGAGAAAGGGAGGUUUCUCUCGCCCUCCAUGCAUGCGUGUGUGUGUGUGUGUGUGUGUGUGUGGCGCAUGGUGUGUGUGGCUGCACAGCUGGGGGAGAAGAAGAGCAAUGCUCUUUUAUAAUUAACACCCCUCAAACACUAUUCACUCCAAGCAGUUCGAAAUUUGAUAUCUUUCGUCGGAGCUCCCUGAAUAUCCGUUUGAGCUCAAAUUUGACAGUCAUAUUCGGUUUUACUUAAAGAGUCCAAAGAAAUUUUAAUAUUUCAGUUUCGACCCCAUUUGGUCACCGAAAACUGUACCGAACUGUAAUCUUUAUCAGAUAGCUGUAGGAUUUUAUUUUCCACCUUCCGGGUGUUAGAAUGACAUGAAACUUUAAAUCUAGCCUCAUAAAAAUGAUUCUGACUUAUCCUCCAGUUUUCAUAAUUUUCUGACACUAUGUAUUUUCUGCUAAUUUAUCUGUCUCGUUUCCAGUAGAAAAUUUUAAAUCUUUUGUUUUCAUUCUGAUUUCAGCACAAGUCACUUCUGACUUAUGUUUUACUUCUCUAAAUUCAUUAAAAAUAGUUUCUCACACUAUUUUUAUUUAUUUUUAUUUUUAUACCAAAAUCCGGUAUGUUACACGGGGCGUAACAUUCAAUUCAAAUUUAAAUUUUGAAUUCAGAUUUAAAAUUUGGCCAAUUUGCAUAAAAAAUACACUAAUUUUGGGCUUUUGCAAAAGUGAGUCACCUUUUUCUUUUUUGUAGAUUCGGUCCGAUUUUUCAGCAAACUGACCAAAAUACCCUUAUACAUUUUUCUCUCUCCUCUUUUUUUUUUUCUCUCGUUCUUUUUCUCUUUCUCUUCCCAGAGAGUGGCGGAGGCAGAGGCGGAGGUGGAGGCGGAGGCGGCCUGCUUCGGUUUUGUCCGAUGCAUCCUUACCAUCGCCCGUACACCCCCCGCCUUCCUCACCUCUGACACUGCCGAGGUCGCGCUGCAACUUUUUUUUUUCCCCUCUCCGACCCUUCUUCACCGCCUGCGACGACGACGCCUAUCUCACCAUCUCUCGCCUUUCUCGCCCUUUCCCUCUCCCUCCUCCUUCGCCUUCUUCGCCGCCUCCGACGACGAUGCUUCUCCGCCGACAUCGGCGCCGGGAGGUCACUGCAGUGCCGCAGCCUCGGAGCCGGGGGUCUUUAGCGACAUCGUAGCCGGCGCCGUGGCUGUUGGCGGAGAGGCGUGACAAAAAAAAAUUAUAGAAGAGGAAGAAGAAAAAAAUAAAGACAAAAAAUUAUAUAAGAAGGAAGAAGAUGAUGAAAUUGCAAUGUUAAAAUAAGAUUACACUGUUUUAAAACAAAUUUGCACUAUUUGAUAUAAAAAUUACACUCUUUUAGAAUGGAUUUUACACUCUUAAGGCUAAUGUUGCGCUAUUUAAGAGAAUUUUGCACCAUUUUGACGAUGGAGGGCGAGCCGGACACUUCCGCGCCACCCCCGAUAGCGCGGAAGCGCCCGGACCGCCCUCCUUCUUCUUCUUCUUCUUAUCUUUCUCUUUUUCUUUUCCUUUUCUUUUUCNGGCAAUCGCUAAGCUCGAGAAGAUCCCUUCCCGUUGUUAGGAGCCUCCUCGAGCUCGGCGAUAGCCCCCACCGCGCCUUCACAGGCCGAGCGGGAGGUAGCAGUGGAAGAAGAAGAAGAAGAAGAAGAAGAAGAAGAAGAAUAGAAAGAGAAAAAGAAAAGGAAAAGAAAAAGAAAUUGUGCAAAAUUUUUCUAAAUAGUGCAACGUUAGUCUUAAGAGUGUAAAAUUCAUUCCAAAAGAGUGAAAUUUCUAUAUCAAAUAGUACAAUUUUCAAUAAAACAGUGUAAAUUUAUUUUAAAACAGUGUAAUCUUAUUUUAACAAUGCAAUUUCAUCAUUUUAUCCUUCUUAUAUAAUUUUUUGUCUUUAUUUUUUUCUUCUUCAUCUUCUAUAAUUUUUUUUUGUCACGCCUCUCCGCCAACGACCACGGCGCCGGCGACGACGCUGCUAAAGACCCUCCGCUCCGAGGUUGUGGCACCGCAGCGACCUCCGUGGUGCCGAUGUCGGCGAAGAGGCAUCGUCGUCGGAGGCGGCGGCGGAGGAGGCGAAUGAGGAGGGAGAGGGAAAGGGCGAGAAAGGCGAGAGAGGGUGAGAUAGACGUCCUCGUCGGAGGCUGUGGAGGAGGGUCGGAGAGGGGAAAAAAAAAAUCGCAGCGUGGCCUCGGUGGGGUCGGAGGCGAGGAAGGCGGGGGGUGUGCGGGCGAGGGUAAAGAUGCGCUAGACAAAACUGAAGCGGGCCGCCUCCGCCUGCCUCCACCUCUGCCUCCGCCGCUCUCUGGGAAGAGAAAGAAAAAAAGAACGAGAGAAAAAAAAAAAAGAGAGAGAAAAAUUUAUAAGGGUAUUUUGGUCAGUUUGCUGAAAAAUCGGAUCGAAUUUGCAAAAACGAAAAAGGUGACACAUUUUUGAAAAAGCCCAAAAUUAGUGGAUUUUUUAUGCAAAUUGGCCUUAAAAUUUAAAAUCAAAAUUUUGAAUUUUAUUUUAAAUUUAAAUUCUGAUUUUAAAUUUAAAUUUCAAUUUCAAAAUUUUUAUUUUAAAUGCAAAUUGAAAUAUCAAAAUGGAAAUUUUAAGUUUGAAUUCAAAAUUUAAAUUCAAUUUAAAAUUUGAAUUUCAAUUCAAAAUUUUAAUAAAGCUUUAAAUCAAAAUUGUAGCUUUAAAUUCAAAUUCAAAUGUGACGCCCCAACCUCGAAGGCGGUCACCUAUCCUAGGACUACUCCCGUUCUAGCACGCUUAACUCUCUUAACCUCUUGGGCCUAACCACCAUUCAAAAUACUUAAGCCAAGUUAAAAGUUUAGUCUUAUUAUAUCUUAUAUAUAGGACUAUUUGGGUCUCACAAUUUCCCCCUUUUAAGCCCUGACGUUCUAGUCGUGCUCAGACUCACAAAUAUCAGGCAUUGUGAGAUUCGUCUCGCUAGCCACAAUCGACUUUGUGGGGGAGCCGCGCUUCACCCACAACAGUCAACAGUAUGAGAGCCUUACUCUCCUUGCUAUAUAAUUCUGGCUCAGCCGAGACUCAUCUCACACUUUCGGUUGGUAAUUGACUCUGAUACCAACUGUAACGCCCCAACCUCCCAGGAGGUCAUCCAUCCUAGGACUACUCCCGUCCUAACACGCUUAAUUCUCUUAACCUUUUAGGUCUAGCCACUAUACAAAAUACUUAAAUCGGGUUAAGAGUUUAGUCCUAUUAUAUCUUAUUUAUAGAAUUAUCUGGUCUCACAUCAAAAUUCUAAUUUCUCAUUAGUUUUAAAUUUUAAUUUUAAUACUAAUUUAAAAUUUAAAUUUAAAAUUUUGAAUUUUUAUGUCAGAGGACUAAAGUGAAAAACGUGAAAAAUUUAGGGACCAAAAUUGACAUGUAAAAAGAAGCCACGUAGGCCAUGAUGUGGCGAUUUCGUUAUUUUAAACACUUUUUUAACGAUUAGAAUUUAAUUGCAAUAAAAUCAAGGUACUAGGGACUCGAUUGUUAAAAGAGAGUUUGAGAUCAAAUUAAAAAAUAAUGCAAAGGUUGGGGAGCAAUAGUGUAUUAACUCAAAAAUUAAUAUAACAACUUAAGCUUCGUUUGGGAUUGCGGAGAGAUUGUGUUACGUGCGUUGAGAAAAUACGAUGGAAAAAUAUCAUAUUUGUUUUCGUACGUUAUAUUGCGUUCUGCAUAUCGCGAUUAAUUAGUUACGAUAUAUUUUCUGCGGUCUUAUGGGAGAACGCAGAAGUAUAUCCCUAUAUGUUUUUACCCUAACUUUAUUUUAUCUAAUAGCGUUAGAUAGAUUUCAAUGCCAAACUAGGUCUUAAUAUUAGUAGAUAGUAUUAGAUACUCUUGAAAAUAUUCAGAUAAAAAGAAAAGAUAUGUAUUGACAUAGAAAUAUUCAAUAAAAAAUAAAAAUUAUGUAAUGAUAUAUAAAUAUUUAAUAAGAAAAAUUGCACGCAAAAAAUGAAUUCAAAACUUAUUUCAUUAUAUUUUUUUAUAUAAGAAAAAAUGAAAAAACAAAAUUUUUUUUUUUUCGUCAAAAAUUAGAUCUAUCGACCGACUUGACUUAAAAAUACGUAGUUUUAUUUAUAGUAUAGAUAGAUAUAGAUAAAAAAAAUUAAUUAGAGUUAAAACACGCAUGUGACGGCCGCAUGGAAAACCGGCUUCCCCUCAGGAGGAGAGGGAGGGUGGUGGGAAACUUCUGGAAGGGGAAGGCGAAAGAGCAAAGGGACUAGUUGACCAGUGCAGUGUAAGUGGAAUCAAUAAGUCUUCGCUAAUUCCACUUUCCCUUUCCACUCCUCGUCUUCUCCGGAGUCCGGUCUCCGCUCUCCACCGCCCCGCGAAUAUCCGGUGAGUAGGAAAUUAAUUUAGUCAUAUGUUGGUGAUCCAAAUUCGCCAAUUAAUUAUAGCGAUCGACCAAUUUCCCUUCUUUUUCCUUCUAAAAACCCCUUCGAUCCAAAUUCCCCGCUCAAAAUUUCAGCUCGUCCCAUGUCCACCUCCGCAGCCGCGCGUUCCUCGGAGUCGCUCUCCAAGUGGACGAUGGAGAAGGCGAUCGGGUCCCACCUCUUCCACGUCGCCGACUACUCGCUGGCCCGGACGAUCGGCGUCGGCAAGUCCAUCUCCUCCGCGGUCUUCGACGUCGGCGGCCUCGACUGGUCCAUCAAAUGCUACCCCGCCGGCGGCACCCCGCAAAAUUCGAACUAUCUGGCGCUUUUCCUCGCGCUCGAAAGCGACGCCAGAAACGUGAAGGCCGCGUUCAGGCUGGCGCUCCUCGACCAGCGCAUGAAGCCGUCGUCCAAAACCCCCGCGCACGACGGCCCGUACACGUUCAAGAACCGCGACUACGCCCUCGGCUACCACCGCUUCGUCGAGAGAGCCUAUCUGGAGGCCUCGCAGUUCCGGAGCACCGAUUGCCUCCUGAGCAACGAUGCCCUCCUAGUCCACUGCACCGUCACCGUGCUCAAGAACCCGCGCCUGCAGUCGCCCGCCAUUCGCCCUGUCGCGGCGCCGCCGUCCGACCUGCACCAGCAUCUCGUCCGGCUCUUGGAGAGCGGAGAGGGGAGCGACGUCACCUUCGAAGUCGGCGGGGCCACUUUCGCCGCGCACCGGUGGUUGCUCGCCGCGCGGUCGCCCGUGUUCAGGGCGGAGCUCUUCGGUCCGAUGAAGGAGAACAGAAUGCGGCGGAUCAAGAUCGACGAUAUGGAGGCUGUGGUGUUCAAGGGCUUGCUUCAUUUCAUCUAUUCGGACUCGCUGCCCCCUCUGAUGGAAGAGCUUGCCAAGGAGUCCGCAGUCCUGAUGGCUCAGCAUCUUCUCGCCGCCGCCGAUCGAUAUGGGCUGGAAAGGCUGAGGCUGAUUUGCGAGAGCAAGUUGUCUCAGCAGGUCGACGCAGGCACGGUGGCGACCACCUUGGCUUUGGCCGAGCAGCACCACUGCCGCAACCUUAAAGCCAUUUGCCUCAAUUUUAUCGACUCUCCUGAAGUGUUCAUUGCCGUCAUGCGAACCGACGGAUUUGAGCACCUGAAAACAAGCUGCCCUGCGCUUCUCGAAAAUCUCCUUAAGAAACUAGGCUGAUAUUCGCAAAAGUGCUCCGCAAUCUAUGUGCAUGUAUACCAAAUGUGUGAGCUUGAAUUCAAAUGCAUCAUCAGAUCUUAAUCUUAGGUGUGCUAUUCUCUGUAUUUAGAGGUUUGAAUAUCUGCAAACUGCAGAUAUGCACAAAAUUAAGAUGUAGUUUGGUCUCUUUUGGCUAAUUUGGUGUGAUUAUCGUGAACGCUGGGUAACAAAAUCUUCAAAAAUGACCAUGUGAGUCUCUUCUCUGUAUUUGCAUGCUGUACGGUAUUAUUCUUGUAUCGCAUAUGGUGAUGAGUUAUUUGCUUUCUAUCCACCUAUUGUAAUCUGAGUAGUUGCUAAGAAAGAACGAUGUUAAAUGAUACAAGUGGUUUUUGAAAAUGAGCACACUGUCAGGACUUAGAAAAAUUUCUAUACAGUCAGGUCCCUGGCCCAAAUCUGCUUAGCGAGUUCGGGUUGAAAACAGGUUGAAUCGGAUUGUUAAGUUGACCCAAAUCCAACCCUUAUGCGAACAAAAAUGCUAAGUCCGUGACAACUCGCACUGGUAGAUUGGGGAUGCUGCUCUUUACUGGAUUUGCUUGGAAUAUGAACUUAGCCCAACUUGCUAGGAACAAUUGGUGGUAGAACUCGGUACAUUCUAUUGCUCUUCUGUAACAUCUAUAUAUCUUGCAAUUCUAAUCAUCUAAGGGACACAAAAAAUUUAAAAUUCCUACUUUGUUGGCAAAAUAUUAGUGACAAUCUAAAGUAUAUAUGAUGUUGUCUCCUUUUGUAUGUUUGGGUUUUUAAUUGAGCAGUUUUGUCUUGCAUAUUCAAAAUUGUAGAGGCUGAGGCUCAUAUGCGAAGACAAAUUAUGCGGAAUGAAUCAUUGUGAUUGUUGAUAUAUAUUUGGUUUGAGAAAUUGGUAUUCUAUUUCAAAUCCAAGGGAAAUUGAAUCCUCCAAAGUGACUCCAUGAGUCCAUGGACAUGGGAAUCAACUUUGAUUUCAGAAGGAAUUAAAAAAAGCACUUAUUUUUUUCACUAACAGUUUAUUUAAAUUUGAAUAUCUAGUUUAUAUUUAAUUUUAGAAUAAAUUAUAAUUACAAAUUUGAAUUUGAAUUAUCAAUUUAGAAUUUAAUUUCUAAUUUCUUAGUCUCAAAUUUAAAUUCUAAUAUAAGUUUGAUAUUUGAGUUUAUUUCUAAAGGAAUUAAAAAAAGCACUUAUUUUUUUCACUAACAGUUUAUUUAAAUUUGAAUAUCUAGUUUAUAUUUAAUUUUAGAAUAAAUUAUAAUUACAAAUUUGAAUUUGAAUUAUCAAUUUAGAAUUUAAUUUCUAAUUUCUUAGUCUCAAAUUUAAAUUCUAAUAUAAGUUUGAUAUUUGAGUUUAUUUCUAAAUUUAAAUUUUUACUUCAAACUUCAAUUUGAAUUGUUUGGGUAGUAAAUUUACAUUUUAAUUUUUGAGUUCAAUUUUGGAUUCGAAUUUUGAUUACAAACGUGGAUAAUAAAUUUAAAUUUUAAUUAAAAUAUAAAAUUGUAAAUUUAGUUUUGAAUAUGAUUUCGAUUUCAAUUCUCUUGCGAACAAAAAUUUUAAAAUUUUUGUUUCUCUCUCUCUCUCUCUCUAAAAUGUACCUAUAAAUAUCUCUAUAUAGAGAGACCAAUGAAAAAGAAGACUAAAUCUGAAUGUUCCUAUAUAUAAUAUAUUUAGACUCUAAUGUCCAUAUCAAAUUCACUGACUGUGCCUAGCGCAAGUGGCAAAGUGUUUGAUGGUUGAUACCUGAGGUCCUAAGUUCGAAUUCUUGUUGUUUCACAAUUUCUAGCUAAAUUUAUUUCUAAACGAAGCGGUUCUCUCAAAAAAAGAAAUGUCCAUAUUAAAUUCUACAGAAUUGUCCUCUAGGUUCAAUUUAAACUAAACAAUUCAUAUUAAGGUUUACUAAACUUUUAUAGUUUAGUACAUUUUUUAAAAAAAAUUUAUGUAUGGCAUAAACAUAUUCAAGUUAUAUUUAAACCUUACGGUCCAGAUUAAAUUUUACUAACAUUUUCUAAUCCGAAUUUUCUUUAGAUCCAAUCUAAACUAUACAGUCAAGAUUAAAUUCUAUUAAACUUUGCAGUCCAGACUGUUUACAUCCUGAGUUAACUCUCUGUAUAUUCAAACUUCACUUUCAAUUAAAUUCUCCUGGAAAUUUGACUGUAUUUGGCAAAUAAAAGGUAUAUUAUAUAUAUUUUUUCUUUUCAUAUUCAAACACCAACUUCGAUUAAUUUUUAUUGUAUUUAUCGAAUUAAAUAUUAUAUAGUGUUCAAGGUUGUUCGCACGCACCUGAAAACUUAGAAUCAUCUUUUAUUAAUUUAUUAAUAUUAUCCUUCUAUAUAAUGAUGAUCUAUAUUUUAUUUAUACUAUGUUUAGUCUUAGAUACACAUAAUUAAUUUGGAAUUUGAUCUUAUUCUAAAUAACGAACUUAAAACAGUUUUAUCUAGAGAUUAAGUGAAUAAUAAAAAGUAAAAAUAAAUUUAGAUAAAACUAAAUAAGAUGAUGAUAGAUUGAUAGCUAAAAAUUUUUAUUUUUAUUUAACUAACUAAAAGAUAUGCUCAACUAAUCUAAUCUAAUCUAAUUUAACAAAUGAUGAACUAAAUCGAUUUAAUCAGAUCAGCACCGAUUCAGGUAUGUUAUGAACUAAACUAAUCCAGAUUUUCUUAAGAUCCGAUCUAAACUCCAGGGUCAAGAUUAAGCUCUAUUGAACUUUGCGGUCCAGACUUCAUGUUCAAACUUCACUUUUAAUUAAAUAAAUAAAUUCUACUAGAAUUAUGACUGCAUUUAGCAAAUAAAAUGUAUGUAUAUAUGUAUAUAUUAUAUUAUAGUUUAUUCUUUUCAUAUUGAAACUCCAACUUCGAUUAGAUUCUGCCACAAUUCCACAUUCUACUAGAAUUCAGAUUGUGUUUAUCAAAUUGAGUAUUAUUAUAUAUAUACAUCUAUCUGUAUCUGCAUGCUAUAUUAAAGAGGUGUUUCCCGACGUGCGUUAUUGCUAGAUAAAUUUGUAGAACCAAACCACCGACGAGCUUAAUUUUAAUUUCUCAUGGCCUCCUCCCCCGACGCGCCGCCCUCGUCCUCCUCGGAGCCAUUGUCGUACUCUUCGUCGACGUGGACGAUGGAGAAGGUGACCGGAAUGCACCGGUUCAAGAUCGCCGAGUACAAGCUGGUCAGAGCUAUGGGCGCCGGCUGGUCCGUCCGGUCCGGCAUCUUCAACGUCGGCGGCUACGACUGGUCUCUCGUGUGCCACCCGAACGGUACCUCGGAGGACACCGCCCACAUAUUUUUCGUCGUUUUCGGACUGGAAAAUGACGUCGCGGAUAGCGUGAAGGUCCGAGUCGAGAUCGUCUUUCUUGAUGAGAAUGGGGAACCCUCGAGAUUUCUAGGAGAUCGCUUCGUACAGGAAUUCUCCCGCAGCCAUCCCCGCCGGGGUCCGGCGCCGCUGGGGAGAAUACCCCAUCUGGAGGCGGCGCAGUUUAUUCAGAAUGACUGCCUGACGAUUCAGUGCACCGUCUCCAUCCUCAAGUCUCCGCAUGUCCAAGUACUCAAAACUCCCUCCGUCGCCGUGCCGCCCUCCGACUUGCACCGGCAAUUCGGACGGCUCUUGGAGGACGGCGCGGGGACGGACGUGACCUUCCAAGUCGGCGCAGGCGGAGGAGAGGCUUUCUCCGCGCACCGGUGCGUGCUCGCCGCGCGGUCUCCGGUCUUCAAGGCGAAAUUUUUCGGCCCGAUGGAGGGAAGCAGUGCCGAGCGCGUGAAGAUCGACGACAUAGAGCCUGCGGCAUUCAAGGCUCUGCUUUAUUUCAUCUAUUCGGAUUCGCUGCCCCCGCAGAUGGAGGAGAUCGACGAGGAGUCCGCUGUUUCGAUGGCCCAGCAUCUUUUGGUUGCCGCGGAUCGAUACGGGCUGGAGAGGCUGAAGAUAUUAUGCGAGGACAAGUUGUGCCGGGGCAUCGACGUGAACACCGUCGCGACCACCUUGGCCAUAGCCGACCAGCACCUCUGCAGUCAGCUCAAAGCAGCCUGCUUCGAUUUUGUCGUGUCUUCUCGAAUACUGACUGCCGUCAUGGAAACAGACGGAUUCGAGCACCUAAGAAUGAGCUGCCCCUCAGUUGUAAAGGAGCUGCUCAAGAAGGUAAACUCAUAAUAGAUAACACAACACAGCAUUUCAGAUGUGCGUGCUCACGAAAAUAUUCUUAAUUUUGUUCAAGACUCUUCUCUCUGUAUUGCAAUUAUAUUAUUAUCAGAUUAAUUCAUGACGAAGUGCUACAACUACUUCAAGACACACGUUAAUUAUACUCUGUUUAGACUAAUAAUUUUUGUUGCUUAUUGCAUGUUAUUAAGUAUUGUUAUCUAAUUUUUAUUCAAAAAUUUAAAUUUGAUGCUUUUGUUCGAUUAUUUUCCAAUCUGUUUCUAAAUAAUAAAGCACUCUAAUCUUUUAUACGAAACUUCCAUCCUAGUUUAGAAUUUCUUAACAAUAUCAACUAAAAAUUAAGUUGGACAAGCGAUUCAUCUCCAUCCUCUCUCCAAUUCUCAAUUCUCAUCUCUAUUCAAUAUCCUUUCACCAGAGGAAGUUUAUUUUAAUUUUCAGAAAUAGUUAAGCAUAAUAAUUUGGUUAGUUUCUAAUGACAAUAUAUAUCAAUUUUUUUUUCUUUUUCGCUCAUGUUAUAUGCGGGUAGUUUUAAAAUGCAUCACAGCAUUGAAAUCUUUGAACUUCAUAAACAUUUGAUUUACAUUCGAUAUUUAAUUUUGGAAAGUAUAUUAAGUUUUUAUAAUAAAUUUUUUGAUUGAUAGGUAGACAUUGCACCGAUCAUCCACAUUAAAUACGCACUUUUCAUUUUAAAAGAAAAAAGUUUAGAAUAAAAGUCGAAAUUAAUGAGCCAUUUUUAUUAUUGGUGUUUAAUUAGUUUGAGAAAUUGGUAUUCCUAUUUCUAUUCCAAAAAAAUCGAAUCCUCCAAAGUGACUCCAUGCAGGUGGGAAUCAACUUUGAUUCAACAUGGAAUAUAUUGAGAAAAGUACUUAUUUUUCUCACUAACAAUUAUUCUAAUUUGAAUAUUAAUUUAUAUUUAAUUUUAGCAGAAGUUAUAAUUACAAAUGUGUGUUUGAAUUAUGAAUUCAGAAUUUAUUUUCUAAUUUCUUACGUUCAAAUUUAAAUUAUAAUUUCUAACAUUCAAAUUUAAAUUCUAAUAUAAGUUUGAUAUUUGAGUUUAGUUCUAAAUUUAAAUAUUGACUUCAAACUUCAAUUUGAAUUGGUUUUUUUUUUUUGAGAGAGAAAAAUAGUAUGCUACCCGCUUCGUUUAUUUCAUUUAGAAAUAAACUUAGCUGAAAAUGUGAAUCAACUAGAAUUCGAACUUGGGUCUCGAAUACCAACCACCAAGCCCUUUUGCCAAGGCGGUCGGUACUUCAAUUUGAAUUGUUUAAUUCAAAUUGGGUAGUAAAUAUACAUUUUAAUUUUCGAGUUUAAUUUUUAGUUCAAAUUUGGACUCAAAUUUUGAUUACAAACUUGGAUAAUAAUAAAUUUAAAUUUUAAUAAAAAUGUAAACUUUUUACAUUUAGUUUUCAAUAUGACAUUGAUUCCCACUCUUUUAUGAACCAAAAUUUUCAAAUUUUGGUUUCGCUCUCUCUAAUUUGGACCUAUAAAUAUCUAUACAGAGCUAGAGACCAAUGGAAAAGAAGACUAAAUUUGAAUAUUCUCAUAUAUUUAACUGUAACGUCCAUAGUAAAUUCUAGCAUAAUUAUGAUCGACGUAUCUAUAGAUCCAAUUUAAACUAAGCAAUUCGGAUUAGAGUCUACCAAAAUAAUAUAGUUUAGUACAUUUUUUAAAAAAAAUUUAUGUAUGGCAUAAACAUAUUCAAGUUAUAUUUAAAUUUUACGGUCCAGAUUAAAUUUUACUAAGAUUUUCUAAUCCAGAUUUUCUUUAGAUCCAAUCUAAACUCUUCAGUCAAGAUUAAAUUCUAUUAAACUUUGCAGUCCAGACUUUGUUUACAUCUUGAGUUAAUUCUCUGUAUAUUCAAACUUUACUUUUAAUUAAACUAGUGUUGAACCCGCACUUCGCCGCGGACAAUUUUAACACUAAUAUUUUGAUGUAAAUUUUAAUAUAUAAUAAUUAUGAAAAAUGAGAAAAAGAAUAGAAUUAAAAUAUCAACACAUAUGUAUGUAAGAAGAGGCAAAAAAAUUGUCACGCCCCGGGGUCCCUUUUCAGUUUAAAACAAAGCGGAAAAGCGUCUGAAAUUUUUUUUUUUUUUUUUGAAAACCUGACCCCAGAGUAUGCCAGAUCCGCCACAAAUACAGGGAAUCCACUGUUCACACGGACAGAGUCUCCCCUGUAUUUGCACGGCGUCGAUCAAAUACACAGUACAACCAGGAUACAACCACAACCAGAUGAAUAUAAAGAUAACUAUACAUUCAUACAUUCACCAUUCACAUCACAGUUUUACAUUCAAGGUUUAAACAGAAAUCCACAAAAAUCUUUUGAAAGCUGUUUCCUACACAGAAACCUUUAUUCUUUUAAAAACGCUACCACGAGGGUAGAAAAUCUUUUAUUUUACAAAAUCCAGAAAUCCACCUUUUCAAAUGCAAAUAAUUACUGAACCACAUAAACCAACUAAACUAUAUAUCAACAGAAAUACCAAGGAUAAUAACUAAAUCGAAAUAACCUGGGUCGGAAGCUCUAUCGACCGCUACACACGUACCUCACGUCUCGUCCCACUACUCAUCGCCCGCGAUACCUGAAAAAUGGUGGGGGAGGUGAGAACAUGUAAACAUGUCUCCCCUCCCAGUGGGUACCGCAAGCCGAAGAAGGCGAGGAGUACUCACCGGAUCAGGAACAUAUAUAUUACAUAUACAUAAUAGACAUAUAAGCAUAUACAUAUAUAUAGUAUAUAUACAUAUACAUAUACAUACUCACAUAUACAACCAAUAAAAAAUAUUCAAUAAUUGUAUAUAUAUAUAUAAUAUUAGUAGUAUUACUUAUGUUAUAACUAUAUAAUAUACCAUAUAUCUCUAUAGAUACAUAUAUACAUAUAAUAAUAUAUAUCAUCUAUUACAUAUAAUAUAUAUAACAUCUAAUAAUAUAGAAUUAUAUAUAUACAUAAUAAAUAAUAUAUGUAGAUUAUAUUACAUAUAUACAUAUAUAUUAUAACAUAUAUACAUAUAUUAUAUAUAUCAAUUUAUAUAUAUACAUAGAUCAUAUAUCAUAUAUAUAUCAUAUAUACAUAUAAUAAUAAACAUACUACAUAUAUAAUAUAUAUAUAGGUAUAGUAUAUAUACUAUAUAUCUAUAUAUAAUAUAUUAUAUAUAUAUAUAUAUAUAUAUAUAUAUAUGUAUUAUAGUAAUAUAAUAAUAUAUUAUUAUAUAAUUAUAUAUUUUAUAUAUGUAUAUAUUAUUAGUAUUACUAGUAUAUAUAGAUAUACUGUAUUCUAUGUAUUUAUUACUACAUAUAUACAUAUAAUAUAUAUGUAUAUAUAAUAAUAUAAUAUAAAUAUAUGUAUAUAUAAUAUAUAAUAUAUGUAUAUACCAUAUAUAUAUAAUAUAUAUAUAUGUGAUCUAUGUAUAUAUAUACAUAUAUAUAUACUAGUAUUAAUUAAUUAAUUAACAUAUAUAUAUAAUAUACAUAUAUACAUAUAUAUGUAUAUAUAUACAUAUACCUACAUAAUAUGUUUUGUGUAGAGGAGUUAAUAUAUUACAUAUAUAUAAUAUAUAUAUAUAAUAAUAUAUAUAUAUCUUAUAUAUAUAUAUAUAUAAUAAAUAGCAAUAAAGUACGUGCACGAUGCACUUAACAAUUUUAGAUUAUUUCAAAUCAAUAUAAAUUUUUUACACUUAUAUAUAUCUAAAAUUUUACAUAUAAAAUAAUUUAUAAAUAAUGUGUAUUUAUUAUAAAUAUUAUAAUAUCCUACGUGUUUUUUUAUAUAUACACCGAACAUUUAAAUUUUUAACAAUUGAUUAUUACGUCAUAGAUUGAAUUUAUAGAUUGAUACGAAUGCUAUUUUUUUAAUAUGUAUUGAUAUAAUGUCUUGAUUUAACCUAUUUUAACAAAUUGCUCAAUAACCAUUUAUAGCGAAUAGAUUUUAAUAUAUAGAAAUUUAACUAAAUUGAUCAUAACGUUCUUUUAUUUAACAUAUUUUAAACAAAUAAUCAUAAUCAUUCGUAGGAAAUAUUAUUAUAUUUAAUAAUUGAUGAUAAACCAUUAAUUUUUAUUUGAGAUAAUUUUUCACAAAAUUAAUCAUAACUAUUCGUAGGGAAUAUAUUUUAUUCUUUUUGGAUUCCGUCGUCAUUGUCGGAAUUCCUAUAACGCUUUUAUAUAUAGUAUACGAUAAUAUAAUAUACAUAUAUAUUAGUAUGUAUUGUAUGUCUGUAUAGAAUGUAUUAUGUAUGUGUAUGCUUGUAUGUUAAAAUUUAUGCUAUGUAAUACAUACAUACAUUACAUACACAUACAAUACAUACACUACAUACAUACAUAUAUAUAUAAUAUAUAUAUAAUAUAAUAUAAGUAAAAUAUAUAUAUAGUUAAGCUAGAAUAUCUAAUCGGUAGAAAAUCACCCGUUUACUACCGGAUUCGUUUUCGAUAUAGAGGUCCAAAUUAACGAAUCGCUCCUGCGUUACCAUUGAUCUAUGAUCACGCGUAAUGAUUUAGAAAUCAGAUAUCAAUAUUUUCAACAUACAUUGUCCUCAAUCAGAGUUCAAAUUUGUAAUUUAUAUGGUCGAUAAAGAGGCUUUUCCUCGUACAACGGCUGUAAAGAACAUCCAAUAAAUUGAAAUUUUGUUAAAAAUUCUUUAAAUCCUUAAAAAGAUCAACUACUGAUUGAUACAUACUCUUCAUGCAUUUUAAAAUAAUAAGAAAAGACGUUAUGGAAGGAAAGGGAUAUUCAUUCAUACUUCAUCUUCUGUCACUUGAUGUGAUAAAAGAACAAUAUCAAAAAAGUUGCGAAAUUUGAGUUCUAGCUUAUUCCUUCACACAUGGUUUAAUCACUAUUUAACCCGGAGCCGAUCGCAUUUUGAAGGCCAUAUCAUCGGAAACAAAUCGUUCGUAAAACGCUUGUUUUACACCUAGAUUUUACUCAAACUAUAUAUAUAUUAAUAUAUAUAUAUAUUAUAAUAAUAUAUAAUAUAUAAUAAUAUAAUAUAUCAUAUAAUAUUAAUAUAUAAUAUAUAUUUAUAAAAUAAUAAAAUAGGAAUCNNNNNNNNNNNNNNNNNNNNNNNNNNNNNNNNNNNNNNNNNNNNNNNNNNNNNNNNNNNNNNNNNNNNNNNNNNNNNNNNNNNNNNNNNNNNNNNNNNNNNNNNNNNNNNNNNNNNNNNNNNNNNNNNNNNNNNNNNNNNNNNNNNNNNNNNNNNNNNNNNNNNNNNNNNNNNNNNNNNNNNNNNNNNNNNNNNNNNNNNNNNNNNNNNNNNNNNNNNNNNNNNNNNNNNNNNNNNNNNNNNNNNNNNNNNNNNNNNNNNNNNNNNNNNNNNNNNNNNNNNNNNNNNNNNNNNNNNNNNNNNNNNNNNNNNNNNNNNNNNNNNNNNNNNNNNNNNNNNNNNNNNNNNNNNNNNNNNNNNNNNNNNNNNNNNNNNNNNNNNNNNNNNNNNNNNNNNNNNNNNNNNNNNNNNNNNNNNNNNNNNNNNNNNNNNNNNNNNNNNNNNNNNNNNNNNNNNNNNNNNNNNNNNNNNNNNNNNNNNNNNNNNNNNNNNNNNNNNNNNNNNNNNNNNNNNNNNNNNNNNNNNNNNNNNNNNNNNNNNNNNNNNNNNNNNNNNNNNNNNNNNNNNNNNNNNNNNNNNNNNNNNNNNNNNNNNNNNNNNNNNNNNNNNNNNNNNNNNNNNNNNNNNNNNNNNNNNNNNNNNNNNNNNNNNNNNNNNNNNNNNNNNNNNNNNNNNNNNNNNNNNNNNNNNNNNNNNNNNNNNNNNNNNNNNNNNNNNNNNNNNNNNNNNNNNNNNNNNNNNNNNNNNNNNNNNNNNNNNNNNNNNNNNNNNNNNNNNNNNNNNNNNNNNNNNNNNNNNNNNNNNNNNNNNNNNNNNNNNNNNNNNNNNNNNNNNNNNNNNNNNNNNNNNNNNNNNNNNNNNNNNNNNNNNNNNNNNNNNNNNNNNNNNNNNNNNNNNNNNNNNNNNNNNNNNNNNNNNNNNNNNNNNNNNNNNNNNNNNNNNNNNNNNNNNNNNNNNNNNNNNNNNNNNNNNNNNNNNNNNNNNNNNNNNNNNNNNNNNNNNNNNNNNNNNNNNNNNNNNNNNNNNNNNNNNNNNNNNNNNNNNNNNNNNNNNNNNNNNNNNNNNNNNNNNNNNNNNNNNNNNNNNNNNNNNNNNNNNNNNNNNNNNNNNNNNNNNNNNNNNNNNNNNNNNNNNNNNNNNNNNNNNNNNNNNNNNNNNNNNNAUAUGUAUAUGUAUAUGUAUAUGUAUAUGUAUAUGUAUAUGUAUAUGUAUAUGUAUAUAUAUGUAUAUAUACAUAUACAUAUACACAUAUACAUAUACAUAUACACAUAUACAUAUACAUAUAUAUCGGUAAUUUAGAUUGAUAGCAAAAUACGUAAUUAUGUAAUAUGCAAACAUAUAUUUAGGGCGUAUUUGGUUCGCUUCUUUUUCACCCUGGAAUCGGAAUUGGAAUGGAUAAAUCCGUUUGUGGAUGUUUGAUACGCUGGAGUUCCAUUUCCAUUCCGGAUUUCGAGUGGAAUGGGAAUUCCCUAAUCACCUCUUUUUUCAAUCCGGCUUAGGAGGCCGGAUUGAAAGUUGAAUUCAGACAGAAUGGAUAUUUAUUCGGAUUAAAUUUAUUAUUUCAGCUUUUUUAAUUAAAAUAUGAGUUAAAAUUUAAAAAUUAAAUAUAUAAUUUUAAAUUUUAAUUUAAACUUAAAUUAAAAAUUAAAAAUUAAAAUUUAAUCAAGUAUUUCGAAUCUAACUUAUGAAUUUAUAUUUAAAUUAAAUUUUAAUUUAUAUAAAGUUUUAUUCAAAUUUUAUUUCAAACUUAAAUUAAAUUUAUGGAUUCAAAUUAAAAUUUAAAUUGUAAUUUUAAGUUUAAAUUUGAAUAAAUUAAAAUUUAGUUUCAUAUUUUUAAUUAUUCACUCAACUUCAAAGUUUAAUUUUUUUUAAAAAAAAUAGAUUUAAAAUUUUGACAUUAUUUCAAAAUUUUGAUGUAAAUUUUUAAUUUGAAUUUAAAUUAAUAUAUUAUAAAGAUAAUGUUAGUAUAUUAAUUUGAUUACGUUUUUUAUAUCCACCUGAACCAAACACCGAUAAUAGGAAUGAUUUAUUCCGAUUCCGAUUUAGAUGAUGAACCAAACAGAAUUAAGUAAUGAGUCAUUCCGAUUCCGAUUCCAACUUAUUUUGAUUCCGAUUCCGAUUCCGAUUCCGACUCCGACUUCCAACCAAACACGCCACAAUUUACUUUCUAAACAAUUUUUUAAAAAAUAAUUUUAAUUUUUGUUUUCGAAAAAUUAUAAGAACGGAUUACGUAGAAAAUAUUAUAGAGAAAAGAGAUUUAGAUGAGAUCUGUGAGUUGAGGUAUGCGAAAGCACUGUCUUAGAAGCGAGAUUGCUCCUCUACGUGUGAGGCUCCGGUAAUCUCACUCCCAGCGAUACAACGACCCCUUCCAUUCCAUCGGCACGUCUUUCAGGAUACGGAUGCAAGUAGCUCUUAGAAAUUCAAACUCAGUGCAAAGAAAGGUGAAAUUUAGUGCAUGAGGGAGAGAGGAGGAAGAAGUAAUUAGAAAUAUUUUUCAAGGUCCAAUCUCAUGAGUACACGUUCUCCUAUACACGCACCGGAACCGGAAUCAAGAUGAGGAUUUUGUCGCUUUUCGAGGUAAGGAAAUAAGAAAAUUUUUCAAGGUUUUAACCUCAUGAGUACGUGUUCUCCUAUAUACACACGCGACACAUUCUUCUAUAUACACACGCGAAUCAAGGUGAGGAUUUUGGUCCUUCUCGAGGUAAGGAAAUGAGAAAAUAUUUUAAGAUUCCAACCUUAUGAGUACACGUUCUCCUAUAUACACACGCGAAUCAAGAUGAGAAUUUUGUCCUAUUUGAAUCGGAAAAAAUUUGGAUAGAUUUGGUACCUUCUCAAGAUGGAUUUGAAAAGAUUUGAUACCUUGUCGAGGUGUAAUCAUGAAAUUCAGAUUUGAUACUUUACCGAGAUAAGGUAAUCAUGAAAUUCAAAAUAAAAAAUGCUGAAAAAUUGUGGAGGCGCCACGUGAAUUUAAGAAACUACUAAUUUAUAGGAUCCUACUGAAAAUGUGACUGUAUUUAGCAAAGAAAAUGUAUAUUAUAUCAUAGUUUUUUCUUUUCAUAUUGAAACACCAACUUUGAUUAAUUUCUACUACAACUUUGCAUUCUACUAGAAUUUUUAUUGUAUUUAUAAAAUAAAAUAGUAUAUAUAUAUAGAGAGAGAGAGAGUCCGACAAUGGUGCUUGUAAAAGCACCAAGCACUUAGUGCGUAUAAAUUUUUUGCCGUUAGAUUCACCCCUUUGAUCAUUUUUAUCCGUUAGAUUAUGCUAUACAAUCAACAACCCACUCAACUCUAGGGGUCGCACACCAUCCUAACCACACAUUCCUCAAUCCAAUGGUAAAAAAUCUACAAGCAUUAAUAAUUUGGUACUUUUAAAAGCAUAGGAGCUCAUAGAGAGAGAGAGAGAGAGAGAGAGGGGCUGGUAUGCUUCCGAAAGCAUGGAGCCCUUCGUGCUUCUAAGUCGUUUUUGAUAUUGGAACUUUCGAAUCAACGAUCGGCUCCGUUAGACUUGAUCUAAAAUAUUUGAAGUAUUUAAAAAUAAAUUUCCUGAUUUUUCGAUAUCAUUUGGCUAGUAAUCGAAAUGGCUCAAAAUCAACGGCUGAAAAUAAAAAUCUUACAAAAUGUGAUGAGACGACAUUAAAAUUUUUGGAUCAAAGAUAUUGAACUUGUUUUAUAUAGUAUAAAAAAUUUUCUAUUAUAAUUUUAUGUGAUUUGGAUAUUUCUACACCGUUAAACUUACAAAUAACUCACCACGAGGAUUAAAAUUAUUAAUUUUGAGCCUCUUCGAUCACUAGGCAAAUGAUGUAAAAAAUUGCAAAAUUUAUUUCUAGGUACUUUAAUUACUCUAGAUCAAGUUUAACGAAGUUGAUCGUCGAUUCGAAAGUAUAUAUAUAUAUAGAGAGAGAGAGAGAGAGAGAGAGAGAGAACUAGGUUGAAUACUAUCAAUACCACCAAGCUAUUUGUGCUAUUAGGUUUUCGGCCCUAGGAUACAAAAAAUGUACGGUCACGAUAAUGUAGUCCCCUAGGGUGAAAAUAAUAAAAGGGUUAAAUCUAACGGCGAAAAACUUAAUAGCACCAAAUACUUGAUGUAAUCGCUAGUAUCUCAGUCGGACUCUCCUUCUCUCUCUAUAUAUAUAUAUUACUAAUAUCAUCCUCCAAUCAAAUGAUGAUAUGCAUCUUAUUUAUACUAUCUUUAGCCUUAAAUACAUAUCACUAGCUUGGAAUUUGAUUUUAUUGCUAAUAGCCAACUUAAAAUGGUUUUAUAUAGAGAUUAACUAAAUAAUAAAAAUCUAAAAAUAAAUUUAGAUAAAACUAAAUAAAAUAAUAGUUAAAAUAUUUUAUUUAACUAAUUAAAAGAUAUGCUCAACUAAUCUAAUUUAAGUUAAAAAAUGAUGAACUAAAUCUGUUUAAUCUGAUCAACAUUGGUCCAAGACUGUUCUGAACUAAAUUAUUUUAAGAUUUGAUAAUCCAGAUUUUCUUUCGAUCCAAUCUAAACUCUAGGCUCAAGAUUAAGUUCUAUUAAACUUUGCAGUCCAGCGUUCGUUCACAUCCGAACCUAAUUCUCUGUAUAUUCAAACUAUACUUUUUAAUUAAAUUCUACUAGAAAUUUGAUUGUAUUUAGCAAAUAAAAUUUAUACUAUUAUAGUUUAUUCCCUUCAUAUUCAAACACUAAUUUCGAUUGGAUUCUACUACAACUCUGUAUUCUUCUAGAAUUCUGAUUGUGUUUAUAAAAUUAAGUAUUAUAUAUUUCUGUAUCUGUAUGCUACAUUAAAGAGGUGUUCCCGUGAUUGCUAGAUCAAUUUGUAAAACCAAACCACCCACGAGCUUAAUUCCCAUGGCCUCCUCCCCCGACGCGCCCUCCUCCUCGGAGCCAUUGUCGUAUUCUUGGUCGAUGUGGACGAUGGAAAUUAAGGUGAUCGGAAUGUACCGGUUCUAGAUCGCCGAGUACGAGCUGGUCAGAGCUAUGGACGCCAGCUGGUCCGUCCGGUCAGGCAUCUUCAACGUCGGCGGCUGUGACUGGUCUCUUAUAUGCUACCCGAACGGGAACUCAGAGGACAGCGCCCACAUCUUUCUGGUCGUUUUUGGACUCGAAAACGAUGCCGUGAAUGGUGUGAAGGUGAAUCGAGAUAGGCUUUCUUGAUCAGGAUGGGGAACCCUCGCUAAUUCUAGCGGUUCGCUUUGUACAAGAAAUUCUCCAGCAGCCAUGCAUCCAUCCCUACGGGGGUCCUGAGUCGCUGGGGAGAAUAGCUCAUCUGGAGGCAACGCAGUACAUUUGUUAGAAUGACUGCCGGAUGACUCAGUCAACUGUGUCCGUCCUCAAGGCUCCACCACACGUCGAAGUACUCAAAACUCCCUCCAUUGCCGUGCGCGCGCCUUUUGACUUGCAUCGGCAAUUCGGACGGCUCUUGGAGGACGGCGUGGGGACGGAUACGACCUUCGAAGUCGGCGGAGGUGAGGAGGCUUUCUCCGAAAUUUUUUGGCCCGAUGAAGGGAAGCAGUGCCGAGCGUGUGAAGAUCGACGACAUAGAGCCUACGACAAUCAAGGCUUUACUUUACUUCAUCUAUUCUGAUUCGCUGCUCUCGCAGAUGGAGGAGAUUGACAAGAAAUCUGUUGGAAAAUAUGAAUAGAUUGAGAUCGAGUAAAUUAUAAUUUUGAGGUGUUUAAGUUCAUUUUAAUAUUUGUUCUCACUCGAAUGUAUGACAUUCAGGAUACAAUAAGAUUGUCGAAAGACGGCAACAUAAUUGAAUGAAGAGACACAAUCAUUUAUUAAUUUAAUUCUUCAGGUUAUCCUCUUACUUGCACUUAUAAUCUAUACUAAUAAUUCUCCUCUAGAUUGUAAUACUAAUUUAAAGUAGACUUAUGCAUACAAAAAAUGUUUCUUUCAAUUAAACCUUCAAUUAGUAUAAUUAUCUCAAAGUUCCAACAAAAUCAAUGGUGAAAGCUUAAAUCAAGAAUCUUUAUAUCAGAACCGAAAAUAACACGCGCAUAAGUCUAUAAACUUAAUUAAGAAAUUUACCGAAUAGGUUUAGCAUAGUUAUGGCUGUGUGUUACCUUUUGGUUUCAUGAACAUUUAAAAAAGCAAGUUCUAAACUUUUGCCAGAAGCGGCACCACUUUUUAUGCUCAUAUAGGUGAAGCUCAUUUUCUACUACCUGUAUUACGAUAGGCAUCAAAUAAACUUAAACUUCACUAAGAGUAUCAUCACUCAUUCUCUAAUUCCGUAAUAGUAUAUACUAAAUAUUUAAAUGACAUUUUUAGUAUAUUGAACACUUAUCAAUAAUUUAUUUUUACCCAUUAAAUUUUUUCACUAGUGAUGUAACUAGAUAAAGAUUGGUUCUAAUUGUUGGUGACUUUUAAAAGAAAGGUUUCAAACCCAAUCCAAUUGAUAUAGAUUUUACUAUAUCUCUCGAGAAUCCUUUUGUGAAAGAGUCUGCUAAAUUACUGCACGACCUCACAUAUAUAAUAAUAAUUAUUAAUUUUUUUAUCAAAUUUUUAAUAUAGUUAUUUCUUAAACUUAUAUUCUAGAUUUGCCACAUAUACCUAGUUAAGUGCCCUAGAUAUUGUUGCUUGACUAUCACAGUGCAAAGAGAUAGGUGGCAUUGAUUGUGGCCACAACUUUAUAUCAAACAGUAAAAUUUUCAACCACUCUUCUUUUUUGUCUGCAGCUAGCAACGCUAAAAAUUCAGAUUCCAUUAUAGAAUGUGUUAUACACGUCUGUUUUUUUGAAGCCCAGGAGAUUGCUCCGCCUUCUAAAAUAAAUACCCAUCCAGAUAUAGAUUUAUUAUCACUUAAGCUAGCUAUCCAACUAGUAUCAGUAAAACCUUCUAAUACUGCUGAAAAAUUAUUGUAAGGCAUCUAAAAAUUGCGAGAUUUGGAUUCUCGCAUUUCGGCAUCCCUACGGGGUGGGCGGUGCUAUCCGAAAUCCCCGAAUUUCUCAUGAGCAUAUAUGUACACGUAUAGUUUUAUAUUCAUGCAUUAUAGGGUAAUAUGAUAUGUGGCAAGAUGUGGAAUCUCUUAUAUGCUUUCAAUGUAAGAAUACAUGUGAAAUGACAAAGGAUCGAUCAUGACAUAGAAACCCUAUGAAUAUAUGAACCGAGUGUUGGAUUAUAACAAUAGUAAACAAGAUGACAUUGUGACUAGACGGAUUAAAUAGCACCGAGAAUUAUGGAAUGCUAGGCAAAGAAAAUCUUAUGAACUUUGUGGCAAUAAUGACAUGGUAUCCUCCAAGUUGAGGAUUGAAUCGUACUCACAGAUAGUCUGAAUGCUUGAAGGUGGUCGCUCUACCUCAAACGGUGAGCUCCGGAGUUGUCAUCAACUGGGCGGUAGCGAAAUUCUCCCCAGUAGACGAUCCCGUUGGGUUGUAGUUGUAACAUAUGGAAACUUGGAGUUGCGAUGUCAACUUUGACCUAGAGGGUCAAAGUGAGGAUUGAGCUAGUUGGACAUCAUCCCCGAGGGAUUUGUGAUGCGUUGGAAUGAGUUCCAAAGAGAAAUAAGUGUUUCGGCGCAAAUUGGGCGCGAAACGAAAUGUNUACAUAGUUGCAUGAUUUACAUAUUGCAUAUCGGGAGGCAAGGUAUGGUUUUAUUAAUUGUAUCAUCGAAUAUCUAUCUAUCUGUUCAGUUUACUAACCUGCAGUUGCCUCCUUUGGACCUGGUGGGUCGAGCUCUUCUCUUGGGUGGCCGUACCCACUGGGAACUAUUUAUAUAGUUCUCACCCCCGUGUUGUUUUUGGGGGUACAGGUUCGCACGUGAGCGGCACGGCGGCGCGAGGACAGGGCGUAGCUCCGUAGAUAGCGCCCUACCACCGAGACCAGAGAUAGCAGUACCCUGAAGCAGUCUAGCUCAGAGUUCAGUAUAAUAGAAUCAAACUUGUAUCAAAUUUGUAUAAAUUGUAAUAACUUAAAGGCUUAUGUAAUUUUCUAAAUGUAAAAUCUUGAGUUGAAUGCUUGUAAUAGCAUAGUUAGCAUUUUAUAUUUUUGAUACUUAUGCAAUCUAUGUUUGAAUGUUGUUCCUGGUUGGGACCUCUUCUACUGCAUUGUAUAGAUUGUGACGCCUAGGACGUACAGGGAAAGCUCUGUCCGUUCGGCGGUCUGUCGGCGUGCCCGAAUCUGACCAAAUUGGCGGAGCUCGGGGCGUGACAGUAGUGGUAUUCUUCCCGACAAAAAAAAAAAAUGGUUUGGUGAGUUGGGUUUAACCAAAUAGUUAACCAAGAGGAUUUGGUAAAGGUAAAGGUAAAACAGAAAUGCAUAAAUCAUGAGCAUUAAACUCGUUGUUUUGGUUAUUAUUACAGGCCUUGUAGUUGUAUCAGUUUGGUUUGUUUAUCUAUUCCCUUUCCUAUAUAUGUCUGAUUAGACCUAGUGAGUGAGUUGGCGAGGUCGGCGGCCUAACCCACGGAAAAUUUUUAGUAGUUCUCACACCAUUAACCUUACAGAUCCUAGCGCGAGCGGGGUGGUCGAGGAUCAUGACAAGGGCAUCGCGCCCUAGAUAGUGGACUUCUUUCGAGUUUAGUUGUACCCUUUUUUGGUUUCAUCUUUUAUACUUGAUGAAAUAGAAUAUUUAAUGAAAGGAUGUAUCAUGUAUUUUGGAAAAUGUAUAUAAAAAUCUUAUAUGUAAUGGAAUAUGCAAACUUUGUAUUUGGUUUAAUGUAAUCAAGAUAUAAUGAAUAUAUGUAAUAGCUAGAGUUACUUUCACUUGCUCAUGUUGCUUAUUCUCGUGCAAGCCGUGUAUAGUGAAACUCGUUUUGAGCGAAUUUGUUAUAUAUGUUGUUGUUGUUGAGCCUUGGGCGGAUAGGGGAGGUUCUGCUCGUUCAGCGUCUAUGCACGUGCCCGAACUGUUCAAAUUGGCGGUCGCGGAGUGUGACAAUAUAUAUAUAUAUAUUAUAGAUAAAGAUAAAAAAAAUUAAACAAAUUUUGAAUUAAAAUAUAGAUUCACAGUAGAUAUUUUUUUGUUGGCAAAAAUUUGGAUAAACAUAAUUUUUUUUUUUGUAGAAAUAAAGAGAAAUUAAAAGUUUGUUUAAUUCUGUUAUUUAUUUUAUGUAAGGAAAGAUGAAUCAAUUUUUUUUUUGGCCAAAAAAUAGGUAUGUCGACAAACUGAAAUUUGAAAUAUGUGCUUAUAUAUAUAUAUAUAUAUAUAUAUAUAUAUAUAUAUAUAUAUAUAUAUAUAUAUAGAGAGAGAGAGAGAGAGAGAGAGAGAGAGAGAGUUGGUCGAGGCUACUAUGCUUUCUGAAGAGCACCGAGCUUCUGUGCUUUCAGGUCGUUAUCAUGUUGGCGACUUUCGAAUCGUCGGAUCGGUCCGUUAAACUUGAUCUAGAGAUUGAAAUACUUAGAAAAAUAAUUAUGCGAUUUUUUCGAUUACUUAUUUGCCUAUGAACGAAGGGCUCAAAAUUAACGCUGACAAAUAAAAUCUUACAAAAAACGUGAAUAAUAUGACAUUUCAAAUUAGAUCAAGAUAUCGUGAUCUGGUUUUAAUACAUAUAAUAGAGUUUCAACUCAAAACUUUCACAGUGAAAUUUGGAAGUUCUACACCGUUAAACUUCAAAUGCCACGUACGGUCAUUAAAAUAUGAUAUUGAGCCUCUUUCGAUCACUAGGUAAUAUAUUCGAAAAAUCAUAAAAUUUAUUUCUAAGGUACUUCAAAUACUCGUCAGAUAGUUUGACGUAGUCGAGUCGAUGAUUCGAAUCGUAACAUCGAAAACGACCUGAAAGCACCAGAAGGCUCGCCUUCCAAAAGCAUAUUAGCCCCUUACACACUCCUCUCUCUCUCUCUCCUCUCUCUCUCUCGUCCAUCUCUCUCUCUCUCUCUCUAGUAUAUAUAAUAUAUAUUAUAUAUAUAUAAUAUAAUAUAUAUAGAGGGAGAGUGCAAGCUAGUAUGCUUAUGGAAGCACGAAAGGCCUCCGUGCUUCAAUUUGUUUUUCGAUUUGGAGAACUUUGCGAAUCGACGAUCUGGCCUCCGUUAGACUUGAUUCUAGAGGUAUUUUGAGUACUAGAAAAUAAAUUUUGCGAUUUUUCAAUAUCAUGAUGUGGCUCUAGUGAUCGAAGGCUCAAAAACUCAACGGCUGAAAAUAAAAAAACCUUCACAAAAUUAUGAUAUGACAUUAAAAAUUUAGAUCAAGAUAUUGAGUUAUUUUAUAUAGUAUAAGAAUUUUUUUAUCAAAAAUUUCACGUGAUUUGAUAUUCUAACAAACCGUUAAACUUCAUUCGACUCGACCAACGGCCGUUAAAAUUAUUGAUUUUGAGCCCCUUACGAUCACGUAGGUCAAUUGAUACGAAAAAUCGCCAAAUUUAUUUUUCUAGGUCUGCAAAAUACUCUAGGAUCAACUCUAACGGAGCCGAUCGUCGAUAUCGAGAAGUCCGAACAUCUAAACUGACUUGGAAAGCACGGAGGCCUCCGUGCUUCCAUAACAUAUCCAGCACAACUCUAAUAGAAGGGCUACUUAUAGCUCUUAUACUUGGGCCCUUUGCGUACUCAUAAAGUAUUUUCGAUGAUUGGGGCUUCAAAUCGAACUCCAUCCACUCCGUUAAAAUAUAAUCUAGAGUAUUUGAAACUUAGAAUAAUUAAUUUUGUAUUAUUUCAAAAAUCAUAUAUUAAUAAGUCUCAUCAAACGGGCAAUUAAAAUAAUACGGUCAAUCAAUGAUACGACGUCCAAAAAAUGUUGAUAGAAUUCUCAAUUAAAAUCGGAGUUAUCGAUCUUUAUCUAGGUAGUAAUGUAAUUUCUAUAAAAAAUCACCACCUAUUGCCAUAUUCUUUUAACAACUGUUAAUACUACGAGUAUCCUAUACCGCCGUAAAAAUUGUCAUUUUGUGAGCUUUUCGAUCGUAAGGUCAAAUAUGUCAAAAAAAAUUAAUGAAAUUUGAUUUUCUAAAAGUUUUAAAUACUCUCGAUAAUGUUUAAUGGUAUGGAUUGUCGAUCGAACAUCUAUCGAACGUAAACCAACUACCGUGUACGGGAGCUGAUCGUACUCGUAAGAGUAUAGUACCCACGAGUUCUCUCUCUCUCUUCUCGAUUGCUCAUCACCAAUUGACAUGACAUCUCUCUCAGCCUUCCUCCCCAUCUCUCUCUCUCUCUCCAUACCUUAAAUCUCUCUCUCUCUCUCGUGACCCUCUAUAUAUAGUAUUAUAAUAUAAUAUAUAAAUAUUUAAUAUAGGCUGAAUACUAUCUAAAACUAUUCGGUUCUAUUGAUUUGUUAGUACUUGUGAUUGAGAAAUGGGUUGGCUAGAUGAUGUGGGCCCCGUAGGAUUGAUGAGUUGUUAUCUGAAUAGUAUAGAUCUAACGAUAAAAAUAAUCAAAGGGUAAUCUAAAUGUUGAAAAUCGAUAUGAUCAAAUCCUGGUGCUAAUGAUAAUACCCAGCGCGGACCUAUAUAUAUAUAUGGGUUAUUUGCAUACACGUUCCUGCAAAUAUAGUAAAUUGCAGAAAUAUCCCUGCAAAACGAAAAUUUCAUAAGUUGUCCCUACAAAAGUCCUAAGUUAUGCAGAUAUAUCUCUUUGGUUAAAAUCCGUUAGUAAACUAUUUAUUUUUUAACAGUUUAUUUGUGAAAUGACUUUUUUGCCCUCACAAAUAUAUCCCUCCAAAAGUAUCCCUCGUCCCCUUCUCUUUCUCUUCCUUUUCAGGCCGUCGGAGCGGACAACGGCGGCGGCGCGGUGUCGGGUUCGCCGGCAACGAAGAGGAGGGAAGAGAAAGAAGGAGAGGAAGAAGAAGUGGGAAGAGAAAGAAGGAGAGAAAGAAGGAGAGGAAGAGGGAAGACGAAGACGAAGAAGGUUUGCCACCGCCGCCGCGACAUCUCUUCCCUCGCCGGCGACGAAGAAGAGGGAAGAGAAAGAGGGAGAGGAAGAAAAAGGGAGAAAAGAAAGAGAGAGAGGAAGAGGAAGAGGAAGAAGGAGAAGGUUCGCCGCCGCCGCCGCAUCUUCUCCCUCGCCGGCGACGAAGAAAAGGGAAGAGGAAGAAAGAGAGGAAGAAGAAAGGGGAAGAGGAAGAGGAAAGAGGAAGAGGAAGAGGAUUCGCCGCCACCGCCGCCGCCGCCACCGCCGCCGCCGCAUCUCCUCGCCGGCGACGAAGAAGAAGGAAAAGGAAGAGGAGGAAGAGGAAGAAGAGUAAAUCCGUCAAUUCACAUUAUAAUUAACCAUGGUUAAGUAUUUUAACCGUGAUUAAUGAAAAUUUUCUAACAGACCUUAACGGCAGGGAUAUAUCUGCAUAACUUAGGACUUUUGUAGGGACAACUUAUGAAAUUUUCAUUUUGCAGGAAUAUUUCUGCAAUUCACUAUGUUUGCAGGGACGUGUAUGCAAAUAACCCUAUAUAUAUAUAUAUAUAUAAUACAACUGCUAUCCUUUUAGGAGAAUAGGAACUUUUAUCCUAUCAAAUCAUUUUUUAUGAUAGAGAUACCGAAUCCAUGAUCGGAAUCAUUGAAAUUGAUCUAGAGUAUUUGAAUUAUUCAGGAACUAAAUUUUAUAAAUUUUAAAAUUUAUUUACAUAGUGAUCAAAGUAUUGCAAAAUUGACAAUUUUUUACAGUCUAUAUGAGCUAAUUGCUUGUAUGCAAAUAACUCCGAUUGUAAAUUGAGAAAGCCUAACCUCUGUUUUCAAAAGGUCAUUUAUUUUUGACCGUUCAUUUUUCGACUUUUCGAUAGAUUUGAUAAUAAUUUUUAAAAAUUAUAAAAUUCAGCUUCUAAAUAUUUCUAAUAGUAUAGAUCAAUUUCAACGAUGUUGAUUAUCAAUUUGAAGUCUCGAUCAUCCAAAUCGACUUGAUAGGAUUUAGGCUUCUAUCCUCUUAAGAGGAUAGUAGCCCGAUAUAUAUAUAUAUAUAUAUAUAUAUAUAUAAUACUAUAUAGUCGCACUACUAUACUUUUAGUAAGACGAUGCCGCACUUGAUAACUCAUAAGUUGUUUUCAAGAUUAGAGCUUCCGAACGGACGGAUCGCAACAGCCGUUAACUUAUCUAGAGCAUUUAAAACUUGGUAGAAAUAAUCAUUCAUAAUUUGUUCGAAUCAUUUACCUUACGAUCAAAAGCUCACAAAGCUGACAAUUUGAUUAACGGCACACAGCGAUGUGGGGAUACUUGCGAAUUUAACGGUGAAAAAAGAUUGGAAUAUGUUUGAAUUUUUGAUAGAAAAUUCUAUUCACUUACCUAGAUAAAGAUCAAUAACUCCGAUCUUAAAUUGAAGGAUCCGAUCAUCCAUUUUGGACGUCGUUAGAUUUUGACCGUUCAAUUUCAUGCCCAUUUGAUGGACUUUAUUAUGAUUUCGAAAAAUUACGAAAUUUAUUUUUAGAAGUUUCAAAUACGCUAGAUCAUAUUAACGGAGUGAUCGUUGAUUCGAAGCUCCAUCAUCGAAAACAACUUAUGAGUACGAGGCCCAAUACUCAUAGCCCUACUCUCUAUAUAUAUAUACUAGUUAAGGGACCCGCGCGAUGCUGCGGGUAGUUAUUUAAAUUAAUUUUUGAAAAUAGUUAUAAAAAUUAAUUGUUAGAAUUUAAAUGGGCAAUAAGUACAUCAAAAUUUUAGUAGGCAUAGUAUCCCCCAUUAGUUAGUGAAAAAUAAAUUUAGUAGGUUAUAGACCCCAGUAGUUAGUGAAUGAGAAGAGAAAAUCAUUAUUUGUGAUUCUCGCAAUUAAUUUCAUCAAAUAAAAAUUAACUUAAGCUGCAUCAAAUUUUUUUAUUUUUAAUAUACAAAUUUAUAUGUAAAUGCUCAUAAUAUAAAUUAAUAUUUAUAUUAUACGCAGUAUCUAAAUAUUUAAAUUGAUUUAUAUAUUCUUACAUUUUAUAAAAAAAUAUUUAAAUUAUAUAAAUUAUUAUAUUAUAAAAUAUCAUAUAAAAAUAAAAUACUAUAUAUAAUAAAUUAAUAUAUAUAUAUAAAUAAAUAUAUUUAUAAAUAAAUUAUAUAUAUAUAUAUAUAAAUACUAUUAUAAAAAUAUAUAUUAUUAUAAAUAAAAUUUUAUAUAUAUAAUUAUAUAUAUAUAUAAUAUAUUAAUAUAAUAUAUAUAUAUAUAUAUAUAAUAUAUAUAUAUAUAUAUAUAUAUAUGAUAUAUAGUAAUGGGGAACUCCCCUCAUCAGUGGUCCACGAGGCCGAAAACCCCGAGAAACCCCAUAUGAGCGCUCGGUUGUUUUUUGGGCUCCACGCAGACCCGCGCGUGCGCGUGACGAGCUCAGCGUCCGGCCGCGCGCGUCGCCAAUGGCCCGCCCACGAGCCGGCGCCCGCCGCAGCCCCGCAUCGGCUCGCGUCACGGCAGCGACGAAGCCACCCCGCUUCAGCGCCGUCCCGCGCGCCGUCCGCCACGCCGCGCGCCGUCCCUCGCUCCGACCAAGGCAGCCGCCCCGCGCAGCGCAAGCCCCGCGCUCCCUCGGUACGCGCCCGCUCCCGCCCGCCCUGUGCGUAGCCGCCCGCGGUUCGCCGUGGCCCGCGGCCUCGCCCGCGGCCUGCGCCAGCCCCGCGCCCGCUCCCGCGCCCGCUCCCGGCUCCGCCCGUGCCGGCGCCCGCGGUCGCCCGUGGCCCGCGGCCUCGCCCGCGCCUCGCCAGCCCCCGCGCUACUGCCCGCCUCGAGCCGCGCCUGCGGCCGCCCGCACGCCGCUCAGUUGCCCGCGCCUCGGCCUCCUCGUGACAUGUGUGCAAUUAUUGAGGAAUAAUAUAUAGUUAUAGAAGAUUGGGGAUGGUUAAUUAUCAAUAAAUUCAUGCAUUCUAGUUUCUAUAUUUCUCCGAAUCGGAUUCUAGAUAAUCUCUCAAAUUGAAAUUAACGUUUGAUUUCCCAAGCAUUCUCUUGCACGUAACCCCAUCUCAGGCAUUCUCCGGCAAGUAACCUUAUGUAACCAAACCGAACUAUCCCAUCAUAUGAUUCCACAAUGUUUCAAAUGUUCUCCAAAACAAUUUUUUGGUCAAAUUGAUAUUUUUAAAACAAUACGUGACCAAAUACCUUAUACUUUAUAAUUUUUUUAUUUUAUAUUUCAAAUUUAACUAAAUUAGGAUCAAAAUUUUGAGCUAAUGUCAUGCUUAGCCUCAUUUGAUUUUUUUUUUUUUAAUUUCAAUCUAACCUUCUUUUGAAAAAAAAUGUAUUUAUCUAGUCUCCCGUGGCCUUGGCUAGGAAAGAAGUAUUUUUUUUUUUAGCUGAAUAUGUAAAUCAACUAGGAUUCGAACUCGAAAUUUCGGGUAUCAAUUAUUAAGCCCUUUGUCACUUGCGUUAGGGACGGCUGUUAGGGAAGGUCGGUAACUAGGAAAAAAGUAUUACAACUACUUUAAAACACAUAUAAUUAUACCAUGUUAGACUAUUAAUUUUUGUUGAUUAUAGCAUAUUAUGAAGUAUUUUUAUCUGAAUUUAUUCAAAAAUUUUAAUUUGAUACUUUCCUUUCAAUUAUUUUCCAAAUCUACUCCUAAAUAGUUAAAGCACUCUAAUCUUUUGUAUGAAACUUCGAUCCUUAAUUGUUUAGAAUUUCUUAACAAAAACAACUAAAAGUUAGUUGAACGAGUGAUUCCACUCUCUCCUCUCUCCCCGUCUGAUCUCUAGAUCAUCUAUGAGCAUAUUUCGCUGAUCGAGAUUACUCUAGCGCAAAAGCACUAUAAAAAAUUAUCCAAAAUCUUGAAUGGUUAGACAAAAGAUUUACUGCCAAUUUUUAAAUAUAUAUAAAUAGUAAUUCUCUUGGUAAUAUGGCCUCUAGGUAAUUAAGGAGUAUUAUGCAUUGAAUUCAUGCUAGAGAAAAGCAAAGGGAAAAAAAAAAAAAAAAAAAGUGUGGAGGUUGUGGAGGUUAUAAGAAAAACUACUUAUACGCCAAAUUAGUUAACUUGGGACAGGGAGGGCGAGAUCCAGACAGGCGGAGGCCAGUUGAACCGAUCAUCGGGAGGAAGACAAGGCUGCACGCUCCCGUCUUCCAAGCAGUAUAUGCCGACGUCGCGCCUGUCACCCUUGACAUCCUCGGAGAACCGCAAGUUCCAGCGAUCAUCGGUGAAGUACACGCAAUUUCGUCGCAGCCCGCGGACCUCCUUCCCGGACAGCAGCACAGACGAACCGACCCCCACGAACAAAGCUCGGUCGCCUAAGCUCUCCACCGGAAUCCACACGUUUCUCUCUUCAUCCAAUCUCGUCACCGUGAUACUCUCAGUUCUCACCGUACUACACCUGUCGUCGUCACCCGAGCCGAGCUCUCUCCGCACCUGCAGAAGAUCGCCCGUGGCGUCGUCCACCACUAGAUACUUCCUGUAGGACCCGAAUUGCUCGUCCUGGGGAUCGUAGACGAUGACUUUGCAGUCGGCGUAAUCUCCGUCGAGCUCGAGGGCGAGUAGAGCCCCCUGGCUUGUUAAAGCGAGGAGCCUGCCGCCGCGAAAGGCGACGUCUUCGUAGCGCCGGUCCGGGUACUCGUCCUCGUAAAGAUGCCACCUGUCCUCCCCGGCCCUCGCGAAAGCCAGCUGGCUCCAACCGUAGAGGGCGGCGACAGUGAGGCUGCCGCCGGACGCGGGGCUCGACGAUAGCACGACCUUGGAGAAGGACGCGUUGCGGAAGAGGUUGGGUGGGAGGGGGCAGAAGUUGAACCACGGCAGGGAGGGGCUGAGUGUGAGGUAGCGGGAGACGGAGCCGUCGGGGGCGCGGGAGGCGUAGACGUUGGGGAGGGUGGCGACGGAGGGGAGGAGGAUUUCUUGGCUGGUGAGGGGGUUGAGGAGGGCGAGCUCGGAGAGGGGGUCGAGAGUGGCGAGCCAGCCGUGCUGGGACCCGAUGCAGUGCUUUCCGCGGAGGCCGGGGACGGAGAGGCGGUGGAGCGUGUUGUGGGGGAGGCUGAAGAAGACGAACUGGUCGCUGCUUUCGCUGUCGUAGUCGCUGCCGGAGAGGAGGAGAUAGGGGUGGUGAGGGGACGGAGGGACGUCGGCUACCGAGCAGGCCCAGGGUUGGCACACUUCGCAGAAGGUCGAGUAGUCGAUUAACGUCAGACGGCUGGCGAUGGCGGCGAGGAGGUCCGACGGAAGGGCCGUCCAAUCACGGCCGCAGCCGGUGAUGGUCGGCAUCGUGCGCCAGACCUGCAACACACAAGUUACUCCGAUACGCGUCUACACAUGUAGAUAAAUAAAUAGAGACGGUAAUUCUAAUCCGAUUCCGACUCUAAUUACUGUUUUUCAAAUCCAAGAUAUUCAUUAUAUACAUUUUCAACUUCAGAAUCAGAGUCCAGCUGGGAUAUUCAUUGCUUGAAACCCAAGAUUUUCGCUUAAAUUUAAUUGUAACUUCAUAAUCUAACUAGCUAGGAUUAUAUACAUAUCUAUACUUUACAUAAAACAAAGAUUAAAUUAACUACUUUUAUUUUAAACUAGUUUUAAUUAGUGCGUGUGCAGUGCGCGCUUUACAUUAGAAAAUUAAAAAUUAAAAAUUAGAAACAAUAUUAUUUAAAGUUUUAUAAAAUAACUUAGUUUUUUAAUUUUAAUAGAAUUUGAUUAUGCAUAUAAAAUUAAUAAAUUUUAUUUAUCUAAUUUUAUAAAAAAAGUGUUAGAUUUUAUUAAGUUUUGUUCUAUCCAACCAAAGCUCAAUAUAUUAAGAAAUUUAAUAAUAUCAAUUAAUAAUUUAAAUAGUUAUUAAAGGAUAAUUUUAAGCGACGCCAACUAGAAUAUGCCACUAAUUGUAAAUGUGAGGCUGUAGUGUAAGGAGGCCGUGAAUGGUGACGAUGACAAGGGUGCCACCGGAUAUGCGAAUUACGGGAGAGAGAAUUCAUCGAGGCAAGGGCCGCGACUACGAUAGUGGGCGAGGGAGAGAGUGAGAUAACAAAAAAUAAUAAAUAUGGUAAAACAAAAGGAAGAAAAAAAAUAAAAUUGACGCCAAGUGGGGGUCCAAUGAAAUUUGGAGUUGUAUUAGACAAAAUAGCUCAUAGCGGGCCUAAUAGCCUGCUAACUCUUUUUUUUCUUCUUAGCAAUAGCAAAAAGUUAAAAAAAAUUCUAAUAAAAUAAAAUUAGUCUUUAUUAUUGUACUCCCCUCCUUCCCUUCUGUAUCAACCGCCCACUUUGCCUCAACACACUCUCCCAUUGUUCUUGAAUCUUGUAGCAAACUUGUUGUCGUCGUCGUCGUCGUCCACGGCGAUGCCUUCUACCACAACCUUGCCUCCGUGAUCCGUGCCAUAUUAUAAGCCAACGUCGACGGAAGUAUAGACGAAAUAAGAGAGAAGAGUACGACAUCAAUGUGGGAGCAGUGAAAGAGGAUAAAGGAGAAAGCAAAUGGAGGAGAAAGAGAAAAAGAAAUAGCGAGAAGGAGGAGGCGGACCGGAAGAAGAAAGAUGAACGUGAAAGAAAAAAAGAGAGAAAGAGAAAUAAUGUUAUUUUGAUUAGUUUAAUGAAAAUUCGGAUCAAACUUGCAAAAUUCAAAAAAGUUAAUCAUUCUUGCAAAAAUAUAAAACCGAUGAAUUUUUAAUGCAAGUUGGCUUAAAAGAUUCUACUUGAAGAAAGAAAAAAUUUACAUGAUUAAAUAAAAAUCUUUAAUUCAUUCUUUAUGCAAGCAAUUCAUUGCAUCCUGGUACCGUACAGAUUCCACUAAAGGAUGCAUCUCACAUCUUAUAAAUAAGUUAGAAUUUGUUGAUUAUAUCGAAAAAAAAUCAAGCCUCAAGCCAAAAUUUUUGACGGAAGGGAUAGUAAUUAAUGGUGGAUAAUUGAAUAUUUUUUUCGAUUUCUAGUCGUUCAUAAUUGUAAUUUUUUGAAUCAGAAUUAUGAAUUAAGAUCUCAUCGAAGCUCAAACUUUGAUCUCAUGACGCAAGUUGGGCCUGAGCAGCUUGUUCAAUAGAAAAAAAUAACUCUGUACAUACUUGGAAUGGUUAUACUUUUCUAGAGAACAAAAUUUUAUAGAUUUAGUAAUUAUAAACGAGACAUGAUUAGCCUUAACGACCUGAUUCAUGUGUAUGAUAGAUAAUAUACAAUGCAUCAAGUGAUUAAUGAAGUCAUAACAAAAGAGACGACAGAAUAAUAGUGAAAGAAUUUUACAUACGUUAUAAUUACAACAGAAGGGGCUUAAAACUUACUUUACACAAAAGAUCAAUCUAAAAAAAAAAGCAUGAAAAGAUCUUACUUUAGUUCUUCAUCGGCAAGGAAAUCUGCAAUAACAUUUUCAAUUUUUCUCGGAAAGGGAUUAUGUACAUACGUGUCACUGAAUCUUCAACGUAAGACAACAAUUAAUUAAUUGCAUUACAAUAUUUUGAGCUCACUUGUACAUUCCAACCUUGCAACUAUCCAUCAAAUUUAGACAACUCUUUUGAAUUUCUAAUAUUUUUUUUUAAAAUUGACAAGUCUUGUGUGAAAAUAUUAAUGUGACAUUCUAGAAUUUGAAAUACUCCUAUAUUUAAAGUAUAAUAUGAUUAAAAUCUCUUAAUCAUGCGUGUUGUACGAUGGUUAGGUCCAAAAAGUAAAGAGAAGAAUGUCAUGAUGAGUGAAUACUUGAAACGCGAUGUGUUAUAAUUGAUAUCAGAGUUAAUCACAUCGACUAGUCUUUAUAAAUGUAUUCGAGCCGGAUGAGAACAUCAAGCCCUUUACGUCAGGGCUUAAAAACAUUGGGUGGUGACUAAGUCAAGAGGAUUAAACGUGCUAGAAUUAGAAUAGUUAUACAAUAAAUGAUUCUAAAAAACACAGUCAUAAUUGACAUUUAUAGUAUUGCUCUAAAAAUUGGCACUUCACCAUUGCAUAGAAAGUAAGAUUUGAUUUAUCAUUUUAGGGAAGUGCUAACUAACUUUAUAUUUUUCUUACAGAAAGAGAAAGAGUUGAAUCUUAGCUGCCGUUUUAUUUUUCCUAAAUUUCUUUGUGCUCAAAAUAAAAAAUGUAUAUAUUAAAAUGCAUAUUCCUUGCGAAAAAUUCUUCUGAUAGAGCCAUACGGUAAUUAGGAACAGAUCACAUAUACUCACCCACAAAAAGAAGAAGAAGAAGAAGAAAAUAAAGUAUCACAGCUAUGACAAAAAGGCAUGUUGGUUCAGCUGUAUUUUAACAUUGCACAAAGUACGAAUAACCUAAUGCUACUAUAGAAAAUCAUCUAGAAUCCAACCCCUGCAACAUGAGGCUAACUAAAUUGACAGAUCUGAAAUAAGAUUUUCCCCAAUUACAUGAGAAAUACUACAUGAUUGAAGUAAUUUUGUAUCUCAAUGUUAUCUGUCGAUCGUGUUAGCUAAUUAACAUUGUCCACGAGCUCCUUUACAACCGAGGGGCAACUAAUUUUCAGGUGCUCGAAUCCGUCUGUUUUCAUAACAUCUAUCAGCGACUUGGGCGAGGCCAAGAAUUCGAGGCAAGCUUCUUUGAGCCGACUGCAAUGGUGCUGCUCCGCCAACACCAGCGUAGUGGCCGCCGUGCUCACGGUAAUGUUCCGACACAACCUAUCUUCGCUGAUCAACCUCAGCCUCUCCAGCCCGUACCGAUCUGCGGCAGCAAGGAGAUGCUGAAACAUCGAGGCCGACGGCUCCUUCGCCAGCUCCUCCAACUCCAGAGGCAGCGAAUCCGAAUAGAUGAAGUGCAGCAGAGCCCUGAAGGCGAGAGUCUCCAUAUCGUCGAUCUUUAUGCGCUUCGCGCUCCUCUCCUUCAUGGGGCCGAAGAGCUCUGCCCUGAACACCGGCGACCGAGCGGCGAGCAGCAGCCGGUGCGCGGGGAAGGUUUCCCCGCACACCUCGAAGGUCACGUCGGUCUCGUCUCCGCUCUCUAGGAGCUCGCGGAGAUGGCGGUGCAAGUCGGAGGGCGGCAGACUGACGGGGCGAGCAUUGGGUGGCGUUUCUAAUCGAGGCCUCUUCAGGACGGACACAGUGCACUGAAUCGUCAAGCAAUCAUCUUUCAGAUAGCCGGAAGCCUCAAGAACGUCUCUUCUCAUGAACUGAUUGUAGCCGAAACAAGCGCUGCCGUUCUUGAACACGCAAGGAGGAUUGCGCGGCGUCCGCGUUGUCGAGGAGGGGGGCCUGCGCUGAUCAAGAAGGGUAAGGCUGAACGCGGCCUUUACGCCGUUGCCGGCGUCGCUUCUGAGGCAGAGAAAGAGCGAGAUGUGGUUGGCGCUGGCCUUGUCUUGACCGUCCGGGUAGAAUGCGAUGGCCCAGUCGAAGCCGCCGGCGUCGAAGGUGGCGGAAGAGAUGGGAUUGCCGGCGCCGAUGCCCUUGGCUAGCGAGUAGUCGGCGAUCUUGAACAGGUGGGUUCCCGUCACCUUCUCCAUCACCCACGUCGACGAAGAGCAGGGCGCGGGCGCUGCCUCCGGGGAAGAAGCCAUGCACGCAGCCACGCAGGUUCACGGAAUUUGGGCCUAGGGCUUAGAAAAGACUAAUUAAGAAACGAGUUUCACAAUAUCUCUUCUCAUAUUUAAAGGGAAAUUGUGAACAAUUUUAAAUACCCCAAGUCUCUACUCGCACUGGGAAGGAAAUCCGAGUAUGCAGCAGGACUUGGGAGAAUUUGGCUAGGCCUUGGUCUCAGAAUUCGGCUCGAAUUAGCUUCUGCUCCGAAUUUAUUUUAUUAAGCCAAUAUAUUUACAGGGCAUUUGGCCUAAAUUCGAAAAAGUAAUUUUAAAAUCAAAACUGAUUUUUUUGUUUUUUUCAUUUUAAUAGAACGUUUCGUAAUUCCUUUUAAAAAUCUGAUUUUUAUAUUUAAAAUCAAUUUCUGAUUUUAUAGGCCUAAAAUUAGAAUCAAUUAAAACCUAUUUCUUGAAAUUUGAUUCUAAGUUUAGACUCAAAUUUUCAACUUUAAUUUAAAAUUUCAUUUCAAAUUUUAAAUUUAAAGUUAGAAUUAAAAUUUAAAAUUUUAAUUUUUAGUUUAAAAAAUUUAAAUUUAAAUUUAAAUUUAAAUUUAAAUUUUAAAUUUUAAAUUUUAAAUUUAAAUUUCAAAUUUCAGUUUUAAAUUUUUACAUUUUAAACUUUAAAUNNNNNNNNNNNNNNNNAAAAAAAAAUUAUUAUUUGCAAACAGUAAAAAUAUUUUUCCUAACAACUUUACAAAAUCACGGCGAAAAAAUAAUUAAAGCCGAAUACACCCUAACAACUAAAUUUCAUAAAUUUUCGGCAUCAUUUACCUAUCAAACGAAUAGUCUAAAAAUGAACGGCUGAAAAUAAAAUUCUCAUGAAUUAUUUUUUAUGAUAAUUUUAUUUUCAGCCGUUCAUUUUUAAACUACUCGUUUGAUAGGCAAAUAAUGUCGAAAAAUAAUAAAAUUUAAUUUCCAAAUACUUUUAAUAGUGUAGAUCAAGUCUGACGAGCCGAUCGUCGAUUUGGAAGCCGCAUUAUUAAAAAUAACUUGGUAGCACGGAGAGCUCCGUGCUAGCGAUAAUAUACCAGCCUAGUUCUAUCUAUAUAGGGUUGAGCUAGAAUACUCUCAAAAGUACCAUGAAGGUACUGAUUUUGAGUUUUUAACCUUUGGAUGGAAAGAUGUGAGGUUGAAAUGAUGGCGGUAGGUGGAAUAGUGUUUGAUCCAAAGACUAUUAGUAAUCAAGGAGUAGAUCCAAAGGCUACAAACUUAGAAACACGGUUGGUGCUUCUAAAAAUAUUCUAGCUCAAUUCAUAUAUAUAUAUAUAUAUAUAUAUAUUGAUAAACAUAGUUGCUAAACAAAAUGAUUCCCCGAAUCAAGAGAGAUUUAAGUCUUGAAUCAUCAACACACAUGAAUCAUCAACACCCCAACCGUUAUCAACUACCACUAAAGAAACAUGCACGCUACGACCUUCAUCUCCCCCAUCAUCUAAUCAACUGCCCUCACAUUAUUUGUUAUUUUAUAGUCAUUUCUUUUUCUUUUUCUUUUUCUUUUUCUUUUUUAAGUGAAAGAUUGACUAAUAACCCAAUGAUACAUUGGAAUAAAAUGAAUAUGGGUAGAACAGAAGAAAGCAAGUGGCAACUUGAAUAGAUCCAGGCAGCCAGAACAGAGGACUGUCAAAGCCAUGCACUUAGAAAAACCGAUAGAAAGCCAGGCAGCUCUAUAAGAAGUAAAAAUAAAUUAAUUAAGAAACCCACAGGCAGUAUUCUUAAUCGAAUCAUUGGUCGUCAGGCACCCGGAGUUCCGUGCGGUCAAUACAUACGAUGCUACGAGAGCCAUUAUAGCACAGUUCUGCUUGAAGAUACGGAAAUUGCGCUUCAACCAGAAAGUUCUCAGUACGAUUGUAAUGAUAGAAUAGAAGAGAUAAACUGACUGACAAAUUGAAGAGUUCUACAUGCAUAGGCUGGAAUAGUAAAUCGAAACGAAUAUUAAACUUCCCUGUUGGACAAAAAUGUUUAUUCUCUAGUUCUUUCUAGAGUUUGAUAGAAAUGAGAGGGACAAUUUCAAGUAUCCUCCUCUACCGUCCAACUAAGUAAUGCCUAAGUUGCUUGGUCCGGUCAAAAUCAAUAGAUAUGCUAAGCAUGAGGAUGUGCUAAGUCCACCACAUGCAUAGGAGAGUCCCUAGUACGAGCAUCAUCCAAAACGAAUACCUAACAUAUUAUGUUUCUCACACUUUAAUAGUAUAUAUAUAUAUAUAUAUGUAAGUUGGUAACAAAUUAAAGUGUCAUAUUACUAAUGUUUCUCUAGUUCAACACUUGCUUGAUUAGUUACAAAAUGUAAAUUAAAAGAUGCAGUAUUAAAUCUCCAUGAGCAUAUAAGUGUGUGUUGUUCACUUACGAAUCAAACUUUUUCUACAAGCUUUGCCUUGCCCCGUCGAUCCGGCUGCAAAAUCUACUGACCUGAAAAGCCAACAACAGCAGGGUUUGAGUUUUCCUCAAAUACGUACCCAGUAUUGGGUAAGCACGAUGUUGAAAAUAAAUCAAGAGCAUAAACAAUAGCAAUGAUAGAGAAAACAAUACAGAUCAACUUGAUUCAAUAUAAAGAGAUAUAACUCAACUGAGUCAAUACUACUUUGAGAAGUAGUAAGCAAAUCGCCGACAUGUUUUAAGCCUAAACAACUAGAACUCCUAAUCUCCAAAACAAACAAAUGGUAUGAUUCAUUUGUAAUUGAUCUCCAAACAGAGCAUAAACUAGUGUCCUUCGUCGAAAGUUUGAUAAGCUUAGGAAUAAUGUAUAAUCUCAUCUACGCUACGGAAAAUCAAUUAGUUUGAGAACAUUCCACGAGAUGCAUCUAGUGCGAUACUCAGAAGUAGCAUGGUAUCUCAUGUUACCUGUCACCUUAGCUAGCUUCUCCAAGAGGUCCUUUAUAACCAAGGGGCAACUUAAUCUUAGGUGCUCAAAUCCAUCCGUUUCGAUAACCGCAGCCAGCGUCCCGGGGGAGGCAAUGAAAUUGAGGCAAGCGGCUUUCAGCCGACCGCAUCGGUGCUGCUCGGCCAAGGCCAACGUGUUCGCCACCGUGUUUACGCGAAUGUUCCGGCAUAACUUGUAUUCACAGACUAACCUCAGCCUCUCAAGCCCGUAUCGAUCUGCGGCAACGAGAAGGUGCUGAGCCAUCGAAUUCGAGGAGGAAUCCGUCGUCAUCGGCUCUUCCAUAUACGAGGGCAGGGUAUCUGAGUAGAUGAAAUGAAGCAGAGCCCUGAAUACGGCGGCUUCCAUGUCUUCGAGCUUUAUCUGCUUCAUUCUCGUCUCCCGCAUCUCGCCGAAGAGUUCUGCCCUGAAGACAGGGGACCGCGCCGCGAGCAGCCACCGGUGCGCCGCGAAAGUCUGGCCGCCGACAUCAAAGGUUACAUCGGCCCCCUCUCCGCUGGCCAAGAGGUUGGCGAGAUGCUGAUGCAAGUCCGAGGGGGGCGGCGGCAGGACGGGGUCAGUGGCGGGCACCUCCAAGAGGGGGGAUUUUACGACGGUAACAGCGCAGUGGACGGCGAAGCAGUCGUCUCUGAGGAACUGUGACGUCUCGAAAUCGGCUCUUCUGAUGAAUUUACCGAUGCCCCGGCCGCUAUGUUGCUUCGCAAACACGUCGAUAAUUGUGCGGGUAAAUGGGCAGCUCCGCUGCGGAUCAAGAAGACUCAGCUUGAGCAGGGCCCUGACAGGCACGGCAUCAGUCUCGAGCCUGAGAACGAGUGACAUCCAACCGGCACAGUGCUCGUCCUGCCCGUCGAGAAAGCAUGCGAGGGUCCAAUUGAAGCCGGCGACAUUGAAGGUGGCCGAUCGGAUGGGCUUGCCGACGCCCAUCAUCCCCUUGGCCAGGGAGUAGUCGGCGAUCCUGAACAAGUGGGAUCCGGUCACCUUCUCCAUCUUCCACGUCGACGAAGAAGCGGACGAAGACAUGGACGGAGGGAGGCGGCGUCCAGGUCGGAGCAAAACCUAGCAAGGACGACGGUUUGCCCCUUUCUUCUUUAGGGCUUUACCAACAGCUGCGAGAUCAUUUCAACCUCGACUCAUAAUUGUUCUGACAUUAAGUUCCAGCGAUGCUUAAGGUACACUCUAAAAUAAAAUAAAAUGUAUAUUUUAUACUCACUUUAUUUCAUUAAGCAGUGUUUGGAUUGGGGACAAGGAGAGAGAUAACCUCUUAUCCCUCUUUAUAUCUAAAUACAAAUUUUUUAUUCGAGAGUAGUAGUUCUUAAUUAUCUAAAAUAAUCUGGUAUAAUUAUUCCUACCAACACCUCAAUUUUCUAUGCAUUACUAUCCAAACGUCAUUUUUCUUAUCCCCGAAAACAAUCUAAUUUUCAUUCAAACGUUAUUUUUCUUAUCCCCAUACUUGUACAUAUUCCUGUAAUAGCUAGCUCUUGCUUAUCUCUCUAAGUUUUUAGGUGAAAGUUAAGUUCACAAAAAUUAUAUUUUUGUCUUCCCACUUUCUACUUCUCUAACUCCUCCAAUGAUUAGCCAUUUAUUCGACUCUCAUCUUCACCGUCUAACUCCAAAGAAAAUAAAUAAAUAAAUAAAUUACACUACUAAUGCACUACUAUUUUUUUUUCUGCAAAAUUUUAAUUUAUAAUAUUUGUCUUGGCAUUUCUAAUUUAUUUUACUUUAGCCCCUAUUUUUUUAGACAAUAAAUUUUGCUCCAUCCGAGUUCGUCAUGCACUAACGCACUAUGAAUCUAUCGUUUCUCAGUCCAUCACAUACUUUUACUUCAAUAGUUUGAUUUUUAAAUGUAGAAAAAUUAUAAAUUUAUGGAUGGUAAAAUUUGAAUAUGAGAUAGAGGAUUUACGAUUCAUAAAUACAUGGUUUAUAAAUAUAGAGAAACACCAAAUGUGAUUAAUGUUUUUAUUCCAAUCAGUAAAGAAAAACACAGACUAGUUUAAAAUACUUUCAAGAGUAUAGGUUUUGAAGUGUCAAUCUUAAAAGUUUUAGGACUAAAAUAAAAUUUAUCUGAAAGUUUAGGGAGUAGUAGUGCAAUUUUACCUCAUAAUAAAAAAGAGAAAUUUAUAAUGACCCCUCUAAGAGACGGUUAAACUUUGUUACUAACUUACUAUUCUAAAAUCUUGAUACUUUUACAGAUACUUAUACUUUUAAUUUUGACAAUUAUUUUUUAAAAAGCUUUAUCAAAUAGUUCACUAGGUCCUAUUUUUAAUUGUGACAAUUAAUUUUUUUUUAAAAAAAAUUAUCAAAUAGUUCACUAGGUCCUAUUUUUAAUUAAAGUUAAUAACAUGUAACUACAUAGUUAUUUUAAUCCCUUAUAUUGUAUUAAUAUUGUAAAGCUUAAAAAUAAGAAAAUUCAAUUUUUCUAAUCAAAUAAAUGAAAGAGUCAACAAAAAUUGAAAAUGAAUUUACUCUAUCUAAAAUCUUGAUGCAUAGUCAACAUAACUGAUUGAAAAAAGGGACAAUUUCCUCUUUACCCUUCUAAAAUCAUCUAAUUUCAUAAAUACCCAUCUAAAAAUUGAAAUAUCAUGUAUACCCCCCAAAUUUGAAAAACUUUAAAAAAUAACCUUUCCAUCCAAAUUAAAGUUAAUUAGUAUUUAAAUUCCAACUUUACCCCUCUAAUAUUUCAAAAUUAAUAAACUCUAUCUAGACUAAAAAUUUAGUAAAAUUCAAUUGAUUUUAAUUUUUUUUUUUCAUUUUAAUUAAAAAUAAAUAUUUCUAUUUGGAAUAAAUUCUAGUUAAAUUUAAUUUUAUUUUGCUUCAUUGUUAAUUUAACUACAAUUUAUUCCAAUUAGAAAUAUUUGUUUUCAACUGCAAUUAAUAUUUUUUUAAAAUUAAAAUCAAUUGAAUUUUACUUAGUUAAUUUUGAAAUAUAAUAGAGGAUAUUUAUGAAAUAAAAUAAUUGACCAUUGAAUAUAUAAGAGGGGUAAAGUUGGAAUUUAAAUACUAAUUAGCUUUAAUUUAGAUAGAAACAUGAUGGUAAGGUUAUUUUUGAAAGAUUUUCAAAAUUCGGGGGUAUACAUGAUAUUUUAAUUUUUAGAUUGGUAUUUAUGAAAUUAGAUGGUUUUAUAAAGGUAUAGGGGAAAUUUUCCCUUAAAAAAAUAGAUUAUUUUGUGUUUUGAGUUAUACAAAGUCAUAUUCAAGAGUGCAAUAUAGAAGGCCAUUUCAAUAAGUAACAUUGCUUGAGGUUAAACUAUUUGAUAAAGUUUAAGCAACCUCAAUGCCAAAAUUAUAAAAGUUUCAGAAUCUAGCUACAAAAGUACUUUAAGUUUAGAAGGUCUUUAUACAUUUUUACUAAAAGAAUAGCUAGUAAUUUGUUUAUUACUGUUGAGAAAUAUUAAGUCUACAAUCAAAACUAAUUGUAAUCUCUAUAAUCUCUCAUCCAAUGAGUUAUAGGGUUUACCAAUCUCUUUUGGUUUUUAGAUAGGAAAAAAAAAGUGCUAAGACAAGCAGCAAACAAAAUUUUUGUGAGAGGAAUUAUAAAAUUACAACAUGAAAUGGGUUGUAGAUCUAGCACACUCCUCGUUAUUAUUUGUGUAGAGCUACUAUAUUAUUGGAAGUAUAGAAGAUUUGAUGCUUCUGAUUUUUUGACCCUUGGUUCAAGAAUUUUACGAUUGAGAUGAUUGUGGUCCCUCCUAGGGUUGAGCAGUACUCCUAGAGUUGAGUGGUUCCUAUAAGGUAAUAGUAUUAAUCUAAAGGUUAAAAAUGAUUAAAGGGGCUGAUAUAAGGGCCAAAAAGUCGGAAGCAUCAGAUCCUUUUUACUUCCGAUAGUAUAAUAACUCAACUCUUAUUAUAUAUAUAUAUAUAUAUAUAUAUAUAUAAAAUUAGGCUAUAAUGCUAUAAAUAGCAUCAAGUUGUUGACGCUAUUAUAUAGGUUUUCGGCCCUUGGAUGAAGAAAUGUACGUUUAGAAUGACAUGGACCCCUUAAAGUUGGAUGAGUUGUUGGUUGAAUAGUAUAAUUUAAUGGGUGAAAAUAGUCAGAGUUAAUCUAACGGUAGAAAAUUCGAUAGCGCCAAGUGCUUGGUGCUAUCGAGAGUAUCCCAGCCGGACUCUCUCUCUCUCUCUCUCUCUAUAUAUAUAUAUGUAUAUAUAAUAACAGCUUACAUUCUACAAAUAGUAAUAAUGGCCUUGCAUCCACAUAGGUGGAGAAGAUUAAGUUGUAGCAACUUCAGUAACCUAUAUUUGGAUGCAUGAACAUUCCAUUCUGUUCACUUAUUUAAGCUUGUGUUAGUUAGUAAAUGAGAAAUAUAAUCAUCUCCAAUAAUUAUUAUAUUAGACAUUCAAUUCAUUUUUUUUGGAAUAACAUGAAUCACCUCCUAGGUGAUAUAAACUAUCACCAAAUUAUGAAUGUUAAAAUCUUUAAAGGAGGGAAAUCAAAAUCCUUACUGAGUCACAAAAAUAAUAAAAUUCUCGCUAUUUUAUAAGUUAUUACCGAAUAAUAAUUUACUUUGACACUCAAACAAGACUGUCCAAGUGUUUGAUCUACUUCUUGUGCAUUUGAUAUCCUGCUUGUGCACAUCUUUUGUGUAUAGAUAGAUAGUUGGGAAUCAUGAAAAUUAAGUUCAAUUAGCAAUUCUCAAAUGCAUACAUCUUUUGAGUGUCAAUACUUUUCAUUAAAAAAAAAAAAAAUACAACAUACCAUAAUAUAUCGUCACAAACAGAAUAAGCAAUUUUGAUUAAAUCAAGAAAUUUUUAGAAAUUCGCAACUUAUAUUGAUAUCGGAUUUUUGUUUUAUAUCACGACAAAAGCGAAAAGGAUCUAGUUUGUCGGAUGCGAAAGUUGUAAAAGGAAUCGAUAAAGAGAGAAGAAAAAUAAAAUAUACAAAUAUUUAUAUGGUUCGGUGAUCCGGGACGAUUAAACCAUCCGGAUAAAUCUCAAUCGUUGCGGAUAAGGCGGAGGCCCUUCCAACUACUUCGGUUAGGAUAAGGCGGAGGUGGUUACAACUAUUUUGGUUAGGAUAUGGAUCAAGGAGGUUCCAACUAAUUCGGUUAAGAUAUGGAUUAAGAGGGUCCAACUAAUUUGGUUAAAAUAUGGAUCGAGAGGGUUCCAACUAAUUCGGUUAGGAUAUGAAUUGAACUAAUUCGGUUAAGAUAUGAAUCGAAACAGUUCCAACUAAUUCGGUUAGGAUAAGAUCGAGAUGGUUUCAACUACUUCGGUUAGAAUAAGAAUAAAGUUGUUAUUUUUAAAAUAUUUUGUUCUUAUCUUCUUGUAAGCCUAAAGGCUAUAAAUACGGGCCUUUUAAAAUAUUUUGUUCUUAUCUUCUUGUAAGCCUAAAGGCUAUAAAUACGAGCCUCACUGGCUCUUGUAAAUCACUCCAGUUUAGAGAGAAUUAAUAUACAGACUCUUCCAUAUAAAAAUAUUGUGUUCUUUUUCUUUUUUUUCUCUUUAAUCUGAUUUCAGAUAUCCAUCGGGGAGGCACUGCGACAUUGCUUCCUCCUCCGACGGAUCAAUUGGUAUCAGAGCAUCUGACCCUGGUGUAUGGUGCGAACCAGAAGCGUCUACAAAGCUACCGGCAAACAACUCUCCAUCCUCGACAUCUUCCGUAAGCCACAGACGAGGAAAACGAAGAGCGCAUCUACCGUGUCUGCAGACAAGCAGAUAGCGACGCUAUCCGACCUUGCCUCCAAGGUCGCCGCACUGUCCGACGACAUGAAGACCGUUUUAGAUUGGAUUAAGACCCAAUCUGCAGCACCAUCGGCAAUGCCGGUGGAGAAGAGCGGUCGGCUCGAAGGAACUCUUCCUCCAAAGGCGCGUGUGACGCCGAUGAAGGGUGCUGCCGAGGAUAUCUCGGGCGUGCGAGACGACGAUGACUCCGACGAUGACGGAAGCAUAGCUCCGUCAGUUGCAGAAGGGAGGUCGCAACCGUUUAAGGUUGAGGCCAAGAUCGAGAUCUCCAAUUACGACGAUAUUGUCGACGCUGAAAAGUUGGAUGCCUGGCUUGACCAACUGGAGACGUACUUCGACCUCUACAACUAUAGCAAUGCAGAAAAGGAAACUUUCGCAAAACUAAAACUUGUAAGUCAUGCUUUGACUUGGUGAAAGGCCACUCUCCAAACUUCCGCCAACGAAGAGUUCACCUGGAGUCAGUUUAAACGACUGAUUCGCCAGGAAUUCUACCCUAUGGGAUAUGAAGAAAAGCGAUGGAAGCGCUGGCAUGUCUUGCGCCAAAGAUGUGACCAGACAGUGCAGGACUACACUACCGACCUCCGGCGCCAAGCCUUAGCGCUUGGCAUCUCCCUCGACAAUCCACAAGUUUUUUGUAAAUACACCGCGGGCCUACAGGAGCGCAUCAAUGAUGAGCAUCAUCUCUUCGGUAUUUGUGAUAUCGCCUCGGCGAGCCAAACAGCCAUGUCGAUUGAACGAAAGAACAAACUAUCUCGCAGGGAGAAGCCAUCUAGAAAGUCUGCUGAGGGCUCGAAAAAGACAAAAAAGAAGGGCUCUAAAAAGAAGGGGUCCUUUGAUCCUGAUUUGUACUGUGAUCAUUGUAAAGUAACAGGACAUGUCAAUGAUCGAUGCUGGAAGCACCAUCCAGAGAUGAGACCAAAGAAGAAAGACGAUCGUGGUAAACACACAACGACAAUGACAACAACAUCGGCAGGAUCAACAAGUGAUGCCCCUACCUUAAUCGGACGGAUUGAUCAAGCGGACACUAGCUUGUCUCUGAUGGCUAUGCCGAAGGAGACAAGCUUGUACCCGUCAAAUCCGACUGAUAAGAGAGAGGAGUUGUUCACUUUUCGAGUUCAAGUAAAAAAUAAGGUAAUCGACACCAUCAUCGAUCCCGGCAGCCAAAAGAACUUGAACUCAGAGAAUCUUGUUCAAAGGCUGGGUUUGUCGACUACACCACACCGACACCCAUAUCUAUUAGGGUGGAUUAACAGCAACAUCGAGAUAAAGAUCAAUUGCCAGUGCAAUGUGAAGUUUGCAGUGAUCAGCAUCUAUAUCGACGAAAUGCUAUGCGAGGUUGUGCCAUUGAACAUUUGCAACCUCAUCUUCGGCAAUCCCUACCUAUGGGACCGUGACGCUACUUUCUUCCGUCAUUGUCUGCCACCACGAAUGACGCACAUCGCACGGGGAAUUUUAUCUUUUGGUUUUCCCGUGGGGUAGUAUUCAUGAUGUAGAUUAAAGUAUGUGUAUGUAUGGUUAUCAGGUAUUGCGGAUCCAUGGCUUCCAAUAAACGCAAGCGUCUAUUGUUAAUUACCCCUAUAGAAUAUUAGGGCACCUUCGAUUAAGAGACCUCUGAAAUGCUGAAGAUAAACUGGAAUUGGACAAAAGAAAAUUUAUAAUUUAUUGCUCAAUUACAUGGCUUUAACCAAGGGCAUACCCUCAGUGUACAUGAAUAGAGCGUAAAGAAAAUGUAUUUUUCAAUUGUAUCUUAGUUAUAUAUUCUAAGAUACCCAAUAUAUGGUCAAAUUAAUUUUGUUGGACUCUAUAUGUUGUGGAGCUCAACACUAUUCACCCUAAGAUGAAAUAUUGAUUAAAUUCCAUAUAUAUAUGCAUUGGAAUUUAAUCAGAUUUAAUUCAGAUUAAACUCUAAUUAUAUGUAUUAGAGUUUGAUUUGGUUAAUUGAACUUUAAAUGUAUGUGAUAAAGUCCAAUAGAUGAUCAGAUUUUGUUGAGCUCUAUAUAUUUUGGAGCUCAACUUUGUUUACCAUGAGAUGAAAGAUUGAUUAAAUCCCAUAUAUAUACAUUGGAAUUUAAUCGAACUUGAUUAAACUCUGAACUUUAAAUAUAUGUAAUAAAGUCCAAUAGAGUUUGAUUUGAGCUUUCAUCCUAAAUAUAUGUGUUAGGAUUAGCCCCAAAUAUCUUGAAUUAGACUCUAAUUUUAUAUUUUAGAGUCUGAUACAAUUAGGCUCUAAGUUUAUGUAUUAGAGCUUAGUCACAUUUGAUUUUGGUUCAUCUCAAGGUGAAAUAUUAACUAAAUCCUAAUUAUAUGUAUUAGGAUUAGUCAGAUUUGAUUUAAAUUAAACUCCAAGUGUAUGUAUUGGAAUCCAACAAAUUAAUUUGAUCAGAUGGUUUGAUCAAUUCUAAAUAUAGGUUUAGAAUUUGAUCAAGUUUGAACAUGAUUGUGAUUUGACUCUAGUUUUAUAUGCUAGAGAAUCGAAUAUUUUGGGAAUUGGGAUGUUCGUGAAAAUUGAAUUUGAGUUUAGUUUAACUAUAUUUCGGUCAGUUGAUUUGGUGGAUUAGUUUAACGACGUUUCGGUCGGAGGUUUGGGUUUGGUUCACAAGGUUUAUGGUAUUGGGUAUAUGGGAUUAUGGUUCAUGAACUUAGAUAUGGUUCAUGGGUUUAUGGUUCAUGGACUUAUGGUUCAUGGGUUUAUGGUUCAUGAACUUGAUUUGAUUCAUGAACUUGAUUCAUAGUUCGUGGAUUUGGUGUAUGGUAUGGUCCACAGGAUUUGGUGUAUGGUUUGGUCCAUGGUUUUGGUUCAAAGUUCAUGGACUUGGUUAAGGUUAUGGGCUUGAAUAUGGGUUAAAUGUGUAUGGGUUCAUGGGUAAAUGUAUAUAGGUUUAUGUAUAUGGGUUUAUGGGUUAAUGGUUUUAAUGAGUUUUGGAUAAUGGGCUUAGAUAGUGGGCCCAAAUGGGUUUUGGACUGGGGCCAUUUGUAAAUGAGCUCUGGACUUCAUGAGGAUUUGGACUUGGAUGUAAUAUGAGCUUAUUUUAUGGGCUCAAUUUAGAUUUGAAUCAUGGGCUCAUUUUGGACUUAAUUUGGAUUUGGAGAUUUCGGUUUGGGCUCAUUUCGUUUUGGAUCUAAAUUCGGGCCCAAUACGGGCUGAAUUCAUUUUGGAUGUGGAUUCGGGCUUGGGCUGAAUUCAUUUUGGAUAUGGAUUCGGGCUUGGGCUGAAUUCAUUUUUGAUGUGGAUUCGGGUUCAAUACGGGCUCAUUUCAUUUUGUAUUCGGGCUCGGGCUGAAUUCAUUUUUGAUGUGGAUUCGGGCUUGGGCUGAAUUCAUUUUGUAUUCGGGCUCAAAAUGGGCCAAAUCAUUUUGAUGUGGAUAUGGAUUUAAUAUGGGAUUUGGAUUUGGGCUCAAUAUGGGCUCAUUUGGAUUUAAAAUGAGCUCAAUUUGUAUGUGAAUUUUAGGUUUAUUUGGGUUUAGGAUUUGGGAUUGGUUUGAUUAUGGAUUUGGGCCUUGGACUUUGGAUUGGGUUUUGAUAUGGGUUUGGGCCUUGGACUUGGGAUUGGGUUUUGAUAUGGGUUUGGGAUUUGAAUUCGGUUUUGGUAUUGGAUUUGGUUUGGAUUUGGAUUCGAGUUUGGAUUUGGAUUCGAAUUUGGAUUCGGAUAUGAGAUCAAAAUAUUUCGGUAUCUGGUUCAAAAUCAAAUUCAUCAAAGAUAUGAUGUGUUUUAUUAUUCGUCACAUGUAAUAUCUAAUGUAAUUAAAUCUCGGUUCGCCCUAAUUCGACUAAAUCAAAUGAUUCAAUCAAAGGGUUCGAUUAUUUUCGAACAUUAUUAAAAGAACGAUUAAAAGGAUAUUAAUCGGUAAUCCGACUAACUGGAGGAGAAUUAAGAGAACACGUUUUUUUUUUUUUCUUUAUCUCUUUUGAAAAUAUAAGACAAUAUAAUUCUUUGUCUUCUUUUUAUUUUUACAUUCAUGGGACAACUAAGGUGGGAUAAAAAUCCCUUCCUUGCCUCCCUAACAGUAGCAAAGCUCUCUCAUCUCUUUCUCUUUUAAUAAUUUUUUUUUUUGCAAAGAGAAAAGCAUCGCUCUUUCUCUUUCUCUCUCUCGAUAAUACUGCAUUUUAUAAAGAGAAGAGCAUCGCUCUUUCUCUUUUAAUAACACUUUUUUUUUUUUUUUAAAGAGGAGAGCACCGCUCUCUCUCUCUAUGUACAGAUUGGAUUCGCCGUCGCAGGAUGCAUCUUGGGCGUUUCGUCGAGCAGUCAGUGGGCAUGAACAGAGCUCUGGUUUCAUUCAGGAAUUUCGUCGAAUAGUUGGUAGGCAUGGUUCGUCGGUGCGAACUCCGUCAAGGCGACAUCCUGGGCGGCUUUGUAGGCGACGAGGCUGAUACUCUUGUUGACGAGCCUGCUGAGAUUAGUCUGCGUAUUUGCGAGGGGCGAGCUGUCGACGUCCGGGAACACGUCGAACGAGUCUUGGCAGGUGUCAACGAGCAUGUCGAUGGUCGAAAGCUCGCUGUUGACGUCCGCGAGCAGUUCGUCACCGCGCACCAAUCGUCGGCGCAUCCUGCAGCGCGUCCGCCGCCUGCGCGUGCUCCGCCUUAACCGCCGCAACCUGCACCGACGUCGCGGCUCGUUGUGGUCACAGAUCGAACACCUGGUGAGCGGAGGGGGGAGAAGAGCAUGAUGAGGAAUAAGGCGGUCUCGGAUCGGGCGACCGUUCGGGCGGGUGUAGAGGUCGUCGCGAAGCAAUGCAGCCUUGGGUGCAGAGGUCGGCGAGGCAGGCGGCCUUGGUGAUGCAGAGGUCGGGCGGCCUCGGCAGCGGUGGGGAAACGAGUGGGCGGCCUUGGCGCAGUCUGCGAUGAGCGAUGGCUUCGGGCGCAGGGAUCGGCGAGGCAGGUGGGUGACCUCGGAGUGGGUGCUUCGGCAGCCGGGAAGGCCUCGGGUCGGGGUCGGAGCAGGUCCUCGGCGGAGUACGACUCGGAUCAGGGUCGGAGCAUGUCCGGGAGGCAUGGUUGGAGCACGUCCUGGAGCAACGCCUCGGGUCAAGGUGUCUCGGAGCAGGUCCUCGGUGGAGCACGACUCGGGUCGGGGAGGCGAACGGCUUCGGCAGCAUCGAGGUCGAGGGGGAGUGACGAGGGCGGCUUCGGAGCGACGAGGGUCAGGGCGUCUUGGAGCGACGAGGGCGGCCUCGGAGCGACGCGGGUGGCCUCGGAGCGAUGUCCUCGGCCCAGAAAUUGGCGAGGAGCGACAGCGAUGGCGAUGCGGUGGAGAUGGAUGUUGACGCGAUGGUGCCAGCGGCGCCAGAUCUUGAUGGGCGCGAACACGCGCCCGCCGCGGCACAUUUUGCCGACGGCGCCCUGCCCGGCGCGGUGGGUGUGACGUCGGAGCGCACGGGAUGUGACCUCGGGGCGUGCCUCAGGUCGGGGCCGGAGCACGUCCGGGAGCGGCAGCGGCCGCCAUUGGAGAGGGAGAGAGAGAGAGAGAGAGAAAGGGCUUCUCUUUUCUCUUCUUUCUCUUUUUAUUCUUUUUUUUUUUUAGCCGAGAGAGAGAGAGCUUUGAAUUUUUUUUUUUUUUUUUUUUUUUUUGAAACGGGAGAAAAAGAUAUAUAUAUAUUUUUUUACCUUUUCUCUCUUUUUCUUCUUUCGUGAACAACGAACUCAGGUGGAUAUUUUUUGUUUGACUAGAUCUUGAAGAUUCAAAAGUCUCUCCUUUUUUUGUUUCGAAAGACAUUUAUGGGGAUGGUUGUAACUGAACUGAGGGAAACGUGCGCAUGGACGCGCGUAUGGUGAGAAUCAUGGGAAGUGGGUAGUUGAGAGGAUUGUGCAUGUGAUUUGAGAGAAAAGUGGGAUGAGGUGGUUGAGGAGAACGUGUGUCUGAAUCGUGGGAUGGCGCAUGAUGGGAAUCCGGGAUGUGGGUAUGGGUUGUUACAAAAAUAUCGUGGGAUGUAGGAGGGAUUUUGGAUGGUUGAGAUGAAAUUGUGGGGUAUUUUGGACAGUUGUGAUGAGAUUGUGAGAUAUUGGAUGGUUAGGAUGGGAUUGUGGGAAUAUUGCGGAUUAGUCCUUUUCCUUUGAUCAUAUUACACCUUAAUAAAAAUAUUAUAUGAUUAAGGUGGGGCAUUUUGUAAAUAUAUAAAAGGGAAUAGACUAAUAUGCUAUUUUAUAUACCCGUACGUAUUAUUUUUUCGCAAUCCGGUGCAUGAGAUAUUUUCAAAAUUUAAAUUUUAUCCAUGCACCUGGUGCAUGGAUGAUCUCGUAAACCAUCUCUAUUCUUAUUUAUUAUUUUCUCUCUUUUCUUCUUCUUCUUUUUUUUUCUUCUUUUAUUCCUCUCUCUUUUUUUUAUGCUUCAACAGUCAUCCUCAGCAAUACCAAUUUAUUAAGGAUGAACAAAAUUUUUUGUUCACCGCAGAGCCAUUAUCAACAACUGUAGACCUGGUAAACGCUUGCCAGACCAAGAGGAUGAUCAAUGCUUGUCAAAAGCUUGCCUUACUGGUCAUUCGGUCAGUUAUAUUCGACGAGGCAAACAACAAGAUAUUAAACCUAGUAUGCAAGGAAAAUACUGAUAAUGUAGCCAAACUGAUCGGCGAGCAUUAGGAUCUGUUUCAAGAAGUACAGCGACUGCCACCAAAGUGAGCCGUGGAACAUGAAAUCCAAUUGAUCAGUGACGCUCCGUUACCGAAUCUCGGUAUGUACCGAAACUCAGUGGUGGGGAAUGAGGAGAUAAAGCGACAGAUGAUUGAGUUGCUCGAGAGUGGUGCUAUCAAACCGAGUAGCUCCCCUCGUGGCUCCCCGACUGUGUUGGUGCCAAAGAAAGACGGUGGGUGACGAAUGUGUAUCGACUACCGCGCUCUCAACAAAAUCACCAUCAAGAACCGGUACCCCUUACCGCGAAUCGAUGAUCUCUUGGACCAACUGAAGCAUGCUCGCUACUUCACCAAACUUGACCUGAAGUCCGGCUAUCAUCAAGUCCGGAUCCAAGAGGAUGACAUCUAGAAGACCGCGUUCAAGACUCGACAAGGCUUGUUUGAAUGGCUCGUCAUGUUAUUCGGCCUUUGUAAUGCACCAGCCACUUUUAUAUGACUGAUGAACGAUAUUCUACGCCCCUUCCUCGACGACUUCGUGAUCGUCUACCUUGACGACAUCCUCAUCUACAGUUGAUCAUGGGAGGAGCACCUGGCGCAUGUCAAGAAGGUCUUCAUGCUGCUCAAGGAACACCAACUGCGCUUAAACCCUAAAAAGUGUGAGUACGGCCCGGUGUAUCUCGGGUUCGUGGUGGGCAACACCAACUCCGCUUAAACCCUAAAAAGUGAGUACGGCCUAGUGUAUAUCGGGUUUGUGGUGGGCGACGGCGAGCUUCAGAUCGACCCUGACAAGGUCAGGGCUAUCAAUGAAUGGCUUAGGCUCAAAAAUGUGACGGAGGUGCGGAGUUACAUGGGCGCUUGCCAAUAUGUCCAGAAGUUUAUUAGACACUUUUCUGUCCUUACUGCCCCUCUACAUGCACUAACGAAGGCCAACCAAAAGUUUGAAUCGAGUUCGAAACAUGAGGAGACAUUACGACUUUUGCAACAAAAAAUAUGCGAGACGCCUGUUCUUGCGCUACCAAAUCUGCAACGACCCUUUGAGUUGGAGGCGGAUGCGUCGGAAUAUGCCAUGGGGGCUGUCUUGAUGCAAGAUGGUCGACCUAUUGCAUAUUACUCCGAGAUGUUCCAAUGAGCUCAAAAGAACUAUCCGACCUAUGACAAGGAACUCUUGGCACUACACCAGGCGGUGAAGCAUUGGCGGGUCUAUCUCCUAGGAAAAGAGACGGUGGUGCAUACAGACCACCGUCCGCUUCAAUACCUCCAAACGCAAUCAAAAUUGCAAUAGGCGCGUCACAUGAAAUGGAUGACGUACUUGCAGCAGUUCAAUUUGGUUAUCAAGUGCAAGAAAGGGGCUCACAACAAACUGAUUGAUAUGCUAUCACGACCACCAGUGGUAGCGCUUUGUUUGUCGACAUUUAUGCAAGUUCAGCUUGACUUUCAUGAGUAUGCAAGUUUAUAUGCAGAAGACUCGAUUUUCAAGAAAAACUAGAAAAACUCAGUUUCCUCAGUUGCAGUUCUAGAUCCAACAGGUGCUGGUUCCUCUCAAAAUUGGGGAGCCAUGAUCUGGGACGAUCAAACAAUCCGGAUAAGUCUCAAUCGUUGCGGAUAAGGCGGAGGCUGUUCUAACUACUUUGGUUAGGAUAAGGCGGAGGUGGUUACAACUACUUUGGUUAGAAUAUAGGUCAAGGAGAUUCCAACUAAUUCGGUUAAGAUAUGGAUCGAGAGGAGUCCAACUAAUUCGGUUAGGAUAAGAUUGAGGUGGUUUCAACUACUUCGGUUAGAAUAAGAAUAAAGUUAUUAUUUUCAAAAUAUUUUAUUCUUAUCUUCUUAUAAGCUGGAAGGCUAUAAAUAUGGGCCCUACUGGCUAUUGUAAAUCACUCUAGUUUAGAGAGAAUUAAUAUACAGACUCUUCCACAUAAAAAUAUUGUGUCCUUUUUCUUUUUUUUUUUUCUCUUUAAUCUGGUUUCAGAUAUCCAUCGGGGACGCUGCAACAUUACUUCCUUCUCCGACGGAUCAUUCGGCCACUGGCCUAUAUCCACAAAUGAAAACGUAGUGGAGAUCUUCAUUAUAAUAUCUAAGUGGCAUACAAAAUAUGUCUCUCUCACAAAACCUGAGUCUUAAAAAUAUACUCAUACUCUCUCUCAUCUACUGCACCAAAUCAGUAGAAUAAAGAGUAUAUAUUUAUAACAGUGGCUAAAUCCUAAUACAAGUAGAAAUAUAAAUCCACUAAGAUUAAAAAAAUCAUAAUAAGAUUAGGCAUAAUCUAAACAUAACUUAAUAGAAUAACCAAAAUAGAACAAGGUUAGGAAACCCUAUGGUUACAUAACUCGAGACAUAUCUAACAAUCUUCACCUUCCCUUGAAUUCUCUAUCUUCUGCAUCAAAAUCCCAAAAGCUCCUGAAUUGUUGCUGCACACGCAAACCAAGUUUGCGGAAUACUUGAACUUGGUCACCGAAAGAGACUUAAUGAGCAAAUCCGCGGGUUCUCUGAAGUGCCACUCUUUUUAUUGUCUGGUUAUGCCUUUUUGCAACCUCUGUUGCAUCAGAAUGACAACUUUCCAUAGAGCAAAAACUGCUAGAGCAAUCAAACUUCUCGAUCUCAAACUUCGUCAAUGUGAACUACGAGUUUGUUAUGAAUUUGUCAUACCUCAAUAAUCCUACAUUGGAUAGAAAUGGGGAUAUAAUUGGGUAUAUAAGAGAUUUUGACACUAUUAAUAACAAUUGGGCUUAAGCAUUUUGGCCCGAUGUUUGGGCCCAACAAGUUAUUAUUGCUAGUGGACUGAGUCGUUACAUUUGGUAUCAGAGUCGGUUCACCAGCCGAAAAUGUGUGGUGAGUCUCGGCUGAGCCAGGGUUUGAAAGAUAAAGUGAUAGGCGAUGCCGAAAUCUGAAUGACAAGAUGACCGGCUAUGCCAGGAUCUGGAUGACAAGGCUAGCGAAACGAAUCUCACAUUGCCUGAUGAUCUUAGACUGUGUUUGAUUGGAUUGACGAGGACGUUAGGGCCUUAACGGGAGAGUCUAUCAGUCCCCAAUAAUCCCACAUCAGAUAGGAAUUUUGGGCCGGUGUUUGGGCACAACGAGUUAUUGUUGCUAGUGAACUGCGUCGCUACAGAAUCCGCAACUUACACCGAUACUAGAUUUUCUCUGAUAUCUUUUUAUUACACAAAAAUGUAAGAGAUCUAGUAGUUUAUCGAGCGUGAAAAUACGAAAAAAAGUAUCAAGAAAGAGAUAAGAAAAUAAAGCGCACGAAUAUUUACAUGGUUUGGCCACUAACCUACAUCCAUAGGGAAAAGCACAGUGGAGAGCACACAAAUAUUUACAUGGUUCGACCACUAACCUACAUCCGCGGGGAAAAACACAGUGGAGAUCUUUAUUAUAAUCAAAGUGAUGCAUAAAAUAUAUCUCUUUCAUAAAAUUCUAUUCCCAAAAAUACAUCCAUACUCUCUCUCAUUUACCGCUCAAAUCAAUAGAAUAAAAGAUAUAUUUAUAAUAGUAGCUAAAUCCUAAUAUAAUUAGAAAUAUAAAUCCACUAAAAUUAGAAAUAAUCAUAAUAAGAUUAGGCAUAAUUUAAACUAAACUUAAUGAAAUAACCAAAAUAGAAUAGGAUUAGGAACCUUGCAGUUUUAGAAUUCGACAAAUAUCUAACAAUAAUAAAAAAAAAAUACUGUAACACAAUACAAACCUUUAUGUGAAAAGCUACAAAAUACUGUACGUUUUCUCAAUUAUUUAGAAUUAAUUGAAAUUGAUGAUCAAGAAAAGCAAGAACUAUAUAGCUUUUACAAUCCUUUGGAAUAAGAAAAAAAAAGUACUCUGUUAAAAAAAAUGUUAAUGUACUUAUUUAGGCCCUUUGUUUACUAUAUCAAUCUUUUGAGAUAUAUGGAAUUAGAGCUAAUUCUAAAUCUCUUCCUUUUGUAAAUCAAGAUUCAAUCCCCACUUUUAAUAUUUAGGAAAUUAAAUUUUCAUCUACUAUAAAAUUUUGACUAAAAAACAAAUUAAGACCGACGGUACAAAACACAGUUGGCUAAGGGCUUGAUGAUGAUACCAAAGUCCCAAAUUUAAAGCCUAACUGAUUCAUCUACUAUAAAAUUUCGAUUAAAAAAUAAAUUAAGACCGACUGUCCAAAGCACAAUUGGCUGAUACCUAAAGUCCCAAGUUUAUAACCUAAUUGUUUCACUGUACUUACUAUCUUUCUCUCUCUCUCAAAAAAAAAAAAAAAAAAAAGAGAGAAAAACUAAACAACAUGACCGAAAAGAAGUGCUUUUAUUACGAUUAGAGAUGCUACCAGCUAGCCCUAGUGUGUUAAUUCUUAUGGACCAAAACGGUAAUGCUCAAGAUUUAGUACUUCUAUGAUAGUAUUACAUUAUAUAUAUGUACGCAAGUACUUACAACCAUAGCUUUCCGGACUCAACCUAUUUACAAACUUGGGAAGCCUAAAUGCCAGAUAUUCUAUCCAUAACUGCAAUAAAAUUUCCAUCAACUUGUACACUUGUUCUAUACAAAGAACAGCAAUUAUUGCCUCUUGUCAAUACAAGUACUCCUUUAAUAAGCUUCCAGGCACCAUCACCAAAAUGUGAGAUAUAACCUUCAUCACUCAAACAUCUCAAAGAAAUAAGUUAAGGCGAAGACACGGUACAUGUCAAACAUCUUCAAGAAUAAGUUUUACUCCUAUAUUGGUCUUGAUACAGAAACCCACUACAACAAAACUAUAACAAAAUUGAAUUUUAGUAGCGUUUAUUUUUUAAAUUCCCGGCAAUUAUAAUUGCCGCUAAAUAAUUUCGUGGCAAUUAUGACAAUUGUCACUAUUAGUAGGAUCGGUAAAAAUUAUAAUGGCAUUUGUUUCGGUGGUUGGUAAAAAUCUAAAUAAAUGCCGCUAAAUAUUAUACAAUAACAACCAUUAUAAAUGCCACUAUAAUUAAUUAUAAUUGUCACUAAAAACAUACUAAAUGAUUGAUAAAUAAAGCUUAUAGCGACAAUUACGAUUAAUAUUAAAAUACUUGAUCCACAACUAAAUACUCCAAUGAAUUAAAAUAUUAAAAAAUAGUAAUAAUCAAAAAGUAUUAAUAAUUUGUAUAACAAAUAGUUUUCACUCUCAAAUUACAAUCUUAAUGUUCAAAUUAAAUUUCGAAUAUNGUGUUUAGUGUCAUUUAAAAUUUGUUAUUUUUUGGUUAAAUUUUGAACAAGUAUUAAUAAUUUGUAUAACAAAUAGUUUUCACUCUCAAAUUACAAUCUUAAUGUUCAAAUUAAAUUUCGAAUAUGAGUUCUAACAAUAAAUACUUGUUCAAAAUUUAACCAAAAAAUAACAAAUUUUAAAUGACACUAAACACCUAUAAUAUCAAAAAAGUCCUAAAUUAUAAAUAUUUAAAAACUCAUUGCUCCACUUCGAAAGCUUAUCCAAAUCGAUGACAAGGCCCCAAAGAAUCUGUUUUCAAAAUAAUUUUUGCCAUUAGUACAAAUAAGCAAAAUAUAGAUGUAAAGGAAAUAAACUUAAAUAUCACUACAAUGCCAUGCUUUAAGUAGAACUAGUGUUAGGGCUGAUUCACUUGUGAGUAAAUGUGAGCUCUUAAUCCUUUUUUUGACUUGCAAAAGAAGCUGCUCCCCAAAGUGCUUAUCAAAAAAAUGCAAGACACAAAAGCUGGUUCGAUAUAACAGUAUCAUAGAUAUUAUUGUAGUAUAUAGUAAAUACACAAUUUGCUGUCCAUAGAGAAGGUCAAAUCUUCGUAUGAACCUAUUUGGUAACCACAAUAAGUCUAUUCAACAGAAAUAAAUUUAAUCAUUUGAAGUCUUUGAGGUUGUAAAUCUGCAGAGAUCUUACAGGAUGCUUAACAAAGCAUACAGAACCACUUGAUGACUAGUGAUUAGUUUAUAGGACAUAUAACUACCUCUACAUAAUGAAACUAAUCAACUAGUCAUCAAAUGGUUCUAUAAAUGGCUAAAAUUUAGCAAACAAGCGCUGUGCCGAGCUCCUAUCCAAAGAGGUUUGAGCAAUGGGAAGGCAUGCAAUGGAAGAAAAAAGAAUUAGCAAUUUGGCAAUUUGAAAAACAACCUAAGUGGUUAUUUACUUUGAUACUCAAGGACUAGAACAUUAGUAGAAAGAAGUAAAUCAAAAGUGGAAGACUCGAGUUUCAAAUUAGGAAGCUAUGUUCAGGUCUACAGAACAGAUCACUCUGAGUGAAAAAAAUUUCCCACUCUAAGUGAGGCCUAAAUACUACAUACAAUCAAGAGGAUAUAAUCCAAAAAAAAUUAUAAAGAUUGUAUUAUGCCAUUUUUCUUUCCUUCAUCCACAUUUUUAUCCAGACCGUCUCAGAAAAUAUGUAAAGCAGUCAAUAUUAUAAGUGUCCUGUGGCAAACUUGUUCUGUUAGGACAAUAAGAGUAAACAAAACUAACCUGUAAAUAUGGAAUAUAUUCAUUCUUUUUAAGCAUUAAAAAACCAUAUAAAAGGGUACAUGCUUAAGAAAACUGUCUAAAGCAAAAUCAGUUUGCAGUGCGAUAUAUUUGAUGACAAUGCGGUAACUAAACUACAGUAGUACCUGAAAACCUUGACAAGAAAUAUUAGUCCAUGGAUAAUCAGCUACUUGCACACCUUCAACAGAAACAUAAUAACCAUGUCCCUGGAUUAGAUUCAAGGUUCAAAGAUUAUUAAAAUAGUUUAUCUCCGCAACAAAAGAAAGAAAGCAAGAAACACUAGGUUCAUUCUAGAUCCAGGAAUACUGAUGAGAAUGGACCUAUUGAGAGUAGAUGUAUGAGAUCAAAUAUAUAAUAGAGCAGCACAGUUACUGAACAUUAUUGCAUUUAAGUAGAUUGCUUAUCUGGGAAAAUCUUUUACUUAUGAUUGACCUAAUCAUUGCAUUUAUACAUUUAUAGUGUCAUGGCUUAUGAAUAUGAAAUUCUCUUUUAAGAUUAGGAUAUUUUAAAAUGUGAAUAAUAAAACACUAUGAGGAAGAUUAUCUGUAAAGAAAAGUAAGAGAUUUAUCCCAAAAAGUACCCGACAUACCUUUAGACGGAAGAUAAAUGAUAAUUCAUCCGUAGCCAGAUGCUCCUACAUACACAUUAAGGUGCAUAAUUAUCAACAUCAUACCAAAACUGUAGGAAUGAUAUUAACAUAGAGUACAACAUUGAUAUAGCCAUCAUAUGCAAAAGAUUCCAAAAAAAAUUUCAGCAUGAAUGGCAUAGAUAUAGUGAGUCACCGUUUGCCCAAUUUGAGAGCUUCACCCAGGAAAUAAUCGGUUUAGUAACUUACUACUGAUAAAAACUCAAAAAGAAACUGAACGGUAAUCCGUUCAUCCUAUUGAAAUAUAAAACACUACGAUCUACAAAUCCCUUGUGAUUUCAGUAUGCCUGAAAAAAGUUAGCAAAAAUAAAAGGAAAAGAAAUACAUAUAGCAACAUCGACAUCUAAGCAACCUAAUGACUAAUUUUGAGUAAUACAAAAGGUAGCAUUAUGAUUUUCACUUUCCACCGCCAACUAUCGAAGAUUUCAUAAAUGCAUCUACGAAUGAUUUGGAAUCACUGGUUAGAUUUACCUUCAAGGGACCUGGAGGUAGCCCCAUCUCAGCCUCCAAAAUUGUUUGCAAAAUUGUGCGUUCGGUAAAUGCUCUAAGCUAAAUCUUCAGCAAGUGGAUAACUCUGAUAUGGAUGGAUUGCAAAUACCGAAAAUAUAAACACACACUGCUUAAACAAUUAUACGAAGAGAACACAUGCAAGUGUGAAAAUCUAACCAGCAAUGUUGCUCUCUCUUUACUCUCUCCCUUGGCUUGAUACUGUGAGACUUCGUCAGCAUCGGGCUUCAGCAAAUCUCUCUCACGCAAGCAGAAUAUAUCAGUCUGAAAUGAAGAAAGAAAAAGGAGUAAAAUGCCUGAUAAUUGCCUCUUAUGAAGCACAGAACAGUUUAAUUUUAAGAAGCAGGGAUCGUCAAAUUACCUGGAACUUGAAGCUCCUUAAGAUAGAGCUUGUUAGAUUCUCAUGAAUAUCAGGGCAAGGUUCAUUUAUGUGCUCCAAUCCCAGUCCUCUAAGAGGUAUCUUUCUUUUCUGAGCAACUACAUAUUCCCCAAGAAGUGCUUUACUAACCUGAUUUGAUGAGCCUAAAUUAUUAAGACUAUACUUUGGAUAAAGGAAAAAAUAUGAUUCAAUUGAAACCUAGAAGUACAAAAGUACCUGCUGCAGUAACACAUUUAUCGCCCUCGAAGGUGGACUGCACAUCAUAUUCACUUUUAAGAAUCCCUAUCCGAUUUUCUGUCUUAAGGCCUUGUCCACCACAGGCUUCACGGCACUCCUGAUGCAAAGAAAAAAUUUCUCAAAGUUGGAAAUAAUGAUCCAGGGCAUAGUUUUGGUUUGGGAAAAACUAUAACAGAGAAUACUUCUUUUUGCCCCUAGGUUAUCUAGCUAUCCAAGACAAUGAUCACAGGGACAAGCAGGCAUAAAGUGAGGGACAAGAAUAUAAGGGGACAGAAGAACUAAUUUUGACCACAUUUUUGCUGCAGUUGGCAGAGUAAAAAUAUGUGCAACCAAAAAGUAAAGAAGACAAAUGGAUAAGAUAUACAAGACCUGCAAUGUGCUCAUAUUUUGCCAGGUCAAUACGGCUUUGAGAGCACUAGAAUAAAUGUGUAUUGCUUUGUUCGACUCAUAUCUACAAUUGUCACUAAAUUUACAAAAGAAGAUUUCGUAAUUUCUAGCAACAAUUAGUAACCAGUGGUUCUUCCAAUCAAAAAGCUUGUAUAAGUACAGAGAUGUCUGAACUAUAGCAGGAAUAAACAACUAAAAGGAACUCUUAAAAGGCGUAAGCGAGCAAAAUCUAGAUAUUGAGGAAGUAUGAAUAUAUCACUAAGAAUUAGCAUGCGUACAAGAAAGGGACAUUGAACUCCUCAUUUAGUUGGCGUGGCCACACCUUCGACUGAACCUGUAAGGCGAAAGAAACCCAGAAGGAUCCCUAGCUGCCCACCCAAGCCUGCCAGCGCCGCACUCAGCAUCCAUUGCUGAAAUAUCUAGUCAGUAUCAGAGAGACCAUAGAAAUUAAAUGUCAAAUUCUGCUAAAAGUACCAACAAAUGCAGAAUUGUAAGUGUCAAAAACAAAGUCCCAAUCUCAAAAUCCAAUAAAAUAUUUGUUCCAUUUCAACAUCAAUUUUUGGAUGAAUACCAAAUUGGCAUUCACAAGCACACUCUGCCUACCUUUUGUUGAUGCGCCUUCACUGUCUCACGCAAUUUAUUGAUCUUCAUAUUGACCCUCAAUUGCUUCUCCUGGAAGUUGUACAAUUAUAAGACAUGUAUUAGUACUUAUAAGACAUGUAUUAGUACUUCAUUAGUACCCUCAUAGAAGUCCUAUAGUUUCAUAAAGAAUUAAGAUGGUAGAGUUUCUAACUGUUCACAAGCAAAAUAAACUCCAAACAUACAACAUGCCUUAACAUAGCUGACACCUAAGUCCUUUCUUGUGUACCCUCGUGCUAAAUUUCGCAUUACAUAUUGAUUGUAAUCCUUCAGAAUCCUCAUUAGGAUAUCCGAUGUUAGAAAAUUAGACAUAAUAAUAAUAAUAAUUAAAUCCCUUACAUAUUAGAAAAUUAGAAACGAAACACAAAAGUAAUACCCUGAUCCUGAAAUCGAAAAUAAAAGAAGAGGUAUUAAGAACAAAAAGCAGAGAACCAAAAGCUUUACCUGCUCCUCCAGAAAUUCACUUUCACUGUAGUCUGGACACUUUUCUGUAACCUGUUGAUCGAGAUAAUAAAUGGGAAUUAAAAAUUGAUCUUCGAUAAUGUUUUCCAAUACUCAUCAAAAGGGAUCACUUACACUGCAAUUUCAGAAGCUUCUCAUUUGUCAGUUUCUCAAGAGCUAAUGCCAACUCCAUUGCUGAACAAAUGAAAGAAAGUGUGUCAUAGCAAAUCAAAUUUGCAUCAGAUGCAGAAUGAUAUUGCUAGUGAGCACGCAUGAGCACAACCUUCUGAGUUGUUCAAUUUUAUUAUAUGAAAUCAUAAAUUAGUAAGGAAAGUAUGGCACUUGUUGGUGGGUAAUAUACCUUUGUAAUCUUAGGUUCCUUUCAAACAACCCAAUACAAUACAUUAAUAUAAGAAAGACACAAAGAAACUUCAGAUAUGGAUAUUUUACUCUUCUUUUUUUUUUCUAAAUUUGCAAGGCACUAUUAAGUCAAAGAGCCAAAUAAAGUUUAAUUGAUAGACACAUAGUCACACUCAACUUGCAUAAUCAUAGUGCGAUUGAUGCAACAAUUCUUUAUCUAAUACCAUUUUACAAAGUAGAUUCUUCGAUUCUUCCUCUUUCGUGGCACCUCUGUAAGCCAUAUAUUUCACAAAUAAUAGAAACGAUGUGGAUGUAAAUUAUUAAAUAAAUGCAUAGACACGCUACGCUAUUCAUGUAAACUUAUCAUGACAACAACAGAUGAGUAAAAUACAAUCUGACAAUUGAUCUACAAAUGGCUUGUUCCAUGCUAAAAAAAGUAACGCCGAAAAGAAGCUUACCAUACAAAGCAUCGCCUUUCUCAGCAUGAUCAAACUCACUAUGCACCCAGAGAUGCAACUUAUGUCAGCAUUGGAAAUUUAACAGCUAAUGCAGAACGGCUAAACUACUUCAAUAAUAGAGUCCACUUCUUCAAUAACAAUCCUGAAACAAUCAAAGACUAAACUUAAUGUUGACGAAAAACUUUCUAUAGUCUAGCACCUCAGAUAUGAAUCCAUGAUUAGCACAUGAACUUAUAUAAGUUGAUAAAUAAAUCCAAGUAAAAGCAAUUCCUAGUAAAGUAAACUAGAUGCUUGAUAAGUAUACUGUUAUCGAUCUAGUAGAAAACUUGCUAUUUAAUGAGUUUCUGCUGUUUGAUCUUACGAAAGGGCAUCAUGAGCCACAUAAUCAAUCUGAUGUUUGUCCAGGAACUCCUUUGUGAGGACCCAUGGAGCAUCAGGAAUAACCUCGUCGACCCACCUACAAUGAAUAAGGAAAACUUUUAACAGCAGGACAUUGAUAAAAACAGUUCAUGAUGCAUUAAUAAAUAUUUUAAAUACAUGCAAUUUAAUUAUAAUUUAACUAUUCAUGGUCAUUAUAAACAUAGAGGAAUUAAAUAAAAAAUGAGGCCAUUGAGUGUCGUUUUACCAAUGCAAUGUUCGAGUGAGAGGCAUCAUACCAAACAUUUACACAAAUAGAAUAACAAACAUGCAUACAAAGACUUGAUGACAAUCUAAUAGAGCUUAUGUCCCUGAAGAACUUAGCAAUCUAACAUAAAAGACGUAGUCCACACGUGGAAACGGCAAACCACAAAAUAGGAUAGACAUAAGAUAAUUGCAAGCUAAAAACACUUAGAGGUUUCAGUUUUGAUGAGGUCCCUUACAGCCACUGAAGUUGCUCGCUCUUCAAUUGAGGAUAGCGGAGUUGUUGCUAGUUCCGGUUCUUGCACUUCUCCACAGCUCUCGGAGCUACAUAUUAGCAUUAAGAGACGUUAAUGCUAAUAUGUUUGUUUUAUUUUUUCUUUGUUUUAUUUUUUCUUUUUUACUUGAAUGAUGGUUAAGAAAGGAGCCAUUGAUAACUUGUGAAGACAACAUGAUAGCCCUCAAAAAGGUAGAUUAGAGUGUGUAGUUUUACCAAUGCAAUGUUCUAGUGAGAGGAUGAGGAGAAAAAGAAAAAAAAAAAACCUGCAAAGAAGCAUCCCUGCAUUUUAGGCACUGGAAUUUUCAAAUUGAAGGCCGUUCGAUCUGGAGGUUUGUUCAUAUUUCUAUAUGCUGUUUGACUUAUCAGUUCAUCCAUACACAAAUUAAUGCUACUGAUAUUUGUUGUCCUUGAAAUCAUAUAUUUAGGCAUUACUAUAUAGCUUCAUUUUUGUUAAAAUUGCAUUCAGGUUAGCUGAAUGUAAUUGAUGGUUUGUUAUUUGGAUCUAUUUGACAAAUUGACAAUCUCAUAUUAGGUCAAAACUUGUUGGCCAAAACAUAUGGACUCCCCCAGGACUAGCUUUUGAACUUCAGCAUCUAUUUAAAAAAAAAAAAAAAAAAAAAAAAAAAACUUAAGAUCUCAUUGCUUGAUUGUAGAAAAUUGCGCCAGAACUUGAAAGCACUAAAAUCAUAAUCUCCUCUUUUCUCCCUAUAGAAUUAUAUAAUAUAUUUUUCUUUUCGCCUAAAAUAUAUACUUUCAUUUGCUCAAGUAGUGAACAACUAAUACCUAUUUAAAAAAUUAAGUGUAACCAAUCAGAGAAUGAAGAGUACUCAAGUAGCUAGUUUCACUAAUUAGAUGAUUUCACAAAGGAAUUCUCCAAUUGAGCUGUACAGCAGGAUUGUGAUAUCCCAAUUAAAUUUUCUAAGUAGCCAACUCAAAAAUUUACUGUUAAUUAAAAUAUUCUAAAAGCAAUCAAAGUAUGAAACUAAGUGUUGGAGGAGGCAAAAUUUAGAUCAAAAAAUUAAUUAAAUUAGAGGGGGUAAGAGGGGAAAGGAGGGAUGCGUACUUGAUGCGACGGAUCUCCUCGAGGAACUGGAGAUCGUAGACCUUGUCGGCGACGGCGAAGUGGACGACGCUGGCGCUGUGGUGGCGCUCGAUCGAGGUGGUCGACGGCGACGUUGCGCCGGUGCACACGCGGCAGAGAAGAUCGGGGCGAAUGCGAGGGCGAUUUGGGACUGCGAUCGGAGCUUGGAGAGGACGCGGAGGAAGAGGGAGGAGGAGAUGAGUAGAGGUGAAAGAGAGAGCGAGAGCUCGAGCUCACGCGGAGGGGAAGAGCUCGAGCUCGAAGAGGAGGGGGUGAGGGAGAGAAGGGGUCGACGCAGGGGAGGGAUGUGGGGGAGUGGGAUCGGGUUGGGUUCGGGUAGGGUGAGUGUGAGGGUUAGGGUUACGGUUAGGGUUAGGUUUGUAUUAGGGCUCAAAGUAAAUAUAUUUAAUAAUAUUAGUCGGUAAAGAUAUGUAGUUUAAAAUAAUUGCCGCUAUAAGUACAAUUAGAUAAUAAGUAAUAGUGGCCGUUCAAUAAUCGCCACUAUUAAAUUACCACUAAAAGGUAAUUUUGUUGUAGUGACCUCUCCUUCUCACAAUAUGAGAAGAUUCACGAUUACCUAUCUUCACUAAUCCAAAGUCUCUAGCUUUAUACAAGUGCUUAUGAGAAGUUCCGUGAAACAAUACCCAUAUCAAUGACCCCAAUCAACACUUAAAAAAGUAGAUCCAAUAUUAAUACAUUCAUAACUACAUAUACCCAAAAUAGCAACAUCAUUAUUAAGAGUACAAUAGCUCCUUCCUUUUCAUCUUCUUUGGACUUUGCUUCUUUCUUUAUCCUGUCCUCUUUUAUCUUUCUUAUAUGUCCAACAUACCUUUUUCAUAUGACCUUUCAUUUUGCAAUAGUAGUAUCUAAUAUCUUUUUUUAAUUUUGACUUGCUUCUUGAUUUGUAUCGAUCAACAUGGUCAUGGUCAUGGUCCUUUAACCUUCCCCGAUUCUCUAAAAUAAGAGCUUACAGUAUAGAUGCAUCGGAGACUUUUCUUCUUGUUUCUUCAUUCAACAAAAAAUUUAUAACAUAAUUCAUAGAGACAAUCUCAUUCAAUACCAAAUUACUAAGUACAACUACCCAAAUCUCCUAUGAGUCUAGCAGAGAGCUUAACAACAACAAUGCUUGAAGUUCAUACUCAAGCACCAUCUUCAUUGAAAUGAGUUGGUUCACUAUGCUUUGAACCUCAUUCAAUUGCUCCAACAUUGGAGUUCCACUCUUAUACUUUAAAUUCAAUAAUUUUCAAAUAAGAAAUGCUUUAUUUUCGAUGAUUUUUCUAGCUCAUAGAGUUUUUUCCACAAACACGGGGGCCUGGUUAGUUCACCGAAACUAAAGUUUGGGUUGAAGUAGACUUUGAAUUGAAGGUCAGGUAAAAACUACUUCCUCGUCGUUUGUUUUCAUAACUAUGAAAGUAAAAUUUAUUCAGCUCUGUUGCUUGUAUAGUAGGAAGUGAAUGAUAUAAACUGUAAUUUAUAUAUAAGUAAUAAAUAAAUAACUUAAUAAAUAAUAAGUUAUAAUUAUAAUAAAUAAAAAUAAUAUAAUUAUAUUCUGUUAAAUAUGUCUCGAAUUCUAGUACCGCAAAGUUUUCUAACCCUAUUCUGUUUUGAUUAUCCCAUUAAGUUUAAAUUAUGUCUAAUUUUAUUGAGAUAUUCCUAAUCUUAGUGGAUUUGUAUUCCUAGUUGUAUUAGGAUUUAGCCACUAUUAUAAAUAUACCCUUUAUUCCAUUGGUUUAGUGCGGAAGUUGAGAGAGAGAAUAUGGGUGUAUUUUUGGAAUUAGGGUUUUGUGAGAGAGGCAUAUUUUGUACACCACUUUAAUUAUUAUGAAGAUCUCUGCUCCGUCUUCCCCCGUGGACGUAGGCCGGUGGCCAAACCACGUAAAUAUUGUGUGCUUUAUUUUGCUUCUCUCUUUCUCAGAUCUCGUUCGGUAUUUUCGCACCCGACGAACUAGUAUCUUCUCGGUUUUAGUUCUAACAUAUUCCUAUAUAAUUAAAAAAAAAUUAAUCUAAAACAACUAAAUUUUUUUUUAUACAUAAAUUAUAAUAAUAUAACAACCAAAUUCUAAAGUAAAAAAAAUAUAUAAUACUUAACUAAUCAAUUUUUAUCAUAUUUUAAAUGUACAAACCAAAUGAAGGGAAUAGUAAAACUUAACUAAUCAAUUUUUUUCCUAUUUUAAGUAUGCAAACUAAAUUAAGAGUAAUUGCUACCUUACAUAUAACUAUGCAUUAUCCAUUUUAUUAUUUUAUUAUUUUUGCUUCACCUCUCUUCACCAUAAUUAUCCUGUUUCGGAUAACUUGAAUUUCGACCGAUAGCUUUAUUACGACGAGCCAAACAGUAUAAGUGAUUAUUUAUAGUUGAAAACAACUUUACCUCUCUCCACUUUUACUGAAACAAACAAGCUCUUUAGCAGACGUCUCAUUUAUUACCAAAUGAGUAACAUGUUGUUUGACGAAUAGUGGCCUUCGUUACUAAAUCUAAUUUCUUCCACUGUUUCUCGGACAUAUACUUCGACUUACUAUCCUCACAUGGUGUUUACUAAUCUUUACAAAAGAUCCUCCAUUUUUGUUUCCAAAUAGCCAACUAUAGUUCCAAUUGAGUGACACCAUUCUACUAGAGGUUCCCGACUCCAUAUUAAUCUAUGGGCAAACCCAAAUAUUUUGGCUCUGAGACCACUUGUUGGGAGAAGAAAGAGGCUUACAUUCUUCCACUAUGCAAGAUCAAAUGGAAGAGGCCUAAAAUAGAUUAAUUCAAAUAAUAUUACACUAUAAAGAGAGUAACAAUAAAGAAAAUAUAAACCAACUAAAAAAUUAAAUAUCAAAUUUAUGUGGAAACCCUAGAAAGGAAAAAAUUACAGGACUACCUCCGAACAAUCCAUCUAAUAUGAAAUGAAAUGAGUACAAUUUCUCUAAUCACUACUAAAGACAUGAAUUAUAGGAAUCAAAUCAAUUGCUCCAAAUAAAGAGAAAUAUCAAAAAGAUCUCACCACCAAUGUUGUUUGUAAAACAUCUUCCAAGAAAACCUUCCAAUAAGAUAAUCGGGUUCCUUUGGCUCCCCACAAAGCAGGCUUUAAAAAACCUUUCUAACAAGCCUAGCAAUAAUGGCCUUCAAUCAGUGUUUAAAAAAGCCCAAGGCGCACCUAGGCGCAAAGGGCUGUUGGAGCCUAGGCGCAAGGCGCAAGGCGCAGGCGCGCGCCCGAGAGAGGUCAUGUGCACAUUUUCAUAGAAUUUUGAAACAAGUAAAUAACCAAGAAGUGUCUUACUAUACUUUCUAAUAAUUAUUAAAUAGCACUAAAUAUACUCUAUAAAUCAUAUUAUCACAAUAAAUAUUCUAUAAUUACCCAAAUAAUCACGUUUCCAAAAGAAAAAAAAUUAGAAAAAGAAAACAAGCCAAGCAACAUAUAUGAUAAUUUUGAAAAAGAAAAUAACAUAGAUAAAAGUAAAGAACAAAUUAUCUUUUUUAUCUCCAAAUAAAGACCAGCAUAAAGGUAACUAUUAAUUCACAAACAUAUAAAAAAUUUUGAUGUGAAAAGCAUAUAAUUAUAAGCACAAGAUCAUAAAAAGUAAUAUGCAUAAAAAUUUAAAAUUUCAAGCCAAAAAUCAUUAAAAAAAACAUCAUGAUCAUGUGAAAGCAGUGAUUAAAAAAGCACAUUUUAAUAUAGAGGGAGAGGCGAGUUGAGGUGAAGAAGCAGAGAGGAAUAGCCAGAGCCAACCGGAGGUGAUGGACGAGCGGGAGAGAGGAUCUGUCCGAGCGGGGAGAGGGAGAGGGAGAGGGAGAGGGAGCGGACUCAGCGAGAGGAGAGGGAGCGAACUCGGCGGGAGAGAGAUGGAGCGGAUAGAUGUUUCGGUUUUAAAACUUUAGAUUAGAUUGGUUUUUGGUUUAUUUUACAUGUUUUAAGCCCAUUAGACCAAUAAAUAUAGGAUCCAAACCCAUUAAAGCAUAUAUUUUUAAAUCCAAACCCGGUAGAAUCAAAUAUAUAUUAGGCGCGCCUUUCUUGCGCCUUGCCCUAGGCGCACGCCUAGGCAAUGGUGCCAGCCUAGGGGCUGCCUAGGCGCUGGCCAUUGAGCCUUUUUUAAUCACUGCCUUCAAUAGCUUCUUCUUUACCCUUCUCUCCUUCUUUUUUUCUUUUGCAAGAGAAAAUAGAAAAUCUUUUUUCUAUCUUUCAUCUCCAAGCCCAUAACUCUUGGAGAUAUAUGAAUAACUGAGGAAAAUAAAUUCUUAUUGGCCUAACCAUUUAGGGCAUGAACCCAAAUGGCUCCAACAUAAUCCUUUAAAAUGAAUUCAACUAAAUAUGUGCACUUUUGUACAUUAACUCCCUCAUGAGAAGGGACACCACAACAAUAACUACAUAUAAAUCGCUAGUUGGCAACCAUAAGUAAACCACCGCUGAAACUACCACAACCAUGCAAAAUGAACCAUUGUCAAAACACAAUUAUUGAUGAAAUUCCGUCAACCACCGCCACCAAUGCCAUUAUAUAUCAUCUACUUAUUAACCAAUAAAGUGACUUCUCAGAAGCUCUCUUUUAAACCACACAUAAAAUCUAGCGAAACACAAAAAAUAUAUCAACUAAAAUCCUAUCUAAUUUUGUACGACAAUGCUAUAAAACUUCUAAACAAACAAAUGGUUGCAGUGUUAGUUGGUGUUAGUUCCAAACAAAAAUGUUAUUUACAGGCUAAUGAAUAGUUUGCAGUUAUCCAUCAAUCCCUUAGCAUUAUAGGAAGUUUAUUUCUAAAUGAAAUAAAUGAAGCGGGUAGCAUGCUACCUUUCUCUCAAAAAAAAAAAAAAAAAGAAAGCUAAAUCACGUGGGGCAAUUUAAAGUUUACCCCAAAAAAAUUUCUUGUAGUAGCUUUCAACUAAUAAGAUGUAACUUCUAAGAGAUGAUCAAAAUGAUACAAGAGACAGUGAGGAACAGAAUGGUUCCACAAAUAGGCUGGAUUAAUAGUAAAUAAAAAGGAAUACCAAACUUGCCUGUUUAAACAAGAUACUGUCAAGUUCCUCUAAAUUUGGAUAAAAGAACAAUUCAAGUUAUCCUACUCUAUUCUCCAACUAAGUGAUGUCUCUAAGUUGCUUGGUUUGGUCAAAAUAUCAAUUGAGAUGCAAAAACCUUGAGUGGAUAUGCUAUGUGUACCACAUGCAUAAGAGGAUGUUCCCAAGUACAAGCAUGCAUUAGAAACAAAAUAAGUACCCAACCUAUUAUGUUACUCGUAUUUGAACUGUGUACAAGUUAGUAACAGUUAAAAGAGGUAUAUUACUAGUUAGUUCAAUUUGCUUGAUUAGGUACAAAAUGUAACCUCGCGAAGGCAUUUAAGUUCUGUGAACAUAUAUAUAUUGAUGCAGUUCUUGUACAAAAAUGGUUUAUCUUCCAAAAGGCACUACCUAAGCUCUUUCUACAGAUACUUCAUGCACUGUCGAGCCAACUCACAUAGCUAGUGAUCUGAAAUGUCAACAACAGCAAAGUGUGAGUUUUCCACAAACACCCAAUUGGCAAGCAGUUUAUGCCAAAGGAAUUAAGCAAAACAAGAGCAAAGAUAGAGCAAACUAUAGAGAUCAACUUAAUUCUCUAUGAAGGAUAUAAUGCAAAACAAGUCGAAACAUAUUGAGAACUUGCAAUUAAGCAAAACAAUUUUAGCUCAAACAAUUAGAACAUCUAAUCAAUGAUCAAAGGAAUGGUAUUGAUUCAUUUGUAAUUUUUCUUUGAACAGAGCAGAAAAAAGGUGUCUCUAAGUAAUUAGUGGUAAAAUUUUGUCGUAAGAUUGAUAACCUAAAAAAGAGCAUCUAUGUGAUUAGAAAGGGACGCCUAAGAGGCGCCUUAGUGCUUAUGCGCUAAGCUUAGACACCUGUUUCUUGAGGCACCUCAGGCGAGGCUCCUCUUCUAGGCUCGUGCAUGGAGGGCCUAGGCCCACGCCUGAGCCCAAGACCUAGGCGCACAAGGGACAUGCCUCCAAGGAAUCUUGAUUUUUUUUUUCCUUUAAAAUUUUGGAUAUUUUUAAUAGAUUUAUGAAAAAUUUUAUCUUCUUCGUCACUGAAUUUGUGAGAGUUCAUUAUUUUGCCAUAAUAUAUAUGAAAAAUGCUCUAUUGUUUGAGCCCCCAUAUUUUCUUUACAUAUGCUAUCUUGUCCUCUUACAUAUGCUAUUUGGUUUCUUUUCAAUUUUUUUUUUUUUUUUCCAUCUUUCAUUUUCUAGUGUGGUAACAAAUCGUCUGUUGUGAUAAUUUGAUCGUACUUACUCUUAUCAUCAUUUAAUAAUUAUAACUAUGUCUUCAGAAGAGCACUGUAUUUAGCUCUAAAAAAUAUGAAAAUGUGUGCUCACCUCUCCCAGGCGCGUACCAGCACCUUGCGCCCAGGGACUAGGAGUGCUUCGCGCCUUUAUCAAUCUUGCGCUUUUUCGAACUAUGUAACUCAUCUACGCUUCAAAAAAUCAAUUAAUUAGUUUGAAAUAUCCUACCAGAUAUAUCCGAUACAAUACUCAAUUAGUUUGAAAAACUUCUACCACAUACAUUUAUUAAUGCAAUACUUAGAUGUAGCAUGCUAUCUCGUGUUACCUGUCAUGCUAGUUAUCUUCUUCAGGAGCUCCUUCAUAACCAAGGGGCAACUUAUUCUCAGGUGCUCAAACCCUCCUGUCUCUAUGACUGCAGCCAGCACUCUGGGAGCGGCGACAAAAUCGAGGCAGACGGCUUUCAGCCGACCGCAUUGGUGCUGCUCGGCUAAUGCCAAUGUGUUUGCCACCGUGUCGAUUUCCAUUUCCCGGCACAACUUGUCUUCGCAGAUUAACUUGAGCCUCUCCAAUCCAUAUCGAUCCGCAGCAACGAGAAGGUGCUGCGCCAUCGUGGUCGAGGACUCCUUGUCAAGCUUUUCCAUGUUCGAGGGCAGCGUAUCCGAGUAGAUGAAAUGAAGCAGAGCCUUGAAUACGGCGGCUUCCAUGUCGUCGAGCUUUAUGCGGCUCGCUCUCCCUUCCUUCAUACUACCAAAGAGUUCCGCCCUGAAGACGGGCGACCGCGCGGCGAGCACGCAUCGAUGCGCCGCGAAAGUCUCCCCGCCGACUUCAAAGGUCACGUCUGUGCCCUCUCCGCUCUCCAACAGCCGGCCGAGGUGCUGGGGCAAGUCGGAAGGCGGCGCCGCGUCUGCGUUGCCAACUUGUAAUCUCGGAGCUUUCGCGACGGUAACAGCGCAAUAGAUAGUAAAGCAGUCAUCUUUGAGAUACCGUGAUUUCUCGAGAUCAGCUCUCCGCAUGAAUCGAUCCCAACCCCAACUGGAAUUGUCUUUCGAAAAAGCGUACGCGUUGCUUAGGGCUUCCGAGGAUGCCCCAGUUUGGUCGAGCAAAUUUAUAGUGUAGUGUACCUGUACAUUAAUAUCAUCCACAUCACUUUGGAAUGUCAGAAAGAUGCCGAUGUAAUCGGACUUGUAAUUUCGGUCCCCAUCAGGAAAGCAUUCCAAAAUCCAGUCGUAGCCGCCGACAGUGAAAGGGGCAGACCGGAUGGACUUGCCGACGCCAAUCCCCUUCGCCAGAGAGUAGUCGGCGAUCUUGAAUAGGUGGGACCCGCUCGCCUUCUCCAUCAUCCACGUCGACGAGGAAGAAGCCAUGGAUGGAUGGUGGAGUCCACUCGACGAAAGAAACGAGGGUUUGCUCUCGUCCCUAGGGUUUAUUACAACAAAGAGUCGUAACUAGGUAAAUGGGGGGAUUUUUUUCGAAAAUAACUCCGUAAAAUUUCGUAUUUGCCAAAUUAAUCUUGUGAAACUUUUAUUUGUAAAACUAACCCUCCUCUCGCCACGUGGGAGCUACGUCAGGAAUUCCUCAAAAAAACGGUGAAUCGUUCACCAUCUUUGAUAUUUGUUGUGAAGGCGGUGAAUGAUUCACCGUCUUCAUAAGACGGUGAACCAUUCACCGUCUUUAGUACAAAUCCCUACUCUGCGCAAAUCUUUUCAAGUCCAUAAUAUGGUGUCCUUGAUAAGACGGUGAAUCGUUUCCCGUCUUCUCGAGGGCACCGAAACGACGGACUUGAGAGGGCGGAAAGGAAAAUUUUGCACUAAAGGCGGUGAAUGGUUUACCGCCUUCUAAAAGCGGUGAACCAUUCACCGCUUUUACAACAAAAAUUACAAAGACGGUGAACGAUUCACCGUCUUUUUGAGAAACCCCUGACGUGGCGCCCACGUGGCGAGAGGAGGGUUAGUUUCACAAAUAAAAAUUUCACAGGGUUAGUUUGGCAAAUACAAAAUUUUACAGGGUUAUUUUCGAAAAAAGCCCUAACUGGGGAUGUCCUUGGUUAUGGAUAUAUCUAAAAUAUUAUGGCGAUUCGAAUCCAGCAUAUUUAUGAGUGAAUUUAGCUUCAAUUGCCUAUAUUAAAAAAAUCUGGCUGAUUUAUCCUCAAUCCCAAUCGGAUCCAAAUUCGAAUUAAUUUUAUAAUAUAUAAUAGGCUAAAUUAUAGAAACUUUUUUUAUAAAGUAUUCAUUUUUUCAUUUUUUCUUUUUAAUUUUUAUAAUUUACAUUCAAAAUGCCCUCUAAAAAGACAAAAAUAAAUUUAAAAAAAUCUUCUUUAUAGAAAAGGUAAGGACAAUUUAAUUAUUUUGCUACCUUCAUUAACGUCGUACCAUCUAAAAAUAUUUCUGAAAUUUUAAAAAUGUAAAGUAUAGAUUUUUGAAAGUCAGGAAGGUCAAAUGAAUAAGUAGGUAUUUACAUAGAUAUUUUAUCUAAUUUAGCCUAGAGAGAGAGAGAGAGAGAGAGAGAGUUGAGCUAGAAUACUAUCGGUAGUAAACGAGUCGUUUUACUACCGAUUUGUUUUCGAUGAUAGAACUUCCAAAUUGACGAUCGGCUCUGUUGAACAUGAUCUAUACCACUUGAAGUGUUUAGAAAUCAAAUUUCAUAUCUUUUCGACAUCAUUUGCUUAAUGAUCAAAGGGUUGCAAAAUUUGUAAUUUUAAUGGUCGAUAAGAGGCGUUUUCUUGUUUAACAGUGUAAAGAUAUCUAAAUCAAUUAAAUUUUUGUUAGAAAAUUCUUUAAACUAUUUAAAACAAGAUCUAUACUCUUGAUCUUAUUACAAGAUCUCCUCAUCAUCAUUUUUUUUUACAAAGUAUUCAUUUUUAGCCAUUUUCAUUUUUCUGUUUCACUUGAUGGUCGACAAUAUCGAAAGUGCGUGAACAAUUUGAUUUCCUAGAUAGUUAAAUGGUUUAGAUCAUAUUUACCGGACCGAUCCGUCAAUUAUGGAAGCCUCUAUCAUCAGAAAACAAAUUCGGUAAUAAACGGCUCGGUUUACUACGAUAGUAUCUCUAGCUCAACUCCUAUAUACUAUUUGUCCGGCUAACUAUGCUAUCGAUAGCACGGAGUGUUCGUACGUACCAAGUUGUGUUUCGAUGAUGCGCUUCCAAAUCGAGUUGGCUCUGAUUAGACGAUUGAUCUACACUAUUGAAAGUAUUUGGAAAACUAAUUUUCAGAUUUUUUCGACCAUCCAUUUGACUAGCUGAAUCAAAGUCUCAAAAUGACAAUUUUAAUGGCCGCCUGUGGUGUGUGUGUGAGUUUAACGGUGUAAAACAAUCCAAAGUGCAGAUGAAAAUUUUAUGAAAAUACUUUUCACUAUUUAGAUAGAUCAGUAAUAUCGAUCUUGACAUUUAAUUUUUAUCAUCAUUUUUCACUGAGAUUUUCAUUUCAGCCGUUCAACUUUUAGACUACUUGUUGAUAGGUAAUGAUAUGGUAAUCUACUCCUCGAGAUCAUUUUCACACAUUAGAUUAUACUACUUACCAACACCCACCACUCAACCCUAGAGGGUCCACAUCAUCUAACGCAUAUCUUUAACUCCAAAUGGCUAAAAUUACAAGCACAAUAUUGAUACUUUUAAAGCAUAUGGAGUCAAUUAUAUAUAUAUAUAGUAUAUAGAGUCGGCUAUAGUGUUGUAAAAGUACCAAGCACUUUGCAUGCUUGUAAUUUUUUACCGAUAUAAGAAUUUGGCCUUGAUCAUUUUACCAUUAGAUUAUACUAUUCAACCAACCACCUACUCAACCCUAGGGGGCCCACAUCAACCUACUAACCGCACAUCCUUUAGUCCAAGGGCCGAAAACUUACAAGCACCAAUAUUGGUAUUUUAAAAGCAUGGAGCUCAUUCUCUCUCUGUCUCUCUCUCUCUCUGCUCCCUCCCUCUCUCUCUCUCUCCCUCUCUCUCCUCAUCAUCUCUCUAUAUAUAUAUAUAUAUAUAUAUAUAUAUAUAUAGGCCGUGGCUAUUAUGCUAUUAUGAGUAUUGGAGCCCUCAUACUCAUAAAUUGUUUUCGAUGAUGGAGCUUCCGAAUCAACGAUCCACUCCAUUAAAUAUGAUCUAGAGUAUUUGAAACUUAUAGAAAAUAAAUUUCGUAAAUUUUCGAAAUCAUAAUAAAGUCCAUCAAGCAUGCAUAAGAUGAACGGUCAAAAUCGAACGACGUCCUACAAAAGGAUGAUCGGAUCCUUCAAUUCAAGAUCAGAGUUAUUGAUCUUUAUCUAGGUAGUGAAUAAAAUUUUCUAUCAAAAAUUCAACAAACUCUGAUUCUUUUACACCGUUAAACUAGCAAGUAUCCCAUACUGGCCAUUAAAAAGUGUCAAAUUUGUGACCUCUUGAUCGUAAGGUAAAUGAUGUCGAAAAAUUAUAAAAUUUGAUUUUUAAAAGUUUUAAAUGUUGUAAAUAACGUUUAACGGUAUGGAUCGUCGAUUCGGAAACUCUAUCAUCGAAAAUGAUUUAUGCGUACGAGAGCGAUCGUACUCAUAAUAGUAUAGUAGCCGGACCCUAUAUAUAUAUAUAUAUAGAAUUAGGCUACUAUACUAUCUAUAGUACCGGAGCUCCGGUACUAUAGUCUUGUUUUCGAUCUUAGGGUAUUCAAAUUAACGAUCCACACCAUUAAAUAUGAUCUAGGGUAUAUGAAGUUCUUAGAAAUAAAAUUUUAGUUUUUUUCGACAUCGUUUACUUAGUAAAUAAAUUAUGUCAAAAUGGACGGUGGAAAUUGAAUAAUCUUUAAAAUUUGAGUAUAGGACUUUUAAAUUCAAAAUCAAGAAUGUUAACCUUAAUCUAAAUAGUUUAAAGUAUUUUCUAUCAAAAUUUGAAGAAAUUUAGAUUCUUCUACACCGUUAAACUCCAAACUCGCCAUAGUAGCUGUUACGCCCCGAGCCCGAUCCUUUUGGCCGGUUCAAGCGCGUCGAACAGACGUCGAACGGACAGAGCCUCCCCUGUCCGCCCAAGGCUCAACAACAAGUAUCAAUAGAGUAAAAUAUUGCACAUGCGGAAGCAAACACAAUGGCUUGCACGAGGGCAAGCAAUAGCCAAAAGUGAAAGUAAUAAACUAAGGAAAAUUAUUUACAUUUUUGCAUCAUUUCUUCUCUUUUACAUCACAUGAUAUCUCAAAAUAUAAGUCUUGCAUUGAAAUACAAAGUAUCUUAUACAUCAUUCAUUUAACAUGUUCAUAAUACUAAAGUCAUCGAAAUACAAAAGAUGAUAACUAAAGGGUAUGCAACUAAACCAAAAUGUGAAACCAACUCGAGUGGUCUCUAUUUAGGGCGCGAUGCCCUUACCGCGAUCGUCCGCCAGCUCGCUCGGUUCCGGCUAUGUGGAAAUAGCAGGGUGAGAACUACAACAAAGUUCCCAGUGGGUUCGGCAAUCGACCACGCCGACUUUCCCACUAGGUCUAAAUCAGGCAUAAUAGAAGAAAAGAGAUAUAGAUAGUAACCCAACAAUACAAAUGCAGCUAAUAUGCCUGAACAAUAUAUAAUGCAAUGCUCAAUAAUAUGCUCAUGAUGAAUGCAAGGUCACAAUCUCAUUGCUUAAUCUCUUGGCUAACCCGUAGGUUUCACCAUCAACAACUCACCAACUCAAAUCCCAAUAUCGGGGAGGCUACUACACCCGACGGGACAGUCCUCUGGGGAGGCUACUACACCCAGUGAUGAUAACUCCGGAGCACAUCGCCCGAGAGGGAGCUACCACCCUCGAGCAAGGACUUAAAUACAAGUAUGGUCCAGUCCUUAACUAUAAGGAUGUCAAGUUCAAUCCAUUCCUUAACUAUAAGGAAACAAUGUACAUAUAACCCUUAACUCUAAGGUUGUUAUGUCAUAAUGUCGCUAUCACACUUUUACUUGCAUUCUUUACUUUCACUAGUGUCAUAUACACUACUAUUUUCUUGUACUCAUGCCACACUUGUUUUCUAAUUGUUCCAACUCUAGCAUUCUCGACUCGUCGUUGUCACUUUCUAUUUCUAUGUCAAGAUGUCACAUUUGUUUACUAAGUCCACUAAGUUCUUGUUACUUGUCAUGCAUAAAUAGGGUUUAUAAAAUUCUCACAAUCUUGCUAGUAAUCCACAUGCAUUUGUACUCACAACAUGUAAUGAUAUGCUCACAUAUAAUCCUACUAUGCAAUUUUAUGCUCAAUACACAUAUGCUCAAAUAUGACACUUUAGACAUAAAAGAAAUUUCGAGGUCCUCGGAUUGCACCACCCACCUUAGAUGGUUGAGAGGAUGCUACGGUGAAUUUCUUGGGAUUUUUGAAGCUUUACUUUUUCGCCUGCGGCAAAACGAAGCCAAAUUAGGGUUUUUCUCAAUAACUCCAUCUAAACCUUUUCGUAACGUCAAACGGAGUUGUCCCACGGGUCGGGAAUACCCCUAAUUAGGUUUCUACAAGGUCAAUUUGCCUUAAAAACACUCGGAGGCAAAAGCCCCAAAUUGGGUGCCCUAAUGUCGUCAUUUGCAAAAUCCUAGGUUUUGAUCUCUAAAACAAGCAAAAGAGAGCUUGUCCCACAUCUAGAAGUUUAUCUAGAACGAUCUAAACCAAUUCUAGGGCUUAGAAUGUAAACCCUAAAAAUCCACCAUUAGAGCACAUGAAGAAAACUAGGGUUUUUAUGUGUUCUAAGCCAUUACUAGGUUUCUAUACUCAUUAGAAGAUCAAAACCUAGUUUUUCUAGGACAUAAACCCAAAACCUAACCUAGGUUUUCAUGAAAACCUUACCUUGGCCCAAAGCUCCCCAAGGUCCUUCUUGUUGGAGAGAUCCCAAGCCUCCAAAGCCUCCAAAUCCACCUUCAAUCCCUUCUCCAACUCCUUCUCUUUGGCUUUUGGGGGGAGUUCUAGAGAAAGAAAGAGAGAAAUGAGAGAGGAGGGAGUGGUUGCUGUUUAGAACAGGUGGGAGGGGUGUUGGGGUAUAUUACAUGUUGUAACAAUAGCCAAAAAGCCCUCCAAACACUUGUAUUUGCAGCAGUUUUCAUUUUGCUGUCAGACCCAAAGUGUACCGGUACACUGUAGCUGUCACCGGUAACACAGGCAAAAUUUCUCAAACCAGAGAGCUUUUCCUUCUCGGCCUGCAAUGCUGUACCGGUGACAACUCGAUGGUUGUACCGGUACACUUUGCUCCAGAAUGCAAUUUUGCACCGUUUUCGAUUCUAUUUCGGGCCGUUCGAUGCUAAAAUCUUUCUAACACCUCUUAAACUCAUUUUUAGCCCUUCCAAUAUUGUUGGAAUGCCAAUUGGAACUUAUCCAACUUUUUCUUUCACCUUGUUCACAUUUUAAAUUGCGCCGAACGAUGCUAAAACUUGCUUAACAUCCUCGGGACUCGACUUUGACCUUUCAACGUUGUUGGAAUGUCAACUGGAGUUCGUCCAUCUAUUUCUCUCGGCACUUUAACCAAUUUGGCUAAAGUUCGAUAAUCACUACUGAGGUUUCGAUACGUUACAGUAGCCAUUGAAAAUUGACAGUUUUGAAAUGGUUUGAUCAUAUAAAGUAAACUAUGUUGAAAAAAUAUAAAAUUUUAUUUCUAGAAACUUUAAAUACCCUAGAUCAGUUUUAACGGUGUGGAUCGUUGAUUUGAACACCCUAAGAUCGAAAACGAGACUAUAUAGAGUGUUAGUCUCCUAUACUAUCUAUAGUACCGGGGCUCCGGUACUAUAGUAUCGUUUUCGAUCUUAGGGUGUUCAAAUCAACGAUCCACACCGUUAAAACUGAUCUAGGGUAUUUAAAGUUUUUAGAAAUAAAAUUUUAUAUUUUUUCGACAUAGGUUACUUUAUGAUCAAUACCACCGGCAAAACGGUACUAUAGUUUCAAUGGCGAUCUAUAGCGAGUGUGCAAAUUAACGAUCCACACCGUAAAAAUCUAAAUUUCUUCAAAUUUUGAUAGAAAAUACUUUAAACUAUCUAGAUUAAGGUUAACAUUCUUGAUCUUGAAUUUAAAAGUCCUAUGUUCAAAUUUUAAAGAUUAUUCAAUUUUCACCGUCCAUUUUGACAUGAUUUAUUUACUAAGUAAACGAUGUCGAAAAAAACUAAAAUUUUAUUCCAAAGAAUUUCAUAUAAACUAGAUCAUAUUUAACGGUAUGAAUCAUUAAUUUGAAUACCCUAAGAUCGAAAACAAGACUAUAGUACCGGAGCUCCGGUACUAUAGAUAGUAUAGUAGCCUAAUUCUAUAUAUAUAUAUAUAUAGGGUCCGGCUACUAUACUAUUAUGAGUACGAUCGCUCUCGUACGCAUAAAUCAUUUUCGAUGAUAGAGUUUCCGAAUCGACGAUCCAUACCGUUAAACGUUAUUUACAACAUUUAAAACUUUUAAAAAUCAAAUUUUAUAAUUUUUCGACAUCAUUUACCUUACGAUCAAGAGGUCACAAAUUUGACACUUUUUAAUGGCCAGUAUGGGAUACUUGCUAGUUUAACGGUGUAAAAGAAUCAGAGUUUGUUGAAUUUUUGAUAGAAAAUUUUAUUCACUACCUAGAUAAAGAUCAAUAACUCUGAUCUUGAAUUGAAGGAUCCGAUCAUCCUUUUGUAGGACGUCGUUCGAUUUUGACCGUUCAUCUUAUGCAUGCUUGAUGGACUUUAUUAUGAUUUCGAAAAUUUACGAAAUUUAUUUUCUAUAAGUUUCAAAUACUCUAGAUCAUAUUUAAUGGAGUGGAUCGUUGAUUCGGAAGCUCCAUCAUCGAAAACAAUUUAUGAGUAUGAGGGCUCCAAUACUCAUAAUAGCAUAAUAGCCACGGCCUAUAUAUAUAUAUAUAUAUAUAUAUAUAUAUAUAUAUAUAUAUAUAUAGUCGAGAGAACAAGGGUAAGAAGAUGUCACCGAACGUGCACCACUGUACUGACUUCGGAUCGAAAUACCCACCUGUACGUAUACGGUACCGAUCUUCCAACUGCGGAUGAAGUAACAACCGGACCUACAAAAGGUCCACUGGGCUAGAAUCCAACCCACGAACGCAAAACACUAACUCACAAUCCCCACCAAUAAACCUACGGGAAUCGGUUUCCCUAAAACCGAUUGCCGAACUAGCCGGAAGUCCCAAAAAUAGCACCGGGACUCCGCCGGUACCCACGAACUGUCCCGAAACUCACCAACUCGUGCUACGAGUCACCCGCUGUAACUAAACACCAUUACUCUUGGGACUUGGCAGCAAACGCACCGCCUUACAUCGAANAUAUAUAUAUAUAUAUAUAUAUAUAUAUAGAGAGAGAGAGAGAGAGAGAGAGAUAGAGAGAGAGAGAGAGAGAUAGAGAGAGAGAGAGAGAGAGAGCAGGGCUGCUGUGCUCUCAGGAGCGUGGAGGCCUCAGUGCUCCUAAGCCGUUUUCGAUGAUGGAAUUUUCGAAUCGACGAUUGGCUCCGUUAGACUUGAUCUAGCGCAUUUGAAGUUUCUAGAAAAUAAUUUUUGCGAUUUUUUGAUAUCAUUUACCUAGUGAUCGAAAGGAUUCAAAAUCCAUAAUUUUUAAUGGUAGAUAUCUGCCGUUUUCAAGUUUAACGGUGUAGAAGUAUUCAAAUCAGAUGAAACUUUGAUACAAAAUUUUUUAUACUAUCUACAACAAGAUCAAUAUUUCUGAUCGAAAAUUUUAGUGCUAUAUCACCACUUUUCAUAGGAUUUUUAUUUUCAGCCGUUAAAAAUUAUUGAUUUUGAAUCAUUUCGAUUGCUAGGUAAAUGACAUCGAAAAAUCGCAAAAAUUAUUUUCUAGAAAUUUCAAAUACGCUAGAUCAAAUUUAACGGAGCCGAUCGUCGAUUCGGAAACUCCAUCAUCGAAAACGGCUCAGGAGCACGAAUGCCUCCGUGCUCCUGAGAGCACAGCAGGCCUACGAUAUAUAUAUANGAAGCCAACUUCUCACCGCGGCUUCUCCGAAAAAUCGAGUUACUAUUCACUUUAAGUGAAACUUGGAAAUCGCGUAGAAUUUCCGUUUUAACUCGUUUUCGCCCGAAACUUGACGAGUGCUUUUGUAAUUAAAUUACAUACAAAAACAUCGUCAACUGAGAGUUUAGCUACACUGCAAAAAUCUCAGUCCUUACAGUACAAAAGCACGUAACAAUUAUUUUAAUUUAUUUUAAAUCAAUAAAAAUUUGUAAAUCAUAUUUAUUCAAAAAUUUAGAAUAAAAUAUUUUAUAAUUUUAUAUGUUAUAUUUUAUUAAAAAAUAUGUACAAUAUCCUAUAUUAUUCUCUUUUUUAUAUACAUUAAAUAUUUUUAUAUGUUUUACGAUUACUAAAAAAUUUAAAAUUUAAGUAAGUGUUUUAAACUAAAAGCAUCAAAAUUUAAUCGACAUUUAUAUCAAAAUUUAAAAUUUAAUUUUGAUCCAUUAUAUAAUUAAAAUUUUUUAAUUGUUAAUUCAAUUUUGAUGUCAAAAAUCAAAAAAUAAAUUUAAUUCACGAUUUAAACUAAAAUUUAAAUUUUAAUGUAAGAUAGAUAGAUUGAUUUGAUAUCAAAAAUCUAAAAUUAAAUUUAAUUCACGAUUUAAACUCAAAUUUAAAUUUCAAUGUAAAAUAAAUAGAUAGAAGUGCUAUUUUUUAAUAGAUUGAUCAUAAUCGUUCACUUUUAUUUUAAAUAUUUUUAACAGAUUGAUUAUAACUUUUCGUAGAAUUGAAUUUAUAGAUGGAUAUAAAUAUUACUUUUUUUCAAAUUAAUUAUAACCGUUUGUUCUUAUUUGAGAUAAUUUUUUAUAAAUUGAUCAUAAAUUUAUACAUCAUAUUAAUUCAAAUAUAUGAUUUACAAAUUUAUCAACCAAUCAAUCUUUUAAAUUAUUUCCGAUGUAAUAUGUUGGUAGUCCUAAAUUUUAAAAUUUUAAAUUAAUUUUAAAUUUUGAAUUAAAAUAUAGAUUUAUAGUAGAUAUUCUGGCAAAAAUUUUGUAUAGUGUUCUAGAGCUUUGGAUAGGAUUGGCUUCAGUGUUAGUGACUGGUCGAUACAUCUGGAGAGUGUCGGACUGAGUCGGAGUCCUUUCUGCGCGAAAUGGGUGCAAAAAAUGGAUUCGGCGCACUCAAAUAAGCAAAACUGAAGUUUUGCCAGUUUAGAGCGCCCAGAACUUGGUUUAGGGCGCCUAGAUCUUGAGUACCGGUUUGAGCAAAACUGGAAGCCAAUUCGGAUCCUGUUCUCGGCGCCCAUAAGUGGAUCCGGAAGUUUACUUUGGAAAUAUCGAUUGUGUUGACACGUGGGGUGUUGUAGGUGAGAUCCGCCAGAACCAGAUAGCGGUGUAGCAGAUCGUCGGACGGAGGAACCGAGGCACUGUUUUGUGCAGGCUGGAAGUUCUGGGUGCCGAGAACUGGGUUUAGGGCGCCCAGAUCUUGAGUUUUUCUGCAAUAGUACAGGUUAGCAGCUAGAGUUCCUGGGGCUUAUUGGAUCAUUCUAACUCACUAUAAAUAGAUGGAACUCGACCCUUUCAGCUCUUUUCCUCCUUUCUUCACAGAGAAGCCACUUUUUGUAUCUUAGUCCGUCCAAUUACUCGAAAUUCCACCAUUUUCACCUUGAGGAUUUUAGUUCUAGCAGUUUUCCAGCAGCGACUGUCGGUGUUUCGGCUCGUGUGCAACGUAGGAAGCUCCGUUUUCCACAAAACUUGGUUUGUUGGAUUCAGGACUUCAAGAAGAAUCCGCGGAGCCCAAAUUGAUAGAAUUUGGUUAAGGUUAGCUUGGUCUAUUCUGUGUUUUACUGUGCUGCUAGUGUUUUUGGACUGAAUCGGUGAAUUUGUGGAUUUUCAUGAUGCAAGCUUUGGAGGCAGUGGGUUUUUGGACCUGAGUUUGAUACUCCAGUAUACUCCACUGGAUUUGGGAUCUACCUUCAUCGAAUUUGAGCCUUAGAAGAUAAUUUUGAUAUUGGAGUUGUCGGUUUAAGCUUAAGUGCUGAAAUUUGGGGUUAUUGAUGCAAUUUUUAUACUUUUGUGUUCAGAUUCUUGGAGGAAGUUGAGUUUGGACCAGAGGGUGAUAUUCUAUCUUGGUUUACUAGUUUGGGACUUUGCUACACCUAAUUUGGGAUGUGAAAGGUGAAGUUAGCAUUGUAUUUGAGGAAAAGUUAAGCUUAAGUGUUGAAUUUCGUAAGUUUGAUGGAAUUAUAAUAUUCUCGAUGUGUAGAGCCUUGGAGAAGUAUUGUUGCUGUUGCAGCGUGAUCUCGGCUGAACCUCCUGGUGUUUUCGAGAUCUUCUUGCUGCCGUGGAAUUGCUUUGAAGGUGGGUUUAUCAUCGGUUUUGCCUCCUAAGCAUAUGCAUAGUAGACAUGUAUAAUUUCGACUUUGAUAUAUCAUGUUUAGCUCGAGUUCAUUGAUUAGCAUAUUAAAUGAAAUCUGAAUUUGGAGCAUGCUGUAGUAAUUAGAUAAAUUAUACAUGUUGGACUUAGAAUUUGACUUAGGAGAAAACCAGCGAUUUGACCCGUCAUAUGCUUAUACUACCCGAUUUAGCUCUAGGAGUUGGGGUUGGUUUGUAUCACCGCAGUUUCAGCGCGGUGGAUACUCAGGGUAGUUUAGAAUGCAUUUACACUCGGGCGGGAUGCCGAGCUUGGAUAAUAUUCAACUGUAGGUUCUACACUGUCUUUUCUGUUCACUCCUUAAGCUUUUGUGCUUCGUAUCCACGCUGUUAGUGCGCAUUUGAUACUCAGAUAGCUUCUAAAGCUGUUGUGCUUCGUAUUCCUGCUGCUCGUGCACAUUGAAUACUAAGAUAGCUUCGGGAGUUGUCGCGGAUAGUAUCCACACUGUUGUGUGCAUUUGAUACGCUGAAAGCUUAGGAGCUAUAGUAGAUUUGUAUCACCGCAGUUUGUUGGCAGUAGAUUCCCGGGAUAGUGUAGAAUGAAGUUAUGCUCGUGCGGAGAUGCUGAGCUUAUUUUUACAGCAGUGUCUAGGCUAUUUCGGACUGUCGGGUGCCGUCGGGGUUGACGGUCCACCAGAUUGCAGGUUUGCAUCAGAUUGUGCCGAUGGCACGUGAGUUUUGGUUGUUAGACCAGUUGGACCAUGUUUACUCGAUUAUAGCCUGUGAGAGCCUGAUUGAGCUCGGUAGAGAUACGCUUGCAUACUCGGUUGGGUAGCGUCCACGAGUGCCACUCCGGAGUCGGGCUUUGUGCGUUUGCAUUGUGUAGUGUCCUAGUUGGACUUGCUCUCCACGGACUGAUUAGUGUGGAGGUAGCAUUUAGGAUUCGACAGGCGGGACGGGUGCGUUCAUAGUCCCUGGGACAGGUGUGUUCACAGUCCCUAUGAAUUUGGGUCUGAGGUUGCAUUACCCUACAGAUAGUAGUGUUGGAUCAUGAUAGGAUAGUGGCAUAUAGCUGUAGAUUUGUUCCAGCUUCCUUUUCUAUCACUGAGCAUAGAUCUGUAGACUUAGUAGGUGAGCCGAUGAGUUUGAGGGCGGUACUCACUGAGGACUAUUUCUUUUGCAGUAGUUCUCACGCCCAGUUGUUACCACUGUUUGUGCAGAGCCGUCGCCUUCGGCUGCUGCUGUUGCUGAUUUUGAUUGUGGCAAGGGCGUUGCGAGUUAGAGCCCUUCCAGACAAGUCGCAGAGCUAGAGGAGCACCAGCUACAGAUAGUUGUAGUUUCUGUGUCUUUACAUACAGUUGUUGUAUCUCGCCAGAGCGAGUAUUUGUAUAUCCUGGAUGACAUGUAUGUAUUGAACCACAGUUUUUAUAUAUGGUUUAUUUUCCUAGCUACUUUAUACUACUGUUUGUAGUAUUUUAUAAUUACAGGUACUUCUACUGUUUCGCUUCGUAUAUAGGGAAAAUUUCUAUGUAUACGGCGGGUCUGUUAGCGUGCCCGGGACAACGAGUUAUCUGAGGCGUGACAUUUUGAUAAGUAUAAUUUUUUCUAUUUUAGAGAUAAAAAAAUAAAUAAAUUUCGAAUUAAAAUAUAGAUUCAUAAUAAAUAUCUUUCUAUUGGCAAAAAUUUAGAUAAGUAUAUAUUUUUUUCUAUUUUACAGAUAAAGAAAAAUUAAAAAUUUGUUUCAUUAUGUUAUUUAUUUUACGUAAGGAAAGAGGAACCAAAUCUUUUUUUCCGCCAAAAAAUAUGUCUGUCGACAUACCAAAAUUUGAAAUACGUGCUUUUAUAUAUCGGUCUGUCAACAGACCCAAUUUUUGGCCAAAAAAAUUUUUUUUUUUCUUUCUUUACGUAAAAUAAAUAACAGAAUUAAACAAACUUUUAAUUCCUCUUUGUUUCUACAACAGAAAAAAAAAAAUUUAUGCUUAUCCAAAUUUUUGCCAACCGGAGACUAUCAACUAUGAAUCUAUACUUUAAUUCUUCUUUCUCUAUAUAUAAUAUAAUAUCUACACUAUCUAUAGUAUAGAAGAUAGUAUAAAUAUUAUAUCCAUACAAAUAAAUUAAUUGACAGUUUGUAGGGUAUACUGGUAGCGUUUCCUGCUUCCAGAUAUAGAAAUUGACAGUUUCCAGAUGUGGCUCUUUCGCUUCUCUCUAUCUCUCUCUUCUCCUAUGCCCAUUCUCUCUCUUUCCCCUCUCUCCUGUACGCCUCUUCUGAGGCCUCUCUCUACGCCCUCUGUUACCCCUCUCGCCUUCUCCAUCAUCCACGUCGACGAGUAAGAAGCCAUGGAUGGAUGGUGGAGUCCACUCGACGAAAGAAACGAGGAUUUGCUCUCGUCCCUAGGGUUUAUUACAACAAAGAGUCGUAACUAGGGAUGUCCUUGGUUAUGGAUAUAUCUAAAAUAUUAUGUCGCCGAUUUGAAUCCAGCAGAUUUAUAAGUGAAUUUAGCUUCAAUUGCCUAUAUUAAAAAAAUCUGGCUGAUUUAGGUUUGAAUAGGAAUUUUGUCUGUCUUCAAUCCCAAUCGGAUCCAAAUUCGAAUUGAUUUUACAAUAUAUAAUAGGCUAAAUUAUAGAAAUUUUUUUUUUAUGAAGUAUUCGUUUUUUCACUUUUCCUCUUCAAUUUUUAUAAUUUAUAUUCAAAAUGCCCUCUAAAAGGACAAAAAUAAAUUUUUUAAAAAAUCUUCCUUAUAGUAAAGGUAAGGACAAUUUAGUUAUUUUGCUAUCUUCAUUAACGUCGUACUAUCUAAAAAUAUUUCUGAAAUUUUAAGAACGUAAAAUAUAGAUUUUUGAAAGUCAGGAAGGUCAAAUGAAUAAGUAGGUAUUUACCUCUUUAUCAAUUCGACCGCAGAUACGAUGAGCUCGUCCAUUGGGUGGUUUCUAUUGUGACGUUUCUUCCCAAUCGCUCUCUCUCCUCUACUUCGAUGUCUCUCUCGAUCACCCGCCAGUCGCCUCGGCCGCGUGUGGGAUGAGCCCGUCGAUUGGGCAGUUCCUCCUGGGCCUAAACCUAACCUGUUUCUAUGGUUUUGGUUGGUUGUUUACAAAUCAAUUGAGAUCUCCCUAACUCUCUCUAUCUUCUUCGCCCUUAGACCUCUCAUGCCUUCUUGAUGAGUGCCCUACCCUCCUACCUCGAGACCUCUUUGGAACGCUUCGUCGCUCUAUUUGACAGCAGAUGCGAUGAGCCCAUCCAUUGGGCGGUUUCCAUUGUGACGGUUUUUCCUAAUCACUCUCUUUCCCCUACUUUGAUGCCUCUCUCGAUCGCUCUGCUGGUCGCCUCGGACGUGUGUAGGAUGAGCCAGUCGAUUGGGCGGUUGCUCCUCGGCCUAACCUUAGCCUAUUUUUUUUUUAUGAUUUUGGUGAUCUGGUGAGAUUUUCAAAAGAUUUUUACAGAUCUGGUGAGAUUGUCAAAUGUUGCUCACACAGAUCCUAUAACUAGCCUACUCUGUCCAUUGGAUGGUUGCUCUGGGCUAAUCCUACCAUAUUCCUAUGAUUUUGGUGGGUUAUUUACAAAUCUAUUUAGAGUUCCCAAAGAUUUUUUACUGUUAUUUAAAAAUAUCUUGCUUUUAUUUUAUUUCUUUAGUUCUGAGAGUAUCUUUACAAAUUUUUUCCUGAGUUUCAAAAGAUUACUCAUGAAGGAUCUUCUAAUUCCCGAUAAACCCUAUAGCCCCUAUCCCUAUUGUUAGCCCUGUUGCCUUCCCUCUUUGCUUCUGUGAUAGUCGAAAGCUUCUCCCAGAUUUAUUAUAAAUAACUCCCUUUAUUAAUUGCUGCAUGGCACAUUGUUCUUCUCAAACCAAGAAAGGUAUAUUCCUCCAUUCAAAUCUUCUCAUUAAUAAUGUUAACUAUGACUGAGUGAUUUUACUAACCAUUGUACUAUUGUGUAGGUCCCCACAUUACUCUCCUGUUUACUGUCUACUCACAAAAGGUUGAUCUUCUUUGGUUCCUUCUACUGCACUUUUUAUUACCCUGCAGUUUAAAGGUUGGCAGAGAAAAAUUAAAGUACUAAAGUAUUCGCCCAUGUCUAUAAGAUUCCCUUAUAGGCUAGUUAUGAUUUUUUUUACUGAUUUCUAUUCAUUCUACUAAUUGAAAUCUAAGCCGGCGCGGACUUCACUUUAUAGGCCACAUUUACUGAUCUUUAAUGGUUCUUGGUGUUUGUUUGUUUGUUUUUUUUUUUUCUAACUGUGCUAUGUGAUUACUUUGUUCUUUCUUCCUGUCUUCCUUAGCAUGCCUCCUUACCCGUGUGUGUUCUUUGGCUUUACUCUCUUCCCCCUUUUUCGACUGAUGUUUUAUUUUCGCCGGUCUUCUAGGUAAUGAUGAUAGGCAAGCAGUAAACAGCAAGCUUGGAUGGCCUUAUCAUAGGGAACCACUUACUAAUAUUAAAUUGAUUGGCUACAAACAGAGGUUGCAAAAUAUUGCAUAGUAAGUUUGGAUGGCUUUAUCAUAGGUAACCACUUUUUAUUUUAAAAUUGAUUGGUACGAGAUACUUGUUUCCAUGAAUGAUCAAUCCUCUUGCAUGCCUCUUUUCAUGGCAUAAGACAAUGAUGAUAAGGAAACAAAUAAUUGCAAAAUAUUGAAUAUCAAGUUUGGAUGGCCUUAUCAUAGGCAACCAAUUACUAUUUAAAAAUUAAUUGGUACGAGGUACUUCUUUCCAUGAAUAAUCAAUUCUUUUGCAUGUCUCUUUUCAUGGCAUAAGACAAUGAUGAUAAGCAAGCAGAAACAAAUAAAGGAUGCAAAAUUUUGGACCAUCUUUUCGUAGGCAACCACUUGCUGUUGUUAAAUUCAUCAAUCUUGUUGUGUUCCUUCUUCCAUGGCAUAAAUUAGUUGCAUAUAUUACCUGAGCUUAAUUUGAAGAUUACUCGCGCAUGCCAUUACUUUGAAAAUUUUUUCGUAUUUUUAAAUAUUUAUUAAUAUUAAUUUUGGUUUCUUUUACUACUAAUGUCUUCAUUUCGGGUAUCUAUUAAUAUUAUUUUUUGUUUUUCUUUAUUACUAUUGUCUUCAUUUUGGAUAUUUGUUUCUCCUGGCAUGUUGUUUUAUUCUUUUAUUAGUACACUUUUAAUGACUUCUCCUUUUACACCCCCCCCCCUUUUUUUCUUUUUUCUCUUUUGCAGCUUCUUCUAUGUCGACCGUCCAACUUUCUAACCUUACAUUGUUGCGUGAGAUUUGCGAUCAGCUGCAAAUGGAAACACCAUAGUGUGUUGUCACUCCGGCCGCAGAAGGGACUUACCUCGCAUAAAUAGAUGGUCUGAUUCUGCGGAAUGAAUCUAUAGUUGAUGUCACACCCCGAGCCCGAUCCUUUUGGCCGGUUCGAGAGCGUCAAACAGACGCCGAACGGACAGAGCCUCCCCUGUCCGCCCAAGGCUCAACAACAGGUACUGACAGAGUAUAAAGUUUGCAUAAGCGGAAGCAUACACAACGGCUUGUACGAGGACAAGCAAUAGCCAAAGUGAAAGUACUAAACUAACAACAACAAGUAAUAUGAUUAAUUUUAAAUCACAUACAUGUAUACUACUUAUCAAGUUCUAUUACAGCUCUUUCAUCAUUUCUUUUUACAUCUCAUAUCUCCAAAAUAUAACAUUGAUAUUAAAUAAAUUCUUUUACAUCAUUCAUAUCCUUUCAUUUAACAACUAUAAUCAUCGAAAUACAAAAGAUGAUAUAUCAAAAGGGUAUACAACUAUGAAAUAAAACGUCUCGGGCGGUCUCUACCUCCGGCGCGAUGCCCUUACCGCGGUCGUCUGCCGGCUCGCUCGGUCCCGGCUCUGUGGAAAUAGGGGUGUGAGAACUACAACAAAGUUCCCAGUGGGUUCGGCAACCAACCACGCCGACUAUCCCACUAGGUCUAAUCGGGCAUAAUAGAAUAGAGGAAGGAAAGUAACCAACUAACAAAUGCAACUAAUAUGCCUGAACAAUAUAAAAUAUGAUGCUCGAUAUAAUGCUCAUGAUGAAUGCAGGAUCAUAAUUUCUUUAUCCAAUCUCUUGGCUAACCCGCAGGUUUCGUCCUCAACAAACUCACCAACCCAAAAUCCUAUUAACCAGGGAGAUACCCGCUACAACCCGAUAGGACCGUCCUCUGGGGAGAUACCCGCUACAACCCAGUGAUGUCGACUCCGAAGCACAUCGCCCGAGGGGGAGCUACCACCCUCGAGCAAGGACUAAAGGUGAGUAUGAUCAAUCCUACAUUGAGGAUUCCAAGUUCAAUCCAUUCCUUAACUUUACGAAAGACCAUGCUCAAAUGACCUUUAACUCUAAGGUUGAAAUGUCACAAUAUCUCAAUCAUUCUUUUCUUUGCAUUCUUUACCAUCACUUGUGUCAUAUACACUACUAUAUUCUUGGACUCAUGCCACACUUGUUUUCUAAGUGUUAUGUUCUUGACUCAUGCCACACUUGUUUUCUAAGUUUUCGAGACUCAUCAAUGUCACUCACUAGAUCUAUGUCCAUGUGUCACUUUUGCUCACUAACCCUUCUAGGUUCUUGUCACUUGUCGUGCAUAAAUAGGGUUUACAAUUCUCACAUUCUUACUAGUAUUUCAUAUGAAAUUAAAUUCACAAUCAUGCCAUAAAAGCUCACAAUUAACCCUACUAUCCAACAUACUCAAUAUAAAUAUAUAUGUUCAAACAUGACACUUUAGACAUAAAGGAAUUUUCGAGGUCCUUGGAAUGCACCAUCCAUCUCGAGUGGUCGUGUAGGUGUAGAAUACGACGACUCUCGAACUUUACGAAAGCCGACCCCGCGCCCUAUAACCAAAAUAGUGCCAUAUUAGGCCUUUUGUACAUGAACCAUUACUUAAACAUUUUCGUAACGUCGAACAGAGUUGUCCAACGCGUCGAGGACACCCCCAAUUAGGUUUCUACGAGGUCAAUUUGCCCCCGAAAAAUUCUAAGGCAAAAGCCCCAAAUUUGAGCCCUAACAAUGUCAUCUAGGGCUUCCACCUAGAUCGAUUUUGUUGUUAAGCAAAGGAUAGCUUAGAAUCACUUGAAAAGCUCUCUAAUAAGAUUUCUAAGCUCUUGGAACCAACCCUAGGGCAUCUAACUCAACCCCCAAGGGUUCACCAUGAGAGCACCUUGAGCUCUCAUGGGUGUCAUGUUGUUCAUGGCUCCAAAGAGCUUCUAAAACCUCUAAGGAGCACAAAGCUCCAAAUCCUUAGGUCAAAACUCAAACCCUAGAGGAAACCUUAUAGGAACUUACCUCUAGUCCAAGUCCUAGCAAGCUCCUUCUUGUUGGAGAGCUUCUAGACCCACCAAAUCCACCAAAAAUUCUCCUCCAAGCCUUUCCUUCUUCUUCUCCAAGCUCUAGGGUUAGCUCUCUAGAGAGAGAAAAGAGAGAAAGUGAGAGAGAGAUGUGUGAAUGGCUAUAAAGGGAGAGGGGGUUGGGUGUAUAAUGUGUUGUAACAAUUACAACGAGGCCCCUCUACUUUAUUUCCAGUGCACUGCACAGACUGGGCAUUUUUUGCAGUUAGGGACCGGUCUCCUCGACCUGGGACCGGUCCCCGAGAUCUUCUCCCGCGGACUGCGCAGGCUGCGCGCGAUGCAACCGGUCUCCCUCAAUGGGACCGGUCUCUCCUCGCAAGGACCAGUUCUCGAGAGCUGGUUUUCCAGGACUUAGCCGAUUUCUCAGCCUUCUUGCUGCCUACGCAUUCGGGGACCGGUCUCUCCUACCAGGGUCCGGUCCCCGAGAGCACAAAACCUGCAGUUUGCAUAUUUUGAUUUCCAAAGCUCUCGAAGAUCCCCUGUAAUGCAUUUUUGUAUUAUUUGACGCCUUCGACCUCUCCGAAGUGUACCAACCUCGCACUUUGGUCAAUUUGACCAAGGUUCGAACUUAAUUACCGAGGUUUCGGUAUGUUACAGUUGAGAUGGUAUGAUGUUGGGGGGCGCAAUCCUCCACAUCUGCUCCGUCUGAACAAGAUGCUGCUUGCCUUGUUAUUAAGAGAAUGGUUGAAGAAUUUGAUUUGCAAGUUAGAGAUGUAAAUUACGAUAACAGUAUCUUUUAUAAAAAUCUAUAUAAUCAUCUAGCCACAGAGCAUGCUGUGCUAUUUGCACACUACAACAGCUUGGUUCAAGAGUAUAACUUUGUGAAGAAUUGCUAUGUCACUACGCUUGCAAAGAUAAAUGAGUUCGUGACCGAGUGGGUCCAGAUAAGCCAUGCCAUUGAAGAGUGCCUUGGUGUAAUUAACCGCCUAAUUCAUGUGCCACCUAUUACAUAAACUGAUGCAUCGGAUAAUACAUCCACUCCCCUGGGUUAAUUGGGGUUCAAAGGAAAAGUGACAUGUUCUGCUGCUCCUCAUUUUGUAGUUGAUCAUGCAUGCGCACAUGAUCUUUUUAUUGUGCUUUCCAAAACUGACAUGUUUUGCUUCUCCUCCUUUUGUAUCUAAUCAUGCAUGUGCACAUGAUCUUUUUGUUGUACUUUUGAAAACUAUGCACCGUUAUGUCACCGUUAGAUUUUCUAUAUUUUGUUAUGUUUGUGGCUUUUAGAUUUUCUAUAUUCUAUUAUGUUUUCAAUAUCACACUUCUUCCUUUUGUUUCUAAGUUAUGUGUUAGUGCCUUCUCCAAAACCUUGGUUCAAUAUAAAUUUGAGGUUUGUGUGGCCAUUGAUAGUAUGCAACCUGUUUCCUUGCAUGGAGGUUUUUUCUCACUGACAUUUUUGUGGUCUUUUGCUGCACACUUAUUUUGUUUCUAUAACUCUGCCUUACAAUGUUGUGGUUUCUGGGCUAUGCUGUUGCCGAAAGAAAAAUAAACAUAUUUUCCAUGCUGAAAAAAACUCAACUCAAUUUUUUCUUGCUCUUCUUCUGUCUUUUAACCUUGGUUUUAUUCUGCUGAAGUUUACAUACGGAUAGUUUUGUUUGGGUUUGGAAUUUGCCGUUUGACUUGGAGUUCUAGAGAUAUCAAGCUCGCAUUGUUGUAGAUAAUCUCUGUGGAUUUGACCAUUUUGUGGCUAACUUAUUGGCAUGUGUUUCUUUAUGUUCAUUUUGGUAAUUAUGUGGAUUUAAACUUGAAAAUAAGUAUGGUUCCCAGAGUAAAGACCAAAUAAAUGGAGUAUUCUGAGGCAAUGGUGCAUUUUGUUUACAAGAAUCAGGAAAGUUAAUCAAAGAAGUAUGGCUAUGGCAAUGGGACUUGAAUAUAAGUUGAUUGUUGCAAUGGAACUUGAAUUGUUGACCAGUUAAUUCCAGUUCACUUGCACAUUUCAAUUAAUUCAGCAUGCAAGUGGAUUGGGACUUGAAUUGUUGAUCAGUUAAUUCCAGUUGCAAUAGGACUUGAUUGUUGCAAUGGAACUAGAAUUGUUGCAAUGGGACUUGAAUCCUAUUAAGGACAAUGGGACUUGAAUUUGAUUUUGCAGUAAUGUUUGAAGUAGCUAUCUUCCAGUGGCAUGUGACCUAAAGAUGUAGAUGAAUUGAACGCUGAAUUAUAAACAUUUGAAGUGCAGUUUUAGUUUAUUAUUGCUUAUUGCUUAUUUGAUUUUGCAGUACUGUUUGAACUUAUAUUUGCUUUUACUAAACUAUUUGAGGUUAUCCUUGCUUUUUGCUAAUAUUCUAAGACUGCAUAACAUAGUUUAUAUAGACAUUAAUGUUUGCAUAAUAGCUUCUAAAUAAUGUAAUUGAUGAAUUCUUUGCUAGAAAAAACUCGAAGCUAUAUAGAUUAUGUUUAUGUAAUUGAUGAAUGCUUAUAUUGCUUUGUUCUUUUUACACUUCCCCUAUGUCUACUUUUUUCCAUCUCAACUGAAACUGCCAAAUUUUUUCUUGCUUUUCUUAUGUUCUUGCUUUUCUCCUGUCUUUUAACCUUGGUUUUAUUCUGCUGAAUUUUACAUACGUUGUCGAAUUUGGGAUUCCCAAAUGGUUGGCUUCUCCCAAUGUAAUGAUAUGUUAUAUGAUUCUUUUAUACAUUUCCUUUUAAUUGCUCUUUUUUUAUGUAAUAACUGAGAUUUUGAUUUAUUGAUUAAACCCUUUUGUUUGAUGAUGUUCUUGUGUGUAAUAUAAUUAUAAGUGUACCCGUCAAAUUUCAGGAGAAAACGAGUUAAAACGGAGAAGUUACGCGACCCGGAAGUCUGACUUAAGUGAAUAGUAACUCNGUGGUAGCUUCUAUAAAAGAUAAAAGUUUUCGCGUACGAAACAGUUUUCAAAAGAUUUUUCGUGGACUUCUGUUUAAACAUCAAAUGUAAAUUUACGGUGUGAAUGGUGAAUGUAUGAAUGUAUAGCUAUCUGUAUAUUCAUUUGAUUGUGGUUGUAUACUGUUUGUACUUUUGUACUUGUGUGACGCCGUGCAAGUACAGGGGAGACUCUGUCCGUGUGAACAGUGGAUUCCCUGUAUUUGUGGCGGAUCUGGCAUACUCUGGGGUCAGGUUUUCAAAAAAAAAAAUUCAAACGCUUUUCCGCUGUGUUUCAAACAAAAAGGGGACCCCGGGGCGUGACAUUUUAUGACUGCUUUGGUCCUACUACUCUUUGGUAUGAGGCGAUGAUGAUAUGGAUAAUUACUGUAUGUUAGCUUCUUCCCUGGGUUUGUGGUCACUUGCAUAGCCCCUUUAAUGGCAGGUGAUGAUGAUACAAGCAAUUCCCAGAUAUUACUUCUUUGCUGAAUUUCUAUGUAAUGGCAUAGCAGGAUUAAUGGCGCACUGGCCAAUCCCUCCAGCUUAUGUAUAGGCCUUCCGCCCUUCUCUGCAGGAUUUCUACUUAAUGGCAUGAUAGGAUGAAUGGCCCUCUGGGCAAUCCCUACAGCCUAUGUAUAGACCAACCGAAUCUGGGGGCCUACAAAUACUUUUGCUAAGUUCUGAUCCAUUCCAAGCCUUCGUUGUCACGCCCCGGAUUAUCACGUUUUUCCGGGCUCGCCAACAGACCCGUCGUACACAUAGAAAUUUUUCGUGUAUACGAAACGAUAGCUGUACCUGCAAACAGAUAAUAGCUACUACAAGAAGUACCGAGCUACUAAAACUAAAACAUGUAUAUAUAAAUAAGAAGGCCCACUAUACAAACAAGUUCUAAAAUACAACCAUCUCUCAGAGAGUAAACAAAAUACAACUAUAUAUACAUGGCGACAUCCCAAAACUAUCCCUGGUAAGGGAACUCCUCUAGUAAAGUGACCGAAAAAGAUAGAGAUCUAGCUCGCGAUUCUCUUACCUCGAUCAGAACGAACGGCUCUACAAAAAGGUGGCAACAAUAGGUGUGAGAACUAUUGCAAAACAGAGUUGUCCUCAGUGGGUACCGUUACCGACCCUAACGGGCUACCCACUAAGUCUACAAUAUGAGAAAUAAACUGAUAGGUAAUAGGAUAGUAAAAUAAGCUGAAAAAACUCUACAGCUAAAUGCCACUAUACUAUCGCUAUCCAUACCAUACUCUUUGUAAACAUAUAAUGCAUCACUAGCUACAAAUCAGCCACAACUGACCCAAUCUCAAAGGACCGCCAACUAGCUAGUCCAGCCUGAGCCUAAUCUAUACCGCACACCACCCACAGGGGUGGCCAGUCUAAGAAAACUAUCCGAACAGGACUGGUGCGACCUCAAUGCAAAAAAAGCCUCACUCCAGAGUGGCACUCGUGGGUGCAACCGAAUCGAGUAUGCAAUCGUGUCUCUGUCGAGCUCAAUCAGGUUCACACAGGCUAUAGUCAAUACAAAUGGGUCAAACUGGUCUAACAACCAAGACUCACGUGCACUUGGCACAAUCUGAUACAAGAUAUAAGAAUCUGGGUCCACCGUCAGCUUCAACGGCACCUAACAGUACAAAAUAGCCUAACUCUGCUGUAAAAACGAGCUCGGCCCCUUAGCGAGUGUAAUCUCAACCUACACUAGUCUAAGUAUUCACGACACACUAACAAUGGUGAUACAAAAGAAAAAUUAGCUCUUGAAGUUAAAUCUGUUAACUUUUUGAAAAGUGACAGAUGUAGGUUAAUAAGUUUUCUCUUAAGUCAAAUCUCAGUUCAGCGGGUCAUAAUCAUCAAAAAUUAGCUACACAUGCUCCAAACCUUAGAUUUCAUCUAAAUCAUGCAAAUCUAUAGUUUGAGCUAUUAACAGAGUGAUUAAAUGCAAAAUUAUAUAUACUGGGGUUUCAAAUACUUAGGAAGAAUUUCGAAACUUCGGAUAACAUCAACCCAUCUUAAACGCUAGUCCAACAACGGCUAGAAGUCGAUAGGAGAAACCCCGCACAAAAUCAGCCUCAACUGAAAUCACACUAGCUGAAAUACAGGUUUCGGACCCACUCUGCAGCACUUCUGGGCGCCCAGAACUGCAGCCUAGCAGCUUCAACCUAUGCAAGUUAGAAAUGGAAUUUAGCCAAAUUCCCAAGUCUAAAUGCAAUGAAACUUCACUCAACUCACCUCAAAAGGCAAAAUAGCAAUCCCCCAGGUUUGUCACCAAAAUUGAGCUCGAAAUGAUAACCAAAAAGCCUUCACACCAAUUCGGACUCACUUCUAGAUGCCUAGAACUUGCAUCCAGAAUUUCUGCACUUAAGCAAUUUGCUUGCUCUAGCUCAAUUUGAGAAUUCUAGCUUAUAAGACUAGUGGAGUUGGGUCACAAACUCCCAAAUAAUAACUGAGUAUAUAUGAGACUUAGACACUAAUAAUAAUAACUGAGCUUAAGCAUUUUGGACCGAUGUUUAGGCCCAACGAGUUAUUAUUGCUAGUGGGCUGGAUCGUUAUAGAAUCUGCAACUUACACCGAUACUAGAUUUUCUCUGAUAUCACUUUAUUACACAAAAGUGAAAAAGAUAUAGUUCAUCAAGCGUGAAAAUAUGAAAUAAGUAUCAAGAAAGAGAAAAUAAAAUAAAGCGCACGAAUAUUUACAUGGUUCGACCGCUAACCUACAUCCAUGGGAAAAACACAGUGGAGAGCACACGAAUAUUUACAUGGUUUAGCCGCUAACCUACAUCUACGGGGAAAAACAUAAUGGAGAUCUUUAUUAUAAUCAAAGUGGUGUAUAAAAUAUGUCUCUUUCAUAAAAUUCUAGUCUCAAAAAUGCAUCCAUAUACUCUCAUUUACCACCCAAAUCACUAGAAUAAAGGAUUAGUGGAGAGCACACGAAUAUUUACAAGGUUCGGCCACUAACCUACAUCCACGGAAAAAAACACAAUAGAGAUCUUUAUUAUAAUCAAAGUGGUGUAUAAAAUAUGUCUCUUUCAUAAAAUUCUACUCUAAAAAAUACAUCCAUACUCUCUCUCAUUUACCACCCAAAUCAAUAGAAUAAAGGAUAUAUUUAUAAUAGUGGCUAAAUCCUAAUAUAAUUAGAAAUAUAAAUCCACCAAUAUUAGAAAUAAUUAUAAUAAGAAUAGGCAUAAUUUAAACUUAACUUUUUAUAAUAACCAAAAUAGAAUAGGGUUAGGAACCUUGCAGUUACAGAAUUCGACAAAUAUCUAACAAUAAUGAAAAAAGAUACUGUAACGCAAUACAGACCUUUCUGUGAAAAGCAGAAUAUACAAAAUACUAUACGUUUUCUCAAUUAUUUAGAAUUAAUUGAAAUUAAAGAUAAAGAAAAGCAAGAACAAUAUAGCUUUUACAAUCCUUUCAGUACAAGAAAACAAGUAAUCUGUUAAAAAAAAUGUUAAUAUACAUAUUUAGGCCCUUCGUUUACUAUAUCAAUCUUUUGAGAGAUAUGGAAUUAGAGCCAAUUAUAAAUCUCUUCAUUUUGUAAGUCAAGAUUCAACCCCCGCUUUUAAUAUUUAGGAAAUUAAAUUUUCAUCUACUAUAAAAUUUCGAUUAAAAAAUUAAUUAAGACCGAUUGUACAAAGCACAGUUGGCUAAGGGCUCGAUGAUAAUACCCAAAGUCCCAAAUUUAAAGCCUAACUGGUUCAUCUACUAUAAAAUUUCAAUUAAAAAAUAAAUUAAGACCGACUGUACAAAGCACAGUUGGCUAAGGGGGUUUGAUGACGAUACCCAAAGUCCGAAGUUUAAAACCUUACUAUUUCGCUACACUUGCUAUCUUUCUCUCUUAGAAAAAGAGAGAGAGAGAGAGAACAACUGAACAACAUGACUGAAGAAGUGCUUUUGUUACGAUUAGAUAUGCUACCACCUAGCCCUAGUAUGUUAAUUCUUAUGGACCAAAAUGGUAAUGCUCAAGAGUUAGUCCUUCUAUGAUAGUAUUACAUUACAUAUGUACGCAAGUACUUGCAACCAUAGCUUUCCAGACUCAACCUAUCUACAAACUUGGAAAGCCUAAAAUGCCAGAUAUUCUAUCCAUAGCUGCAAUAAAAUUUCCAUCAACUUGUACACUUCUUCUAUACAAAUAAUAGUAAUUAUUGCCUCUUGCCGACACAAGUACUCCUUUGGUGAGCUUCUAGGCACCAUCACCAAAAUGUGAGACAAAACUUUUAUCAUUCAAACAUCUCGAAAAAAGAAGUUAAUGCGAAGAUAUAGUACAUGUCUAACAUCUUGAAGGAUAAGUUUUGCCCCUAUAUUAGUCUUGAUACAAAAAUUUGUCCUCCCGCAAUAUGAGAAAAUUGACAAUUACCUAUCGUCACUACUCCAAAGUCUCUGGCUUUUUACGAUAAGAAGAAAUGCUUGUGAGAAAUUGCAUGAAACAAUACCAGUAUCAAUGACCCCAAUCAACAUUUAAAGAAGAAGAUCCAAUAUUAAUACAUUCAUAACUGCAUGUACCCAAAAUAGCAACACCACUAUUAAGAGUUACAAUAGGUCCUUUCUUUUCCUCUUCUUUGGACUUUGCUUCUUUCUUCACCCUGUCCUCUUUUAUCUUGCAUAUAUGUCCAACAUACCUUUUUCAUAUGGCCUUUCAUUUUGCAAUAGUAGUAUGCAAUAUCUUUUAUUAAUUUUGACUUGCUUCUUGAUUUAUAUCAAUCAACAUGGUCAUAGUCCUUUAACAUUCCCCGAUUGUCUAAAAUAAGAGCUUACGGUGUAGAUGCAUUGGAGACUUUUCUUCUUGUUUCUUCAUUCAACAAAAAACUUAUAACAUAACUCAUAGAGAUAAUCCCAUUCAAUAUCAAAUUACUAAGUAAAACUACCAAAGUGUCCUAUGAGUCUAGCAGAGAGCUUAAUAACAACAAUGCUUGAAGUUCAUCCUCAAGCACCAUCUUCGUUGAAACGAGUCGAUUCACUAUGCUUUGAACCUCAAUCAAUUGCUCCAACAUUGGAGUUCCACUCUUAUACUUUAAAUUUAGUAAUUUUCUAAUAAGAAAUGCCUUAUUUUCAGUGGUUUUUCUAGCUCACAAAGUUUUUUCCGCAAACACGAGGGCCUGGUUGUUUCGCCGAAACUAGAGUUUGGGUUGAAAUAGACUUUGAAUUGAAGGUCACAUGAAAACUACUUCUUCACCGUUUUGUUUCCAUAAUUAUGAAAGUGAAGUUUCUUCAGCUCUGUUGCUUAUAUAGUAGAAAGUGAAUGAUAUAAACUGUAAUUUAUAUAUAUAUAAUAAAUAACUUAAUAAAUAAUAAUUUAUAAUAUAAUAAAUAAAAUAAUAUAAUUAUAUUCCUAUAUAAUUAAAAAAAUUAAUCUAAAACAACUAAAUUAUUUUUUUAGACAUAAAUUAUAAUAGGGGCAAUUGUUUAUACACCCCUGAAAAGUUUCCGACUUUCUGAUUUACCCUUUUUAGAAUGCUAAUAUUAAAAAUACCCUUUUUACGUUCCUACCUAUUUCAAAUAUACCCUUAGAGUUAAAAUCUAUUAAUGAAUUCUGCUAUCUAUAUAAAAUUACUAUUUUGUCCUUUCAAAUAUAUCCUUCCACCAUCACCGAUUUUUCUUAUUUGCCCUUAAGUCAGGGGUACAAAAAAUAUUUUGUCUUUUGAUCUUUUCAAAUAUACCCCUCUACCAUCACCAAUAUUUCUUAUUUGCCUUAAGUUAAUGGCAAAAAUUCGUAUUUUAAUUUUUUUUAACUGUGGUAGAUAUUUAACUUACAUUUAACCCAAGUUAACUGAACAAGGGAUAAUUGUAGGGGUAUUUUGCAAUAAUGGUGGAACAUAUGAGGGGUAUUUUAGAAAGAAAAAAAGAGUAGGGGUAAAUCGAAUAUUUUCAAACGUGUGAGGGGUAUAUAGGCAAUUAUCCCAUUAUAAUAAUAUAAAACAAAAUUCUAAAGUAAAAAAAUAUAUAUAAUACUUAACUAAUUAAUUUUCAUCAUAUUUUAAAUGUACAAACUAAAUGAAGUAAAUAGUAAAACUUAACUAAUCAAUUUUUUUCCUAUUUUAAAUAUGCAAACUCAAAUAAUGGUGAGGCAAACCAAUUUGAUAAAGACGAAGAAGGGGGUAAGACAGGGCGACCCGCUCUCUCCUUUUUCUUUUUCUUUUGGUGGCGGAAUGCCUCGCCCGGAUAACGAACGAGGAAAUCUCAAAUAACCUCACUAAAGACCUCGGCCCCUCCGAUACGUCCAGGAUUACCCUUAUCCAAUUUGCGGAUGAUACGUUUUUCUUCUGUGAGGCUAAGAAAAGGUAUAUGAGAAACCUCAAAUUCUUGUGGCAUCUCUUCGAAUGGGCUUCAGGGAUGAAAAUCAUUAGGGAGAAAUCAGAACUAUACUACACUGGACAGGUAGAGGGAAAAGCGACAAGACUUGCGAAUCUACACGACUGUAAAGUUGGCAACCUGCCGACCAAGUACCUAGGCUUGCCUUUAGCUACCCGACCCCCUUCUAAGGAGGACUGGAUGGGCAUCAUCAGAAAUAUUCAACGUAAAAUUGACAGGUGGCAAGCGAAACUUCUUUCUAGAGGGGGUAGAUAUAUUCUGGUGAACGCGGUUCUAACAAACAUCCCUUUAUAUUUUCUGUCAGUGUUCAAGGCACCCAAAUGGGUAAUUAAGCGUAUUGAGGCCCUACGUAGAGACUUCUUUUGGAAUGGGGAUUGCAACUCACCGGGUAAGGGAUGCUUGGUUGCAUGGAAGAACGUCUGUAGGAAUAAGAAAGAGGGAGGGCUCGGCAUCUUGGACUUAGCCACGAUGAACCAAGCUCUCCUAACUAAAUGGUGGUGAAAAUUCUACUCGGAGCCUUAUUUACAGUGGAAUAAACUUAUCCACGACUUGUACUAUCGUAGAAGAAGACCACUGAAGGAGGGCAGAUCCUAGACCUAGCUCUUAUUGGUGGAGGGAAGUCCUUAGUCAUAACGAAAUCUUCAAAUGGAGUCUAUUGCCAAUUGGGCAACGGGUGUACUAUCGACUUUUGGUCCGAUCGCUGGUGUGGGGAAAAGACGUUGGAAUUGUCUUUCCCUGAUGUAUACCUUCUUUCGCAUCGCAAAAAUAGGAAAAUUAGCGAUUAUCUGACUAGCGACGGAUGAAAUUGGAGCAAGAUUUUAGUGGCGUUAGCACUAGUGGACGCAGAUUGAGCUCUAGUUACUUAGCACUUAGGAAAAGGAUCUCCAUUUUCAAACUCAAGUAUAGACCAGAUAGCGUACAAUGGCGUUAGAGCCUUGACGGGCGGUUCACGGUGAAAUCUACCUAUUUGAUGCUGAAUGAUGGGGGUAUAAGGAACGCCAGAACAACCAAGAUUUGGAACCUUUGAGUACCCCUAAAAGUGAAAGUGUUUUGCUGGAUUGUUCUUAAGAAGCGGCCUCUUACUGCAGACAACCUAUUAAAGAGGGGUCGGACUGGCAACACUACUUGCAUGUUGUGCGCGGUUGAACAGGAAACUGUCGACCACUUAUUCACACGGUGCGUCUUCUCGAGAUUUCUAUAGGUGACGACCUUAGAGUAUCCCCAGUCUAGAGAUUGGGAGGAUGACGUGAGCUCGAUCUGGGAUAGGUGGAUGGCGAGGAUUGGAACGUUGUCAUCAAGUACUACGGUAUCCGGAUUGGUAGCCUGCUGGUGGGUAAUUUGGGAGGUCAGGAACGGCGUGAUCUUUAGGAAGACCCAAUCGGACCCCUUUUUUGCAGCUUACAAGAUUAAGAAGUUGACGAAUCUUUGGGAGCAAUUUCUACAAGGUAAUCGACGACACGCUUGUAGUAAGUAGUUUUGUUUUGUUUUCUUUUUUUUUUUCGCCCCCUCCGAAGCCUAUGUUGCCUCAUCCCUGUAGCUUAGUUCAUCUUUUCAAUGAAUAAAGCAGGUGACGUGCUACCUAUUUCUCAAAAAAAAAAAUACAAACUAAAUAAAAGAGUAAUUACUACCAUAAUUAAAUAUAUUUACAUGUAACCAGCAUUACCCAUUGUAUUAUUUUAUUAUUUUUUCUCCACCUCUCCUCACCGUAAUUAUUCUGUUUCGGAUAACUUGAAUUUUGACCGAUAGCUUUAUUACGGCGAGCCAAACAGUAGAAGUGAUUGUUUAUAAUCGAAAACAACUUCACCUCUCUCCAUUUUUACUGAAACAAACAAGCCCUUUGUGGUUUAAUUCUAAUAAUAUUACACUAUAAAGAGAGCAACAAUAAAGAAAAUAUAAACCAACUAAAAAAUUAAAUAUCAAAUUUACGCGGAAACCCUAGAAAGGGAAAAAUUACAGGACUACCUCCAAACAAUCCCUCUAAUAUGAAAUGAAAUGAGUAUAAUUUCUCUAAUCACUACUGAAGACACAAACUAUAAGAAUCAAAUCUAUUGCUCCAAAUAAAGAAAAAUAUCAAAAAGAUCUCACCACCAAUGUUGUUUGUAAAACAUCUUCCAAGAAAACCUUCCGGUAAGAAAAUCGGGUUCUUUUGGCUCCCCACAAACCAAGCUUUAAAAAACCUUUCUAACAAGCCUAGCAAAUAGCAAUGAUGGCCUUCAAUAGCUUCUUCUUUACCCUUCUCUCCCUUUUUUUUUUUAUUUUUGCAAGAGAAAAUAGAAACUUUUUCUAUCUUUCAUCUCCAAGCCCAUAACUCUUGCAGAUAUAUGAAUAAGUAAGGAAAAUAAAUUCUUAUUGGCCUAACCAUUUAGGCUCCAACAUAAUCCAUUCAAAUGAAUUCAACCAAAUAUGUGCACUUUUGCACAUAACUCCCUCAUGAGAAGGGUCACCACAACAAUAACUAUGUAUAAAUUGCUAGUUGACAACCAUAAGUAAACCACCGCCGAAACUACCACAACCAAGCAGAACGAGCCAUUGUCAAAACACAACUAUUGAUGAAAUUCCGUCGACCACCGCCACCAAUGCCAUUAUAUAUCAUCAACUUAUUCACCAAUAAAGUGACUUCUCAAAAGCUGUCUCUUUAAACCACAUAUAAAAUCCAGCGAAACACAAUAUAUCAACUAAAAUCCUAUCUAAUUUUGUACGACAAUGCUAUAAAACUUCUAAACAAACAAAUGGUUGCAGUGUUAGUUGGUGUUAGUUCCAAACAAAAAUGUUAUAUACGGGCCAAUGAAAAGUUUACAGUUAUCCAUCAAUCCCUUAGCAUUAUAGGAGCACCAAGCUUUGCAGAUAAAUUCUGAAGAAUAAACUAUUUUUCUACUUAUAUUUUGCCACUAUUAAUAUUAUAAAAAAUAGAGGAAAAAAAAGAAUAAACUUCAAAUUGCCCCCACGUGGCUUCAAGGAUUUCACUUCACUCCUUUGUGGUUUAAUUUUUAUUUUACGAAAAAAUUUUAUAUGAUAUAGGGUGGCUAAGUUAAAAAUCUUAAAAAAUCACAGGGUGGCAAAGUGAAAAAUAUGCUAAGCCACAAGGGGGAAAAGUGCUACUUUUUGAACCACGGGGGUGGCAAAGUGAAAAUGAGCUAAAUCACAUGGGACAAAGUGAAACUUUUUAAACCACGAGGUGGCAAAAUAAAAAUUAGCUAAAUCACGGGGGGCAAUUUAAAGUUUACCCCCUCAAAAUAAAAAAUUCUUGUAGUAGCAUUCAACUAAUAAGAUCUUACUUACUAAGAGAUGAUCAAAAUGAUACAAGAGACAGUGAGAAACAGAAUGGUUCCACAAAAAGGCUGGAUUAAUAGUAAAUAAAAAGGAAUACGAACUUGCCUGUUUAAACAAGAUACUCGUCAAGUUCCUUCUAAAUUUUGAUAAAAAUGAGGGGAACAAUUCAAAUUAUCCUACUCUAUUCUCCAACUAAGUGAUGUCUCUAAGUUGCUUGGUUCGGUCAAAAUCAAUUGAAAUGCUAAAACCUCCAGGAUAUGCUAUGUGCACCACAUGCAUAAGAGGAUGUUCCCAAGUACAAGCAUGCAUUAGAAACAAAUUAAGUAUCCAACCUGUUAUGUUACUCAUAUUUGAACUGUUUACAAGUUAGUAACAGUUAAAAGAGGUAUAUUACUAGUUUAGUUCAACAUUUGCUUGAUUAGGUACAAAAUGUAACGUCGCAAAGGCAUUUAAGUUCUGUGAACAUAUAUAGAUGUAGUUCUUGUACAAAAUGGCUUAUCUUCCAAAAGCAACUACCUAACCUCUUUCUACAGAUACUUCAUGCACUGUCGAGCCAACUCACAUAGCUAGUGAUCUGAAAUGUCAACAACAGCAGAGUGUGAGUUUUCCACAAACACCCAAUUGGCAAGCAGUUUAUGCCGAAGCAAUUAAGCAAAACAAGAGCACAGAUAGAGCAAACUAUAGAGAUUUACUUAAUUCUCUAUGAAGGAUAUAAUGCAAAACAAGUCGAAACAUAUUGAGAACUUGCAAUUAAGCAAAACAAUUUUAGCUCAAACAAUUAGAACAUCUAAUCAAUGAUCAAAGGAAUCGUAUUGAUUCAUUUGUAAUUUUUCUUUGAACAGAGCAGAAAAAAGGUGUCUCUGAGUAACUAGUGGUAAAAUUUUGUCGUAAGAUUGAUAACCUAAAAAAGAGCAUCUAUGUGAUUAGAAAGGGACGCCUAAGAGGCGCCUUAGUGCUUAUGCACUAAGCUUAGACACCUGUUUCUUGAGGCACCUCAGGUGAGGCUCCUCUUCUAGGCUCGUGCAUGGAGGGCCUAGGCCCACGCCUGAGCCCAAGCCCUAGCGCACAAGGGACAUGCCUCCAAGGAAUCUUGCUUUUUUUUUUUCCUUUAAAAUUUUGGAUAUUUUUAAUAGAUUUAUGAAAAUUUUUAUCUUCUUUGUCACUGAAUUUGUGAGAGUUCAUUGUUUUGCCACAAUAUAUAUGUAUCGUAUAAAUGUUCUACUGUUUGAGCUCCCAUAUUUUCUUUACAUGUGCUACCUUGUUCUCUUACAUAUGCUAUUUAGUUUUUUUCUUCUUUUUUUUUUUUUUUCCAUCUUUCAUUUUCUAGUGUGAUAACAAAUCGUCUGUUGUGAUAAUUUGAUCGUACUUACUCUUAGCAUCAUUUAAUAAUUAUAACUAUGUCUUCUGAAGAGCACUAUAUUUAGCUCUAAAAAAUAUGAAAAUGUGUGCUCACCUCUCUCAGACGCGUACCAGCACCUUGCGCCCAGGGACUAGGAGCGCUUCCCGCCUUUAUCGAUCUUGCGCUUUUUCGAACUACGUAACUCAUCUACACUUCGAAAAAUCAAUUAAUUAGUUUGAAAUAUCCUACCAGAUAUAUCCGAUACAAUACUCAAUUAGUUUGAAAAACUUCUACCACAUACAUUUAUUAAUGCAAGACUUAGAAGUAGCAUGCUAUCUCAUGUUACCUGUCAUGUUAGUUAUCUUCUUCAGGAGCUCCUUCAUAACCGAGGGGCAACUUAUUCCCAGGUGCUCAAACCCUCCUGUUUCUAUGACUGCAGCCAGCACUCUGGGAGCGGCGACAAAAUUGAGGCAGAUGGCUUUCAGCCGACGGCAUUGGUGCUGCUCGGCUAAGUUCAACGUGUUUGCCACUGUAUCGAUUUCCAUUUCUCGGCACAACUUGUCUUCGCAGAUUAACUUGAGCCUAUCCAAUCCAUAUCGAUCCGCAGCAACGAGAAGGUGCUGCGCCAUCAUGGUCGAGGACUCCUUGUGAAGCUUUUCCAUGUACGAGGGCAGCUUAUCCGAGUAGAUGAAAUGAAGCAGAGCCUUGAAUACGGCGGCUUCCAUGUCGUCGAGCUUUAUGCACCUCGCUCUCCUUUCUUUCAUACUGCCGAAGAGUUCCGCCCUGAAGACGGGUGAUCGGGCCGCGAGCACGCAUCGAUGCGCCGCGAAAGUCUCCCCGCCGACUUCAAAGGUCACGUCCGUCCCCUCUCCGCUCUCCAACAGCCGGGCGAGGUGCUGGGGCAAGUCGGAAGGCGGCGCCGCGACGGCGCCUGCGUUGCCAACUUGUAAUCUCGGAGCUUUCGGGACGGUAACAGCGCAAUAGAUAGUAAAGCAGUCAUCUUUGAGAUACCGUGAUUUCUCGAGAUCAGCUCUCCGCAUAAAUCGAUCCCAACCCCAACUGCAAUUAUCUUUCGAAAAAACGUCCGCAUUGGUCAAGGGUUCCGAGGGUGGUCCAGUUUGGUCGAGCAAAUUUACCAAAUUCAUAGUGUAGAAGACCUGUACAUUAUUUUUAUCCACAUCACUUUCGAGUGUGAGAAAGAGGCCGAUGCAGUCGGCACUGUCCUUUUCGUCCCCACAAGGAAAGCAUUCCACAAUCCAGUAGUAGCCGCCGACAGUGAAAGGGGCAGACCGGAUGGAAUUGCCCACGCCAAUCUCCUUCGCCAGAGAGUAGUCGGCGAUCUUGAAUAGGUGGGACCCGCUCGCCUUCUCCAUCAUCCACGUCGACGACGAAGACGAGGAAGAAGCCAUGGACGGAUGGGGAGUGAGGAGUCCACUCGACGAAAGAAACGAGGAUUUGUUAUCGUUCUUAGGGUUUAUUAUAAUAAAUAGUAGUAACUCCUAGGGAUGUCCAUGGGUACCGAUGUCUCAAAUAUUAUGCCGAUUGGAAUCCAGCAGAUUUAUAAGAUGCUAAUAAAUGAAUUUAGCUUAGCUUCGAUUGCCUAUAUUAAAAAAAAUUGACUGAUUUAGGUUUGAAUAUGAAUUUUGUCUGCCUUCAAUCUCAAUCCGAUCUAAAUUCGAAUUAAUUUUAUAAUAUAUAAUAAAAUAAAUUACAGAAAUUUUUUUUAUAUAAAUAUUCGUUUUUUUAUUUUUCCUCUUCAAUUCUUAUAAUUUAUAUCCAAAAUGCCCUCUAAAAUGACAGAAAUAAAUUAAAAAAAAUUCUUUCUUAUAAAAUAAUAAGGAUAAUUUAAUUAUUUUGCUCUCUUCAUUAACAUCGUACCAUCUGAAAAUAUUUUUGAAAAUUUAAGAAGGUAAAAUAUAGAUUUUUGAAAGUCAUGAAGGGCAAGUGAAUAAGUAAGUAUUUACAGAGAUGUUUUAUCUAAUUUAGCNNNNNNNNNNNNNNNAGUUUUCGUGGUACUUCCACCACGAAAACUCAAAAAUCAGUAACCUAUCUCUCUACACUCCAACCCUACUACCACCAUCUACCAUCAUCCACCACCAUCCACUUAUCAUAAACUAGGUUUCUGAUAAUUAUUAAUUUCUCAUCUAGGUUUCCAAUCUUUAAAUCUUCGUGGUUCCCCAACCACGAAGAUUUUUAUAAGAUCGAGUUAAGAUAUAUAUAUAUAUAUAAGAAAAUAUAAAUAAAAUAGCCGUCCCGCUGUAAAAAUAGAUAAUUAAAACAAAACUUGAAUAAGAAAGAGACCUAAAUAGUCUGUGUUUCGAAGUGGUUCGUGUACCUUCAAAGACUCCGGGUAGUGUCUCGUACGCUCAGACUCUUUAAACUAACGUAUGUAUAAAAAAAUAAAGAUUCUUGUAGUUAAAGUAGUAAAUGGUUUCGGUGGUUCCUUCAACAGACUUCCAUUGGCUACAAAGCAGCUAUGCGCGUAGAUUUACCAAUUUUCUUGUUUAUCAUGAGCUUUUAGACUGCUGUUUAUAAUGUCUCUACAUUACGAGUUCAUUUUAUACGUAAACUUAAGUUAUAUGUUAAAGAAGGAGGUAACCUUCUUACCGGAUGCAAGGCUUCCAAGAGAGAGUAUUCUAGCUAGCUCAACUAUAUAUAUAUAUAUAUAUAUAUAGUAGGUCUUGUGUGCUAUUAGGAGCACGGAGGCCAACGUGCUCCUAAGCCGUUUUCGAUGGUGGAGCUUCCGAAUCGACGAUCGGCUUCGUUAGACUUGAUCUAGUGUAUUUAAAGUAUUUAAAAAAUAAAUUUUGUAAUUUUUCAAUAUUAUUUACCUAACAAUCGAAAAAGUUCAAAAUCAACAAUUUUAAAUGGUUGAUUUAUAUCGUGUACUGUCCCUGGUGUUUAGCGGUUUGUGUGACUUCUGUAUCUGUGGCUUGUCGACACAUCUCGUGGGUGUCGAGACAAGUCGGAGCGUUUUGACGCGAAAUAGAUGCAAAACGGACUCAGUGUGAUGCGAGAGUGGAGUUCUGACACUGAAAUUUGCAAAGUGUAGAAUUUCAGUGUUGAGUACCGGUACCUUGGGGGAAGUAUCGGUACCCUAGUGAGAUUGCGGAACUGGAUGCUUUCGGGUUUGCGCAGUGUGAUGCUGAGUACCGGUACCUGUUGUUGAGUGCCGGUAUCGAGCUCGGGUACCGAUACUAUAUCGGGUUGCACCGGUACCCAGCAUGCGAGACUACGGAUUGAGGGGCCGAGUACCGGUAUUCAAGCUAAGUACCAAUACUCCAGGUUGAAAAAUGAGUUGGUGAGGGAUAUUUUGGUCUUUUUGGUGGUGGAUUGUCUCACUACCUACCCCCAGCAUAUUUAUCUACCUGAGAAACUUGGGAACUCAGUUAGCUUCUCCUCCAUCUCUCUUUCUCUAGCUGAUGUGUGCCGCUCGUUGGGAAAUCGAGAGUUGAGCUCGUGUGGAGUCUUCGCUUGCUAGGAGGAUCGCUCGAGCGCGUGGAUUGUCCGGUUGAGGCCAUCGGAGGUUGAGCGAGCGCAUGGGUUUCCUCUUGUCGACUUCUUGCCGACGUUGGAGAGCGUUCGAGGUGGGUUAAUGUUUACCGAAAUCGUCAGAUUUCCUUCUAAGUCCUAAAAUUGUCAGCAUGUAUUAUUGGCUUUGUUCAUCAUGUUAGUUGCUCGAAUUCAUCGAUUUGCAUGUUUUUAUGAAAUCUGAAUUUGGAGCAUAAGCUAGUGAUUUUAGAUGAAAUUAUACAUGUUGGACUAAAAUUUGACUUAGGAAAAAACUCAUUAAACCUACACUGUCUUUUUCUGAAAGUUACCAGAUUUAGUUUCAAGAGCUGUUGUGCUUUUGUAUCCCUGCUGUUAUUGUGUAUUGGAUACUCAGAUAACUUCAGAAGCUGUUGUUCUUUUGUAUCCCCGCUGUUAGUGCGUAUUGGAUACUCAGAUAGCUUCAUGAGCUGUUGUUCUUUGGUAUCCCCGCUGUUAGUGCGUAUUGGAUACUCAAAUAGCUUCAGGAGCUAUUGUUCUUUUGUAUCCUCGCUGUUAGUGCAUAUUGGAUACUCAAAUUAGUGUAGGGUGAGUUUACGCUCGUGCUAAGGGGCCGAUCUCAUUUUACAGUAGGGUGUAGACUGUUCUGUACUAUCGGAUGCCGUCGUGGUUGACUGUGGACCCCGAUUUCGGUAUUUGGCAUCAGAUUGUGUCAAGGGCAUGUGAGCUUUGGUUGUUAGACCAGUUGGACCCAUUAGCAUUGACUACAACCUGUGAGAGCCUGCUGGAGCUCGACAGAGACGCGCUUGCAUACUCGAUUGGGUCGCGCCCACGAAUGCCACUCCGGAGUGAGAUUUUUCAUUGCGAUGAGGUAGCACCAUUUCUGUUUGGACAGUUCUUGGACCGGUCAUCCCCGUGGGUGGUGUACGGUGUACAUUGGUUAUAGGUAGGGUGGGUCUAUUUGGGCAGCUCCAGUGAGAUUGGGUUAGUGUGAUGCAUUUUUAUAUCUAUAGAUAGUCUGUGUUGGUUAGCGAUAAUAUAGUGGCAUAUAGCUGUAGAGUUCUUUGCAGCUUUCCUUACUAUCCUUUGCACAUAGUUUUGUAGACUUAGUGGGUGGGCCGUUGAGGUCGGUGACGGUACCCACUGAGGACUACUCUGUUUUGCAGUAGUUCUCACACCCAGUUGUUGAUACAUUUUGCAGAGCCUUCGUCUGCGGCUGCUGCUGUUGUUGAUUCGGAUCGAGGCAAGGGAGUCGCGAGCUAGAGCCGUCCCUUCCCUGGUCAUUUGCUAGAUGAGCACCUGUCAGAGGUAGUGUUGGGUUUUGUGUACAUACUGUUUUGUUGUUGGGGUACUCGCUGGAGCGAGGAGGUGUUGUAGCCUUUGUAUGUACUGUGAACCCAUUUUGUUUUAUAUAUAUUUUCUUCUAGUAGCCCUAUACACUUGGUUGUAGCUAUGACUUGCUUAUAGGUAUAGCUAUCGCUUCGUAUACACGAAAAAUUUCUAUAUAUACGGCAGGUCUGUUGGCGUGCCCGGGAAAACAUGGUAACCCGGGGCGUGACAUAUCGUUUGCAAGUUUAACAGUGUAAAAUUAUUCAAAUCAGAUGAAAUUUUGAUAAAAAAUUUUUUAUACUAUUUACUGCAAGAUCAAUAUCUCUGAUCGAAAAUUUUAGUGUUAUAUCAUCACUUUUUGUGAGAUUUUUAUUUUCAGCCGUUGAUUUUGAACCCUUUCGAUCGCUAGGUAAAUGAUAUCGAAAAAUCGCAAAAUUUAUUUUCUAGAUACUUCAAAUAUGCUAGAUCAAGUCUAACGGAGCCGGUCGUCGAUUCAGAAGCUCCACCAUCGAAAACGGCUUAGGAGCACGGAGGCCUCCGUGCUUCUAAUAGCACACAAGACCUACUAUAUAUAUAUAUAUAUAUAUAUAUAGAGAGAGAGAGAGAGAGAGAGAUAGAGAGAGAGAGAGAGAGAGAGCCAUGGCUACUAUACUAUUAUGAGCAUUGGAGACCUCGUACUCAUAAAUUGUUUUCAAUGAUGAAGCUUCCGAAUCAACGAUCCACUCAGUUAAAUAUGAUCUAGACUAUUUGAAACUUCUAGAAAAUAAAUUUCGUAAAUAUUCGAAAUCAUAAUAAAGUCCAUCAAGUGGGCAUAAAAUGGACGGUCAAAAUCGAACGAUGUUCUAAAAAAGGAUGAUCGGAUCCUUCAAUUCAAGAUUAGAGUUAUUGAUCUUUAUCUAUGUAUUGAAUAAAAUUUUCUAUCAAAAAUUCAACAAAUUCCGAUUCUUUUACACCGUUAAAUUAGCAAGUAUCCCAUACCGGCCGUUAAAAAUUGUCAAAUUUGUGACCUCUUGAUCGUAAGGUAAAUGAUGUCGAAAAAUUAUAAAAUUUGAUUUCUAGAAGUUUUAAAUGCUGUAAAUAAUCUCUCUCUCUCUCUCUCUCACAAGCCGAUGAUAUGAUAAUACUCAUGCUAGCGGGAGCAUGAGUAUUCAACAAAAGCUACUAUCUCGAAGGCUUAACUAGGUUUUAACGUGUGGCAUUCAUCAAUUCGGAAGCUUCUUCAUCGGAAAACAACUUAUGAGUACGGAGAGCGAUCGUUACUCAUCUAAUAUAUAGUAGCCGGGCCCUAGUAUAUAUAUAUUAAUAUAUAUAUAUAUUAUAUAGAGCAGGACUGUGUGCUCUCAGGAGCACGGAGUCUCCGUGCUCCUGAGCCUUUUCGAUGAUGGAAUUUUCGAAUCGACGACGAUCGGCUCCGUUAGACUUGAUUCUAGCGCAUUUGAAGUUUCUAAAGAAAUAAUUUUUGCGAUUUUUCGAUAUCAUUUUACCUAAUGAUCGAAAGGAUUCAAAAAUCCAUAAUUUUUAAUGGUUAUAUUUGCCGUUUUCAAGUUUAACGGUGUAGAGAGAGCAAAUCAGAUGAAAUUUGAUAGAAAUUCUUUAUACUAUCUACACAAAGAGUUUAUAAUUGCUGAUCGAAAUUUUAGUCUAUAUCACCACUUUUUAUAGUAUUUUUUUUUAAGCCGUUAAAAAUUAUUGAUUUUGAAUCUUUCGGAUUGCUAGGUAAAUGAUAUCGAAAAAUUAUAAAAAUUAUUUUCUAGAACAUGUAUAAUACGCUAGAUCAAUGUUUAACGGAGGCCGAUCGUCGGUUUGAAAACUCCAUCAUCGAAAAUGGCUCAAGAGCACGGAGGGCCUCCGUGCUCCUGAGAGCACAGCAGCCCUGCGUCUAUAUAUAAUAUAUAUAGUAUAUAUAUAUAAAAGCACGUAUAUUCAAAUUUGGGUCUGUCGACAGACCCAUUUUUCGGCGGAAAAUUAGCGCCAUUUUUCUCUUUCCGUACGAAAAAUUUUAAAUAUAAGAAUAAAAGUAGAAAUAGAACACAAUGAAUACGUUAAGUUCUCUAUAACAGAUUACUGAUGUAAAAUCCUAAAAUAGUAAAUUUUUCUAUUUAAUUUCAAAAGUAAGUUUUCUAUAACAGAUUACGGGUGGAAAAUCCUAUAAAAGAUAUUUUUCCAUUUUUUUUAAAAUAUCUUUUUUAGAUAUUAUUCUAUUUAAUUUUAAAUAUAUUUCUUUUAAGAUACGGAUUUUAUUUUUCGAUUUAAUUUCAAAAUUUAUUUCUAACAAAUUUUAUUUUCUAUUUAAUUUCAAAAGUAAUUUUUGCAUUAGAGAUAUUGUUAAUUAUUUAUCAUUUAAAGCAUAUCUUCUUUAAUAGCGUGAUUUAUUAUUUUAAAUUUUUUAGAUACAUAUUUGGCAAUGCAUAUAAAAUAUGGCCUAAAAUUAAAAAAUAAUUUAAAAAAAUUAUAAUUUUUCUAAUAAUUAUUAUUGCAUUUGCACUACAUUUUACAGUAUUAUAUAUAAGCAUGUAUUUUAAUUUCGGUCUGUGACAGACUCAUUUUUUGGCAAAAAAAAAAUUGUAUUCCUCUUUCCUUACGUAAAAUAAAUAUAAAAUUAAACAAACUUUUAUUCUUCUUAUUUCUACAACAGAAAAAAAUUUAUGCUUAUCCAAAUUUUUACAAUCUGAGAAUACUACUAUGAAUUUUUUUUAAUUCUUUUUAUCUCUAACUGUAUAUAAUAUCUAUACUAUCUAGCCGUAUUUCAAAUUUCGAUAUGUCGGCAGACCCAUUUUUAGGAAAAAAAAUUUUGAUUCCUCUUCCUUACGUUAAAUAAAUAUAUAAUAGAAUAACUUUUAAUUAUCUUUACCUCAAAUAAAAAAUAUAUAUAUACUUAUCAAAUUUUGCCAACCGAAAGAUAUCUAUUGUGAAUCUAUUAUUUAAUUCAAAAAUUGUUUAUUUCUUUUAUCUCUAAAUAGAAAUAAAUUCAUGCUUAUCCAAUUUUUGACAGAAUAUCAAUAUGCUUUAUCGCAUCUAUUUUACAUUAAAUUUGAAUUUGACUGUUAAAUCGUGAAUUAAAUUUAAUUUUGAUUUUGGAUAUCAAAUCUAUCAAUCUAUUAUAUUAAAAUUUAAAAUUGAUAUUAUAAAUAUGUUUUUAAUAAAAUAUAACAUAUAAACUUAAUAAAAUAUUUUAUGCUAAAUUUUUGAAUAAAUAUGAUUUACAUAUUUUUACUAUUUAAAAUAAAUCUAAAAUAAUUGUUACGUGCAUUUGACAUCGGUAGCACUCAACUAGAAAAUAUGGUAAAGAGAAAUAAUUAUUCUGGGUUUGGGUUUUUGGGUUCGGGGUUGGGUUCAGGUUUGGAUUCGAGUUUCGAAUUUUUAGUUAGGUUCGGAUUUGGAUAUGAAUUUUUAAAAUUCGUCGGAUUCGUAUUCAAGAUUGCAUUUCGGGUUUGGUAGUAGAGGCCGUGUUUGUGUUUUGGAAAAUUCGCCCCAAAUCCAAUCCAUUUUCAUCCCUAGUCAUAACUCAGCAUAGGCAAACAGAGUUUUUACAAAGAAAAAUAUAGUAUAAGAUCCACAUAUAGAUAUUAUUUCAGCCAAUUAAUAUAUGUAAUAAUUAACAAUUUAAAAAUCUUUACAGCUUAAUUUUUUUUUCCUUUUUUUCUUAAAAAAAAUGGCCAAUUUGUAUAAAAAAUCCACUAGUUUUGCGCUUUCGCAAGAGUUGGCCACUUUUUUCGAUUUUGCAGAUUCGAACCGGAUUUUCAGCAAACUGACCAAAAUACCUUUAUUAUUUUUUCUCUCUUCUCUUUUUUUUCUUUCGUUCAUUUUUUUUUCUCUCGCCGAAGAGGCAGCGGAGGCAGAGGCGGAAGCGGAAACGGCCCACCUCGCCUCUCACCCUCAUGCUGUCGCCCUCGCCCUCGCUCUCGCCCUCACCCUAGCCCGCACACCCCCCACCUUCCUCACCUCCGACCCCGCCGAGGCCGCGCCGCGACUCUUUUUUUUUUUUCCUCUCCGACUCUCCUUCACCGUCUCCGACGACGACGCCUCUCUCGCCUUUCCCUGCCCUUUUCGUCCUCUCCCUCACCCUCCUCCUCUGCCACCUCCGACGACGACGCAUCUUCGCUGACGCCGACACCGUGGAGGUCACUGCGGUGCUGCAGCCUCGGAGCGAGGGGGCCUUAGCGGCGUCGUCGCCGGCGCCGUAGCCGUUGGCAAAGAGGGGUAACAAAAAAAAAUUAUAGAAGAAGCAAGAAAAAAAAUAAAGAUAAAAAUUAUAGAAAAAGAAAUAUGGAGAUUAAAUUACACCGCUAAAAUAAAAUUGCACUGUUUUAAAAAAAUAUUGCACUAUUAUGGAUAUAAAUUGCACUACUUAAGAUGUAAACUGCAGCUUUAAGAUGAAAAUUACACUCUUUAAACAAAAAUUACACUCUUUGAAAGAUAUUUACACUGUUUCUUCUCUUAUUGCACUCUUUCAAAUGUAAACUGCAUCCAUUAAUAUGAAAAUGACACUUUUUAAACGAAAGUUGUACUAUUUGAGAGAUAUUUGCACUGUUUCUCCUCUUGUUGCACCCUUUGAGAUGUAAACUGCACCCCUUUAAGAGAUAUUUAUACUAUUUCUCCUCUUGUUGCACUAUUUUUUCUCUUGUUACACUGUUUCUUCUCUUAAACUCUACCCUAUAAGAGCAGAAAUAGUGUAACAAGGGAGAAAUAGUGCAACAAGAGGAGAAACAGUGCAACAAAAGGAGAAAUAGUAUAAAUAUCUCUUAAAGGGAUGCAGUUUACAUCUCAAAAGGUGCAAGAAGAGAAAAAAUAGUGUAAAUAUCUCUCAAAGAGUGCAACUUUCGUUUAAAGAGUGUAACUUUCAUCUUAAUGGAUGCAGUUUACAUCUGAAAGAGUGCAAUAAGAGGAGAAACGGUAUAAAUAUCUUUCAAAGAUUGCAAUCUUUUUUUAAAGAGUGUAAUUUUCAUCUUAAAGCUGCAGUUUACAUCUUAAGUAGUGCAACUUAUGUACAUAAUAGUGCAACGUUCUUUUAAAACAGUGCAAUUUUUUUUUUAACGGAGCAAUUUCAUCUUCAUGUUUCUUUUUCUAUAACUUUCUAUCUUUAUUUUUUCUUUCUUGCUUCUAUAAUUUUUUUUGGUCACCCCUUACUGCCAAUGGCCACGGCACCGACGACGACGCCGCUAAGGACCCCCCGCUUCGAGGCUACAGCACCGCAGCGACCUCCACAGUGUCGGCGUCGGCGUCGGCGUCGGCGAAGAUGCGUCGUCGUCGGAGGCGGCAGAGAAAGAGGGAGAGGGAGAGAACGAGAAGGGCGGGGAAGGGCGAGAGAGGCGUCGUCAUCGGAGACGGUGGAGGAGAGUCGGAGAGGAAAAAAAAGAGUCGCGGCGCGGCCUCGGCGGGGUCGGAGGCGAGGAAGGUGGGGGGUGCGGGGGCGAGGGCGAGAUCAUGAGGGUAAGAGGCGAGGCGGGCCGUUUCCACCUCCGCCUCUGGCUCCGUUGCUUUCUUUGGCGAAAGAAAAAAAAAUAAACGAGAGAAAAGAAGAGGAGAGAGAAAGAGGAGAGAGAAAAAGUAAUAAGGGUAUUUUAGUCAGUUUGCUGAAAAUUCGGACCGAAUCUGCAAAAUCAAAAAAGACGGCCUAGUUUUGCAAAAGCUCAAAAUUUAUGAAUUUUUUAUGCAAAUUGGCCAAAAAAAAAUCUACCUCAGUGAUGAAAUUUAAAAUAUUUAACAUGUCUUCUCCUAAAAGAUGUCGUGCGAUGGAUCUCGUAAAGCUGUAAAUUCCUGAAGUAUGGUCGUCAUGGAACUGAAAUUCCGAAGAAACUCUUGAUGUUUUUAUUGCUGACAGUUGGUUGCAGUGUUAGUUCAUCUUAGUGUUUUUUUUUUUGAGAGAGAGAUAGGUAGCACGCUACCCGCUUUGUUUGUUUCAUUUAGAAAUAAGCUUAGCUGGAAAUAUGAAUCAACUAGGAUUCGAACUUGGGAUCUCGGGUACCAACCACCAAGUCCUUUGCCACUUGCUCUAGGAACGGUCGGUGUUAGUUCAUCUUAGUCCCAAACAAAAAUAUUGGUUACAAGCCGACAAAACGUUUGUAGUUAGAGCCUAUUUGGUUCUUCAAAAAAUAUUUUUUAAAAAAAUUUCAAGUUGAAUUUUUUUGGCCAAUUUGCAUAAAAAAUUCACUAGUUUUGAGCUUUUGCAAAUGUGGACCACUUUUUUUAAUUUUGCAGAUUUGGGUCAGAUUUUCUGCCAUCUGACCAAAAUGCCCCUCAUCUCCAUCCACCUCACUUGUAUUCCGUCAAAUAUGUAUACCACAAUGUACAGCCACCGGACGGGCAUUAAAUCCCGAACAUGGUUAUGCAACCUCUCGAUCAUCGGAAUGCGAACAAAAUUGACCUUGCUAUUUGCCAGCCCCAAUGUUUGCAACGAUUUUUAGAUAUUAAAUAUGUUGAAGUUAUAUGACAAACUACACAGUCGGCAAUAGAAAUAAUAGUUCAACGCAAAGAGAAAUGGUGCAACAAUCCUUCUAACAAUGCAGCUUGCAGCUCAUACCAGUGCAAUUAAUCUCUACUGCUCACAGUGCAACGCUGGCAUUCAAUCUUCUCCCUUAUCAGGACAACAUCCCACUCCCCCGUUAGGCACUUUUCUUCCUAAACCUUAAGGCGCUCCCUUCACCGGCAUCCCGUACUACCUACCCUAUUUGUAAACCCCUUGCCCUCCUCCAUGCAAGCCUAACAGUUUUUUCCAGUAGCCUCCGCUGCGUUCGGCAUUUGCAGAGGAGAAAUGGAAGAAACGUGGGGUAGGGACAUGACUUUAGGGUUAGGAAGUAGGGGCGGGAGGAGGGGGACAAGUCGUUCAUCUGCAAAAAGGUACCACACGGCCAAGCAAGUAGUGCAACUUUAGCGGCAACAAUACAAUCAUGUCUAAAAAAGGAUUGUUAAGGACUUUUCUAAGUUGGCGAAUUUCGUGAAGUCGAAUGGAGUCUUGAAGAGUUGAAGACGAAGUUUGAAGAGAAGAUUGAUCACAAGACUUGUUCAUGAUGCUCGGAAUCUCAGGUAUGUAUGUUAAUAAUUUGUGGUGAAUUUCUAUCUUUGUAAAUGUGUUUGGAAGACUUAGGAUGGUUAUUAAAAUGAAAAACUGAACAAAACUGAACCUUUCAAGGUUCAAGGUCUGGACCUUGGAGCGAGGGACUGGACCCCGUUGAAAUUUAUGUUACGCUGUGAGGGACUGGACCCCGUACGUUGAAAUUUAUGUUACGCUGGGAGGGACCGGACCCUGGAGCGAGGGAUCGAACCCCGUAGCCUAUAUUUUAUGAUACGCAGAGAGGGUCCGGGCCCUAGCUAAAAGGACCGGACCUUGAAGGUCCGAACCCUUCGGGAGGUCUGGACCCUGAAACCGUCUUUCGUUUUUAAAACCGAGUUUUUAAUUCCUAGUCUAUCUAUAAGUCUUCUAAACCUAUAAAUAAGCUAUGAGGAGCGUCCUAUUACGUAUGCUUAGAAAGAAAACCUUUUUGAAACCCUAAAAAAAAAAAACUUAUUUUGGAGAUUUUCAAUCAAUGUUUUAAAAUCAAGUUUUUGUUUUUCGAUCGCCGAUUCGAUUCUUUGGGUUCUAUUCAUUUGUUUCUUUAAGAAUCGAAUCGGUGAUGGAUUGAAAGGUUUUUCCUCGUAUUUUAUUCUCUUUCUAAGGAAUUUGAAUCACCACAAACUAUUAAUCUCUACGAGCUCCGGAUGGAGCGUUGGCGCGUGGACUUCGCAUGAGGCCGUGGAUUCGGUGGACACAUCGUGGAGGUGAGGCGUUGUUGCUGCGUGGAUUUACGGCGUGAUUGAUUGGAGGACUUCGAUCGAUCGAGGACCGGCGAAGACGAUCUACAACGAGGAUUCGGUAAAAUUGGGUCGUGUAUUCGGUAAAUCACUUGCACUCAAUUUUUCUAUAGUGAAUUGUUUCGUAUGAUCGGUCCCGUGGGUUUUUUACUCCAAGUUGGAGUUUUUCCACGUAAAAUCUCAGUGUGUUGAUUUUGUUUUUCCGCAUUUAGUUUAAAUUUGCAUCGAAAAAUUUUUGAUUUGCCGUUUACACCUAUUCGCCCCCCUCUAGGUGUUAUUUACCUUUUAGAUCUUUGGGGAUCCAUAUCUCACAAGGAUAAAUUAUUAUCUGUAUUUUGUGCUGCUGCGAAUAUAAUAGUGCAAAAAGGGGCUCUGAGUGGUGUGACAUUGACCUAAUUAGUGCAAUGGUUCAACCCAAAUGGUGCAACGAAUUCAUAACCAGUGUAAAAAAAACUCUUCCUUUAGAUGUAAUACUGACCUAAUUAGUGCAAAGUUAGUAAUCCAAUCUUUUCUUAGAAAAUACAUUGUAUUGCCUUCAUUGAUAAUUGCUAAAAAUAUUGGCCGUAUGUUAUUAUUCCAAUUCCCCGAAUGGUAUGAGGAUUUGAAGGAAGUCUCGUGCAAUCUCCCUCUUGUUGAAAGUAGAUCACAAAAGAAGUGAAAUAUCUUACGAUCCGUUCGUGUCUUCUCGUAACAUGCAAGAUUACUAUCAUAACUUAUUCUCCGGGCCUGGGUAUAUUACAUUCCUACCAACCAUCUCUAGAGCAAGUGGCAAAGGACUUUGUGGUUGGUACCCGAGACCCAAGUUCGAAUCCUAGUUGAUUCACAUAUCCAGCUAAGUUUAUUUCUAAAUAAAAUAAACGAAGUGGGUAGCGUGCUACCUAUCUCUCAAAAAAAAAAAAAAAAACAUUCCUAACUACGAGUAAUCUUGUAUUUAUAAGAAUUUCAAAGUGACCAUUUCCCACCCUCCAAUUGUCUCAAACUCAAUUCAAAAGAAAUGUAAAAUAUUCAAGUUAGUAUUCAAAGUUUGAAUUUUAAAUUUAAAUUUUGGAUUCAAAUUUAAAUUUGAACAUCAAAUUUGACUUAAAUGUUAAAUUAAAAUUAAAAUUCAAAUUAAAAUUCAAAUUUUGAAUCACAAUUGAAAAUUUGAAUUUUGAUUUAAAAUUUGGCGUCAAAAUCUGAUUUGAAAUUAAAAUUUGGAAUAAAAAUCUGAGCUUGGACUAUAAGAUGAAUUCAAAAUCUAAAUUUAAAUUCGAAUAAAUUUGAACUUAAAAUUUUAACUAUUCAAAACAAUUUGAAUUUGAAAUUUAAAUUCAAAGUUGAAUUUGAAUAUCAAUUUCCAACCCAAAAUUAGAAUUUGAAUAUGAAAUUCAAAUUCAAAAUCAAAAUCAAAAUCAAAAUCAAAAUCAAAAUUUAAAUUUAAGAUUGAAUUUGGAACAACGGUGAUGUCGCCCCCUUCGAACAUAACAAACAUACCAGCAAACCAACGUUCUGUAGCAUCAUCGAACAUAACAAACAUAUACCAGCAUACCAGCACUCUGCAGGAUCCCAGCAGCACCAAACUCUGAUGCAAAACCGAUGGCUGCCCAAAAAGGCACAAGCUGUCUACUAAAACAAAUAUGAAUCCUGAUGCAAGCACAAUGGCCGCCACAACCACGCAUCCGCACCGCCCGAAACAGCGGAGCUGAAAAAAAAAGAAAGAAAAAAAAAAACAAAUACGGCCCCGGAUCAGCAAAUACGACGAGACUCAGCAAAUUACGACGAGACUCGGAGGCCACCGUCCUCCAUCAUACCUGAAUCGUUCCUGGAGACGACAAUGUACAGGCGACCAGCAAAACUAGCUGGAAAAACCACUCCAAAAGACAAACAGGCCCUGAGGCCAGCUCUAAAAGCUUUCAAAUGUAAUCUCCUACAAGUCAGAAAUUCAGAGCUUUAUUCACUUAAAUUCAACAUUGAAAGCUUUUUACACAGAUAGUACUUCUGAAUUAUUUAUUUCGCUCCGAUGGAAGAUCAGUGGCCUCGUGCUUGCUCAUCAUGUAGGACAAGAACUAGACAUUAAGAACAUCAUCUACAGAUAGAAAAGAAUUUGAGGGAAGAAAAAAAAAUAAUGAAAUUUUAUCAACAUCUACAAGCCCCUGAGAAUUUAUUUGACAAGUUAAAAGCAGCAAAUUUCAAAUCAUUUUAUUUACAAAAAAGACAAAUUGUAAAAGCUGCAUUCUCAUGAAAUAUGAUUCAGAAUAACUUGCUUAGGUUAAACUUGUCUUCAUUUAUUUGUUUCUUAGUGAAGGUGCAGCUGAGGCUUUGCAGAUUGGGCACCAGUUCUUCAGCCUAAGCCACUGGUGGAUGCACGCAACAUGGUAUACGUGCUCGCAUCCCAGCUUCCCCACCUCAUCCCCGGCAACAUACUCUUCCUGAGAGAAUGAAAAUGAAAAAAAAUGAAUAACUACUAAAUGAAAAGAAAUUAUGCAACUGCCGCAAUUUGCCGAUUGGCCCGAUUGCCCUGAUUAAGAAAAUAUAGUGUGGAGCCUCGUUUCCGGAGCUUCUAGCUGUGUGGGGAAGCCAAAAUAAGUUUUCAGACCCUAGAAGCAGAAAAUACUAUUUGAGGCUUCUGCCUAUAGCUGCAGCUAGAAGCCGUUGCAGUGGCCUUGGGAGGACUUCAAAAGAAAAAGCUGCAAGGGCUUUUCUUAAUUGCUCGAUCAAAUAAUACUUCUAUAGAAGCCCAGGCUGGCCCUAGUUCAAUGUCGGAUGGAUGGAAGGACUAAAACUGUAAAAUGCUACUAAGUACAAAUCAUGCAAUUCAAUGAAUUCAAGUGAAUUGGAUGUGGGGCUCAAAUCUCUUAUUUGGAGCACAGUGUGAUUGUGCAACUUCCAUAAUUUACUCCCGAUUUACCUUCUGUGUCUAAAUUCCAUCACAAUUAAAAAGGGAAUUCUCGGACUUCUCUUAUAUAUGAAUAGCAGCAAAUUGUACCUCAAAGAGUACGACUUCUUUAUACUAAUCAAUUUGCAUCCAAAAUAGAGGAAAUCGACAUCAUGAAUACUCUAAACAAGAGAAUUAAGAAAAAUUAGUUGGAACUUCCCCCCAAUUCACUGAUUUUGGUGCUACCAAAUAGGCUACAAAAAUAAUCAAUAUUAAUGAGCUGAAAGGUAAGAUGGCCAAAAACAGAAUGCAAAGGAAAGUAUGUGGCAGUUCCAUAUAAUUCUACGCAUUCUGUGCUCUUUUCUCUAGGCAGAAAAAACGUACCUGACAUAUGCUGCACUUGAUAUCAUGGGCAAUGUGUCUAUUAAUUCCUGAGACAAGUGAGGCCGAUGUGUAUAUACUUCUUUUCAGACAUUUCACCAGCUCAUCUUCAGGAAGGGCCGUGCUAACACUACCCAUUUGUUCCUCUAAGGCUAGUAAUUCCUGUUAAGAACAAAUAACAUUCAGGGGAACGCAACUAACUAAAAAGGACAGUCUAAAGAUAUUGGCAAAUAGAAAUUAAAGAGGAAAAAUUUAUAGGUAGGACUUAAGCAAAUAAUGAAUUGGAUUUUAAUCUAUAAUCUUCUGCAAAGGUCUUAGAAAACAUCAGAUAUUGGACAGAAUAAGCUCCAGGGAUGACCUCGACCGAGAUUAGGCAGCUUCAGGGAUUAAACAGUCUAAGCAAAAAGUUAGGGCAUGAAUUGGAAUUCAUACAAUGUUCAAGAAAUGGACAUAAAUUUACCCAAAGUAGACUAAGUAGAAAAUCAUGAACAGUUGAACCACCAUACAACAUUUUGAACUUUCAGGGCACGUUUGGUUUGAAGUAGGAAUUUUUNUGAAUAAAAGCUUUUUGUUUUUAAACCUAAAAUUAAUUAUUUAGGCAUGUUAACAAUAUAUAUAUAUAUAUGUUUUUUUUUUUUUUUUUGAGAGAUAGGUAUCACGCUACCCACUUCGUUUAUUUCAUUUAGAAAUAAACUUAGCUAGAAAUGUAAAUCAACUAGGAUUCGAACUUGAGACCUCGGGUAUCAACAACCAAGCCCUUUGCCACUUGCUCUAGGGACGGUCGGUGAUUCGAAUUAGGAAUUGAAACCGGAAUAGGAGGGAAAUGGACCAAAAUCGAAAACGGAAUGAUGAAACCCUUAAUUUAUUUGGUUCAUAGGAGGAAUCAGAAUCAUAAACAUGUUUAAAUUAAAAUUCAAAAAAUUUAGAAUUUAGUUAAAAUUUAAAUUUACUAUCCAAAUUUGUAAUCAAAAUUUGGAUCCAAAUUUGAAGUUAAAAUUUGAAUUUACAAUUCAAAUUCAAGUAAAAAGUCAAAAUUUAAAUUUAGAACCAAAUUCAAAUAUCAAACUUGUAUUAGAAUUUAAAAUUUAACUUAAAUUGAAUUUUAAAUCCAUAAUUCAAAUUCCAAUUUAAAAUUAUUUAUUCUAAAAUUAAACAUAAUUUUAAAUAAUUGUUAGUUAAAAAAUGAGUUCUUUUCUCAAUCCUUUCCGAAAUCAAUCCAUAAUGGGAAUCAUUUUGGAGGGACUCGACCCCUCCCUCCUGUAAUGAAAAUCGGAAUGUCAGUCCCUCAAAUCAAACAACAAAAAUACGAAUGGAUCAUUCUGAUUCCUAUUCCAAGCCUCAAAUCCUUCAAACCAAACAUGCCCUGUUGUAGAGCUUAAGAACUAGGAAGAGGAACUAUGUAAAGUAGACACCCCGUUCAGUUAUUUCAGUACAUUCCAAAGAAAGAAGUUGCUGUGCACACAAUUAUAAACGAAUUUAAGUUAACAUGCUGUGAUCACGUUCAAGACAAAUAUUACCACGUUCAAAUGCAUCAUAGAAUAGCCCAUACCUCAUAGGACAUAUUAUCAAUGUCCAUUCUCAUGUCACUGUGUUGAUCAUGGAAAGUCAGCCCACCAAACAACAAGUUUGUCUCGAGAACCAGUAAUUGCUGCAAAAUAAAAAAGACCUCAUUUAGUUGAAAACUGGAGAAGAAAAAGCAGCAAAUUAAGAAGCAAGGAACAACCUCAUAUGUUAAAUCCUCAUAUUGUUCGAUCCUCUCUAAUGCCAAUAAUACCUGCAUGCCAGUAAACAUCAUAACCUAGUUAGAAAUGGAAAGUAGUGCCAUGAUUUGAGCUCAACUAGGAAAUGUAAGAAAUGCCUAUAAUGUCAAAAUGGAUUCCAUUUCGCACAAUGAUGUGAUUACAAUAUCGUUCAUGCAGUGUAUCACAAUGUAGAUAGAUGCAUUAAAAUUUCAAGCAGCUUUCACAUGCACCCCCGCAAAAUCAUCUAUUUACAUAGAUGCCACCGUACAGUUGAAAUUUCAUACAUACCUUUCGAAGGUGCAGUUUCAACUGAGGUGAAGAAAGUUGUUUCAUAUCAAAAGGAAGUCUUUUAUAGAGAAGAACUAUUGUAGGUGGUAGGUAUACGCAUAUGCCUGUAUAUGUAAGAAAUUAUACACGUACACCAAUGUACAUGUAAGAAAUUAAGUUUCAUAAAGAACCUAUGAAAAUUCAGAUUUUCCAGAAUAUAAUUGUCAAAUAGACAAUUUUGCAGGGUUGUACAUGUAAAUAAUGCUAAUAUCAAAAGCAUAUAGAGAGGACCUGAGCAAUUCCUUCCAUGCUUAGAUGUUGAUGACCAUCUCCAUCAUCCAAAAGGUCAUGGCUUAUUUGACUGCUGUUCCUUUGAGGAUGAGAGGUCGACGAUGAUCUACUAUAAGCGGCCCGAUUGCUUGAACCCGUACGUGCAGAACAAUGAAAUGCCCGCGGUUGUUCCGAGGUGAAAAAUUCCGAUAUGGUUUCUGGAACUGCUUCCUGUACAGAAAAUCUAGUACCCUCCACUUCUGGGACCGCAUUCAGCAAAAAGGCACUUUCAUCUGUUUGCACGAAUGGGCUAGUCUUAUUGUCUGUUGUCGAAGUUCUUCGGGUCCGAACAGAAACUGGACCAUCCCUAUUAACUGCUUGGUUCCUGAUUCUUCUUAAAGAUUGUUGAGCAAUUGGGCCUUCUAGAACAGGUAAACUAGGGCCAGGAAGAUUACUAUGAGUAGGAACUGAAGAACUCCCCUCACUAUAAGACGUCUCUCUUAAAUCACUGACCCUCCUACCACGGCCAAGAUCAGAGGAAGAAGAACAGCCUGCCGGUAGGACAUCAGAGAUCGACGUGCAACUGAGAUUUUUAAAACCAUGCGAAGGCUUAGGAACAAUGGUGGAGCUUCUUGGUUUCGAACUUAUUCCCACAUUGCCUAAACUCAAGCGCUUACUAUUCUGUUUACUUGGUUUUGAACUUGAUGCGCUACCGUCAUAAUUUAAGUCCUCUAAUCGAUCUUCGAUCCUGGCUCGCCUGCUACUACUUUCGGGAAUAUCAAUCCUUCCAAGAAAAGUUGGGUUUGGUUGUUGUUCCUUUUGCAGCUUUACAAAAGCUUCUUUCGAAGUGGUCCCGGCUAUAGCUUUACCGGUAUUAGAUCUAACAGAUGGCCUAGAAAAUCUUGGCACUUCUGAGUUGUCGUUAUGGCCAACAUUUGUAGAAUUAAGCUUAGUACUGCAACCAAAUCUGCCGGAAUGCUGACCGCUUUUAUCUUCAUGGUUUUGAUUUCUAAAAGAAACGCCAGAAGUUCUUUUGGAAAAGCCAAUUCCUCUAGAAGUUCUUUUACUGGGAUAUUCGUCCAUAUGCAAAUUUAAUCUCCGGAGAUUAAAACAGCAAACCUCAGCUCUGCAACAAAAUAUACUACCUAAAUUCUGCAAUAGAAGAGAGGAAGGUUAACAAGGAGAGUAGCCAAAGACAGUUUCAACCACUUGAAAAAAAUGAUAAAAGCAGAAUAUUAAAAAAAUAAUAAUAAUAGAUCACAUGCAAAUAUGAUUAACUUAUGAUCACAUCAGAGCUAAACUUUAACAAUAUUUUGUUUUUGUGUUAGCAUUGACCUCGAAAUGUUUUAAGGUUCAGCACUUAAAAGUGCUGAGCUAUACCUCCUCCUUAUAUAGUAGCAUUAAUAUGAAUAUUGCAAAACUAUAAAUAAGUAAUAUUCAACAAGAUAAAGUGCGAGUGUUCCUGACAUUCAACCCUGAAACAAGAUGAGAAUGUAGCAGCACAGAUCGUGAAGAUAGAAAACCACAUUGCCAAACAGAAACCCAACAUUCACAGACAAAGAGAACACUGAAGAUCGCAACCUCAGUUGAAGAAGUUUUGAAUUGCAAGAAAAUUUAUCCAAUAGAUAAAAUAGCUUACAGAUCACUAUCUAAAACAAAAAUCUAGAAAAACAAUGUAAUGCAAAUAUCUGCAAAAUUUUCCCACUAACUUCUAUGCCUUCCAAAAGGAAAUAGGGCCUUCGCAAUCAUCAAAAACCAUUGGACAAUAAUGAUUACAGGAAUAGUAACUUAAAUUAAGAUGCUACAGUGAAGCAAUGAAUAAUUUUUAAAUUUCAAUAAAGCAAACAAACGGAAUAGUUACAUUUUUAACACUCAAGUGAGAGAAAUGCAGUAAGGGACUUUCAGAUCAAAGCCAAAAAAUUAUGAUUACAUUACAACGGAAUAGAUUUAACAGAAGCAUCCUCAAUCUAACUUUAAUUUUACAACUUUUGUACGUCAACACUUAGCUGCAAAUCUCAUGCAUGAUAAUUCAACAUCAAGCGAACCAGUUACUACAAUACAUCCCAACACAAUUUAAGAGAACAGAACUAGAUCAAGUAUUGUUUUCCCUAAACUAGAACACCCUUCAUUGACCAGAAAUAAUAACUAAAGAUUAAAUAACUUUCAAAAUCCGUUGUUCCAGCUAAUUACAUUGCAAACAGACCCACAAAUACCAUCAGAAUCUUAAAUACAUAUGCAACUCUCCUUUCUUUUCUUUUUCUUUUUUUUCCUUUUCUUUCUUGAGUACAAAGGGUUUAACCGAUAUUUAUUCUUAAUUACCACUUUAUUGUCAUGAUGCAUUUGAUCUCAAUCUCGUAUUCAUACUCCACUAGAGUAAAAAUCAAAGCAUGAUAUUGAUCAAACAAUUAUUUCAAAUCAUAAAUGCAAUAGUCACAUAGAGCCAUAGAAACCAAAUAGAGCAAAUAAAUAGAGGAAAAAUCCCCGAACUACGACAUCUCCAUUAAAAUUUCCAAAUUUUUAACUUCAAAAUUGCCAUUAAAAUACAAAAUCAAAUGCCAUAUAUUAAAACAAGCAAUUCUUCAACACGAAAAGCUCCCAUUCUGGAAUCAAAUCAAAGCCCUAAGACAGGAUUGAAAUCCACAAAAGCCCGAUCUAUUACAAAAGGCGAUUUGAAAAAGCCGUACUGUAAAAGUAGAUCCAACAAAAAGGUGAGUGAUUCGAAGCGAAUGAAACGCUGAAACUCCCCAAAUCCCACGUACCCAUCUGAUCAACUCAACGUAUCUGAAACAAAAAAUCGCAUCUUUCUACCGAAAAUUUCCAAAAUCCGAUCUUAAUGGAUCGAAAAGGCGAUCAAAACCAAGCCGCCACAACCGAUCAAAAAAGGCGACCUUUACAGACCCUAAAACGUACCCCAAAAUGGCGCCGUAUUCAACACGGAAUCGAGAAGAGAGAGAAAUAGAAAGAGAGAGAGAGAGAGACAGCGAGAGGGCGAAAUGGGGAGGAGAUAGAUGCGAGGGUUUUAUACGUACCCCAAAUCGCACGCACGCGCACGAAUUCGAAGAGGAGCUCCUGGUAAGAUCUAGGCCGUUGGAUCCGCCUCCAGAUUCGGGAACGGAGGGGGUGAGUGGGAAAAGAGGAGGUGGGGUUUUUUAAUGGUUGUUAGCGCACGCUUUCGUGGACCGCACACUCGGAAUUUCCCACUCCGCCCAUUAAAUUCUGCAUUUAAUUCGUGAUAAAAUAAUUUAUGGAAAACGAAAACAAACACAGCGGAUCUUUGGGCGUCACGGGUCUUUGCCCGUUUUGCCCCAUUUUUCUGGGCAGUUGGAGAAAAUUCAGAGCUAUUAAAUUUUAUCAUAUUUUUUCGGCUAAUUGGCAUAAAAAAUCUAGGAAAAACUUCAAAAAUCCCCCCUGUGAUUUCGUAGUUUCUCACUUUGCCUUCCUAUGGUUUAAAAUGUAUCAAUUUGCUCCUCUGUGGUUUCGUUUUUCUCUUUUUCUUAUCAAUUUCAUUAUUUUUUUUUUUAAAUCAGUGAUAAAGUUAAAAUUAAAGGGUAUUAAAGUGAAUAUUUGAUAAAUCUAGAUGGGUAUCUAAAGUUUUUUUAUAUAUAAUUUAAUAAAAUAUUAACGAAAAAGCUACCCAAAAGAUAAAAACAAAACCACAGGGAGGCAAUUUGAUACAUUUUAAACCACGGGGGCCAAAGUGAGAAACUAUGAAACCACAGGAGGGUUUUUUGAAGUUUUCCCAAAAAUUUAUUAGUUUUGAACUUUUACAAAAAUAGGCCUUUUUUUUUAAUUUUGCAAAUUCGAAUCGAAUUUUCAAAAAAUGACCAAACUACCCCUCUAUCAAAUUGUAUAAAAAUUAUAUGCUUUAAAUUCCUAAAAAAAUACAACUGCUAAACCAUUAAAUAUCAAAUUUUCUGAAAAUAACAACUGCUAAGCCAUAAUUAGAUGUAUCUUUUUCGUAAAACGAGAAUCCUCAUUCAAGAUAAAAUAAAAAAAAAUAAAAUAUAAUUAGUAAGAUGAAAGACUGCAACAUCCUCUCAAAUAGUAUAACAUGCUCUUCCAAAUAUGGUGCAUAUUUUACACUAUUUGUACAGAUAUUUACACCAUUUAUAUAAAUAUUGCACUAUUAUGAGAGGAUGUUGCACAAUUUUGAUGUGUGUUGCACUCUUUCUUUUUAAAAAUUAAAUGCUAUUGCAUAUUAAAUAAAGUUUUAAAUUUUCGGAUCGAAUUUUCAAAAAGAUGACAAAACUACUCCUCUAUCAAAAUGCAUAAAAAUUAUAUAUACCUUUUUCGUGAAACGAGAAUCCUCAUUCAAGACAAAAUAAAAAUAAUAAAGUAUAAUUAAUAAAACGAAAGACUGCAAUAUCCUCUCAAAUAGUGUAACAUACUCUUCCAAAUAAUACAAUAUCUAUAUAAGUAGUGCAAUAUAUGCAUUAUUAAUACACAUUUUGCGUGAUUUUUACACUAAAUUAUGUAUAGUUUAGUAUAUUACGCAAAAAUAAUAUAAUAUAUUACAAUUUGCUAUAAAAGUAAUACAAUAUAUGUAUAAAUAGUGCAUAUUUUACACUAUUUGUACAGAUAUUUAUACCAUUUGUGUAAAUGUAGCACUAUAUUAUGAGAGGAUGUUGCACAAUUUAGAUGUGUGUUAUACUAUUUCUUUUUAAAAAUUAAAUGUUAUUGCAUAUUAAAUAAAAUUUUAAAUUUUUUGAAGUUGUCACAAUAUCUAUAUAAAUAAUGCAACAUAUGCAUUGUUUAUACACAUUUUGCAUGAUUUUUAUACUAAAUUAUGUAUAGUUUAAUAUAUUACGCGAAAAUAAUAUAUUAUAUAUUACAAUAUACUAUAAAAAUAAACAAUAUAUGUAUUAAUGAUGCAUAUUUUACACUAUUUGUACAGAUAUUUACACCAUUUGUGUAAUGUUGCACUAUAUUAUGAGUGGAUGUUACACAAUUUAGAUAUGUGUUACACUCUUUCUUUUUAAAAAUUAAAUGUUAUUGCAUAUUAAAUAAAAUUUUAAAUUUCUUGAAAAUGACAACUUCUAAACCAUAAUUACAUAUACAUUUUUCGUGAAACGAGAAUUGUCAUUCAAAACAAAAUAAAAAGAAUAAAAUAUAAUUAAUAAUACGAAAGAGUGCAACAUCCUCUCAAAUAGUGCAACAUGCUCUUCCAAAUAAUACAAUAUCUAUAUAAGUAGUGUAACAUAUAUAUACAUUGUUAAUACAUAUUUUACAUGAUUUUUAUACUAAAUAAUGUAUAGUUUAACAUAUAUAUACAUUGUUAAUACACAUUUUACAGAGUCUCCCCUAUACGUCCAAGGCAUCACAAUACAUACAAAGCGCGAGGUUCCAACCAGGAACAAUAUUCAAACAAGGAUUGCAUAAGGAAGUAUCAAAAACAUAAAUACAGCUAAGUUAUUACAAUCAUUCAACUCACAUUCUAUAUUUUACAUCACAUUUUACAUUCUUUAAGUCUCUUUUUAUCUUCCAAAUACAAUCAAGUUUCCAACAUAAUUAUUACAACAUUGAUCAUUUCAUUCCUAUACCCCUAAACUAAGCCGACUUAGGGUACUGCUAUCUCUGGUCUCGAUGGUAGUGCGCUAACUACGGAGCUACGCCCUUUCCUCGCGUCGCUGCGCCGCUCACGUGUGACCCCCAAAAACAACACGGGGGUGAGAACUAUUGUCCAUAGUUUCCAGUGGGUACGGCCACCCAAGGGAAAAGCUUGACCCACCAGGUCCAAAGGAGGCACUGCAAACAUGUUAGUCCAACAGAUAUCCACAGAUAAUAUUUAUGCAAAUAUUAAAUACAUGUUUAUGCCUCAAGACAUGCAAUAUAUAAUUCAUGCAACUCAUGCAAGUAGAUUAAUUGAUUCUACUCUCUAUCAUUUACCAUUCUUUAUAUUAUUAGCAAUUCUUUGCCACCUGUCAUUCUUUACUUUUUAUUCUUAACCACACUUCACUCAAUUGUCAUUCUUUCCUAAGGUUAUAUUUACCUUAGCCAGCUAUGCCACUCGACUCGGUCUUGAGUCAAUUCAUGAUGAAUGCAAGAUUUCAUUACCCAAUCUUUUGGCUAACCCGUAGGUCUCGCCCUCAACGACUCACCAACCAAAUCCCUAAUAUCGGGAAGAUACCCGCUACAACCCAAAGGGACCGUCCUCUGGGGAGAUACUCGCUACGACCCAAUGAUGACAACUCCGGAGCUCAUCUCCCGAGGGAAAGCUACCACCCUCGAGCAAGGACUUACAGGUGAGUAUGAUCCAAUCCUUAACUUUAAGGAUUCCAAGUUCAAUCCAUUCCUUAUUUAAGAAAAAUCAUGCUCAUAUGACCCUUAACUCUAAGGUUUCUAUGUCACAAUGGCACUAUACCUCUUUACUUGCAUUCUUUAACUUACACUAGUGUCAUGUACACUACUUUGUUCUUUGUACUCAUUCACUAAUGCCACACUUGUUCUCUAAGUGUUCAACAUGCCAUAAGUGUUCCCACUACACUAAUCAUAUGCCACUCAAUCUAUUUGACAUCCUACUUGUUCACAUCGCAUAUCAUAGUUCAAUUCAUACGUCAUUGUUUUCCAAUGUCGAGUUCUCUAAUUCACCUAGAGUUUAUCGACCCAAGUUUAACAUGCAAAUGUCAAUUAACAUAACCCUCUAUAUGUCAACAUGCAUAGUUCAUCUAUCAUAUGCAAUACGUCAUCAUGUAUAUAUCUCCAUUUAACAUAAUCCACAAUAUAUUAAUUCAUAAUAUGUCAUCAUGCACAUAUACCAACUAGCAUAUUUCUAAUAAUAUCAACAUUCAUAUGUUCUUUAGCAUUUCAUGCACAUGCAUACUUUAGCAUCUAGAUCAUUCAUUCUCUUAGCAUAUAGCUUAUGUAUUCUUUAUUAAUAUCUCAUUUAUGCAUUCUUGAUUAGUAUAAUCCCAUACAUUCAUUUACUUUACAAUCAACUACCAAUGCAAUUAGCCAUCAUAAUGUAUGUAUGCAUCAAUUAGAAAAUCAUACUCCACUUCGACAUGGAAACGACCUAAUCGCUUCGGUGAGCACAACCCACCUCGUAACGCUCUCCGAUUGCUUGUAGUCACUUGCAAUCGGCCUCCCAUGGUACUCGUUGCCCGGUUCAGUCCGAACUCGCGCGCGACCACCCAAACGGCCACCAAUCCACAAUCCGAAAAUUAAGGGUCUAUAACUUGAUGCCACAAUGCUCCGGAUCCACUUUCAUGAUUUUUGGACGCCGCCUGGACCCUCCAGGCAGAAAUGAAGCUGAAACGUCCGUUUCCUCAAUAUCUUCGCAUAGACUCGAUGAAUCGCCGAACCGACUUCGCCAACGCGUUCGUAUACCUAGCAAUUAGGUUUACAUAGGGUUAAAUUAGAUCAUGCCCUUAUAUUUUGCAAAAUUCUAUUUUUGAGCCCUAAGAUACACUAUUGCAAGAAAUCAUCAUAUAAUCUCUUAAUUUAUGCAAUAGUCAUCCAUUUAGUAUCUAAGGAUUCCUUUAAAUCUAUUCUUGGAGCAUAUAAUUAAAGCUCUAAAGAUCUAUCAUUAUAAACCUAGCCUCUACACAUGCUCCAAAUAACCUAAAUUAAAUUGAUCUAACAUGCUAAUCAACACAUUAGAGGCUACUAGAAUACUAAGCGUUAAGGAUUAAGCCAAAUCCCAAAAGCUUACCAAAAUGUAAACGCCGAGACGGAAGCAUGCCGCUCCAACGGGCGCACGAAAGCUCAAUCCGUUGCUCCCAAUGCAUUUGCAAGCUCGCUCUCCACCGACCCUCAAAUUUCUAGAGAGAGAUCUAGAGAGAUGAGAGAGAUCUUUAGAGAGAGAAAGGAGAGUUUUCUCUCUCCUCCAUUCCAUGCGUGUGAAUGUGAUGGUGGUGGUAGUGUGGCUGCACGGUUGAGGGAGAAGAAGAAGCAAAUGCUUCAUAUAUAAUUAAAACCCUCAAAGCACUAUUCACUUCAGUUUGUAGCUCAGGUACAGAUAUUUUUCGCCUGCCCUUCUGAAUGUCCGUUUGAGCUCAAAUUUGGCAGUCAUGCUCGGUUUUACUUAACUUAACGAAAGAAAUUUUAAUGUUUCAAUUUUGACCCCGUUUGGUCACCGAAAGCUCUACCGAACUGUAAUCUCUAGCAGAUAGCAGUUCGAUUUUAUUCUCCACCUUUUGGGUAUCAGAAUGAUAUGAAACUUUAAAUUUAGCCUCAUAAAAAUUAAUUCUGACAUAUACUCCAGUUUUCAUAAUUUUCUGACACUGUGCAUUUUUUGCUAAUUUAUCUGCCCCGUUUCCAACAAAAAAUUUUAAAUCUUCUGUUUUCAUUCCGAUUUCAGCACAAGUCACUUCUGACUUAUGUUUUACUUUUCUAAAUCCGAUAAAAAUAGUAUCUCACACUAUUUUUAUUUAUUUUUUGUCACGCCCCGGAUUACACUUUCCCCGGGCGCGCCGACAGAUCCGCCGUAUACAAAGGAAUUUUUCCCUGUAUACGAAGCGAUUGCUAUACCUGUAAAUCAAACACUACUACGAACAGUAGUAGAGAGCUGCUAGAGAAAACAGAAGCUAAACAAACUGAGUUUCAUAUACAUAGUCCAAAUCCAAAAUACAAAGCUACUCGCACUGGCGAGUUAAGUCCACUAUGUACAUAAACUCGAAACAAAACAUCUACCCGCAGUAGGGUGCCUCAAACUCUGUCAGUCGGGUAGGGCUCUAACUCACGACGCCCUUGCCUCGAUCCUGAUCCGCGGAAGGCGCAGCAACCGAAAUCUGUGGCUCUGCAAAACAGGGGUAACAACUGGGCGUGAGAACUACUGUAAAAACAAGUAGUCCUCAGUGGGUACCGCCCAAAACAACAUCGGUCCACCCACUAAGUCUACAGGAGGGAGCAAGAAUAGUAGGAAAAGCAGGAAACAAACUCAACCGCUACAAAUCACUAUACUAUCAUGCUCUACACUAACCAACUGUAGGAAAUGUCAAAUCUGACCCAAUCCAAUCGGGACUGUAGACAUACCCGUCCCUGGGACUGUGAACACACCCGUCCCUGCCCCGUUGCGACUAUCGGGCUCUAUCCACACUAACUGGUCCGUGGAGAGCAAGUCCAACUGGCAUGAGCGACACCAACGCAAAAGCACAAGCCUGACUCCGGAGUGGCACUCGUGGGCGCUACCCAACCGAGUAUGCAGCGUAUCUCUGUCGAGCUCAAUCAGGCUCCAACUAGCCAAAGUCAAGUAAUCGACUUAAACUGGUCUAACAACCAACAGGUAACGUGCCCUCGGCACAAUCUGACGCCAAAAAGGCGAUACGGUCCACCGUCAACUCUGACGGCACCCAACAGUCCGAAACGGCCUGAACGACCCUGCAAAAAUUCACUCGGCGAACCAGCACGAGUGUAAAUACAUUCUAAACUACCCAAGGUAUCCAUUGCACUGACUCGGCAACGAUACAAUCGAACACGGCUCCUAGAGCUAAAUCUGGUAGUUUAAGCAUAUGACGGGUCAAAACGCAGGUUUUCUCCUAAGUCAAAUUUCAAGUCCAACAUGUAUAAUUUAAAUAUUCAUUUCAGCAUGCUUCUACAUUCAUAUUACAUUCAAAAUGCUAAUCGAUGAAUUAAAGCAUGAUUUACAACACUCGAACUAUACACGUUGACUAACAUGCACUUAGGAGCGAAACCGAUGAAACACCCACCUCUAAUGCAAUUCCUGGCAGCAAUAGGGUCUCGGAUCCUCAAGCAACACUGCUGGAAACCUCUUCAAACCAGCAACAAAGCCCCUUAAGAUCUGGAUUUACAAUGCACCCAAAAAUCCAAUAAAAAUCAUCAAAAUCCACAAUUCAGUCCAAGUACACAGCAGCAGAGAAGAGAAGGGUUUCGACCAAGCUAACCUUCACCAAAAUCCACAAGUAAGGACUUCGUGGAUUCUUCUCGCAGUCCCGAAACCAACGAAUCAAGUCUCGACGAAAUCCGAUGCUCCUACGUCGAGUACGAGCUGAAAUACUAACAGUCGACGAUGAAUUUCAGCAAAACAGCAUUUAAGCUUAAAUAUCUCAAUUCCAAUGUCAAAACUCACCAAACGAACUCCAAAUCAGGUGGAGAGGGUCCCAAUUCCAGUACUGGGUGAUAGGGAAAAUAACUCAACUCCACAAAGCCCCUGCUUCCCAAGUUCACCCCAAGAAAACAUCAAAAAUUGGCAAAUUCUGUCCAAAGCAACAACAGCAGAGGAAAACCUGAGUUCGACUGAGCUAACCUUCACCAAAUUCUGCAAAUUAGGGCUUCGUGGAUUCCUCUGGAAGUCAAGAAUCCAGCAAACCAAGUUUCGUUGAAAUCCGACCUUCCUACGUCACGCACGAGCCAAAACACUGGAGGUCGUCGCUGAAGAACUGCAAAAUCAGCACCUUGCAAUUCUUGGAGAGGUGGAUCUUGAUGCAAAUUGGAAAGAUUUGAGGGAUUUGGGAGUAAAAUCUAAGUCCUCUGUGAAGAACAGGUAAAAGAGCUCAAAGGGGGCGCUUCUCAGCUAUUUAUAGGCUGCUGGAUAGAUCAGAUAAGCCCCAGGAAAAAUAGCCGCAAUCCAGUGCCCCUGCAGAAACGGGCGUUUCUGGGCGCCCGGAACCAUGUUCUGGGCGACCAGAACAUCCGGCCUGCACAAAAUGGGCCCCUCGGACUCUCCGCCCGCGGUGUGCUGCGCCCGUAAACGGCACCGGCGGAACUCACCUACCGCCCUGCCACGCGUCGAAGCAAGCGAUAUUCACGAGGUGAAAUUUCCGGACCCACUUCUGGGCGCCCGGAACAUGGGAUCCGAAUUGGCUUCCAGUUUCAGUUAAAAUCAACACUCGUUUCUGGGCGACCCUAACAAUGUUCUGGGCGCCCGAAUCUGGCAAAACUCCAGUUUUGCUUAUUUGAGUGCGCCGAGUCCAAUUCUGCAUCCAAUUCGUGCAGAAUUGACUCCGACUCAGUCCGACACUCUCCAGAGAUGUCGACCAGUCUAUAAUACUGAAGCCAAUCCUAUCCAAAGCUCAGGAACACUACAUCCUCCCCCACUACAAAAAGUUUCGUCCGCGAAACUGUACACAUACCUCAAUCCAGGGCCUCAAACAGGUAGGGGUAGGACUCCUUCAUCACCGCCUCCGGCUCCCAAGUCGCCUCCCGCUCCUCGUGAUUACUCCACUGCACCUUUACAAAGGGUAUGACCCGGUUGCGCAAUUCCCUCGACUCACGAGCCAGAAUCCGCACCGGUCGCUCCUCGUAGCUCAGGUCCUCGCCAAUCUCAAGCGGAGUGAAGUCGAUCACGUGGGAGGGGUCGAACACAUAUUUCCUCAAAGCCGAGACGUGGAACACAUCAUGAAUGCCGGCUAGCCGUGGUGGUAGAGCAAUCCUGUAAGCAACUGGCCCGACUCGCUCCAAUACCUCGAAAGGGCCUACAAAACGUGGACUGAGCUUUCCACGUACACCAAAUCGGCGAAUCCCUCUGGACGGCGAGACUUUAAGAAAAACAUGAUCUCCCACCUGGAACUCCAAGUCUCGUCUCCGGGUAUCAGCAUAGCUCCUCUGUCGACUCUGGGCUGCUAAUAUGUGCCGUCGCGCCUCUUUUACCUUUUCCUCAGCCUCAAUCAGAAUCUCAGGCCCAAGCGUCCUCCUCUCACCCACAUCACUCCAAAACAAAGGGGAUCGACAUCUGCGUCCAUACAACGCCUCAAACGGAGCCAUCCGGAUGCUCGCUUGAUAGCUGUUGUUGUACGCAAACUCAACCAGUCUCAAAUGCCGAUACCACCCUCCUCCAAAGUCCAAGACACAUGCCCUCAGCAUGUCCUCUAGAGUCUGAAUGGUCCGCUCUGACUGACCAUCUGUCUGUGGGUGAAAUGCUGUGCUGAACUGCAACUGAGUGCCCAAGGCCGUCUGAAGACUCCUCCAGAAGUGCGAUACGAACCUCGGGUCCCGGUCGGAUACUAUCGAAGUGGGCACGCCAUGCAACCUCACUAUCUCAUCCAAGUACAACUGAGCGAGUCUCUCUCUGGACCAAGUGGUCUGCACUGGUAAGAAGUGAGCAGACUUGGUCAGUCUGUCCACUAUCACCCAAAUCGCAUCAAAACCACCCUGUGCUCUCGGCAAUCCGACGACAAAGUCCAUCGUGAUCUGCUCCCAUUUCCACUCGGGCACUGGUAGACUCUGAAGCUUGCCAGCAGGUACCUGAUGCUCGGCCUUUACCUGUUGACAAGUCAGACACUGAGCCACAAAUCUACCAAUGUCCCUCUUCAUUCCAUUCCACCAAAACUGAGCCUUUAAAUCCUUAUACAUUUUGGUUCCACCGGGGUGAACCGUAUAAGGUGAACAGUGAGCCUCUCUCAAGAUGUCCUCUCGGAUCUCUGAAUCCAUAGGUACACACAGUCGGUCCCUGUACCGCAGUACUCCCGAACUGUCCACAACAAAGCCCUCGGCCUGUCCCCUCUCAAGCUGCUCUCGAAUCCUCGACAAGUGUGGAUCCCCACUCUGUUUCUCUCGAAUCCUAUCUAACAGAGUGGGCUGCAAGAUCAUAGACAUCAAUCUCGCAGUAAAUCCAGGGGACACUACCUCGAGUCCCAGCCGUCUCAGCUCCUCGAGUAACGGUCUCUGCCGAGUGAUCAACAUACUCAAGCUCUGCACUGCCUUCCUGCUCAACGCAUCUGCCACCACAUUCGCCUUGCCGGGAUGAUACUGGAUACUGAUGUCAUAAUCCUUCAGCAACUCCAACCACCGGCGCUGUCUCAAAUUCAACUCCUUUUGGGUGAACAGAUACUUGAGACUUUUAUGAUCAGUAAAAAUCUCGCAGUGCUCGCCGUACAAGUAAUGCCGCCAGAGCUUCAAAGCAAAAACCACCGCGGCAAGCUCCAAGUCAUGCGUAGGGUAAUUCUUCUCAUAAUCCUUUAACUGCCGUGAAGCAUAAGCAAUCACCCUACCAUGCUGCAUCAGCACGCAACCAAGUCCACUGUGCGAUGCAUCACUGUAGAUCACAAAUCCUUCGCCCAUAACAGGAAGGGCAAGGAUAGGAGCCGACAUCAACCUCAAUCUCAACUCGUCAAAGCUCCUCUGACAGUCGUCGCUCCAGACAAAACGAAUCCCCUUCCGCGUCAAGCGCGUGAGGGGUGUGGAAAGCUUCGCAAAGCCUUCCACAAACCGACGGUAAUAUCCUGCCAGUCCCAGGAAGCUCCGUACCUCAGUAACCGUCGUCGGUCUAGGCCAAUCUCGAAUCGCCUCAAUCUUCUUCGGGUCCACUGCUACGCCCUCAGCUGAAAUCACGUGGCCCAAGAAAGCAACCUCCCGUAGCCAGAACUCGCACUUCUUUAACUUGGCAUACAACUUCUUCUCGCGCAGAAGCUGUAGCACAAUCCUCAAGUGCUCCUCAUGCUCAGCAUCACUCCGGGAGUAAAUCAGGAUAUCGUCGAUGAAGACUACCACAAACCUAUCCAAGAACGGCUUGAACACUCUGUUCAUCAAAUCCAUGAAUGCGGCAGGGGCAUUCGUCAAUCCAAAAGGCAUCACCGUGAACUCAUAAUGCCCGUACCGAGUCCGAAAAGCCGUCUUGGGAACAUCCUCGGCCCUCACCCUCAGCUGGUGGUAACCUGACUGGAGAUCAAUCUUCGAAAAGACACAAGAUCCUUGCAGCUGAUCGAAUAGAUCAUCAAUGCGCGGCAGAGGAUACUUGUUCUUGAUGGUCACUUUAUUCAGCUCCCGGUAAUCCACACAUAACCUGAGCGAACCAUCCUUCUUCUUUACAAAUAACACCGGCGCUCCCCAAGGCGACACACUGGGUCUCACAAACCCUCUAUCCAUCAGAUCCUGAAGUUGCGCCUUUAGCUCUCUCAGCUCUGCCGGUGCCAUCCUGUAAGGUACCUUUGAGAUUGGUGCAGUUCCAGGAACUACAUCAAUCACAAACUCAAUCUCCCUCUCCGGCGGCAAUGUCGUCAACUCAGGGGGAAACACAUCCGAAAACUCGCGGACUACUGGGAUGUCCUCGAGUCUCGGCGCCGCCGUAGGUACCUCCACAACUGUCGCUAGGAAAGCGAUACACCCACUGCUCAGCAUCUGUCGAGCCCUCGCCGAAGAUAUCCAGGUGGCAAACAGCGUGCUCCUGCAGCCUCUGAAAGUAAACUCCUCCUGGCCUGGCUCGCGGAACGUCACCGUCCUCGCUCCACAGUCGAUCGUAGCAUAGUACCGCGCCAGCCAAUCCAUACCGAGCACUACGUCGAAGUCCUGCAGCUGCCCUAACACCAACAGGUCUGCGGGCAUGAUCCAAGAGUCUAACUGCACCGGACAGGACCAACAACACUCUGUAACCUGCAAGACAUGGUCGGGGAUCUGCACCUCUCGUGCCUGAGACAACGCUCCUAACUCUAGACCAUGCAACAAUGCAAAUGCUCGGCUAACAAAGGAAUGCGAUGCACCGGUAUCAAAAAGAGUGCGAACUCUAAUGCCAGAAAUCAAAGUGAUACCUGCCACCACUCGGUCGGCUGCUGAAGAGUCCUCCACCUGAGCUGCAUAGACCCUGCCACUCGGAGCCUGCUGUCGCCGCUCACUCGACCGCGGCACAGACGAUCUGUCCUCCUGGCGGUAGCUCGGUGCUGCUCCGUAAGACUGCUGUGGUGCUGGUGGUGCCGAAGCUGAUGACGGUGCUGGAGAUGCUGCUCGGGGACAAGCUGCCCUCAUGUGUCCCGGCUGACCACAUCCGUAGCACCUGCCCUCUCUCUGCUCGCACUGCCGAGGCCAGUGUGGUCCCCCGCAGAUCACACACUGUGGCGUCCUCUGAGUCUGCCCCUGCUGACGGGAUCCCCUGGAACGCUGACGCCCCGAAGACCCACGACCCUGAGAACGUGAUCGUGGAGGUCUCGGCGGACGUCUGCUGCUCGACUGCCCUCCGUCAUCUGGAAAGGGGCGCUUCCUGUCCUGACCCUGCCCCACGGCCUGAGUCCUCUCCUGCAGCGACACCUCACCUCUCUCCACCCAUAGGGCCUGCUCUAUGGACGCAUCCAGGGUCCUCGACCUCUGCGCCCGCACUAACCUGAAGAUGUCCGGUCUCAGCCCCUGCUCGAACAUGUAUACUCUGUGCGCCUCGUCUCUGGCCGCAAAUGGUACACAGUUCAGGAGUCGAGUAAACUCCCGAACGUACUCCUGCACUGGGCGAUCUCCCUGCUGAAGCCUCCUCAAAUCCUCCUCGAGCUUCUGCUUCACACUGUUGGGAAAGAACAUCCCAAACAGCAUUCCACAGAACUCGUCCCAACUCAGCUGCGCCGCCACUAGCCCCUGGUCUCGCCUCGUCCUCCGCCACCAGUCAUGAGCAUCACCUGCUAGACAGUGUACUCCCAGGGGUACCUGCUCCCCCUCUGGAACGAACAGAUCCUCGAAUAACUUCUCCAUCGCACUGACCCAUCCCUCAACAAUCCAGGCCUCAGUGCCUCUGCCAUCGAAGAUCGGUGGAUCAAAUCGGCGAAAACGAGCUAACCUCUCCGUCCACCGCUCCUGCUCGGCCUCAGUCAACGGUACUGGCCCCCUAGCAGGCGCAACUGGCGCUACUGGAACUGCUGCCGAUGGAGGAACUGCUGCAGCUGGUGCUGUCACUGGAGUAGUCGGGGGUGGAACUGGCGACUCUGGUGCCCUCGGUACAGAACUCGGUGGCUGAGCUAUCCUCUCACACAACCUCUGCAAUAGCUCCCCCUGCUGUCUCGUCACCUCGGUCAGGGCAGCUAACUGUGCACUCAGAUCAGGGGGUGCGCUAGUCUCUGGUCGCGCACUCGGCUCCACAACAGGGGGUACACUCGCCCCCAGUCUGUCACCCUGCUCCUGCCGAGUACUCUGCUCCAUCUGCUCAGAUCUCUCAGAAGGUCCAGCAUGAUCCCGCGCCAACUGGGCACGCUCCCGCAACGACGGUCGACCUCGGCGACGAUACAUAGCUGAAAGGAACAAAUCGGGGUCAGAUACAACAAAACACUCUCGACCCAAUCAAACGAAAGUCUAGAAGGCGGUCCCUGUUUCCCUCCAAAAUUAUGUCGUCUGCAGCCAACAUAAUUUCUCAGGCCGAAACAGAAACUCCUUCAGUCACUCACUCUGCUCUAAGAGGAGUUAGAACAAAUAAUCAUUGACUUUCGCAAUAAAAUUACGCCUCUCACGUCUUGCUUCCCUAAGGUUUGCCAAACUUAGGUUUCCUAGGUCCCCACGACCUACAGCAAAGCUCUGAUACCAACUUAAUCUGUCACGCCCCGGAUUACACUUUCCCCGGGCACGCCGACAAAUCCGCCGUAUACAAAGGAAUUUUCCCUGUAUACGAAGCGAUAGCUGUACCUGUAAAUCAAACACUACUACGAACAGUAGUAGAGAGCUGCUAGAGAAAACAGAAGCUAAACAAACUGAGUUUCAUAUACAUAGUCCAAAUCCAAAAUACAAAGCUACUCGCACUGGCGAGUUAAGUCCACUAUGUACAUAAACUCGAAACAAAACAUCUACCUGCAGUAGGGGCACCUCUAGCUCAGCACGUCGGGUAGGGCUCUAACUCGCGACGCCCUUACCUCGAUCCUGAUCCGCGGAAGGCGCAGCAGCCGAAACCUGUGGCUCUGCAAAACGGGGGUAACAACUGGGCGUGAGAACUACUAUAAAAACAAGUAGUCCUCAGUGGGUACCGCCCAAAACAACAUCGGUCCACCCACUAAGUCUACAGGAGGGAGCAAGAAUAGUAGGAAAAGCAGGAAACAAACUCAACCGCUACAAAUCACUAUACUAUCAUGCUCUACACUAACCAACUGUAGGAAAUGUCAAAUCUGACCCAAUCCAAUCGGGACUGUAGACAUACCCGUCCCUGGGACUGUGAACACACCCGUCCCUGCCCCGUUGCGACUAUCGGGCUCUAUCCACACUAACUGGUCCGUGGAGAGCAAGUCCAACUGGCAUGAGCGACACCAACGCAAAAGCACAAGCCUGACUCCGGAGUGGCACUCGUGGGCGCUACCCAACCGAGUAUGCAGCGUAUCUCUGUCGAGCUCAAUCAGGCUCCAACUAGCCAAAGUCAAGUAAUCGACUUAAACUGGUCUAACAACCAACAGGUAACGUGCCCUCGGCACAAUCUGACGCCAAAAAGGCGAUACGGUCCACCGUCAACUCUGACGGCACCCAACAGUCCGAAACGGCCUGAACGACCCUGCAAAAAUUCACUCGGCGAACCAGCACGAGUGUAAAUACAUUCUAAACUACCCAAGGUAUCCAUUGCACUGACUCGGCAACGAUACAAUCGAACACGGCUCCUAGAGCUAAAUCUGGUAGUUUAAGCAUAUGACGGGUCAAAACGCAGGUUUUCUCCUAAGUCAAAUUUCAAGUCCAACAUGUAUAAUUUAAAUAUUCAUUUCAGCAUGCUUCUACAUUCAUAUUACAUUCAAAAUGCUAAUCGAUGAAUUAAAGCAUGAUUUACAACACUCGAACUAUACACGUUGACUAACAUGCACUUAGGAGCGAAACCGAUGAAACACCCACCUCUAAUGCAAUUCCUGGCAGCAAUAGGGUCUCGGAUCCUCAAGCAACACUGCUGGAAACCUCUUCAAACCAGCAACAAAGCCCCUUAAGAUCUGGAUUUACAAUGCACCCAAAAAUCCAAUAAAAAUCAUCAAAAUCCACAAUUCAGUCCAAGUACACAGCAGCAGAGAAGAGAAGGGUUUCGACCAAGCUAACCUUCACCAAAAUCCACAAGUAAGGACUUCGUGGAUUCUUCUCGCAGUCCCGAAACCAACGAAUCAAGUCUCGACGAAAUCCGAUGCUCCUACGUCGAGUACGAGCUGAAAUACUAACAGUCGACGAUGAAUUUCAGCAAAACAGCAUUUAAGCUUAAAUAUCUCAAUUCCAAUGUCAAAACUCACCAAACGAACUCCAAAUCAGGUGGAGAGGGUCCCAAUUCCAGUACUGGGUGAUAGGGAAAAUAACUCAACUCCACAAAGCCCCUGCUUCCCAAGUUCACCCCAAGAAAACAUCAAAAAUUGGCAAAUUCUGUCCAAAGCAACAACAGCAGAGGAAAACCUGAGUUCGACUGAGCUAACCUUCACCAAAUUCUGCAAAUUAGGGCUUCGUGGAUUCCUCUGGAAGUCAAGAAUCCAGCAAACCAAGUUUCGUUGAAAUCCGACCUUCCUACGUCACGCACGAGCCAAAACACUGGAGGUCGUCGCUGAAGAACUGCAAAAUCAGCACCUUGCAAUUCUUGGAGAGGUGGAUCUUGAUGCAAAUUGGAAAGAUUUGAGGGAUUUGGGAGUAAAAUCUAAGUCCUCUGUGAAGAACAGGUAAAAGAGCUCAAAGGGGGCGCUUCUCAGCUAUUUAUAGGCUGCUGGAUAGAUCAGAUAAGCCCCAGGAAAAAUAGCCGCAAUCCAGUGCCCCUGCAGAAACGGGCGUUUCUGGGCGCCCGGAACCAUGUUCUGGGCGACCAGAACAUCCGGCCUGCACAAAAUGGGCCCCUCGGACUCUCCGCCCGCGGUGUGCUGCGCCCGUAAACGGCUCCGGCGGAACUCACCUACCGCCCUGCCACGCGUCGAAGCAAGCGAUAUUCACGAUGUCGAAUUUCCGGACCCACAUCUGGGCGCCCGGAACAUGGGAUCCGAAUUGGCUUCCAGUUUCAGUUAAAUUCAACACUCGUUUCUGGGCGACCCUAACAAUGUUCUGGGCGCCCGAAUCUGGCAAAACUCCAAUUUUGCUUAUUUGAGUACGCCGAGUCCAAUUCUACAUCCAAUUCGUGCAGAAUUGACUCCGACUCAGUCCGACACUCUCCAGAGAUGUCGACCAGUCUAUAAUACUGAAGCCAAUCCUAUCCAAAGCUCAGGAACACUACAUUUUUAUUUUUAUACCAAAAUCUGGUAUGUUAAAACUAUACUACCACUAUCCAAAUCAUGCUCUUUGUAGACAUAGAAAUGCAUCACUAGCUACAAAUCAACCACACUGACCUAAUCUCAACAGACCGCCAACUGGCCAGUCCAGCCUGUGCCCAAACUAUACUACACACUACCCACGGGGGUGGCCGGUCCAAGAAAACUACCCAAACAGGACUGCUGCGACGUCAACGCAAGAAAAGCCUCACUCCGGAGCGGCACUCGUGGAAGCGACCCAACCGAAUAUGCAAACGUGUCUCUGUCGAGCUCAAUCAGGCUAACUGUCACAUCCCGCAACCGCCACUUUGGUCGGUUCGGGCGUGUCGACAGACGCCGAACGGACAGAGUUUUUCCUGGCUACCCAAGGCUAAACAACAACAAUCAUGUACAUCUAGUUGCCCGGGUAAACAUAAACAAUGUACAUGAACAAUACGAGUAUAAUACAAGCGAGAGUAAGAGAGAAACUAGCUAUUACAUUAACAUUCAACCAUUUUUACAUGUUUCCACCAACAUACAUACAUUGGUUUAUAAUUCUUCUUAUAAUAUAUGUACAUCCAUAACAACCUCACCCAAAAGUACAUCAAGUCUCUCAACCAAUAUACAACAUCUCUCAAAAUGGUACAUGACUCUAAUGCAUAGGAGGUUACUACCUAGGGCGCUAUGCCCUUAUCGCGGUCCUCGAUCGGUCCCCUCUUGCUCGGCCCUGCAACAAAGUGGGAUGAGAACUAAUAAUAGUUCCCAGUGGGUUCGGCUACCGACGCCGCCAAUUUUUUCACUAGGUCUAAGCAGGCAAAAGUAGAAAGGGUUAGCAAUAUACAAAUAUCUAGCAUGCUACUAUGCCUCAGCAAUAUGAAACAAUAAAUAGAUAUGGUAAAUAGUAAACCGGUAAUAGCAACUACUAUGCUCAUGAUGCAUGCCAUUUUUAUUUCAUAACCUAAUCAUUCCAGCUAACCCGAAGGUUGAGCCCCGACUCACAGCCGAAUCCCGCAACGUGAGGAGACGUCCGCUAUACUCACCCGGGACUGUCUGCGGGAUAGCUACGUUAACCCCUACCGUGAAGUACUCCGGAGACCACUGCUUGGCUGGAGCGACCACCGCCAAGCAAAACAGAUGUAUGUGAACAUGAUCCAAUCCUCUAACCCGAAGAUACCCUACCAACUAGUGGUAACCAAGUCCGAAAAAAUACCAAUCCCAAUCCUCAUAUCCUGAGUGAUCACGAUUCUCUAACCAAUGCCACAAUGUCACAAUGUCUCUACCUAAUGCCACAAUGUCUCUGGCUAAUGCUACAAUGUCACAAUGUCUCUACCUAAUGCCACAAUGUCACAAUGUCUCAUUGUCUUGUCGAAUGCCACUUUUGAUGCCACAUGUUCCAAGUUCUCAUUUUCAUGCCGCUAUAGAGUUCUUUGUUCACACCCAAUCCUCAUGCACAUAACACUAUGUUCCUUCUCAUAUUUCCACAAAUACCAUGAGAGCAUGCAAGGAAUGGAACAACCAACAAGCUACUCUACAAUGCAUGAAUGCUAAACAUGAACAUAUAUGGCCAAUGAAGUAACAUAGACAUAAAAGAAAAUCCGGAUGUUCCGGAUAGCACCCCCCACCUCUAAACACUGCCGAGGUGCGAGAAUCCUAAGCUCAUAAUUUUUAGACGUCGCUUCAGUUCGACACAACGGAAACGAAGCGAAAACGGUACUUUCUCUCGAGAACUUGCCACACACCCGUAGGAACUCCGGUUUGAGUUGCUCACCGUGUCGGUUUAACCUUCAAUUAGGUUUCCAUAAGAUUAAUUUACAUCUAACCCAAGCUCAUGGCAAAACCCCAUUUUGAAACCCUAAAAUCCACUAUAGCUAGAAUACACUAAACAAACUCAUGAUUCAAGCAAUAGACAAUUUAGCAUCAUCUAAGGUUUCCAUUUACAUCAAUUCUAAGGGAUUUAAACCAAACCUUAGCUAUCUACCAUUAGAGGUCAAGAAGCUUACCUAAAAUAAGCUUCCCUCUCAAGCUAAGGAAGAAGAAGAGGAAGAAGCUUCACCUCCAAGCACCACUCCACCAACUUCUCCUCUUGGUCUAACCCUAGGAGAGAGAGAGAGAGACUUCUUAGAGAGAGAGAGAGAGAGAAACCUUUUCUCUUAGGUUUUGGUCAAGUGAGGGGGAAAUGAGAGAGAUGAAAGAAGCCCCACUUAUAUACACCCUAUAUAUAUACAAUUGCACCCAACACCUCACACUUUACAAGCUGCCCUCACUGGGCAGUUUUCGGCUAUGGGGUGCGGACCCUGCACAGGGUCCAGACCCCAUAAGCACCCCAAAUGCGAAAAUUUUAGAAAAUUUUCCCAAGUGCUCACCAAGGCCCCUUACACCCUCAUGAGCCAUUGCAAGCCUUCGGAAUGCACAACGAACUUUUCUGAAGCCUUCCGAAGUGUUCAACACCGUACUUUGGUCAAUUUCGACCAAAGUUUGGUUUCGUACGUCGAGGAUCCAUUACCUUUCACUAACAAAGGCUAUAGUCAAUAUAAUAGGUCAAACUGGUCUAACAACCAAGGCUCACAUGCCCUUGGCAUAAUCUGGUACAAGAUGUAAGAAUCUGGGUCCACCAUCAGCCCCGACGGCACCCGACAGUACAAAACAAUCUAACACUGCUGUAAAAACGAGCUUAGCCCCUAAGCACGAGGGUAAUCUCAACCUACACUAGUCUAAGUGUCCACGACGUACUAACAGCGGUGAUACAAAAGGUAAAUCAGCUCCUAAAGCUAAAUAUGUUAACUUUUCGAAAAGUGCCAGGUAUAGGUUUAAUAAGUUUUCUCCUAAAUCAAAUUCCAGUUCAGUAGAUAAUAAUCAUUAUAAAUUAACUAAGAAUGCUCCAAAAUUUAGAUUUCAUUUAUAACAUGCAAAUCUACAGUUUGAGCUAUUAAACCGGAUGAUUAUACGCAAAACUAUACAUGCUGGAGUUUCACAAACUUAUGAGGAAUUCCGAAGGCUUCGGAUAACAUUAACCCACCUUAAACGCGACUCCAACAAAGGCAAGAAGUCGCUAGAGAAGACCCUGGAAAAGAUCUACCUCAAAACAGGCUAAAUCAGGUUGCUGUCAAGUUCUGGACCCUCCUGUGCCAACUUCUGGGCGCCCAGAACAGCAAGUUGGCAGCUACAACCUACACAAGUUCAACACGGAAUUAAAUCCAAUUCUGAAGUCCAAAAGCAGUGAAACUUCACCCAACUCACCUCUAAAUGCUCAAGAAUAAUCCUCCAGGUUCCUCACCAAAUUCAAGCUCAAAAAGGUCACCAAAAAGCCUUCACACCAAUUCGGACUAAUUUCUGGAUGCUCAGAAUCUGCAUCCAGAAUUUCAGCACUUAAGCAAUUUUGCAACUCAACUCAAAUCUGAGGAUUAAUUCUAGCUUAUAAAACCAAUGGAGUUGGGUCACAAACCUCCCAAAUGAAAUAGAGAAUCAAUCCAAAUCCAUCCAUAAGCCUUCCAUAAAAAUCUGGAUUUAAAAUUACAAGAUUUUACAUUAAAACCUCAAAAUCAGCAUAUAUAAGCUCAUUUAUCCAAAUCUGAGCUAAAACUCACCUCUCACAUCUCGAAUUCAGGUGGGGAAAGCUUCAAAACCAGUAGAGGAUGAUGGAAAACCAAUUUCCGCAUCAAAAAUCCAGCUCUCAAAGCAUUCGGAUCCAAAAACAUCAAGAAAACCUCAAUUUCAGCUCAAGAACACUAAAAUCUCAAGAAAACAGCAAUUUGAUCAUACUAACCUCAAUUACAUGCUGUUAAAUUGGUUCCACACACUCUCCCACAUGUCCACAAUCCUCCAAAUCAAGUUUCACAGGAUUUGGAUGCUUCUACGCCGCACAUGAGCCAAAUAUCUAAAGGUUGCUGCUGGAAUCCUGCUGAAUUUUCAAGUCCUCAAUGCCAAAAGUGAAAUUUUGAAGAUGUGGAGGGGCUAGAAUGCAAAAUUACAUGCUCCCUGUGAAGAAGAGGUGAAAAGGGUUCACUGAGGUCAUCCACAGCUUUUUAUAGAAGUAGGAGUUAAGUGUAAUAGGUCUCAAGAACAAACACUGCUAACCUGUCUCUCUACAGGAAAACCAAGUUUUGGGUGCCCUAAACCCAGUUCUGGGCACCCAGAACUUCUAGCCUGCACAAUUCUGUCCUCGAGUUCUUCGUCCAGCGAUCUGGUGUGUCCUAAAAUGGUCCGGCAGAUCUCACCUACCACACCCACGUGUCAACACAAUCAAUAUUUACGAAGUGAACUUUCGGAUCUAGUUUCCGGGUGCCCUAAACAUGGUCCGAAAUGACUCCAAAAUCUAAUACAAAACAGCACUCAAGAGUAUGAAUGGCUCGUCGAUUCGGAAGCUAUGUAAUGGAGUGGGUCGUCGAUUCGAAAGCUCCAUCAUUGAAAACAACUCAUGAGUAUGAAGGGCUCUAUACUCAUAAGAGUAUAGUAGCCCUACUAUAUAUAUGUAUAUAUACAGUGUAGAGCUAUGCUAACGGAAGUAUAAAGGACUUAGUAUUUUCGACUUUUUGGCCCUUGGAUCAAGGAUUGAAUGGUUAGGACAAUUCGGUCCUCCCAGGGUUGAGUGGUCCCCUUAAGGUUGAGUGGUCUCCACAAGGUAAUAAUAUUAAUCCAAAUGUUAGAACUGAUCAAAAAGGUUGAUCUAAGGGCCAAAAAGUCGGAAGCAUAAGAUCCUCUAUACUUCCGAUAGCAUAAUAGCUCUACUAUAUAUAUAUAUAUAUAUAUAUAUAUAUAUAGAAAGAUAGAGAGAGAGAGAGAGAGCUAGGCUAGUAUACCAUCGGUAGCACGAAGCCCUCCGUACUACCAAUUAAGUUGUUUUCAAUUAUACGGCUUCCAAAUCGACGAUCGAUUUCGUUAGACUUGAUAUACACUAUUAAAAGUGUUUAGAAACUAAAUUUUAUAAUUUUUCGACAUCAUUUUGCUAGUGAUCAUAAGGUCUCAAAAUUGACAAUUUUAAGGAUUGAUGUGAUGCAUUUGUAAAUUUAACGAUGUAAAACAAUUCAAAUUUGAUAAAAUUUUUAUAGAAUUCUUUUUUACUAUUUAGAGUAAGAUUAGUACCUUUGAUCGUAAAUUCAAGUUUUUUAUCAUUAUUAUUUAUAAAAUUUUUAUUUUCAGCCAUUCAUUUUUAGACUACUCGUUUGAUUGGUAAAUGAUGUCCAAAAAUUAUGAAAUUUAGUUUUCAAAUACUUUUAAUUGUGUAGAUGUGACACCCCAGUAGUCCCACAUCGGAUGGGAAAGGGGUUGUCAUUGGGUUGAUAAGAGACUUAGACACUAGUAAUAAUAACUGGGCUUAAGCAUUUUGGGCUGUGGUUGGGCCCAACGAGUUAUUAUUGCUAGUGGGCUGGAUCGUUAUAUUUGGUAUCAGAGCCGGUUCACCAGCUGGACAUGUGUGGCGAGUCUCGGCUGAGUCAGGGUCUGAAUGACGGGCUAGCGAGACGAGUCUCACAUCGCCUGGUGAUCUUGGGCUGUGUGUGUGUUUGGACUGACGAGGACGUCAGGGCCUUAACGGGGGGAGUCUGUGACACCCCAGUAGUCCCACAUCGGAUCGGAAAGGGAUUGUCAUUGGGUUGAUAAGAGACUUAGACACUAGUAAUAAUAACUAGGCUUAAGCAUUUUGGGCUGUGGUUGGGCCCAACGAGUUAUUAUUGCUAGUGGGCUGGAUCGUUAUAGUAGAUAAAGUCUAAUGGCGGACCAAUCUUGAUUUCAAAACUAAAUCAGUUGAAAAACAAUCUUGUAUGCACGAAUGCUCGGUAUGCUGAUAUAUACCAGUCUAGUCUCUUUCUCUCGCUCUCUCUCUCUUCUCUGUCUCUUAUAUAUAUUAACAUAAUGAUAUAUAUAAUAAUAUAUAUAUCAAUGUAGUAAUAUAUAUAUAUAAUAUCUAUUGACUAAUAUAUAUAUAGGGCUUCUUUUGCAUUUGGUCUCCUCGAAAAAUUUAUUUUAAAAAUAGCCCAGCAAAUUUAUAUUUGCAAAAAUGACCAUAAUCCUAUCACGUAGGCGCCACGUGAGCAGAGCUGGGCCUGGUUUGUUAAGUUGAACAUGGUGAACCAUUCACCUUGUUUAAACACGGUGAAUAGUUCACUGUGUGUAAACACGGUGAAUGGUUCACCGUGUUUGGAAAAAAUACAAAUAUACAUAUUGCGAAAAAAUAUAAGAAAAAUAUAAGUACGGAACACGAUGAAUCAUUCACCAUAUUUGAAUACGGUGAAUGGUUCACCGUGUCUAGAAAAACUAUAUGUAUUGCGAAAAAAUAUAAAUAUUGAAAAUAGGGAAGAAGGGGAAUAUAAGUAUAGAACACGAUGAACCAUUCACCGUAUUUGAACACGGUGAAUGAUUCACCGUGUUCAACUUAACACCCCUCUAGCUUGCAUGGCGCUGAUGUGGCGCCUGGUUGGCGGGGAUAUGACCAAAUUUGCAAUUAUAAAUUUGAUGGGACUAUUUGUAAAAAAAAAAUUUUGAGGGGCCAAAUGCAAAAAAACCCAUAUAUAUAUAUAUAUAUAGAGAGAGAGAGAGAGAGAGAGAGAGAGAGAGAGAGAGAGAGAGAGAACUAGGCUGGAAUGUUAUUAAUAGCACCAAACUAUUGGUGCUAUUAGAUUUCGGCCUUUGGAUGAAAAAAUGUACAGUUAGGAUGAUAUGGNNNNNNNNNNNNNNNNNNNNNNNNNNNNNNNNNNNNNNNNNNNNNNNNNNNNNNNNNNNNNNNNNNNNNNNNNNNNNNNNNNNNNNNNNNNNNNNNNNNNNNNNNNNNNNNNNNNNNNNNNNNNNNNNNNNNNNNNNNNNNNNNNNNNNNNNNNNNNNNNNNNNNNNNNNNNNNNNNNNNNNNNNNNNNNNNNNNNNNNNNNNNNNNNNNNNNNNNNNNNNNNNNNNNNNNNNNNNNNNNNNNNNNNNNNNNNNNNNNNNNNNNNNNNNNNNNNNNNNNNNNNNNNNNNNNNNNNNNNNNNNNNNNNNNNNNNNNNNNNNNNNNNNNNNNNNNNNNNNNNNNNNNNNNNNNNNNNNNNNNNNNNNNNNNNNNNNNNNNNNNNNNNNNNNNNNNNNNNNNNNNNNNNNNNNNNNNNNNNNNNNNNNNNNNNNNNNNNNNNNNNNNNNNNNNNNNNNNNNNNNNNNNNNNNNNNNNNNNNNNNNNNNNNNNNNNNNNNNNNNNNNNNNNNNNNNNNNNNNNNNNNNNNNNNNNNAUCCACUGUAAUAAAAAAAUUAAUUGUUAAUUUAAAUUUGAUAUCAAAAAUUAAAUUAAAUUCAUGAUUUAAACUCAAAUUUAAAUUUUAAUGUAAAAUAGAUGGAUAGAAAUGCUAUUUUUUAACAGAUUGAUUAUAACUGUUCAUUUUUAUUUGAAAUAUUUUUAACGAAUUGAUCAUAACUGUUCGUGGAAUUAGAUUUAUAGAUGGAUAUAAAUGUUAUUUUUUAACAGAUUGAUUAUAACUGUUUGUUCAUUCUUAUUUGAGAUAUUUUUUAAUAAACUGUCUGUCAUUGUAGGAAUUUCUAUACGUUUUUAUAUGUAGUAUAGAUAUAGAUAUAUUAAUAUUUUAAUAACAUAUAAUUAUAAAAUACUGAUUUCUAGAUCAAAUUAAGUAUAUAUGAAUUUUCAAAUUUUAUUUUUUAUAAAACUAAUCUGUGCUAAUAGAAAAUAAAAUAAGAUCAGUUGAUUUUAAGCCGUCAGAUUUUAAUAUAAAUUGAUAACAAAAUCCGAUCGCUUUGAAAACCGGACUGAUUCACUAGUUUAAUGGUUGAACUGCCGAUUCCAACCGAUCAAAGCGAUUUUUUAGCUUUUGUGAUCCAAAUUAUUAAACCGGACUAUUUUACAAACUAGAUUAUGAUCAGAUCGGUUGAACUAGCUGCUUCGAGCCGAUUUAUAAAUCACUGUAAAAAUCUAUAUGAGGGUUGAUUCAGUAGGACUCUAAUAAAGUAAGAGGGCGGAUCCAAGUCGACUUCUCUAAAAUAUCUCCUCAUAUAUUUUUUUUGUUUUGAUCCAAAGUCGAAUUGUUGGUUGAUUUGUAAUUUUGUUGUUCUCAUUUUCGUAUCUUUUAGCUUUUUGUGAUGUAUAAAAAAAAAAAAAAAAAAAAAAAAAAAAAAAAAAAAAAAAUUGUUGCUAAGGAAAGUUAUUAUACAAGUUGACUCUACCUACUAAAUUAUGUACUGCACUUUUGGGUUUUUUCCAUUCGCCUUUUGGGUGUAUUCGUGGAUGUUUAGUAUGCAAGAAUUUUAUUCUGAUUUCAAAUUUCAGAUAUAUAAUGUGUUUUCCAAUCAUCUAUUUUUCUAAUCCGGUCAAAAAAGUCGAAUUUAAAACUAAACUUGAACGGCAUAAAAGCUUAUUUUGAAAAUAUCAUAAUUAUAAGAACUAGAUUACUAUACUAUCAAUAGCACCAAAUUAUUAGUGCUAUUAAAUUUUCGAUCCUCGGAUAAAGGGAUGUACUGUUAGGAUGAUAAUGAUCUCUUAGGAUUGAGCGGGUGAUUAGUUGAAUAAUAUAAUCUAAUGAAUGAAAAUGAUCGCAAAGGUAGAUCUAACGACGGAAAGUUUGAUAACAUGAAGCACUUGGUAUUAUUAAUAGCAUAAUAUCCGUACUCCUAAUUAUAAUUUAUAUAUUUGAUUUGAAAUUAAAUUUAGCUAUUAAACUUUAAUUUUUAAUUAAAGUUGAAAGUCUAAUUUAUAAUUGAUUUUUAAUUUAAAUUUUUUAUUUGAACAAUCAAGCAUUUUGAAUUUGAGUUAUUUAAACUUAAAAAUUUAUUUUAUAAUUUGAAUUUUUAUUUGAACAAUCAAGCAUUUGGAAUUUGAGCUAUUAAAUUAAAAUUUUUAAUUCAAAUUUUAUGUUAAAAAUUUAAAAAUUUUGAUUUUUUAAAAAUAUAUUUAAAUAGACUUAUCGUUUUAAAAUAGUGAUGCUAACAUUUAAUAUUUAAGUUUUAAUUUUAAGUAUAAAUUGUAGAUUUAACUCUAUGCUUAGAGUUGCGAACUCAAUUUUUUAUUUAGUUUUAGGGUUAAUAACAUAGAAAUUUUCUGUAAACAUAGCGAAUUGUAAAUAUAUCCCUAUAAAGUUCAACUUUCUUAUUUUAUCCCUACAAAAGGCCUAAAGUUUUCAAAUAUUUCUCUGCCGUUAGGAUUCGAUAGAAAAAUUUAGUUAUCUAUAGGUUAAAUACUUAACCCUAGUUAGUUAAUAAGGUAACUUGAUAUUUUUAUACCUCUUAUAUAUACCUUCUUCUCUCAACCAAAACCCUAGCGAUGGGAUUUUUUUCUCUUCCUUUAUACUAGUUUUGAAUCCAUAACUAGAAUUUCUCCAUCUCCAUUCAACCAUGACGCGUGUUGUUUCGCCUAUAUAAAUCGCGUAUUACUUUUUCAUUCAAUUUUUUCUACGACUUCUUUUUUAUUUUGCUCAAAAGAAAAGGUUAAGGAAAAAAGGAGCGAGAAAAGAGGUUGCACGAUUAUAACUGUUGGGUCUUUUGGAGGAAUAUAUUUGUGAUGACAAAAUUGACAUUUCACUAUUAAAAAAUAAAUAAUUCUUUAACGGUAAUAAAUCAGAGAGACAAAUAUAAAUAUCACUGAAUUUUUACAGGAAUAACAUGAAAAAAUAAACUUUGUAAGGAUAUAUUUGCAAUUCGCUAUAUUUACAGAAAGCUGUAUGCAAUUAACCCUUAAUUUUGUAUUAACAUUUAAUUAUUUUUUUUAUAGUCAAUAUUUUUUCAUUCCAACCGAACAGUGAAGAUAGGAAUCAAUUAUUCCGAUUCCAAUUAUUAUUCUAAACAAAACAUAGAAAUAUUUUACAAUUCUAUUUCUGAUUCCAAUCCAUUCCGAUUUUGAAUUCUAUUUUGAAUCAAACGUUAGGCCAGAUGAAAAUACUCCGAACCAAACGGGUCCACAACACUUUCACUUAAAAGCACUAUAAAAUCCGCGCUAGGGCUAAACACUAUCUUUCUUAUUCCAUCUUACCUAACCAAACGCUAUUUUUUUUAUUCUCAGGAAUAAUCCAAUUUUCAUCCAAACGCAAAAUUGAUUUAAUCCCCGCUCAUACCUCAAUUUAUACCUAUCCCUUGAAUAGCUACUUUUUUCUUAUCCUCGAACCAAAAAAUACCUAUAUGGUUAAAACCGCAUCACCGGACCACAUUGAUCUAAUUCGAUCAAUAAGAUUCAAUUUAAUCAAUUUUUGUUUACUAAAAAGUUGAAUUAUGUGUUAUCUUUUAAAAUAUUCUGAAAAAUAAAAUAAAAUAAAAUAUUCUACUUGAUCUAACAAAAUAUUUGUUAUUAUUUCCUCUCAACUCUUUUAAUAUAAAUUAAUUUUAAAUAUAAAUAUUUUUCGAACAAAUCUAAAUGGUUGCCUAUAUUAUAAUCCUAAAGGCUAAAGGCCCAACUUAAAAAGACCCAAAUUGAUCAAACCGACCGAAUCGAAUGGGUCAGUUCGGUUUAGAAAACGAUAAAAUCAAAAAAAUUCAAUUAGAUCCAACAUUCUGAAGGAUCAAAUGGGCUCGGCUCGAACCACUUUAAAUUCAGCUACAACCUGAAAUUGCUAAGUAACAAAUUAAAUUCAAAAUUUAUUCGUUAUAAUUAAAAUUUAUUAUUGGAUAAAAUCUAACCCAUUCCAUCCAAACCGAUCGAACCGACCGAAUGCUCUCCCCUAACAACACCGGAAAUUUGUACCAACCAAGUUAUAGGUAAAAAAAAAAAAACAAAAACAAAAAGCGAAAAGUGAAAAAUAUAUAUAAGAAUGAGCAAAGCAAUUGCAAGAAAAGCUUUUGUACACCCUUAUUAUUGCUCUCCCCCAAACCAUCUGAAAUUUGUCCAAAUGCACAUGUUCUCACAAGGUAAAGAUUAAAAACUGUACAUAUGUUCAUUUUUUAUGACCUAAGAGGCCCUAAGAACCUUAAACUGAUCAGACUCAACCCGAACUCGACCUGACUACACUCUUCAGACAAAAUCGGUUCAAUGCGACCGGCGCGACGAGCCCCGGCCCAGCCAAACAGAGACCCUUCCAAAGGGUUGCUUACCCUUGAAAAUAUUGGUGUUAUUGCUACUGUGAGAUGAUAUCAUCUCCGAUUGCUGCAGUAUUUCCCACAUUACCUGCACAUCCUGAUACUCGCAAGUUUGAACGUCGUUGUGAAGCUUUAGAAUCCCACUACCUGCGACAAUUACAUGACAAAUGAGAAAGAUGGUUAGUUUCCAUGCAAAAAAAGUAAUUAAAAUUCUAUUGAGUCAACUUUUUUUUUUUUUUUUUUUUUUUUUUUUUUUUUUUUUUUUUGUAACUCCAAACGUUGAAUCGAAUCGUUGUUACUUCACUGCUUUAAGAUGAAAAUGAAAUCAAUUGAGUUGUAAUUUGAACACCGAUGGUUGUUGGGACCUGGAUCAGUUAUUAGGGAUCUAAAUAGUUGCAUUGUUUUGUUUCAAAUUUAGAAUUAAAAUUCAAAGUAGGAUCUAAAUGGUUAUGCUGAUCGUUUGAUUAUGGAUUCUGACUUGGGUCUACUAAUAUCGAAAAUGAUAAAAAAAAAAAAAAGAAAAGAAAAGAAAAUGGAGAUGAAUAUGGUGGGAAUGUAACAUUCAAAGAUGACACAUGUUUGGGACUUUUGGUAGCUGCCACUUGGAGCCCAAAUCGUCACUCUCUGCAUUAUAACAUUUUUAACUUUUUAGUAAACAUUAUCUUUAUCAGAACUUACAAAUAUAUAUAUAUAUAUAUAUAUAUAUAUAUAUAUAUAUAGAGAGAGAGAGAGAGAGAACAUUUUGCUAGACUAUUAUCGAUAGUAAAUAUCUUAAUUUACUAUCAAUUUAUUUUCAAUAGUAGAGUUUUUAAAUCAACGAUAGAUAUUAUUGAAUAUGAUCUAGAUCCUUUAAACUAUCUAAAAAUCAAAUUCCAUGCUUUCCGAUAUUAUUCUUUUGUCCAUCAUGUGGACAUAAAAUAAAUGGUUGAAAAUAAACGUACACUCCUUAAAAAAGUAAUGAUACAAUUUUCAUAUUCAAAAUCUAGAGUCAACAUCUUAUUUUAAAUACUUUAAAAAUUAUUUUAAUAAAACUUCAGCUAAUUUAGACUUUUAUAUAUCGUUAAAUGAGCAAAUGCACCUUAUCGAUUAUUAAAAUUAUUAAAUUUUGUACCCUUUAAUCGUUCGGUUAGUGAUGUUGAAAAAGUAUAAAAUUUCAUUUCUACAAAAUUUAAAUGGUCUAAAGCAUGUUCAAAUAUGCCAAUUAUCAAUUUGAAACUUUAUCAUAAAAAAUAAAUGCUUAGUAAAUUAAGUUGUUCUCUCUCUCUCUCUCUCUCUCUCUCUAUAUAUAUAUAUAUUAUAUUUAUUAAAUGUAAAGAGAUAUAUAAUCAAGGCACCGUAGAAAUUAAGUGGAGGAGGGUUUAUAAUACAACUCAUCUGAACCUUAAUGCGAUAUGCGAAAACGAUAUAAAAUGCUUUGUAUCUCCACAAACUUCGCCUACGUAUUGAUGCAAUAUUGGUUUUAUUCCAGAGCAUCUUAAAUUAUUUUGCAUGGACUAAUUAGAAUUCCCCGCAUCAUAUGUACAAACACACCGACCAUAGCAGCAUAGAAUUAUUGUCCGGACCCACCACUCAAUGAUAAAAAGUAAAAUCAUAAAAAAACAAACCAGAAAAGGUUAAAAAAAGAAAAAAAGAAAAAAAACUUCUUUAUUAGAAAUUUCUUAAUCAAAGAUUAUUGUCCUUAGUUGUUAAAACCAAGUUUAAUUAAAAUUCCCUUUUAAUUACUUGCUAACAUUUCCAAACAAAUCUCCAGUACCAGGUCAGAGAAUUCUAAAGGAAAGAGAAUGUGCAUGCGGAACGCGUGCGUAGAAAAAUUCUAUUACUUAGCCGACUUAUGAAAUUGUCGGUAUCAGUUGAGAUCGAUCAUGCUUUUCUGAAGAGAAGCACGAUAAAAUUACGUUUUCUACGUGAGCAGAAAUUUCUUACACACUAUGAAUUCAGAAGAAAUGAAGUAAAGAGAGAGAGGCGGUAAUCUCACCGUCUUUUCUGCUCCUGACCCUCGCGGCGACGGCGACCAGCGCCCGCUUCACCGGCAGCACCAGCACCUUCCUCCACCACUCCAUCCCCUCCUUCCCCUCCCUCCCUUAAUUAAUGCCCCCCUCCACUUCAACGCAUGGAUAUAUUAAUAAGGCAGAGAUGUAUAUAUGUAUGUGUAUGUUAUCAAUGCGAAGGUAAUAAUUAAUACUUGGAGAGAGAGAGAGAGAGAGAGAGAGAGAGAGAGAGAGAGAGAGAGAGAGAGAGAGGAGGCGAGAGAAGAGAAAACGAGGAGUGGGGGUGUUAAAAAUACUCGGGGAUGCCACCUACCCACCCCGAGAACUGUCCACGUUGCCUCGUCCCUCGCGCCAGGCGCCUCUUCCUCCUCGCUCCUCUCCUUCUCUCUCUCUCUCCUCUACCCUUUUGCUCCCUCUAAAAAAGAUCUUUGUCUUGUACUAAGGCAAAGUUGCAUAAAGAUCACUCAACUAUAAGCUAUUCUGAAACAUCCCCUCAACUACAUUUUAUUUUGGAUAAGCGCUACCUGUACACGUCAAAAAAAUAGUGUAUAUCUUACAUUACAUCCUCUCUAGGAAUGCAAACGGAGCGGAUCUGGGGUAAAAGUGUUUCCCUACCUUCUGCUCCAUUUCUUGUCAGGUCGGAAAGGAUUCAGAACAAGUUUAUUUUUUAUUUCAAGGCGGAUUACGGUGAAAGCGGAUUUUUGGCACAUUUUCAUAGAUCGGAAUGGAUUGAAGGAAAAAAAGGGUCUCCCGCCUCCUGCUCCAUUUACUUGGCGGAUCGGGUCGAAUUUGAGACGGAUUAUAUUUUUUCUGUACUCUUUUGUUCUCACUUACCAUUCCAUUCGGAACGGAUCAGGAUGGGAGCUCCACCAACCAGGAUCCAAACGCAUCCCUAAUUGUCUCAUUUGAGGUUUAGAUUUUUUUUUAUAUUUAAAUAUUUUUUCUAGUUACACGUUUAGAUACUGGAAUAAGUUGCGCGGUAAUUAUUUUUUUUUUACAUAAACUUUUUGUAUUAUAAUUUAAAGCUAUAUUGUAUGGAUGUUUUAGGAUGUAUGUCACCUUCAAAUUAUUAUUUUAGAAUAAAAUAAAUUAUCCCGCAAGUUAAAUAUAUUAUUUUAUUUGUCAAACUCAACCUCCUACUUUAUUCAAGAAAAUCUUAAUUCUUAAUAUAUUAUAGUCAAAUAAUUUAUUUCAGCAACUAAACAAGGCCUUAAUUUUUUAAAUUCAACUCAAUCGGAAAAAAAAAAAAGCAGUUUAUUUCAGAAAGUCAAACAGAGGAGGGGUCUCCUCGCAUUUUUGCCGAGUAUUUUUUUUUAAACACCUACAAGAAAGGAAGAGGGAUUAUUAAUUAUUAUACAUUGAGAAGUCACUUUCCUUAUAAUUUUUCAGUUACCGGCUUAUCCGGUUACUCCAAGGCAUGACUCGCGUGCACCGCCACCGCCACGUGCAGCUCACCUGCCGGUGUUCACGUGCAGAACUUCGUUUCCCGGUCACGGUGCACCACGGGCCAUGCAUGGACCGUCCUCUGCCAAUAAUCCAUGUAUCCCGUUUGGUUCAGGGAUAAGAAGCGGAAUAAUCCCUUAUCCCUUUUAUACCCAAAUACUACUUUUUUUUUUUUUAUCCAAAAAUAAUAGUUCUCGAGUAUUUAAAAUAAGUUGAGAUAAUUCGGUAUAAAUCUGGAAUAGUUGUUCCACCUUUAUCCUUAGAACAACCGGGAACAAAAUUAUUUAAACUUUAAAUAAUAAUUUUAAGUUAUUAAUUAAUCUAAUUAAUAUAUUUUAAUUAUUAAUUAAUUUAAUUAAUAUUAAAUUAUUAUUCUUGGAUAAUUUGCUAAGGGUGGGAAGAGCUGUUGGGAUGUUCCCACCCUAUUUUUAUUUUUAAAAUUUAAAAUUUAAAAUUUUAAUAUUUAAAAUUUAAAAUUUAAAAUUGUUAAUUUUUAAAAUUUAAUAUUUGAUAUUAUUCAAAGUUAAAUUUAAUCUUUAAUUUAAAGUUUGAAAUUUAAAAUUUAAAAUUUUAAAAUUUAAAAUUUGAUAUUUUAAAUUUUAAUUUUUAAUUUAAAUUUUUAAAAAUUUAAUUUUAAAUUUAAAAAUAUAAAUAUAAAAUUUAAAAAAUUAAAAAAUUAAAUGCAAAUAUAAUGAGAGGGGUAGCAUUAUUAUUUUUUAUUUAUAACUAUCUAUUAUUCUUCUUAUUCCAUCUUAUCUGUUCAAACGCUAUUUUUUUAUUUUCGAAAACAAUCUAAUUUUCACCCAAACGCAAAAUUAUUCUACUUCUUGCUUAUACCCAUUAGUUAGUUAAUUCGCGAAUUAUUCAUGAAUUUUUGAAGAAAUGAAUUAAGCAGCCGUAUUCGUAUUUUUCCAAAAAAUUCGAAAAAAAUGCAUUUUUUUGGUAAAAAAUACUUAUUCUUGAAUAAUUCGCAGGCGCUGAAUUAUUCGCCCAAAAAGACGCGCGGUCGCUGUCGCGCUCGAGCUCGCGCUCGCGCUUGCGCGCUGGUCGCGGGCCUCGCGGCUCGCCCAAAACAGAAAAAAAAACCCUGUUCGCCUCGCCCAAAACUGAAACCCAGCAAAUCUCUUCUUAUUUGCUUAAUUAUUUAUUUAUUUUGAGACAUAAUAUAGUUUGCUAUUUUUUUUUACUUAAUUAGCUUAAUUUUGUAGCUCUUUAUUGUUAUAUUCUUAAGAAAUAUAAAUAUUUAUAAUAAUAGCAUAAAUUUUGAGAGAAAAAAAACUUAGUUUAAUAGCCGAAUUUUUUAUCCCAAAUUUUUAAUUGGUGAACGUAUAAUAUCCAUGUAAAUCACCUAUUCGAAUAAUUGAUAAAUCCAUUUUUUGGCCGUAUUUUUCAACAAAUCUAAAAAUUAGAAGACGAAUUUCAUCCGAAUUAUAUCCGUACCGAUUUUUCGUCGAAUCUGAAUUAACUAACUAUAUUUAUACCUAAACUUAUAUCUAUCAUUGGAAUAGACAAUUCUUGCUUAUACCCGAACCAAACGAUACCUUAGGACGUGUUUGCUUCCACUUUCUUUAAUUCUAAAAUCAGAAUCGAAAUAAAUAAAUCUCGUUGUAGUGUUUGGUACACGCGAGUUCCAUUUCCAUUUCAAUUUUCAGGUGGAAGGGGAAUACCCCAAUUCCCCCAUUUUCCAAUCCAGCUACCUCGGUUGAAUUGGAACUUGAAUCAAGGAGAAAAUAAUGCACCUUAGAAAAAUAUCUCAAUUAUAUUUUAUAUUUUUAUUUAAAAUUAAAUUAAAUUUUUUGAUUUAAUUUUUAAUUAAAAUAUAAAUUUAAAUUUAGAAAUUAAAUUUAUAAUUCUAGUUUUUGAUUUAGAAAUUAAAUUAAAAUAUAAAGCAUUUUGAAUUUGAUCUAUAAAUAUAAAUUUAAUUGUAAGUUUGAUUUUGAAUAAAAUAAAAAAUUAGUUUAUAUUUUGAAUUGUCCAUUCAAUUUAAAAUUUAAAAUUUUUAAAAAUUAUAUUUAAAAUUUUAGCUUAUCAUUUUAAUAUUUUGAUGUAAAUUUUUAGUAUUUAAAAUUUAUUUUGAAUUGAAAUUAUAAAUUUAAUUUUAUGUUUUGAGGUACAAACUAAAUUUUUAUUUUAUUCAAAAUCGUAUUUUAAUUUAAUUUUAAUUAUUUUCUUGGUAAUAUUGAAAUAUGAAUUAAUCAUACCGAUUUUCGAUUGUUAUUCUGAACUAAACAUAUUCGGAGGUUUUUUCAUUCCGUUUCUGAUUCCUAUCCAUUCCGAUUUCAUUUCUCAUUUUGAACCAAACACACUCUCCGAGCUGUUGAAUUAAAGAUUUAUUUUGGUUUGGUACAUUUUGUUACUUUAUUUUAGACUUAUGUAUGCAGAGUCGAUUCUAUCCUAGAAACUGAUGCAUCGGCCUUUGGGUGUUGUAGUUGAAAAUUAAAGCAAAGAUUUAAUUGCGGUAGAUGAAAUUAUACCUAAAUUGGCUAUAGUUUUUACCGUGUCCAGUAGAGAAAGAGUAAAUUUAAAAUAAGAGGUAAGUUUAUCUAUCCAACUUUCUUUCAAUCAAAACAAAAAACAAAACAUCUUCUAUAUUUGAAGUAAACUCACCACCUUCACACAUCAAAGUGAUAAAAUUUAUAAAUACAAUUUCCAAUUGCAUACAGGUAAAUAAAUUAUUUGUAGUUAGAAUACUUUUUACUACAUUCAACAAGUUAUGUCCAACUACAAUUAUUGCAUUUUUAUAUGCACGCAUCUCUUACUACUGCAUUUACAAGUAUAUCCUCAGAUAGCCCACCAAUUUAUCCUCUGUUGUAAAUUAAAGUUUUCUUAUGUCUUUCUUGUCGGAUCGUUGGCGCUAACCAUUAAUCCCAAAAGCUCGAGUUUUUAGAAAUAUGCAACAAAUUCACUUAAAGCGUACAAAAACAGCGCCCACGAAUCUCGAUUGUGACUCGGCCCACUUAGCUUUACGCUACUUCGAACAUGACUCGGCCCAACCCAGCCUUACGCUAUUUAGAACAUGACUCGGCCCACAUGGCCUCUCACCACAGGGCAGGAUGCUAGCCUAUUUAAGUCAAUAAUCCUCCCUCCAGCACCUGCACAUAUUUGCAGCAUGCGGGAAUCGAACCCAUCGAACCCGUGAUCUCUGGCUCUGAUACCACUUGUAGGAUCGUUGGCGCUAACCAUUAAUCCCAAAAGCUCGAGCUGUUAGAAAUACGCAGCCAAUUCACUUAAAGCGUACAGAAACAGCGCCCACGAAUCUCGAUUGUGACUCUCACCUGGCCUCACGCCACUUCGAACAUAAUUCGGUCCAACCCAACCUCAUGCCAUUUUGAAUAUGACUCAGCUCACAUAGCCUCCCGCCACAGGGCAGGAUGCUGACUCAUUUAAGCCAACAUUUCUAAGUCUUACUAAAAUAGAAAAUAAAUUUGUUUUAUAUGGAAAUGAGAAAUGGUUAUGACUUAUGACCUACAUGUUACUUCAGAAAACAAUAUAUCAAAAUAAAAUAUCUUUUGUAAUAUAAUUUAACACUAAACUACAAUAUUACAAAAUAAUCAAACUUUUCAUUAUCUCAAAUAGUCCAAUAGGGUUAGUUAAUUUGGUAAAUCACUUGCCGUAUAAGCAUAUAACUUCCCUAUGCUGUGGAUUUCCCAAAAAAUAUACAUGAGAAAUCGUAACAAUACUUUUAUUAAAAACUAAUUUCCCUACAAUUCAGCUAGAGGGAAAAAAAUACUUAAAUUUCAAUAGUUUUUACUUAGAUUGAUUUGACAUUUUUCUUAUACUUUUUUUUUUUCUACUUUCGUCUAGGUUUAUUUGUUCUCCGGCCAUUAUAAUAUCAUUUUAUUUAUGAGUUGUAAUACUUUGUUCAUAAUUUAAGCAAAGUAGCAUACUAGUAAAAAGUUGUGGAACUUUUUGUUCCAUUUUUGCACAAAUUGCUAACUAAUUGGAUCUCAACCGUGCAUCAGUAUGGUGACAAGAAAUCAAUUUAAAUACUCAAUAAUGAUACAUGUACUAAAUUUUUAAGAUGUUGAUGGUUGUGUCCCGAAUGCAUCCAUGCAAAAAUGUGGUGAAAGUAAAUGCAACAUACGGAUACCUCUGGUAUUGCCAAUACAAAUCGACCAAUUGCAUAAACACCGCCAUCACCAUAUCGCCAACCUCCAACCAUUGUGUAUUAUUCCAAAAUAACUCGUCAUAACGUACCUGACCAUUCAUGCGAACGUUAUUCAUCCUCAUUGAUAUUAACUGAAUUGUAUUUCUUUGGUCCCGUGUGUCUUUGGCCAUCCUAGUUUACAUCAUCCUAACUAAUUUGAAUGGAAUGUACGGUAACCCUUGGCACCUUUUCUAUAUCCUGCCAUCCAGGCGUACGGACGUUCAGAUCAUAUCUAAUCUUGUCCUAUUUGUAGCAUUAGGCCACGUCAAGGCCUACUAAACUCGGCGUAUAUUGAUUCAUGCGCACUUUCUCUAAAUCUUCACUUUACUGAUCAUGCAAAUAGUGCUAUCAUUGAUAUACACUUGAUUGAUUCUCAUGCAUAUAGCCGUAUAGCUCUCUUUUUUGAGUCAUUGACUCAGUCAUCGAUAUAUAUGCCUCCGUCAUCGAUGCCUUGGGCCUCUGUCUGGCACAUAAAAUCUCGGGUCACUACCUAGAGCCACAAUACCAUGGGUUAUUGCCCAAUCCACAUGUACAUUCUCUGUAUCCAAGGGAAAGUCCGAUCUUUGCAAUAGCAAAUGUAGUACCAUCCCACCCAAACUGAGAGGAAACUCAAUUCAUGCGAACAAACCAUUGGUAUCCCAACUAGACCAUGCAUAUCAAACAAAUUAUACAACAUAUGCAUGUUCAACAUGAUCCAAAUACCAAAUUUCGAACAACCAAUUAAUUCAUGAUGCUCAACUUGAAGUCCCACAUAUAAGAACAUACAUAGGUACUAAAGCGACAAGUCCGACUGCCCCAAAUGUAAUAUGCCAACAAUGUUUCUAUGUAGAUGCUAUAUGGUCAUAAAUACAUGAAUAAAACGACAUUCUUGAUGUGGAUUCCAACAAUCGGCAAAAAAUGUUGUGGUGUAUUGGACCCAAAUUCGUAAGAAUCUAGUAUAAAAUAUCUUCAAUACCGUUUGAUAGAUCUUGGGGAAAUUACAUUUAGUUAGUUUGAGUUUGAAGCAAAACGGACACGAAAAUAGAGUCCGAAAACUCAUUCUAUUGAAACUUCAAUUUCGGUGAAGUAUCGAACGUCUAGAACCACUUGUGUGGGCCUAGAAUCUGUACAUAACUCGGAACCGACUUAGUUGGACCCGAAUCUAUCGGAUCCUGGACCGGAAGCCUAGAACCCAUUUUAGACGCUCAACUAAAGAGCUCGGGUUAUAUUUCAAUUAAUUAUUCAGGCACUCAGAACCACUUUUGGGUGCCCAAAAUUGAGAAGAUGGUGUUUUGGGCGUUCGGAACCCUUGGUUUGAGAGCUCAGAAAUGGCUUUUGGGCGCUCGAAAUAUAUUCCGAGUGCCAAAAACGUGUCCCGGACUGAGAAUGGGUUAUAUUGCAAAUUUUUUAUUUUUAGGGGUUGAAAUGAAAUUGUUGCCACUUUAUAAAUACACUCACCCUAGCAGGCCUAUCGUAUCUCUGUUACUCUAAGAAGCCCUAAGGUCACCCUCUCUUCUAUUCUUUCUUCUUCUUUCUUUCUCUCACUUUUAAUUUCUAUGUUAUUCUAACCUCUAUUUCGUUUCAAACCUUUUGAAGUUGGAGUUCGAGUUGACAAAGAUAUAGUUUGAGAUAUUGAUCAACAUGUUUUAGGAAUGUUGGGUCAAGUUAGAACCACUAUGGUAUAAAAUUGAUGCAAAAACAGGCUUGGAAAUCAGAUUCCGGAGGAUACUGAGUUUCUAGUGAUUUUUCGGACAUUUGAAACAGGGUGUCUGGGCACCCAGAGGUGCUGUAGUUGGGCUGAUUCAAUUUUGGAUCUCACUUGGGGACAUUCAAAUCUACUGAAGGAGCAUCUAAAUAGGUUUUGGGCUAUGAAUCCAGACGCCCGGUAUUAUUCUAGUAGUCUGAAAAUUGGUCGGUGAUUAAGUCAGUGAGUUGAUGACUCAUUGUGCUGACUAAUCAAGAUAACUCAUUUAGUUUUCGGACACAUGAAUCGAGUGCCUAAAAAAUAAUUCGGGUGCUCUUGAAAUGGGUUCUGGACAACUAGGAGCAUGAGGAGGCAUCCUAGUUAGCUCGAGCAUAAGGUUUCGAACGCCCGAAUCACAAACAUCCGAAAUGUCCGAUUUUGGUUAAAAGUGGAAAUUUUGUAAUUUGGGGACUUAAAUACAAUUGUUAUAUUCUUUAUUGGCUAAAUUAUAGACAACCUUUCUGUCAAAAUUCAUUUUUUUCACUUCGCCCCUUACAUUAAGAAAAGUACACUUUUUCCCCUCCUAGUUACAAAAUUAUCCACAGAGGGGCUACACUAUUAACGAAAAGGGCGAUAUGACGAUAAUGCCCUUACUUUUUAUUGGACAGAGUGAGCGCGGAAGUGUUGUGUCAUUUGUUUUCUUGUUGAAGAGGAGAUCUAGCGUUUGAUCCGGGGAGGAGGACAAGCCAGUUCGAAGCACAGGACAAAGGCAAGCGCCUUCAAACAAAGGAGUAGGGCGAGAGAGUUGACCUAGGGAGGAAGAUGAUCGAGCUUGAAUGAGGGAGCCUCUUACUCUUUUGAGGUGUAUUUAGAUUUAAGAGUUGAAGUGUUAAUUUAGUUCAUGUAGUCCUUUUUGUUCUUGUGGUUUGAGCAAUUCUUUCGGGAUCUAUGGUUUUGUGUUAUUUUGUUUCAUUUUUAGUUAUUUUGAAGUUUGGUUUAAUACUUUCUAAGAUGAAAUGCUUGUAGUCCCCAAAUAUUUUAGUGAUUUGUAUGUGAUGCAUUUAAAUUUUUGUUUUAAGUGUACUAUUUGAGAUCAUAGUUUGCUAAAUACAUGGCGUCCUACUGUUUUCUAAUUAAUUCUUCUUCUUCUUUCCAUUUUCUAUACGCAUUUAAUUAGUUGAUGACAAUAUAUUUUAAUUUUUCUUUGCAUUUGUAUACUGUUUUUUCUAAUUUAUUACAUCAUAUAGAUGGAAUUGAGGACUCUUGAAUUCACUUUGGUGGAUUUUUUGAAGGAAAUCUUAUAACAGAAUACUGUAGAGGAAAAAUAUCAUAUGACAAUAAUGUGGACCAAGACUUGAUGUCGAUUAUUGAAAUAUGGGCUAUGCUUGAGAGCCAUGAGUUGAGAGCCAUAGUUUAAUAAAAGAAUCAAUUAUAUACUACACUAUGCCUAUUGGAGAUAUAACUAAUAGUCUGAAGCUUGUGGAUGGUGAUAAAGCGGUUCUAGAGAUGCUUAAGUGCCAUGAUGAAUUUGGCGUCAUUAUGCUCUAUGAGUUUCCCCUGAAUGGUAGAUGAGGAGGGUAUAAAUGAUCCCACUAAAGAUAUGGCUAUAUAAGUGGAGCAAUUGAAGAAAAAUAUCAACAAUGUUGAGACUGAGCUCUAGAAAGAUGUAUCUGAACAUGGGAAGGAAGUGAAUGCAACAAGAGAGCCUAGUAAUGACUCCAUGGAUAAAAAGGUUGACGAUGAUGGAAUGAGUAAGGCUAUUGAUUGAAAUGUAACUGAAGGGGUCGAAGAUAACAAUGAAGAGGCUGAAGGUGAAUCGGAAAGUGACAGUGAGCAUGAAUGAAGAAAAUUUGGUGAUAAUGAUGAGAAUAGUAUUAAUAAUAGUGAUUUCUGUAUUAAUACAAACAAUGUAGAGGGGGAGAAUGGUAUUGAUGGGACAGGUGAGGGGGUGCCACUACUUCUGAACCAAAAUAUGCUGAGGAUAAUGAGCAAGGAGCAAAUAGACUAUCAGCCUAUUGAUGAUCUUGGUAGUAUGUCCUCAUUAGAUGAAGAUGGUCCUUCAUGGACAAAGUAUUCUAUGUUCAAACAAAAAGAUUUGGAGAGAACAGAGCUAAAACUAGGCAUGAACUUUGCAUUAGUUGCAGAGUUUAGAACAUUGCUGAGGAAUCAUGCAAUAUUAAUUGGAUAUGACUUUAGUUUUGUCAAGAAUGAUGGUGAUAGAGUUACGUGAAGUGUAAAAAGAUACUACUGACUAGGAAAAAAAAUAUGGAUGCCUCAUACAUGCAUUUUGGAAUGCAUUUAAGAUAUGUUUUCAAAUAAAGUCUUUAUAAUUUAAGCAUAAGUAUGGUAGGCAAUUCAAAAAAUAUUAAGCUACUUCAUCACGAAUUGCAAAUAAAUACUUGGAACAAUUGAGAGAUGAUCCUAUAUUGGGAACAUCAGCAAUGAGAAAGACAAUGAGAAGAGAGUUGUGCAUUGAUGUCUCUAAGAGCCAAAUUAAUAUAUAAAGCUAAGAGAAAAGGAAAGAAGGUUAUAAUAGGAUUACAUAGAGAUUAGUUCAUGAAAUUUUGGGAAUGGCAAUAUCAUCGAAGUGAGGAAUCUAGGAAGCCUUGCUUUUUUAUACGUGGAAAAGCCUCAUCUUGAGUUAGCCCUAGUGUUUCAGAGAAUCUUUAUACAAUAAGAUGCUCAAAUCAAUGGAUUAAAGGAAGGAUAAAGACCUAUCAUUACUAUAGAUGGUUGUUUUCUAAUGGGAUCAUUAGGCGGACAUGUUAUUAGUGCUAUUAGUAGAGAAGAGAAUAAUAAAAAUAUUUCCAAUUGCGGUUGCUAUUGUAGAAGUAGAACUAGAAGUAGAACUGAAGGAUUCUAAAAUUGGUUGUUAAUAAUUUUUUUACAAGCUAUUGGACCAGCAAAGGCUCAUAAGUGGACUUUUAUAUCUGAUAGACAAAAGGUAAAAAGUUUUAUUUAAUACAAUGAUAGAACUUUUAACAAGAUGAAUUAAUUGUAGUCUACUAACUUUUAUUUACUUUUGUUAUUAAAUGUCUUAGGGUCUGGUAGAGAUUUUUGAUGGCCUACUUCUAAGAGUGGACCAUAGAUUUUGUGUGCAACAUAUGUACAAUAACUUUAAAAAAUAAUUUAAAGGCAACGUAUUAAAAAAUUUGCUUCGAUCAGAAGUAGUUACAUCUUAUACUUUGCACAAUUAAAAAAGGAGCAUGCAAAAAAUUAAGGAUACAAAUGUAGCUGCUUAUGAUUGGCUCAUGAAAGUGCCACCAAAUUGUGGACAAGAUUUUAUUUCAGACCUGACAUUAAAUCUGAUCUUCUACACAAUGACAUGUGUAAGGCAUGGAGUCGAGCAAUACUGGAUGUAAAGGAGAUACUAAUUAUUGAUAUAAUGGAGAAGAUUAGAAGGCAAGUGAUGGCAAAGUUUCAAAAGAAGAGACAAUAAGACAAGAUGGUAUACCAUACCCUGAAGUUCAAACAAAGUUGAAAGAAAUAAAGGAAAAAGUUAGACAUUGUGAGCCAAUAUAAGUUGGAGAAACCAUUUAUGAUGUUCAUUGCACUGGAAAGCAAUACACUGUUAACUUAGCAGCAUCAUCUUGUGAAUGUUGUCUCUGCGAUAUACAAGCAAAAGAUGGAUCUCGAGGAAUUUGUUCACAAUUUUUUAAAAAAGACAUAUAAGAACAUAUAGCCACAUGAUCAUGCCGAUACGUGAUUCUUCAAUGUGACCUAAGGUUGGGAUUGAGCCUAUAACUCCACCUCCAUAUAGAAAACCUAAAAAAAGUAAGGAAGAAGGCAGUUGAUGAGCUCAAAAAGGUAAAAUUAGCAGAGAAGGUAAGAAGUUUAGAUGUACAAAGUGUAAACAGUUUGGACACAACACUUGUCAUUGUACUAAUUAAUAUUGCAUCUAGAGAGGAAAUAUGUGGUAAGGGAACAAGUAAAAGCGAUGAGGGAGAACACAAGUGGAUCGAGGAGGAAGACCACUAGAAUCAAGAAGAGAGACCACCUGUGUGAGUUAAAAAUUUACAAGCGUUUGCGUUAGACGAGAGUAUUAUAUAUUAAAAAACAGAGAUUAAUUAAAGGUUCUAUGCUCCUUAGGAAUCAUAAAGAUUUCUAAUUAAUUACGCCUAUUCAUAUUUAGACAACCCCCGAUUAAGCUGGUUAAUUAUGAUAAUUAGCAAAACAGAAUGCAUUUCUUUUAUUACUCUUGUAUAUCGUGUACAAAAUUAAUACAACUGAAAAAGAGGAAAAGCAACAAUUAUCAUCUCUCUACUUUUCUCCUCUUCAAGGUAUUUUUCCAAAAUAAUGUCGGCCAUGCAUCAUGCAUAAGCUUUCUUUGGUAUUUCAUUGAGCAUUUGACAUGCACACAAGUAAUGUGCAAAUUGCCUUUGGCAUUUCAUCGAACACUUGGCAUGCGUACAUGAACAAUGCAGCAUGCUCAAGUUUCUUUUGACAUUCCGUGAUAUGCACACCAUUUUUGGCAUUUCAUCGAACGCUUAGCAUGCGUACAUGAACAACGCGCUAUGCACAAAUUCUUUUUUGCACUUUGUCUAAUACUUGGCGUGUGCACAUAAAUUAUCCAUCACGCACAGUUUAUUUUUGACAAAAGCCAAUUCAAAAUAGCGGCAAUCAAUAAUUUGAUUGGAGCUUUCCGUCGACGGCUAAGCAUCGAACUGAUAGUCGUCGUCGUUGUCGUCGUCUACCGCUGACAGCUAAGCGUCAAGCGGAUGAUCAUCGUCGUCGUUGUCGUCGCCACCUUUACCGCUGACGGCGAAGCGUCAAGCAGAUCAUCGUCGUCGUUGUUGUUGCCCAUCGCCGACGGCUAAGUGUCAAGCGGAUCGUCGUCGUCGUGGUUGUCGCCUACCGCCGACGGCUAAGCGUCGAGCGGAUCGUCGUCGUCAUUGUUGUCGCCUACCGCCGAUGGCUAAGCACCAAGCGGAUGAUCAUCGUCGUCGUUGUUGUCGCCACCUUUACCAUCGACGGCGAAGCGUCAAGCGGAUCGUCGUCGUCGUUGUUGUCGCCCACCGCCGACGGCUAAGUGUCAAGUGGAUCAUCGUCGUCAUGGUUGUCGCCUACCGCCGACGGCUAAGCGUCGAGCGGAUCGUCGUCGUCAUUGUUAUCGUCUACUGCCGACGGCUAAGCGUCGAGCGGAUGAUCAUCGUCGUCGUUGUCGUCGCCACCUUUACCGCCGACGACGAAGCGUCAAGCGGAUCGUCGUCGUCGUUGUUGCCGCCUACCGCCGACGGCUAAGUGUCAAGCGGAUCGUCGUCGUCGUCGUCGUGGUUGUCGCCUACCGCCGACGGCUAAACGUCGAGCGGAUCGUCGUCGUCGUGGUUGUCGCCUACCGCCGACGGCUAAGCGUCAAGCGGAUGAUCAUCGUCGUCGUCAUUGUUGUCGCCUACCGCCGACGGCUAAGCGUCAAUUGGAUGAUCAUCGUUGUUGUCGGCGCAGUAACAGCAGGCGGAUGGCCACCUCCUUGGUCGAUGAUGACGCCACACUAGCAAAAGGGAACGUGCACCAAUUCGGGAUCAACAACGACAGGGCAAUGCCUGUCAGCAAAGGUGUCGGAAUGGCGACGAGCAGUCGUCUUUUCUUGGUUGACGAUGACCCGACGUAGUAGAGGUUGAUAACGGCAUGUAUAGCCCGGUGUGCAUAGAAAACUCGAUGUAUGGAGUGCCUUGACUAGGAGAGAAGAGAAAAAAAAACAAAUGAAAGUGAGAGGAUCUAAACCCACCUUUCUAUUGGCUCUCUUUUUUUUUAAUUCAAGUUUCUUUUCUCUUUUUUUUUUUUGUGAGUAGAAUCCUCCCUUUUUUUCUUCACUUCUCUUUAUAUAGAGAGAGGGUGAAUGGAGGAGUGGAGGGAAUGGUGGAGUGAUGGAGAAGUGAGAGAAAAUGGUAGAGAAGUGGAGUGGUGUAGGGAAUGGUGGAGAAGUGUGGAGAAAUAGAGAAAAUGGUGGAGAAGUGGAGUGGUGGAGGGAAUGGUGGAGAAGUGUGGAGAAGUAAAGAAAAUAGUGGAGAAGUGGAGUGAGUGAUGGAGAAGUGGUGGGAAUGGUGAGAAAGUGGAGGGAAUGAUGGAGAGAGUGGUAGAAAUGGAGGGAAUGGUGGGAGAUAGUGGAGGAGUGAAUUUAGGGAAGUGAUCUUUUCUUUUUUUUUUCUUUUUUUUUUGUGUUAACACCACCACUAAGUCGAGAAGGAAGAUCACCCCUUGGGAGAGGUAGAAAAGCACUGAUAAGUAGAGAGAAAAUCAAUAUUACUGUCAGGGAAGAAAAGAUACCAAUUGAAAGAAGAGAAGGAUUAAUUGGUAGACUUGGAAGAGUAUUAACUAGGAGAGGUAGAGGUCCAUGCAAGAUUUUUUCACUAAUCAGCAUAUACCAUUCUCCAAUAUAUUUGUUGCUGCUAUAAGAAAUAUAUCUACUCGAGCCAGCGGAGCAACAGGAGAAACAUCGAAAAGCCCUUAUAGGCCAAUAUGUUUCUAACCAUACUAUUUAUUAGUAGCUGAUUAUCAAGCUAAUUCUUAUAUACUUAUAUAUGGAGUUGAGCUAUGAUACUUUUACAAGUAUCACCAUCAUGGUGCUAUUAGGUUUUAAGCCAUUGGAUCUACUUUUUGAUUAUUAAUAGCCCUUGGAUUAAACACUAUUCCACCUACCACCACCUACCACCAUCAUCUCAACCUCACAUCUCUCCAUCCAAGGGCUAAAAACUCACAAGUAUCACCCCCAUGAUACUUUUACAAGUAUUCUAGCCCUACUCCUUAUAUAUGUAUAUUUAAUUUUUUUUCUUAUAUGGAUUUUAUCAAAAGAGGGAUAGGAGAGCAACUUAGGUCAGUGACAACUCAAGAAUCUACUAGUAAGCUAGUCAACUUAGGCCAGAGGCAACUCACAAGUGAUUUUUUUGGUCUAUCGAUCAUUCUGUAUUUUGGUUCCGUUUGUUUAGAGAGUUGUAAGUUACUUAUAUAACUAUAUCUUAUAACUCAAGUUUGAUACUUUUGUAUUCGGUUCUAGCUAUAACAAUAUCUUAUAACUCAAGGUAGAUCUUUUUGUAUAUGGUUCUAGUUUUUGGAAACGAGUGCUUAACUGGAAGAUUGAAGAGGUUAGAUCAUUUAAUUUUGAUUUUGGUUCAAGUUAUUCGAAAGCAGUGCUUAAUUGGGAGUUUUAAGAAAUCAGUGAUAAACUUUAAAAGUGGUUAAAUUGAAAUUCGAGUUUUGGUUUAUUUCUCUUGAAUCUAAAGUUAACUUGUUAAAUUCUCUUGUUAGUUCUCUUGUUAAUGUUAUAUAGUAGUUAGUUUUCUUAUUAAUAUUAAAUGCUCUUGUUAUUCUCUUGUUAGUUCUCUACUAAAUUUAAAGUCAACUUGUUAGUUUUCUUGUUAAUAUAUAGCUUAUGUUGAACGUUAGUUAUCUUGUUGAACAUGUUAGUUCUAGUUUUACGUAGCAAUGAACCUAUUACUAACAUGUGGUUGUUACUGAAUAAAUGUCAGUUUUCUAGGUUUAUGUAUUGUGAUUAGUUAUCAGGAAUGGUGCAUUGGACUAGUGGUUUAGUACAUGUAGUUGUUGCAUAGCUGCAAACUACGUAAUGUGUAGUUGCAAUGCACAUUAUUAAGUAUAUCUCACAUAUAGUUAAUUGCAGGGCACAUAAAAGACACUAUAAAGAUCUAUGUAAUGACUAAAUAACUUAAAUGGUUUGCAUGAUAUAUUGCAAAUCAUUAUAUUACAUAAUAGGUCACUCACUUGGAAACAAAAUAAGGUGGCAUGCAUAAUAAUAGCUAGCCCAGAAUACCAAAUAUAUAUAAUAUGAGUCCGUUCAUAUUAUUAGAUACCAUAAUAAAAUAAUUAGGACAAUAAAUAUUAGAAGAAGAUAGUAUUUGUGAAUCUUCUAAUUGCCUUUCUCCUUUAGCUUAUCUGGACCAUCGCCAUUUUGGCUAUUAACCUAUCCAUUUCCUCUCAAAGUGCCUUUUCUCGAAUUUUCAAUGCUGUCAGCUUUUUCCUAAGAGCAUAAUUAUCUUCAGUAAUAAUUGAAACUUUAUUUCCAAUGCUAUUACUUUCUUUUUCCAUGGCCAAUUUGUUUUAGGAGUUUGAUGAUGUAUUCCUUUCCUCGUUCACAUAUCUCUUGAUCAUGCCAACAAAAACUCCAUAACCAUUUCUCUUGUAGUUUAUGUAGCCAUAAAAUCAUCUUUCGGGAUUAUCAAUUAUUAAUGAUGUUCAGAGGAGCCUUUAGUCUACAGAAGCAAAGAGGAUAGUCCAUAUUGAAUAGACCAUUGGUGCAACUACUAGAUAAUGAGGCAGACAUUUUGUUGCAACCAAAGAUGAAGAAAAAAUAAAAUAAAAUGACGAUAAGGCUUAAUAUAAUAAGAGAAGCAAUUUUUCAUUCUCACAUAGUAUAUUUCAAAAAAAAAAUUUAUUUAUUCUUGAGAGAGGAACUAUAUGUAUACACAUGUGAGAUCAAGGAAGAAAAAGCAUGUGUUGUUGAUGUAUUUGGAAACUAUAGGAGCAUGCAUGUCCUAGCUCCAAUAACUAUGGUGAUGUUUGUUAUGUUGUUUGAUACCUUCCUUAUGCAAUCAUUGUACGAAUACUGUUCCUGUUUGGAACCUCUUGUAUUGUACUGUUUGUUGAGCCUUGAACGUACAGGGGAGACUCUGUCCGCGGUACAGGGGAAACCCUGUCCGUUCGGCGCUGUCGGCGGUCCGAACCCGGCCAAAUAGGCGUGGGGCUUGGGGCGUGACAAUGUUGCUGCUGGGAGGAGAAGGAGAUGGAUUAAUGGUUGAAAGGGUGAAAAAGUGGAAAAAAAAGUGGGGAGCAACAUUCUAGAAGGAAAAUAAUGGAUUUUUAAUGGAUUCCCGUUAUUUUGAAGAGUAUUUUUGGUAUAUCUACUAAUACAUUUUGAGAAGUGGACAUAUCACUUACGAAACCAUGAUGGCAGGGGGGUAAAUGGAUAAUUCCAUAAUCAGGAGAGGGCAAAGUAUAGAAAUUUAAAUGCCAGUGGGAAGUAAAAAGGUGAGUUUUGAAAGGAAAAUUUUCUAUAAUUUAGCCUUAUUUAUUUGGUUGGGAGGUUCCUUUUACCUGUAAAUUGUGAAGAGAGAGGGAGAGAGAACAUAAAGGAGAUAGAGAAAGAGAGAAAGAGAGAGAAGGAGCUCGAGGUGAGUUUGUGAUCGAUGAGGUGGAUUUUGGAGCAUGAUUUUGAAGAUAGGUAAAUAUAUAUUAUUUUGAUUAGUAUUUCCAGGAUUAUAAUAUGUCAGUAAAUAAAUAUAGUAAAUUAUGUUUUAGAAGGUGAUUUUGCUGAAGUUUAAAAUGGGAUUCUGGUGCUGAACUUCUUUCGUUCAAUUUCUGUUGGUAGCAACAUUUUAGGUGGGUUCUAGAUGACCGAACGCAGUGAACUAACCUCUACAUCUAUUGUUCUAUCUGUUACAGUUUGAAGACACUUGCUAGUAUUACAGUAGUUGUUCCCUUCCUUGCAUAUCCAUGUAUCCGUAUAUGAGAUUACUUAUUAUUGAUGCCAUGAACAUUUAUGCUGAUUACAAUUUUUUAUUUUUGUUGCACAUUAUUCUUAUUGAGAUCCUGUGUUACAAGCAAACAUGUCAAUAUGCUAAAACAAUUACAGACAUAUAACUUAUGUUAUCUAUUUGAUUAUUAAUCAUGACCAUAACCUUUAUUGGGCCAGACUGAGCUCGAUUGUAAGUGGUACGACAUUAUGAUUCUGAAUGGGGUCGCGCCCUAUGAAUGCCCCUCUCGGGCUAUGGUAGCUGACUAGAUGUGCUAAGUGUAUGCAUGUGGGUCAGGCCACCAGGUUAGUGUGGUUACCGGGCAUGUGGCGGCACAGGCAAAGCCAAACCUAUGAGACGGCCGGUGUAAGUUGAUGCAUAUGAUAUUUGCUUUCUAUUCUCUGUGACUUUACAGUAGGAACCCGAUUAUUAUUUGUUUGUUUCCACAGCCACAGAUAGAGGUAUGGUAGUUAUUUAUUUUUCUAUUCAUAUUAUACUCAGUUAUUCGUUUAUUUACUGUUCUUUUACUAUUUUUGUAUUUGAUAAAUCUAGUGGUGUAGGUCUAUCAGAUCGAUUUUGAACCCACUGUAAACUAUUGAUUAUAGUUCUCAAGCGCUCCUUUAUUGUUUCUUUUUCAUAGCAUUCAGCACCAGUUAUAGCAGCAAAUCGAUGUAAGGAGAUCGUAAGUUAGAAAGCAUCUCCUACCAAGUUGUGCGAUAGCUAGAGGAUGACCUUAUAGAUCCAGUUCCUAUACAGCAGCUUGUAUAUGAUAUACCGAUGAGACCAUUAAGAGAUGUAUAUCUUGCAUGUUGUGAGAUAUUGGGGUUGUCAUAUACGUACAAUUCAUUUAUGAUAUUAUAAGACAAUGUGAUUGUUUUUAUAUAUAUGCUGCUAUAAUUGUUGUAUUAUUUAUUUAUUUUGAUAUCUACUUAGUUGUCAACUCUUAGAAAUUGUUGUAUACUAGUUGUAGACUCCUAGGAUUAUUGAUAGAUUGUGGUUGUUCGCUUCAGGUGUACGAGGUGUACUUUAUACAUCUGGCGGAUCUAUCGAUACCCUUGGGGGCUUUUGCUGUGAAUCCUAGACGUGACCAAAAAGGUGGAGAGCACCAAGAGGAAGGUCUAAGAGGAAAGAGAAGGCUCUUCUCUUGCAUGUUUGGUUUAUACAGGAUAACCCAAACCAAACACGCCGUACGGAAAAAUGGUAAAACAUGUGCAACCAUCCGAAAGUGUCAAUGAAAGGGAGGAGCCCGAGAGAUAUCAACUCCCUAUCUACUACUUGGGGGAGUCUGAGAGCAAUCGACCCAACUUACCUGCCGAAUAUCGGAGAGGAGUCUGAGAGAAAUCGAUUCUCCAUGAGGUGCAAGGAAGCAAGUGAAAUUAAACUAAUAAGUUGGUUAAAGUUAUGAGAGGAGUUGUGGUGCAUAAUGAAACCAAUCAAAUAGAUGGUUAAGAUAUAUAGGAAAAUGAAUAAACAUAUUUACAUUGAUCUAGUGGCAUCUUGUAUACAUCGAGGCAUUGUCACGCCCGGGUACCAGCGGAAGCAUAUCCGGUCGCGUGCACAGACCCGCCGUGUACACCACCACUCAAGUAUACACAAGGCGUCUACAAACCAUAUAGUAAAAGCAUAUAAUUCUAACCAGGUAAUCAGAGCACGACUUUUAAACUUAUACAAUCCAAACCUUAAUACAUGAAAGAAAAAUAAAGUACAAUUUACAAAAAAAACUUAAUAUACAUCUCUGUACUAAACUACAUAAACUGGUGGAGGUCGUCUAGUACACGUCCAAAAAGGCUCUAGCUAGCCGCAGACCCCUCGCCAAGAACCCUAGCCUUUUCCGGGGUGGAAGGUUCUGUAAAAACAACAACAAAGAGGGCGUGAGAACUAUUAAACAAUAGUUCCCAGUGGGUAAGCCGCCGAGAGUGGCGAAGUACACCACUAGGUCAACUGUGGCAUGAGUAGAUAGCAAUAAAUAAGCGAGUAAAUGCAGAUAAUACAAUAAGCAAUUAUAUGCAACAGAUAUGGAAGUAAACUACUCAUGCUAUUUGCUCAACCAUAAAUAAAUAACAAUAGAUUGCAGGUAUCAGUUAUCAUGAUAGAUUCUAUCAAUCAUAUUACUUGACAAUUUAACCAAACAUAUAUCAGAAUGUAUGCAAGAUAAUUCACUUUACUGAAAUUACAGAUGAUAUCAUGUAAUUACCUUGUUCCAUAGCAAGAAAGAGACAUAAUGUCAUUCAUUAUGUUGCUAACCAAUCAUGAUGUCAACUUCUAGGUUGUUCAUCACUAAGCUCACUUUAGAUGUCAACUUUCUAGUCUGUUCAUCAAUAAGUUCACUUAACCCAAGACAUAUAGUAACUUUACUACUCUGUCCAGCUAAGGUUAAAGUACUUGACAUAACCCAAUUUCCAACGGACUUACACAAGGUAAGUUCAAGCCGCGCCGUGCCUAAUGGCCCCGUGGUAGUCAACAUCCCCACUCUAGGAAUGAGCCUCCCCCACGGCAUUCCAUUUCGGCGCUCACUUCGUACAUUUGCGAGCAUCUGUCGCUAAGCUGUUCGGGAGUGCUGGCUUGGGGGGGAGCGACCCCGCAAGCGUGUGCAAACGCGCACAAUGGCAUGCAAGCCGUAGUCCACAGUACCAGUCUCACAACAACAUCAUGUCCCUGACAUGGAAUCUCAACUCAAGCCACUCCGGAACGCGGGGCUUGGGGGGCGCGACCCCCGCAAGCAUGUACGAAAGAGCAUAAUGGCAUGCUAGCUAUAGUCCAGGGUACAAAUAUCUCAACAGCAUCAUGUCUCUGACAUGGAAUCUCAACUCGACCCAAGGUCGGCACUGUAGUACCCAAUCAUAAGUCACUAUCAACAACUUGUUGACAAGAUUCUACCAGUCGUUAAUAUAACUUGACAAGUUAAAGCUUUACAUCACACUAGUGAUUCUAUCAGGCUAUACCUGGUCAGUCACUCACAAUCUCUCACUACUCCUUACACAUAAGGAAAGUGGUUUACUAAGGUUCUGUUCAUAGACUCAUGGCACAUAACCUGAAGUUCAAUAUAAACUUCUAUUACUUGAAGCAAACAAAUAUGAAACAAUCACCUCUACUUGACUAUACAAGUAUGUCAUCAUAUUUAAAUCUAGUUAUCUACUAGAUUAUAUUCAGUUGUAUAUCAUUCAAUUAUGCCAUCAUAUAAACUUCUAGUUACUUACUAGAAUAUAUACCACAAUAUGAAUCUAUCAUGUGAAUGUAGAAACUAACAGAGUAAUACAAGCAAGGAAUAUAAACGAUAAAAUACUUUUCACAUGAUCUCCAUGCCAUUCAUUCUACAAUUAGGAAUGCAUAUGCAAACACAAGCCUUUACCUGAUCUUUCAGAGUUUAGCCAUUAUACUUGUUAUAUAACAUUGCAUAGCUCAAUCCUAAGUACAUCAGUCUCUUUGUUGUUCAACAGAACUAAUUGGUCCAUUCACGAAUUUACCAUUCUAUCCUCGUGGAUAACAUCAAGCCAAAUUGCAUAUGCAAGCUACUAGUAUCAUGAAUCCAUAGUACUUAACAGGUAACCAUGUAGAAUGGACAAGUCAUGAAUCUUUCAUUACCAUUUAAAGAUGCUAUCAUUUCCGAUAUGAUCUACAUAUCAGUGCAUGUCUCAAUGCCUUAAACUAUACAUAUAUUCACAUGAAUAUGAAAUAACUUCAACUCAGAUGUCAAAGGAGACAUAGAGGGAAUUCACCCAUUUCGGGAAGGUCCGACCCACCUAUCACCAAGCUCAAUCCAGCCAAAAGGAGUCCCGAACCCUGCUCAACGGAGCCUCGACGCUGCUGAAAACGAAACACGAAAAGCGCAUCAAAACUACGGCCGAAAUGUCCAAUUUCGGUACAAUUUGCACUUAGUACAAAGUAAUAACUUGAAUCCCUGUUUUGGGUUCAGUUAAUACCUCAAAUUAAGCUUCUAAAAGCCUUUACACAUCAGCCGGAGAUACUCCGAAAGUCCGUUGCAAGCCCGCUGCGAACAAUUUCCAAAACGGCAUCAUAGUCGUCAAAUAUCAAUAGAUAUAGUCGGAAUCUUGAAAAUUCAGUUUCCUCACAGCAAUUUCAGCUUACCUUUAGUUGGAACACCUUCUAAACCAGCCUCCCAGGUCACCAAAAGAGCUUAAUGUGAUUCGCAAACCUGCUGGGAAGAGAAAAGCUCAAACUGCAUCAAUUCGCUCGAUUGAUCCGCGUAUAGGCCGAAAUAACUUCAUAAAUAGCGGAACAUCUCCAAUAAGCUUCAAAGUAGCUUAUCCCAGGUCUAAGGAGGUUCAAUCACAGCUAAUUAACUCAUAUUUAAUAGCUGAAUUCUCAGUUUAAGUCAGUUGGAAGCAAAAACUCAAAAUCACUAAUCAAAUCGACGAAUAGAACGCCGAUAACGGAAAAAUCGAGUCGUUUACCUUCUCAAGCUUCCAACCAGCAACUCACUGGUUUGGUGCUGCGAAAAACCUUCCAAAAUACCCUCUCACACGUCCACAAAGGCUCAGUGACACUCGCAAGCAGCGAAGAACAAGCGAGGCGACGAAAUCGAGCUAAAUCAUUGAUUUCUAUGUAGAGAGAGAAAACUUCUAGAGAGAGAGAGUAAGAGAGGUGCAAGGCUGCUUCUCAGAGCUCUAGCAUCAUCCACAAGGGUCCAGGGGUCGUGCUGGGGUAAUAUGGAUAGAGACAAGAUGUGAAAUUACUUAAAUAACCUUGCUGCCACGUUUCUGCUAGUCUGUACCGGUACAAGGUGAUGGCUGUACCGGUACAGCAAGCAGAAAAACACUGAUUUCGCCAGAUCAAUGCACUUUCUUACUUUUAACCCUCCAAUCACUCUCUAACUUGUCCAAAAACUUGUCCAAACCCUUUAGAAUGUGUAGGGCAGUUUCAUUUACCUUUUCCCACGUUCGAACUUCGUAAUUGACCAAAUUCGAAGCAUUGCAAUUGAUAAUGCAUUUGCGAUGCACUUUUCCAUUUCUAGUUACUUACUUACUCUAGUAACUUAUCAAAAACCUUUCAAUAGUCUUGCAAAAGUCGUAGACCAGUUCCAAAAGCCGAUCCAACCCUCGAACUUACCAAGAGGCUCAAGAUUCAGUAUAUUACAGGCAUUGUAGUUGUAAUUGAAGUUAUUGCAUUUAUUUAGUAGAAAUAUCUGUUGUUAUCAUAAAUUAUCUACUAAUACUUUGUUUGGACCAAGUGAGUAUAGAGUGCUACUUUUGGCAGCUGCACUCACUAGGAACUAACUGUAAUUCUUACGCUUUUAUUGUUUAUCCUUUUCUGGAGCUUACAUUGUCGGUGAGGUGCGUGACCAAGGCAAGGGUGUUGCGGAAUAGUGGAUCUAGAGAGAAGUUUAGAUAUACCAUUUAUUUUGGACAAUCAAACAUUAUAAUAUUUUGGGAUCAAAACAUGUAAACUUUAAUAUAGUUUAAUAUUUGUGAAAUGGUUUCAAUAGUUAUAGAAGCCAACUGCCUCUUGUGCAAGUGACAAAGGGCUUAGUGAUUGGUACCCGAAGUCCCAUGUUCGAAGCCUAAUCACAUUUUUCGCUAAGUUUAUUUCUAAAAGAAAUAAAUAAAGCGGGAGCAUACUACGUACGUACCUUUCUCCAAAAAAAAAAAAAACUUGUAGAAUUUAAAAUUGUUUAAAGUUGAAUCUUUUAAAUUAGUAGUUGUAUACUUUGAUAUUGCAUAUAGCAUAUCAUAUAUGAUUGUAUGGGUUGGUAUGUGAUUUCGCUUCGUGCGGAUAGGAAAAGUCUUGCCCAUUCGGCCGUUCUGUUGCAAAUGACUGAGCGGGCCUAAUUGGUGGUCUCGUGGUGUGACACACACAACCAAGAUGAUUAGAAUACUAUCUCAAAAAGUUAAAUAUUAAUUAAUUAACUAAAGUAGUUAAGUGAUACUAUAUAACUAUAUUAAUUACUUUUCAUAUGCUGAUAAAUAAAUUUAAAUCCAAAUAUAACUAUUCAAGGAGAGCAAAAGGAGUUCACAACUGGUGGGUACCACUAAUACUGCAAACGACAACCACCAAACCAUAACUCCGUCUAAGCGCAUACCUCCGUCUCCAAAUACUAUCACUCCAGAAUAGCUCGUCAUAAUAUAUCUGACUAUUCAGGAAUACGCUAUUCAUUUUUACUAAUAUUAUCUGGAUGCAUCUCUUUGAUCUCGACUGUAUCUGGCCAUCAUAGUAUACAUCGAUUAUACCAACUAGUUUAUUCAAAUGUCACCUAGUACAUCGAUCCUCACACGAUGUAUGCUGCUACCUCAAUACGUUACCCCUAUUCGAUUGUCAUGGUCUAUGAAUCUCAAGGUUAGAUUUUAACCCUAUCUUCUUGGCAGUUUUAGAUCAUAUUUCGGCUAAGUAAACCCGAUGAACAUUGACUCACACAUAUCCUACUCUAAAUCUCCACUUCAAGACUGCAAUAACUACAUGAUUGCAAAUAAUCAGUCAAUUGAUUUUCCUUGUCCAUAUGAUCACAUAGAGCUCAUAACUAUGCCCGAAGAUCAAAAACAACACUAUAGUACCGGAACUCCGGUACUAUAGAUAGUAUAGUAGCCUAACUCUAUAUAUAUAUAUAUAUAUAUAGCAAGUAGAUCAUACUAGCAUAAUUAAUUAAUUGCAAAUAUCCUCAUAUUUUCUCAUGCAAUUAAAUUUGAACAUAAGAAACAGACAAUGUAGAAAUUUAGCAAAGAUGAUAAAUUUUAUUUAAAUGGCGUAGCUCGUAGAGACAACCCAUACUAAACACUCGUCGAGAUUACAGUGGUGUUAGUAGCCUAAAAUAAAAUCAUUAUGGAGGCCCCAUAUAAGGUUGUCCCCAAGGGCCACUAAACCUAACUUUAAUGAUAUAAUAAUAAUAAUAAAUCAUAAAUAUGGACACUUUGUGUGCUAUAUCUAAGAUUUGAUGGUCAAUAUGAUAAAAUUAAUGUCACGCCCCGGAUUACACUUUCCCCGGGCACGCCGACAAAUCCGCCGUAUACAAAGGAAUUUCCCCUGUAUACGAAGCGUUAGCUGUACCUGUAAAUCAAACACUACUACGAACAGUAGUAGAGAGCUGCUAGAGAAAACAGAAGCUAAACAAACUGAGUUUCAUAUACAUAGUCCAAAUCCAAAAUACAAAGCUACUCGCACUGGCGAGUUAAGUCCACUAUGUACAUAAACUCGAAACAAAACAUCUACCUGCAGUAGGGGCACCUCUAGCUCAGCACGUCGGGUAGGGCUCUAACUCGCGACGCCCUUACCUCGAUCCUGAUCCGCGGAAGGCGCAGCAGCCGAAACCUGUGGCUCNCUCGUUUCUGGGCGACCCUAACAAUGUUCUGGGCGCCCGAAUCUGGCAAAACUUCAGUUUUGCUUAUUUGAGUGCGCCGAGUCCAAUUCUGCAUCCAAUUCGUGCAGAAUUGACUCCGACUCAGUCCGACACUCUCCAGAGAUGUCGACCAGUCUAUAAUACUGAAGCCAAUCCUAUCCAAAGCUCAGGAACACUACAAUUAAAUCGACUGUCACUAACGCAAGUGGCAAAUGAUCUGGCGGUUAGUACUCGAUCGAGGUCUCAAGUUCGAAUUCUAGUUGAUUCAUAUUUCGAGCUCAAUUUAUUUUUUAAAAAAAUAAAUGAAAUGGGUAGCAUGCUACCUUUCUUUUUAAAAAAAAAUCACUAAAAGGUUAGGGACCACAUUUGAGAAAGGAACUCAGUGUAAACAAAUCUAGUGCCCAAAGAGGUGAGUUUUUUUUUUUUUUUUUAAGAAAAGUAGUAUUCUAUCUGUUUCGUUUAUUUUUUUAAAAAAAAUUAAUUAAAAAUAUGAAGUAAUUAAGAUUCAAAUCUAGAAUUUCAGAUACCAAUCAGCAAAUCUUUUGCUAUUUACGCUAGAGACGGUCAAUUCAAAGAGGUGAGUUGUGCCUCCAACUUGGAGCAUUGCAGUUCAUGCAAUGUCUUUUUUUAACUGCCGCAAAAUGUUGGGCGUUGAUUGGCAUGUGACAAAUAUUUUAGUUUAUAUAUAAUUCAAAUAUUUUAGUUUAUAAUUAAAAUAAAAUUUACUAUAAAGUGAUGAGCUUUUAAAUUGUGUUCCUACCUUAACUUUUGGUUGCAUAAAAUUAAUUUAUUUAUGCAAAUUUAGUUUGAACAUUUUAAGAAUUUAAAUUUUAUCAGGCUAAGUUCAAUCCAGUCUACUUAUUUAAAUUUAGUUUCGAGUUACUUUUUAGAAUACAAGUUUCCAAAUUAGUUAUUAUUUAAAAGCAACAAGUCACAUAAUAUUGAGACAAAUUCAGAUUUUUUGUGUUAAUAAUUCCCUAGUUAUUAUAUAAAAUUAGUCAAGUCAUCUAAGUUAAGAUCAAUUCAAAUAUUAGUGUCUCAUACCAUAGAAUUUUUCCUGUUGUUGAAUUUUUAUAAAAUUUUUAAAAUAAUCAACUUGCCGCUACUGUAAAGAUUGUCAUUUGUUUUAGAAAAAGAGGUGACACGGUGUCAAGAACUACUUCCAAAGUCUCUAAUAAGUUUAUAUAUAUAUUUGUAACGACCCAGCCCACUAGCGACAAUAACUCGCUGGGCCCAACCAUAGCCCAAAAUGCUUAAGCCUAGUUAUUAUUAUUAGUGUCUAAGUCUCUUAUAAAGACAAUGACAAUCUCAUUCCCAUCCGAUAUGAGACUAUUAGGGUGUCACAGACUCCUCCCGUUAAGGUCCUGACGUCCUCGUAAGUCCAAUCACACAUACAGCCCAAGAUCACCAGGCGAUGUGAGACUCGUCUCGCUAGCCCGUCAUCCAGACCAUGGCUCAGCCGAGACUCACCACACAUGUCCAGCUGGUGAACCGGCUCUGAUACCAAAUGUAAUGACCCAGCCCACUAGCAACAAUAACUCGUUGGGCCCAACAACCGGCCCAAAAUGCUUAAGCUCAGUUAUUAUUAUUAGUGUCUAAGUCUAUUAUAAACACAAUGACAACCCCAUUCCCAUCCGAUGUGGGAUUAUUGGGGUGUCACAGACUUCCUCCGUUAAGGCCCUGAUGUCCUCGUCAGUCCAAUCACACACACAGCCCAAGAUCACCAGGCGAUGUGAAACUCGUCUCGCUAGCCCGUCAUCCAGACCCUGGCUCAGCCGAGACUCGCCACACAUGUCAAGCUGGUGAACCGGCUCUGAUACCUAAUGUAACGACCCAGCCCACUAGCAACAAUAACUCGUUGGGCCCAACCAUAGCCCAAAAUUGUUAAGCCCAGUUAUUAUUACUAGUGUCUAAGUCUCUUAUAAAUACAAUGACAAUCACAUUUCCAUCCGAUGUAGGACUAUUAGGGUGUCACAGACUCCCCCCGUUAAGGUCCUGACGUCCUCGUCAGUCCAAUCACACACACAGCCCAAGAUCACCAGGCGAUGUGAGACUCGUCUCGCUAGCCCGUCAUCCAGACCCUCGCUCAGCCGAGACUCGCCACACAUGUCCAGCUGGUGAACCGGCUUUGAUACCACUUUAAUCUGUCACGCCCCGGGGUCCCUUUUUAGUUUAAAGUAUAGCGGAAAAGCGUCUGAAAUUUUUUUUUGAAAACCUAACCCCAGAGUAUGCCAGAUCCGCCACAAAUACAGGAGAUCCACUGUUCACACAGACAGAGUCUCCCCUGUAUUUGCACGGCGUCAUACAAGUACAGAGUUCAAACAUGAUACAACCAUAACCAGAUGAGCAUACAAAUAACCAACAGUUAUACAUUCCUACACCAUUCACCACAGUUUCACAUUUAUACAUUCAAUAUUUAAAAAUAAAUCCACAUCUAUCAGUUAAAAUGUUUCCAACCACAGAAAUAGGUUUUGAAAUACUAAGAUACAGAAUCCACAGAAAACUUUUUGAAAACUGUUCCCUAUACAGGAACUUUUAUCUUUUAAAAACGUUACCACGAGGGGUAGAAAUCCAUUCAACAUUUGAAAUCCACAAAUUCCCUUUUUUUUUUUUAUUACAUCAUAAAGCCAAUGAAAAUAUAAUGUUCAACUGAAAUAUCAAAAACUGAACCAUAACUAGAUCUAAGUUAUUUAUUUGGAGAACCGACCAACCGGGUCACAUAUGUAAAUACAAGAACAGACUAACCAGGUCGCAGAUGUCAUAACCAGAUAAAGUCUACUCUACUCCUACACAAUGAUACUACAUAUGGAAACAACUGAGUAGAGUAAAUAUGAAAAUAGCAUGGGUGCAAGGCUCAACGUGUAUAAGGUAAGCAGUAUAAACAACAAGGGUAAAGGAAACGUCACCGAACGUGCACUACUGUACCGACGUCGGAUCGAAGUACCCACUUGUACGUGUCUGACGAAAAUCUCUCGACUAUGAAGACGGUGCAACCGAACCUACGAAAGGUCCACCGGGUUAGAACCUAACCCACUACUAAGAAACCCUCAAAGCAUAACCCCACAAAUAAACCCACGGGAAUCGGUUUCCCAAAAUCGAUUACCGAACACACCGGAAGUCCCGAACCACGCACCGAAAAUCAACGAUUGGUUUCCGGAAAGGCUUGGGGCCUUGGACGAUCAGUCCAGAGGUUAUCCUCAGCCUACACUUGCUGCCAACAACAGCCACAUCGAAGCAAAAAGCAUAAAAGCCCUUACCGCUACAUAGAAUCACAUCAUUUUAUGUGAUUUCUAGGCUUUUCUGGACCGUGCACGCAAACCAGAGAUCGAUUAAUCAGACCGUCGCACUCGUUGAUAGGUUUCAGUGUGCCGGAGGCCGUGCUCACCUCCGACAGAACUCGUUGGGCCCAACAACCGGCCCAAAAUGCUUAACCCCAGUUAUUAUUACUAGUGUCUAAGUCUCUUAUAAACUCCAUUCCCAUCCGAUGUGGGACUAUUUUGGGACUAUUGGGGUGUCACAGACUCCCCCCAUUAAGGCCCUGACGUUCUCGUCAGUCCAAUCACACACACAGCCCAAGAUCACCACCAGGCGAUGUGAGACUCGUCUCGCUAGCCCGUCAUCCAUACCCUGGCUCAGCCGAGACUCGCCACACAUGUCCAGCUGGUGAACCGGCUCUGAUACCAAAUGUAACGACCCAGCCCACUAGCAACAAUAACUCGUUGGGCCCAAACCACCAGCCCAAAAUACUUAAGCCUAGUUAUUAUUACUAGUGUCUAAAUCUCUUAUAAACCCCAUUCCCAUCCGAUGUGGGACUAUUGUGGGACUAUUGGAGAGUUAUUGUUGGUAGUGGGCUGGGUCGUUACAAUAUUAUUAUACGCUAAAAUACAAAAAUUUUGUUAUAAAUAUUUAUUUUUUUAUUUCUCUUUCUCGAUUUUCAAAAUUCUAUAUUUUUCUCUCUUAAAAUGUUAGAAAUAUUUCCAGGAAUACGAUGUUAUUGGAGAAGGCAAAAUGACCAAAUUAUUAUUAUUUCUUCGAUAAAAAAAAAAUAAUUUUUAAAUAUAUUUUUAUCGUUCUGAAUACUAUUUUCGGUAUAAAUUAUAAAAAGUGGAUGGAAUAGUAAUGAAAUCUUGACAGAAGGGGUCUAAAUGCAAUAACUUAAAAUGUUGAGAGAAUAAAAUAUAAAUUUUUAAAAGUUAGAAAAAAAAAUUAAAAAAAUUGUAUAUUUAUAAAAAAAAACUUUUGUAAUUUAGUCUAUAUUAUAUUUAGAUAUGGAGCCUAAUGUUUGUAUUACAUAUUUCUACACCAUCGAUUGUCACUGUAAUUUUAUAGUUUUGUUGGAGUAAAAACAAAAAAUCGAAAUAUUUUCGGAUUUUCAAGACCUUUCAAAAACGCGAAAGUGGAUGGUUCUGGAAAGGCGCGCCCAAACUAGGGCUCAAACGCUCGGUGCAGGGAACAAAUUUCGGAUGCGCUCACGGUAGGUGUGGACACGAGUCGGUCGCCGCGACGCCGACGCCGACGCCGACGCUGGUUCGACGACACGUGGUGGAAUUCGAAGGGCUGCGGAUCCGGGAGAAUUGGGGCAUCGUCGACCGACACGUGUCGGUUUCGCUCCGGGAAUAAUAAGUGGGACCCGUGUUGACCGGUCAGGACGCGUGCGUGUCGGAGCGGCGCCUCUUUUUUUUCCUAAUUGAAAUUCUGCGGAUGUUUUAAAUGCGGUGUCGGCCGACACCUACGCGCCGUUUCCGAACUUUGGCAGUUGACUCUGCCGCUCCCCCCGACCUUUACCAAUUAAUGCUGAUCAUCAUCAUCAUCAUGAAUCACCGUAAUAAAAAUAUAAAAUUAAUUUCACACAUAUCCCUACAAAUAUAAUAAAUUAUAAAUAUAUUUUUAUAAAUUUUAAUUUUUAUUUACUGUCCCUACAAAAGUACUAAUAUUUUCAAAUAUAUCUCUGCCGUAAGAGUUCGUUAGAAAACUUUAAUUAACCAUAGAUUAAAUAGUUAAUUGUGAUUAGUUUAUUAGAUAACUUGACAUUUUUGUUCCUGUUGUGUCUUUUAGAGAGGCAUACUUGUGAUGGCAAAAUUGACAUUUUAUUUAAAAUAUAAACAGUUUUAUAACUGUAACAAAACAGAGGAAUAUAUUUAAAAAUAUUAAACUUUUGCAAGAAUAAUAUAUAAAAAUUAAUCUUUAUAAGAAUAUAUUUGUAAUUUACUAUAUUUGUCGCGACGUGUAUGCAUUUAACCCUAAAAAGUAAUUUGCCAAUAUUUGUUUACUUAUAUAUUUAUGGACAAAAUGUAAGGAUACCGUCCAUAUUAUUGGUCAGCGAACUUUUGACGAUAUUUUAUUUUGAACCCCCUUUUAUUAUUAUUAUUAUUAUUUUUGUAAAUGAGCCAGUUUUAAAUGUAAUCCCCAAAAGUUACAAAAUACUUAAGAUAUCUUCAACAUAGAUAGUCAAUAUUAUUUUUAUCAAUCCACAACAAAAGAACCCAUCAACCGCACAUUGAAAUGUUCAGUGCUUUCGUAUUCUUAUUAGGGUAAGUUGGAAUUUUGGAGUGACCAGUCCAAGUCACCACACUCAUCUUAAUUUGAAGCACGUACUUUGUCGACACACACCAACUCCGUGCGAAAGUGAUUUCCACCGAAGCACGAAAUUGGUGCAUCUAUAGCUGGUUGAUAUAUAAUUUGCUUCUAAUAAAGUGGGUGUGCUACUUAGUUAAACAAGUGGCAAAGGGCUUCGUAGUUGGUAUCCGAGAUCCAAAUUCGAAUCCUAGUUGAUUCACAUUUUCAGCUAAGUUUAUUUCUAAAUGAAAUAAACGAAGCAGGUAGCGCACAUGCUACCUAUCUCUCUCUCAAAAAAAAAAAAAAAAAAAAAAAAAAAAAAAAAAAAAAAAAAAAAAACUUGCUGGCCUCAUUUUCCACAAAAAAUAGUACUGCGGAAAGAGACAUCAAGUAGCUAGGCCUUUAGUCUGAGGGGGUACUGAAGCCUUCAGCUUCAUUCACUUAUUAAAAACUAUAGCUUUAAUUAUGUUGGCCUUUUUCUAAUUUUCCUUUCAAGUUGGGGCCAUCUGAUGUUCCCUUUCUCAGCACUUUUUAGUCAAAUUCUUAUACAAAGUCCUAAUCAAUGGAGGGCUGAGGGAUCCAAACACCCUCAUUAUAUAGAAAUUGAAAAUCCCAAAAGAAGUAAAGAGUUUUGCUUGGUUGGUAUUAACUAUUAAGAGGGCGUGACUUCACGGCAGACAAUUUGUGAGAGGAGUGGAUUUCGGGUUCAACAAUUGAUGGAUCCUCCCUCUAUGGAAGUGAACUGAAAACGAUUGGUCAUUUAUUUGCUGGAUAUAUGUAUACUUGUUUUUUAUUCUGUAAGUACUAGAGCGAGUUUUUUACUCAAAUGUGCUAUCGCAUAUGGCUCGUGAACUUGGAAAGAGGUUAAGGGAACUUAAGAAGAACCUAACUACUCUAUUGGCUACGUGGUGGGCUCUCUGGCUCGAAAGAAGAAAAAAAGAACACCACGUAUUAGGGAGAGGAGCCGAAAACCGAUACAAGGUGAUUGGAGGGUAUUCGGAUUCGGAAGCAGCUAAGACAUUGGGAUGCAGCUUGACCUUGAUUGAUUUUGGAGUAGUAGGUCUCUCCUGUGCUUGCUUAUUUGGCCGAUUUUACUUGGUGCUUGAUUGACCAAUUUUACUUUGUACUUGUUUGACCCCUUCCUCCCUCCUCUACCUCCCCACUCUAAUUAGCAGUGGUGCUCUAUUCUUGUUUUGUUUUUCAAUCUUUGUUUAUUUUCCUUUUCCUCCUUUUUCUUUUAUUACUAUUAUGUUAGGCUUUCAGAGGCCAGAUUGUCUCAUCUUUUUUAAUUAAAUUUUUUUGCUUAAUGAAUGAAGUGGACAGUUUGUUACCCUUUUUAAAAAAUUAUUGUUUUAUUAUGCAAAUGGUCAGUGUUUACUAUCAGUGACUACAAGUAUAAAAUAGUUUUAUUCUUCUCUAAUCUUAAUUUUUAAAAGAGACUCCAAAACUUGAUUCUCUCUCACCACCCGUACGGACCACCUCAAUGCUCCUUAAUUAAUUAGAGCUCCAACUCGGCUCGGGUCACGACACGCAAGAAUGCACGAUCGAAUACAAGAAACACUCCUUAAUUAAUUAGCAUGGUAAUAAGAAUCCGGCUUCUUGACUGUACGGAACACCAUGCUUGAGGGAUCUUGCUCCAAGAGGCUUCAAUUAAUUAGCGCACGAAGAAUAGUCUCAGCCGCACCAACCUUUUAAUUUAAUUUGCAUGGCUCUUAAUUGUGUCGCAACUUCUUUAAUUUGGCCGUAGCAUGUAUAUAUAAUACAUGUCUCCUAAUUAGAGUCUAAUUCUAAUUCAAUUAGAAUUAUACUCCUAAUUAUAAUCCAUAUAUGCCAAAUUAAAUCUAAAUAAUAUCUAAUCCCAAUUAGAUUAGGAUUUAUCCUUAAUUUAGAUAACUACAAAUCUAAACCAAAUAUAACAAUUUACUAUCAGUGACUACAAGUACAAAAUAGUUUUAUUCUUCUCUAAUCUUAGUUUUUAAAAUUUUACUCUUUACAAGCAAACUGAACCAAUCCAAUCUCUUUAAUUCAAUGCAAAGAUACUGCAUUGAUCCUCCUUAUUAACGGGCUACGUAGCAUUUCUCAACCUAAAAUAAUUGUUUGCUCUAUCUUUCCUAUACUUAUAAAAUCUGAUUUAUCUUAAAUAAUAAGAUUGUAAGAACGCUGAUUUCAUUAUGAGUAGGGCCAGUUUUGAUAAAUUUUUCCCUUUUUUUCUCUAAUAACCAAUUCAAGCAUUUCAAAAUCACCUCUCAGUAGGUCAAAAUUUAUUUAUUUCAAAAUCUUUUUUAUUUUCAGUCGUUUCAUAUGUUUCGCUAUGCUCAAUUCAAAUCAGAAUAUUGGGUUUACUUUUUUAAUUUUCUUCAUUAUUCAUUUUAGAACUGUAAGUAUUUUGAAACUUUUAGAAGAAGGAAAUUUUUUUUUUCAAUUUUCUAACUCUUCUUUAGAGUUCUUUAUAAAUGGGUUUAAAAAAAAGGUGGCCCUUUUCAGGGAUUGUAUAAUGAUAUAAAUAACUAAGCUUCCACAGAUUUUAUAAUUCUAAUGAUGUAAAGCUCUUUGACUCACAACUAAGUUAUCUCAAGAAAAUAAAGAGUUACCGACCGUCCCUAGAGCAAGUAAUAAAGGGUUUGAUGGUUGGUACCCGAGACGCAAGUUCGAAUCCUAAUUGAUUCACAUUUUUAGCUAAGUUUAUUUCUAAAUAAAAUAAAAAAAACAGCUAGCGUGCUACCUAUCUCUCAAAAAAAAAAAAAGAAGAAAAAAACAAAGAAAAUAAAGAGUUACAAAUUAGGACAUAAAUUGAAGAAUAAAAAAAAAAAAAAAAAAAAAAGGCAAAAUUUGUAAUUCAACCCAUCAAUAAAACCGGUACGUCAAAUAUUCCGAAGCAUCUCAAAGAAAUAUUUACAUCCAUAUUAGAGGAAAUCUCCAUACCUUAAAAUAUUUGUUAAUAAAUUUACUUACAAGCGAACACAAAAUCACGUUUUUACGCGCAUUUAAAAGUUAACAAAUAUAUAACAAAGAUCCCCCACAUAUUUUUCCUCCCACCAACAUUCACCAUAGUUAAUUUAAAUGACGUGAUUAUCAAAUGAAGAGGAGCAUCAGAAAAGAAAAAGAAAAAAAGAAAAAAAGAAGAAAUCAUCACACGCAUCUGAUUGAAAAGCAUGCAUGCGUCCCUUGAUAUCAGUAGCAUCAAUUAUCAUCAAUUACGUGCUUUAAGAUUCGAGCCAGUGCUAUCCAAUAAUCGAUAGAGGGAGUGCGUCUCAUUAAUAAGGGUCAAACCUUUUUCUUUUGUUUUUGUUUUUGUUUUUGUUUUUGUUUUUUUUUAAAAAAUUUUAAUUAUAUGAGUAUACGCAUCUCAUUCCACAACCCAACCAAAUCCACCCAGCUACGUUGACUGCGUUGACUCGCCCUCCCCUUCCGUUCCCUGAGUUUGACCAGUUUGACUCUCGUUUUCUUUGAAGGUCAUAACGGUCUCAAAUGCGCCGACGAGGGCCUUCACCUUGCUCUUCCUCACCCCCAGGAGCUUACUCCUCGCUUUCUCUAUCACGUCGUUGCUCUUCGGCGCCUCCUCCUUCCUACUCGCCGCUCUCGCGGCAGUUUCCGCCGCCGUCGCCUUCUUCUCCUCUUCUCGCUUCUCCGUCGCUGCCUCGGCCAUUGUUGUCGUACUUGGCUCCACCAAUAUUGUGGACUUCUCUGUUUCAGCUUCCACCACCAAUGUGGGCUUCUCUGUUUCGGCUUCCACCAAUAUGGGCUUCUUCUCUGUUUCAGCUUCUGCUUCCGGCUUCAGCUCCACCCCUUCCCCUGCUUCUGCUUCUGCUUCUGCUUCUGCUUUCGGCUUUUCAAUGUCUUCUACUGCCGCAGCGGCAUUCUCUUCGAACCCUUUAGAGCAUUCCUCCUCCGCUUCUUCUUCAUGCUUCUUCUCGUCACCAUGACCGACCUCAACAUCCACACUCACUUCAUAUGGGUCCUCUGUUUCAGGAGGAGAAGCAUCGGAGGCCGCCGCCGCUUCCGAACUACUCUUCGGCUCGACAGGGUCAGGGAGCUCUUCGACCAAGUGGUCUUCUAUAGAAGCAAUGCUCAUGUUCUCACUCUCCUCAAUCUCACUCUUCAUUUCUAUCUCCUCUUCACUCUCUAUAACCACCGCAUAAUUAUUAUUAUUAUUAUUAGUAGUAGUAGUAGUAGCAGUAGCAGUAGUACUUGUUUUCAAAAGAGAGCCAUGGUUGGCCUCUGUUUUCCUCGUGCCCGUCCCGGGGCUCCUCACCCGCGACACCGCACUCAGUCUCGCACCCUUCGGAGCAGUAACCGACGUUUUAUCCGAACCAGGCCGAUGAGAAAUUGUAGUUUUAUGCGAAGAGGAAGAAGCUUUAGGGGUUUUCUCCUUACUGUCCUUGAGGGUUGUUAAUGGCGCCUUGGUGGUGCUCUGUUUCUUACGAGUGGAGGCAGAAGAAAAAGUAGUAGUAGUAUGUUGGUGGCGGCUCGAGCUUACGGUGGGACGGAGAAAGGAGGCGGCUGCGGUGGAUUGCGACGGGGGAGGGGGGCUGCGGCCGGGGGAGUUUGGGAGAGAGGAUUGCUUCGGCGGUCGGCGACCGGAGUGGGGUGUGGGUGUGGUGGUGGUGGUGGUGGUGGUGGUGGUGGUGAUGCUCUUAUUUCUUUGGUGUGUUGGUGCUCCUCCUCCUCCUCCUCCUCCUCCUCUUCCUCCUACUCCUUCCUUUAUUGGCUUUGAUGUAGCCAUGAGCUAGGUGAUUUUCAACUAUGUUACACACACAAUUUUUCUUUUAGAAAAAAAAUAGUACACUACUACGUGCUUCGUUUAUUUAUCAAACAAAUUUAGCCAUAUAGAGAAGUUGAUUAAAUAAAAGUUAGGGUUCUUACAGAACAAACAAUAAAUCAUGAUACAAGGUAGGAAUACUCAUAGGAAUCUCGUCGUCUGCAUCAUUAAUACAAAAGAUUUAAAAAAAAAAAAAAAAAUUUGUGAACAUGUAUAAGACCCAUGAUCACCAUUUAAUUUUCAUAUAAUCAAGCUAAUAGAAAUGUGUGAACAUAUAUCGUGUGGUUCUUUGUGUCUAAUCUCUCCAAGUUAUGAAUUCUCUGCACAUGUUUCUUACGUUUGCAUCUAAUCACUUGAUUAAAGGUGGUUGGAUUUUGAUUAAUUUAUUUAUGUGACUUAGAUGAUUGAAUUUAGUGCAUAAUUUCAUCUAACCUAAUCUGUUUAGUGGAACAUACCAAUGAUCAUUGAACAAUUAUUGUUGCUUUUAUUUUUUUUAAUUCAAAAGAGGAUACAACCAAGAAUCACUAAACAUAAAUUGAAAAUUUAAAUAAUCUUACAUUUAAAAAAGAAAACAAAAGGAUCAAUGGCUUUUGGUGUACCUUGGAUUGGAGUGCUCAACUCAUGAUUAUCUUCUCCAUUUGUUUAAGGAAACCUGAGGUUGAAGAAAUGGGAGAAGGUGGAGGGAGGAAGUUUUGUCCCAUUACUAUUAUAAUAUAUAUUCUCAAAUGGGUUUUCUUUGCUUGAGAGAGAGAGAGAGAGAGAGAGAGAGAGAGAGAGAGAGAGAGAUGUGGAGCCCCAUAUUUAAAAUUGGUUAUGAAGAGACCAAGUCAAAUUAAUUAGAAGCAGUUGUAAGCUAUUGGAAGCGGUUUGCAUUGCUAAUUCUAGAGAUUUGGCUCAAUAAAUAAUAAAUAAUAAUAAUAAUAAUAAUUGUUCAUGUUGCAAUGUUGGUUACUUGAUAUAUUACUAAAUUUGAUGGACAUUUUCAUGCUUGGUUGAGUUAAUUAUAUCACAUCUUUACAAUUUGAAUAAUUGUCCAUUUGUGGUUAUGCCACAUAUCAAGCAUUUUUCAAGUUUUUUUUUUAGGACAAAAUUUAAACCAAAAAGGUGAUUGUUAUGCUGGUUACCUGUUAUCUUUUGCUUGCAUUCUAUAGGUUUUCGAUUUAAAUUAUGCUUAUAAUUUGAAUAGAGUGCAUAUUUAGUGUCUUCUACCUCUGUAAAAUUUGAGUGAUUGUGCAAUUGAGAUUUAAGGAUUUGUAUAGGCAAUAGUCUUUUUUUUUUUUGAGAGAUAGGUAGCACGCUAUUCGCUUUGUUUAUUUCAUUUAGAAAUAAACUUAGCUGGAAAUGUAAAUCAACAAGGAUUCGAACUUGGGUCUCGGGUACUAACCACCAAACCCUUUGCUACUUACUCUAGAGACGGUCGGUUGUAUAGGCGAUAGUCACCUAAUGAGUACAUUAGGAAAAUACGUGUAAGAAUAGGGAUGUUUUCGAAUUUCAAUGAGCUUUUACUUUUGAUUGCAUUGGGAAAUAAAGGAGGAAUAAUUUAGGAGAAUUAAAAAUACGUUAUGUUGGCUUAAAUGGACUAGCAUCCUGUCCUGUAGCGGAAGAUUAUAUUGGGCCGAGUCAUGUUUGAAAUGGCGUGAGGCUGAAUGAGUCGAGUCAUAUUCGAAGUGGUGUGAGGCUGGUUAGGCCAAGUCAUAAUCGAGACUCAUGGGCGUUGUAUCUGUACACUUUAAUUGAAUUGGUUACGUAUUUCUAACAGCUCGAGCUAUUAGGAUUAAUGGUUAGCACAAACGAUCCGAUAAGUAGUAUCAGAGCCAGAGGUCACAGGUUUGAUUUUCGCAUACUGAAAAUAUGUGUAAGUACUGGAGAGGGGAUUGUUGGCUUAAAUAGGUUAGCAUCCUGCCCUGUGGCGGGAGGCCAUGUUGGGACGAGUCAUGUUCAUGUUUGAAGUGGCGUAAGGCUGGUUGGCGUGAAGCUGGUUCGGCCAAGUCAUAAUCAAGACCCGUAGACGCUGUAUCUGUACGCUUUGCGUAUUUACAAUCCAACACGUUAUGCUCCCCUUUGAUCUCCAAUUUGCUAAAAGUUCGCCAAAAAUACUCUCUAAUCUCGAUCUGUGCUGAGUGGAGUGAUAACUGCUAAAAAAAACACUUUCAAACCGGGUUAUUAAUGGGAUCAAAAUAAGGUUGGCAUGAAGCUGGUUGGGCCAAGUCAUAAUCAAAACCCGUGGACGCUGUAUCUGUACGCUUUGCGUAUUUACGAUCCAACACAUUAUGCUCCCCUUUGAUCUCCAAUUUGCUAAAAGUUCGCCAAAAAUACUCUCUAAUCUCGAUAUGUGCCAAGUGGAGUGAUAACUGCCAAAAAAACACUUUCAAACCGGGUUAUUAAUGGGAUCAAAAUAAUGGGUUUAUUAACAUUCUAAGAAUUAAACUACUUAUUAGUAGGAUACUAGGAUCCAUAUUUACAGAUGUCAAUGGAUAUGGAUAUUUAAAAUUUUAUCUGUGCGUGAAUUCGAAUAGUUCAGGUUUAACCAAUAUUAAAAAGGAAUACCUUCAGUUACAGAUAUAAAAAGAAAAAUGUGACAAAUUAAAUUCAGAUAUAGUUUUUAUCUAUAUGACCAGAACUUGAACCCAAGUCAAACCUGAACCAAUUUUAUAUUAUAUAAUAUAUAGAAAUUUAAAUCAGUACAUAAAAAUUUUAAAUAUCCGUAUGAUAUGUUUUAAAAUUAAAUAAAUUAUACUUUUGGUCACCAAAAGUACAUGAUAUUUAAUUUUAAAACAUAUCAUACUUAAAUUUAAAAUUUUUAUGUACUGAUUUAAAUUUCUAUAUAUUAUAUANUCUAUAUGACCAGAACUUGAACCCAAGUCAAACCUGAACCAAUUUUAUAUUAUAUAAUAUAUAGAAAUUUAAAUCAGUACAUAAAAAUUUUAAAUUUAAGUAUGAUAUGUUUUAAAAUUAAAUAAAUUAUACUUUUGGUCCUAAAAGGUACAUGAUAUUUUAGUCCUCAAACUUUAAUUUGUUAUAAUUUUCAUCUCGAACUUUCUGAAUAAUUCCAAUCCAGUUGCACAACCCAAUUCACUAAACAUUGACAAAAAUUAUUUGAUGUAGAGGUGAUAUAAUAUUUUAAUUAUUCUCGCAUCAUUAAUCGCGAUUCUUUCACAACACUUCUACAUUAAUAAUUUAUCAAUAUUUAGCCAAUUGAAUUGGAUUGUAGGACUUGAUACAAUAAUUUAGAAAAUUCAAGUUAAAAAUUACAAUAAAGUAAAGUUUGGAACCAAAAUUUCACAGCUCUCAAAAUUUGAGCACCUAAAGUGCAGAUUUUUCUUUAAAAUUUGAUAAAGAGAAAUGAUUAUUUUCAUAUUCGGAUUUUCGGGCUUCAGUUCUUUUAUCUGGUUUGAUUCUAGUUAUGAAUUUUCAAAAGUCGAUAGGUUUGAGUUUAGAUUCAGAUUUCAAUUUCGAUAGUUGAAUUCGGAUUUGAAUUUUUAAAAAUUCGUCCCAAAUCCGAUCCUUUAACAUCCUAUUUAUAUUCGGAUUUUAAUAUAGUAAGAAACAAAAUUUUGCAAAUUUGAUUUUUGAUUCUAAAUAAAAACCAACCCAUUAACACUCCCAUACAAAACAAUUUGGAAAAAUAUAAGGUAAACAAUGCCAAACACAAGAGUACAACACAAGAAAUAGAUUUCUUUAUGUAAUAUAAAAUUGCUAACUAAAAACUCUGUGCGUGUAAUACAAGGAACAGUUAGCAAUAUUCGAUGGGAAUAUGUCAUAGAUAACAUUGUUUUUUCCACUCAAAAAAAUAAAAUAAAAUAAAAACAACAUAGAAUUCCACUGUUUUGUCUUGUAUGAGUGGGAUGUUUUAUUUAUUUACCUUAAACAUAUUUUGUGUAAAAAAGAAAGAGGUGUAUUUUGAUAAGGCUAGUAGAUAAAUUUUAACUGUUUAAAUCUAAGAUUUAUAUAUUUUUUAGAAUGUACAAGUAAUAUUGCCCUUUGAAAAAUGCUAUAUGUACAUCAUAUAUAGGGGUGUACAUAUUACAUCUUUGGAUUCAAGGGUUUAGAAAAAAAAAAAUUGGAUAGUUAUUAAAAAAACAAUUGAUAAGAUCAGUAGAUGAAUCCUAACCACACAAAAUCUCUGGUAAAAAAAAAAUAUUUAUGCCUCUUAUCGACCGUUCCUAGCGCAAGUGACAAAAGGUUUGGUGAUUGAUACCCGAUGUUCCAAAUUCGAAUUCUAGUUAAUUCACAUUUUCAGCUAAGUUUAUUUCUAAAUAAGUAGCAUACGAUCUAUCUCUAAAAUAUAUAUAUAUAUAUAUAUAUAUAUAUAUGAGCUAAGGCUACUAUAACUAUCUAUAGUACCCGAGACUUCGUACUAUGUGUUGGUUUUUGCGAAUCUAGGGCUCUAAAAUCAACGAAUCCACACCGUUAAAAAUGGAUCUAGUGUAUUUAAAGUUUUCUAGAAAUAACAGUAACAACUUAUAUAUUUUCAUUAACAUAGUUACUUAUGGAUCAAACUAUCUUCAAAAUUGUCAAUUUUCAUAAUAUUAUUAAGCGAGCUUUGGAGUUUAAACGUUAGAAAUCUAAAUUUCUUUCAAAUUUGAUAGAAAAUACUUAAACUAUAUAACAUUAAGGUUAACACUUUGAUCUUGAAUUUAAAGUCAUAUGCCAAAUUUAAAGUAUCAAUUUUCCAAAACCGCUCCAUUUGAUAUAAUUUAUUUACUAAUUAAACGAUAUCGAAAAAAGGUAAAAUUUAUUCCUAGAGAAAUCCUAUACCCUAGAUCAAUAUUAACGGUGGUGAUUCGUGAUUUGAGAUCCCUAAGAUAGAAACAAAUACUAUAUACGCGGAGACUCGUACUAUAUAUAGUAUAUAGCCUAACCUAAUAUAUAUAUAAAUAUAUAUAUAAUAUAUAUAUUAUAUAUUAUAUCUUAAUAUAUAUAUAUAUAUAUGCCCCUUUUAAGGUAUUCAAAUAGUAUUACUAUUUUGUAUUUUAAUUUUUAAAAUCAAAAUUUUUGUUUUUAGGGAGCUGUGCAUUAGCUGAUCCUUUUAUUCUGCUGUCAUCAUCAAACUAAAUGGCUAUUUUAAAGAGUUUUAAGGGCUUGUUUUUUUGUUUGUUUCUUUUUAAUUUUUUAUUGAAAGAGCUAGCUACAGAAGUUUUCAAAUAUUACAAAUACUUUUGGAGAGUCCUCUCAAAAGGUGAAAAUGGAUACAUUUCAAUUCAUCUUUCCUCCAAAUAUACUAUUAAUGUUCCAGAAGAGAUGCAUAGACCCACUUAUUAGCCUACAUAUAUUAGCUAAACUAUUAGCAAGAUCUAUUACAUUCUCUGUUUGUGUGUGCUGAAUCAAAACGAUCUGAAAUUUUGAGCCUAGCUUGGAGUAGGAAAUCGGCAACAAUAUUAUUAAUUCACCGAUCGUUCCUAACACAAGUGACAAAAGGCUUGCUGGUUGGUACCCGAGAUCCCAAAUUUGAACCCUAAUUGAUUCACAUUUCCUACUAAGUUUAUUUCUAAAAAAAAACAAUCAAAGUGUGUAGCAUGCUAUCUUUCCCUCUUUUUUUUUUAAAAAAGCUAUAUGAUAAUUGAGUAACUUGGUAACAUGCAUUGGCCCUCCUUAACAUGAUUAAGGGCCCCCUCAGCUCUUGGAUUAGUCACAUACAGAAACUUCCCAAGUAACCCUAAUAAUUUUGUCAAGAACUGUGUUAUAGCUUUGAUUCAGUCUUAUAUAGUUAUGAGGUUCCUAUAUAUAUUCUCUAACAUUAAAUUCUAUUUGGAGAUAUUUAAAACCAAAGGUACAAAUAUAAAAAGAAAAAUGAGCUCUGAGGGGACCCAAUCAGGAAGAACUUUUUGUUGGGUUUGUAUAAUAAGUGGUUAACAAAAUUUCAACCUUUGUUGACUUUUUAUAUUUGGUUGCCUACAAAUUAUUAGAUAACAAAACUAAAACUUUGUAUGCUGCUAACACAUAUUGCUUAUAUUAGAUGAUUUUUUUUUUUUUUUCUGAAAACGUGUUAUGUAUUGGUAUGUAGUGGGGCGUUAGGGUAGAUCAAAAAUAGAUCUGAAUUAGAUAGGAAGGCGGAAAAAAGUUGAUGCUGUAGGGCGCAUGAACAAAGUUUAUGCGGCAGGGCUGAGGUAAUAAAAAUAUGACGUGAGAGAGGGAGCAUGGGAUCGAAUAGUCGUGCGGGGGAGGAAAAUAAACCGGGAGAAAAAAUUAAAGAAAGUUGUGAUAACUCAUUACCCAAUUUCUUUAUAACUUUUGUCUUAUUGCACGAAAAAUUGAUCGAACGGAAUCCUAUUAUAAAAUAAGAUUCCAAUUUUUUUGAAAAAGUAAGAUAUGUGCAAAAUUUUUUAACUAAACAAUCGUAAUAAAUUUAAUUUCUAAAAGUCCCACAUUUUAUCUUUUAUUUUUUUAUCAACCAAAACAAAGCCGUGAACGAUUGGGCACAUAAGAUAAAGAGAUAAGAGAGAUAGGGUCUCCUUAUUUGAUCCUGGGGGAUUGAGAGCCAUUAAUUAGUUAUUAGUACUGUUACUAAAGUUUUAUUAUUUUAAUCGUAAAUAUUAUAUAAUUUAAUAUGCUGAUGGAUGGAUUGCUUUUUUUAUUGUUAGUUGGCUUGCAAUAUUUUCCAGCCUAAUAAGAAAUGAUAGCUUCUUCAAAGAUCGAAAAAAAUAAAAUAAAUAAAAGCUACUUCUAAGUAGUCCACCAAAAUUUAGAAAUUCUUAUCUCAUGCUUAAUUAAUUCAGGAAUAAUCAAAGGAUUGCUUAAUUAAUAUUAGUCAAAGAGAGAUCAAGAGAAGAGAUAGGAGUUCUUAUUUUUUAUUUUCUUUCAUUCUGUUUUUUUGCAUUCCAAAUGGAAAAAAUGAGACAGAUAGAUGUUUUUAGAACUUGAUUGGAAGGAGAUUAAUGCUUGAUGAAUGUUCCUAGCACAAAAUUAUUACCAUGUUGAGUAUUAUAAUUUUUGGUUUCUUCAAUAAAAAUUCAUAACUAUCGUGAAGUUAAAAAGAGUGUGGAUCUUGAAUGACUGAAGCAAAAUACUUGAUAAUCUUUACCUAGGGGCAAAAAAAAUGAAACAAAAGACAGAAAAAAAGGGAAAAAAAAUUUACCCAAUAAUCUAUGGACAGUUGUGUUUUCAUCUACCUACCUGAUAUAAUUACUUCUUCCAUCACCUCUCUAAUUAGUGUGACCAAAAGCGUCAUGAUUAUUCCUAAUCUAUAUAUAAAAAGUCUAGAAUGCAUCAGUUAUAUUGCUGAUGUGGCAUGUCCAACUAAUGAGAUUGUUUUCUUGAGUUCAUCCAUCUAUACUUCUCUCUCGAAAAGAGGAAAAACUCAAGAAUGCAAUUACUUAUAUUGCCGACAUGGUAUACCAAACCAAUCAAAAAACUUUUUUGACGUUCACCCAUUCCAUCAUAAUUUUUUAAAAAAUAAUUUUAUUAUACUUUUUUUUUUCAAAAGUAAAGAUGUGAUUGGCCGAAGAAAGAUGAUAUAGUAUAAGUGUUAUAUAGUAAACUUUCUCCGAAAAGAGAGAUGUUAUUCACUGGUUAUUGAUGAUGUGCUGUAAAUAUUACACCAUAAACAUUCUCGCCUAUAUGAUCCAAAACCAUAAGUCAAUUUUAGAUACAUAUUUUUAAGCUUCACUACCAAUGAACUUUUGUCUAAGCUUUCUAUCCUUGAACGUUUAGGUUAGAAAGAUCUCAAACUUUCAAGAUGUUUCGCUUUUAGUCCUUACUGGAGGAAAAAAAAAAAAAAAAAAUUUAUUGUUCGUGCUUCGUUCAUCUGCAUCUAUAUAUUCAUGCACGAUGAAUCCAUCCAUUUCAUAAUUUCAACCUCGUGGUUUAGCUCCAAAUAGAAAAAUGAUUGUAACUUAAUAAAUAGGACGAUUGAACAAUGGGAUGGAAUCAAGAAUUGAAACAUGCAUUGUGCACGAACAGGAAGAAGCACCAGAUGUAGGAAACACUUACUUCACCUAUCAGUAACAAAGACCUAAGUUAAAAACCCAAUAAUUUCCACCAAAAAAACAACGCUAAAUAAUUUCAACAGAUUAGAGUGUUAAAUAUCGAACUUCAAAGUUCACCGAUCAAAAUUAAACUUGACAAAAAGUUCAGGAAUUAGUAGUGUCAUUUACCCACUCUUUUUGAGUAAAAAGACAAGAAACUUACAUUACGCAUUUAGCAUGUUAGUUUAGUUACUUUGUGGAAUAAUUCACUUAUAUAUUGGGGGUAGUAGUAGUUAACCGAAAAGCUAAACAAGGACUAUAGAGAAAGCAAGAAAAGAUAACAAUACCAUAAUGCAUACUGAGAUGCUGUCACAAGUAGCAGGCAAAGUAAAAAAAUUCAUUUACAUACUACGUAAUGUUUAUAAUUUGUGACCAUCUCACCCUUCCUUUUUUUAACCAACCAUGCAAAAAGAUAGCCAAAAAAUUGAGAUAGCACACCCUUCAUAAAUUUCGCAAAAAAUUUCGCCGAGGGGUUCGCUAGUCAUCUAUAUUCUUCAUGUAUUCUUUUGAUAAUCUGGAACUAUUAAUCAACUGCUGCUCCUUGACUAGAGAAUGCCCCGAUUCAAGUAAUGCCUUCACUGUUUGCUGUCAUAAGUAAGCAAAAUCAAUCUGUUCAUAUGAAAUACUAACUCUUCUGUUGGAAGAACGUAUAAGAAAGUAACUGUUGAAUCAAAUUUUACUUGCUUUACAACACUCUUUGAUAGCCACAAUUGACAUGAUAUUGCUGUGCUAGUCCUCGAUCACUGGUUUUAUAAGCAAUUGAGAAUCCAAAAGCAUAGAUUGCUGAGUAUCUAAAUUUAGUUUGAUAAUUAUCAAAACCAUUUAAUUUAGUUGCAACUGAUGAUCAUAGAUGCCGUCGUUUUACAUGCAGUUCAAAUAAACAAUGACACAAAUCAUUUGUAAGAUAACAAAAGAAGCAAUUUCACACAAACAAUAGAUGUGGUUCUCGUUCUACUCUACUCUCAUUGUACCUCCCAAGAGGAGGACAAACAGAUUUGGGGCAGUAAAUGAGGCAUUUUUCAUAAUCCAAGAGAGAUUCAGGCCAGUAAAUGAAAAAAAAAAAAAAAAAGGAUCUAGCCCGGCUCUUCCCCAAUGCUGGUUUAUAUAUUAUCUAUUUACAAAGUGCCAACCUAGAUAUAGAAUUUGUAUAUUAAAUCCUAGUUGUUCUCUAUCUGCUCCCAGCCUAAUUACACCAACACCACCUCCUGGUACUCUAUUCCCAGUCCCUCUCCUACAAAGCCUGCUUCCAAUCCAUUCCCUCUCCCUUUUCCCUCUAACAAUCCAUGAGUCCACAAUGCUGAUGUGUCCAGCCUCUGAGAUCUCUCGACACUCCCUAUCCUAUGCUUUGCCUACAACACUAAAGCACCUCCCCUCUGCAACACCAAAGCACUUCUCCUCCACAUCUGAGACCUCUCCCACUUCCCCUAUGCUCCCUCUACCAGUUCCCAACAAUACCUCUGUUGCUUCUGACGAUUCGAGCACGUACUUACUUUCCUCUGUAGGAUCUCUUGAAGCUCGAAAGACCCAAAUGGAAGCGGACGUGACAAAUCAGACUUGUCAAUGCUAUCUAUUUCAGGUUAAAGAGAACAUCAAGUGUAAUUUUUAGAUUCAACCUUUUUGUUCUGAUUGACUACAGAUGAUAUGAACAAAUUUGUUGUUAUAAAAGAGCUACUUUUAUUGUUUCUUAACUAAUCAAGUAAAUUUUUUAGAUCCAAACUUUGUGUUCUAAUUGAUUACAGAUGAUAUGAAUGAAUUUGUUGUGGUUCUAAAAGAGCUACUUUUAUUGUUUCUUAGACAAAUAGGUAAUAUUUACAUUUUCAUGCCAUUUUUUGUUAAACAAAAAAUUAUCAAAGCCUUGGUCAUGUUAUACUUAAUAGGCCGAAGAAAAAUGUUUUCAUGAUUUGAUACUUUGGAUUGCAUUCAAAUAUAAAUUGGGAUGUGGCGUUAUUGCUUUCUUGUUAAAUGCUCACAAAUGAUCUUUAUAUAAAUGCACCAAUAACUCUAGUUGCUUUCUAAAAUCAAUGAAGAUGCAGAUGAUGAAGUGCAAAGAAUUCCUGAGGCGAGUCAAGUUGACUCAUUUCAGACAUCAUCUUCAAUUGUGGCAGAAACGUCCAUGCACAAUGCAUCCAGCACUUCAAACUUUCUCAAAAAAUUUGAUAUUCAUGCUGCCAUGAAGAGAAAAAGUAAUUUACUAGUGAGAGGCCGGGCAAUCCUCCUCCCUUGAAAUCAGCCUUGUAUCCCAGCAGCCAGAGUACAUCGACUUGUUUAUAUGUUGUGCUCCCGUUGGUUCAUUGUAUUGCUGGAAUGGUACAGGGUUCAUGCUCUUUUUUACAUAAUGUGUGUGAAGGCCCAAUAAUAGUGUUGCCAUGUGGUGUGUCCACAUUGGCGCAUUUUUUAUUUAACCCGGUCCACUUAAGAUGUGGAUUGGGAUUUAUCCUAAUAAGUUAAGGAUAAGAAUAAAUUUUAUGUUUCUUAUUAAUCCUUAUCCUAAUGUCUUUGUAAGAUUCAGGAUAUUUUAGGGAUUCCGUUAUUCUAUAAAUAUGCCCCAUUUUUCUCUCCCGUUAGGGACGAUCGAAUACGAUCUAAUUCGAAUCUUCCUUCUUCUCUCUCUUCUUCCUCUCUGGGAUUUCCACCUACGUUCCCGGGUUUUGAAGUGUGGACAUAGAAGAGGACUCUGGUAGCCCUCUUCGAUUGGCAUUCGUCGCAUCCCAUCCGUAUCCGACGCACCCGAUUCGUAAUGCGAGGCGUAGGCGUAGGAGAAGGCGAGAAACGUGGGAGAUCUAGAAGCAUCUACACCAGAACGAUCCAAGAAGGCUAGUAAAACAAGUAAUCCGAUCUAAUUUCGGUUUCUGAAUACGUUGACUAUCCAGUUUGUAAGUUUCCGCUGCCUUCUUAUUUCCAACAAAUAGAAUUAUCGGCCCUUUGGAUACAAAAGAGUUUAAGACUUGAGAAUGGCAUCUUCAUGGCUACUUGUACAAUAUAGGAUCUUCGGUCCCAAACCCUUUACUCCCAAUAUAUAUUUGGCACUGGUAAUUCAAAUCAAUGGGCUAAUCCUUUUUUCCUUUUUUUUUGUGUUGUUUGCCCUUUCUUUCGGUAUGGUUGCUAAUAGUUUCUCUAUAGAAAAUUUUCACUCAUCUUUCAGCAUAUUGUUUUCAUGGUCUAUAUCACAAAAUGUCCUUUGAAUUAGCACCUAUUCAGAGUCCGAUAUCAUAUUAUGCAUUACUUAGAGAUUAACAAAUGAAGGCUCUAAAAUCUGGAUUAAAACAACAUAUAAAAAAUCCAGACAAACUUUCUAAUCUAGUAUAAAUAUUUACGUCUCAUGCUGUAAUAUAUAAUUCUUCUUGUAAGAUAUUCCUAUACAAUACAAUUAUGUGGGGGAUUUGCUGGGUAUUUCCAAUCAUGGUUUUGGAACGAGAUGCAACCUAUGUUGGCAGUUAAUCUCCGGCAGUGAAUAACCAAAAUGUUGUCUACUACUUUAAACUUCAAAGUGUAUAAAUUGAAGCUUAAACAUACAAAACUUAUCUAAACUAUGGAUUAUUUCGAAAUGGCUACUCAACCUUGCAAAAUUUUAAUUUCGCUACCCAAUCUUUUAAUUUGUUUGAUUUGAGUCAAUCAAGGGCACUUUGACAUCAAAAUUAGAAUGCAUCGUUUAUUUUUAUAUGUUUACUUAGUAUAUGCAAUUCUCGUAAUUAUAAAUUCAUUAAAGUAAUUAGUUUAAAUUUUGAAAUUAAAGUACCGUUGACUGACCCAAAUCAAACAAAUUGAAUGGUUGUGUAAUAAAGUAUGUUUUGUACAUUUUUACCUAAUUUAAGUAAUCUUUUGUACUGAUAGGGUCUACCACAAAUAUGUAGAUCAAUAUGGGAAUUUUCGAAUAUUUUAUGUCACUUAGUAGAAAUUACAGAAAAAAUUUAUGAAGAAAAUGAUUGCGUAUAUACUAUGAAAUUGAAGUACAAAAUGUAAGUAUAUGUGUGCAGAAAAGUAAUUACCUUGGGAGGACUAAAAGUAGGAAGUUUGCCUUUCUUUCUUUUGUCGAGAAGUUUUUCACCAAGUUUUUCAAAUCCACCCAUAUCAGUUACCCACUGCAAGUUGUAAGGUCAACAAAUAUAUAUAAGUCUUCCUCAAGAAGUUUUCCAUAGUUGAAACUGAACAAGCUUAAAGAAGAGAACUCAAAAUUAGUCAUGAAGAACACUACACAUCUACAAAAUAAUUAAAGAUGGUACAGAUACAAUUUCUAAAAUAUUCUUUAUUCUUAUUACAAUAAAAACUAAUUAUUCUGACAGCUUAAAUAAAAAGGUACGGGAUGAUUAACGACUGGGAAGAAAAACUAUAAUAAUUCGAAAUUAGAGUGAAGAUUUUGAGUCUAUAGUUAGACAUUUGUCAGAAUCAACUAACAUCCUAACUAUUAGAUCCAAGCAAAAUUUGCCCAACAAGCGCAACCUGGUUUUUAAUAGCUCAGGGCAAGUCAAGCAGGCCUAACACGGUUCACAGGGCUGGGCCUGGGUUUUUAAGUUUCUUCAGUUAACCUAGCCUAGCUCGAUAUUUCUCAUUUGAUGCACAGCCCCGCUGUUAAAUUUGGAGCAAGUCCAAGGCCACAGUAGUAAUACAAAUUAUAGGCCAGCCUAGGCAAAUUUACUCCAGCCUGAAACUAGGUAUGGCUUGUUGUUUGGUCAUCUUUGUUAUUGAGUUAAAAAUUAUCUUACAAAUGAUGGAAAUGCAUAUACUAAUGACAAGUUUCAAUACUUACUAUUCUUUCAUAACUAACAUUUUAGUUGAUAUAGAUAAAAACUGGCAUCUAGAUACAUGAACUCUGGCAAUAAAUCAAACUCUUUCAAUAUGUGCCUACCUUUAAAAUUGCCUGAUCAUAUGUUUUAGACCUCAGAGCUCCAUAGAAAUCCAAAGCUGCACAAGGAAAUAAGAAGUUUAACAAAUAGAUGAAGAGAGGUUACCUUAACACUUUUACCUGAAUGGUUUGGUUUCAAUAUUACCAAAGUAUCAUAUUACAAAGUAAAAAUAUGGAUCAAAGGCAUUAUCAUAUUACACAGUGGAAAUAUGGAUCAAAGGCAUACAAGGAACAAUCUAUGUUGUACAUGUUCCUUCAUUCGAAUACAGUCAGUAGAAGACAAGCAACUGACAAACUUAGAAUGCUUAAAUUCCAGCGAUAUGCAAGCAUAAACUCAGACAUUGCUUCACAAUGAUGGAAAGUUUGAUUCUGCCAAUAGUAACCAUCAAUCUCAUCUUAUCUAAAUAGAAGGUUAAAAUACCUAAUAUAAUAAGUGGCAGAAAAAGAGUGAACCUUCUGGAUCUUCUCAUUGUGAUCAUCAUUUAGGAUUGACAUAACGUAGUUCAGUGUUAUUGACAUUAUUUAUUAGAAGAUGUUUUUUCCUAAGCCAUUAACCUAAAUGUUCCAUAGAUCCAAAAGUGUUCAAGAAUAUUUGACAGAAUUAUAAACAAAGACUGCGGUGUCUCUUCGAUUUAUCUAUUCUAAGUUUCUUUAAUAAUUUGCAUAAAGAAAUUUGUGGAUCAUAAGGGUAGAAAUUGCAAACAUUGGUUUUCCCUAUUUUUCAACUAGUAUAAUACAACUUAUUAAAUCAGUGAAAAUCUUGUGAAAAAACUUUUAUAUCUACAGAGUCUUAAGCUUAAUUCAUGAAUUUUUAGAUAUUUGAUGACAUUGAGGGUUAACUCCAGAAAAUAUUAGUAUUUCCAAACUGAUGAUCCCCAAAUUUUUUUUAAGUAUCCUAGAUUACACUAGAUUCUUUUUCAAUAAUUAUCCAAAAACUACCGUGAGUUGAAUCAGAUGAGGGUUCGAUUGAGUUAAGACUAAUAUUUUUCAAAUUUAACCCUUAAUUUUCAUCAUUCCAGAUUCUUUACAAGUAAAAAUACAAAUACUACUAUGAGUUGCAUCAAAUGAGGGUCCAAUUGAGUAAGACAGUAGUUUAAUAGGUCUUCAGCCUUUUGUCCCACUACCAUGAGCUCAAAACUUCCAAUACCCUGAGUAAAGGAGUAGUAAAAUGUUUUGGUUGCAAAAAUAUGUGACACAUACGCUGUUUGUUGGUAUGGUAUUGCCUGCAACUCAAAAUAUGCAAUUUGAUUCUUUCUUGAGAUCAAAGUUCUUAUUCAGAACAUAGAACUUUCUGACGGGCAAAGUAGAUGUAACAAUUAUUCUACCAAAUCUAACAAACGAAGCGACUUUUUCUUUGUGAGAUUAUUGCUAAAUUUCAAUCUAUUACAGCUAUUUAGCUAUUACGAGUACCAUUGACCAUCAUCGUUAUGCAUCAUCAAUGAUUUGCCUAUGUUUUCUUUAUCUAGUCUUUAAGUUUGAAGGCCGAACCAUCACAUACAAACUUGAAAAAUUAUUCAGCAAGUUAUUGUGAGCUUUCUCAGUUCCUCGUUCAAAAAAUACAUUUGAGUCCAUAUAAAAGUAUUUCUAGAAGGCAUUCGAAUACAGCAAGUAUUUCUUGUUUUCAAUGAAACCUAUAAAAUCAUGACUUCUAGGAUGCAGACUACAGCACAUAAUGAACCUUGUUACUGUCUCAAAUCAUUACCAACCAGAAAAUUAUAAAUAAGAAUAUUUACAGAGUAGGCAUUACAGCCAAGACACUAGAAUAAUGAACAAAAAUAACACUGAUAUGCAAAAACCAUUUGACAGAGUUAAUGAUUUCCAUCAAAGGUGAAAGGAACCUCUUCUACGCUUUGCCCAAGGUAAAAGCUUGUAAGAAGAGUGGCUGAUGACUACAAUAGAUGGGAGGCAUCUUACUUAUAGACAAGGAUUUAAAUGUUGUAACACAGGGUCGUGCCGAAAACUUGCCGGCACGGUACGGUACAAUGCAUGCCGGGCCGUGCCGAUGAGUGUCGAUCACAAAAAAUUUAUGUGUACCGAUACGUAAUAGCAUGAAAUAUUUAUUUUCUUUAGCAACAAAAUAUGUCAAUUAUUUAUUAUGUAUUUUUAUCAAAUCUUUUAAACUUUAUUGAGAAAAUUACUUACUAAUUUCAAUAGAGAGUUUUGAGUUGUGCCAUCAGUACGAGGGCUGUAUCGUGCCGAUAUCUUGCUGGGCACGAUAUGGCACGGUAGAUACGGUCCGUGCCGAUGGGCACUUUAAUCCUUGCUUAUAGGCCACAGGCACAAUCCUAAUUACAUGAUUAAAAUCCCUAAAAGUAUUUAAUUAAAACCCCACUCUUGAAGAAAGAAAUAAUCUUAAUUCUAAAUAUAAUCAAACCUAAUCUAAUUUGAAGUCUGAAUAUUAUAAGAAAUUCCUAGCCAUAAACAGAUCAUGGCUGUCAAUUUGUUUGCAAAUUUUUUUACAAAACAAGCAUUUAAAAGAAAUACUGUUACGGAAAAUAAAAGAGUAAAAUUACCUUGGUUGGGAAAAGUGUCCACGACUCUUAUGACUUCCUCUCUGGAUAUUUCAUCUUUAACAUACAUAUGGUUAACAAUGUUAAUAAUGUCCUCACGGUCUGGCUGCCUGAUUACACAUAGAAGUAUCAGAAAUAAAAUAAGCACAAUAGAAUUUCAUAGAACGAAUCGUGAGAAAGUCAUAGGGAGCAACAAAAAGGACUUGAAUAGAACAAUUGAGGAAGAUCUUCUAGUUACUAUCUUCUCGCUACAUAUGGAAGUAUGUAAAGAAUACUAUAACAAGUAAAUGCUAUUGGAUAUCAAGGGAUAAUUAUAAGAAAAAGUUGUAUGAAACAGGAUGUAUUUUGUUAGAUUAUUAGCAGUUGAUUGAAAUCAUGCCUAGGGUGCCUAAAGGAAGUUUUAAAAAGCAUGAUGCUGUAUAAGUAAUUUGUUUUUUUUGCGCAAGUUUCUAUAUAUAGUAGAAACUAUUCAGAGACUGACAAAUCAAGAAUAAAAAAAAUAACAAUUGAAGUAACCAAUUGCUGGUUUCCUGCCAUUUUUCAAGUUUUGACUUGGCAAAAAUUGACAGUAAGCCUGCGUUUGAAAACCAGUUAAGUUACCUGUCUUAGGCAAGUAACCUCAAUUUAUGCAACUAAAAAUAGUGAGCAGUUUCAUUAAUUGAUGAUACAUUUCAACUAAGGUGACUGUUUGAUUGUUAGGUUUCUUUACAACCUGAAUAUUGGUAACCAACAAAACAUAGUGCCCACUGUCCGUACUUGCCGAAGUAUCAUAGUCAUGGGGUUCCAUCACCAACUCAAAUCCAAUUCCAAUAACAUUACAUCCAACAAACACAAGAUAAUUGUUCACAAAGUUUUCUUUUUGUCAUGCAGUCAACAUUUUUUAAAGUAUAUCAAAUAAGUAUGUGUCUGAAGGAGUUCUGCAUCGGAUGAGUUUAACCAAAACUCUGCAAUUUUCUCACAGCAUCAUUACAAAAUAUGCUUUUACUUCCUGUUGCAUUUUCUCUAUCAUGUGUUGUGACACGUGAUUUACAUAACUGUUAAUAUCACCCCUAAGAUUCAGAUAUUACCUUCUCAUUGAAAUCUAUUGCAGAUAGCCUGUUAAUUCCACUUAAAGUUGUUUAAUCAUUCGGUCCUUACUUGAUGACAUAUAAUCUUGGGUUUCCAAUAUCACAAUCAACUUGCGGAUGUAGGAGGAUUGGGUAUGAUUAUAUUGAUUAAACUAUAAAAGAAUUGAUUAUAGGAAUGACAUGACACUCGAAUUUUCUGUUAUAAUAAUUGAACCAGAGGCAGAUGCUAGUGCAUGACAAGGCACAUACCAAUAGAAUUUCUCCAUCCGUCCAUCACGAAUCAAAGGAGCAUAAAGAGUUGAGAAAUCGUUUCCAGUUACUAUGAUGGGUACUCUAUGUGUGACAUCUGAUUCUCUCCACUUCUGCCCAAUGCUUACUCUAGUAGGAUUAUCUGACAGAUUCAUCAGGGUUCCAACAACAAUUUGGUUAUUUACUGUCAUUUGUGUGUUUCCUGGCAAACAAAAUAAAGGAGUCAAAGUGUCACAAAUUGCUUUAACAAUCCUAGUUGUAAGGUUCCAUAUAUGGCUCUUAAGACAAAAAAAAAAAGCAAUUUCAAGCCAACUCAAGUCAAAAAGGUCUAAUAGAAAAGUGGAGUUAAAAAAUAUAUUUGCUUAAAAAGGUUAAUGCUGGAGUACUUUAUUUAACAAAAUGGAAGGUGCAUCACUGUUUGCUUGUUCUUUUUAUUACUAGAUAUACGUGCAAUACUAAAAGUUAGGAAUUAUUAGAUUUAUUGCACAAAUUGCACAAAUCACUCACCAAAUCUUCCCAGCCCAGCAUCAAUAUCAUUGAUCAUCAAACAGCUCAUCUUUCCCUGGAUCAGCCAGGAGUCGUGAGAGCACACAACAAAAUUCUAUAUAACACCAUUGUAAUUCUCGAGUAGCAACGGUGAAGGCAAAUUAAUAGUAGACAUUCAAGUUUAGUGGGUAAUAACUAUAGCAUAGAGUUUAUAGCUGAAACAGCACAUGUAAAUCAAUUUGUUUUAAACUGCAUAGAAACAAUUAUUUAUCGCCCCGUUUUUUCAUUUCGUGUGUUUUUUAUUUUCGGGGUUUUUUUUCGGGGGAUGGCGAGGGACGCGCGUUGGUGCACUUAGGUAUCGUUUGGUUUGAGGAUAAGCAAAAAGUGGGUAUUCCGGGGAUAGUUAUAAAUUGAGGUAUAAGCGGGGAUUAGAUCAAUUUUGCGUUUGGAUGCAAAUUGGGUUAUUCCUGAAAAUAAAAAAAAUAGCGUUUGGUUAGGUAAGAUGGAAUAAGAAUUAAAGUGGGUAAUUAUAAAUAAAAAAUAAUAAUAUUAUUCUUUUCUUUAUAUUAGAAUUUGAAUUUUUAUAUUUUAUAUUUAUAUUUUUAAAUUUUAAAAUAUAAACUUUUAAAUUUUAAAAAUCAAAAUUAAAAUUUAAAAUUUUAAAAUCUCANUUCAACAAAUUAAAAUUUAAAAUUUUAAACUAUAAAACUUAAAAAAAUAAAUCUUAAACUAUAAAACAUAAAAAUUUAAUUUUAAAAUAGAAUUUAAAUUUCAAAUUUUAAAAUUUUAAAUUUUGUAAUUUUAAAAAUUAUAAAUUUUAAUUUUUAAACUUACGAAAUUUAAAUUUUAUAAUAAAUUAAAAAUUCUCUCACUCACUCACACUCUCACACAAACACACACACACACACACACUCUCUCUCUCUAUCUCUCUUCACGGGUGGAACAAGCUGGGUUAUCCUAGCUUAUUCCACCUUGGGGUGGGAACACUAGAGGUGGGAACGCUAGUGUUCCCACCCCUUAACGGGCUAUUCUAGAAUAGCCCGUUAAGGAGGGAAUUAGUGUUCCCACCAUUUUUUGUUUGUGUUUGGGGGAUAAGGGUGGAAUAAACCCUUUAUUCCACCCUUAUCCCCCAACCAAACAUAGCCUUAGUAACUAUUUGUUUAGCAAAUGAACCUAUAAAUAGUUAGCUUAACAUCUUUUGAAGCAAAGCCAUUAGAACAUCGUAAAUCUUAAUGCAAGUAACCAAGGAAUUCUUACUUGGUUUUGAAUCACUUGUGAGGCUGUUCUAUACCGGUCACGUAUGAGCCUUCCCGGUUCUCCUGCAAAAAUAAUGGGCAAAACUAAGACCGCGCAAGCAUAAUUAUAUGAUAUCACAGAUAUCGCAAGCAAAAUUAAAGCUUCGUUUACUCUUCAAUAAUAUUGAAUUCACUAGGCUAAGUUAACAGUCUUAUACAAUUCAUGUCAAAGAUGCAUCUCAAAUUAGUUCAAUCUCUAAAUCUUACGGAAAAUCAACUAGUCAUUAUUAGUACUUGCAUGCUUGUUAUAGUUUAAUGAACAAAUUUUCAAAGCUGGGAUAUCUUUAAAAAGUUAUGCCAUUGAAGGCAUUCUACAAUAGAAGAACUCCGAUAAUCUAUUGAUGGAAGAAAAAUUAAUAACAAUGAUGCCGCCAUUAAUCUGCAUUUAGAAAUAUAUAAAAGAAGCAUCUUAACCUGCUUUCUCAGAUUCAAGCUCCCCGGCAGACAUAAUUACUGGUUCAAUUCCCAUCACUCGAAAAAUAAGCUCAGUUUGAAAUGUUUUCCCUUGUCCUUUUCCUCCCCAUAUACCUACAUCACAUUAGUAUUCUUAAAUUUGCCAAAUAGAGAAUCCAAAUGGUACUAUAAUACACAGGAACUUUGUAAGCUCAAGAAAAACAUGACUUAGGUUUGAAAAGUCUUGAGAACUAUCGUUAUAUUAGAGAUCUUAUGACCAUCAAGUGAACAACAAAAGUAAUCAAAAACGAGUUCUUAAUUGCAGAUGAGUUAUAAGGGUUCCUCAGUAGAAAGAUAAUUGAUUCCAUCUCAAAGUUGUCAGAUGAGAGUCAAGAUGAUGAAAACACAUAUUCUCUUACCUAAUAUUAGAGGAACCUUAAUGUUGAGAAGAUGAGCAAUAUAGUUCUUCACAAUGUGGCAUGCUGCAAAAGAAUAAAAUGUUAUUACAAUAAUGAUGGCAUAUUAAUAACAGAACAGGGCACUUAACAAACGGCACACUAGAGGAAUUUAGGUUUACAGGCUUUUAUUAAACUUAAUUGAUAACUUGAGAGAAUUUGACAAGCCUAGAAUACAUGCUACCUCAGAUCUAUGUGUUUAGAGAACAUUUCAUUAGCUCCCAGAGAAAAUCCUCUAAACUCAGUAUCAACCGGAUCACACUGUUAUCUUUCCUUCCAUAAUACAAAUCAAACGAUAGCCUAUGGAUCAGGAGGGUCAAUUAGAAAGGAGUCUAAAAUAAGUUGGGAUCAAAUCAACUUGUCCACUUGCAUUAGAACCAAUUGGGCGAAAAAAAGGGACAUACCUUUAAAGAAGGGACCUACAUCAGAUAAAUUGUCAAAUGCAUGUAUCAAAUCUUACUUUCACGAUUGAAACAUAAAAAGGCCUUAUCACUAAUUCUUGUUAUUCACUAUAAUCAUGACCUUCAAUUACCAAAAAUUACAAUGCAUAUUUGAAGUUCAAGAUGCCACAAGAGUGGAGUCAUCUAAAUUUUCAUGACCAGACAUCACAUUGAGAGAUUUGGUUCCAGAUUACAGUGAUGAAAAAAAUUUGUCAAAGUUCAUCCAUUUAAAUUACAUUGGCUUGUUGAUACCUCAAAGUAUGUACUCGGCAUUGUUUGUACUCGGCAUUGUUUAAGCCAAAAAAUUCGAAGAAACAGAAAAUAAAAUUUUCUCGAUACUAGGGGUUAGUCAAGAUGGAGAAAUCAACAAAUUUUGAUAGUCGUAUCCUUUCUGGACAAUCAAAUAAGUAAAAGAGUCACAUGAAUCAGUUCCAUAUAAUUCGAAGGAUGUACGCUAAACAAUAAAGCAAAAAAAAAAUCAUUUCAACACCUAACUCUAUAAUCUUCAAAUAUGAAAAACAUCACAACAUGUAGAAGAUCAAAAGGCAAAAAAAAAACAGAGAAAAGUUCUUUCAGCUUCAUAAUACCUCACUAAAUUCAAGGCUUGCAAAAUCCAAGCCAAGUUUAAAGUGCUUACCAAUUUUAUCCUGUAGAAAAUAAGAAAUGUAUUUUGUCAAAUCUAUUAAUCAAUGUUGGGAGGCAACAAAAAUUAUCAAGAGAGAAAAAUAGUCUAUUGAAUAAAAUAAUGCAGUGAAAAGAGGUAAAACAAAGCAAAUAUAAUAAAUAAAAUUUUCUCCAAUUAGUGAAAUACAUAUUCUCCUUUUGAGGAAAUUACAACCUAAACUACACACUUUUGUAGAUAACCGCCCAUAGUUUCAACUUUCAAAAGUUAAUAUUAAAUAUUAAAGUAUUUAAAUACCGUUCUCUAUCAGCUUAAACUUUUAGAGAACAACGGUUGUUUCGUAUUAUUUAACAUGGUAUCAGAGCAGGAGGUCCUGAGUUCGAAUUACGCCAGGCUCCAAACAUUAUUAAUUCCUCCUAUUUAAUUUGUCCGUAUCAUGGCCUACAAAAAGUCUCGAGCCCAAACAUGAGGGAAAGUGUUAUAUAUAAAAAUAUUUAAAUACCGUCCUCUAUCAAUUUAAGCUUUUAAAGUACAGCGGUUGUUUUGUAUUAUUUAACAAUUAAAACAAGCCACUCGUUUCUAUCAAUCACCCAGCCCACAAUUUUGUGAGUUUUUUUAUAAUAACUAUUAGCACUUGACUGUCACAUCAUCCUUACGAGCUCAUAUUUUACCCAUAUCUUCGAAACCAGUGGAGGGGCAUUUGAGGUUUUUUGGCUUUCAUAUGAUGAAUGGCUGCAAGAAAAACUGAUGGAAAUAAGCAUAGAUGGCUGCUUGAAAUGGACACAUUGUUAGGGUGUAACUUUAUUUUUUUUUAAUGAUUUUUCGAAGCUUGGGCGGUCCAGCCCUAAGUGCUGACAAUUUUUAUAAACAACCCACCAUCAGCAGGAAUCAACUUAAUAAAAUAGAGGGCUGAAAAUGUCCUCUCCAAAAUCCCAGCAGGGCUAGAGGUUAAUUCACGCAUGAUACGAUUUCAAUAAUAGGUGCUAAAUUAUUAAUGACACAACAAGCGAGAUUAAGAAGCUAAUAUUAUGCAACGAUGCAAAAGAGAACAUAUUGUUUUGGUUGCUCAUUGCAACUAGAGAACAUUUAUAGCAAUUGCAAUAAAUUAGGUUGACACUAUCCUACAAAAGAAUUUCUUAUGAAUGCACAAGACAUCGUAGUUGAAACUUGAGGUUGAUUGGUUAAGAACCAGCAAUGAAGAAAAGAACAUGUACAAUUAGUAAGCUAUAUAGGCAAAAAGCAAAAAUUUAUGCAGCACAGUAUUCUUGAUAAAUGUCAUUUUACAUGUCAUCAUCCAAGCUGUCUCCAACAAAAUGAAGCAGCUAAAGCACAUCUCAAAGAUGAAAAGGCCCUGAAAGAAUUUGUGUAAAACCGCUAAAAAAAAGAAAAUCCACAACAAGAACUUAUCAUGAAAGCAUGAGACCAAUUGGCAAGUAGGGCUACAUGAGGUCUUGUUAUAUUCUAGUCCCAUAACUAAUGCUCAACAAAUUCUCCCAAAAAAUCUCCUUGGAAAUAUUCUAGCUGUUCGACAAAGAAUACAACUUUUGUUGAUGAAAGCAUGAGGCAUGCAGGGAUUGCUAUAAAAUUCAAAGUAAAAUGGAGGAUUUGGCAAAAAAAAUAGUGUAGAAAGUGAGAACAUCAUUAUAGUUAAGUGUGAUAUAGUGUAGUUAAUUACAAACAAACAGGUACGGGUGAUUAUUAAGAAGUAAACUUACAGAUUUUUCACAUAUGUUCACAUAUUUACGCUGCAAUAAUAUCUUAUUUGCAUUUAUACUCUUCAAAAACUGGUAACUUCAUUACAUGCCUCAUACCAAGUAUAAAAUAUGUAUUCUAUCUAAAACAGCUAAAAUUUCUCAUAUGCCAGAUUUCGGGCCUUUCUCUGCCUACAUCUUAGAAAAGAAUCAGGUAAACUAGCUUGCCCAAAUAAAAGUAAAAGUCAUUCAAACCUAUGUUUUUAGAGUAGUGCUUCUAUACUCGUUAUUUUUCGAUACCGUUCAUUCAUUUCUAUUCUACGGCUCAGAUUUAAUUUUUUUUAAGUUGUAACUUACAAUAACAUGUCACUUUAAGAAAGGUACCAAUUAUCAAGUACCCUAAAGAGGGAUAUUCUGGUCUUUUAAUACUUGGGUAAUUAUCACGUAUUAAAUAAUUUUACCUCAACUAUAUUAUCAAAACCCUUUUUCUCUCUGUUUUCUUUUUCUCUCUCUAUCUUUCCUCUCCAUUCACAGAUGUUUCGUUGUUUCAAAAUUUUCUUAAACAUAUUAAAUAUGCUAAAUUUAAAUAUUUACCAACAUUAAAAAAUUUUUAAAUAGCGAUACAAAAAUAAUGUCUAAAUUAGAAAAUUACUAAAAUGUUUUAAACAUAUUAAAUAUGUUAAAUUUAAAUAUUUACCAACUUUCAAAUUUUUUUAAAUUAACAAUACAAAAUUAAUGUCUAAACUAGAGGAAUUUAAAAAUUUCUUAAACAGAUUAAAUAUGUUGAAUUUAAACAUUUACCGACAUUAAAAUUUUUUAAAAAAAGUAAUAAAAAAUUCCUCUAAUUUAAAUUUAAUAUUUUUAAAUUUAAAUAUUUAAUAUUUAAUAUUUCAAUUCAACAUAUUUAGAAAUAAUACUAUUUCUAAAAUUCCUAAAAUUUAAAUUAAUGCCUAAAUUAUAGGAAUUCUAAAAUUCCUAAAAUUAAUGCCUAAAUUAGUGCAAAAUUAAUGCUUAAAUAUGAAAUAUCAAUCACUUUCUUAAAUUAAUACUUAAAUUAGUGCAAAAUUAAUGCCUAAAUUUAUGAUAUCAAUCAAAACUUUCUUAAAUUUUGUGAUAUUUAAUUAAAAAAAUACCCUCUACAUGAAGUAACCUUUUAACCUGCUAUAUGUUAAAAUAACACAUUACCCUUUAUUGAUCAACGGUUAAGAUCUUUUUUAUUUUUUAUAAAAUAAAGUACCAAAUCAUUUCUCAUGUUUUUAAUAUAUAAGUAUUUAAAAUCAUAAAAACUAGAAGCAUAAACCAUGACGUGCCUUAGCUUGUACAUUUUUGUGUCAAUUCCCUUUUCCUUGUGAUUUUGUUUUCUUGCUUAUGAAUGAAGCAGGUUGAGUUGCUUCAACUUGAACCCUUUCAUAAAGAGCGGAAAAAGAAAAACAAUACCAAUCAAGUACAUAGUUUGUUAGGGAAGUUCAAGCUGAGUUCAAGUCCACAUAAUCCCGACGAUGUGACAAAACCCAUUAACUCAAAAGCUUAACCCUGUCGAAUUUGGCCCAAUAUUCUGUAUUAAUUCUUUACUACUGUGCUCCUCUACUUGUUAUUCCAUAUGUAGCUAUUUUCAAAUGUGAAUUUGUAACAGAUCAAAACCAUGGCACUCCAUAUAAGGCCAGCAUCAUAAACAAGAAGAACUCAAAAUUAACAACCUUAUUUUCGAAGUAAAUGAUCCAAAAGAACAAGAACUCACAAGAAAAACGGGGGCUAUGUAGUAAUCGCCCUCGAGAUACUCGAACGACCGCGUCGCCUUCUGCCGGUAAUCAAACACGAUAUCCGCUGCACACAUAAACAACCAAACAAGAAGCAAACAACUACAUGAGAAAGCCCCAAUUCCAUCUUAGAUGAAACGUAUUAGCCCUAAAAUCCCUAAUAAAAUUAAAACAAAGAGAAUCUUACAAUCCUUCCCAAGGAACUGUCCCACAAAGAGAUCAUCAAUCACGCCUUGCCGAGCCCCUACUGCGAUGUUCAUGUUAUCCGACUCCUUUCCGAGGCGAUACAAGUAAUCGUUCCCCUCCGAGUCCUUCGAUUCCCACGAGGAUUGCUUCGAAAUCCUCGUCUCGGGAGCUUCUUCCGGAGAAGAAGAUCCAUCGGGGGCUCGAGAGGAGGAGGAGGAGGAGGAGAAGCAGAGGAGAGGGAAGGGUUUCGAUUUGCUGACCUUUGGAAAUUUAGGGUUUCGGGGAUGGUUUUGGCGCGAAGAGAAUGAGGGGGAGGGGGAGAGGAAGAGGUCGGGGUUGCAGUGGAGAACCGCCAUUGGAUGGAGGUUGAGAUGGGAUGCAGAUGAGAGAGUUUCUUUUGUGACCGUUGGGAUGAUAUCUCCAACGGCCGGAAGAAACCAGGGUUUCCUGAUGGUGAAAAUGUAAGAAGCCUCCUCAACUUUGGCGCGUUUUGCAACGUGCCCCUAAACAUUUUGCACUGUUCUUAAUCUCUUACUUAUUAGUGUUUGAUUCUCAAGUAAACCGAAAAUAGUUAAAAUUAUCUCCGCUAUUCUACUAAAUGACCCCUAAAUGUUUCGGGCAUCCGAAACCUCCUAUUCAUGCUAUUUCGGAUGGUCCCUAUUGCACCCCAUCUUUCGAAAUCCUUCACGGUCAUAUCCAAAUUACUUUCUAGUCGCCCAGUUCCUGCAUCCGAAAUCUUUAAUGAUUAAAUUUAAUAAAUCAUCAUGCUGACUCAUCAAAUCCACCGACUUAAAUACCAACUAAAUUUUGGAUUGCUACAGUAAUUCUGAGCAUCUAGAACCAAGGCCCAAAUCCUAUUCGGAUACUCCUUCGGCAAUAUCGAGCGUUCUAAAGUGAGUUUCGAAUUCAUCUCACCUUGGAACAAUGCUUCUAGGCACCCUAAUCCAAUUUUGAGCGUUCAAAAGUGGGAAAAAAAUUUGCGAGUGAGCCGAGAAAGGGUACGACCAGAUCAAUCCCGGAUCCAGCAAACGUCGACGGCCAGUGACAAGAUCAAACAAAGGCCGAUUUAAUAAGGUAAGUGAGGUCAUAAAUUCGCCAUGGUAGAAACCAACACAUGUGUUCUGCAAGUAGUAAUUGCAAUAGUUGGCAUCGAGUUCGGAUGGCAAGUUUCAAGGAUGAAUGUAAUAAAGCAAUCACCAAAAGGAUGAAGAUGGCAGGAGUAGGGUGGGAAAGUAAAGCAUACAAGAGAAUUGUACAAGAAUAAGCAGGAAAAAAGCAUUAAGCAAGACUAUUAUAAAAAUGAGGUAGAGGGCAAGAAAAGUAGGCUCCACCAUAGAAAAUGAGAGGGACCCACGAUAAAGGAAAAGAGAGAUUGUGACGAACCACUUACUUGGUGGGACGUGGAUAGUGUUUUAUAUCCAUGGGAGUUCAAAGAGUUUUUACAGAUAUCUGAAAUGCUCAUAGACACUAUUCUACAAAUUAAUUCUAAUUUAGAAAUUACUCUUGCAAGAUACCAAGCAGUGAAUGCAAGAAUAAGAAAAAAAAAAUGCUCUACCAAAUCAUGUUCUAAUCAUAAUUACAUUGAAGAUUAUCAAGGAGCUUAAUUUGUGGACUAAUGUGUAUCUCCGCACACCUUUGCAGUGUGUGUGUUCUUUUUCUUCUUUAUUUCGUCUUCUUUCUCAAGUUUCGUUAUUUUUUUUCUCUGUUAAUACAAAGUAUGAUUUUUUGCUUGGUUUACUUUAUCGAGAAAAUCAUGUUAAAAUAAUGGCAUAAGCUUAGCAUGUGAUUAAGGAUCAAAUAGAAAAAUUAGUUAAGGUUGAAGAUAUAAUAUGAUCCCUUAUGACAAAAGUUACAAAGUUAUUAAAUAUGAAGCACUGCAUAGCUGCAAAUCAGGAGGAAGUGUUGCUAGACCAUUGAUACUCAUGUAAGUGAAAUGUAGAGGCGAGUACUCUAAAAGCUUAAGUUUUUAUAAAACAGUGUUUAUAUAUUUUUAUAUUUAAUACUCUUCCCAAAAUUUUUAUAUUUAAUACUCUUCCUAAAAUUUUUUUUUGGAAGGCUCAUAAUAUGAAUUUGAAUUAAAUGAGAGAAAAUUAAUAAUACUAAGAGCUUGGGUGGCUCGAACUCAAGACCUCCUAUUCGGAUGUUAUGUGAAACAAUCAUUAUGUUCUAAAAGCUUAAGUCAUUAGCAAACGGUGUUUAUAUAAUUUUAUAUUUAACAUAUAAGCUUCGAAAAAUCGUAGAAAUGCUUCUUAGAGAUUUUUAAAAAAAAAAAAACAGUUCUGUUAAUGAAUCACUAGAAGAUGGCACAAGACUUUGAUUUGUUAAUAAAAACUAAAGUUAGAAAAUAGAAAGAUUUUUAGCUACGUUUAUUUCUAAAUGAAAUAAACCAAGCGGGUAGCAUGCUAUCUAUCUCUCAAAUAAAAAAAAAAGAAUAAGAAAAUAGGAAGAUUCUAUCACAACCUAGAGAGCUAUCCUUAUAUGGCUCUAACUCUGUUAAUUUUGCAAUAAUAGUAUCAAAUCAUUACAAGUAAAAAAGCUAAUUUUAAGCAGACUCCAAUCUGAAAACAAUCUGAGUAUAAGAGGUUAAAAGGAAAAUACUACCAAUUGAAGUGUUUUAUGUGAGUAGGAUAAGCCACGAAACAAAAAAAUGCUGCUACGUAGUGUAGAAACCUAGACGUUACGGACACUGAUAUGGAACACGAGACAUAACACGACUCGGACACCGCGACUCGACAACUUUCAAAAAAUUAGAACACUGACACGGCAUGAACACCAUUAAUAAAAUAUAAUAUUAUUAAUAUAAUAAUAUGUUGGGAAUUCGGUACUCGCCCCGGUACCGGAUCUUGUGAAUCCGCAACCCGCUCCGAUACCGACUGCUGUGAAUCUGGCACCGAUGGUUGGGAUUCCGUAACGGAAACGUCAAAUCGGAUUUUUACCAUAAACCCGUCUCCUCAGCAAAAGCUGAUACAAUCAUAAAAGAGAGAAAAAAUCAAAACAGAAAAUAUGCGGGUAAAAUAAGAUUAAUUAAAUAAGAGAAUAUUACACCUGACUCCUCUUCUGCACAGAGUAGCUACAACCUGAGCCCUCUUUCUUGAAUCUCUCCUACCAUUCUCUCGUCUUCUAUAAUUCCACAAAGAAGACAAUCAUCCACGCGCAUCCGUGCACUAGGUGCAUUCAACUCAUUAACUCUCUCUCUCUCUCUCACUUUUUCUCUCGGGUACGACACACCUCACAAGAGACUUUUUUUUUUCUCUUGACCGUACCCAUCCCAGAAAGAGAGCUACAAUGCCUAUUUAUAAUGCUCAACUUAAAAGGUACCCCAAUCCUAAUAUAUUUAGGAUUCAUACUUUAAUUAAUAUCUAAAUCUAUCUUAAUCAAUCUCUAAUAGAUUUAAAUAUUAAUCCUAAUCUAGUUAGGUUUAUCCUCUAAUUAAUAUUUAAAUCUUAAUUUAUCUCCAACAAAUUUAAAUAUUAAUUCUAAUCCAAAUAGGAUUCAAUUACAAAUCUAACCAAAAUCCUAACAAUCUCCACCUUGGUUGGAUUUGUAAUCUUCAACCGUCACGUCGAGCUCACCAUGCAAGCUCCACCUUGAGCUUGUCUCCUCCGCUCGAUGUCGCCGCAUCCGCCGCUCCGCCUCGAGCGACUGCACCUCCGCGAACUUUUGGAACCCAAACCGUCUUUGCUUCCGUUCUGACUAUGCUCCCGUUCAGAACGUGUAAGUUCCCAUACUUGUUCGCCUCGCACACGACCCGAUCUCGUUUUUGGACCCUCAUAGCUCCACCUGAAGCCGAAAUAUCGCAACCCUUCGAGUCCAAUGCGCGUAACGAGAUCAAAUUUCGUUUCAAUCCAGGAACGUAUCGCACACCUGUCAGCGUCCUCACGACCCCAUCAUGCAUUCGGAUCUUCACCGUGCCGACUCCCAAAACUUUGCACGUCGUCCCGUUCCCCAUUAGAGCUUUUCCACCUUUGAUCGCCUUAUAGGUUGCAAAAGACUCUUUCUCCGGGCAUACGUGAAAAGAACACGCCGAAUCGAGCACCCACGCGUCAUCCGAAAUUUUCGCACCUCCGGUCGCCACAUAUAGCACAUCAGAAUCGAACAUCUCCGACUCUGCCGUCUGUGCCGUCGCUGAUACCGUCUCGUCCUGGUUCACGACAGUUUUCUCCUUCUGUCGCUUUAACUCCUUCAGAUCAUCCUGAAGUUUUCUACAGUUGCGCUUUAUAUGCCCUUUCCUGUGACAGUAAAAGCACUCCACCUCAGAUAUCGGCUUCUUCUGUCGAUCUCCGGUCGCUGAUGUUGUCGCCUCCUUCUUCGCUCUCACCACCAAAGCUGUAUCCCGGCUCUGUGUGCCGGACUCCUGAGUCAUCUUCCGCAUCUCGUUCGAGAGAAGCGCCGCCGUGACCGCCUCCACGCUUAUGGUCUCCUUGCCAUAAAGCAACGUGGUCACCAGAUGCUCAUAUGUCGCCGGUAGCGAAGAUAGUAAAAUCAGCGCCUUAUCUUCGUCAUCCAGAUUGACUCCGAUGCUAGUCAACUGGGCCACCACCUUGUUGAACUCGUUCAGAUGAUCAUGUAGGCUUACCGCUUCCUGCAUCCGCAGCGUAAACAAUCGCUGCUUCAGAUAUAACCUGUUCGUCAAGGAUUUGGUCAUAUACAGAUCUUCUAGUUUCUUCCACAACUUCGCUGGUGUCGUCUCACUGGCUACGUUGUAAAGAACCUCAUCUGCUAAUAAUAGAUGAAGCGUACUCAGCGCCUUCCGCUCCAUCUUCGUCCAUGCCGCAUCCGUGACCUCCGCCGGCUUCGCCUCUUUUCCGUUCAACGUUUCAUCUAACUCUUGCUGUACGAGGAUCGCCCGUACUUUAAUUUGCCACAAUCCGAAAUUGUUCUUGCCGUCGAACUUCUCGAUUUCGAAUUUCAUGGCCAUCUUCGUCGAUCUCUCCCUCGGAUCAAUAACCUUUAGCUCUGAUACCACUUGUUGGGAAUCCGGUACUCGCCCUGAUACCGGAUCUUGUGAAUCCGCAACCCACUCCGAUACCGACUGCUGUGAAUCCGAUACCGAUGGUUGGGAUUCUGCAACGGAAACAUCAAAUCGGGUUUUUACCAUAAACCCGUCUCCUCAGCAAAAACUGAUACAAUCAUAAAAGAGAGAAAAAACCAAAACAGAAAAUAUGCGGGUAAAAUAAGAUUUAUUAAAUAAGAGAAGAUUACACCUGACUCCUCUUCUGCACAGAGUAGCUACAACCCGAGCCCUCUUUCUUGAAUCUCUCCUACCAUUCUCUUGUCUUCUAUAAUUCCACAAAGAAGACAAUCAUCCACGCGCACCCGUGCACUAGGUGCACUCAACUCAUUAACUCUCUCUCUCUCACUUUUUCUCUCGGGUACGACACACCCCACAAGAGACUCUUUUUUUUUUUCUCUUGACCGUACCCAUCCCAAAAAGAGAGCCACAAUGCCUAUUUAUAAUGCUCAACUUAAAAGGUACUCCAAUCCUAAUAUAUUUAGGAUUCAUACUUUAAUUAAUAUCUAAAUCUAUCUUAUAUCAAUCUCUAAUAUAUUUAAAUAUUAAUCCUAAUCUAGUUAGGUUUAUCCUCUAAUUAAUAUUUAAAUCUUAAUUUAUCUCCAACAGAUUUAAAUAUUAAUUCUAAUCCAAAUAGGAUUCAAUUACGAAUCUAACCAAAUCCUAACAUAAUAUAUUUUUAUUAUAUAUAAAAUAUUAAUUUUGGUAAAAUAUUAUUAUAUUUCUUCAUACGAAUGAAAGUUAGUAAAAUUUUCAUUGAUAGUUUAUAUAUUUUAAAAAAAAAAUUUCCACCAUACAUAAUUUAUUUAUAUUGUCAAAAAGAAAGCUAAAAUAUUUAUUAUCGUAUAUUACAUAUGUAUAGAAAAAGUAAAAUAAAAAUAGGUAUAUAUAUAUUUUUAGUUGUAUGCGCUAUAUAUCGGCAUUAAACGGGCGUCCAAGGAGUGUCCACAUUGAAUACGUGUCCGACACGGUCGUCCAAGGAGUGUCCACAUUAGAUACAUGUCCGACACGGAUACGCACAUGUCUGACACAGACACAUGAGAUUGUAGAAGUGUCGUGAUAUGUAAAUAGAAACUCAGUAACUAUAUUCUUUUUCCUUCACCAUCUUCUCUUCUUCAAAUUACUAAACCUCAAAAAAGGGGGAGACUGCCACAGAAAAACACAAUAAGGAACAGAACAAGUUUCUUAUGAAAGAAUUCUACUAAUAAUUAACCAUAGGUAAAAAUAUUGAUGAAUGGAUCAAGUUCAAAAAACAAUCAGUGAAAACAUCAAAUAAUUGGAAGAAAUUCAGAUAAAGCAUCCACGAGAUAAAGCAUCCACCUAUAAUAGUUAUAUAUGUUUUGGUGCUAUAUAUGUAGACAGAAAUAAAGCACGGGAGACAAGAACUACAUUUCGGUAGUUAGACAACCUACUCUGCCAAAAGUUUUACAACAGAAUAGGGCACUAAUAGCAUUUCCAGGUAGUAGUAAUACUUGUACCACACAAGCUAAACAACCUAAGAACUAGAAACUUGAACACUAGGAAAGAUGUAUGGUUUUCAAAAUAUUUAUUUUCCCCAAAGUGACGCAAUACUCGAUAGUAGGAUCCCAUUCACUUCACAUUAGCAAUAACUAUCAUCUUCGAUAGCUUUUCGAGAAGCUCCUUCAGGGCUGAGGGGCAACUGAUCCUCAAGUGCUCGAAUCCGUCGGUCUGCACGACCGCACUCAGCACGUCAGGACAAGCCAUAAAUUCGAGACAAGCCGUUUUGAGCUGACCGCAACGGUGCUGCUCGGCCAAGACCAACGUGGUGGCCGCCGUGCUUAUGUGGAUGUCUGCACACAACUCGUCCUCGCAAAUUAACUUCAGCCUCUCCAGCCCGUAUCGGUCCGCAGCAGCAAGCAAAUGCUGAAGCAUCACCGUCGAGGACCCGUUACACGCGAGCUCUUCCGAGCGAGGUAGCGCAUCCGAAUAGACGAAAUGAAGCAGAGCCUUAAACACCACGGCUUCCAUGUCCUUGAUCUCUAUGGACUGCAGGUUCUUUUCCUUCAUCUCGCCGAAUAGCUCGGCUUUAAACACGGGCGACCGCGCGGCGAGCAACCACCGGUGCGCGGAAAAAGCCUCGCCGCCGACUCGGAAGGUCACAUCCGUCCCCUCGCCGCUCUCCAGCAGGCGCUCAAGGUGCAGGUGCAAGUCCGACGGCCGCGGCUUGGUAGAGCAACUGUUGGGCACUUGUAGACGCGACUCCUUGAGCACGGUGACGGUGCAGUGGACUACGAGGCAGUCGUCUUUAAGGAAGUUGGACUCCAGCCGGCUUCUUUCGAUGAAGCGGCUGAACCCCCUCUCCACGCCGCGCUUGAAGGACUUGGGCUGCCGAUCGGUCGGGGUCGACGUCGAGGGCUUGCCGGCGUGGUCGAGGAGGGUUAGGUUGAAGACGGCCCUAACGUCGGCGGCGUCGCUUUCGAGGGCGAGGAAGAGGGAGACGCAGUCGGCGGCGUCCUGCGUGUACCCGUCGGGGAAGAACUUGACGGACCAGUCGUGGGCGCCCACGGUGAAGAUGCCGGAAGAUAUGGGCUUGCCGACGCCGAUGCCUUUGGUCAGGGAGUAGCCGGUGACGGUGAACCGGUGGGAGCCGCUCCCCGUCUCCGUCACCCAUGUCGACGACGUCUCCGAGGCGGAGGCGGAGGCGGAGGCGGCCAUCGCAGAGAUCGGAAGUUUCGGGAAGCUUCGGGAGUGGACGAGGAUUGGGGUUUAGGUUUUUAUACGGUUUACAGGCCUACGCAACUUCACUUGGUUGGGCGGCGAAACUGAAAAGUCCCACGUAAGACGAAUUUAAAUUUAAAAUAUAAAUAUAAAUUUAAUUUAAAAUUAAAUAUGACAUUUUUAAUUAAUUAUAAAUUAAAAUUUUGAUACUUUUAAUUUAAAAUAUAUAUUUAAAUUUUAAAUUCGCUAGAAUUUGAAAAUUAUAAAAAAAUAUUUAAUGUAUAUGUAUAUAAAAUAGAACCAUAUAAUUAUUAUAGGCAACAAUUGCUUUAAUUUAAAUUAAAGAUAUGAAAUACUUUUGAAUAAAAUAUAACAGAUAAAUUUACUUUUUAAAAGUUUACAUUUUUGGAUAAAUAUGAUUCUCAAAUUUAUACUGAUUUGAUAUAACUAUUGAAAUAGUUAUUAACUGACCAAUUUUUUAGCAAAAAAAAAUAUAUGUCGCAUUCCAUUUGCGGAAAUAGAAAAAAAAAAUCAUACUUGUUUAAAUUUCAGCCACCUGGAAGAUAUCUACUAUAUAAUAUUUUAAUAGACACAUCAUAAAAGAAUAUUUCAUACUCAUCAAAAAUGAAAAUCUCUAUGAAACGCACAUUAAAAAUAUUCAUAGUAUCUACUAUAUAAUAUUUUUUACAGACGCAUCAUAAAAGAAUAUUUCGUACUGAUCGAAGAAGAAAACCUCUAUGAAACACACAUUAAAAAUAUUCACAGUAUCUAUUAUCUCUCAAUAACUAUUUAUAUUUAAAUCAUGAAUUAAAAAUUAGCUUCAAAUUUUGAGUUUUAUUCAUAAAUCUAAAUCUAAAUUCAUUAAUUUAAAAUUUAGAACUAAUUUAAAUUUUUAAAAUUUUAAUACAUAUUAAAAUAAAUUUGUAUAUUAUAAAACACAUAUGAAAAGUAUUUACGGUAUGACUAAAUUGAAAAUGUAUAGAAUUUAUUUGAAAGCAAAUGAAAGUUAGAAAAAAAAAAUCAAUCGGUAGCUAGACUCGUACCAACAAUAGCUAUUUGAAUUCAAAAUAUAAAUAUAAAUUUAGUUUAAUUAAAUAUGACAUGCUUUAUACGUGCACUAUAACUAGCAUUAUUUGAAAAAAAAUAAAAGGUCUGCUUAAAGGAGUCCAACUUAUUAUUAUUAAUUUAUUAUUAUUUGCAAAAAAAUUCGUGUGCUCUAGAUUGUGACUAUAUAUAUAUAUAUAUANNNNNNNNNNNNNNNCUAUAUAUAUAUAUAUAUAUAUAUAUAUAUAUAUAUAUAGGCCAUGGCUAUUAUACUAUUAUGAGUAUUGGAGCCCUCGUACUCAUAAGUUGUUUUCAAUGAUAGAGCUUCCGAAUUGACGAUCCACUCCGUUAAAUAUGAUCUAGAGUAUUUGAAACUUCUAGAAAAUAAUUUCGUAAAUUUUCGAAAUCAUAAUAAAGUCCAUCAAGUGGGCAUAAAAUGAACGGUCUAAAUCGAACGACGUCCUAAAAAAGGAUGAUCGAAUCCUUCAAUUCAAGAUCGGAGUUAUUGACCUUUAUCUAUGUAGUGAAUAGAAUUUUCUAUCCAAAAUUCAACAAAUUCUGAUUCUUUUACACAGUUAAACUAGCAAGUAUCCCAUACCGACUGUUAAAAAUUGUCAAAUUUGUGAUCUCUUGAUCAUAAGGUAAAUGAUGUCGAAAAAUUAUAAAAUUUGAUUUCUAUAAGUUUUAAAUACUGUAAAUAACGUUUAACGGUGUGGAUCGUCGAUUCGAAAGCUCUAUCAUCGAAAAUAACUUAUGAGUACAAGAGCGAUCGUACUCAUAAUAGUAUAGUAGCCGGACCCAUUAUAUAUAUAUAUAUAUAGAGAGAGAGUUUUGCUAGAAUACUAUCAGUAGUAAACGACUCGAUUUACUACCAAUUUGUUUUCGAUGAUAGAGCUUCCAAAUUGAUGAUCGGCACCGUUAAACAUGAUCUAAACUAUUUAAACUAUCUGGAAAUCAAAUUUCACACAUUUUCGAUAUUGUUCUCUUGUCCAUCAAGUUAACAGAAAAAUGAAUGGCUGGAAAUGAAUAUCCUUCAAAAAGUGAUGAUACAAUUUUUAUAUUUGAGAUCUAUAGUCUAGAUCUUAUUUUAAAUAGUUUAAAGAAUUUUCUAACAAAAAUUUAGUUGAUUUAAACUCUUCUAUACUGUUAAACGAGCAAACGCACCAUAUCGGCCAUUAAAAUUAUAGAUUUUGUGACCCUUUGAUCGUUCAGUUAGUGAUACCAAAAAAUCAUGAAAUUUGAUUUCUAGAUAAUUUAAAUGGUUUAGAUCAUGUUCAACGGUGCCGAUCGUCGAUUUGGAAGCUCUAUCAUAAAAAACAAAUCGGUAGUAAACUGAGCAGUUUACUACCGAUAGUAAAAUGAUCUAACGGAUAAAAAUAAUCAAAAGAAUAAAUAUGACAGCAAAUUAAAUACUUACAAGCAGUAAGUAUUUAGUACUUUUAAAAGCAGCGUAGCUAGACUAUAUAUAUAUAUAUAUNUAGAUUAUGUUCAACGGUGCCGAUCGUCGAUUUGGAAGCUCUAUCAUUAAAAACAAAUCAGUAGUAAACCGAGCAGUUUAUUACCGAUAGUAGCCCAGUCAAACUCAAGAAUAUUAUAUAUAUAUAUAUAUAUAGAGAGAGAGAGAGAGAGAGAGAGAGAGAGAGAGAGAGAGAGCGCGCGCUAGGCUGGUAUACUAUCGGUAGCACGGAGGCCUCCAUGCUACUAAGUUGUUUUCAAUGAUACGGCUUUCAAAUUAACGAUCGGCUCUAUUAAACUUGAUCUAUCGGUAAUUGCUUAUACUUUCCGGCAAUUGAAGGAUUACGAAAAAAAUUACCCUACGCAUGACUUGGAGUUAGCUGCGGUGAUUUUUACUUUAAUGUUGUGGCGGUAUUAUUUAUAUGGCGAGCACUGCGAGGUUUUUACUGAUCAUAAAAGUCUCAAGUAUCUGUUCACCCAAAAGGAGUUGAACCUGAGGCAAUGCCGUUGGUUGGAGUUGUUGAAGGAUUAUGAUAUUAGUAUUCGGUAUUACCCUGGUAAGACGAAUGUGGUGGCAGAUGCGUUGAGCAUGAAGUCAGUGCAGAGCUUGAGCAUAUUGAUUACUCAGCAGAGGAAUCUACUUGAGGAGCUGCAGCGGUUGAGACUCGAGGUAGUAUCCCCUGGGUCUACUGCGAGACUGAUGUCUAUGGUCUUGUGGCCCACUCUAUUGGACAGAAUCAGGGAGAAACAGAGUGUAGACUCUCACUUGUUGAGGAUUCGAGAGCAGAUGGAGAGGGGACAGGCAGAGGGUUUUGUUGUGGACAGUUCGGGAGUACUCUGGUACAGGGACCGACUAUGUGUACCUAUAGAUUCAGAGAUCCGAGAGGAGAUUUUGAGAGAGGCUCACUACUCACCUUAUAUGGUUCACCCCGGUGAAACCAAGAUGUAUAAGGAUUUAAAGGCACAUUUCUGGUGGAAUGGAAUGAAGAAAGACAUUGGCAGAUUUGUGGCUCAGUGUCUGACUUGCCAACAAGUAAAGGCAGAGCAUUAAGCACCUGCUGGCAAGCUUCAGAGUCUGCCAGUGCCCGAGUGGAAAUGGGAGCAGAUCACGAUGGACUUUGUUGUGGGAUUACCUAGAGCAUAGGGUUGUUUUGAUACGAUUUGGGUAAUAGUGGACAGACUGAUUAAGUCUGCUCACUUCUUACCAGUACAGAUCACCUGGUCCAGGGAGAGACUCGCUCAGUUAUAUCUGGAUGAGAUUGUUAGAUUGUAUAGUGUGCCUACUUCGAUAGUAUCUGAUCGAGACCCGAGGUUUGUUUCGCACUUUUGGAGGAGUCUUCAAACAGCCUUGGGUACACAGUUGCAUUUCAGCACAGCAUUUCAUUCACAGACGGAUGGUCAGUCAGAGAGGAUCAUUCAGACUCUGGAGGAUAUGCUGAGAGCAUGUGUCCUGAAUUUUAGAGAAGGGUAGCAUCGACAUUUGAGACUGGCUGAGUUUGCGUACAACAACAGCUAUCAAGCGAGCAUCCAGAUGGCUCCGUUUGAGGCGUUGUAUGGGCGCAGGUGUCGAUCCCCUUUGCAUUGGAGUGACGUGGGUGAAAGGAAGACUCUAGGGCCUGAGAUUCUGAUAGAGGCUGAGAAAAAGGUUGAAGCUGUACGACUCCAUCUUUUGACAGCCCAGAGUCGACAGAGGAGCUACGCCGAUACUAGGAGACGAGACUUCGAGUUCCAGGUUGGAGAUCGUGUGUUUCUGAAAGUUUCGUCGUCUAGAAGGAUACGCAGAUUUGGAGUGCGUGGAAAGCUUAGUCCACACUUUGUAGGUCUUUUUGAGGUAUUGGAGCAAGUUGGACCAGUUACCUACAAGAUUGCUCUACCCCCAUGACUGGCCGGUAAUCAUGACGUUUUUCACGUCUCGGCUUUGAGGAGGUACGUGUUUGACCCCUCGCACGUGAUUGACUUCACUCCGCUGGAGCUUGGCGAGGACUUGAGAUAUGAGGAGCGACCAGUGCGAAUUCUUACUCGGGAGACGAAAGAAUUGCGCAACCGGGUCAUUCCUUAUGUAAAAGUGCGGUGGAGUCAUCACGAGGAGCGGGAGGUGACGUGGGAGCCAGAGACAGUGAUGUGGGAGUCCUACCCUUACUUGUUCAAUGCUGAGGAUUGAGGUAUGCGUUAAGUUUCGAUGACGAAACUUUUUGUAGUGGGGGAGGAUGUAAUAUCCCUGGUGGUCAGCAGCUGUGGAAUUUCUGCAUCUGAGGCUUGUCGACACAUCUGGAGAGUGUCGGAACAAGUCCGAGUCGUUUUGGCACAAAAUAGACGCAAAACAGACUCGUUCCGAGUCGAGAGCAGGUUUUUAGCAUUGAAAUCUGCAAAUUGUAGGUUUUCAGCAAUACGUACCGGUACCACACAGGGGAGUACCGGUACCCCAGUAUAGGUUUUCCGACUACUGCUCUCAGGUUGCAACUUCUGAUGUGGGGUAUCGGUACGGCGUCGGCCUGGUACCGGUACUCCAGGGUAGGUGAGGGGCUUUUUGGUAAAUUGCUACCUCGUGAAUGUCACCCUUAUCCCCUCCUUUUAUGUACGUGUAGAGAGGUUAAGAGAGGAUUUUGGCUACCCAUUUCCUCCCUCUCUCUAGGUUGAGCUGUACGCACGGAGGAGGCUUCGGGUGGAAUUCAGAUCGAUGCCGACGUCGCGCCGGGGAGCCGUUCGAGCGCGUGGACGUCGUAGUUGCAUCGUUGGGAGGCUGGGCCAGCGUGUGGUUCCUCUCCUAUCGACUUCUCGCCGUCGCGGAUUAGCGUUUUGAGGUGGGUUGAUGUUAAGUUACCGGAAUUUUCGGAUUUCCUCCUAAGUCUCAGUUGACAGCAUGUAUUAUUGGGUUUUGUAUAUCAUGUUUAAUAGCUCGAAUUUGUGGAUUUGCAUAUUCUUUGAAAUCUGAAUUUGGAGCAUAAUUAUUGGUUUAAAUAAAUCAUAUAUGUUGGACUUCGAUUUUACUUAGGAGAAAACCAUAAUUUCUAUAUUGUCAUUUUUCGAAAAACUAACAGAUUUAGCUUUAGGAGCUGUAGUUAGUUUGUAUCACCGUAGUUUGUACGCAGUGGAUAUACAGAAUAGUGUAGAAUGAGAUUACACUCGUACUGGGAUGCCGAGUUUAGUUUUACAGUAGUGUCUAGACUAUUCCGAACUGUCGGGUGCCGUUGUGGUUGACGGUGGACCGAGAUUUCAGUAUUUUGCAUCAGAUUGUGCUGAGGGCAUAUUUAUUAUGGUUGUUAGACCAGUUAGACCCUUCUGUUUUGACUAUAGCCUGUGAGAGCCUGAUUGAGCUCGGCAGAGAUACGCUUGCAUAUUCGGUUAGGUAGCGCCCACGAGUGCCACUCCAGAGUCGAGCAUUGUGUUUUUGCGUUGUUGUCGGUUUGUCCUGGUUGGACUUGCUCUCCACUGACGACCUAUCGUAGUGGUAGUUAGUAUAGCUUCGGCAGGCGGGACGGGUGUGUUCACAGUCCCUAGUGAGAUUGGGUCAGAGAUUGCAUUUUCUACAGAUAGUUAGUGUUAGAUCGUGAUAGUAUAGUGACAUAUAGCUGUAGAUUUCUUCCAGCUUCAUUUACUAUCUUUGAGCAUACUUUCUGUAGACUUAGUGAGUGAGUCGUUGAGGUCGAUGGCGGUACCCACUGAGGACUACUUCUUUGUGCAGUAGUUCUCACACCCAGUUGUUGAACCUUUUUGUAGAGCCUUCUUCUUCGACUGCUGCUGUUGCGGAUACAGAUCGUGGAAAGGGAGUCGCAAGUUAAAUCCCUUCUCGUUUUGCUGCUGAUCUAGAGAUAUACCAGCUACAGGUAGCGUUGGUUUUUGGUUCUUGUACAUACUGAUGUUAGAUCCUCGCUGGAGCGAGUGUUAUGUAUUUGGAGACUAAGUAUGUAUUCUGAACCGAUGUUAUUUAUCUAUGUUUUUUAGUUUAGCAGCUCUAUACUACUAGUUGUAGUUUUGUAUGAUUAUAGGUACAGGUACAGCUAUCGCUUCGUAUAUAGGGGAAAUUCUUUUGUAUACGGCGGAUUUGUCGGCAUGCCCGGAAAAAUAAGUAAUCCGGGGCGUGACAAAUAUAUUUCCAAAAUUGGCCCUAUAUAUGCCAUGUAAGCGUCGUACAAGUGCCAUGUUAGAAAUGAAGUUUUUUAAGUUAAAUAUGGUGAACCAUUCAUCGUGUUCAAACAUGGUGUUUGAACACGGUGUUUGAAUUGACACGGUGAAUGGUUCAUCAUAUUCAACUUAAACUCUACCUCCAAUAUGGCGAUUGCGUAAUGCUUACGUGAUAGAGAUAGAGUUAAUUUUACAAAUAUAAAUUUUAUGAGACUAUUUAUAAAAAAAAAAUUAAUUAAGGAGCUAAAUACAAAAAGUGCCCUAACAUAGUUAUACAAAAAUAUAGAAAAUAAAAUAUGGUUGUCUAUUAAAUGUAAAGUUACUAUCUAAAUCAACUAUCAGAUAUCACUUCAAGUUAACUAGGCUAAUUUGCAUAAAAAUUCAUUAGUUUUGCAAUUUUGCAAAGGUGGACUACAAUUUUGGAUUUUGCAGAUUUGAAACGAAUUUUUGAAAAACUAACGAAAUACUUUUAUUCCUUUUUUUUCUCUUCUUUUUUUUUGCGCUCUUUUUUUUUUUUUCUCUCCGACCAUCAUCACCUCCUCUAUCGCCUCCGCAGCCCAUGGCGACGAUAACGAGAGUGGCACUGCCUUCUCUUUCUCCACCUCCACCUCCGCUGGCAUCAGCACCGAUGUCGGCACCGGAGGAGAAGAACUUGGAGCCGCCUCCACCUCCGCCGGCACCAACGCUGUAGUAGGAGAACUCGAAGUGGGCUCAGAUGAGGGCGGAGUGGACGGAAGCGAUGAGAUCGUGACCGAGGAGGUGCUCGCCACCCAUGAGAAUGAUGACGAAGACCCGCCCAUCUCUUCCGUCCACUCCGCCCUCAUCCGGAGUAACCUAUUGUAACCUAUAUGAAUAUAAACUUACUUUAUAUUUAUUUAAAAAUUAUUACCUUACAUUCAACCGUAUUAUUAAUGAUCUGAUAUAGAUAAUUUACUUAUUAAAAACUGAUUAGGGUCACUAGGCCAACAACAUACACAGCCCGCGAACAAUUCAUUAUCAUUACCAUUCUUCAUUGCAUAUAUAGAACUUUUAUUAAUAAAACAUUAAAAAUUGAACGAUAUCGAUCGAGCUUAUACUAAUUAGGGUACAAGCACGAAACUAGACAAGCAUAAACUUCAAUUGUUUGAAAGAGUUUAAUUAAGACUGACACAAAAUUUCAAUCUCCUAAAAUUUGGGAGAUAUUGCUUUUGACUAAAUUACAAAACACACUUCUUUACAUAAGGCUCUGUUUCAAUUAUCUCACUGCAUUAAAAAUUACAUCAAUAAUUUUCUGCACUUUAUCAUUGUUUCACAUAGGUCCAAAAUUAUAGGAUAAUUGCUGAAUUCAGCUAUAAAACAUGAUAGAAACAAAUUGAUUGAUGAAGUUACUUAUGAUUGGUGCAGUAAAAUCAUAUAUAUGAGUAAACUUAUUAGAUGAACUAUGAUUUUUUAUAGUGUUAACAAAAUAAGCACUACAACAGAAUUAGAUUAUAGAGACACAUUUUUAGGACACUUUUGUGAAAGUAUUUUAUUUAUGCCAAAAUUUAAAAAAAAAAUCUAUUUAGGACUAAAUAUAAAAUCCAAUUCAAUCAAAAAUUAAAAGUUCCUCUACUCAACCAACCCCAUCCAGCCCACUAAGCCUAAUUACAAAUAGAAAAGGAAAAAAAAAAUUAAUCACUAUCUCUCUUUCUCCUCUUCCACUGCAGCAGCCGAUGAGGUAGGGUUCUGGUGGGCGGAGUUCGGCCGCGAGAAUCUCGCAGGGACCGUAGAAGACUACGAUCACUACGUGUCACUCCGUCACAGAUUGCUGGAGGAGUGGGUGUCAAACAUCAAGAGGUUGUUGGAGGAGUGGGUGUCAAACAUCAAGGCAGCGCACAAAUAGCGACCACACAUAUAGCAACACUUUUAAAAAUGUCACUACACAUAUAGGCAGGCCCUACAUAUAGCGACCACACAUAUAGCAAUACUUUUAAAAAGUGUCGAUAAUUUAGCAAGCAACACUUUUUUGAUCUAUACCGAUAUUUAAAAAUGUCACUACCUACCGUUUUUAUUGUAGCGAAGAGACCUCUUUUAUCUAACUAGUUUUUUUUUUUAUUUUUUAAAUUGUGUAUUAGAUAGAUGUUGAAAUAUAGAACAAUGUGAUGUAUUCUCUCAUUUUAGUGAAGUUUUUCAACCUAAUUCAUUGGUUAGCUGAACUAUUGAAUCUUUUUAAAACAGUGGCAAAGCAUAGAAAUGCAAUCCAUGCAUCUUUUUUUAGUAUAUAGUAGGGAGAUAACUAAGCCAUGGCCUGAAGUGCAAAGGAAACUUUUGUAAUUAAGCUUUGUCCUUUUUCCCACUUAAUUGAUGACCACUUCAAUGUACUAUAAUAAUAAUAUCGACCACAGACCAAUCUCCUUUCAUUCUAGUGCAGAAAUACUUUAGCUAGGGAUACAUUACUAACUCUUUUCACUCCAGUGCAGAAACACUUUAGUUGGGUGUACAUACUUAAUUAGUUUGUGCUUAGCAAGCUGCAGGCAUAGAGAGUUUCAGAAAACAAUAUAAUGGAAAUGUACACUUAAAAGCUUCGAAUCAUAAGCGAGUAUACUAUGUCAUAUUUACACCAUACUAUCAACAACUGAUAAAUCAUAUUUUUUUUUCAAAAAGAAAUAUAAUAAAAAUAUUUUUUUAAUAAUUAUAAUGGAAUGGGUGAAUAAACUAAGGAACUAAUCUGGUUGGUUAGGAAUCCCACAUGAGCAAUAUAACUUGUAUGUUCUAGACUUUUUCUUAAUUCAUAGUAGAUACUUAAUUGAGUAUUGGUAUACAAAUUAGUUCAGCAUAAAGGAGAUCAAAUUUCAAAACUUAUUCAGUGAGAGCAUCACAUGGUCUGAGGAAAUCUACAGAUAGAACUACAGUAAUUAAGAUUAAUGAGUAGUAAUUAUAUGGAAAAAUAAGAUAGAUAAUUAACCUCGUAGCAUGUUAAUUACUUUGCAAUUUAACACUGUGCCAAGCAUGAAUGCGUGGUGUGUUUCAAACAGUUAUAAUGCUUCUACUGAAGUAGAAUAUUUGAAUCUAAGGUUAUAAAUCGUACUAAAUUAAUUAAGAAUAAUUCCUAAAAUACUCAGAUCCUUCUUACUCAAAAGGUAGGAUUUUAUUUUGGCGCUUUACUUAUUUGCUCAGCUAGCAUCUCUAAGAGCUCCGUCAGAAUCGACGGGCAACUUAUCCUCAAGUGCUCGAACCCGUCCGUCUGCAUAACGGCAGUCAGUACGCCGGGAGAGGCCACAAAUUCGAGACAGGCUGCUUUGAGUUGGGCGCAGCGGUGCUGCUCGGCCAAGGCCAGCGUUGUCGCCACCAUGUUUACGCUGAGGUCCCGGCACAACUUCUCUUCGCACACUAACCUCAGCCUCUCCAUUCCAUACCGAUCCGCAGCGGCGAGUAAAUGCUGAAGCAUCAAAGUCGAAGUCCCCGGAUCUUCGAACUGAGGCAGCGAAUCCGAGUAGACGAAAUGAAGCAUAGCAUUGAAUGCCACGGGUUCCAUAUCCUCUAUUCUUAUGAACUGCACGCUCUUUUCCAUCAUGGGGCCGAAGAGCUCUGCUCUGAAGACUGGCGACCGCGCGGCGAGCAAGCACCUGUGGGCGGCGAAAGUCUCCCCGCCGACUUGGAAGGCGACGUCGGUUCCCUCUCCGCUGUCCAAGAGGCGGGCGAGGUGACGGUGCAAGUCGGAGGGCGGAGAUGCGAUGGCGGGAAGACCGUCGGGCGCUAUCACAUGCAGUUUCUUCAGCACCGUGACGGUGCAGUCGACCGCCAAGCAGUCGUCCUUCAGGUACUGCGACGCCUCCAGAUCGGUUCUUUUGACGAAGUUCUUGUAGCCCCAGGUUCUGGCGGUCGUCGUGAACUGGCACGGCUUCUCGCGCGCUGAUAUUGUGAUCGGCGGAGGCGCGGGUCCGCCGCUGCCGUCCGUGUCGUGCUCCUGCGCCGCCAAUGUGAGGUUGAACUUGGCCGUGACGCCUGCGGCCGGGCUGGCGAGCCUCACGAAGAAAGAUACGUAGUCGGUGGUGCCAUCGGUUUCGCCGUCGGGGUAGUACCUGACGACCCAGUCGUGGCCGCCGACGGCGAACGCGGCGGAUUCGAAGAACUGGCCGACGCCGAUCCCCUUGGUCAGGGAGUAGGCCGCGAUCUUGAACCGGUGGGACCCACUCGCCCACUCCGGCGCCAAAGUCGAGGACGUGCCCUUGUAUGGCACAGCAGCAGCAGCGGCAGCAGCGGAGGAAGACGUCAUCGCCGUGGACGUGGAGAAAAAGAAGAAGACGAGGGGGGCUCUGGGUUUAGGGCGUAUAUUAAUUAAUUUAUUUGCUUAUUAGUUGCCUUGUUAGGAUAGAAAUUACACACGAUUGUUUCGGGGUAGUUCAAGUAGGUCAAGAUACGCACUUCAGUAAGGGAUGCAAACCGAUCUGGGUUGGUGGAACUCUUGCCCCGAUCCGCCAGAUGGGGCAGUAAAUAGGAAAAAAUAAACGGAUUUGAGACGGAAAAACGGGUAAAUUUUACAAUUUGAGACGAAUUCGUGACAGAAAUCGGAAAAAAUUUUGACUCGCCCCGAAAAUUAUUUAUAUUUUAAAAAAAUAUUUCUAAAAGAUAAUGUAUUUAUAAAAACGUUUAAAAUAUAAAUAAGUUAAUUCUCUCAUUUCUAAUGUAUUUGAAACUUUUGAAUUUUAUUUUGAAUUGUGAUUGAUAUUUUUUAUUUUUAUAAUUGAUAUUGUUAAAUUAUAUAUAUAAUAUUAUUAAAAAUUAUUAUUUUAUAUUUUACAAAAUAUUAAUAAUAUUAUAAUCUAUAUCUAUAUCUAUAUCUAUACUACUUAUAAAUGCGUGAGUUUUGAAUUUUUUUCCUCUUUCCCAAAAUGACCAUCCCUAUUAAUAUAAUUCCAAUCAUAUACUAAUAAUAUCAUUCAUUCAACUUUAAUGGAAUAAAUUACAGUCGUACAAUUUUUAUUUUAUUUUUAAAUUAUCAUAAAAUAUAUUAAUUCAUAGUCGUUCGAUCUAAUCUGACUGACGAAUUAAGUAUCUGUCACUUUUUUUUUACCUAAAUUGCCUUUAAAUAGUAUGUAUCAAAUUUCACUUUUUACACGUGUCAUAUCUCCUAAUAACUGCCGCCAACAUAAUAUCAUAUUUUAUCACAAAUAAUAUUCGCAUUUCUUAAAUAUUUUCUUUUCAAAUAAUAUCCGCAUUUCUUAAAUAUUUUUUUUUCUCACACGUAAUAUCCGCUACCUAUAUAAUAUCCAAUCACAUAGUACCUUCCGUAUAUAAUAUUUAAUCAUAUUUUUUUAAAGAUGAAUAUAUAAAAAUUAUCUCAAUUUUACCUACUAAUAUUUAAAAUAUGAGAUAUUUUUUAAUAAAAUAUAACAUAUAAAUUUACAAUUUAAAAUUUUAAAUUUGUAGAUAAAUGUGAUUCAUAAAUUGAUAUUGAUUUGAGAUAAUUAUUAAAAUAAUUGUUGACACGGACAUACCAUUUUUUAGUCGGAAAAAUAUUGCAUUCUAUUUGUGAGAAUAUAAAGAAAUUUAUACUUAUCUAAAUUUUUGUCGAAAAAUAUUUACUGUAGAAUAUUUUUCACAAGCGCCCCAUAAAAUAAUAUUCCAUACAUGUCAAAAAAUAUAAAAAUCUCUAUGUAACAAAUAUUGAAAAUAUUUUGUAUCUACUAUCUCUCAAUUAACUAACUAAAAAAAAUUAGGUUUGAAAAAUAAAAUAAUUUAAAUAAGUUUAUAAAAUCAACUUUAAAUUUUAAAUUUGGUUCAUAAUUUCAAAUGAGAAUUAAUAUUUUAAUUCAAAUUUUGAAAUUAAUUAAAAUUUUAAUAUUUUGGGUGUGUAAACAGUAUUUCAAAUUGAAAAUAAUUAAUUAACUUAAAAAUAUAUCAAAUUUGAAAAAUAGAUGGGAUGAUAAAUAAAUUAAUAUCUUUAAUAAUUAUUUAUAUUCAAAUUAUGGAUUCAAAAUUAAUUUCAAAUUUUGAGUUUUAUUCAUAAAUAUAAAUAUGAAUUUAUUAAUUUAAAAUUUAGAAUUACUUUAAAUUUUUAAAAUUUGGAUACACAUUAAAAAAAAUUAAUUUUAGAAAAAAUUUAACUGUUAAAUAGAUUUAUACUACCAAUAAUUAUUUAAAUUUAAAAUAUAAAUAUAAAUUUAAUUUAUUUAAAUAUUACGUGCAUUGCAUGUGCACUAUAACUAGUUUUAUAAAAAAUAUUAAUUGGCGGGGCGGAUUCGCGCCGCCGGUGGGAGACGGGUUACAGGCGAGGCAGAUUAUAGGAUGUAUUUUUUAACCCGUCACGGAUUCGGGGCAGAAGGCGGGGCAAAAUUUUGCUAGUCGGGGCGGGAGGCGGGGCAGGGCUCCAGCCCCAAAUUCACCCCGUUUGCAUUCCUAAUUUCGGUUCAAUUAGUAGUUAGACCAGCUCAAUUGGUAUCGAGGUCUUGUGGGUUAUUAUUUAUUUAUGUAAUACAUGUUAAAAUAAUAAUAAAAUAAUAAGAGUCCAGCCAUGUUGCUUCCUAAAUUAUAAAGAAGUUAAUUCUUUCAAUUUUUUAACAUUUAGGUCAAUUCUUUUGACUAUUUCUAAUUUUUAGAUUAAUAUUAUUUUCUUAGAGAAUCACUAAACUCUAUAAGAAAAUCACUAAACUCUAAUGUUGCGUUAGGUUUGGGUACAAGUAAGAACUGCUUAUUAUAACGAAUAGGUACAAGUUCAGAUAUAAGCAGAAACUAAGCUGAUUUUAUGUUUUUUUUUUGAAAAUUAGAUUGUAGCUAAAUAUUAUUUGAAUGGUUAGAUUAGAAAUGAGGAAUAUGAGUUAAAAUUUUAAAUUAAAAAUAUUUUAUCUAAUUAAUAAACAUCAAAAUAUUAAUUAAAAUAAUUUAAUAACUUAAUAAAUUUAUUUGCUAUGAAUAUUGUAUAAGAUAAUAAAAAUAUAUUAAUUAAUUAAUUAAUUAAUUAUAAAAAUAAUUUAACUUUUAAUUAGUUAAUAAAUUAUUUUAAUUAGAUAACUAGUGAAAAAAAUAAUUAGAUUAAUAAAAUAUCAAUGGUUGAUCAAUAUAAAUAUUAGUUGACACAUUGAGGAUGUCUCUGGGAAAGGCACCCGCAAAGUAGCCAUGGCCAUGGAGUAGGGGCUGGCAAAUGAGCGAGCCGGCUCGCGUCGACCACAUUCAACUCGAUAUUUGACUCGCUCGAGCUCGACUCGAAAUUAAAUGAGCCGAGCUUGACAAAAAAAAAAGGCUCGAAAUUUAUUUUAAGCCGAGCUUGAGUAUUACUCGGCUCUUUCGAAUUAGGCUCGAAAAGCUCGAAAAGCUGAAUAUAUAUAUAUAUAUAUAUAUAUAUAUAUAAUAUAUAUAUUAUAUAUAUAUAUAGAAAUUAGGCUGGAAUACUAUAAUAGUAAAACGUUCUUUUUGCUAUCAAGUUUUUAACCAUUGGAUGAAAAAUUGUAGGAUCGGGAUAUAUUAGUCGUUAGAGUUGAGUGGUCCCCCUAGGGUUGAGUGGUCCCACUGGGUUAUAGUAUUUAAUCCAAUGGUUAGAAAUAAUGAAAAGAGUUGAUCCAAAGGCUAAAAAACUGGUAGCAACAAUAGGAUUUUGCUACCAAUAGUAGCCCAGUCCAACUCUAUAUAUAUAUAUAUAUAUAUAUAUAUAGAGUAGAGCUACUAUGCUAUCGAAGUAUAGAGAUUGGCGCUUUCGAUUUUUUGAUUCUUAGAUCAAUCCUUUAUUCGUUUCUUAUCUUUGGAUUAAUAUUAUUAUUAUCUUGUAGGGACCACUCAAUCCAAGAGUAUUAUUUAAUCCUAGGGAGACCGCAAUCAUCCAACCAUACAUUUUUAAUCAAAGGGUCAAAGUUCAAAAAUAUCAAAUCCUCUAUGUUUUCGAUAGCAUAGUAGUUCUACACUAUACUAUAUAUAUAUAUAAUUAUAUAUAUAAUAUAUAUAUAUAUAUAUAUAUAUAUAUAUAUAAUAUAUAAUAUAUAAAUAAAAUAUAUAAAUAUAAUAUAUUUAAUUAUAUAUAGGCUGAGUGAAUAAUCUGAGUUUAGUUAAAAUUGGGCCAAUAUUGUUUGGCCAUAAAAACAAACCUAAUAGACAAAUAAAAAGGCAAAAUUUUACUAAAUUUAUAUAUUUUUUCCUUUCUUUCUUCUUUCUUCACAGAGCUCUAAAUUUUCAAUAUGUUUCUCUCUUUCUCUUUUUCUAUCUCUCACCCUAAGUGGCCAAGCCGGAAGCCCUCUAAGUUACCAAGUAACAUCAUAUGUCUGCCUUUGCCUACUUUGCUAUUAAUUAUAUGCUUGAGAAAAAUAUACAGAAUAUUUUUAAAGUAAAAAAUUAUUAUUCAUAUAAAAUUUUAAUUUUAGUUAUAUAUGAUUGGAUAGUUUAAUCCAAUAUUUAUCUAUAUAAUUUAUUUAUUUUUGACUGCAUAAAUGAAAAUGAAUAAUAUAGAGAUUGAAGGCGGAAGAAAAAACAUGUAAGGCUGAAAAAAUUAGAUAUUCAACUCAUAAAUUAUAUUUUUUCAUAUUAUAAUACUAUAUUUCAUAUAACUAUUUUGUACUUUGAACUAUUAGACAUAUUUUUGUAUUAAAUUAUAGAUAAUGUUCUAUACAAAUUAAACUAUUGAUCGUAUAAUGUUGAGAAUUUCAAGCGGCUCGUUUAGGGCUCGAGCUCGCUUGACUGGAAAUUAGGCUCGCUCGAGCUCGGCUCGAAGUAAUUUCAAUCCAAGCUUGAGCUUAAAUUUAGGCUCGAAAUUAAUUUCAAGCCGAAUUUGAGCCGAGGUAAGCUCGCUCGAGCUCGGCUCGUUUCCAUCCCUACCAUGGAGAGUCAGACCAUCAAGCGACAUUUUUUUCAAUUUUUUUUUACAGUAAAAGCCUGUAACAACUCGAUCCGUUACUAAUAACAAUUUGUUGGAUCUAAACCGCUGAUCCAAAUAUUUAAGCCCAGUUAUUAUUAUGUUGCCAGGCCUCAUAUAUUUCUAAUUAGAAUUUUUUUUCCAUCCGAUAUAGAAUUAUUGGGCGUUACAAAUUCUCCAUGUUUAUAUCCUAACAUACUCAUCAGAUACAAAGCCAAUCACACACAUAUAAACUAAAAGUACCAUUUUCGAAAUCCAUGCUUAAAGCAAAUACUUGAAGGUCAACCCGUGCAUAAAAGAAACAAUACAAAAAUAUGAGAUUCUAUAAGUGGCUCCUAUAGGUUCAAAAGAUGACUUCCACCAAACACAUGGUGUAAUACUUUGCACCGCAUAACACUUAGCUCUCACACCUCCGGCCGGUAUUCAGCUCUAAUACCAACUGCAAUGAUCCGACCCAUUGACAAUAAUAAUUCAUUGAGCCCAAACCAGCAGUCCAAAAUACUAUAGUGGAGUUAAGAGGUUUAGUUCUAUUAUAUCUUACUAGUUAAGGAUCCCGCACGAUGCCGUGGGUAGAUGUCACGCCCCGGGGUCCCUUUUUGUUUGGAAAAACAGCGGAAACGACUGAAAAUUUUUUUUUUUUUUGAAACACCUGACCCCAGUGUAUGUCAGAUCCACCACAAAUACAGGGAAUCCACUGUUUACACGGACAGAGUUUUCCCUGUAUUUGCACGGCGUCGCACAAGUACAAUUAUACAAACAGAGUAUAACCAGAAUACAACCACAACCAUAUGAACACACAAUCACAACUACACAUGCAGACGUUCAUACAUUCACCAUUCACAACGCGACAGUAUUCCAAUUUUUAAACAAAAAUCCAGAACUAUCAUUUGAAAUGUUUCCCACACAGAAACUUUUAUCCUUUCAAAACGCUACGACGAGGGGUAGAAAAAUAUUUGAAAACUGUAUCGAAUAUGAAAACUCUUUUCUUUUAAAACGAGCGCUACCACGAGGGGUAGAAAACCAUUUUUUUUUCUUGAAAGCUCAUAGAUCUAUUUUUAUUUACGAAAACCCAGCAGAAAACUGAACAUUCAAGUACCGAAUGAAACUGAACCAAAAUUAAAGUUUACUAUUUAUUCAAGCAAGGGAAAAGAGAUAACCAAACGGGACGGAGCUCUAUCGCGCGCUAGACUCGCUCCUCACCUGCCGUCCCACUCGGACCUGCGACGUCACCUGUAAUGGGGGCGGGGGGUGAGAACAUGUAAACAUGUCUCCCCUCCCAGUGGGUACCGCAAGCCGACGAGGGCGAGGGUACGCACCAGCAAAGGAGGCUAAGCAACAGUAAAGGUAAACAACUACAGUAGCUACUAUGAUAUAAGAACAGAAAGUACAAGUAAGGAACUGAUGUACGAGUAAGGAACUACUGCUACUGUAUGUAUGCAUCAACUGGUGGAUAGUCCAAGGAUACAAUCUACAACCCUGCCUUUGUUGGUCCGGAGACCUCAGGCUCAUGUCACAAUCACUCAACCCUGCGUAUACCCAGUCUCGUAACCUCUGAGCUCACGGGUGGGCCAAACGCAACACUUUUCGCGGAAAAGAACACCCCCUGCCGGUGGAUCAGACCGCUGGUGUUCGUGAAAUGCCGAACGAGUGGUGACGAUCGAUGCUGAUAUGCUCAAUAGCCCAACCGUCGGCAACCAGCCGACACCCGACCGAUAGGUCAUCAAGUACAAAGGAACCGACCCGAGAUUGGUCAAAGUACGUAAAGUAGUGAACGACCAAAUAGGUACCGAUGCAACAGGAGAACACGACCAAUCAGGUCACAAGUAUAGUAUAUACUAAUGCCAACUACUCUCUACCCUACAUCAGAUCUACGCAUAGGACAACAGACCGACAGAGUAAACAAAAACAGUAUGGUGCAAGGCUCAAUAUGUAACGAGUAAACAAUAUGAAUAGACGAUGUAAAAGAUAGGGUAAAAGGAGGACAUCACCGAGCGUGCACCGCUGUAACCGACUUCGGAUCGAAGUACCACCUGUACUAGAAGCUGAAUGGUCUCGCUAAGUCGCAGACGAAGCGACCGAUCCUACGAAGGGUCCACCCGGGUUAGAAGUCUAACCCACGAAUAAAUAACAUGACCAAUCUCACACAAAUCCCAAAUCAUAACCCCACUGAAAUCGGUUUCUCAAACGCAACAUCCGAAUCAGCCGGAAGUCCCGAAAACCGUAUCGGAACUCCACCGUCGCUCACACCCGUCGUUUCUGAACCUUCGAGACGACAUGGGUGACCACACAAGGCUCAGCGACGCUACAUGUCAAUCACGAGGCACCGUCGUAAGAAUUCCGAUCGAACGCGCGUUCUAUCGGCGAUUUCGCCGAAAAACCUCCCGGAAAUGAACGAGUAAGAUUUUCCGCAAAAGGCUUGGGGCCUGGACGAUCAGUCCAGAGGUAUCUUAAGCUUUACCUGCUGCCAACAGCAGCGCACGACGAGCGAAACGCAAACGGAUCCCUAAUGGCCCAUGAAAUCACAUCAUUUUAUGUGAUUUCAUGGCUCUACGGUGCGUACCAGCAAACCAGGGAUCUACGGAGGUUGCCAUCAGCACUUGCUGCAAGGUUUCGGCAUGCCUGAGCCGUGCUCACGCUUUCGGAGCACUGCCGGAAGCAACCAAACGCGCGCACGAGCGACGCGACUCUCAGCGAUCAGUGGGCACCAGCGCGAAGAUCGCACACUACUCAUUAACCAGGGCACCGUUAAUCUAAAUGGAGGUGAGCAUCGUGUUCAGGCACGAGCCGACGAUCACCGUGCUCACCUCCGAGGUGCAAGGGAGUCGUCCGGAUCACCGGACAAUGACCGGAACCGCAAAACGACGUGCUGGAACUAAGGUACACUACUCACCGAGCUGUGGGAGCUAGGGAUGGCCGCCGGCGAUCGGACGGCGGCACUCCGGCGGUGAUGGAGCAGCAGGUCGGGGAGGUCCGGGAAGGUGCUGGCCGGCGCCGGCAGCAGCCGGUGGCGGCGGCGGCGGAGAUCGGGCCCACCGACUUCCUCUCGGUUUGGAGCUUGCCGGUCGGCGAGGCGGCGACCGGGGGAGUCGGGCGGGAUGAUCCGGCGCCGGGGACCGAGGAGAGGUGGUGCCCACCUCCGGGGGCAACGGCGGCGCUCGGGAGUGCGCGGCUCCCAGGGUCGGCCCUCACAAGACCCCGAGCGGCGGCGGGAGGCCUUGGCGGCAGCCGGCGAGGGCGCGGGGACGGCCGGCGACGCACGCGCCGGGUUGCUGGAGGUCCGCCGGGGUCGACAGGGAAGCUUGGCGCAGGGGGAGGUGGCGGUCCAAGGCCGAACCCCGAGCUCGGCCCGGCUCGGUUCAGGGCAGACCCGACUGGCUACAGCUCUUCCGGCGGCUUCCGGCGACGCUCAGCGGGUGGCCGGGGUCGCCGGGAAAGAGGGCACCUGAGGUGGAAGGAGGCCGGGGCUUGCCUCCACAGGCAGUGGAGACCCUCCCACAAGCCCUCGGUCUAAGAAGAUGGCCGAGAGAGGAGGUAGGCCGGUUCGCAGGCAGUUUCGGCGGCCGGGCAGCUCGGGCGGCGGCCGAUAACGUGAGCACGGGCAGGGCAGGGUGGUGCUGUGGGUGACAGGGCGCUGGGUCAGCUGGGGAGUUCUAGGGUUAGGGUUAGCUCCAAGAAACCCUAGGGUCAACAAAUAUAUAGGUAUUGCGACUUUUGCGGAAAACCCCCCUCAAGCUGAAACGGUUUAAACCGCAGCCUCCUGCCAGCGAGUGCUUUAUGCACGGCAGCCCCUCCGAGUUCAAAAACUCGCAAAUCGGCGGCAUAAAAUAUAGCGCCUUUUCGGCGAAUUAUCCGAUUAUUCAAAUCAGCCCCUUCGCGGACUUUUCGCGAUUCCCGAGAAUCCGUCCCGUCCGGAUUUCGAUCGGAUCACACCAGCUGCGAUCAGCAGCUCAGAGGCAUCGAAUCUAGCAUCUCGUUUCGUCGAAAGAUUUCCGAUUUGCGACAAAACCUUCCUUCUAGUCUCACCAAAAACCACAUAUAGACAAUUAAUAUGCAAAAAACCACUAAACCUUUUUCUCGAAAUCCGUGCCUCCAAAUUCAAUUCUGUCAGUGCAAAGGGUCCGGAUAGUCGAGGCGUUGAAAACGAGCUAUUGGAAGGCUAUCUUCGGAGUCCGAUACGCGUCGAAAAUUCACUUUACUCCGCGCCUCCUGGAAAACCGGAGUUUACUAUUCACUUAAGUCAGACUUCCGGGUCCGCUAACUUCUCCGUUUUAACAUCGUUUUCUCCUGAAAUUUGAGGUACACAUAAUAUUAUAUUACACAAAAGAAUCAUCAUCAACCAAAAGGUUUAUAUCAAAAAUCAAAAAUCUCAGUUAUUACAGUAGAUAAUUAGAUUCAAACUUUAAAUAAAAUUCAAAAUUAUAAUUUCUGAUUAUAAAAUUUUAAUUUUAAUUUUGAUUUUAAAUUUUAAAUUUAAAUUUAAAAUUUAAAAUUUUUAUUUUAGGACUAAAGUGAAAAACAUGUAAAUUUAGGAACCAAAAUUAAACAUGCAAAAUAAAAUCAAGUAGGUGCUGACAUGAGAAAUUCAUUACUUUUAACACAUCUUUUUGAACGGCUGGGACGUAAUAUAAUGAAAUCAGGUUGGAAACUUUAUGGAAAAAAAAUAUUGGGGAACAAUAAAAAAAAAAUAGUGCUAAGUUGGGACCAUAGUGCAAUAAAUCAUGUAUGUGGGCCUCACAUCUCCUCCAAUAGGUUGUCAAUUCAUGUAUUUUAUUAUUUUAUUUAUAUUUAAUUUAUAAAUUUGAAAAAAAAAAAUAUUGGCGAAAAAUAAGAAACGUUGCAAAGUUGAGAACCAACGUUGCAAUUAAUUAUGUAUGGCCCACAUCUCUCCAAAAUAAGAAGAGGACUCCUUCAGGGUUGCUAAUUCAUGUAUUUUUAAUACUAUUUUUUAUUUUAUAGAUUUGAGAAAAAAAUGUUGGAGACCAAAAUAAAAAAUAGUGGCAAAGUUGGGGACCAAUGGUGUAUUAAUCAUGUAUGUGCGGCCGCGCACAACUUUCCAAAGAGAUGUCACGCCCCGGGGCCGAUUUUAAAAGCCUUUAAAAAACAAAGUUGCGAAAAACUUGCCAUUUUUUUUUUUUUCAACCUGGCCCAUGGCCCACGCGACGUACAGACCCGCACAAAUACAAAAGUUCCUCUGUCACGAUCGAACAGAGUCUCCUUUGUUUUGCACGGCGUACUAGCCUAUACACACAAGAUCUCAACCACAACCUAAUAUUAUCCAAUCAACAACCAAAAUAUGAUAGCAUUUCCAUACAGCUAACAAUCCUUAGAAUGAUGCAUGCCUCUAAGCACUCCUAGGCGCUGGAAUAAUGCAAUGCACAAUACAACAAACAUCCUAUUUAAAAGUGCCCCCACCACGAAGCUUUUUUUUUAAACUCUAAUUUCAUUCAUUCAUAAAAACCCAUUCGGAAAACCUUUAUAAAACUGUUUCCAACACGGAAACUCUAUUUUGAAAACCGACUACUCUCGAGGGUAGAAAACCAGCGAUGCAUAACUACAAGAAAACCAAAUCUCCACAGAACCAAAACCACAGAUCAAAAACUCCAAUCUACAUGUAUAAAGAACCAACACCACAUUUCACAUACAUUCAAGCAUACAUAAGAUCAGCUAACUGAACCAUUAUUAAGAAAAACUACUAAGUGCGGAAAAGAGAUAACAAGGGUGAGCGUCACUACUGCCGUCUAGCUAAGAUCGUCCUCUCAUCGAGCCCAAAAUCCAACUCCUCGUCUCUGUCACCUGUGGGGAAAUGGUGGGGUGAGAAACCGCAACCAUGUUUUCUCAGUGGGUACGACAGGCACGAAGGCAAGUCGUAAUCACCGGAAACCAAAGGAGAUAAGAUAAACAAGUAAUAUAUCUGUAAGCUGAUAUGAAUAGAACUACAGUAGCUUAAAAACGAUAAAUAGGCAAGCAAUAAAUAAACCUGCUACUGUAUAGAAAAAUGCAAACGAAUGCCUCAAUGUACUGAACCAGAAACUGUACCAAUCUGUGGCCUGCUGUAUGGCUCCGCAGACCUCACGCUACCUGUCACUAACUGCACCGACCUGAUCCAUCCCGCCCCGCAGGACGACCCAUCCGGAUAAGUACACUCGAUCGGUGGCCAACCGAUCGGUGUCAUGAAUACCCCCAAGGCCGUGACUAACUCAUGCUGGUAGCUCAAACAAAAACAAACCCGCUAAAGCCGUGCCUAGCCGAAGCCAACAACGAGGGUGUAUAAUGCCAAUGAAACAGAAGCUAGGGCGUACAACCCCGAACUGAAAUAGAUACCAGGGCGUACAACGCCGAACCUCGAUCAACCAAGAUCGAAACACACGACAAGAGAGUCGAUGUGUUGCCUGGACCCAAGUUCCACAGAGACUACGAAAUACGAAUGCAGCCUGCUCUACAUGUCAUCCACAACUAUAACAAUGAAUCAAGGGAUGCGAAUAACAAACGAUAACAAGCAAUCAAUGUAGAGACUAAAUACACGGAAUAGAAAAACAGGAGAAGGAAGUGAAACGCUCUCACCGAUACCAGCUUAAAGCACCCACCUGUCACUCGUCGCGUCAGAACACUGGGUACGCACAAGUCGACCGACCCACGAAGAUCCCACGGUCAGUAACCAACCCACUCACCUGAAGUACACUAUCUCACAAACUCCCACACAGACCGGUAUCGUUUCCCAAAACCGAUCAUCGUAACUCACCGGAAGUCCCGAAAACCACACCGGGACCGUCGCGACCCACUAAGUGUCCGAACUCACCGACUCGUGCCACGAGUCACCCGCUGCCCCAAAGCACUCCAAUUUGAUGCCUUGCACAAACACAGAGGUAACACAACAAUAAACGANNNNNNNNNNNNNNNNNNNNNNNNNNNNNNNNNNNNNNNNNNNNNNNNNNNNNNNNNNNNNNNNNNNNNNNNNNNNNNNNNNNNNNNNNNNNNNNNNNNNNNNNNNNNNNNNNNNNNNNNNNNNNNNNNNNNNNNNNNNNNNNNNNNNNNNNNNNNNNNNNNNNNNNNNNNNNNNNNNNNNNNNNNNNNNNNNNNNNNNNNNNNNNNNNNNNNNNNNNNNNNNNNNNNNNNNNNNNNNNNNNNNNNNNNNNNNNNNNNNNNNNNNNNNNNNNNNNNNNNNNNNNNNNNNNNNNNNNNNNNNNNNNNNNNNNNNNNNNNNNNNNNNNNNNNNNNNNNNNNNNNNNNNNNNNNNNNNNNNNNNNNNNNNNNNNNNNNNNNNNNNNNNNNNNNNNNNNNNNNNNNNNNNNNNNNNNNNNNNNNNNNNNNNNNNNNNNNNNNNNNNNNNNNNNNNNNNNNNNNNNNNNNNNNNNNNNNNNNNNNNNNNNNNNNNNNNNNNNNNNNNNNNNNNNNNNNNNNNNNNNNNNNNNNNNNNNNNNNNNNNNNNNNNNNNNNNNNNNNNNNNNNNNNNNNNNNNNNNNNNNNNNNNNNNNNNNNNNNNNNNNNNNNNNNNNNNNNNNNNNNNNNNNNNNNNNNNNNNNNNNNNNNNNNNNNNNNNNNNNNNNNNNNNNNNNNNNNNNNNNNNNNNNNNNNNNNNNNNNNNNNNNNNNNNNNNNNNNNNNNNNNNNNNNNNNNNNNNNNNNNNNNNNNNNNNNNNNNNNNNNNNNNNNNNNNNNNNNNNNNNNNNNNNNNNNNNNNNNNNNNNNNNNNNNNNNNNNNNNNNNNNNNNNNNNNNNNNNNNNNNNNNNNNNNNNNNNNNNNNNNNNNNNNNNNNNNNNNNNNNNNNNNNNNNNNNNNNNNNNNNNNNNNNNNNNNNNNNNNNNNNNNNNNNNNNNNNNNNNNNNNNNNNNNNNNNNNNNNNNNNNNNNNNNNNNNNNNNNNNNNNNNNNNNNNNNNNNNNNNNNNNNNNNNNNNNNNNNNNNNNNNNNNNNNNNNNNNNNNNNNNNNNNNNNNNNNNNNNNNNNNNNNNNNNNNNNNNNNNNNNNNNNNNNNNNNNNNNNNNNNNNNNNNNNNNNNNNNNNNNNNNNNNNNNNNNNNNNNNNNNNNNNNNNNNNNNNNNNNNNNNNNNNNNNNNNNNNNNNNNNNNNNNNNNNNNNNNNNNNNNNNNNNNNNNNNNNNNNNNNNNNNNNNNNNNNNNNNNNNNNNNNNNNNNNNNNNNNNNNNNNNNNNNNNNNNNNNNNNNNNNNNNNNNNNNNNNNNNNNNNNNNNNNNNNNNNNNNNNNNNNNNNNNNNNNNNNNNNNNNNNNNNNNNNNNNNNNNNNNNNNNNNNNNNNNNNNNNNNNNNNNNNNNNNNNNNNNNNNNNNNNNNNNNNNNNNNNNNNNNNNNNNNNNNNNNNNNNNNNNNNNNNNNNNNNNNNNNNNNNNNNNNNNNNNNNNNNNNNNNNNNNNNNNNNNNNNNNNNNNNNNNNNNNNNNNNNNNNNNNNNNNNNNNNNNNNNNNNNNNNNNNNNNNNNNNNNNNNNNNNNNNNNNNNNNNNNNNNNNNNNNNNNNNNNNNNNNNNNNNNNNNNNNNNNNNNNNNNNNNNNNNNNNNNNNNNNNNNNNNNNNNNNNNNNNNNNNNNNNNNNNNNNNNNNNNNNNNNNNNNNNNNNNNNNNNNNNNNNNNNNNNNNNNNNNNNNNNNNNNNNNNNNNNNNNNNNNNNNNNNNNNNNNNNNNNNNNNNNNNNNNNNNNNNNNNNNNNNNNNNNNNNNNNNNNNNNNNNNNNNNNNNNNNNNNNNNNNNNNNNNNNNNNNNNNNNNNNNNNNNNNNNNNNNNNNNNNNNNNNNNNNNNNNNNNNNNNNNNNNNNNNNNNNNNNNNNNNNNNNNNNNNNNNNNNNNNNNNNNNNNNNNNNNNNNNNNNNNNNNNNNNNNNNNNNNNNNNNNNNNNNNNNNNNNNNNNNNNNNNNNNNNNNNNNNNNNNNNNNNNNNNNNNNNNNNNNNNNNNNNNNNNNNNNNNNNNNNNNNNNNNNNNNNNNNNNNNNNNNNNNNNNNNNNNNNNNNNNNNNNNNNNNNNNNNNNNNNNNNNNNNNNNNNNNNNNNNNNNNNNNNNNNNNNNNNNNNNNNNNNNNNNNNNNNNNNNNNNNNNNNNNNNNNNNNNNNNNNNNNNNNNNNNNNNNNNNNNNNNNNNNNNNNNNNNNNNNNNNNNNNNNNNNNNNNNNNNNNNNNNNNNNNNNNNNNNNNNNNNNNNNNNNNNNNNNNNNNNNNNNNNNNNNNNNNNNNNNNNNNNNNNNNNNNNNNNNNNNNNNNNNNNNNNNNNNNNNNNNNNNNNNNNNNNNNNNNNNNNNNNNNNNNNNNNNNNNNNNNNNNNNNNNNNNNNNNNNNNNNNNNNNNNNNNNNNNNNNNNNNNNNNNNNNNNNNNNNNNNNNNNNNNNNNNNNNNNNNNNNNNNNNNNNNNNNNNNNNNNNNNNNNNNNNNNNNNNNNNNNNNNNNNNNNNNNNNNNNNNNNNNNNNNNNNNNNNNNNNNNNNNNNNNNNNNNNNNNNNNNNNNNNNNNNNNNNNNNNNNNNNNNNNNNNNNNNNNNNNNNNNNNNNNNNNNNNNNNNNNNNNNNNNNNNNNNNNNNNNNNNNNNNNNNNNNNNNNNNNNNNNNNNNNNNNNNNNNNNNNNNNNNNNNNNNNNNNNNNNNNNNNNNNNNNNNNNNNNNNNNNNNNNNNNNNNNNNNNNNNNNNNNNNNNNNNNNNNNNNNNNNNNNNNNNNNNNNNNNNNNNNNNNNNNNNNNNNNNNNNNNNNNNNNNNNNNNNNNNNNNNNNNNNNNNNNNNNNNNNNNNNNNNNNNNNNNNNNNNNNNNNNNNNNNNNNNNNNNNNNNNNNNNNNNNNNNNNNNNNNNNNNNNNNNNNNNNNNNNNNNNNNNNNNNNNNNNNNNNNNNNNNNNNNNNNNNNNNNNNNNNNNNNNNNNNNNNNNNNNNNNNNNNNNNNNNNNNNNNNNNNNNNNNNNNNNNNNNNNNNNNNNNNNNNNNNNNNNNNNNNNNNNNNNNNNNNNNNNNNNNNNNNNNNNNNNNNNNNNNNNNNNNNNNNNNNNNNNNNNNNNNNNNNNNNNNNNNNNNNNNNNNNNNNNNNNNNNNNNNNNNNNNNNNNNNNNNNNNNNNNNNNNNNNNNNNNNNNNNNNNNNNNNNNNNNNNNNNNNNNNNNNNNNNNNNNNNNNNNNNNNNNNNNNNNNNNNNNNNNNNNNNNNNNNNNNNNNNNNNNNNNNNNNNNNNNNNNNNNNNNNNNNNNNNNNNNNNNNNNNNNNNNNNNNNNNNNNNNNNNNNNNNNNNNNNNNNNNNNNNNNNNNNNNNNNNNNNNNNNNNNNNNNNNNNNNNNNNNNNNNNNNNNNNNNNNNNNNNNNNNNNNNNNNNNNNNNNNNNNNNNNNNNNNNNNNNNNNNNNNNNNNNNNNNNNNNNNNNNNNNNNNNNNNNNNNNNNNNNNNNNNNNNNNNNNNNNNNNNNNNNNNNNNNNNNNNNNNNNNNNNNNNNNNNNNNNNNNNNNNNNNNNNNNNNNNNNNNNNNNNNNNNNNNNNNNNNNNNNNNNNNNNNNNNNNNNNNNNNNNNNNNNNNNNNNNNNNNNNNNNNNNNNNNNNNNNNNNNNNNNNNNNNNNNNNNNNNNNNNNNNNNNNNNNNNNNNNNNNNNNNNNNNNNNNNNNNNNNNNNNNNNNNNNNNNNNNNNNNNNNNNNNNNNNNNNNNNNNNNNNNNNNNNNNNNNNNNNNNNNNNNNNNNNNNNNNNNNNNNNNNNNNNNNNNNNNNNNNNNNNNNNNNNNNNNNNNNNNNNNNNNNNNNNNNNNNNNNNNNNNNNNNNNNNNNNNNNNNNNNNNNNNNNNNNNNNNNNNNNNNNNNNNNNNNNNNNNNNNNNNNNNNNNNNNNNNNNNNNNNNNNNNNNNNNNNNNNNNNNNNNNNNNNNNNNNNNNNNNNNNNNNNNNNNNNNNNNNNNNNNNNNNNNNNNNNNNNNNNNNNNNNNNNNNNNNNNNNNNNNNNNNNNNNNNNNNNNNNNNNNNNNNNNNNNNNNNNNNNNNNNNNNNNNNNNNNNNNNNNNNNNNNNNNNNNNNNNNNNNNNNNNNNNNNNNNNNNNNNNNNNNNNNNNNNNNNNNNNNNNNNNNNNNNNNNNNNNNNNNNNNNNNNNNNNNNNNNNNNNNNNNNNNNNNNNNNNNNNNNNNNNNNNNNNNNNNNNNNNNNNNNNNNNNNNNNNNNNNNNNNNNNNNNNNNNNNNNNNNNNNNNNNNNNNNNNNNNNNNNNNNNNNNNNNNNNNNNNNNNNNNNNNNNNNNNNNNNNNNNNNNNNNNNNNNNNNNNNNNNNNNNNNNNNNNNNNNNNNNNNNNNNNNNNNNNNNNNNNNNNNNNNNNNNNNNNNNNNNNNNNNNNNNNNNNNNNNNNNNNNNNNNNNNNNNNNNNNNNNNNNNNNNNNNNNNNNNNNNNNNNNNNNNNNNNNNNNNNNNNNNNNNNNNNNNNNNNNNNNNNNNNNNNNNNNNNNNNNNNNNNNNNNNNNNNNNNNNNNNNNNNNNNNNNNNNNNNNNNNNNNNNNNNNNNNNNNNNNNNNNNNNNNNNNNNNNNNNNNNNNNNNNNNNNNNNNNNNNNNNNNNNNNNNNNNNNNNNNNNNNNNNNNNNNNNNNNNNNNNNACUAACGCUCAACUCUGAUAUCGUCUCUUCUCGUAUCGGUUUCCCAAAACCGAUCAUCGUAACUCACGAGACCCGAAAUUCACACCGGACCGCGGUACCCACUAAAGUGUCCCGUAACGUCACGACUCGUGCCUAGAGUCCAGUCCGCUGCCCAAAGCAUUCAAUUUAGGAUGCCUGGCAGCAAACACAGAGGUAAACAACAAUACGAUCAUUCGCCGGAUUAAUCGUAACGAUCCAGAUUCCCGGAAGUGUCUAUUUCGACACCGGAACCGACCGUCGCUGCACCUAUUCAUCAUCGAACCCAGCACAAAAGAUGAUGUCGACCAGCCAACAAGGCUCCAGCGACAAAACACACAAGCCCAAACAUCCGUGAUGAAGAAUUCCGAACCGAACCGUCCGUUCGCGCAAUUUCGUCGAAAGAACGCACACGAAUCGACCUACCCGAUUUCCGCGAAAGCUAACUGGACCAUGACAUUCAGUCCAGCGAUCAUAACAACCCCCACAACUCACCCACAUAGCCACGCAAAACAGAAUUGACAUAAAGACAUCUCUAAUUACAUAAAUAUCAUCAUUUCUAUGUAUUUGGCGAUCUAAGUGGCUCGCUUCACUACGCAACCGAGGAACUUUCCGAAUCCGCAGGAGCACGGUAUGACAUCCGAGUACAGUGAGUCCGUGCCUCACGAUUUCCGGAGCACAGCGGCUCGGCUGUGGAGCGCGGGACACUCGAAGGUUCAGCGAAUUAGCGCGCGUCAGGGAAAUCGCGCCGUAUCAGAAUACCGGACACCUCUGUCCAUAGGAAAUGGUGACAAUUGUGAUCGGCACUGACAGCACGAACACCGUGGCCUCACUCCGGAGGCAUCAGGACAGCCUCGAUCGUGAUCAACGUGCGCAGGAAGCCAAACAGGCAGCCAAAAAGGCUGAACGGACGACAUCGCCAAAACAUGGCGAAACGGGCCUAUCCGACAGAAACCAAGGUGAGCACGAUGAUCUUCAACCUUCCACGGAUCAUCGUGCUCACUUCCGUGGAGAUCGGGGAAACUCGGGAAGCCAGAACAGUAGGCCAUCCCACAAAAGCCAUUUCGGGUGCCGAGCAAGUUGCUCCGGCCAGGUCCGCGCCGGCGCGCGGCUGGGGGGGCGGAGGCCAGGAUGGGUGCGGGGCGAGGAAGGAGUAGGUACUUCACCUCAGACAGGCGCUGACAGCGCGGCGGCGACGGCGGGCAAGAUGAGCCGCGGCACGGGCUAGGGCACGGGUUCCAGGAGUUGCUGGGCACGGGCGGACGGCAUGGGAGCUCCGGGACGGCGGAGGCGGGCUGCAGGAGGUCGGGAGGGCCGCACAGGUGGCUCAGGGUGCGGCGGCAGCGAGAAAGGAGCCGCACACAGCUCGGCUCGGCUCGGGUUGGCCGCUGUCACGCCGACCGGCGGCGGGCGGCGGCGCGCUGGGGCGGCGGCGACCGGCGGGAAGGGGCCCGAGCACAGAGGGGUGUCGCUGGGAGGAGUUUCCAGCGGUGGCGGCGGCACAGGCACUGUUCGGCAACCCAAGCUCGCUUGCAGCUCGCCUGGGCCGGCAUCCUGCCGGCUUGGUACGGAUUGUUGCGCGGCGGCAGGCGCGGUCGGCGGUCGCGCGGGAUGCUUCGCCGAGCAGCGGGGCGACACCGAGGGAGGUCGAGAAGUGCGGAAUCUCGGUCUCCUCACAAUGCAAGAGAGGUAGAGAGGGAGAAAGCAAAGAGAGGGAAGAAGAUGGGUAAGGCUCGGACGGCGCGGGCUCAGCCGGCGCGCGGCCGGGGUGGCAGCAGCGGCAGGAGAAGGGUGCAAGGUGGCUGGGGCGACUAGGAGCUGGGCCGGCUAGGGAUUAGGGGUAGGGGAUCAUAAACCCUAGAACUGAUAAAUCCAAGGUGUAACUUUGCAAAAAGGUCCACCAAACCAGAAUUUCAAUCGAGAUCCUCGACAGUAGCGACAAAACGCAUGAAGUCCCUCCACGUGCGAUCCCCUCGAAAGAUACAUAAAAUAUCGCGACAUUCGCGAAAAUACGCGUUUUGCUAACUACCGGACCUCUCCCUCGAUCAACGCGGCGAUCUCAGCGCAGAUCGCUCGUCAGAUUUGCAAACGGAUUUGAAUCCAGUGCGAUCAGCACGACGGAGACAACAAAGCUGCGGAUUUCGUUUCGUCUUGUUCGAUCCAGCCGGAUUCACAGAAAAAUCCAACCUUCUUCGAUAGAAGUAAACCACAUGUAAAUACAUAUAAAACAUGUAUUUUUGGAUUUUCUCGAAAUCCGUGCGUCAAACUCAAAAUCCGUCAGCGUCAGUAGUUCUAGAACAGCUGAACCGGUCGAAACGAGCUAUUGGACUGCUAUGAACAGAGUCCGGUACGAGCCAGAAGCCAACUUCUCACCACGGCUUCUCCGGAAAAUCGAGUUACUAUUCACCUUAAGUGAAACUUGAAAAUCGCGUAGAAUUUCCGUUUUAACUCGUUUUCGCCCGAAACUUGAUGAGUGCUUUUGUAAUUAAAUUACACACAAAAACAUCGUCAACUGAGAGUUUAACUACACUGCAAAAAUCUCAGUCCUUACAAGAGAGGCCUUCUUUAGAGUUGCCAAUUUAUGUAUUUUUAUACUUUAUUUUAUAGAUUUGAAAAAAAUGUUGAGGACCAAAACAAAAAUGGUACAAAAUUGGAGACCAAUGGUGCAAUUAAUCAUAUAUGUGGACCCACAUCUCUCCAAAAUAAGGAGAGGCCUAUUUAGGGUUGCCAAUUCAUAUAUUUUAUAGAUAGAUAGAUAGAUUAUUGAUUUAUAGAUUAUAGAUUUUUAUAUUUUAUUUUAUAGAUUUGAAAAAGAAAUGUUGGGGACCAAAAUAAAAAAGUGCAAAGUUGGAGACCAAUGGUGUAAUUAAUAAUGUAUGUGGGCCCAUAUCUUCCCAAAAUAAGGAGAUGCCUAUUUUAGGAUUGCCGUUUCAUGUAUUUUUAUUAUAGAUUAUAGAUAUAAGGCGUGUUUGGUUCGCUUAUUUCUCACCCUGGAAUCGGAAUCGGAAUGAAUAAAUCUGUUUGUGGGUGUUUGACACGCGGGAGUUCCAUUCCGAUUCCGAUUCCCGAGUGGGAUGGGAAUCCUCCAAUCACCUCUUUUUUCAAUCCGGCCUAGGAGGCCGGAUUGAAGGUUGAAUCCGGACGGAAUGGAUAUUUAUUCGGAUUAAAUUUAUUUUUUCAACUUUUUUUAAUUAAAAUAUGAGUUAAAAUUUAAAAAUUAAAUAUAUAAUUUUAAAUUUUAAUUUAAACUUAAAUUAAAAAUUAAAAUUUAAUCAAGUAUUUCGAAUCUAACUUAUGAAUUUGAAUUUAAAUUAAAUUUUAAUUUAUAUAAANAAAUUAAAAUUUAAUCAAGUAUUUCGAAUCUAACUUAUGAAUUUGAAUUUAAAUUAAAUUUUAAUUUACAUAAAAUGUUAUUCAAAUUUUCUUUCAAACUUAAAUCAAAUUUAUGGAUUUGACAUUAUUUCAAAAUUUUGAUGUAAAGUUUUAAUAUUUUAAUUUUUAAUUUGAAUUUAAAUUAAUAUAUUAUAAAGAUAAUGUUAGUAUAUUAAUUUGAUUACAUUUUUUAUAUCCACCUGAACCAAACACCGACAAUGGGAAUGAUUUAUUUCGAUUCCGAUUCAGGUGAUGAACCAAACAGAAUUAGGUAAUGAGUCAUUCCGAUUCCGAUUCCAGCUUAUUUUGAUUCCGAUUCCGAUUCCGACUUCGAACUAAACACGCCCAUAGAUUCUAGAUAUAUGACUACUCCAAAAUCCUGGGUCUCACAUUCUUUCUUUGCCGCCCCACUCCCUACCCCCCAGGCUCUAGUUCCUUUGCUAGGCUUAGGUAAACGUGGUUUGAACCCAACAAUUUAUUAUUGCUAGUGGGUCAAAUUGUUACAUUUGGUAUCAAAACACACCCUUUUAAGCCUUGACGUCCUUGUCAGGUGUAGGCACACAUGUUUUGGAUCCAACGAAUUAGUAUUGCUAGUAGGUCAGAUCAUUACAUGUAGCAUCAGAACUUAGUACCAAUAAAAAAUGUGAGAGCUAAACGCUACGCAAGACAAAAUGUUAUACCACGAGUUUGAUGGAAACCACCUCUUGAACGCACGAGCCACCUCUAAAACCUCAUAUCGUCUGAUAGUUCUAAUCUAUAUGUUUGUGGUUGGGCGUCACACCAUAAUAAUAAUAACUAGGCUCAAGUAUUUUAAACAGGUGAUUUAGAUCCAAUGAGUAAUUAUUAUUAACGAGUCGGAUCGUUACAAAGCCUACAAUUAGAAUAAUUUUUUUUUUGAAUAAUUUGUUAAUGUAUUCUUCACCUAAGCCAGAGUCUUUGUUAAAGCCGAACUCUACCAGAAAAGAUAACAUGUGUAAAAUAAGUGCAAGAAUAAGCAUCAAUAUCUGAACUGAAUUUCAAUUAGUAAAAGCAUAUACAUCAUUACCAAAGAAAAAUGAUGUUUAAAUAAGCAUAAGCAUAAAAUGGAUUUAUUCCGACAGAGUACUCUUUAUUGAUGCUUUAUUGAUGCUUCAAGUAGCUUGUACAUUUCUCAUAAAUUUCCUGGAAGAUAACAAACAUCUCAUGUUGAACCCUCCGACGAUCUUAUUACUUAAUGAGGUGAAUAAAGAACACCUCAUCUUCUGAACUAACUAGGAAGGAGCCACUUUCAAUGGCAAUGUUAUUAUAACUGCUAUACACUAGGCAUCCUUCACCAUCUCUAGAAAAAAGAAUAAAUUCAAUUGAAAAUCAGUAACCAAAAUUGAGACCUAAUUGCUUGGUUCUGCAAUCAGGAGAAAACUGAAAUAAGAAUAAAUUGAAUGUCCAAGAAGAGGAAAAGUGGGCCUUUACAACAGAAGCCCGAAUCGAUGUCCUCUUCACAAUUACAUUAUGAGACACCUGGAUAAUGAAAUCUGUGAGAUAAGAUAAGAGAAAAUAUUAGAGAAGAAUAGAAACAAGGAUAAGACAUUGCAAACGAACAAUAAACCUGUCAUCUUCCUUUGCCAAUGAUCUUCUUUAAGUAUAUGAAGUGAAAAGCAGUUGAAGUUAAAACAAAUGAACUGCCAUUUUAAGCUUGUUUUGCUUCCACUUUGGUAGCUUGUAGAAGGCUGCCUUCGGCAUAUUAAACUUCUCUUUGAACUCUUCUGAAGAUAAAUAAGCCUGAAGUGGAAAGCGAGAGUAAGAAUCUGAGAGAUCAAAAGGAUAUUACAACAAGUAGGCUACUUAUUUACCUCUCGUUUAGUUAUAUCGAUCUCUGAAACAGGAUCGGUCGAUGAGGUCUUUAGACGCUCAUAAGGAAAUAUUGGAAGGCCUUCAUCAAUGUCUGCUUCAUUUUCCUUUGCAUCUUCCUCUAUGGUGAGAUCACUAACUCCACUAUUCAUUGUGGUCUCUGGGUUUGAGAAAUAUAUAAGCAAAGAUUCGGGAUUUCCAUAAAUCCUUGUAAGUUUUAACAUAUAUGUUUCCCUGCAUAAUUAUCUAUUUACAUAUCUACUUCUGCAAAAUCUGAGGUUUUUUUCAAUGUAUGCCCUUCUAAGACUUAAUUACUUACACGUACACCUUUGUAAUCGUAAAAACAAAUCAUCCCCUCUUUUCUAGAACAAGACCAACUUGUCCCCUUGAAAUAGGGCACAUUUGUUAAGUACACUCAUAGAGAGAGAAAGUGGCCAUGCAACUAUUGAUAGGAUAUGGAUGGUAAUACCAUGGAAGCUCCUUCAUGUUAUGAUUGGAUGGUCUCAAUAUUGAGAGCAGAGAUAGUUGGUCGAAGGCUUUUGUUAGUUUAACACUGUACACUAGUCCAAAUUAGUUUAAACUCUGCUCAAUAAUUGUUUUCAGAUGUCUUGCUCAAGAACAAUAGCUGAUGAAUCCGUUACAAAAUUUAAGAACCUCUCUCAGUUUGCAUUAUUCAUUUUUGUCUGAACUCAACACAUAGUUAGACGAGCUCCAAUGAUUGUCAAACUUUUCAAAGAUCGAAAAUAGUUUAGAUCAUGUGUAACAGUAUGGAUCUUCAAUACAAAAGUCCUAUUUAAUUUUGACUUAACAUAAUAUAACCAUCCAAAUACUCACUACCUCUUCCUCUCCCUCCCUAAAUAUAUGAUUUUGCAUGGAUCAUGCAUGUAAAAGCCCUUAAAUAUUAGAAGAUUAGAGUCAAGUACCUUUGGAUGAUUUUGGUGCAACACUUUCUCUUGGAGGUUCAAAAGUAGCAGUCAGAGCUGCAAUUGCUGCUGAUCGCGAAGCAAGCUUCUCUGAGUCUGGAGCCACAACUUUCGGGUGAAGCUUGUUUACAGCUGGAGGUGGGGUUGAGAGAUUCCUGGGAUUAGGGUUCUCAAAUGUAGCGGCUAGGGCAUUAAAUGCAGGGGAUCUCCCCCUUAGACGAAGUCUGUCGGGACUGAAUGACAUGCUUCUCGAGCGCUGAGAUUUGUCGGGUAUGCUGGAUCUACUACUUCCAUGUGUAGGUAUCCGCCUCUUAGGUUUCUGAGAAAUUCAAUCUAACUUAUAGCAGUUCUCAAAAUACCAUUACGAAGCAAAAUAGAAAGAAGUAAUAAAGAAAGAAGAUGGUGCAGAAAAAAGAUAGUACAAUAAAUACUUACAAACUAUCGGUUAUUUUAUCAGAAUAUGCUUGUAACAAUCUUUCGAUGAGUCGCAUAAUUCAACUUACAAACCAAAGAAUGCUGCAGCAUAAUUCAACUUACAAGACAAAAAGUGCUGCAUACUGAUGGAGAGAGUCGUGCUGACAGACUGAGAAAGAAUAAACUUUGGAGUUCAAGAUUGAGAUGUGCACUACUUUUAAUACUUAAUGGACAUUGCUUCCUAUUUUCAAAUUCAAAUAAGUCGGUCGUUUUCUUUUUUUACAAGUGCACAUAACUCUGUCGUUUUAAUUUCAUUAAAGAUAGUAUGAGACCUGGAUAUUAAUUUUAUAAUAUUUGUGAAGCAUAUUUAUCUUCUGAAAAUUGUAGUUUAUUCGUGAAUUGUCAGUUAAUGAAAAUGGAAUGGACUUGAGGCUUGCUACUCAUCUCUAAUGAUGGCUGCUGCUUGCAUUUUGGUUCCUUAGGAAUUAGAAUGAAUGGUCCAAAUUGAAAAAGCAAUGAGCCAACCAUAAAUAUAAUUGAAAUUGAUAUAAUAAUAAAUUAGUCUCAAUGCCUCAACUUACCAUUUAAUUUGUAUUUUUAAUUGCCCAACAGUUUUGUUGCAAGCUGCAGCUAGAAGAGAAUUCCUCAAAUUGGACUUCUGCUUUUGGAGUUGGAAGUCCUCUUCAGAUUCUCACCACAGCCAAAGAUUCAAAUUUAAGAAUUUUCGAAAGCUUCAUUUGUGCUUCUCUAAAUAGAGAAGCUAGUGUCCGACAAGUACUUAGAUAUAUACAAAUGAAGCAGUGCAUCUUCUUGACAACAAGAGAAAAAAGAAACUAAUACAAUCUAACGAAGAAGAUUUAGAAUCAUCUUCAAUAUAAAGCAGUAAAAGGAAUCUCAGGACUCUCAAUAGUCCACAAGUUAAUCAACUCAAAUGGCUUAUAAUCGCAUAAAUCAAAAAAAUUCGAAUAACUCGGAGUGAUGGUCUGAAGCUAGAAAACAAAUCAGCAUGAGAUUAAACUGAUGAAUCAUGUUGCUGGAAUGUUCUUUCAUUAGAUUUUUCAAAUAUAAAUAUCGACUCACAAUGUUAUAAGUAUGCUUUUCAUUAUUUCAUAGAAGAAGAUAAUAAAUUGAAUCAGGUACUCUCUUAUAAUCUCUCUCUUUCUCUAGUUCAGUUGAGAUCCAGGAAUCUAACUUGUAAAAUGUGUUUAACUGUUGAAAAUUUAGCAGUUUUUUUUUUCUGAGUUGCAUAUCUUCAUUUCCACUUCAGGAAAAAAAAGUUGCACUUGAUAAAUUGCUGCAGUACUUAUAUGUCUUCUCCUUCAACUUCCUUAUGUUAUGAGAAGAUGUCUAAGUAGCUAACUUCCUUUGUGAGUUGGUAUGUUUAAAAAUGCAAGGCUUAGGCCUCAUGUUAGCAUCGUUGUUGUUAUUGUUUUUUAUAAAUGCUAAUAUUAUAUAAUUUAAUAUAUUGGCGAAAGGACUUUCCUCUUGUUGUCAAGAUUGAGUAACUUACAUGACACUCUAGCCAAGUGAUGGCUAACAACUUAUUUAGAAACAUUGGAGGAAAAAAGAACAAGGUGCUUCAAAUUUUUAUUUUUUGUUGUCAAAUAAAUCAUUUGGGUGUAAUGAUUGCAAGCAAUCCAUUGUCCCAUUUGGGUGUAAGAAGCAAUAUAUGCAGAAUGUGGGAAGAGAAAAGGAGAUGAAGAAAAGUCGAAGGUGCAAGAACAGAUACGAUGCUUUUUGGAUGGAGAACAAUACACAAAAGAAAGUUAAAUGCAGGGAAGAUUAAUAAUUGUUCCCAGUUAAUUGUGACUUGACACGCAACAUUCCUUGUUGUUAUAAUUGGCUAAUAUAAAAGCAUGAUAAAUUGGAACAAGAAGAGGAACAACACAAUUUGACCAAGAAUCUGCUAGCUUCAGUAAUAUGGCAAUACUUAGAACUAACCUCAACAGUUGGAGUGACUCCAUUUUUAAUAAGGGCAAGCUUCCUUUGGUAUGAAUUACCAUGCAUCUGCAUCGAAAAAUACAAAUGGGAACUUCAGAGCAAGGAAAAUAGUUAUUGCACUUUAGGUCAAACAUUUGGACUUCCAAAUAAGUUCAAAUCAGAUUCUAUUGGACAUUCGAACCAAAGAUUUAAGUGCCAGUUGGCAAAGGCGUUGUCCAUGGUGCCAUACUAUGCCGACAGGAUGGAUCAUUGUUUACUCAUUAUAAGCAUCAUGCAUGCAUUUGGAUUGAAAGUUUCAAUUAAAUUAAGAGAUAAUUUGGGGUAAUUUGGUUUCCCGUAAAUUUUAAUCCUUAAUCUUUUGUAAUCUAGUGACAGUUUGAAAAAUCCUGUUGAAUUUGGCAACUUCAUUAGUAGAGUGCAAAAGAUAAUUGAUAGAAACAUAUUUAAGAACAAAUAGGAUAUAUUGCUACAAAAAAUCAAAAUAUUCUAUGCAAAAGUUUGUUGCACAUGGAAUUGUAUGCCAUAGCCCAAACGCGUGCCAACUCGUGCCAACAAGUUCUUGUCAUGUCCCCAUUCCUGGGUACUUAGAACCUUGGCUGGAAAUUGGAACAACUGCUUUUUAUACCGAAAGCAAUUGAAUAUGCAAAGCACAUUUCAUAUUCAAGGAACAUCAAAAAGGAAUUGAAGCACACAAACUUCGCACCAAAAAUACCAUAUGAUUCUUGUGAUAACACGAAAUUAAAGAAAUGUUACUUCAUAUAACUUACAGACGAUUUUGCGGAGUCCCAAGUGAAGAAACGUGUAAAAAAUGGGGGUUCAAAUCCUUCCAUUACAAUGAAUAUUGGAGUUUCUGGAGAUAGUUUCUCGUGAAGAAAAUCAUGUUCAAUGAAUGCCUGGAAAGAACAAAAACCAAGCAAAAAAAGUCAAAUUAGAAGUGUUAGUUUAUACAAGCAAACAAGAAAGAAAAGAAGCGACUUUUGCUAUACCUCUGAUAUUUUAAGUGCUUGACGUUUUCUAUUCACGUCAACCUGCUGUCCAACCCAAACAAAAAUGGCUGAAUGACAAUCCAGAAUGAAUAUAUCUUCUGUCAUUAAGUCAUCUUGGGUGAAAUUGAAUAUCUCUUUGACCUAGAAAUUUAUGUGUUUGGAAUUAAAAUGUUUAUAAUUAGCAAAAACAAAAAAGAAACAUCAGCCAAUAUGUAGUUAAUUCUUAUAAAGAAGAUUAAACACUGUUUGAAGUUUGGCAUUACCUUUAGAUUGCCUGCGUUAAAAAAAAGGAAGAAAAGGAAGAAAAACAAAAAGAAUGCAUUAGUGCAUAUACAUAACUAUAUGCUAACAAUUUAGAGAAAAAGACAGAUAUUGGAAUCUUUACCAUUUGGGAAGUCACAAGAGAGCAAAUGAGGAUCGCCCUCCAGAUCUUUUUCAAUCUUUUGAUUGGUGUAUUCACUUUUGCCACCAAGUAAAUCCCAGAAAUGUUCAGUUUCUGCCCCUUCUUUUUGCACUUUUGGCUGAAUAUUUGGCUGUGAAAUCCAAAAAGGCUACAGGAAAUGAUUAAUCAAGAAAUGCAACAUAUCAUGUAGUGCUUCAGUGAGGCUCAUCACGCACAAAAAAAAAGAGAAAACACUAAAAUGCCGAAAAUUAUUGAUCCAUCCCGUAAAGAACAACUUUAAGCGAAAAAGCCAGUAAAUACUCUUAAAGUAUCAUAAAAUUGUUUAAUCACAUACAAGGUAAGUCUGUUUUAAACCAAAAGUCGCAUAAGAUAGAUAAAGGUAAUAUUGCAUGGGAAUUUGAUAGAUUCACGUUUGUUAGCUUAGUACAAGACAUUAUUUACAAUUUACUAGCUAGAAGGAAGAAUGUGCAAUUGAAACACUAGUCCAAAGUUAUAUGAACAGUAAAGUAAACCCAACUAUCUUUGUUGAACAGCUUCAUUUGGUUCGGGGUUAAGUAAGAACUAGUUAUUUAGGGAUAGGCAUAAGUUCAGGGUCAAGUCUGGAAUAGACUAAUUUUGCGUUUGGAUGAAAACUGAGUUGUUCCCGGGAAUAAGAAAAAUGGUGUUUGGAUAGAUAAGAUAGAAUAAGAUGAAUAGUGGGUAGUUAUAAAUAGAAAAAAUAAUAAUAUUGCCCCUUAUAUUUGAAUUUAAAUUUUUAAAUUUUAUAUUUAAAAUUUUAAAUUUAAAUAUAUAACUUUAAACAUUGAAAAAUUCAAAAUAAAAUUUAAAUUUUUAAAUUUUAAAUCUCAAAUUAAAAAAUUUAAGUCCUAAAUUUUAAAUUUAAGAUUAAUUUAAAAUUUAAAAAAUUAAAAAUAAUAAUUUAAAAUUAAAAAUUAUAAAUAUCAAUUUUAAGCUUACAAAUUUUUAAAUUUUAAAAAUUUUAAUUUAAAAUUUUAAUUUAAAAAUUAAAUUUAAAAUUUAAAAUUUAAAUUAUAAAUUUAAAUUUAAAAUUUAAAUUGGGAUGGGAUUAGUUAAUCCCACCCCAAUUCUAUGGGGGGGUGGGGUUUGUUAACCCUACCCCGAAAGGGUUAUUCGGAAACCCUUUUGGGGUGGGGUUAACAAAUCACGCUCCAACAAAAAAGUGUUUGGGGAUAAGGGGAGGGAUAACCCUUUAUUCCCCCCCCUUUAACCCCGAAUCAAAUGGCCGCUCAAAAGAAUAAUGUUUACCCUCAAAACAUUCUAUAGUCCAUGUACUAUCAGAUGUCAAGUAUACUACCAAAUUACAAUUUAAUAUUUCUUUGUAUAUUUUACAUAGUAAUCGAGCCACCUGAAGAUUUCUUUAACUUGAUUACUGUGAUCUAUAGAUCGUGAGUUGUUCUUUAUCACGCAAUUGAAGUUACACUAAUAGUAAAAAUGAGCAACGCGGGCUGAAUGUUUUGGAAAUUUCUAGCAGCCCCGUCAUCUUUCUUCACCUUCACUUUUAGUUAUUAUUUUUGAAUGAUACAUUAACUAACAAUGGUAAUUAACUAACAAUGGAAGGCAAAGAGAAAGAAGAGAUUGAUAAAAUUGGCAAAAAAAUUAAAAAUAGUCUGCGGUCAUUACAAAUGAACGAGAAAAAAGAAAUGUGAAAUAAGCAAUGUUAAUUUUCAUCAGCAACACAAGAAACUCUAUUAUACACUCAUUACGUGCCUGCAAAAUAAAUUAUUUGCAUGUACAUAUAGUAUCAAGUUCAAAUGUUCAUUAUACUAUUUUAAUUGAAGUAGAUAUUACCUUCAAUCAUGACAUAAUCUGAAAUAACAUACUCAGAAUUAAAAAACACACACCUUAAUGUGAUCAAGUUGUCUCUCCACAAGCUCUUGAUUCUCUGGGCUAGUCUGGCUUCCAUACCAAGUAAAAACAGUAUCGCCAUUAUGCAAUAUAUAACAAUAGGAUGAGUUCAACGACAAACCAACCUGAUGAAAAUAAAACUUAUGAUCAGUAAUGACAGUCCACCGGAACGAAGUGUUGUUACAGUCUUUCUAAACUAGUUAUUGUAAAAAGGAAAUUUAAAAAUACUUUGUCCAAGUUAGCUAGCUAGCUAUGAUGUGUGAGAAGACAACUUGGAAGUAAGCAAUAAGCCACACAAAGCAACAUGCAUAGCAUAAAGCCAUAAAGCAUAUAAUUGUUGUAUUUACACCACUGCAAAAUUAGCUAUUUACAUAUAUAUUCCAACUAAGUCUUGAUCCUCAUAAAUGCCCAUCAAAACUUAUUUCUUUGCUAGUAUACAAUAGUACUAACAGAAGAGCCAGUCUCAAGGGAUAUGUGUGAAAAUAAAGAUAUUCCAGGGUAUACGUGCAAAUAGAUGAUUUCAAGGAAUAUUCUAGGAAUAUGUACAAGGGGCUUUACAAGAUGAACCAAAGAGCAUCACGCUGAUUCAGGUAAGACAUACAGGUUCUACUUGAAUCGCUUGCAUAUUGUCUGGUCCAGAGCCUUGGACUUUGAAAAGUGCAAGCCCAUCUUCUGCAUAUGUCUCAUCAACAAUUUCAUUUUCAGUUAUGAAGUUCUUAUAUCCAGAGCUAAUACCACCCUGCGAAAAUUCAAAUUGCAAACUAAAUCCUUACAAAAAAAAAAAAAAAUCAAUCACAAAAUAAAAGCACCAUAUCAUUUGAUACUAACCUUGUACACAAUAAAGCUCUGAAAGAUUGAAAAAAACUGGAUAGUCUCCUUUCCUUCAUAUAAGCGAGUCUGUGUUUAUACCAUAGAGCAUUGUAAUUCUUGCUAUUUAUGAAGGACAAUAAUGCAAAAAAGUAAACUAAAUAUCUUGGCAAGUUCCUAAGAAAUACCCAGCUUCUUGGCCUAUGAAUAACUACCUGAACAGCCUGCGACUUCAUAGACUCGACCAACUUGUUGGCAAGUAAUGUUGCUUGAACCUUAUCUUCCUGUGUCCAAAUUUAGAUGAGUUAUUUAUACAUCAGUAAUGCAAAGCACUCAAAGAAAAACAUUAGCACAUUCAUUGUCGAUCAUAAAUCUAGUAUGCUUUUUGAAUUUUAGACAUGUAAGACGAAAAAUUGGAAGAGAUAAACUGAAUAGGGAUAGAAAAUAUGUUUCAAUAAUCAAAAUGCCUCUCUCAGCCACUCCAAACCAUGACAGAUUGUGCAGGCACAAUCAUAUGACUUGAUGAGUUCCAACUCAUCAAAAUACGUGUCCGCAACAGGUAAUCUAAAUUCCAUGCUAAUAUCUCUAAAGAGGUUCUAUCUCCAGUUAUUCUCCUUACUGUUAAAUAGGUACUUACUGCGGUAAUCUACAAUGUAAUGUCUCUAAACAAAUAAAGCUUCUUUGUCAAAUAAUCUCUUAUAGAGAAGAAAGAACACCACAUUGAGGCAACUAACAAUGCCAUAACAGACCAUGCUCACUUGUUCUACCCUCCAGAAAUUCAUCACAAGUUAUAGUUUUAUCUAUUCAUAUUUAGUUCUAUUUAUGUCCAUUUUAUGCUAGUGAAGUUUUAUAUACCAUCGCAAAAGGAAAAAUUAAUACAGAACUUCCACAAAGGCCUUCAUCAAUCAGUUCCAAUCAGUUAAAAACAUUUCUACAAAGGACAUAUAUGAAGUUCUCUCCAUUGAGGUUGAAAGAACAUUCUGUGACUAGUUUUUAACAGGAUCAAUCUUCAAAUGACUUCUAUGGAGGAGGAAUUACUCUUAGGAAUCAGCAGAAUUGAUGAAGGAAAAGGACUCUUUUUCCUUGUCCAAAAUCUAAUCCUUUGAUCUUUUCAGUUUAUUGAAGUGGAAUAGGAGUGAACAAUAAACAGAAAUAGAGAUUAGCAUAAGAAACCAGCUGCAAAAUACAUGUAAUUAACUAAUGAUUGGACUAAACAAAUGACAGUGCAACACCAAGCCCAGUCCAAAAUUAACCUUUUACAAUUACAACCAUACAGUGAAAAUAUUGUUCUCAGAUUAAAGAUUAGAAAUGACUCAAACCACAUAAUAUAUUAGCAACUACGGUGUUCUAAGUCUAAUGUAUAAUAAUAAGCUAGAUUAAAGGUGCUUGUUUACCUCAGUGCUCUUCUUCCCAAACCAAGUGCCAACGAGGUGCUCAUCUUUGUUUUCACCAGGAUAUGUAUACUGAAAAAUAUAACAAUCACCGCUGUAGAACUUAGACUGGUCAGAUGAUGAGAGUAGAGUCUUUUGAUCACCGUCCACACGCCAAACCUAUUAUCAUCAUGAAAAGCAAAACUUAGCAUCACAAAACUCAAGUCCACUUAGCAAUCAAAAUCAAGGUAAUUCUAUUACUACAUAUAGAAACUAAAUAAUUAAAAAAAGCUAACCAACUCCUCUCCUGCCCACAAAACCCCCCAACCAAAAACCAACCAAAAAAACACACCUAACUACAGGUGAUUUGCAAAUAGGUCAUUGAACUACAUUUUUUUGGAUUCUAAACCCCCAACUGUCAUGUUGCUUGAUUUUAGUGUAACAAACUUCUUUACAAUAAUUAGAGGAUAGAAACAAUUUAGGAUGAAAAUUUUUGAAACAAAAAAUUAUAAUAAUUGGGGAUCCCAAUCCAAAAAAAAAUGGAGUUACAGGACCUAUUUCCAAAUAAUUCAUAGUUGGCAGGAGUGUGGAUACAUUUUAGUUAGAACAAAAUCUAAGGAGUAGAAAACUGUAGCUAGCAUAAAGGCUGAAUCCAUAUGAGAGCACCUGAAGAUUGCCAGUGCAAUCGAUAUAUGGCUGAGGUUCUUCUUUUAUAGGAUCCGAUUUCACAAGACCCUUCACAUUUAAUCCUUGGCGUUUCAGAAGUGCUACCAAAGUGUACAAUAAUAUUAAAAGAGAGAGAGAGAGAGAGAGAGAGAGAAAAAGAAUGCAAGCCUAUUCAAAAUAUUCAAUAGUGCAUAUAGGGCCCGUUUUGCACCCAAGAUUUGAUUAGAUAAGAUAAUAUGAGAUAGCUGUAUUGGACUAAAAGGAGAAUAUAAUAUAAAUUUUCGAAUCCGAUCCCAUUCUAUCCCAACCUCUAGGGAGGGAUUCCAUAAUCCCAGACCAAAGAUUGUUUGACCCAACUAGCUUUGACAAUUUUAACAUCUUGUAACUUUCUAUGCCUACAAGUCACCAAACCCUCUUUUUCAUGCAACGCCACUCUCUUAUCUUAUUGUAUCCGAUCCAACCUUGGGUGCCAAAAGGAAACAAUAUGUUUAAAACAAAUGAAUUUAUUCUGCAAAUACUGACCUGCCACCUUUCCUCUUCCUUCUUCUGGUGCAGUUACGCCAGCUGGUUGCGGCCAUGAAUCAAACUUAGAGCAAAACAUGACAGUCUCAGACCCUUCAGUUACUCGGAUCACAUGAGCUUUAGGUUGGUCAGUUUUGUUAAGUAAUUCCUGCUUAGAAUUGUAAUACACAUUUAAUAUUGCAUUAAGCAAAACUGCAAAAUGAAGAAAGGAAAGGAACUUCACUUCCGUAAGAAAUGUAUCAGUUAUUACUUCGGCUGCAGUGACUGCACUUUUCCUCUCCUCGAGAGAUGUACUUUUGCCCACCCACACAUAAAUUUCGAUACCACAAUCCAGCAAAUAACACUUGUUCGUCUCUAACAAUUCUCGCGUCAAGGAAUCAGAUUCCACUUGUGUCGUCUCUCCUUUGUCAACACUUAAAAACACAACAUAUUCAUAAAAAAAAUCAUCUGAAAAACUCAAAAGAAAAAUGAUGCAUUCAUGCAUUUUUGACAAUACAUACCAGAGAAGUUUUCCUGGUGAGGCCUCCUCAUUUCUAGCUUCUCCCAAAGCUGCCUUUCUUGGAAGCGGAGCAAAGCCACCAAAAAAGCCCCAAAAUUCUCCAGCCUCGACAUCAGCCAUUAACUUUCCAUCCUCUAAUAAUAAGAUAAGAGUACAAUUGAGAGUAAGUUUAACUUAAUAGAAGCUGUUGGAAUAAAAAGAAGAAACACACUCACCAACCGCUGCAACCUCACAUUUCCCAUCAUGAUAUGCAUCUUUAAUAUACUGGACAACUUCGAGGGCUUUUGCUCGCUCUUGAAUAGAAGAGUUGGAUCCGUUAAAUUGAAAAAUCUUAGACUUGGUAUCCAGUAUGAAUAUGUCAUCAUGGUUAAGCGAUGACCGUGCAAAUGGAACCUAAAGAUAUUGCAAGAUUAAGAAAAUCAUAAUCAAAUUCUGCCUGAGAAACAUUUUUAGGAUUACCUAAAGAUUAAGUCCUCAAAGUUUGACCCUAGUUUUAGUCUCAUCCUCAAAGGUUCGAUUGGAACAAUGGUCCCUAAAAUUUGCCCCUCAUCACAAUUACGUUGACCUAUUAAUCAGCUAUCUUAAGGAAGAUGCAGCAUCAGUCUCAUUACUGGACUAAAAAGGUUUGCCAGUUACAAAGAUCAGUUUAAAUGACUAAAUUGUUACAAUUGAAACUCUCAGGAUGAAACCAAAAUUGAUAUCAAACUUCAAGGGCUUAAUUUUCAUGUAAACUUUGUGUUUUUCCAAUAGAACUAAUUCGCAGAGAUACAAAGCACUUGCCUCUUUUACAUGGACAGCGUGUUUCCCUCUACAAACAUAUAGACGAGUCUCAUGGCUAUUCUCAUUAACUUCAACAUGGUUAAAUCCAGAAGCCAUUCCACCUUGUUGUGGAAUGAUACAAGGUUUAAAAUAAGACAAAAACUUCUCGCUCUCAUGGCCUUGAAUCUCGCGGUAUUGAACAGCACGCCCACCAAGGACAGCAUCAAGUUCCACAGUUUUGAUGGCCGCAGCACCCGCUUCAUCCUAUUUAGUUUGACACAACAGAAAGCGCAGGCUACAAAUUCUGUAUUGCUAUAAAAUGAAAUGAAUGGCAGGGCAUAGAAAGCCAACCUGACUUGUAUCUUUGCCAAGCCAAUAAUGAAUAUCGUGACGCAAAGCACCAUUCUUCGAGGCGGUUGUCUGCAUCAUUAUUGGAAAAUUUUAUCUAAUUAGAUACGAAAAAUGAUGAUUGCUGGAACUUUUCACAAAAAAGUUAACAUUCUACACUGUUGUAAAUAAGAGUAGAAGUUAAAUUUAUAGGUCACAUAUAUCUCCAUGCACGUGUAUAAACAAAAAGGAAUAUCUUGAUAACAUGCUACCAGCAUGAAAAUGAUGGUAAGAUGCUCCGGUGACACUGAAACUACAGGAUGCAUCCCAGUAAUGAACAAACUUCUCUAACAACCAGUCCUCUAAGAGAUAUCUUAUCCUCGAAUUUUGACACCUUACUACUUACUGUAAAAAGUUUAUUUUUUAUAUAAAUUGUAUUAUUUAAUGAUUUUGGUUUGCACACAGCCAUCAAUUCAGCAUUGCCUUUCCCCCAAAAUGGGAGAUAUUUCUGUCAAUUUUGCACUAAAUGACGCAUUAGAAUUAAGGAACCAAUUUGGCAGCAGAGAGGAUUCCAGACAAUAUGAUGCAUCCUAUAUCUAUGAGAUAUAAAUCCUUCUUGGUGGCAUGUUUUAGAGGAAAUUCCAGGUUAUUAAGAGGUAAAAAUAAAAUAUACAUCCUGCCCAAAUCUGUGCCAUCCGAUGCCAUGGCUCAGUCGAUGUGCCAAUUGCAUGCCACUAGCACAACGUUUUUGUCCCAAUAGAUCAUACCAUGGCAAUGUUGUGACACCCCCAAUAAUCUCACAUUAGAUAGGAAAGGAUUAUGAUUGGAAAUAUAAAAACCAAAGAGUCUAAUACUGACAACUAGGCUUAAGCAUUUUCUGCCGGCGGUUUGGGCCUAACAAGUUAUUAGUGGUAGUAAGCUGCGUCGUUAUCUGUAGUAUCCCUAGUGUUUGGUUGCCCGUGAGAUUUCAGCAUCUGAGGCUUGUUGACACAUCUGGAGAGUGCCGGGAUAAGUCGGAGUCGUUUUGGCGCGAAAUGGACGCAAAACGGGAUCGACACGAGGCGAGAGUGGAGUUCUGACACUGAAAUUCGCAAAGUGCAGGAUUUCAGUGUUGAGUACCGGUACGGUAUCGGGCUGGUACCGGUACUCCAGUGUAUUUCCAGAACAGAAUGCUCUCGGGUUGCGCCAAUUGAUGCUGAGUACCAGUACGGCAUCGGACUGGUACCGAUACCCUAUGUGCGAGUUUGCGGGCUGAGGUCGAGUACCGAUAACCAAAUUGGAUACCGGUACUCCAGCUGUAAUUUUGAGUUGGUGAGGGGCCUUUUGGUCAUUUGAAGUGGCGUUAUUAUCAACCUUAUCCCCACCUCUUUAUAUAUGUGUAGAGAGACAGAGGAGGAGGUUUUGGAUUGUUGCUCUCUCUCUCUCUAGUUCUUUAUCGUAUUCGAGGUGGAGGUCGCGACUCGAGCUCGGGAGUUUAUCGCCGUUGAGCCGAAGGGUCAUUCGAGCGUGUGGGCGGCACGGUUGCGCUGUUGGAGGCCAGGCGAGCGUGUGGUUUCCUCUCCUUUUGACCUCUCACCGUGGUUGGGUGAGCUUUACGAGGUGAGUUGAAGUUUACCGAAAUCGUCGGAAUACCUCCGAAGUUCUUAUAUCGUCGACAUGUUUUGUUGGUUUCAUUUUCUUGCUAGUACUCGAAUUUAUGGAUUAGAGUUAAAAUCUGAAUUUGGAGUUAAACUAGUAGUAUAAUUUUACAUGUUGGACUUGGAAUUGACUUAGGAGAAAACAUUUAGAUCCUACACUCUCAUUUCUGAAAAUUACCAGAUUUAGCUUUAGGAGUUGUGGUUCUUUUGUAUCGUUGCUGUUAGUAUGCAAUGGAUACCCAAAUUAGUGUAGGAUGAGGUUACGCUCGUGCUGGGAUGUCGAGUUUAUUUUUAUAGUAGUGCGUAGACUGUUUCGGACUAUCGGGUGCCGUCGCGGUUGACGGUAGACCCAGAUUUCUGUAUUUGCAUCAGAUUGUGCCAAGAGCACGUGAGCUUUGGUUGUUAGACCAAUUAGACCCAUUUGCUUUGAUUAUAGUCUUUGAGAGCCUGAUUGAGCUCGGCAGAGAUAUGUUUGCAUACUCGGUUGGAUAGCGCCCACAAGUGCCACUCCGGAGUCGAGCUUUGUGCGUUCGCGUUGAUGUCGUAGUGUCCGGAUUGGACUUGCUCUCCACCAACAACCCAGCGUGGUGGUGGUUGGUGUAGCUUCGACAGGCGGGACGGGUGUGUUCACAGUCCCUAGUGAGAUUGGGUCAGAGAUUGCUUCUUUCUUAUAUCUACAGAAUAGUGGUUAGCGAUAGUAUAGUGGUAUGUAGCUGUAGAGUUUUUCCAGCUUCCUUAACUAUCCUUGUGCAUAUUUCUUUUCUGUAGUCUUUGUGGGUGAGCCGGUGAGGUCGGUAACGGUACCCACUGAGAACUAUUUAUUUUUACAAUAGUUCUCACACCCAGUUGUUAACCUCUUUUUUUGCAGAGCCUUCGUUUGCGGCUGCUGUUGUCAUCGAUUCUGAUCGUGGAAAGGGAGUCGCGAGCUAGAUCCCUUCCAGCCUUACUGCAGUACUAGAAGAGUACCUUCCACAGGUAGUUUUGGGGUUUUUGUACAUAUGGUCUUGUUGUCUGGGUACUCGCUAGAGCGAGUGAUGUAGUAGACAUUUUGUAUGUACUGGAACCCCGCGAGGUUUUAUAUAUAUGUUUUCAGUUUAGUAGCUCUUUACCUUGUGGUUGUAGCUUGGUUUUGUUUACAGGUACAGCUAUCGCUUCAUACACAGAAAAAAUUCCUAUGUAUACGGCGGGUCUGUUGGCGUGCCCGGGGAAACGUGUAAUCCGGAGCGUGACAUUAUCUUUGGUAUUAGAAUUAGUUUGCCCGCCUGUGAUCUUGAGUUAAGGGAUGGCUAGAGAAUUUAAUCUAACGAAGAGGUCAUAGUCUAAAAAAAAGGAGUUUGUGACACCCCAAUAAUUCCAUAUCGGAUAUAAGAGACUCUAAGGCCAUGUUUGGUUGGGGAUUAAGGGUGGAAUAAAGAAUUUAUUCCACCCUUAUCCCCUAAACACAAAAAAAUUUGGUGGGAACACUAAUUUCCACCUUAACGGGCUAUUCUAGUGUUCCUACCCUAAAGUGGGAACAAGCUGGGAUAACCUAGCUUGUUCCACCCGUGAAGAGAGAGAGAGAGAGAGAGAGAGAGGAUUUUUAAUUUAUCAUAAAAUUUAAAUUUUGUAAGUUAAAAAAUUAAAAUUUAUAAUUUUUAAAAUUACAAAAUUAAAAUUUUAAAUUUUAAAUUAUUUAAUUUUAAAAUUUAAAUUUUGAUAUUUUAAAUUUUUUUAUAUUUAGAAUUUGAUAUUUUGUAUUUUUAAAUUAAAAUUUCAUCUUAAAUUUAAAGUUUAAAAUUUAAAUUUUUAAUUUUUAAAAUUGUAAAUUUGAGAUUUUAAAAUUUUAAAUUUUAAAAGUUUAUAUUUUAAAUUCUAAAAUAUAAAUAUAAAAUAUAAAAAUUAAAAUUCUAAUAUAAAAAAAGGGAUAAUAUCAUUAUUUUUUUAUUUAUAACUACCCACUUUAAUUCUUAUUCCAUCUUACAUAACCAAACACUAUUUUUUUUAUUCCCAGGAAUAACUCAAUUUUCAUCCAAACGCAAAAUUGAUCUAAUCGCCGCUUAUAUCUCAAUUUAUACAUAUUCCUGGAAUAGCCACUUUUUGCUUAUCCCCGAACCAAACGAUAGGCUUAGGCAUUUUGUGCUAGUGUUUGGGCCCAACAAGUUACUUAUUAGUGUAGGCUGGGUCAUUGCAAAUGCCAAACCAAGAUGCCCUAUACCACUGGCACUAGAAUCCUUGGUACUAUAUUAAAAUUAGAAUUUUCUUUUUCUUUUUUGUCCCUUUUUUUCUUUUAGCAUUAGGGAUAAUGGCAUAAAACAAAACACACAUUUUAAACAAGUUAUAUUAUAAAAGAUUAAAUUGCAAAUACUCUAGAAAAAGGUAACUACUACUCAAGUUAGAGAAAUCAUAAGUCUUAAAUAAUUUUCCAGGAAGAUCAAAUCCACCCUUAUAACUCUCAAUUCGAACUUUAGCAUGUGUUUUCAAUAAGUGUUACUGUAGAGUAAGGAAUAGGAUUUUUACUUGAGAAAAGUUCCUUGGUUAUAGAAUAGCACCAUCGUUGAAAGUAAAACAACAUCCUUGUAGAACUUCAUAUAUAACCAUGUUAUCUGAAUUUUAGUAUACGCCCCUCAGAAGUGCAAGCUUCUUACAAGAAUACCCUCAUCUCAAAUCUCAAAGCCAUCCCAUUCAUGGGGAGAAUUGGUUUUGUAUUAGAGAAGAAGAUUCCACAAGGGAAGAUUUUGUAAGCACAAAGGGUACGUAUGUAAGAAAUUAACUUCUUGAAUUGCAUAUAAGAACAUUCAGAUCUUGCAAAAAUAUGUAUGUAGAUUGAUAGCCUUGUAGGGUUCUAUAUGUAAAUACCACGAAUUGAAACAAUGACAACAUCAUAGCAAGUAUACAAGAAUAAAAUAAAUUAACCUCUUGAAUAUAAAUAUUAUAGUUUAAUAAUAUUACCUUUAGAAUCACAUAUGAGUCUCCCAUAAAAAACUUCCCAUGAGAAGAUUUUGGGACAAGCACAGGACAAAAAUUUUCAAUUCGCCAUAUUUCCAUCCCUCUUUAUUUUGUCAAGGAAACAAAUGUAGCUCGAUAUAGAGAAAGCAACACAAACAUUAUGAUAGAGAAUCCACACUAUUUUAACAAAGAUGGUGAUAAGUGCAUUUAGCAUUGAGCUAAAUUUAUAGACGCCUACACAAAUAAUUUAAUGAAAUCUUAGUUCAAGUAAUAAAGAGCAUUAUAUAAAAUUUCAAGAUCCAUGUACAGUUGCCUCUGAUUGACAUAACAUAAGAUUGACAGCUUGUGCGGAAGAAUAAAAUUAAUGGUUCAUAUUCUAAAUCAACAUGGAAAAUUGGGUUGCACCAACUUCUAUCUACCUGUGUUAGAGUAUUUGGCCAACCUUGUCUUGCUUUUUCGUUUCUUUAUGGUGCGAGUAACUUUUCAUUUGCAUAUCUCAAUGACUUUUCAAUAAAAUUUCUCUACCUUCAAAAUGUUUGGCAAAAUUUAUGCCACAAGUAAGGUGACAACUAUAGUUUUUCCAUCUUAACUGCUGAAAGGUAAGUCUUUCACCCAUGUUCACCAACAAACGUGUACUGAAUAAUAUACAAUUUUAAUUAUGUCAAAACAAAAGUUCCUAGCAGAUCAACAGAGCUUAUAGAUAAAGAGCCAGAAGCAAAAUAUUCAACUUAUACUAUAACAUAAAAAUUGACAAAGGAAAGGAUACGCUUUCUGUCCUGCACCAUGGAAAGCAGGAUCGAGAUCCUUCAUUGACACAGCCAUCUUCCGAAACAGAAUCUGCUACGGCUUCAACUUACAAGUCGAUAAGCUCUACAAUAGGAUCACACAGUUCAUUACUCCAGAACAUUCAAAAACAUAACUGACAUUAUCACAAGGAUUGUAAAAGGAAAAAAAAGAAGAAGAAAGAAACAAAUUGGGCUGAACAAAAUGAUUGGCACAGUGCAAAAAAGUUUGUCUUUCAUGCGACAAAAAAAUGUGAAUUGUACAACAUGAAAUGCAGGAUGAUGAUCGAAAAAAGUAUCAUAGUGCAAAAGGCUCUCUCAAAUGCUGGGUUUGUGAUUUGCACAAUCAUCACUAAAUCACACAAUACAACACUCGACCGCAACUUACGGAAUGUCCUCACUACAAAUUUGUUGAUGGUAAGAAUGACACUGAUAACAAUUCCAUUGCAAUGAUACCACAAAAAAAAAAAAAAACAAAGAAAAAACUUCUUAUACAAUAAUUAGUCGAUUCCCGGUUGAAAACGAAUGUCAGGUGAAUUGCCUGAGUGCACAAUUUUAAAAUCAAUGUGCCAAUCUUACACACAAUGGCACUAUCCAACUUUAAAAAAUAAUACUAAUUAAAUAAAAAACAUAUCACAUAAAAACAUAUCACCAAAAAAAAAAAAAAAAAACAACUCCACAAAAUAUCAAUGUGGAUCUAAAGAACCCUGACCCAAUAAUUUUAGUUUCUUUUAUUAUGAAAAAUGAAGUCCGAGACUAAUGGUCGAUCAUGUAUCCCAAUAAUAACGCAUCUGAAUAAGGGCUUGGAAUGUUAUGGAUUCGAGUCCCAGAUGAGAGAGAGACUGAAAAGAUUGCAGGGGCCUAACGGGCAACUUUUUUAUUGUGAAAAUAAGCAUCUAAAAUUUUUAUUUAUAAAACUAGAUCUAAAUGGUGAAUGAUUUGCUGUUUUUAUAAAGCGGUAAUUUAUUCACCGCUUUCUACGAGCAGUAAACCAUUCACCGUAAAAGAUUUUACGUAAUUUAUAUAUUUUCCACGUCCGAACUCUAAAAUUUGUAUAUAUUAAACUGUAAAAAUAAUUUUAGUAUUUUAAGAAAAGCGGUGCACAUUUAGAAACCGAUAAUUCAUUCAACCUACAGGAAUAAUUUUGUAAAUAAUUUAUUUGCAGAACUAUUUUUAUAAUUAUAAUAUUCUUUAAGCCUAUUUAUAAAAGAAAUUCGGGUCUAACAAAACAAAUAGAUUAAAAUAAUCCCUUUUACCCAUAAAACAAAGCAAAAUUACUAUCCCCAAAAACAAAUAAUUAAAAACAAGACAUAGCGAAAGCCAUGCAAAAAACAACAAAAAGAUACAACAACUGGAGAAUAAUCUAAUGGGAGGGCUUGUACCUCUCUUCCAGCUUAGUCCCAACACAAGAACCCUAGAAUUUGGAUGGUGAACACAGGAGAAGGGACAUGAAAAAUGCCCUUAAAAUGGCCGGAAAAGAGGGAGCAAAAAAUUAAAAAAAAAAAAAAAAAAGGGGAAAGAAAACGAAAAGGAGAAACACAGAUUAAGAGAAGGGUAAAUGUCUAAAUGAGGGCCGAGAGAGCUUAUCCUUGGGGUCCAAUGGAUGGUAACUUUCACUUUUCAUUAUUUGAUGAAGCAAACAAAAGGCAAUAAAAAAUAAAAAUAAAAAAAAUAAAAUAAAAUAAAAUAAAGAAGGUCUGAAUAAUAAAUAAAAUUAAAAGUGUGUGAAAAAUGGAGGAUUAAAAUUUGAAAAUAGUGGUAAAUUCGGUUUCAUAUCAAUUGAGAACAUAUUAUUAUAUGGACCCUGUCUGCCACAUCAGCAAACAACAACCCCAUAUAUAUUAAAUUGUUGAACUCUUAUUAAUAGCACAUAAAUAGUGUCUACUAUUGAUUUUUUUUAAGUCAUUUGAUCUAUAAUAGUACCACAAUCUUUUAAUAAUAAAUCCUAUGUAUUCAAUAGCUAAAAAGAUAGUAGUAACUAUUAUUUUCUAGCCGGAUAUAAAUUAUAUGUAAAUAUAAAUGUAAAUUAUUAAAAAUGAGUCAAAAAUUUUAGAUGAUUUAUUUGCUUAUAUAUACUCUUUGAAAAUCUAUUGUCAAGGAAUUAAAUAAUGCGUUAUUGGUUCAUUGCAUGAGAAAUAGAUUUGGAAAAUUUUAGUAUAUGAACUAUUUGGUGAUUGCAAAUCGCAUGUACAGUUCAAAAUUUUGCUUAAAAAAAAUAUUUAAAAGUUUGAAUUAUGCGACGACAACGGUCCAUGAUGGACCAGGUCCAGAUAAUUAUUGGCCGCUCCGAGUGCCAUUUUCGCGGCCCACUAUGUACACGUGGAGAGAUUUGAUAGGCUAUUCCUGUGUUUGGUGUUCUGAAAAGUGGUGGGGAUGGUUGGAGGAAAGGAUCAAACUUGUGUGCGGCGGGGAGGAGGCAACGCUUUCGGUCGUGGACUGGGUGAAAUUAGCGGAUCGCGCAGAGCAGGAAACACCCGCACAAAUGACUCCCUCGUGCGACACGUGUCGUUGUUAAGUAAGUUUACUUUUCUUUGUUUGGGGAAUUUUUUAAGACCAAUUUGCAUUAAAAAAAAAAAAAUCCACAGGUUUUGAAUUUUUACAAAAACGACUCACUUUUUUAAAUUUUAAAAAUUUGAUCUGAAAUUUUAAAAAUUUGACCAAAAUAUUUUUUUUCUUUUUUUCUUUUUUUUUCUUUGGUUAAUCAUUCUUCGCCUAUUUCUUCCUCUCAUUCUCCUCAUGCUUCCUUUUAUUUCAACCUCUACUCCAUUGCCCUGACGUCGAUGCCACGCCCCUCUCUUCUAUCUCAUCCAUAUCUCCAUCAAAACUAGCUCAGAUAUGGCAUAUAUCGCAAAGAUGAGACUAUGGCGAAAGGCGUGGCCAUCGAUGGCGACAACGACAACAAUAAGGGUGCCAUAAGCUUUGAAGACGACGGGAAUGGAGAGCGCAUUGGGGUCAGCGCAGCAGCUACAGCAAAGGGUGAGGGAAAAGAUGCGAUAACAAAAAAGGAUGCAAACGGUAAAAGAAAAGGGAGAGAGAAAAAUAAAAAGAAAAAAAAAUCUCUAGAAAGGCCAUCAUAUGUCAUGUCCUCUGCAGUCUGCAAAAAAAAGUCAACAAGAAAAGAAGAAAGAAUAAGAAAAUAAUUUAGCGCUACUUUUUUUUGAGAGAAAGGUAGCAUGCUACUCGCUUCGUUUAUUUCUUUAAGAAAUAAACUUAGCUGAAAAUAUGAAUCAAUUAGGAUUCAAACUUGGAAUCUCGGGUACCAACCAUCUGUUGGCCUAGUGGCCCUAAUCUUUCAUUAGAUUUUGAUGAUAACAAAUAAUUACGAUUAUUGGACUAAUCUUUUAUCUUGAGUUUUGUGUUUUAGAUCUCUCUAUCUUCAAAAGGACUCAAGAUGGCCAAUCUUCUAGCACCAAGCUUCACCACUUGAAGCUAUGCUUGCUUCCUUUGUCAAAUAGACAAACUCACUCUCUAUAUUCUUAAUUUGAUUAAUAUCUUUAGAGUGAGAAUUUUUUAGCUAAGUUUAAUCUACUCCUCUUAUCACUUUAUAGCUCAUUUGAACAAAUCUCUAACUUGUGAUAAGGUGCAUAGGAUUUUAUUUUAUUCAAAAUCUGCUCAAAAUUAGUUUUCUGUCAAGUUACUAUUUCUGGACUCUGAUCUGGGCGUCCUAAAGUGGAUCCGAAUCUCAUGCGUUUUUGGAUCCUGCCUGUUUACUGUUCGAGUGGUCCAGAUAUUCUUUCACCUAAUGUGGGCGCCCAAAUGUCUGUUUAGGGCAACCGAAUUGUUUGACUUGAUAGGUUGCGUCUUCCGGACAGUACGACGGAUCGGCCCGAAAAGUUCUGACACUGCACGGCGCAGGCAACGCGCGUGCUGGAAAUCUGGGCGCCCACAUCUUCUGGAAGCCAAAAUGAUUCCGCUCAGAGAAUGCGGCGCACGCCGUCUGUCUUUGUCAGAAAAGUCAGCGCGCGUGUCCUAGGCGCCCACAAAUUCUGAUGGCUCGAAUGUACGAAUCCAGAAAAGUAGCGCACGACUGACAGGCAGCUGGAAGCGCAGUGCGCGUGCACAACUUCUGGGUGCCCGAAAUUAGGUUUAGGGCGCCCGAAAGUGUAACGGUCUGGAGCUGGCCGAGGCUAUAAAUAGAUGGCUUUGAGGCCUUUCUCAGCCUUUUUUAGACAGUUGAUUUGAGCUUAAAAAUUUCAGUGUUUCUAAUACUCUUAGCUUUCAAUUCUCUCUCUAAACUUAAGUGCAAUUUGUAGUGAGAUUUAAUCUUGUAAAAAGAGAGAAGAGCAAAGUCUUGGAGCUUGAAAAGAAGAAGGUGUUGGUGUGAAGGCUUGAUGCUUGCCCGCAAAAGCAUCAUCCAGUGGAGAUCCAAUGUUCUCUUGUGUUGAGGAGUUGGCGGGGACAUAGGCAAAGUGCCGAACCUCGAAACAAAUAGAUUGUGUUCGUCUUUGAGUUUGCAUUUCUCUAAACUCUUCCUUUAUUAUUUGUUUCAGGUUUUCAAAUUUCUUGAUUAUUUAGCUUUUUAUUUUAGAAACCUAAUUCACCCCCUCUUAGGUUGCCAUUUUGAUCCUCACCAUCAAACCCUUUGCCACUUGCAUUAGAGAAAGUCGAUACAAUUUAGCACUAUUGGAGACAAAAUUGCAUUGUUUGAGAAUAAGUUGUACUAUUUGAAGUUAAGUUGCACCAUCUAUAACCAUUUAUAACUAUUUUGCCGGUUUAAGAGGUUUCGCUCUAUUAUAUCUUAUAUAUAGGACUUCUAAAUUAUGGGGUCUCACAUUCUCCUCCACUUUAAGUCUUGACAUUCUUGUUAUACUCAAACUGCCAAGUACCAGGUGUGAGACUCGUCUCACUAGCCAUAAUGGCUCGGCCAAGACUCAUUCACACUUUCAGUUGGUAAUUAGCUCUGAUACCAACUAUGACAUCCAACUUUCCAGGGGGUCACCUAUCCUAUAAUUAUUCUAGCCCUAACACUCUUAACUAUCUUAACCUUUUGAGCAUAUCCAUCACCCAAAAUGUUAUAUCCAGGUUAAAAGAUUUCGAUCUAUUAUAUCUUAUACAUAAAACUAUUCCAAAUCUUGGGGUCUCAAUUUGAGACUUAAGUUUACUAUUAAAAGUUUCAACUUAGUCUCAAAUAAUUUUAAAUUGUGCAACUUAAGUCUCAAACAGUGCAAUUUCUAUUUAAUGUUGUGCAAUUUAGUUUCAAAUAAUUAUAAAUAGUGCAGCUUUAUCUCAAACAGUGCAACUUAGAUUCAAAUAGUAUAAUUUUUGCCUUAAAUAAUGCAACUUUAUUUUCUUCUUUUUAUUUUCUACUUCUUGAAGUUUUCUGUAACGGUCAUGACAUAUAAUGACCUUCACUAGAGAAAUUUUUUUAUUUUUCUUAUAUUUUUCUUUUUUAUUAUUUCUCCUUCUUCCUUUUCUUUCACUUUUUGUAUCUUUUUUCAUUACUGCACCUCAUCCCUUGUCCUCUGCCACAACCGUCGCUCCCCCAGUACCAACUUGCUCUCCCUCCCCAUCAUUCUUAAGCUGUGUUUGGUUGGAGUAUAAGUAAGAACUGCUUAUUUCAAGAAUAGGUACAAGUUCAGUUAUAAGCAGAAAUUAGACAAAUUUUAUGUUUGGAUGAAAAUUGAGUUGUUUUUAGGAAUAAGGUAAAUAGUGUUUGGAUAGUUAUAUUGGAACAAAAAGAAUAAGAGUUAUAAUUUUAAAUUAAAAUUAUUUUAUCUAAUUGAUUAACAUCAAAAUAUUACUUAAAAAAUAAAUUAAUAUCAAUAAUUAUAAAUAAUAAAUUAAUUAAAUAAUAAUAAAUUAUAAAUAAUUAUAAAUAAUAAAUUAAUUAAUAAAAAAAUUAAUUAGAUAAUAACUUAUAAAAAAUUUUAAUAAUUGUAAAUUAUAGAUUAAUUAAUUAAUUAAUAAUUAAUAAUUAAUUAAUAAUUAAUACUAAAAAAUUAAAAAUAAUAAAUAUUAAUUAAUAAUAAUUUAUUAAUAAUAAAUUAAUUAGAUAAUAUAGUAUAAAUUAUAAACUAAUAAUAAUUAUAAAUAAUAAAUUAUUACUAAUUAUAAAUUAUAAAUAAAUUAAUUAAUAAUAAAAAUAUUAAUUAAUUAAUUAUUAAUAAUUAUAAAUAAAAUAUUAUUAAUAAUUAUAAAUCAUAAAUUAUUUAAUUAAUAUUAAAUUAAUUAAUUAGAUAAUUAUAAAUAAAAAUAAUUUAAAUAACUUAAUUAAUUAUAGUUAAUUAAUAGUAGAUCAAUUAUUAAUUAAUAAUAAAUAAAUUAAUAAUAAAUUAUUAUAAAUAAAUAAAUAAAUAAAUAAUUUUAUUAUUUAAGCAAUAAAUAAUAAUUUAUAUGCAGUGUUUCUGAACUUUGGAUAGGAUUGGCUUCAGUGUAAGUGACUGGUCGGCGCAUCUAGAGAGUGUCGGACUGAGUUUCUCCGCGAAAUGGAUGAAGAAAUGGACUCGGCGCACUCAAAUAGGAAAACUGGAGUUUUGCCACAUUCGGGCGCCCAGAACUGGUCUUGGGUCGCCCAGAAGUUGAGUGCAGUUUUGAUCAGAACUGGAAGCCAAUUCGGGUCCAUAUUUCGGGCACCCGAAUGAGGGCCCGAAAAUUCACCUCGUGAGUAUCAUUUGCACUGACACGUGGCUGGUGGUUGGUGAAGUCCGCCGGAGCCGGAUAUGGGCACAGCACACCGCGGGCGGAGACUCCGAAGAGGAAGCCUUGUGUAGCCUGGAGGAUUCGGGCACCCAUAAUGUAGGUCCGGGUGCCCGGAAAUGCCAGUUUCUGCAGGGGUACCAGCUUUGCAGCAAUUGUUCCUGAGGGCUAUCUCACCACUCCAGCACCCUAUAAAUACCUGGUAUACGUCCCCUUUGAGCUCUUUUCAUCUAUUCUUCACAGAGAUCCUUUAUCUUGCAUCCUAAUCUCUCCAAACUCCUCCAUUUGCAUCAAAGUACCACAACUCUAAGAUUUCAAGGUGCAGAUUCUGCAGUCUCCCAGCGACGACCUUCAGUGUUUUGGCUCGUGCGCGACGUAGGGAGAUCGGAUUGCGACAAAACUUGGUUUGCUGGAUUUUAGACUUCUAGAGGAAUCCACGAAAUCCUGAAUUGUGGGUUUUGGUUGAGGUUAGCUUGGUCGUUUACCUAUGUUUCUGGACUGUUGGCAACAUUGAGCUAAAAAUGAGAUUUUUGAGCUUUUCUUGAUGCUAUCUUUGUAGGCAGUGGGAUUUUGGACCUGAGACACAUCACCCAUCAGUAUUUGCUGGAUUUGGGACUGUCCUCACCUGAUUUAGAGAUCGUUAGGUGAGUUUUGACAUUGGAGUGGGGAGAAAUCUAAGCUUAAGUGCUGAAAUUGGGAUUUUGGUGGAUUUUAGUGGAAUUGAUGUUCAGAUCUUGAUUGUGGAUCUUUGUUGGCUGAGAGCAUGUGCGGCUGGUUCCGACAGGGUGUCCCGCAGCUGAGUGACCUUCUUGCUGCCAGAAAAUUGAUCUCGAGGUGGGUUUUCAUCGGGUUACUCCUAAGUGCAUAUAUAGUCGAAGUGUAUGAUUUCCGUUUCGUCUACUAUUCAGUUUGAUUGAAUUCAUCGAUUAGCUUUGGGUUGAAAUCUGAAUCGUAAAGCAUGCUGAAUGAGUUAAUAAAUUAUACAUGUUGGACUUAAAAUUUUGACUUAGGAGAAAACCAGCGUUUUGACCCGUCAUAUGAUUCUACUGCCUAAUUUAGCUCUAGGAGCCGUGAUUUGAUUGUAUCACCGCUGUUUCAGCAUGGUGGAUACCCGGGGUAGUUUAGAAUGCAUCUACGCUCAUGCUGGGAUGCCGAGCUUAUUUUUAUAGUAGAGUUUAGGCUGUUUCGGGUUGUCGGGUGCCGUCGGGGUGGACGGUGGACCCAGAUCCUUAUUUUUGGUCUCAGAUUGUGCCGAGGGCACAUGGGUUUGAUUUCUAGACCUAUUUUAACUCUAACUACUUGACUUUGGCUUGUUAGAGCCUAUUUGAGCUCGACAGAGAUACGCUGCAUACUCCGUUUGGUAGCUCCCAUGAGUGCCACUCCGGAGGCGGGCGUUGUGCUUUUGCGUUGGUGUCGUUCGUGCAGGUUGGAGUUGCUCUCCACGGACUUGUUAGUGUGGAUGUAGCUGGUUAGUUGCAACCUGGCGGGACGGGUGUGUUCACAGUCUCAGGGACGGGUAUAAUUACAGUCCCUAUUCGAGAUUGGAUCUGAGUUGACACUGUUCUACAGUUGGUUAGAUUAGAGCAUGAUAGUAUAGAGGUAGAUAGCUGUAGAUACGUUCUAGCUUUCCUUACUAUUUCUUGCUUACCCCUGUAGACUUAGUGGGUGGACCGAUGAGUUUGACAGUGGUACCCACUGAGGACUACUUGUUUUUACAGUAGUUCUCACGCCCAGUUUGUUUCCACUGUUUUGCAGAGCCAUCGUCUGCUGCUGUCGCUGAUAUUGAUCGUGGCAAGGGCGUCGCGAGUUUGAGCCUUUCCAAUCGAGUUGCUUAGCUAGGGGAGGACCGCUGCAGGUAGUGUAGUUUUGGUUUGUACAUACAGAUGUUGUACAGUCGCCAGUGCGAGUGCUUUUGGUAUCUUGGAUCUUAUGUAUGUAUAGAACCAUAGUUUAUAUAUGCAUGUUUUAUUCUUUUCUCCUAGCUGCUCUAUACUACUGUCUAUAGUAUUGUAUGAUUACAGGUACUUUUACUUUUCGCUUCGUAUACAGAAAAAAUACCUAUGUAUACGACAGGUCUGUUAGCGAGCCUGGGGAAACGAGUAAUCCGGGACGUGACAGAUUAAGUUGGUAUCAGAGCUUAGCUGUAGGCCGUUGGGACCUAGGAGCCCUAAGUUUGGCAAACCUUAGGAAGGUAAGACACAAGAGGCGUGAUUUAUCGCGAAAGUCAACGAUUUGUUGUUCUAACUUCUCCUAGAGUGGAGUGAGUGAUUGGAAGAGUUCCUGUUUUGGCCUGAGAAAUUAUGUUUGCUGGAGACGACAUAAUUUUGAGGAGAAACAUGGGCCGCAUUCUAGACUUUCGUUUGAUUGGGUCGAGAGUGUUUUUGUUGUAUCUGACCCCUGUUUUGUUCUUUACAGCUAUGUAUCGUCGCCGAGGUCGACCGUCGCUCAGAGAUCGUGCCGCACCGCCUGAGAUGCCUGAGCAGGCAGAGCCAAGUACGCCACCAGAGGCGAGUGCACCCCCUGUUGUGGAGCAGAGGGCCUGACCGGAGGUGGGUGCACCUCCUGAUUUGAGUGCACAGUUAGCCGCCCUGACUGAGAUGACGAGGCAACAGGGAGGAGUUGUUGGAGAGGUUGUGUGAGAGGGUAGCUCCGUCACCGAGUACAGUAUCGAGAGCACCUGAGCAGGCCAUUCCACCUCCGACUACUCCAGUGACAACACCAGCCGCAGCUAUACCCCCGCCAGUGGAGCUUCCUACAGCGCUAGUUGCGGCUGCUAGGGGGCCAGUACAGUUGACUGAGGCCGAGCAGGAGCGGAUGACAGAGAAGUUGGCUCGUUUUCGCCGUUUUGAUCUACCGACCUUCGACGACAGUUGCACUGAGAUCUGGGUUGUUAAGGGCUGGGUCAGUGCGAUAGAGAAGCUGUUCGAGGAUCUAUUCGUGCCUGAGAGAGAGCAGGUGUCUUUGGGAGUACACUGCUUAGCUGGCGAUGCUCACGCCUGGUGGAGGAGAGUGAGGCGAGACUAUGGAUUAGUGGCGUUGCAGAUGAAGUGGGAUGAGUUCUGUGAAAUGUUCUUUGGGAUGUUUUUUUCCAACAGCAUGAAACAGAAGAUCGAGGAGGAUCUCAAGAGGAUUCAGCAGGGUGAGCGGACAGUUCAGGAGUACAUUCGGGAGUUCACGCGACUCCUGAACUGUGUCCCGUUUGUGGCUCGAGACGAGGUGCAUCGUGUUUAUCUGUUCGAGCAGGGAUUGAGACCCGAGAUCUUUCAAUUGGUGCAGGCGCAGAGGUUGAGGACCUUGGACGCGUCGAUGGAGCAGGCUCUUUGGGUAGAGAGGGGUGAUGCCUCCAUUCUGGAGAAGACUCAGGCUGUGGGGCAGAGGCCGUUGCUACACUUGCGGUCAGCCCGGGCAUAUGAGGUCAGCUUGUCCUCGUGCACCAUCACCAGCACCAUCCAUGGCAUCAGCACAGCCAGCAUCCCAGCAGUCUUCUAGAGGAGCACCGAGUUUUCGCCAGGAGGACAAAUCGUCUAUGCCGCGUAAGACUGAGCGGCAAUAGCAGGCUCCGAGUGGCAGAGUUUACGCAGCUCAGGUGGAGGAUUCUUCAGCAGCCUACCGAGCGGUGGUAGGUAUCAUUUUGAUUUUCGGCAUUCGUACUCGUACUCUUUUUGAUACCGGUGCCUCGCAUUCUUUCGUUAACCGAGCAUUUGUAUUGUUGUAUGGUCUAGAGUUAGGGUCAUUGUCACAGGCACAAGAGGUGCGAUCCCCGACCAUGUUUUACAGGUUGUAGAGUGUUGUUGGUCAUAUCCGGUGCAGUUAGAUUCUUGGAUCAUGCCCGCAGAUCUGUUGGUGUUAGGGCAGCUGCAGGACUUUGACGUAGUGCUCGGUAUGGAUUGGCUGGCGCGGUACUAUGCUACUAUCGACUGUGGAGCGAGAACUGUGACGUUCCGCGAGCCAGGCCAAGAGGAGUUUAGUUUCAGAGGUUGCAGUAGUACUUUGUUUGCCACUUGGAUAUCUUCGGCGAUGGCUUGACAGCUGAUGAGUAGAGGAUGCAUUUCUUUUCCGGCGACUAUGAUAGAGGUGCCUACGGCAGCGCCGGGACUCGAGGAUAUCCCUAUAGUCCGUGAGUUUUCGGACGUGUUUCUCCCAGAGUUGACGACAAUGCCGCCGGAGAGGGAAAUAGAGUUUGUGAUUGAUGUAGUUCCUGGAACUGCACCAAUGUCAAAGGCACCUUACAGGAUUUGAUGGAUAAGGGGUUUGUGAGACCCAGUGUGUCACCUUGGGGAGCGCCGGUGUUGUUUGUAAAGAAGAAGGAUAGUUCGCUCAGAUUGUGUGUAGAUUACAGGGAGCUGAAUAAGGUGACCAUCAAGAAUAAGUAUCCUUUGCCGCGCAUUGAUGAUCUGUUUGAUCACCUGCAAGGAUUUUAUGUCUUCUCGAAGAUUGGCCUCCAGUCAGGUUACUACCAGUUGAGGGUGAGGGCCGAGGAUGUUCCCAAGACGGCUUUUCGGACUCCGUACGGGCAUUAUAAAUUUAUGGUGAUGCCGUUUGGAUUGACGAAUGCCCCUGCCGCAUUCAUGGAUUUGAUAAACAGAGUGUUCAAGCCGUUCUUGGAUAGGUUUGUGGUAGUCUUCAUUGAUGAUAUUCUGAUAUACUCCCGGAGCGAUGCCGAGCAUGAGGAGCACUUGAGGACUAUGCUACAGCUUCUGCGAGAGAAGAAGUUGUAUGCCAAGUUAAAGAAGUGCGAGUUCUGGUUGCGGUAGGUUACUUUCUUGGGCCACGUGAUAUCUGCGGUUGGAGUGACAGUGGACUCGAAGAAGAUUGAUGCUAUUCGGGAUUGGUCCAGACCGACGACGGUGACAGAGGUGAGGAGUUUCCUUGAACUUGCAAGUUAUUACCGUCGAUUUGUGGAAGGCUUUGCGAAGCUUUUCACACCACUCACUCGACUGACUCGUAAAGGAAUUAAGUUUAUCUAGAGUGAGGAUUGCCAGAGGAGCUUCGAUGAGUUAAGACAGAGGUUGACGUUAGCUCCUAUCCUUGCUCUGCCAGUGAUAGGAGAAGGAUUUGUGAUUUACAGUGAUUCAUCGCACAGUGGUUUGGGCUGUGUGUUGAUAUAGCAUGGUAGGAUAAUUACUUAUGCUUCACGGUAAUUAAAGGAUUACGAGGAGAAUUACCCAACGCAUGACUUAGAGCUUGCCGCAGUAGUCUUUGCUUUAAAGUUGUGGCGGCAUUACUUGUAUGGCGAGCACUGCGAAGUUUUCACCGAUCAUAAAAGUCUCAAGUAUCUGUUCACCCAGAGGAAGUUGAAUCUGAGGCAACGCCAGUGAUUGGAGUUACUGAAGGACUAUGACAUUAGUAUUCAGUAUCAUUCCGGCAAGGCGAAUGUGGUGGCAGAUGCGUUGAGCAGGAAGGCAGUGCAGAGCUUGAGCAUGUUGAUCGCUCAGCAGAGGCUGUUACUCGAGGAGCUGCAGCGGCUGAGGCUCGAGAUAGUGUCCCCUGGAUUUACUGCGAGACUGAUGUUUAUGGUCUUACAGCCCACUCUGUUGGAUAGGAUCCGAGAGAAACAGAGUGGAGAUCCACACUUGUUGAGGAUUCGAGAGCGGUUUGAGAGGGGACAGGCAGAGGGCUUUAUUGUGGACAGUUCGGGAGUACUGCGGUACAGGGACCGACUGUGUGUACCUAUGGAUUCAGAGAUCCGAGAGGACAUUUUGAGAGAAGCUCAUUGUUCACCUUAUACAGUUCACCCUGGUGGAACCAAGAUGUAUAAGAACUUAAAAGCCCACUUUUGGUGGAAUGGAAUGAGAGGGACAUUGGCAGAUUUGUGGCUCAGUGUCUGACUUGUCAACAGGUAAAGGCCGAGCAUCAAGUACAUGCUGGCAAGCUUCAGAGUCUGCAAGUGCCCGAGUGGAAAUAGGAGCAGAUCGCGAUGGACUUCGUCGUGGGGUUGCCUAGAGCUCAGGGUGGUAUCGAUGCUAUUUAGGUGAUAGUGGACAGACUGACUGAGUCUGCUCACUUCCUACCAGUUCAAACCACCUGGUCCAGAGAGUGGCUCGCUCAGUUAUAUCUGGACGAGAUAGUGAGGUUGCAUGGUGUGCCUACUACGAUAGUAUCAGAUCGAGACCCGAGGUUCGUCUCGCACUUUUGGAGGAGUCUUCAGACGGCCUUGGGCACUCAGUUGCAGUUCAGUACAGUGUUUCACCCACAGACAGAUGGUCAGUCAGAGCGAACCAUUCAGACUCUUGAGGACAUGCUAAGGGCAUGUGUCCUGGACUUUGGAGGAGGGUGGUAUCGACAUUUGAGACUGGUUCAGUUUCCGUACAACAACUGCUAUCAAGCGAGCAUCCAGAUGGCUCCGUUUGAGGCGUUGUAUGGACGCAGGUGUCGAUCCCCUUUGUUUUGGAGCGAUGUUGGUGAGAGGAAAACGCUUGGGCCUGAGAUUCUGAUUGAGGAUGAGGAAAAGGUGAAGGUGGUGCGACAGCACAUUUUAGCAGCCCAGAGUCGGCAGAGGAGCUAUGCUGAUACCCGGAGGGAGACGAGACUUGGAGUUCCAGGUGGGAGAUCAUGUGUUUCUUAAAGUUUCGCCGCCCAGAGGGAUUCGCCGAUUUGGAGUACGUGGAAAGUUCAGUCCACGUUUUGUCGGCCCUUUUGAGGUUUUGGAGCGAGUCGGGCCAGUGGUUUACAGGAUUGCUCUAACUCCACGACUAGCCGGCAUUCACGAUGUUUUUCACGUCUCGGCUUUGAGGAGAUAUGUGUUCGACCCCUCCCACGUGAUAGACUUCACUCCGCUUGAGAUUGGCGAGGACCUGAGAUACGAAGAGCGACCAGUGCGGAUUCUGGCUCGUGAUUUGAGAGAAUUGCGCAACCGGGUCAUACCCUUUAUAAAAGUGCAGUGGAGUAAUCACGAGAAGCGGGAGGCAACUUGGGAGCCGAAGACGGUGAUGAGAGAAUCCUACCCCUACCUUUUUUAUGCUCAGGAUUGAGAUAUGUUUCAGUUUUGCGGACGAAACUUUUUGUAGUGGGGGAGGAUGUAGUGUUUCUAAACUUUGGAUAGGAUUGGCUUCAGUGUUAGUGACUGGUCGACACAUCUGGAGAGUGUCAGACUGAGUCAGAGUCGUUUCUGCGCGAAAUGGAUGCAGAAAUGGACUCGGCACACUCAAAUAGGAAAACUGGAGUUUUGCGAGAUUCGGGUGCCCAGAACUGGUCUUGGGUCGCCCAGAACUUGAGUGCAGUUUUGAUUAGAACUGGAAGCCAAUUCGGGUCCAUAUUUCGGGCGCCCGAAUGAGGGCCCGAAAGUUCACCUCGUGAGUAUCGUUUGCACUGACACGUGGCUGGUGGUUGGUGAAGUCCGCCGGAGCCGGAUAUGGGCGCAGCACACCGCGGGCGGAGACUCCGAAGAGGAAGCCUUGUGUAGCCUGGAGGAUUCAAGCGCCCAUAAUGUAGGUCCGAGUGCCCGAAAAUGCCCGUUUUUGCAGGGGUACCAGCUUUGCAGCAAUUGUUCCUGAGGGCUAUCUCACCACUCCAGCACCCUAUAAAUACCUGGUAUACGUCCCCUUUGAGCUCUUUUCACCUAUUCUUCACAGAGAUCCUUUAUCUUGCAUCCUAAUCUCUCCAAACUCCUCCAUUUGCAUCAAAGUACCACAACUCCAAGAUUUCAAGGUGCAGAUUCUGCAGUCUCCCAGCAACGACCUUCAGUGUUUUGGCUCGUGCGCGACGUAGGGAGAUCGGAUUGCGACGAAACUUGGUUUACCAGAUUCUAGACUUCUAGAGGAAUCCACGAAGCCCUAAAUUGCGGAUUUUGGUUGAGGUUAGCUUGGUCGUUUACCUAUGUUUCUGGACUGUUGGCAACAUUAAGCUGAAAAUGAGAUUUUUGAGCUUUUUUUGAUGCUAUCUUUGUAGGCAGUGGGAUUUUGGACCUGAGACACAUCACCCAUCAGUAUUUGCUAGAUUCGGUACUGUCCUUACCUGAUUUGGAGAUCGUUAGGUGAGUUUUCACAUUGGAGUGGGGAGAAACCCAAGCUUAAGUGCUGAAAUUGAAAUUUUGGUGAAUUUUAGUGGAAUUGAUGUUCAGAUCUUGAUUGUGGAUCUUUGCUAGCUGAGAGUAGGUGCGGCUGGUUCCGAUAGGGUGUCCUGUAGCUGAGCGACCUUCUUGCUGCCAGGAAAUUGCUCUCGAGGUGGGUUUUCAUCGGGUUACUCCUAAGUGCAUAUAUAGUUGAAGUGUAUGAUUUUCGUUUCGUCUACUAUUCAGUUUGAUUGAAUUCAUCGAUUAGCUUUUCGCUGAAAUCUGAAUCAUAAAGCAUGCUGAAUGAGUUAAUAAAUUAUACAUGUUGGACUUGGAAUUUUGACUUAGGAGAAAACCAGCGUUUUGACCCGUCAUAUGAUUCUACUACCUGAUUUAGCUCUAAGAGCCGUGGUUUGAUUGUAUCACCGCUGUUUCAGCGCGGUGGAUAUCCGGGGUAGUUUAGAAUGCAUCUAUACUCGUGCUGGGACGCCGAGCUUAUUUUUACGGUAGAAUUUAGGCUGUUUCGGGUUGUGGGGUGUCGUCGGGGUGGACGGUGGACCCAGAUCCCUGUUUUUGGUCUCAGAUUGUGCCGAGGGCACGUGGGUUUGAUUUCUAGACCUGCUUUAACUCUAGCUACUUGACUUCGGCUUGUUAGAGCCUAUUUGAGCUCGACAGAGAUACGCUGCAUACUCGGUUGGGUAGCUCCCACAAGUGCCACUCCGGAGGCGGGCGCUGUGCUUUUGCGUUGGUGUCGUUCGUGCAAGUUGGAGUUGCUCUCAACGGACUUGUUAGUGUGGAUGUAGCUAGUUAGUUGCAACCUAGCGGGACGGGUGUGUUCUCAAUCCCAGGGACGGGUAUGAUUACAAUCUCUAUUCGAGAUUGUGUCUGAGUUGACACUGUUCUACAGUUGGUUAGAUUAGAGCAUGAUAGUAUAGAGGUAGAUAGCUGUAGAUACGUUCCAGCUUUCCUUACUAUUUCUUGCUUACCCCUGUAGACUUAGUGGGUGGACCGAUGAGUUUGAGGGUGGUACUCACUGAGGACUACUUGUUUUUACAGUAGUUUUUACGCCCAGUUUGUUUCCACUGUUUUGCAGAGCCAUCGUCUGCUGCUGUCGCUGAUAUUGAUCGUGGCAAGGGCGUCGCGAGUUAGAGCCUUUCCAGUCGAGUUGCUGAGCUAGGGAAGGACCGCUGCAGGUAGUGUAGUUUUGGUUUGUACAUACAGAUGUUGUACUCUCGCCAGUGCGAGUGCUUUUGGUAUCCUGGAUCUUAUGUAUGUAUAGAACCACAGUUUAUAUAUGCAUGUUUUACUCUUUUCUCCUAGCUGCUCUAUAUUACUGUCUGUAGUAUUGUAUGAUUACAGGUACUUUUACUUUUCGCUUCGUAUACAGGAAAAAUACCUAUGUAUACAGCGGGUCUGUUAGCGAGCCCGGGAAAACGAGUAAUCCGGAGCGUGACAUUAUAUAUAUUAAUUAAAUUAAUUAAUUAUUUAAUACUACAAUUAAAAUUAUUUUUAAACUUUAAUUUACCUUGUUCUUAUUCGAGAACAAGCUUGUUUCAGAAAAAAGGUGGAACGACAGUUCCAAUCUUAUACCGGCUUAUUCCAGAAAUCCGAAAACUACUGUUCUCGGGUACCGAACGCACUGUUUGGAAACAAAGGGAAGCAAGAGCUUAUUCCCCCUUGUCCCGAACCAAACACUACCUUAGAGUCUACAGUAUCCUCGUUGUCGUUGCAGUCCACGACCAUGCCCUCCAUUAAGCCUCAUCUCCGCAAUCUAUUCCAUAUCUGAGCCAUCGUUCACAGAAGUGUAGGAGAGGUAAGAGAGAAAAGCGUGGUGUCGACAUUUGGGCGAUAGAGAAGGAGGAGAAAAGAGAGAAAGAGAGAGGAGAAAUAGAAGAAAAAAAUGGCAAGGAGGUAGGAGAUGAAUUAAGUGGAGAAAGAUGUACGAAAAAAAGAGAGAGAAAGAGGAAUAAGAAUAUUUUGGUUGGUUUCUUAAAUAUGCAUCGAAUCUGCAAAAUUCAAAAAAGUAAUCCCUUUAUGCAAAAAUUGAAAACAAGUGGAUUUUUUUAGGCAAAAGGCCAUUUUUAAUUGAAUUAACAAAAAAACAACCUACAAUUUAGCUUGUCACUUACUCCUUUAAAAUUAUAUUAACUUAAUUCCUGUCAUUUUGUUACCAUUUUUAAAAUCUGAAAAAUUGGAUGGUGGUUGAGCUUGGAUGCAAAACUUUCUAAAAACUUUUUAAAUGUGUUUAUACAGAAACAAGUCAGUAAAUGAUAUUUGCAACUAUUCAUAAAGUAAAAUUACAUAAAUUAAAUAAAUUAUCUUACAUAGUGUAAUUUUGGUAGCUUUAGUUAACUCAAUAUAUUUUUUUUCCUUUAUUUAAGAUUUUAAUUAGAUAGAUGUUGAGAAACUUAGUAUUAUGCUAAUUUAAAUUGUUUUGACUUUCAUUAAAAUUAAGACUUUGAUGAGGAUGAUGAAGCUAAUGCUACACUUUAGGAGCUAAAUUGUUAAAAUUAAGAUUUUUGGACUUGAGGAAGAAUUAGAAUUAAGCUUUAAUAAAUUAGAGUUCAAGAUCGAAAAGAUGUUGUGACACCCUAGAGCUUGGAAUGGUUCUAUAUAUAAAAUUAUAAUAGAGCUACAACUUUGAACCCGGUUAUAAUAUUUUGGACGGUGGCUAGGAUUAAGAGGUUAAUAGGUAAUUACACUACUAGAAAAUUAAUCAUUAACGGCUUUUAUUUAUGCUACUAAAAGAUUAGCAGUAUUUAUAAUGAAUGGUGUUAAUAUAAAUCAAUUGGUGUCAUAAAGAACAUACUGCUAAAAAGAUUGUUAAAUUCUAAUUUUAAAUUGUUUAUUACUGGAAUACAAUGGUAUUAAUACAAAUACCAAAUGUUGGAAACUAAUUUUAUUUUAGAUUUAAUUUUUAAAUUUAAAUUUAAAUUUUCUAAGAGGAAAAUAGCAUGCUACCUACUUCGUUUAUUUAUUUUUUUAAAAAAAUAACUUAUAUGUAAGUGUGAAUCAACUAGAAUUAGAACUUAGGAUCUCAGGUACUAACCACCAAGCCGUUUGCCACUCGUGCUAGAGACAGUUGAUUAUAUAUAUUUGAAUUUUUAAAAUUUAAAAUUUUAAUUCUAAAUUUAGAUAAUAAAUUUAAAUUUUUAAUUUUCAAAUAUCAAAUUUUAAGUUUCAAAAUUCACAAUUUGAAAUUUAAAAUUUGAAAUUUGAAAUUUAAGAUAAAAUUAAAAAAUUAAAAAUUUAAAAUUAAAAUUUUAUAAUUUAAAAUUUUAACAUUUUAAAUGCUAAAUUGUAAGUUUAAUUUUUAAAUUAUAAGUUUCAAAUUUUUAAAAUUCAAAUUCUAAAUUUUUAAACUUUUAAAAUUUUCAAUUUUAAGUAUAAAGUGGGAUAUAUUAAUAAUUAUAUAUUGAUUGGUGAGGGUAUUUAACAAUAAGCGCUACUACUUUAUUAUAUUUACUAUCAUUUUUAUAAAAUACUGAAAACUUCAGCGGUAUUCACUAAUUUACGCUGCUAAUUUAUCCUAUUUUAUAACAUUAAUAAUAAAUUGUGCUAAAUUAUUAAAUAUACUAGUGUUGAACCCGCGCUUCGCCGCAGACAGUUUUAACAUCAAUAUUUUGAUGUGAAUUUUAAUAUAUAAUAAUUAUGAAAAGUGAGAAAAAAAUAAAAUUAAAUAUCAAUACAUAUAUAUGUAAGAAAAAGCAAAAGAAUAGUAGCCAAGAAUGAAUUGCUAUGCAAAAAAUAAGAUGGAAUAAUAACAAAAUAUGUAAUUAUGAACUCUGCAAAAUAUAUAUUUAGCUUGAAUGAUUACUAAUUAUUUUAAUACAUAUAUAAGUAUUUUGGAUUGAUAACAAACUAUGUAAUUUUUUUAUUUUUAAAGAAUAGUAGCCUUUUUUUUAUUUUAUUUUAUUUUUUAAAUCUUUUUGUUUGUUUUUUUUUUUAGUGCCCUUCUCUUCUUUUUUCUACCUUCUCUUAACUUUUUUUUUUUUAUGUGUGCAACCUGUGAAGUGUGUGCAAUGGUUUGUUUUCCCGAAAAGUGAACAAAGGAAAAACGAAAAGAUUUAAAUAAAUAAAUAAGAAAGUGUAGGCGUUGGGAAUUUGUUAGGGGUGCAAUUUUUUUAUCUUUUUUUUAUUUUGUAUUUUUUUUUUUUUACUAUAAUUCCUUAACAGCGAGUAAAGAAAUAUAUAGUACAAUAGAUAACAGUUCUCAGAGAUAAAAAUGUUCAUGCUUUCCGGGUACCCUCAGGUACCCGGUUAAUUACGCCAUUUUUAGUACAUGCAGACCACCUCUGAUUAAACUGGUCAUAAAAAAAAACCCCUCUUCUAAACAAUAAUAUUAAUAUAUUUUUUUGUUAAACCGUAAUAAUAAUAAUAAUAGUAUGUGCCAAUCAGGUGUGUAUUAUAUACAUUUAUUUAACACCUAUAUAUAUAUAUAUAUACACUAAUCUAUGAAUCCCCAAUAUUUUGCUGAUGUGGCGUGACCUCCUUCUCCCAAAACCUCUCCCUCCUCAUCUCCCAACCCCCAAGACCCCUCAUCUUUCAAAACCGCUCUCUCCUUAUCUCCCAACCCUCGAGACCCCUCCCCCUCCUUAAUAGAAUCAUUAAUUAGUAAAAUAAUACUUCAUAUUUAAUUAAGAGAUUAAUCAUCAUUAUUAAUCAAAUUGCUCAUAAACUGCUAUAAUACUAAGCACCUAAUUAAUUCAAUAAACUGUCGACCCAUACUUAUGUCUCAUAUGGGGCCACGCAAUUGAACCUAGAUAUACUAUAAGAAUAUGCCUGUAACAUUAAAAUUUUGCCAAUUAAAAGUAACAGUCAUUUAGAGCUCGUGGCUAUUAUUUAUCUAAUUAGUGUUCUUUAUUUUUAUUUGAAUAGGGAUUUGGAUUUAAUUGACUUCUUUUUAAAGCAUCCGAGAGAGCCCCUUUUUAAUUUUUGUAUGCAACGUGCAUAAAUUUGCAAUUACAAUUGCGUUUUACGAGUAGUUAUCUUGGUGUGCAUUAUGCAGGUGAACAUCACUCCUUAAUGCAGAUACAUAUUAUCUUCAUUGUGCCCGUGAGGAGAACCUCUUCUCCCUCGCCCGCCACCUCACUUCCCUCGCCGACCUCGUGUCGAUGCGCACCUAUUCUCUCCUUUGUCGCCCCUCUCCUCUUCUCCUUCCUCCUCAAUCGUCCUUUUACUGAUUUGUGUGCUCUUUUUCAGACUUUUGUUUGCCAAUUAGUUUAAUUUUUUUCGCUUUUAAUGCUCAUUUAAAUUUGUGCUUAUUUUAGCUUUGUCAUUGAGAUAAUAUAUGUCAUAAAAAUUAACUUGGUAUAAGUUUAUUGUAUAAACUUAUUACCAUUAGUAAUAGAUUUGUUUUUUUUUAAAUGCAAAUGACAUUGUAUUCAAAUGAUAUUGUUCUUUUGAGCAUUUUGUCAAAUAAGUGUUCCUNCGCCGCGGAGCUCGUCCUCGGGCUGGAGCACCUCCACGGACUGGGGAUCGUGUACCGCGAUCUCAAGCCCGAGAACGUCCUCAUCCAGGACAACGACCACCUCAUGCUCGUCGACUUCGACCUCUCCACGGAGCUCCCCUCUCCCCCGCCAGCCGCCAAUCGAUCAAAACCCCCUCCUCCUCCUCCUCCUCCUCCUCCGCUCCCCUCUGCCGCGAGCAGGAAGAAGGAUAAGAAGAAUAAGAGGAAGAAGCGCCCCCUCCUCAGUUGCUUCUCCUGCGACGCGAGAGUGUCCCCGGAGGAUCCGUCCCCGUCCCCGUCCGCUUCCUCGUCUCCGUCAAGGCUAAGAUAGAGAGCAGAAGGGAAGAGAGAGAGAGAGUAUGGGUGAGGAGGAAAGAGACAGAAACAGGAGCCAGCUAUUAUCUUGGGAAGAGGCUAAACCUCGGGAAUAAGAAUAUAUCUUGGGAAGGAGAGAGGCCUUGGGAAGAAGGCAAGGUUUCUUGGAAAGGAGAGAGGCCUUGGAAAGGAGAUGAGAGAGAAAGGAAAAACAAAGAAAAAAAAAUGCAAGAAAAAUGCAAGGUUGCCAUGUAUACUUUUAAAGACUGUCAAAUUAUGUAUUGUUAAGGAUAUAACAAUUAUCAAAUAAUACUAUUAAAUAUAUUAAUUAGCAUAAUUUAAAUAAAUAUUGCGGAGUAAAUGUCACUAAAUCAUGAAUUUGUUAUUGUUUGAGAAAAAAUUUAAAUUUAAAUUGAAAAUAUAGAAGGACAAAAAAUAAAUUGUAAUUUGAUUGCUACUUUCCUUAGAAGAUUAGGUAUUAACAAGGAAAGAGAUAACAAAAGUAUUAUUGUCUUAUUCUCAAAAUUUUUGAAUCUAUUAUCAUAUUCUAAAGUAGAACUCUUUAUGAACCCUAUGUGAGAAGCUGACACGUAGCUUUCUAUAUGCUUGUCACGUGUCAAGCUCAAAUAUAGAUUUUCUAUUUUAGGAAAAAUAAAAUUAGAUUUUUUAAGAAAAUAAUAUCAUUUACUAUAUUAUUAAAAAUCACCUAUAAUGAAGGGGAUUUUAUUUCAAAGUCACCUAUAAUUAUGUUGAAUUUCAAAGUCACCAGAUAUUUGAGAAAUUCACGGAUAUUACAUUGGCAAGCAUGAAUAUUACGCGUGAGAAAGAAAAUAUUUAUCUUUAUUUUUAUUUCAAAGUCACUUAAUUAUGUUGAGAUAUUUGAGAAAUUCACGGAUAUUAUGUUGCGAAAGAAUUGGCGGGUGCGGAUAUUACGCGUGAGAAAGAAAAUAUUUAUCUUUAUUUGGGACUAAAUUAUUACAAGCUCAAAUAUAGAUUUUCUACUUUAGGAAAAAUAAAAUUAGAUUUUUUAAGGAAAUAAUAUCUUUUACGAUAUUAUUAAAAAUCACCUAUAGGGGAUUUUAUUUCAAAGUCAUCUAUAAUUAUGUUGAAAUAUUUGGGAAUAAAUUAUUACUUAGUUAAUUAUUUGAAAUGAUUGGUUGAAAAUUACUGGACAUAAAAUAUUAGUAAAAAAGGAUAGAGACAUUUUUCCUAACGUGGCUUUCUAUAUGUUUGUCACGUGUCUUCAUAUUUAUUCUAUUUACUAUGUUAUUAAAUUCAAAUAGUAGGUGGAUUAAUGAGAUAUUUGAGAAAUUCACGGAUAUUACGUUACGAAAGAAUUGGCGGGUGCGAAUAUUACGUGUGAGAAGGAAAAUAUUUGAGAAAAGCGUAGAUAGAAAAUAUGAUAUAAAUGCGAGGGUAAUAUUGUCACAAAAAAUAACAGAUACUUUUAUUUUCAAUCAUUAGAUAAGAUCUAAUGGCAAAAAAUUAAUAUCUUUUAUUAUAUUAUUAAAAAUCACCUAUAAUGAAGGGGAUUUUAUUUCAAAGUCAUCUAUAAUUAUGUUAAGAUAUUUGAAAAAUUCAUGGAUAUUACGUUACGAAAGAAUUGGCGGGUGCAGAUAUUACGCAUAAGAAAGAAAAUAUUUAUCUUUAUUUGGGAAUAAAUUAUUACUUAGUUAAUUAUUUGAAAUGAUUGGUUGAAAAUUACUGAACAUAAAAAUAUUAGUAAAAAGGAUAGAGACAUUUUUGGAAAGCCGAAAAAAUUCAAAACUCACGCUUAAGUAGUAUAGAUAUAGAUAUUGCAUAUCACUUACCUACUAUCACUCCUAUAAUUUUUAUUUCGUAAUUUUUUCCCUACUGUCACUCCUGUAAUUUUUUUCGUUCUUAAAUGUUGAUGCUUUAAAAUAGAACAUAUUAUUUUCAUUUUAUUAUUUAAAUACGAAGCAAGUAUUAAUUUUUUUUCUUGGUUGUCUUAUUGUUCUCAGGAUAUGGGACUUGGGUAUGAUUCUAUACGUGACAUCACUCCUCUUGGAGACAAAUGGAAGAUCAAAGUCAGAGUGAUUUGUCUAUAUACUAUACUUGAAUUUCAUCGUCCAGAGGUGGUGAAUAGCCUAGAGUUAGUUCUUUCUGAUCAAAAUGUAAGUACGACUUUCAUUUUCAAAUUGAACAUACGUUUGCUUUAUUUUUACUAAAAGAUACUAUAUAAUUUGUUUAUUUUCUAUUAUAGGGAGAUAGGAUACAUGCAACGGUAAGAAAAGCUUUCCUGAACAAAUUUAAAGGCCUUUUUAUAGAAGGAAAAAUUUAUAUGAUCAACCAGUUUGGAGUGGGGCAGAGCAGCGACUCAUACAGGACCACUAUACAUCCUUACAAAAUUAAUUUUUAGUAUUCUACGGUUGUACGUGAGAUGGAAAAUAUUUUCACAAUAUCAAAGUAUGGAUUUAUAUUUACCUCUUUUGAUGAAAUACUUGCUAAUNUUGGCAAGCUUUGCUCGAUAACCUCAGGAUACAAGCCUCAGGCUAUACGCGGCUCUCGGUUGAGAUGAGGCACCGAAGAGGCCUUUUGGCCUCAAUGAUAAGUGAAAUUCACUUUUGAUUUUUAGCGCAUUGAAGAGGCAAAAUCGAAUAAAAGAGGACUUUAAACUGUUCACGAAUACAUUAAUUUAAUGUGUGUAUUUGUAGCAGUUGCCUCUCAAAUCAACGUGACAUUUGUAGAGUCAGGAAUAUAAUAGGGGGGGGAAUUUUCUUCAAAGCAGGGGCUUUGAACUGGUGCAUGGGUGGCUUUAUCUUAAGUCUAUUAUGAAGGUGGUGACACCAUGGUGGAAACUCAUGACCAGUUUAUGUAGACUUAUUUAGUUGGAGGCAUCUUCCCCUUUUUAUCCUGACGCCAAGGUGGUCCUGUUUAGCUCCCUUUUGCAUGGUUGGGUUUUAGAUGCCUGGUUUUGAGUGGCCCUAACUGUAAUAGGAUAUUAGACGCCUAUUUUUAUCAGGGCGACAUUCCUAAUAGACUAGGGUUAUAAUGGUUUAGACUCUAUUAUGAAGUAGUGAGUUUUUGAGAUCCAGGUGAGUUGGAACCAGACGUAUCGGCUUUGGCUGAGCUGAUACAGCGUUCAAGUGCAUCUUUUCAGUGCUCUGUUGGUAAAAUUAGAUCUCAGAUAAAUGCAUCUGACUUUGCUUUUUGAGGUUGAUAGGUUGUUGCAGUUGAACGAGUGGUUCUCGCUUAUGCUUUGUAACAAGAUUCUGGGCUCAGUUUUGAGAGUGGAACCUCUGGUGUCAGAGGGUUAUUAUUGGUGUGUUUGACGGUUUUGGAGGUAGUUGCCUAUCAGUGAAUGCUGUUAGAUAUCAGGAUCCGGGUUCUGGAGUGAAAAGUGGACUGGUUGUUCCAGGUUGGCUGUUAUGGUAUAUGCGAUCUGUUAAAACAGAGGAGUUAACAUUGGCUAUGGUAAUUUGGUUGUAUGGGUGGUACAUUCAGGUAAUGAACUACGCGUCCAGCGGUUAGCGUUUUCGCUAUGAUUGGUAGCCACUACGAGUUGUGGACAGAGAUGUUCUGGGACAGCGACGGCAGGAUGUUCCCUGGGAUCGCUAGCUACAAGGGUCGUUGGUGGGCUAAUGAACAGAGUAACUCUGGGUCCGUGUGGAUAGUAGUUUAUUGGUCUGUUCGUUCGAUUGGGUUCCAAACGUGCUAUUCGGUUCAGCGUUUGAAAAUGCGAUAGUAUAUACCACUGUUAGGUUCGGCUGUUGGUCCGAGUUCAGCGAGUUGGUGAUUAAGAUUUGAAGUACUGUUGUCUGGCUCUGAUGGUUGGGUUUGUUUGGAAAAUCAGCACCUUCCGUGUUAAUUUCACGAUGCUUGUAGGUUUGAGCUUGAUCUCAGUUUUUGGGAAAUAGCCACUGCUAUUCAGUUGACACGUUUUGGACGGUUCCUUAUUGGGUUCCGAGCGAUGCACCAGUUUCUACUGAUAGAGAGAUCAAAAAGGGUGUUUUGUCGGAUCUCUUGUGUAGCUGGGUUAGGUAUUCAGGGUUUACCCUUCUACCAUAAAGCAAGGAGAAAGCUGUCAUAUAACAGACGUCGGUUAUAUGAAUAGUUUUCUUUUCGUUUUAUAGGCUUCUAGGUGAUGGUUGUUGGUCAACCUUCAUGUUGCUCUAUUUCAUAGUUCGGUGAACUAUGGAGAGAUGACUUGGUCUUCGAGUGUAGGUAAUGAUAGCUUUGUAGCUGAAAUGUUCAACUGUAAGCUUUAAUCUUGCUGGGACCUUGUAGAGCUUAGAUCUGGUUGAUGUUGAUUGGGUGUUGUGUGGUUAAACCCACAAUCUUAUUGGCGUGUGUUACAUACGGAAUUGCUUUUGAACUGUGGUUUUGACACAGUUAAACUGAGACCCUCCUUCUUACUUGCUCCAUUUCCAGUUUUCUAGUCUUGUCGACUAAGGUUAGUCGUUAGUUCCUCCUAUCCAUCCGUAGUGUUGGGAUGGGUUUCUAGCCGCCUUCGUUGUGAUUGUUACGUCAGCAACUUUGCUGGCGAUAGGUUUGGAACCCGAUGUGGGAUCAUCGGGGUGAUUUCAGCGCUGGCAUUGACCAGAUUCAUGGCAGAGGUAUCUCUGUAAGCGUCUUCGAAAGCACAGGAUUCAUCUCUCUCUCACCGGACCCGCAGUCGUCAAUACUGUGAGCGGAUCCGGGCUUUUAGAGUGAACCGGGAAGUACCGGAGUGGACUGUCCUCACCAUUGUGGACCCCUUAUAGCAGGGUGGUAAGCUACAGGCUUUUUCAUGUGGCGGUGAUUAGGGUUGAAUCUGUGGUCGAACACGCUUGGCAUUGGGUGUGCCCUUAUUGGUACGUGAGGCUCAAAUGGGUUGAGCUUACGUUGGGUCCUGUAUUCGGGUUUAGGGCGUGAGUGCACGGAUGUGUGACAUCAGAAGGAUAACCAGUUGGAUUGGUUACCAAGUCAAAUAAACCAAGUCAAAUAAAUGAAAAGUUUUGUUGGACACUUACCACAACACCAACAUUGGAGCGAGACUAUGGUGAAAUUAGACAGUGCGGGGCCCCAGGGAAAAGUCAAAUUUUGUUUCGCCUUUUCGCAGACUUAAAAAAAAAAACUUUUGGACUGGGGUCUCAUACGGUCUAGGUGGUGUUUAUGUCCCUUAGGUGACAAGUGUGCCUGUCUCAGAGGGGACAUAAACGUGCCGCAGCUAGUUUAUGUGUCAUGUUAGUCCUAUGUUGGUGUUGGUCUACUUAUAUUUCUAUUAAUAUGUAAGUAUGUAAGUGGUAAGUGUAGUGUCAAAAUGUAAGUUCCAAAUUUGUCUUUAGGUGUUUUUAGAAAACAGCUAUUCUGGAACCAAUGGCACUGACGGAUUUUAGAUCUGAUGCAUGAUUUUCGAGAAAAUCUGAAAAUACAUGUUUCUUAUGUAAGUGUGCAUCAUUUUGGCCUAUAUGAUUAGUUGGAGAGAGAUCGGAUUUUGUCGCAAAUCGGCAAGCAAAUCGGGUGAAACGAAAUCGUAGUUUUGAUGCCCCCGACAUGCUGAACGCAAUGGUGCUGUCGGAUCGAAAAUCCGACGGACGGAUCUCCGGGAAUUACGAGAUGUUCGCUGAGGGGUCAAAGUGGCAAAUCGGAUAAAUCGCGAAGAGACCCUAUAUUUUAUGUGCCGAAUUGCGUGAGAUCGGACAUGGAGGUGCAUUUGUGUAAAAUACGCGCGCUGUGAGGGACUUGACUGAGAAUAUUACCCCUGGGAGGAUUAUUUUGCAUAAUGCACAUGUGUGUAUAGUGGUUGCACUGGGGUUUCAUGAGGAAACCCUAACUGUUAGCCUUCUCCUUAGCCAAACUAACCUUAGCCGACCCCUCUGCCAUCACCUGAACCCCUCCCCGACACCACCGCGCGCGUCACGGCCGCCGGUGAGCAGCCCCGGCCGCCGGAAAAGCCAUCCCGACCUUACAUUCACCUUCCUCUCUCUCCAUCUUCCUCCCUCAUCCUCUUUCUCUCGGGUUAGAGCUAGGCCGAGGCUACAUCACCUCCAGACCCUUCGCCGGCAUCGCCCCGUGCCCCGGCGAGCCUUCCCGCCGGCCGUCGCCGCCUUUCUGCGCCGCCGCUGCUGGUUCUGCAGCAUGCGACUACCCCAGCCCGAACCCAGGCCGAGGCAGCCCCAUCUCCCUCUCCUCGCACCACUGCUGCCAUAGCUCGGCAGCGCCGCCAUCUCCGGAGCCCCGGUGACCCCGUGCUUCGUCGCCGUCGUCCUUGCGGGCCGCCGCCGCCUCCUCUGUCAACCGCGGCCGCCCCAGGUCUGCUCGGGCCGAGAUGACCCCGCGCUGCCUCCGUGCGCCGCCGCCGCCUUAGGCCGUGCGCGCCGCCUUCCCCUCGGCCUCCGGCGACGGGUCGUCGCCGUCCCAAGCCUUCCCCGGACGCCGCCGUGGCCGUCGCCACCCUGUGAGCCCGAGCCGAGCCCGUGAGAGCUAGGGUUGCUCCAGCGCCGCCGCCACCGCCAUCCGCCACCGACCGGCGUGAGCACCCCCUCUCCUGGUUGGGCCGCACUCGCCCACCACCGGCGCUCCCGCCGCCGGAACCCUCUACUGGCCGGGCUGGGCCCUUGCUCUCCACGGGUUUGGGAAGCUAGGGCAUCAAGGCCCGCCGUCGUCGCCGCCUCCCGUCGCCUGUUGACGCGAGCCCCGGCCUCCUCUGACCUGGGGCACUUUCCCCUGGCCGGCCUGCCCGCUGUCCGGCCGCCGCCGGCCACCCCGAGCCCUGCCUAGCUCUGUAAGCUGGUUUUCAGCCUUUCUGCACAUGUUUUUCUGUUCUAGUCACUGUUCCGACGACCCGAGGCUGUUCCGAUGCCUCCGGAGGUGAGCACGGUGAUCGUCUAUCAGUGCUGAUAGCAGUGCUCACCUCAUUUAGGGUCAGCGAGCCCCUGGUUAGCGAGAUAAGCAUGAUUUUCAUGUUGUGUGCGCAGUUUACUGAAUUUCGCGUCGCUCGUGCGUUCCCCACAGUGGCCGGAAUUGCUCCAAAAGGUGAGCACGGCCUCCGGCACGCCGAGAUCUGUCAGUAGGUGUCUCGGUUUCACUGAAUGACUCCUAGUUUGUGUAGACGGACCAUAAAAGCGUCGAAAUCGCAUGAAAUAAUGCGAUUUCGGGUAUUCGAAAGGGCUUUUAUGCAAUUCUGGUUGCUACGGCUGCUGUUGGCAGCAUGGGCAGGCUGUGGGUGAUCUCUGGACUGAUUGUCCAAGGCCCCGGACCUUUGCGAAGAUCGAAAAUGUAUUUCCGGUGCGUUUGUCGGCAAAAUCCGCCGACGGAACGCGGUUUUGGUUUAGAAUUAUUCCGACGGUGCUUCGUGAGCNAGUUGGCUUCUUGUGCGUAUCGGACUCCGUUCAUAGCAGUCCAAUAGCUCGUUUCGAAGGAUGCAGCUAUUCUGGAACUAAUGGCGCUGACGGAUUUUGGUUUUGAAGCACGGAUUUCGAGAAAAACUGAAAAUACAUGUUUCUUAUGUAAUUGUGCGUCAUUGUGGCCUUUUGGAAAGAGAAUGGAUUUCGUCGCGAAUCCGUGGUCGAUCGAGAUGAAUCGAAUGUGUAGCUUUGUUGUCUCCGAGGUGCUGAUCGCACUGGUGUGAUCCGUUCGCAAAUCCGAUGGACGGAUCUGCGGAGAUUGCACGUUGAUCGAGAGAGGUCGGUGUUGGCAAAAUUGUAAUUUCGCAAAAGAUGCGAUAUUUUAUGUGCCGUUUUGCGUGGGAUCGUACAUGGAGGGGUAUUCUCGCGUUUUACACGCACUGUGGAGGACUCGUUAUGAAAUUUUGAGUUUUGGAGGACUUACUUGCAAUUUGUCUCUAGUAUAAGGCUAAAAGAGUUAGGGUUUUCAUCUGAAACCCUAACCCUACACCAUUCCGAGAAAACCCUAGCCUCCUAACCGCUUCACCUCCUCCCUGCCCACCCCAUGCGCGCGCCUUGGCCGCCGGCAAGCCGCUGCGGUCGCCGGAGGGACCUCCCCGGCUUCCCUCUCCACUUUCUCUCCCUCUCCAUCUCUAUCCCUCUCUCUUAUCUCGGGUUGUGAGGAAGCCCGAGACUGCCGCCACCUCCAGACCCUCCGCCGGUGUCGCCCCGUGCUCCGGCGAGCAUCCCCGCCGACCGCCGCCGUCGCCAAGCGCCGCCGCGGCCGCUGCUGCACCCGGCUGCUGCCUAGGCCGAGCUUAGGUCGAGGAUGACUCGCGGCCUCCCCGCGCGCAGCCACCGCCUGCACCCGUUCCGGCCGCCAUCCCCGGACCCUCGGCGACCACCCCGGCGGGUCGCCGGCGCUGCUGCGGGCCGCCGCCGCCGCCGCGGCCACCCUGCAGCCAUCCCAGGUCUGCUCGGACCGAGCAGACUUGGUAACUCCACCCCAGCGCCGCAGCCGCCUUGGUCCACACCCGCGGCCUUCUCCUGUGUCCCACCGACUUUCCCGGCCGGUUGCCGCCGCCCUUCGGAUCGCCGCCGCCGCCCUGAACCUUGCGCGCCGCCGCCUAGGCCUGCAGACCGAGCCUAGCUCGAGCGGCAACGCCCGAGCCGCGGGCCGCCGCCGCUGUCGCCAGCCGCCUUACUCCUCCUCCUCCGGCCUCUGUGGACCUGCCGCCGUCGUCCCCGACCUGCCCCGGCCGUCGCCGUGGCCGCAGCAACCCCCGAACCCGUGCCCUAGCUCGUGCAGGCAUGCCUUGCUCCGCCGACGCCGCCGCCGCACCCCGCCGCCAACGGAGGUGAGCAUCGUGUUCCUCACCUCCCCCGCACCCAUCCCUGGCCCCCACGCGCGCCGCCGUGCCGCCGGAGGCCGGCCGGAGCAACCUUGCUCCGGCCAAGCCCGAACUAGGGCUUAGUUUGGGAUGGUUUACUGUUCUGAGCUUCCUGAGCCUCUCCGAUCUCUGCGAAAGGGAGCACGAUGAUCAUAGAAAAUUUCUGAUCAUCGUGCUCACCUUAGAUUCUGCCGGGGAGACUCCGUUCCGCUGUUUCGGCAGUGUCGACCCUGUCGAGCCUGUUUGGCUGCUGUUUUGGGUUUGCGCACGCUUAUCCGGCGAUCCGAAGCUAUCCUGAUGCCUCAGGAGGUGAGCACGGUGAUCGUGGGUCAGUUCCGAUCACAGUGCUCACCUCACUUUGGAUCAACAGUGGCCGGUUAGCCCUGUUUGGAGCAAUCUUUCCCGACUGCGCGCUAUUCGCUGAACCUUCGGGUUGCUCCCGCGCUUCCCACAGUGACCUGUUGCGCUCCAGACCGUGAGCACGGCCUUCGGUACGUCGAGACCUAUCAGUAUGUGUCUCAGCAGAACUUAGAAGUCCUCGGUUUGCGUGUACGGGCUAUGUUAUCGCCCGAUUUACAUAAAAUAUUGGGAUUUUAUGUAAAUUCAGGGGCUUUUGUGCAAUUGUGAGCCUUGGGUCUACUGUGGGUAGUGUGUAGACAUGUGUGGUGUCCUCUGGACUGAUUGUCCAUGAUCCGUUAGCUUUUGCAGAAAUCGAAGAGUCGAUUUCGAUGCGUUUUUCGGCGAAAUUCGCCGAAAGAACGCGGUUUCUGUCACGCCCCGGGGUACCUUUUCAGUUUAAAACAAAGCGGAAAAGUGUCUGAAUUUUUUUUUUUUUAAAUCUGACCCCAGAGUAUGCCAGAUCCGCCACAAAUACAGGGAAUCCACUGUUCACACGGACAGAGUCUCCCCUGUAUUUGCACGGCGUCGAUCAAAUACACAGUACAACCAGGAUACAACCACAAUCAGAUGAAUAUAAAGAUAAUUAUACAUUCAUACAUUCACCAUUCACAUCACAGUUUUACAUUCAAGGUUUAAACAGAAAUCCACAAAAAUCUUUUGAAAACUGUUUCCUACACAGAAACUUUUAUUCUUUUAAAAAGGCUACCACGAGGGGUAGAAAACCUUUUAUUUUACAAAAUCCAGAAAUCCACAUUUUCAAAUGUAAAUAAAUACUGAACCACAUAAACUAACUAAACUAUAUAUCAACAGAAAUACCAAGGAUAAUAACUAACUCGAAAUAACCUGGGUCGGAAGAUCUAACGACCGCUACGUACGUGCCUCACGUCUCGUCUCAAUACCCAUCGCCUGCGAUACCUGAAAAAAUGGUGGGGGAGGUGAGAACAUGUAAACAUGUCUUCCCUCCCAGUGGGUACCGCAAGCCGAUGAAGGCGAGGAGUACUCACCAGAUCAGGAAGAGCUAAACAACAGCACGGGUCAGUGAAAAUACAGUGGGAACAAUAGUAAACGAAAGAGAUAUGUAAGAAGCUGACAAGUAUAGAUGCAGGUAAAUAAAACAGUAGCUACAAUAAACAGAUAAGGAUGUACUGGAAAUAAACACUACAGCUACUGUAUGCAUGCGUCAACUGACGAUAACCUCAAAAAUACCCAAUCUCGAUGCCCUAUUGGUCCGAGGACCUCAGGCCCAUGCCACACUGCUCAACCUGUUCCUGACCCUCGCAAUGAAGCGCCUGGGCCAGAAACAGAUACCUGACCCUCCUGCGGGGAAUAAACCCCCUGGUGUCACAAGCAAAUACACUCGCAAUAAAGCCCCUGGCGAUCAAUGCGGAUAUGAGCAAUAGCCAACCGUCGGCAAUCAGCCGGAAAAGAACUACCCUCUUGCGGGGCAUACAGACCGUGCAGGUCAUCAAGCUAGAAAGAAGCACAAGAACUGACCACUCAGGUCAACUAGGAUGGAACGACUAAACAUCAUCUCAAGUGUAGGCAACUAGCCGACUAAUCAAGCCUCAACAGGGAUGCAACGACCGUAAAGGCCAUCCUACCAAAAGUAUGCCGAUACGUAUGAUCAAGAUAGUCAACUACUGUAUAUAUGCAAGGAUCAACCGAACAAGUCAUAUGAGUAUAAAAUCGAGAACUACCAUCGCCCAUAACCCGACAAUCACACACAUCAGGGUAUACCGAACUCAAAGGUCAUCAAGCAACAAGAAUCCAGAAUAGGUCACAGACUAGGUCAAAAAAGGGCAAACGACCAACCAAAUCACAGACUAUAGUCAUCCGUCGACAACUAGUAGACAAUCCCACCCCUCAGGGUAUACCGACCGAAUAGGUCAUAGAACAACAGAAAUCAAGAGAACCGACCAACCAAAUCACACAUAUACGGAACACCAGAAGUCAACUCGACUCCUAAGUCACUAACAUCACACAUGGUCAAAGAACCGCACUACAAGAAUACAUGAUAUAAUGAACAGAUAGAACCAACUACUACGACCAACAAAAGAACAUGAUAUAAAAAACAGAUAAGUUAACUACACUCCUACACAUGAUACUAAACAUGGAAACAACUGAAUAGAGGAAUGCAGAUAUAAAUGCAACGUGCAAGGCUCAACACUUUAUAUCAAGAGAUAUACAUAUAGUAUAAACAUAGAUGACAGAUAAUAACAGGAGAACAAAGGUAAGAAACCAUCACCGAACGUGCACCACUGUACCGACGUCGGAUCGAAGUACCCACCUGUAAAAAUGUCGCGCAUGUCUCCUGACUCCAAAAGAACGUCAACCGGACCUAAAAAGGGUCCACCGGGUUAGUAUCUAACCCACAACUAAGAACCACAGUAAAACCAUAACCCCACAAACAAACCCACGAAGAUCGGUUUUCCAAAAACCAAAUACCGUAACUCGCCGGAAAUCCCAAAAACCACACCGGGACGCCGCCGGGACCCACUAACUGUCCCGAAACGCACCGACUCAUGCCACGAGUCACCCGCUGCCACAAAACACUCCAAUUUAGAUGUGACAUGGCAGCAAACACAAGCAAACACAACCAAACAACUAUCACCGGAUAAUUGUACGAAUCCGGGUUCCCGAAAAUGUCUAUUUCGACACCGAAACCCACCGUCGCCCACCCGUCAUUUCUGAACUCUCGAAAUGAAGCGAGUGACCAGCCAACAAGGCUCAGCGACUACACAAUAGCUCACGAAGCACCGUCGGAAUAAUUCUAAACCAAAACCGCGUUCCGUCGGCGGAUUUUGCCGACAAACGCACCGAAAAUACAUUUUCGAUCUUCGCAAAGGUCCGGGGCCUUGGACAAUCAGUCCAGAGAUCACCCACAGCCUGCCCAUGCUGCCAACAGCAGCCGUAGCAACCAGAAUUGCAUAAAAGCCCUUUCGAAUACCCGAAAUCGCAUUAUUUCAUGCGAUUUCGGCGCUUUUAUGGUCCGUCUACACAAACUAGGAGUCAAUCAGCGAAACCGAGACACCUACUGACAGAUCUCGGCGUGCCGGAGGCCGUGCUCACCUUUUGGAGCAAUUCCGGCCACUGUGGGGAACGCACGAGCGACGCGAAAUUCAGUAAACUGCGCGCACAACAUGAAAAUCAUGCUUAUCUCGCUAACCAGGGGCUCGCUGACCCUAAAUGAGGUGAGCACUGCUAUCAGCACUGAUAGACGAUCACCGUGCUCACCUCCGGAGGCAUCGGAACAGCCUCGGGUCGCCGGAACAGUGACUAGAACAGAAAAACAUGUGCAGAAAGGCUGAAAACCAGCUUACAGAGCUAGGCAGGGCUCGGGGUGGCCGGCGGCGGCCGGACAGCGGGCAGGCCGGCCAGGGGAAGGAAGCACCAGGUCAGAGAUGGAAGCAGCAGGUCGGGGAGGUCCGGGGAAGGUGCUGGCCGUCGGCGGGAGGUGGCCGGUGGCGCGGCAGCGCAGCUCAAAGCCGCCGAGUUCCUCUCGGGUUCGAGUUUCCCGGCGGCGCGGCGGCGGCCGGAGGGGGUCGGGGCUGCAAGGAUCCGGUGCCGGAGACCGAGGGGAAGGUGGUGUACCCCUCGGUGGGCUGUGGCGGUGCUUGGGAGCCGAGCGGGCCCGACCUCGGCCCGCCCGGGUCUGGGCGGCUACAAGAGCCUCGGGCGGCGGCCGGCGGUGGUCGAGGGUGGCCGGGGACGCGCGCCGGAGGUAGUCGGAGGGUGAGGAAAGACGGCGCGACCGAUCUGGAGUGGCGGCGGCGCGUGGCCCUCGAGCCCACCCGAGCUCGGUCUGGGCUGACCGAGGUGGCCGCAGGGAGCAGAGGCGGCGCCGGCGGCGCACGGGAGCGGCAGGGGCCGGCUGCGGUGGUCGCCGGACGGUCGGCGGAGACCUCCGCGGCCGUCGGGAAGCGACGGCAGGGCUAGGGGGCGGCGCGGCUCCAAGGUUGGCCCGGCUCGGACUGGGCUGACCCGGGCUGGCCGUAGCUUCCCCCAGGCGGCUCCGGCGGCGCGCGCGGGCGGCGACGGCCGGCGGGGAGGCUCGUCAGGGGACAGGGGCAACACCAGCGAUGGCCUGGAGGCAAGGCAGCCUCGGCCUGGCUCCAACCCGAGAGAGGGAGAGAGAGAGAGAGAGAGAGAGAGAAAGAAAAAGGUUCCGGCGGCGGCUGGCCGGCCGGGGCUCAGUCGGCGGCGGCCUGGGCGUGCGCAACAGGGCAGGGAAGAGGGAUGAAUGUGGCAGGGGGGCUAGGGUUAGGGUUUCUAGUAGCAAACCCUAAAACACCUUUGUAUACCUAGCUCCAAAAUGCGGAAAAGCCCCUCGAACUUCAGUAUUUGGUACUAAGUCCCAUACAGCGCGUGUAAAACGCGAGAAUACCCCUCCACGUGCGAUCCCUCGUAAAACGGUACAUAAAAUAUUGCGACUUUUGCGAAAAUACCGUUUUUGCCACUACCGACCUCUCCUCGAACAACGCGCGAUUUCCGCAGAUCCGUCCGUCAGAUUUGCGAACGGAUUGCACCAGUGCGAUCAGCACGACGGAGACAACAAAGCUACGAUUUUGGUUCACCUCGAUCGACCACGGAUUCGCGACGAAAUCCAACCUUCUUCCAAUAGGAGGAAUAACACACAAAUACAUAUAAAACAUGUAUUUUUGGAUUUUCUCGAAAUCCGUGCGUCGAACUCAAAAUCCGUCAGUGCCACUAGUUCCAGAACAGCUGAACCGGUCGAAACGAGCUAUUGGACUGAUAUGAACGGAGUCUGAUACGCACCAGAAGCCAACUCUACUCCGUGGCUUCUCCGGAAAACCGGAGUUACUAUUCACUUAAGUGAAAACUAAUAAUCGCGUAACUUCUCCGUUUUAGCUCAUUUUCUCCUGAAACUUGACGAGUGCUUAUGUAAUUAAAUUACACACAUAAACAUCGUCAACAGAGAGUUUAGUUGCACUGUCAAAAAAUCUCAGUCCUUACAUCAUCCCCCCCUUAAAAGAAGUUUCGUCCUCGAAACUUGACCACGUACCCACCGUAAUCGAACUCUGACAUUGCCCCACCGACACGGUAACACCUUUGGAUACUGGUCAAUCACAAAUCUAGAAUUGGACAGAUCAACCUUAGAAAAGGGGAGAAUAGGACUGCGGUUCCACAAGAACAAGACGAGGGGAACGUACCAAACCAAAGUCUGCGGACCAUAACACACCGGGAUCAACACCAUCCUGUAACCUUGGUCCGAAAAGCCUCAACCGACUCGACCACGUCACUAAGUUCACGAGAAAGAAUCACGAGCCAACACCACCAAACCGGAGUCAAAAAAAUUUCGACUAGCCAACAAUAUCAACUUGCUCACCACGAGCGAAGACGAAACGUUCUCCUAAAACUCGAGUCGGUAGAAACAGAAUCUGAGACUACAGUCUCCCACUAACCGAUCACGCAACUGCCGAAGUCAAGUCCACAUCCACGGAAAGCCGCCUUUGACAUUCGACAGUCUUAGGUCCCACAACCUCACCUUUCACCUGACCGAAAAGGUCGAAGGCUGACAAAACUAAUUGAGCUUGACAAACCGCUUGCUCAAUUAGAACUGGUUCGACUAAACCAAUAAACUCGCCAUGCAAGUCCAAAACUUGGUGCACAGGAUUGCAAAUCGCACUAUACGAUACAAACCAUCGGUGAUGCUCAACACCUGUCUCUACGAGACCCUGUCGCUGCCGUCCUACAAGGGACCCUAGCGAUCGGUGUUUCGAGCAACACCAGAUAACUGUCUCAUUGAGAUCCUGGCGCACCUGUCACCAAUUAACCGGACAAGCAUACAAUUCUAAAGUCGCACAGUAGGCUGAAAUACAAUCCUUACACCAUAUCACCUACUGUGACAAUCAAAGCCAACAACUAGGCUCAAGUCACUCAACCAACAAUUUUGAACCUCAAGACAACAGACCGAAACUACUAACCAACAAACCUUUUUGCGGUGAUGAUAAAUCAACUGCGCAAACCUGCCAAGAGAAUACAAGGCCCCACUAUGUGGUCAAAGAUGACCGAUACCCAAUCAUCCUUACAAGACUAUUUCUCUAGCUUUCACACAAAACAGUCUAGAGAACACAUCGACCCAAUCCAUAAGUCCCAAAUGGGAAGAUGGUAUUUCGUUCCUCUUUCGACAGUAUAUUGUCUGCAGCCAAUAUACUUAUCAAAAGAAAAGCGAAAUAUCCGAAGAUCCACUACCAACAACCAGUUGGAAGUACAACGCGAUAAAGUAUCAAGCCACUUGAUACCUCUCUACUGAACCAGAAGUUCACAACCAAUACUAUCGAAACAUCAACUUUACAAGUCGACAUUCAAAAUUAGAACGACCCUGGAACAUCUUAAAUCUAGACCAACUACAACCAACCCACAACACACCAAUUUGGGUGUUAGAAUAACCGCAUACGAUGUAUGCCUUAACGAAAACAUGACACCAAAACUGUGUCAAUCCGAUUCUAGUAGGAAGAAAGAACGAGUUCAAGGUCAAAAGAUCCGAACCGCUGAUUCGAAUCAACAAUCAAGGAGGAUAGGUAGGCAUCACAACCCUACCCAAAAAAUCUGCGGAAGCAACACUAACAAUGCAGUCGCCUAAACGACCGCUACCAAACCCUGGGCUACACCCUAGUAGCCCCACUGAAGUCGCGACCGUAACUGGUCUAAGCACCGUCUCCGUGGAGACACUCGCAACAGCUCUCGUGUCCUAAGUAAAGAGAGUGGCCUGGGCGUCGGCAGUCAUGACACUCGCCUAGGCCCAGAGAUCACUGGCCUUUCAAGGCCCCACCUGAUAGGAAUGGCUACACCUGGGGGACGUCGCCCCACCACUCGAUGUCCGAAAAAGUACCCCGCCACUACACCCGACUUAGACACCAGCUUGUGCGAACCGUAACACGUACAUAAACACCAUGCACUUCGAGUUUACCAAACUCGAAUGCAACCCAGGACGCAAGUCCAAACCCCGCACUCACGUGCCUAUAUACCGUGGUCUUCCUAUUGGUCAACCUAACCAAUGGUUCAGUUUCAUUUACUUUUCAAAACAACCUGUGAAUGGUGUUGUGGUUGUAACCCUUUGCUCUGAUACCAUUUUAAUCUGUCACGCCCCGGGGUCCCCUUUUUGUUUGAAAUACAGCGGAAAAGCGUUUGAAAAUUUUUUUUGAAAACCUGACCCCAGAGUAUGCCAGAUCCGCCACAAAUACAGGGAAUCCACUGUUCACACGGACAGAGUCUCCCCUGUACUUGCACGGCGUCACACAAGUACAGAAGUACAAACAGUAUACAACCACAAUCAAAUGAAUAUACAGAUAGCUAUACAUUCAUACAUUCUCCAUUCACAUCACAGUGUUACAUUCGAGGUUUAAAGAGAAAUCUACAAAAACCUUUUGAAAGCUGUUUCCUACACAGAAACCUUUAUUCUUUUAAAAACGCUACCACGAGGGGUAGAAAAUCUUUUAUUUUACAAAAUCCAGAAAUCCACCUUUUCAAAUGUAAAUGAUUACUGAACCACAUAAACCAACUAAACUAUAUAUCAACAGAAAUACCGAGGAUAAUAACUAAAUCGAAAUAACCUGGGUCGGAAGCUCUAUCGACCGCUACACACGUACCUCACGUCUCGUCCCACUACUCAUCGCCCGCGAUACCUGAAAAAUGGUGGGGGAGGUGAGAACAUGUAAACAUGUCUCCCCUCCCAGUGGGUACCGCAAGCCGAAGAAGGCGAGGAGUACUCACCGGAUCAGGAAGAGAUGACCAACAGUAUGGGUAAGUAAAAUGCUGUAGCAACGAUAAUGAACGAAUGAGAUAUAUAUAUAUAUGAAAACAUAACUACCGCUACUGUAUGUACAACUGCAAGCAUACAAGGAUAUCAAUACUAUAGUAGCAAGACAACUGUAAAGAAAGAACUAGAAGUACAUAUGCAACAACCGCUACUAUAGCUAUAUGCGUCAACCGGACGAGAAGUCCAAAAGUACCCAAUCUAAACCGCCGUGUCGGUCUAAGGACCUCAGGCAAAAGCCACUAUCUGCUCACACCUGGCAUGUAACCCUAGCACAAAGAGAACACCGCUGGGCUCACGGGUCGGAUGUACGACCACUUUUCCGGAAAAGAACACCCUCCUGCGGGGGAUCAACCCGCUGGUGUACGUGAAAUGCACUCGAGCUGUGGCGAUCAAUGCGGAUAUGAUCAAUAGCCAACCGUCGGCAAUCAGCCGACAAUCACUGCCCCUCUGGGCAUACCGACCGUGUAGGUCAUCAAGCUAUAAAGAAGCACAAGAACUGACCACUCAGGUCAACUAGGAUGGAACGACUCUACAUCCUCUCAAGUGUAUGCAAGUACUGACUAAUCAAGUCAACUGGGAUGGAACGACUCAACAUCCUACCAAAAGUGUGUCGAUACUGAUCAAUAAGUCAACUACUGUAUAUAUGCAAGGAUCAAUCAACAAGUCAUAUGAGUAUAUAAUCUAGAACUACCAUCGGCCAUAACCCGACAAUCCUACCCCUCAGGGUAUACCGACCUCAAAGGUCAUCAAGCAACAAGAAUCCAGAACGGACAGACUAGGUCACAAAAGGUCAAAUGACGGAUCUGUGAAGACUAUAGUCAUCCGUCGACAACUAGUCGACAAUCCCACCCCUCAGGGUAUACCGACCGUAUAGGUCAUCGAACAACAGGAAUCAAGGAACUGAUCAAGUAGGUCACCAUUACGGAAUACCAGAAUCGACCGACUAGGUCACUAACAUCACAGAUGGUCACGGAACCGCUCUACUAUAAACAUGAUAUAAGAUAUGUAGAACCAGCUAGUAGAGCAACAAGAGAACAUGAUAUCAAACACAGAUAGACUACACUCCUACACAUGAUACUAAGCAUGGAAACAUCUGAAUAUAGUAUAAUUAAACAACGUGGAAGCUAGGCUCAACAUAUAGUAUAAGCAUAGAGACAAUAGUAAGAGGGCAAGGGUAAGAAACCAUCACCGAACGUGCACCACUGUACCGACGUCGGAUCGAAGUACCCACCUGUACAACUGUCGCGCAUGUCUCCUGACUGCAAAGGAACGUCAUCCGGACCUAAGGAGGGUUCACUGGGUUAGUGUCUAACCCACAGCUAAGAAACCGUAAAAGCAUAACCCACAAACAAACCCACGGAGAUCGGUUUUCCCAAAACCAAAUACCGUAACUCGCCGGAAGUCCCAAAAAUCACACCGGGACUCCGCCGGGACCCACUAACUGUCCCGAAAGGCACCGACUCAUGUCACGAGUCAUUCGCUGCCACUAAACACUUAUUUUAGUGUGACAUGGCAGCAAACACAAGGAUACACAACCAAACAACUAUUGGUGGGUAAUUGUUGGGAUCCGGGUUCCCGGAAGUGUCUAUUUCGACACCGAAACCCACCGUCGCCCAUCCGUCAUUUCUGAACUCUUGAAAUGACGCGAGUGACCAGCCAAUAAGGCUCAGCGACUACACAAUAGCUCACGAAGCACCGUCGGAAUAAUUCCGAACCAAAACCGCGUUCCGUAGGCAGAUUUUGCCGACAAACGCACCCGAAAAUACAUUUUCGGUCUUCGCAAAGGUCCGGGGCCUUGGACAAUCAGUCCAGAGGUCACCCCCAGCUCACCCAUGCUGCCAACAACAGCCACGACAAAUCACAUUGCAUAAAAGCCCUUUCGAUUCCAAGGAAUCACAUUAUUUCAUGUGUUUUUCGGGCUUUUAUGGUCCGUCUACGCAAACCAGAGGUCAAUCAGCCGAGCUAAGAUACCUAUUUACAGGUUUCGACGUGCCGGAGGCCGUGCUCACCUUUCGGAGCACUGCCGACCACAAGGGAAAGCGCACAAGCAGUGUGAACUUCAGCAAAACAGCGCGCACUGUCACUUAGUCGCGUCAAACACGCAAACCGGGGAACCGUUGACCCCGACGGAGGUGAGCACGAUGUUCAGCACGAAGUAAGGAUCAUCGUGCUCACUUCCCGGAUUAUCGGAGUGUCCUCAGAUCACCAGAAAGGUGACAGGAACUCUAAACUACAGUGCUGUCAACGUAAACAGUGCUUACCGGACCAGUGGGAGCUAGGGCUCGUCGCCGGCGAUCGGGCGGCGGGCACUCCGGCCAGUGAUGGAAGCAGCAGGUCGGGGAGGUCCGGGGAAGGUGCUGGCCGGCGGCGGGAGGUGGCCGGUGGCGCGGCAGCGCAGCUCAAAGCCGCCGAGUUCCUCUCGGGUUCGAGUUUCCCGGCGGCGCGGCGGCGGCCGGAGGGGGUCGGGGCUGCAAGGAUCCGGUGCCGGAGACCGAGGGGAAGGUGGUGUACCCCUCGGUGGGCUGUGGCGGUGCUUGGGAGCCGAGCGGGCCCGACCUCGGCCCGCCCGGGUCUGGGCGGCUACAAGAGCCUCGGGCGGCGGCCGGCGGUGGUCGAGGGUGGCCGGGGACGCGCGCCGGAGGUAGUCGGAGGGUGAGGAAAGACGGCGCGGCCGAUCUGGAGUGGCGGCGGCGCGUGGCCCUCGAGCCCACCCGAGCUCGGUCUGGGCUGACCGAGGUGGCCGCAGGGAGCAGAGGCGGCGCCGGCGGCGCACGGGAGCGGCAGGGGCCGGCUGCGGUGGUCGCCGGACGGUCGGCGGAGACCUCCGCGGCCGUCGGGAAGCGACGGCAGGGCUAGGGGGCGGCGCGGCUCCAAGGUUGGCCCGGCUCGGACUGGGCUGACCCGGGCUGGCCGUAGCUCCCCCCAGGCGGCUCCGGCGGCGCGCGCGGGCGGCGACGGCCGGCGGGGAGGCUCGUCAGGGGACAGGGGCAACACCAGCGAUGGCCUGGAGGCAAGGCAGCCUCGGCCUGGCUCCAACCCGAGAGAGGGAGAGAGAGAGAGAGAGAGAGAGAGAGGCAGAAAAAGGUUCCGGCGGCGGCUGGCCGGCCGGGGCUCAGUCGGCGGCGGCCUGGGCGUGCGCAACAGGGCAGGGAAGAGGGAUGAAUGUGGCAGGGGGGCUAGGGUUAGGGUUUCUAGUAGCAAACCCUAAAACACCUUUGUAUACCUAGCUCCAAAAUGCGGAAAAGCCCCUCGAACUUCAGUAUUUGGUACUAAGUCCCAUACAGCGCGUGUAAAACGCGAGAAUACCCCUCCACGUGCGAUCCCUCGUAAAACGGUACAUAAAAUAUUGCGACUUUUGCGAAAAUACCGUUUUUGCCACUACCGACCUCUCCUCGAACAACGCGCGAUUUCCGCAGAUCCGUCCGUCAGAUUUGCGAACGGAUUGCACCAGUGCGAUCAGCACGACGGAGACAACAAAGCUACGAUUUUGGUUCACCUCGAUCGACCACGGAUUCGCGACGAAAUCCAACCUUCUUCCAAUAGGAGGAAUAACACACAAAUACAUAUAAAACAUGUAUUUUUGGAUUUUCUCGAAAUCCGUGCGUCGAACUCAAAAUCCGUCAGUGCCACUAGUUCCAGAACAGCUGAACCGGUCGAAACGAGCUAUUGGACUGAUAUGAACGGAGUCUGAUACGCACCAGAAGCCAACUCUACUCCGUGGCUUCUCCGGAAAACCGGAGUUACUAUUCACUUAAGUGAAAACUAAUAAUCGCGUAACUUCUCCGUUUUAGCUCAUUUUCUCCUGAAACUUGACGAGUGCUUAUGUAAUUAAAUUACACACAUAAACAUCGUCAACAGAGAGUUUAGUUGCACUGUCAAAAAAUCUCAGUCCUUACAGUGAGCUAUUGUGUAGUCGCUGAGCCUUGUUGGCUGGUCACUCGCGUCAUUUCGAGAGUUCAGAAAUGACGGGUGAGCGACGGUGGGUUCCGGUGUCGAAAUAGACACUUUCGGGAACCCGGAUUCGUAUAAUUAUCCGGUGAUAAUUGUGUAGUGGUGUUAGCUUGGGUUUGCUGCCAAAACAUCCAAAUUGGAGUGUUUUGGGGCAGCAGGUGACUCGUGGCAUGAGUCGAUGAGUUUCGGGACACUUAGUGGGUCCCGACGGCGUCCCGGUGUGGUCUUCGGGAUUUCCGGCGAGUUACGGUAAUCGGUAUUUGGAAACCGAUCUUCGUGAAAUUGUUUGUGGGGUUAUGGAUACUGUGGUUAUUAGUUGUGGGUUAGAUACUAACCCGGUGGACCCUUUAUAGGUCCAGUUGACAUUCUUUUGGAGUCAGGAGACAGACGCGACAUCCUUACAGGUGGGUACUUCGAUCCGACGUCGGUACAGUGGUGCACGCUCGGUGAUGGUUUCUUACCUUUGUUCUCCUGUUAUUAUCUGGCAUAUAUAUAUAUAUAUAUGUAUAUCUCUUGAUAUAAAGUGUUGAGCCUUGCACCUGCAUUUAUAUCUGCAUUCCUCUACUCAGUUAUUUCCAUGUUGAUAUCAUGCCUAGGAGUAGAGUUAACUUAUCUGUUCACUAUAUCUGUGAUUUGGUUGGGCGUAGAGUUGACUUAUCUGUUCAUUAUAUCUGCAUUCCUCUACUCAGUUAUUUCCAUGUUGAUAUCAUGCUUAGGAGUAGAGUUGACUUAUCUGUUCACUAUAUCUGUGAUUUGGUUGGGCGGUUCUCCUAUUUUGAUAUCUAUGACCUAUUCGGUCGAGUUGCUACAGUUCUAUCUAUAUCUGUGAUUUGGUUGGGCGGUUCCCCUAUUUUGAUAUCUGUGACCUAUUCGGUCGAGUUGCUACAGUUCUAUCUAUGUCUGUGAUUUGGUUGGGCGGUUCCCCAUUUGAUAUCUAUAACCUAUUCGGUCGAGUUGCUACAGUUCUAUCUUGACAUACGUAGCCGAUAUUUUGCUGAUGGCCUAUACGGUCGGUGAGCCCUGAGAGGCUGGAUUGUCGGCUAGUUGCCGAUGGAUGAUCUUUGAGCAUACUACAUUGAUCGCCAAUGCAGGUACGCAUUUCACGAACACCAGCAGUCUGAUCCACCGCAAGAGGGUGUUCUUUUCCGGAAAAGUGGUUGGACUGCCAACCCGUGAGCCCAGGGGCUUUAUUGCGAGGGUAUAUGCUUCUGACCCAGGGGCUUUAUUGCGAGGGUCAGGUAUAUGUUUCUGGCCCAGGCGCUUCAUUGCGAGGGUCAGGAACAGGUUGAGCAGUGUGGCAUGGGCCUGAGGUCCUCGGACCAAUAGGGCAUCGAGAUUGGGUAUUUUUGAGGUUAUCGUCAGUUGACGCAUGCAUACAGUAGCUGUAGUGUUUAUUUCCAGUACAUCCUUAUCUGUUUAUUGUAGCUACUGUUUUAUUUACCUGCAUCUAUACUUGUCAGCUUCUUACAUAUCUCUUUCGUUUACUAUUGUUCCCACUGUAUUUUCACUGACCCGUGCUGUUGUUUAGCUCUUCCUGAUCUGGUGAGUACUCCUCGCCUUCAUCGGCUUGCGGUACCCACUGGGAGGGAAGACAUGUUUACAUGUUCUCACCUCCCCCACCAUUUUUUCAGGUAUCGCAGGCGAUGGGUAUUGAGACGAGACGUGAGGCACGUACGUAGCGGUCGUUAGAUCUUCCGACCCAGGUUAUUUCGAGUUAGUUAUUAUCCUUGGUAUUUCUGUUGAUAUAUAGUUUAGUUAGUUUAUGUGGUUCAGUAUUUAUUUACAUUUGAAAAUGUGGAUUUCUGGAUUUUGUAAAAUAAAAGGUUUUCUACCCCUCGUGGUAGCCUUUUUAAAAGAAUAAAAGUUUCUGUGUAGGAAACAGUUUUCAAAAGAUUUUUGUGGAUUUCUGUUUAAACCUUGAAUGUAAAACUGUGAUGUGAAUGGUGAAUGUAUGAAUGUAUAAUUAUCUUUAUAUUCAUCUGAUUGUGGUUGUAUCCUGGUUGUACUGUGUAUUUGAUCGACGCCGUGCAAAUACAGGGGAGACUCUGUCCGUGUGAACAGUGGAUUCCCUGUAUUUGUGGCGGAUCUGGCAUACUCUGGGGUCAGAUUUAAAAAAAAAAAAAUUCAGACACUUUUCCGCUUUGUUUUAAACUGAAAAGGUACCCCGGGGCGUGACAGAAACCGCGUUCUUUCGGCGAAUUUCGCCGAAAAACGCAUCGAAAUCGACUCUUCGAUUUCUGCAAAAGCUAACGGAUCAUGGACAAUCAGUCCAGAGGACACCACACAUGUCUACACACUACCCACAGUAGACCCAAGGCUCACAAUUGCACAAAAGCCCCUGAAUUUACAUAAAAUCCCAAUAUUUUAUGUAAAUCGGGCGAUAACAUAGCCCGUACACGCAAACCGAGGACUUCUAAGUUCUGCUGAGACACAUACUGAUAGGUCUCGACGUACCGAAGGCCGUGCUCACGGUCUGGAGCGCAACAGGUCACUGUGGGAAGCGCGGGAGCAACCCGAAGGUUCAGCGAANNNNNNNNNNNNNNNNNNNNNNNNNUGUACCCAAUCUGUGCCUGCUAUAUUGGUCCGCAGACCUCAAGCGCUGCCUGUCACUAACUGCACCGACCUGAUCCAUCUGCCCCGCAGGACGACCCAUCCGGAUAAGUACACCUCCGAUCGGUGGCCAAACCGAUCCGGUGUCAUGAAUACCCCCAAGUGCCGUGACUAAGUCAUGCUGGUAUGCUCAAACAAAAACAAACCCGGCGAAAGCCGGUGCCUAGGCCGAAGCCAACAACGAGGGCGUACAAUGCCAAACUGAAAUAGAAGCUAGGGCGUACAAUGCCGAACUGAAAUAGAUGCUAGGGCGUACAACGCCGAACCUCGAUCAACCAGAUCGAAACACACGACAAGAGAGUCGAUGUGUUGCCUGGACCCAAGGUCCACAGAAAUACUGAAAUACGAAUGCAGCCUGCUCUACAUGUCUAUCCACAACUAUACAAUGCAAUCAAGGGGUGCGAUAACCAAACGAUAACAAGCAAUGACAUGUAGAGACUAAAUACAAGAAUAGAAAAUUAGGAGAAGGAAGUGAAACGCUCUCACCGACUACCAGCUCGAAGCACCCACCUGUCACUGUCGCGUCGGAACAUCGGGUACGCACAAGUCUACUGGACCUAAGAAGAUCCACCAAGUCAGUAUCCAAACCACUAACCCAAAGCACGAGACUCACAAACCCCUACACAGGAUCCCCGAAUCGGUUUCCCAAAACCGAUCAUCGUAACUCACCGGAAGUCCCGAAAACCACACCGGGACGCCGUCGGGACCCACUAAGUGUCCCGAACUCACCGACUCGUGCCACGAGUCACCCGCUGCCCCAAAGCACUCCAAUUUGGAUGCAUUGGCAGCGAACACGAGGUAACACAACAAUAUGAUCAUCGCCGGAUAAUCGUACGAAUCCGGAUUCCCGGAAGUGUCUAUUUCGACACCGGAACCCUCUGUCGCUCACCUAUCAUCAUCGAACCCACAAAAUGAUGAUGGUGACCAGCCAACAAGGCUCAGCGACAAAACACGAAGCAACCAAACACCGUCGGAAAGAAUCCGAACCGAAACCGCGUUCUUUCGGCGAAUUUCGCCGAAAAACGCACCGAAAUCGACCUACCGAUUUCCGCGAAAGCUAACGGACCAUGGACAAUCAGUCCAGCGGUCAAUACAAACUCCCACACACUGCCCACAGUAGCCGCAAGGAGCACAAAUGCAUAAAAGACCCUCAAUUUACAUAAAAUCCUAUUAUUUCAUGUAAAUUGAGCGAUCAAGUGGCUCAUUCACAAAAACCGAGGACUCCCGAAGUCCGCAGAGACACGUACUGACAGAUCUCGACGUACCGGAGUCCGUGCUCAUGAUCCGGAGCACAGCGGCUCGCUGUGGGAAGCGCGGGAGCAACCCGAAGGUUCAGCGAAUAGCGCGCAGUCAGGGAAGAUCACGCCGAACAGAACUAACCGGACACUUCUGAUCCAAAGUGAGGUGAGCACUGUGAUCAGCACUGACCAACGAUCACCGUGCUCACCUCCGGAGGCAUCAGGACAGCCUCGGAUCGCCGGAUAAGCGUGCGCAAACCCAAAACAGCAGCCAAGAAGGCUGAAACGGAGCGACAUCGCCAAAACAGCGGAACGGGGCCUUCCCGACAGAAACCAAGGUGAGCACGAUGAUCAGCAAUUCGCUACGAUCAUCGUGCUCCCUUCCGCAGAGAUCGGGGAGGCUCGGAAAGCCCAGAACAACAAACAGCCCUAAACUGAGCCCUAUUUCGGGCUUGGCCGGAGCAACCUUGCUCCGGCCGGCCUCCGGCGACACGGCGGCGCGAGCGGGGGCCAGGGUCGAGUGCGGGGGUGGUGAGUAACACAGUGCUCACCUCGGUUGGCGGCGGGGAGCUGCGACGGCGUCGGCGGAGCAAGUUGAGCCCGCACGAGAUCGGGCUCGGGUUCCAGGAGUUGCUGCGGCCACGGCGGCGGCCGGGGAGCUCCGGGAAGGCAGAGGCGGGCUGCAGGAGGUCGGGGGAGGGCGGCACAGGUGGCUCAGGGAGGCGGCGACGCGAGGAAAGGGGCCGCACACAGCUUCGGCUCGGGCUCGGGUUGGGCGGCUGUAGCCGGCCGAGGCGGCGGCGGCGGCGGCGCGCUGGGNAGUCUACCGGACCUAAGAAGAUCCACCAAGUCAGUAUCCAAACCACUAACCCAAAGCACGAGACUCACAAACCCCCACACAGGAUCCCCGUAAUCGAUUUCCCAAAACCGAUUACCGUAACUCACCGGAAGUCCCGAAAACCACACCGGGACGCCGUCGGGAUCCACUAAGUGUCCCGAACUCACCGACUCGUGUCACGAGUCACCCGCUGCCCCAAAGCACUCCAAUUUGGAUGCCUUGGCAGCGAACACAAGGUCACACAACAAUACGAUCAUCGCCGGAUAAUCGUACGGAUCCGGGUUCCCGGAAGUGUCUAUUUCGGCACCGGAACCCUCCGUCGCUCACCUAUCGUCAUCGAACCCACAAAAUGACGAUGGUGACCAGCCAACAAGGCUCAGCGACAAAACACGAAGCGACCAAACACCGUUGGAAAGGAUCCGAACCGAAACCGCGUUCUUUCGGCGAAUUUCGCCGAAAAACGCACCGAAAUCGACCUACCGAUUUCCGCAGAAGUUAACGGACCAUGGACAAUCAGUCCAGCGGUCAAUACAAACUCUUACACACUGCCCACAGUAGCCACGCAAAGCACAAUUGCAUAAAAGACCCUCUAAUUACAUAAAAUAUCGUCAUUUUAUGUAAUUUGAGCGAUCAAGCGGUUCGAUCACGCAAACCGAGGACUUUUGAAGUCCGCAGAGACACGUACUGACAGGUCUCGACGUACCGGAGUCCGUGCUCACGAUCCGGAGCACAGCGGCUCGCUGUGGGAAGCACGGGAGCAACCCGAAGGUUCAGCGAAUAGCGCGCAGUCAGGGAAGAUCGCGCUGCACAGAACUAACCGGACACUUCUGAUCCAAAGUGAGGUGAGCACUGUGAUCAGCACUGACCAACGAUCACCGUGCUCACCUCCGGAGGCAUCAGGACAGCCUCGGAUCGCCGGAUAAACAAGCACAAACCCGAAACAGCAGCCAAAAAGGCUGAAACGGAGCGACAUCGCCAAAACAGCUGAACGGGGUCUCCCCGACAGAAACUAAGGUGAGCACGAUGAUCAGCAACUUGCCAGGAUCAUCGUGCUCCCUUCCGUAGAGAUCGGGGAAGCUCGGGAAGCUCGGAACAUAAACUCAUCCACAAUAAGCCCUAUUUCGGGCUUGGCCGGAGCAACCUUGCUCCGGCCGGCCUCCGGCGGCACGGCGGCGCGCGCGGCGGCCAGGGACGGGUGCGGGGGAGGUGAGGAGUGAGGUGCUCACCUCAGACGGCGGCGAGGAGCGGCGGCGGCGGCGGUGGAACCAACUCAGCCCGCACGAGCUAAAGCUCGAGUUCCGGCGAAGCUACGGCCACGGCGGCGGCCGGGGCUCCUCGGGAACGACGGCGGCAGGUCCCCAACGGCCGGAGGAGGAGGAGGGAGGUGGCGGGCAACAGCGGCGGCGGCCCGCGGCUCGGGUGUGGCUGCCCGAGCUUGGCUCGGGCUGGGCGGCUGCAGCCGGCCGAGGCGGCGGCGGCGGCGCGCUGGGGCGGCGGCGGCCGGCGGGAAGGGGCGCCCGGGCACGGGGGAUGUCGGCGGGAGGGUUUCCAGGCGGUGGCGGCGCGCUGGCAGCAGCUGCAACCCCCCUCGGCCAGGCUCGGCCUGGGUUGCAGCAGGCCACAGGAGCAGCAGCGGCGGCGCCCGGCGACGGCGGCGGUCGGCGGGGAAGGUUGCCGGAGCACUAUGCGGUCCCGGGGGAGGGUCUGCAGAAGGCGCAGCCCGGGCCUUCACACAACCCGAGAGGAGAGUGGGAGAGAGAAAGAGAUGGAGAAAGAUGGAGAGGAGAGCUCCGGCAGCCGGCGGCGCUGCUCAGGUGGCCGGGGCGCGCGCAGGAGGAGCAGGGGAAUGUGGGGGAGGCGGCUAGGGGGCUAGGGCAAGGCUAGGUUAGGGUUAGGUGAAACAAAACCCUAAAGAGCAACUAUAUACAAGGUGCAACAAAGCGAGAAAGCCCCUCAAACGUCGGAAUUUCAAUCCGAGUCCCUCACAGUACGACUAAAACACAUGAACGCCCCUCCACGUGCGAUCCCUCGUGAAACGAUACAUAAAAUAUCGCGACUUUCGCGAAAAUACCGUUUUGCCACUACCGACCUCUCCUCGAUCAACACGCGAUCUCCGCAGAUCCGUCCGUCAGAUUUGCGAACGGAUUGCACCAGUGCAAUCAGCACGACGGAGACAACAAAGCUGCGAUUUCGUUUCGUCUUGAUCGACCACGGAUUCACGACAAAAUCCAACCUUCUUCGAAUAGAAGGAAACACACACAUAAAUACAUAUAAAACAUGUAUUUUUGGAUUUUCUCGAAAUCCGUGCGUCAAACUCAAAAUCCGUCAGCGUCAUUAGUUCCAGAAUAGCUGAACCGAUCGAAACGAGCUAUUGGACUGCUAUGAACAGAGUCCGGUACGAGCCAGAAGCCAACUUCUCACCGCGGCUUCUCCGGAAAAUCAAGUUACUAUUCACUUAAGUGAAACUUGGAAAUCGCGUAGAAUUUCCGUUUUAACUCGUUUUCGCCCGAAACUUGACGAGUGCUUUUGUAAUUAAAUUACACACAAAAACAUCAUCAACUGAGAGUUUAGCUACACUGCAAAAAUCUCAGUCCUUACAUUAUGUAAAAAUAUUAAAGAUUGGUACGGUUCGAUCAAAUUUUUUGGACUCUUUCUAUGAUUAGAUCAUUAUCAUUUUAGUCGUUAUGCAUUUGCUAUGAUUUUUUUGUUUUAUACAACAUUAUCGUCAUAUGAAAAUGCAAGAUAAUAUAUCGUGUAGUUCUGAAAAAUUUAACAGAGAUUAGAAAUGGAUCAUUUGCAAUUAUUGUAUUAUUUAAUAAAUGGGAGAUGAUCAUGAACUAGGCUGGACCUUUGUGAUUUGAUUAUGGAUGUAUCUGAAUGUUUCUGAGAUGAGAUGAUGUGAUGUAUUUAUUUAUGGGUGUAAUUUGCAUAACUAUUUGUUAUUUAGUUUUCGGUAUUUGUAAAUAGGGUAUGCUUGUAUUACACUAAACUUUAGCAUAUUGCGGAGUUCUAGUGUGAGGAUAGCGUUUCAUCCUAUCUUUUGGCUUAAGUUUCAAGAACUUAGGCCUGUUUUCAGAGCUUAAUGAGCACGAGAAUGAAUUUUGAUAUCAAAAUCUGCAAAAUUGUACUUUUUGUGUCGAGUACCGGUACUGAAUUGAGGUUUCGGAACUCAGUUGAGCACAGGUUUGGGCAACUCUCGAGUCUUGCAGAACCCGACUGGGUACUAGUACUGCUGCGAGUUGUACCAGUACUAAUACGCUCGAGUAUCGGAACUCAGUUAAUGCCUGAGGAACCCAAUGUUCGAGUUUUACGGAACUGAGCUCCCGGGUACCGGAACUGCCAAGAGUAUCGGUACUCCAAACUGCGUACCGGUACUCAAUGGUGCUGAAACUAUUUUGUACAGUUUGUAAUUUUUUGAUUGUUGAGGGGUCUAUUAGGAUUUUGUGCAAAUGGGUUUACACCCUUAUCACCCCCUCUACUUCUCUUAGUUGGAGAUAGUGAAGGAGAAAAGAGAAGGUAGGUUUUCUCUCCUUCUGUCUUGGAUUUCUUCCUUUGAAUCACUCUAAUCCUUGAAAUUUCUCUCUUUUCUUCAUCUCCUCCACGGAUGCUUGCAUUUAGGACUUGGAGAGGAGGUCAGGAUUGAAGGAAGGGACUUGUUUGAGACUUGGAUUUCAACCUUAGCAUUUUAUAGCUUGGAUUGGAGCUUAAUUUGAGGUCAGUAACAUUCUUGCACCUUCUAAUUGUGUGAUUUGUAAGAAUUUUUGGUAGGAACCUAGUCUUGAGAAAACUAGGAUUUAUUUUAGGGCUUUCUUAUUGAGGGCUCUUAGAGUUAAAUUGAUGAGUACAAAAUACUCUUGUAAGUUGGAAUUUGACCCUUACUGCUUCGGUUUGGACUUUAGACAAGUUUUAAUUGAUCUAAGAUAAUUUUCACCCAUUUUUUAUAUGAUUUUUGGUGAAUUUCGUGGUAAGCCUUUUAGAAACUUGUAACUCCUUGAAAUUUUUUUUUAGGGCAUAAGAAAUUUAGGGGGCAACUUCGUCGGAUAAACGGAUGAGGUUUCGAUAGUUAUCCAAUGGGUUCGACUUCACCGAAGUGGGUAAACUCCCUUCUUACGGAUUUUAAGUUGGCAUAUUUCGUGAAGUAAGUCGGAGUCUUGAAGGUUUAUGGAAGAAAAGAUGAAGAUUGAAGACUCGAAGACUUAAAACAUGAAUCCACAAUGCUUAAUAAGUUUGAAUAAUAUUGAUAAUGAUUUAUGAUCAUUUACAAGUAUUUGGAAGACAUUAGAAUAGAUAAAAAAUGAUUCACAAUAUAAAAAUUAAGUUUUCCAAGUUUCAAGUUCCGGACCCUGAAAGCAAGGUCCGGAACCCGUAAGCCUUCUUAGCUGGCAAGCUGUCAAGGUCAGGACUUUCAAGGUCCGGACCCUGAAUUCAAGGUCCGGAACCUAAACCCAACACAAAUUUUCUAAACUCAGUUUUUCAAUUCUAAUUUGAUUCUAAUUGCUUCCAAACCUAUAAAUAAGAUGUGGGGGUGUUUCUAAAAGGUGACCAAGCAUAGAAUAUCUUUUUGAAGCCCUAGAAACUUGUUGGGUGCCCUUUUUCUUAUCUCCAACAACAAGUUUCUAUCGGAUCAAUUCUUGAAACCCUAAUUUCUUUUCUUCAUGGAGAAUUGAUCCGACUAUUGCUUAGAAAUAUCUUCUACGGUUCUUUCAUGAUUAUCUAAGCAAUAAAUCAUCACCAACCUUGUUCACCUUGCUCCGAACGGAGUGCGCUCGUGGAUUCAAGUUGGCGUCGUGGAUUCGACGUGUCGAAGCUUCGUGGAUUCGAAGUGUGGACGUUUGGUGGAUUCGGGACGUUGCGUUAGUAGAUUCGAACGUGGGCCGUGGACAACCCGUUGGUGUGCACGAGAUCCAGAGAAGAUAAAAGAGCGGUUUGAGUCCGUGGUUCGGUAAUCACCUUGUAAUCUUUUAUUUCUUAGUGGAUUAUUUUUCACGUGUUGGUCCCGUGGGCUUUUCUCCAAACUAGAGUUUUCCCAUGUAAAUCUUGGUGUGCUAUUUUAUUUUUCACGCAUUUAUUUUUAUCACAUUGAGAUUUGUGUUUUUGGCCUAUUCAUCUAUUCACCCCUCUCUAAGUGUUUGAUAGUAUCUAGAUAGAUCCUAAGAUUUUCCGUAACCUACAAUUGGUAUAAGAGCAGGAUCUAGAUAUUUCUAUUAAUAUGGUGAUGGUGGUCGUAUUAAUAGGCCUCCUCUUUUUGAUGGGAUCAAUUAUUGUUUUUCAAAGUACAUUAGAUGAUUGUUACAUAAAUAGUGCUUUGAACAUCAAUAGGUUCACUUUCAUUCACUCCUAGUUAAUUUUGUACUAAUUAUCAGUUUUACUUUAUUUUCAUUAUUUAUGAAGAUAAUUUAUUAUAGGAUAUCUUAAUUCUUAUAUUCAUCAAAUUUGAGUAAUCAUGUGUAAUCUUUAGACACUUAACCUAUCUCGGUUGUGUGUGUUGAAUUUAAUGAAUGAAAAUUUACUAAUAGACUAAAACUUGUCAAAUUUUUUUUCAAAUAAGAUAUUGCAUAAUUAAGGGAGAGUUAUAUAUAAAUAAAAAAAAAAGAGAAAACACUCCAAGUGCUUAAACUCCAAGUGUUUAAAAGAUGUGGAAAGAGUUACAUCCCAAUGGGAGUGUGAAAACUACUACUACAUGUAGGAAAAAACUACCACCCCGGAUGUCCGGUAAGUGUGCGGAGCUACCACAUGAAAUUCUAAUGCAUAACCGAAAAGAUUGAAAAAGUGUUCAUAUUAUAUAAAAAAAAUUUCGGUGUAAUAAGGUGAUCAGUAAAAGAUGCUCGAGGAGCCACCCCCGGUACAUUGUUGCUUGGUCUCGAAUUUGAACGUUUAUGCGACAAAUUUCUGUCAUUUAGUGAAUCUUUAUAAGUUAUCUUUAUAAUUCGUUACAUCUUGAUAGAUUUUGAGCCUUUAGACUAUUUUUGAUGACUUGAUUUUGGAGUAUAUUUGAAUAAAAAAUUUUUAUUAUAUUUAUCUACAUCUUGAUGAAUUUAUAGUAAAAUUCUUAAUUUCUAUAAAAUUGAUGUGGAUUGAAAGAAGUCUAUGUGAAUUUAUUGUAUUCAUACACUAAGAUUAUUAUUUUCACAAUGCAAUCAUUGAAGAUGAGUUUUUGAAGAGAAAGGGGGAGAGAAAUUGAAGUUGAAUAAGUUAACACUGAUGCAUGAACAAAGGGGGAGAGAUUUUUAAAAAUUUUUUUACUAACUUUGUUGUGGAGGAAGUAAUCUUUUUGCAGAUCAUUGAAGACUUCAAGACUCCUUGUGUCCAAGUCAUAGAGUUUAUUUAGGAGUUGCAAAAUUGUAAUUUUGUGUUUUCUUUGGAUCUUUCACGCGAUAAGUUCAUUGUUUUGGUGAUGGCAAUGAAUUUCAAUUUUGAUUUUUGGAGAGUUGAGCGUUGUGAGUAUUUUGAUGUAAUUUUAAGUUUUGUCACCAAAUUGUCAAAGUGGGAGAUUGUUUCGGAUUUUAAGUUGGUAUAUUUCGUGAAGUAAGUCGGAGUCUUGAAGGUUUAUAGAAGAAAAUAUGAAAAUCGAAGACUCGAAGACUCAAAACAUGAAUCCACAAUGCUUGGUAAGUUUGAAUAAUAUUGAUGAUGAUUUAUGAUCAUUUACAAGUGUUUGGAAGACAUUAGAAUAGCUAAAAAAUAAUUUAAAAUAUAAAAAUUAAGUUUUCCAAGUUUCAGGUUCCGGACCUUGAAAGCAAGGUCCGGAACCCGUAAGCCUUCUUAGUUGGUAGGCUGUCAAGGUCAGGACCUUGCAAGCAAGGCUAGGACUUUCAAAGUUCGGACCCUGAAUUCAAGGUCCGGAACCUAAACCCGACACAGAUUUUCUAAACUCAGUUUUUCAAUUCUAAUUUGAUUCUAAUUGCUUCCAAACCAAUAAAUAAGAUGCGGGGGUGUUUCUAAAAGGUGGUAAGUAUAGAAUAUCUUUCUGAAGCCCUAGGAACUUGUUGGGUGCUCUCUUUCUUAUCUCCAAUAACAAGUUUCUAUCGGAUCAAUUCUUGAAACCCUAAUUUAUUUUUUUCAUAGAGAAUUGAUCCGGUUAUUGCUUAGAAACAUCUUCUACGGUUCUUUCAUGAUUAUCUAAGCAAUAAAUCAUCACCAACCUUGUUCAUCUUGCUUCGAACGGAGUGCGCUCGUGGAUUCUAGUCGGCGUCAUGGUGUGGAAUAUUGAUUUGUUAUCAUCCGGACGCAGUGUACGUUGCCGGUUAACGUGUGGGCACGAAGAUGAAACGAGGUGAAACCGUUUUGGCGCGAAAUUGACGCUAAACGGAUGAAUUGGGCCAAUGUUUCAUUAUAAGGGACCAAAUUGCAAAUAGCAAAAAUAGUGGGCCAAGUUACAAAAUGGCUUGUUCUUAUCCCUUUCUUCUCUUUCUCUUUCUUAGAUUUUUUUGUAAGUAAAGAAAAGCAAAAGAGAAAAGAAAGAAUAAAGAAGAAGAGAAAGAGAAGAAGAAGAAGAAGAAGAAGAUAAGAAGGUUUGAUUUCUAGUUUAUUUUCUAUUCCUCUUCCUUCCUUUUACUUUCCUUUCCCCUUCUUAUCUCUCUCCCUCUCACCCCCUCUCCCUCUUGUUGCUGCGAGCAGAGCAGCAGCAGCAGUCCACUGUUGCUGCUCACUGCAGAGCAGCAGCAGCAGUAACAGCAGCUGCAAGGGCAGUAUGAGAAGAAAACAAAGAAAGAGAGAGAGGGACAAAAAAAGAAAAAAGAGGAAAAGAUAGAAAGAAUGAAAGAAAGAUAGAAAGAAAAGGGGAAGGAAAUGAAAUACUGAAACGGAAGUGACAUUGGCACAAUUCCCCUAUCAUCAAAAUUGGACCUUGCAGGGUAUCAAGGCAUGUGAUCGAGUUUGUGACGCACGUCCGGUUAGUCGAAUUGUAAGUGUUUUCAGGUGAUCGUGAACCGAGGAUGUACGUGAGUAGUGCUUUCCUUGCCGGAGCUGAUGUAGCCGUUGAGGUGGGUUCCGAGUCGUCGAAAAUGACGAAAUUCCUUUUAUGUCUAUUUUCCUCGCAUAUGCAUAUAUAUAUAUAUAUAUGGACUUCAAUAUUGAUAAGGGUCGUGUUAGUAUUAAACUGAGUGGAAGAAUGGCUUUCUAGUGUGCGCAGUCGUGAAUGAUGAUUUAUGCAUUGUUUCAAGUAGCAAGGUCAUAUUUAUUCAUAUUUAUAUCUAUCGCGAGGGAUGAGUCAUUGCAAAAUGGGUAAGGAUUUUCAUUCAAUCGCAUAUUGCUACAACUUGAGGUCAUUCUGUGUGAAUCCUCUACCGAAUAGCCGUGAAUAGUGGUUGUUAGCAGCAUAUCAUUUAGACAUACUAGUAGGUCAUGGAAUGCCAAAUGACACUUUGUGCAUCUUGGUGAGUCAUCUCUUACUCAUUUGUAUUGUGCAUGCCAUUUAUUAUGUGAUAGAGGCCGUGGGUAGCGCGGCUGUAGUAUGCUGAUGUUUUGGUCAUAGCGAGAGCAUAUGCAUUUUAUGAUGUAUUUGGUAGAUACCCUCGAUUAGCGUGGCGAUAAUGGACGGAUUUUGGAUAGUGAGAAGUAUAUGAUCAUGCUAUUGUGAUAUAUGCAUUAUUUGAUAUUCUUUGAUUGUGCCGAGGGUAUCAGAUUGGUUGCUUGUGAUCUUUUGACCAUCACAUAGACCAUAGCCUGUAGAGCCAUACUGAGUUGGACAGAGAUACGUACUAUUAGACUCGGUAGGGUCGUGUAAGGACUGAGAUUUUUAUUGCAGUGUUUAAACUCUCAGUUAGACGAUGUUAUGUGGAAUUUAAUUACAUAGCACCGUCAGUUUCAGAAGAAAAUGAGCUUAAAAUGGAAAGAUACGCGAUUUUUAGUUUUCACUUAAAGUGAAUAGUAACUCCAGUUUUCCGGAGAAGCCACCGGAGUAGAGUUGGCUUCUGGUGUGUUCGAACUCGUCAUCGCAGUCCAAUAGUUCGUUCGACCGGUUCAGCAUUCUGGAACUACUGGUGCUGAUGGGAUUUUGGAGUUUUACGCACGGAUUUCGAGAAAAUCAAAAAACAUGUUUUAAUGUAUUUAUGUGGUGUGUUUCCUUCUAUGUUUCGAAGAAGGUUGAGAUUUUUGUCCGUGAAUCCGUGGUCGAUCAGAUGCAAACGAAAUCGCAGCUUUGUUUCUCCGUCGUGCUGAUCGCACUGGUGACCGUUCGCAAAUCUGACGGACGGCAUCUGGCGGAUAUGAGCGUUGAUCGAGAGAGGUCGUGUUAGCAAAACGGUAUUUUCCAAAAAUAGUCGCGAUAUUUUGAUGUAACCGUUUCGCGUGAGAUCGCACGUGAGGGCUUCAUCGCGUUUAGUCAUACUGUGAGGGACUCGGAUUGAAAUUCGAUGUUUGAGGGGCUUUCUCGCUUAAGAUUGCACCGUAUAUAGUUGUUUUAGGGUUUGACCAUCUACCUAACCUAGCCUUGCCCCUAUCCCCUACCUGCCUCCCCCACAUCCCGACGCCUUCCCCCGCGGCCCCGGCCUCCUGAGCACCCCGCUGCCGAGCUCUCCCUCAUCCACCCCUUCAUCUUUCCUCCAUCUCUUUCUCUCUCUCCCUCUCUCCCUCGGGUUGUGUAAGGCCCGGGCUGCGCCUCCUGCAACUCCCCGGGAUCACCGUGCUCCUCGACGUCCGCGACCGUCGCCCAUCGCCGGUGCCGCGCUGCUGUGCUCCGGUCCUGCUGCAACCAGGCCCGAGCCUGGGCCGAGCGGGUUGCCGACAGCCGCCAGCGCGCCGCACCCGCCUAGAACCUCUGUCGACUCCUCCGUGCCGGCGCCCCUUCCCGCCGGUCGCCGCCGCCCCGACGCGCCGCCGUCGCCGCCUCGGCCAGCCGCGGCCGCCCCAGCCGAGCCCAGGUUGAUUCUUGUUUGCGGUCUCUUUCCCGCGCCGCCGCCGCUCGAGGCUGCCUCCUUCCUGCUCCUCUGGCCUCUGGGGACCCGCAGCCGACGUCCCCGACCUUCCCCGGCCGCCGCCGUGGCCGGAGAAACCCGCCGAGCCCGAGCUUCUCUCUUGCGGGCUCGGGUUGCUCCGCCGACGCCGCCGCCGCUUCUCGUCGCCAACCGAGGUGAGCACGGUGUUCCUCACCUCCCCCGCACCCGCCCCUGGCCCCCGCGUGCGCCGCCGUGCCGUCGGAAGCCGGCCGGAGCAAGGUUGCUCCGGCCAAGCCCGAAAUAGGACUUUGUUUGGGGUGUUUGUUGUUCUGGGCUUUCCGAGCCUCCCCGACCUCUACAGAAGGGAGCACGACGAUUCUGGGAAGUUGCUGAUCAUCGUGCUCACCUUGGUUUCUGUCGGGAAGGCUCCGUUCAGCUGUUUCGGCAUUGUCGACCCUGUAGAGCCUGUUUGGCUGCUGUUUUGGGUUUGCGCACGCUUAUCCGGCGAUCCGAGGCUGUCCUAAUGCCUCCGGAGGUGAGCACGGUGAUCGUUGGUCAGUGCUGAUCACAGUGCUCACCUCACUUUGGAUCAGCAGUGUCCGGUUAGCCCUGUUUAGCGCGAUCUUCCCCGACUGCGCGCUAUUUGCUGAACUUUCGGGUUGCUCCCGCGCUUCCCACAGCGAGCCGUUGUGCUCCGAAUCAUGAGCAUGGCCUCCGGUACGUCGAGACCUGUCAGUACGUGUCUCGGCCAAACUUAGAAGUCCUCAGUUUGUGAGAAUGAGUCAUAGAAGUCGCCAGAUUUAUAUAAAAUAAUGGAUUUUAUGUAAACACGGGGGCUUUUGUGCAAUUGUAUGCCUUGUGGCUACUGAGGGCAAUGUGUAUGAGUGUGUUUGACCUCUGGACUGGUUGUCCAUGACCCGAUAGUCUUUGCGGAAAUUGAAAAGUCGAUUCCGGCGCGUUUUUCGGCGAAAUUUGACGAAAGAACGCAGUUUCGGUUCGGAUUUCUUCCGACGUCGUUUGGUUGCUCUGUUAGUAGUCGCUAAGCCUUGUUGGCUGGUCACCAUCAUCACAUUGUGGGUUCGGUGAUGAUGGGUGAGCGACAGUGGGUUCCGGUGUCGAAAUAGACACUUUCGGGAACCCGGAUUCGUACAAUUAUCCGGCGAUAAUUGUGUAGUGAUGUUAUCUUGUGUUUGCUGCCAAAACAUCCAAAUCGGAGUGUUCUGGAGCAGCAGGUGACUCGUGUCACGAGUCGGUGAGUUUCGGGACACUUAGUAGGUCCCGAUGGUGUCCCGGUGUGGUUUUCGGGACUUCCGGUGAGUUACGAUGAUCGAUUUUGGGAAACCGAUUCGAGGAUCUGUGUGGGGGUUUGUGAGAUAGUGCACUUCAGGUGAGUGGGUUGGUUACUGACCCGUUGGAUCUUCGUAGGUCCGGUCGACUUGUGCGUACCCAGUGUUACGACGCGACAGUGACAGGUGGGUGCUUCGAGCUGGUAGUCGGUGAGAUCGUUUCACCCUUCCUCUGUUCUUUCAUAUCAGUAUCAUAGUCUCUACAUGUCAGUUGAUUGUUAUCGCUUGUUUAUCGUAUUCCGUUGAUUGCAUUUGUAUAGUUGUGGAUAGACAUGUAGAGCAGGCUUGCACUCAUAUAUUGCAUCUCUGUGGACCUUGGGUCCAGGCAACACAUCGACUCUUUUGUCAUGUGUUUCGAUCUGGUUGAUCGUGGUUCGGCGUUGUACGCCCUUGCACCUGGCUUCGGCCAUGGCACCGGUCUCUUUUUGCCGAUUUUCGUUGAGCAUAUCAGCAUGAUUUAGUCACAGCACUGUGUAUUCUAGACACCAGGUUGGUUUGGCCACCAACCAAGGGAUGUACGUAUCCGGAUAGGUCGUUGGUGACGCAUGAAUAAGCUCGCAGUGUCUGCUCUGUGACAGGUAACGCUUGAGGUCUGCGGACCAACAUAGCAGUAUCAGAUUGGGUUUGGUUUUGGACUAUUCACCUUUGAGGCAUCUGAUCAGUUGAGUUUUUGGUUACAGUAGUAGUUUCAUUCUUGCUCAGUUAUUAUCCUGUUUCUAUUACUACUGUAGUUGCUUUUACGUCAUAUCAUGUUCAUAUCUGUUAUAGCUACUGUAGUUCGUUUUCAUAUAUCAGUAUCUAUAUUUGUUUAUCUAUCUCCUUUGGUUUCUGGUGAUUACGGCUUGCCUUCGUGGCUCUGUCGUACCCACUGAGAAAACCAUGGUUGCGGUUUCUCACCCCCCAUCCCCCCCCCAGGUGACAUAGACGAGGAGUUGGAUUUUGGGCUCGACGAGAGGACGAUCUAGCUAGUAUGGUAUAGCGAUUGCCACCCUGGUUGUAUUUCUUUCCUGCCUUUAGUAGUCAUUUAAAUAAUGGUUCAGUUAGCUGAUUUUUAUGAUUGUUUGAAUGUGGUGAUCUGGUUUUGGUAGAUCUGUGGAUGCUUUCAUUAUUUAUGCAUGUGAACUGAGGUUUGUGGAUUUGGAUGUUGAUUCUAUGGAUAUCGGAUUUUCUUGUAUUUACAUAUCGUGGUUUUCUACCCCUCGAGGUAGUUGAUUUUCAAAAUAGAGUUUCCGUGUGGGAAAUAGUUUUAAAAAGAUUUUUGAAUGGUUUUUCAUGAUGAAUGAAUUAGAGUUAAAAAAUAAAAGCUUCCAUGUGGGAAGCACUUUUAAAUAGGAUGAUUGUAGUACUGUGCAUUGCAUCAUCCAGCGCCUAAGGAGUGCUUAGAGGCAUGCAUCAUCUCUAAGGAUUGUUAGCUGUAUGAAAAUGCAUAUCAUUAAUUGGUUGUUGAUUGGUAAUUGUAGGUUGUGGUUGUGAUCCUGUUGUAUAGUUAGUACGCCGUGCAAAUACAAAGGAGACUCUGUCCGAGUGGACAGAUGAACUUUGUAUUUGUGGCGGGUCUGUACGUCACGUGGGCUAGGUUGAAAAAAAAAAAAGUACAUCUUCCGCGACUCUGAGUUUUAAAAAUGGUAAUGGCUUUUAAAUCGGCCCCGGGGCGUGGUAGGUCGCUUCCCUUCGAGUGCCGCUACGGAUGCUGGCCAGUUAUAUCAGAGAUAUGUGUGCCCUUGGAAAGACGACCCACCUGCGGGAGUGGUGUUCGUGCUGGGGUAGAGCCUAGGUGUCGACGGUGCACCUGCGGGAGUGCGAUUCCGGCACUAGGCGGGCGCAGGCUUGACCGGACGUACGAGUCGGUCGUUGUGAUUGGGUACUAUUAUAGCAUUUGUUUAGUAGUAGUUAUAUUGUUGCAUACACUACUCCGUUUCUUUCUUUUCCUCUCGCUAUUUAUACAGGGACAUGAUAGUACAGCAGGUAUAGAGACAUGUAUAGAGACAGGUAUAGAGAGUUGUUUAUAUUACAUGCAAUUAUUCAUUUACUGUUACUACAUUUGCCUAUGAAGGUCAUAGCCAGUUAGUCUUCUACUAUACUUGACAUUCAUUUAUACUGCUUAGAGCCAAUUACCUUGAUUGUUACUUAUGGUCAUUCAUUUAUCUGUUUAGUUAAUUUCCCUGUGUACUUGCAUUCAGCUACUUAUUUACCACAUAUUUUACUGUUCAUUGAUUAAUCUGGCUUCCAGUAGACCUAGUGGGAAGGUCGUGGUUAUCGUUGAUCAUACCCACUGGGAACUACUGUUCAGUAGUUCUCAUACCCUUUGGUGGUUUACUUUUCAGGGGUUCGUAUACUGACGGUUGAUCGAGGUAAGGGGGAUCACGCAGUAGUUAGCAUCUCCUACCAGUUUGCCUUUACAGUAGAGGACCACCAGAGAGAGUGCUAUUUUGUACAACUUGCCUGCUCUGGCGAGGGUCUAGGCUGUUUUUGCGUACUUUACUUUUGAGGUUGAGGUUUAUUUGGUGAUGUUCAUGUUGUACGGCAACUUAGUUUGGAAAUAGCGCUCUGAUACAUGUUAUUUGUUUAUACGAUACUUCUUCUUGAUUCAUGUGUUGUGGAUACCUGUCAUGUUUGACCUCGUGGUUUGUCUUGUAUUGGUCGAUUUUGUGGAUGCUUCGUUCGGACAGGGGAAACUUUGUCCGUUCGGCGGGUCUGUUGACGUCCUCGUGGACUUCCGUUGUAGACUUGGGGCGUGACACAUGGAUUCGAUGUGUCGAAGCUUCGUGGAUUCAAAGUGUGGACGUUUUGUGGAUUCAGGAUGUUGCGUUCGUGGAUUCGAACGUAGGGUGUGGACAACCCAUUGGUGUGCACGAGAUCCAUAGAAGAUAAAAGAGAGGUUUGAGUCCGCGGAUUCGGUAAUCCCCUUGUAAUCUUUUAUUUUUUAGUGGAUUAUUUUUUCGCGUGUUGGUCCCGUGGGUCUUUCUCCAAAUUGGAGUUUUCCUACGUAAAUCUCUGUGUGCUAUUUUAUUUUUCGCGCAUUUAUUUUUAUCGCAUUGAGAUUUGUCAUCUAUUCACCCCCUUCUAGGUGUUUGAUAGUAUCUAGAUAAAUCCUUGGGUUCCCCAUUAGGCAUUACACAUUAGGCAUUGCACAAGCCGGGACUUUACCAUGGGUGGAUCCCCGAUGAUUGGGUAAAAGUUGAUUAAAUCAAUGUUGAACAUUUUAACUAAUUGAAGCAUAUAUAAAAAGUAGAUAUCUUUGCAAGAACUACAUGCAUACCUAUUUGCAUACAUGCUAGUGGUUUCUUCAUAUAGGUUUACCUUCCUACAUGAUAAUGGUAGAAUUAUUUACUUAUGGAAUUAGCAUAAGCUGUAUUAUAGUACACUGAACCUUAGCAAAUUGCAAGGUUCUAGUGUUAGAAUAGCAUUUAGAGCUAUUCCUGGUAUUCUUAAGAGUCGUUGACUGUGUUCCGAUCGAUUACUCGCGUCUUGAGGAGCGAGAGUGGGAACUUAGCACCAAAACCUCCAAACUGCAGGUUUUGGGGUGCUGCGUACCGGUACCAAAGAAGGGUACCGGAACCCCGUAGCACAACCGAAAAGGAUGCUCUCGGGUUUGAGCUCUACGAGGAGAGUACCGAUAUUGCAUCGCCCGAGUACCAGUACCAGGGCCUGGUACCUAUACUGCAUCGCGCGGGUACCGGUACACUGCAAUCCGUCCGCUUGACAGAUGAUUGGGUUUGCGCGUUCGGCUACGGGGUACCGAUACUCCAGCCCGCGUACCAGUACGCAGUGCAGUUGCAGACUGCAGGUUUUUUAGGGGUCUUUUUGAGAUUGUAGCAUCUCUAUAAAUAACCCCACACCCUUUGGAGGGGUUUCCUGUGCUGGAAACCAGAGGAGAAGAGGUAGAGAGCUCAUCCCCUUCUGCUAUUUGAUUUUCCUUCCCUUUUUGCAAGAUUUUUGGUGGUUUGAUCUCUCCUUUUUGCUUCUUUUUGCAUGGUGUUGGCCUUCCACCUUGGAGAAGCUUUGGAGUUGUAGAUUUGAGCUUGUUUGAGGAUUGAUCUCCAACCCUCGCACCAUUCUUGAGAGGUUAGUAGCUUUGAUCUCUCCUUUGAAUCAUGCUUUGUUGGACUUUUGAGAUGAAAACCUAGUUUUGAGAAAACUAGGAUUUUAUUUGGGGGUUUUUGAUUUGUAGCCUUUGGGGCUAAAUUGAUGAGUAUAGAACUCUCUUUUAGGUUGGAUUAGAAGCAUCCUAGCCCUCAUUUGGAUUUUGGAAGAGUUUUCAGCCAUUUAAGGUAUUUUUCUACCUAUUAAUGGGUUGGAUUUUGUAGAUUUUGUGGGGUGUUCGUUCGAAGCCCCUAACCCUCUUAGAAUUUUUGUUAGGGAGCUAGGAGACUUGUGGACAACUCUGUUCGCGCAAACGAAGGGGUUGCGAGGGGUAUCCGGUGGGUUUGACCUCACCGAAAUGGGUGAACUCUCCCUAUGUUAUAUCUUGUGGUUUAAAAUGGAAAAUCAUAUAUAUUCAUGCUAGAUAUGGCAUAAAUGAAUUUUUGAAAGCUUAAGACACAUGUGUUAUAUGUCAUGAUUAUAGCCUCUAUGUAGUAGAGAGGGAAUUGUAUAGUAAAUUUGCAUGUGAAGUGGCAUUCUUAUACUAUGUUGGAAAUCAUGCUAUAUUAAGUAAAAUGACAACUUUUAUAUGCAUAUGAACAAAGGACAUGUGCUAGACAUAGAGAACAUUAAUGUCAUAAAGUGGCAUUUGACUUAGUAAACGAUUAAACCUUUACACUAUGACAUAGAGAUGGACCUUUGGGUUACUAGUACUUGUACCAUAUUUUAGACAUGACGACCGUGUACUUGAGAUAGAUGAUCAUGCCUGCUUGCCAUUAUACUCAUUCGCACAUACUUGUGAGGGUCGCUCCCCACAAGCCGGCACUCCAGAGUUGCCCUACGCGACAUAUGCUCGCCCGUGCGGGAUUCGGUGCCUACUGGGUCGGCGUGGGACAAGCUCAUUCCUAGAGGAGGAAUGUUGGAGUACCACGGGCCAUUAGGCAGCACAAGCCGGACUACACUUGUGUAGGUCCCAAAUUGGAAUUGGAAAAUGACAUUUAAACAAUUAAUGUGACAAUCACUACUUGAUCGUGUAUAGUAGUUGGAUUCCUUGGACAUGCUUAGUGCAUAUUAGCGGAUUUAUUGGACAUUCUUAGUGCAUACUAGUGGACUCUUUGAACAUACUCAAUCAUGAUAGAAUAGCAGUAUCACUUGUUGAACAUCAUGCUAAUUAGAGUCAUAGUAGCUUAGUAAAUUAAUACUUGCUUAUUAUACAUGUUGUUUAUUUCAGUUACAAUAUUCUACUCUUUACCUCUAUAACCUAGUGGUGUAUUUCGCUGAGGUCGGCGGCUUACCCACUAGGAACUAUUAACUAAUAGUUCUCAUUCCCAUUGUGUUGUUGUUUUUGUUUACAGAGCCAUCCACGCCGGAAGAGGCUAGAGAUCACGGCAAGGGAAUCGCCUCUAGCUAGAUAGCUUGGAGUACUUUCACUAGGUGGACAUCUCUCCAUUUGUUUUAAUUAGAGAGAGAUAUUUUGUACCUGAUGUAUAGAGACCACCACUUUUGUACUUAGUUUUAUUUGUGUGGAUCUUGUGUUGUAUACACUACAUUAUGGUUUAUGUUAGUUGUUUAGCUCUUUUAUUAUCUACUUGUCUCCAGAAGUUAGAAGUACUUAUGCUCUGAUAUCAUGCAAGAUGUUUUAUCUAUCCGUUUUAAUUAUCGUAUGGUUGUAGACGCCUUAUAUGUUGUAGGCAUAUAGCGGGUCUGGACACGCACCGGGCGGGCUUCCGCUGGGUCCCGGGGCGUGACAUGUAUAGAGGAAAGACAGAAUUACAUUCAACUUUUAUGCACUAGCUUAUUACUUCAGCUAUCUACUAAUCUUGCCUCAGUUGACCUAGUAGUGUAAUUCACUCUUCUCGGUGUCUUAUCCACUGGAAACUAUUGUUUAAUAGUUCUCACAUCUGUUGUUUGUUUAUUUUUGUUUCAGAGACUUCCACAGCAAGAGAGGCUAGGGAACGAGGAAUGGGGUUAGCGACUAGCUAGAGUUUACGAGUGUCGCUAGAGGUGGACUCGAGAUGUCUUUCUUUAGUUUUUGUCUUGAAAGGCGCAUUAGUUACUUUUGUAUCGUGAUCCUGUUGGUGGUCAUGAGAUGUAUUUUUUGGUUGAUACAUACUAUAUAUCUUGUGAAUGGCCUAUGCAUUUAUCUUGUGUUGUUCAUAGAAUCUCUUGUAUGCUCUGAUUCCCUCAUGUAUGAUGUUUUAACUUUACUAUCUCUUGUUCACAUCAUGCUUCUUAUUGUGUACGCCUUGUGUGCACCGGGGUUACCUAGUGCACACGGCGGGUCUGUGCAUGUACCGGAAUACAUGGAAUCUGUGUGUCAUGCUCGAGCCCCAGUGGAAGCCUACCCAGCACGUGCACAGACCUGCCAUGCACACAAAGCACCCCCGAUGCACACAAGGCAUCUACAUCAAACAAAGCAGAAAAAGAAAUAUAUACACAUCCUAUACAAGGUAAGCAGAGCACGUGAACAUAACACUAAAGAGUAAAUCAAGUCUACUACAACUAACUAUUUACUAGAUAUACAAUAAGUUUCAAACAAAAGUACAUCUUAUGAACAUAAGGUGGCAUCUAUGCAAAAACAAAAAUACAUCUUAUGAACAUAAGGUGGUCUCUAUACAAAAAUAAACUAGUAUAUCUUUCACAACUAAAACCAAAAGAAAGGUACCUCAGAUCCACCUAUAGCAACACUGGAGUAGGAUCUAGCUAGUUGCUAAAUCCUUGCCACGAUCCCUAGCCUCUUCCAUAGUGGAAGGCUCUGUAACAAAAACAAAUAACCAAUGGGGGUAAGAACGAUUAAACAAAAGCGAAAUACACCACUAGAUCAAUUGAGGCAAAAGAUUGUGAUUAGAUGAAAUGAAAAGCUAACAUAUAAGCCGAAAUGAAAAUGUUCUAAUACUAUCAUGCCUCUAUAUAACUAUGCCAACCAACAUAGCUAUUUUUUAUCAUGCCUCUAUAUAACUAUGCCAACCAACAUAGCUAUAGUUUUACUAGUGACAUGCAUAUAAGUGUGUCAUAACUAACAUGUAUAUUCUACUACCAUGUAUGCAUCAACUAGUUAUGAUAUUGUCAUGCCCCGGUACUACCACUUUGGUCAGUUCAGAGACGCGCAUAGACUGCCGAACAGACAGAGCCUCCUCUAUCCGCUUAAGGCAUAAACAAAAUCAUGUAUAUCGAGUUUUACCUAGAAAAUCAGCAACAUAACAUAAAUUGCACGAGGGCAAUUACACAUGAACAAGAGAGAUUACUUAACUAAUAGAACUUAAACAUUUAAGCUUCACAUACAUUCACUCUCUUUACAUAAUUUACACUUAUCAUCUACCAAAAUAAAACCUCUACAAAGUUCUCUCAAAAUGUAAACACAUAUCUCCACUGUUUAGGGUAAACUAGUACUCAAAAGUCCACUCCCUAGGGUGUAACACCCUUGCCGCGAUCCUGUGUCGCCGUGUCGGGCAAAAGUUCUACAAUACAGGGUGUCAGAACUACAUGAAGUUUCUAUUGGGUUUGGCCACCAACACAGGCGUCUUUCCUACUAGGUCUUAUCAGGUCUAAGUAGUAAGGAAGAGUAAACUAUACUAUGCAACUGAAACAACUACUAUGCCUCUAUAAAAUGAAACUAGGUAAAUAAUAAAUGCUACUAUGCUCAUGAUGCUUACUAUUUCUAUCUUUUAACCCAAUCAUACCGGCCACCCAGAGAUCGAGCCCACUCACAAUAUCAGGGCCCACGAGUAUCAAGGCCCACGGGGACAAUCACCAAACCAGGGCCAUCUGUUGUGGAGAUAGCCGCUCAAUCCAUACUUGACAACUCCGGAGCUCACUGCUUGUGGUGUCAUGACAACCACAAGCCGAGCAAACUAUGUGUGAGUAUGAUCUAGCUCUCCAAUUCUGAGAGCACACCAACGACAAUGAUAAUGCUAUCCUGGGAUCUACCAAUCCCUAGCAUCUAUCUCAAUAAGUGCUCUACAACAAUAUACCUCUAAAUGCUAUCAAACAUAACUAAUAAUGAGAUGCCACUAAAUGUCACCAAUGUUCCACUAUAUUUUCUAAGUUCACCAAUGUUCCACUAUAUUUUCUACCAAUGAGAUGCCACUAAAUGAGUUCUCGACCGAAGUUGUCUAACCCUACUUUAGGAAGUAUCCAAUGAAUUAAAAGCACAAACAAGAUAAUAACCCUAAAAUGCGUUAUUUACAUAUAUACAUAUAUGACCAAAACAACGACUUAGACAUAGAAAGAAAUUCAAUUGUUCCGGAUAGCAUCACCUACCUCAAUUCGACGUCCAUUGCAAGGGAAUCCAAGAAAUUUAACUUUCAAUGCCGAUUCGGCAUUUUUGGACGUUAACGAAUGGAAUUCUUUGAUUUCGGCUCGAUUUUCCUCAAUUGGCCACCGAAACGUCGUUACUUUUUGAGUAGAAGCCACUAGGCGUUUUUUUACAACCUUCAAUUAGAGGGUUACCAAAUCAAUUUAGAUUAAAUCACUACAAAUCCAAAAGCUCCUUUCUAAACCCUAGAAACCUAUUUUCUCACAAAAUAACCCAAAAUCUUUGUGAUUUUAUAAUAAUCUAGAUUAGAAUCACGUAUGAUUUCCAACUAUCUCGAUUCCAAAGGAUUUACCAAAAACCCUCACUCAAAAACCUCCUCUCCAAAAACACAAUCCAAGGAAAAAACUUGCCCACUAACCUCUUAUAGGGCUCCAAACCAAACUAGGUAGGUGCUAGGGUUGGAGAUCUUUCCUCAACCAAGCUCAAAUCUUCAAGUCCAAAGCUUCUCCAAGGUGGAAGAACCAUCACCAAGCAAAAUGGAGAAGAAUUUAGAGAUCAAUCCUAAAAAAUCCACCUAUCUAAGUGGAGAAAUCUACCUAUCUAAGUGGAGAAAUCUAGAUAGAGGAAGAGGGGGUGCUCACCUUCUUCUUCUCUAGUUCACAACCCAAAGUGCCCUCAUAGGGGUGUUGGGGAUAUUUAUAGAGAUGUACAAUCCCCAAAAAGUCCCUCAAAAAUAUCCAGUCUGUAAACUGCACUGCAUACCGGUACUCAGGCAGGAGUACCAGUACCCGGCAACCAAACCUACGCAACCUGAGCCUCUAUUAAGCGAACAGCUUGCGGUGUACCGGUACCUGCUCAAUGCAAUACCGGUACCGAGCCCCAGUACCGGUACUCGACUGAAUCAGUACCGGUACUCAGCCUCCCAUAGCUCAAACCCGAGAGCACCUGUCACGCCCUGAGACCGCUACCAAUUUGGUCCGGUUCGGACUCGUCGAACAGACGCCGAACGGACAGCACCUCCCCUGUCCGCCCAAGACUAAGCAACAAGAUCAUGUACAAGAAUUUGCCCAGGAAAAGAAAUUCAUUACAUACACGAUCAACACGGAGCACCACAAGUGCUAACAAGUAAGAGCAAGAACCACAAGUAUACAACAAGUGAAUAAAGAGAGUUAUUCUAGCUAUUACAACCAUUCAACAUUCAUCUUUAAUUACAUUUUCAUCUUCCAAAAUGUAAAUACAAUUUAACCACCAAAAUACAUGAAAAGCUUCCAAAUACAUCACAUGUCUCUAGUACACGAGGGUACUCUAAUGCAAAAUAGGAAGCUACUAAUUAACUCAGGGCGCUAUGCCCUUGCCGCGGUCCUCGCCCGACGAACUCGUACUCGGCCCUGCAACAAAGUGGGGUGAGAACUAUAUAAAUAUAGUUCCCAGUAGGUUCGGCCGCCGACUCCGCCGAUCUUCCCACUAGGUCUAAGCAGGCAUAAGCAGAUAGAUAGAUAGAUAGGUAGAAAUGUAAACUGCAACUAUUCGACCAUGCCUUCAAUGCGAUGCUAUGUAUGAAAUAAUCAUUAUGCAACAGUAUACUAUCAUGCUAGUAUGAUGUCAAGAGUAUGUAUAUGUAACAUAGCAAUGCAAUCUACAACAUACACUAUGUCUACUCAAGGUAAGAAUGCGAUUCUACUAUGCCAUUAUGUUUAUUACCCAAUUUACCUGGCUAACACGUAGGUUAGGCCCUCGACUCACUCUCAAUCUCAUAGGUGAGGAGAAGCUGCACUCGUACACCGAGACCGUUUGCAGGACAACUACGUCUGCCCUUGUUUGAAGUACUCCGGAGACCACUGCUUCGAUAGAGCGACCACCAACAAGCGAAACAGACUAGUGAGUAUGAUCCAAUCCUCACAAGAGGAUACCCUAUCUACUAGGGUCAUAGUGCCUCUGCUGCACAAUCACAAUGCAUAAUCAAAUGCCGGGACUUCUACUAUCCCUAAGUUCAUGUCAUGUUUACUACACUAGACUCGAUGCCACUCGUUCGAUCAUUUGUAGUAAGUUUUCUAACUAGUUGACAUGCCACUUGUUCAUAUUUAGUGUUUCUACUACACUAGUUCAAUGCCACUCAUCUAGGCUAUACAUGUCCAAGUUCACCUCAUUAUGCCACUAUAGGACUCCGUGUCACAAGACCCAAUCCUCAUGCGUCCCUACUCCAUGUGUCAAGCCUUCAAUGCUACACUACUAAGAAAGCAUGCAAGGAGUUAGAAUUGCAACUAUCUACUAACCCUAUAAUGCAUAAUAUAUGUAUAUGAUCGACAUAAGGAAUUUAGACAUAAAAAGAAGCCCGGUUGCUUCGGGAUGGACAGCCCCCACCUUUUGGUGAUGUCUCGAUGCUACGAUUCCGGUUUCGUGAUUUUUGGAAGCUUACGCCGCGUGCUGCGGCAAUCUGUACCGAAAUCGGCUUUUCCUUGAUAUCUUUGCGUACACUCGUCGGAUUGCCGAACCGAGCGCACCGUUGCGUUCGUUGACCUAACAAUUAGGUUAGAGAAGGGUCAAUCGAGAUCAAAACCCUCCAUAAACAAAAUUCCUCUUUUGGAUGCCCUAGAAGCCCAAUAUUGCAAAAAUGUCAUCUACUAACAUUUAAUCAUGCAAUCAAUAAGUUCAUCCACUUCUAGAGAUCCACUAGAGUCCAUCUAGCUAGGUUCUAAGAGAUCAAAGCAAACCCUAAGCUUCUUGCCAUGAGAGGGUUGAAGCUUACCUCUGCUAGCUAGACCAAAGAUAAGAAGAAGAGGUGAGGAAGAUAGUAGCUCUCCUCUUGAUCUUCUUCUUCUCCUUCUCCUCCUUCUUCUUCUUCUUCUUCUCCUUCUUUCCUUCCUAGAGAGAGAAAGAGAGAUGUGUGGGUGUGAGUGUUGGAAGGAAAUGAGAGAAAGAGAGAGGGAAAAUGCCCACUUAACCCCUCUCAUGCAACAAUAGCACUAAGCCCCCUCCACUUUGCUUCCUGUGCACUGCCUAAACUAGGCAGAUUUCGUGUGCGGGGACCGGUCCCUCUACGAGAGGACCAGUCCCCGAGAGCUGCCUCACACGCAGAGCCCUCGGGCUAGCCCUAUCACGCGCACGGAGAUCGGUCUCUCCCGCUAGGGACCGGUCCCCGAGAGUGGAACUCUCGGGACUUAGCCGAUUUUUCCUUCUUUUCGCUCGCUACGCGUACGGGGACCGGUCCUCGCCUGAGGGACUGGUCCUCGGGGGUCCAGUCCCCUGCCAAGAGACCGGUCCCCGAGAGGACAAUUCUGCGCAGAGCCCUCUGCUCUGCCUUGCACGCGUACGGGGACCGAUCUCUCCCGCCAGGGACCUGUCCCCGAGAGCAGAAUUCUGGCAGACAGUAGUCUGCCGACCUCUACGCGUACGGGGACCGGUUUCUCCCACCAGGGACCGGUCCCCGAGAGGACAAAAUCUACAGUUUGGCAAAUUUGCUCCAGCUUGCUCUCGUGACCUCUCCUCAAUGCACUUUUUUGCAUUUUUAACAUCAUCGACCUUUCCGAAGUGCAUCAACCCCUCACAUGGUCGAUUCUAAACGAAGUCCAACUCUCGCAUUUCGAGAAUUCACUUCCUUACAUCCUCCCCUCCUUAAAAGGAGUUUCGCCCUCGAAACUACUCAACUUAACCAAAAACAUACCUCAACUCAAUUCUUCGAAGAGAUGAGGAUGGUGCACUCUCAUCACGUCCUCAAGUUCCUAAGUGACUUCACGAUCAUUGUGACUAGUCCACCGAACCUUGACGCAGGGGAUUUCGCGAUUUCUCAAUUUCCGCACUUCUCGAGCAAUAAUCAUCAUCGGAAACUCCUCAUAGCUCAUAUCUUCUUGCAAUUCCGGUGGUUCAUAUGACAACACAUGCUCGGGAUCGUGGAUGUACUUGCGCAGGUUGGAAACGUGAAAUACGUUAUGCACAUCCGCGAACUUCGGCGGUAAGGCAAGCCGAUAAGCUACCACUCCAAUGCGCUUUAACACUUCAUACAAUCCAAUAUAACGAGGAUUUAGUUUUCCUCGAACUCCGAACCGUUACACACCCCUCAUGGGUGAAACCUUCAAGAAGACACGGUCACCCACCACGAAUUCUAAAUCUCGACGGCGCUUAUUUGCAUAACUCUUUUGUCUUGAUUGCGCCGUAAGCAAUCUUUGGUGAGCAAAGCGGAUUUUCUCUUCCGCUUCUCGCAGCACGUCGGGACCCAAUGCCGAACGUUCACCUACAUCACCCCAGUGUAUAGGAGAUCAACACCUUCGCCCGUAAAGAGCCUCAAACGGUGCCAUCUUUAUACUUGCUUGAUAACUGUUGUUGUAGGCGAACUCAGCCAUCGGUAAGUGGUUUGCCCAACCACCCUUAUAAUCAAUGACACACGCCCGCAGCAUAUCCUCCAAGAUCUGAAUGGUUCUCUCCGAUUGCCCAUCAGUUUGAGGAUGGAAUGCGGUGCUGAAAUCAAGGCGCGUGCCGAGCGCUUCCUGCAGGCUUUUCCAAAAGUGUGAGGUAAAUCGGGGGUCUCGAUCCGACACGAUCGACUUCGGAACCCCAUGCAAUCUCACCACUUCAUCGAGGUACACCUGCGCUAACUUGUCACCUGACCAUGUAGUAUGAAUCAGUAUAAAAUAUGUCGAUUUGGUCAAACGAUCCACAACUAUCCAGAUAGCAUCGUGGCCUUCCACCAACCGGGGUAAUUCGACCACGAAGUCCAUAGAUAUGUUCUCCCAUUUCCAAAUGGGGAUAGGUAGACUUUGAAGCUUUCCCGCUGGAAAUCGGCGCUCCAGUAAUAUACCGAAAAUUCGGAAAGUAAAAAUAUCGAACUUUGGUCAAAUUGACCAAAGUGCGAGGAUGGUACACUUCGGAAAGACCGAAGGUGUUAAAAUGAUCAAAAGUGAGUUGUGGAAGGUUUUCGAGAGCUAAAGAAUCAAAUUCUUGCAAACUGCAGAUGUUUCAGCUCUUCUCGGGAACCGGUCCUGGUGGGAAAGAGACGGCGGUCCCCCAACGCGUUGCAAGAAUGAGACAGCAAAAAAAUCGGCUAAGUCCUGGAAGAUCAGCUCUCCCGGGGGAACCGGUCUCUGGCCUGAGAGAACCCGGAUGCCCCAGAGACCGUCCAUCGGAGAGAGACCGGUCGCAUCGCGCGCAGCGGCUCCUGGCUGGCGCAGGGUGACUUCGGAACCGGGUCCCUGCUCGGCGGAGACCGGUCUCUCCUGCGAAAAACUGCGAGUUUCAGGCAGUGCACAGAGGUGAAAGUUGAAGGGUUUAUAAUGGCAUUUUUGCAACCGCAUUGAGACUAUGUUAGGGCUGAGGGCUUUUCCUCUCAUUUCCACCCCCACACCUUUCUCUCCCUCCUCCCUUCUAGAAGACAAAAGAAGUAAGAAGAAGAAAGAAGAAAAGAGGAGAAGAAGGAAGAAGUGAAGAAGAAGAGUCAAGGAGCAAAGGAGCUUCAUCUCUUCUCUCGCGUAAUCAAAAAAAGAAGCUUACGAAGGUAACUUGACUCCCAAGUAUAGAAAACCCUAGAAUUGAGUUUGAAAUGACCUAGAGAUGGUUUAUAAUGGAAUGUUUAAAAGAGUUUUGCCGNNNNNNNNNNNNNNNNNNNNNNNNNNNNNNNNNNNNNNNNNNNNNNNNNNNNNNNNNNNNNNNNNNNNNNNNNNNNNNNNNNNNNNNNNNNNNNNNNNNNCCUCUACUCAGUUAUUUCCAUGUUGAUAUCAUGCCUAGGAGUAGAGUUAACUUAUCUGUUCACUAUAUCUGUGAUUUGGUUGGGCGUAGAGUUAACUUAUCUGUUCACUAUAUCUGCAUUCCUCUACUCAGUUAUUUCCAUGUUGAUAUCAUGCUUAGGAGUAGAGUUGACUUAUCUGUUCACUAUAUCUAUGAUUUGGUUGGGCGGUUCCCCUAUUUUGAUAUCUGUGACCUAUUCGGUCGAGUUGCUACAGUUCUAUCUAUGUCUGUGAUUUGGUUGGGCGGUUCCCCAUUUGAUAUCUAUAACCUAUUCGGUCGAGUUGCUACAGUUCUAUCUUGACAUACGUAGCCGAUAUUUUGCUGAUGGCCUAUACGGUCGGUGUGCCCUGAGGGGUUGGAUUGUCGGCUAGUUGCCGAUGGAAGAUCUUUGAGCAUACUACAUUGAUCGCCACUGCAGGUACGCAUUUCAAGAACACCAGCGGUCUGAUCCACCGCAAGAGGGUGUUCUUUUCCGGAAAAGUGGUUGGACUGCCAACCCGUGAGCCCAUGGGCUUUAUUGCGAGGGUAUAUGCUUCUGACCCAGGGGCUUUAUUGCGAGGGUCAGGUACAUGUUUCUGACCCAGGGGCUUCAUUGCGAGGGUUAGGAACAGAUUGAGCAGUGUGGCAUGGGCCUGAGGUCCUCGGACCAAUAGGGCAUCGAGAUUGGGUAUUUUUGAGGUUGUCGUCAGUUGACGCAUGCAUACAGUAGCUGUAGUGUUUAUUUCCAGUACAUCCUUAUCUGUUUAAUUGUAGCUACUGUUUUAUUUAACUGCAUCUAUACUUGUCAGCUCCUUACAUAUCUCUUUCGUUUACUAUUGUUCCUACUGUAUUUUCACUGACCCGUGCUGUUGUUUAGCUCUUCCUGAUCUGGUGAGUACUCCUCGCCUUCAUCGGCUUGCGGUACCCACUGGGAGGGGAGACAUGUUUACAUGUUCUCACCUCCCCCCCAUUUUUUUCAAAGUAUCGCAGCGAUUGGGUAUUGAACAACUGAGCACGUACUUAGCGAAUCUUAGAUCUUCCGACCCAGUAUUUUACGAUAGUUAUUAUCCUAGUAUUUCUUUGAUUAUAUACUUCGUUAUUUAUUGUUCAGUAUCUUAUUUCCCAUUUGAACAAUUGGACUUUUGAUUUUAAAAUAAAAUGUUUUCUACCCCUCGUACUUUUAAAAAAUAAAAGUUUCUGUUAAAACACAGUUUUCCAACAGAUUUGGAUUUCUGUAAAGCUGAAUGUAAAAUUGUGAUCGUGAAAUUGUAAUUUAUAAUUAUGAGUGAUAAUUACAUUUAUUCAUCUGGUAUUUGUUCUAUCAUGGUUGUACUCUGCUAUUCUGAAUCGACGCUGUCAAAUACAGGAGAAUGUGCUCCUUGAACAUGGAUCCCGUAUUUGUGGCGGAUCUGUCAUACUCGUCACUGGUCUUUCAAAAUAAAAAAUAUUCAGCACUCUUUCUGCUUUGUUUAAACUAAAACGGGACCCCGCGUUAAACAUGUACACUACUAUAUUGAUUCUUAUAUUUAUUUUUCUCAAUUUAUACUUCAUGGAAGCUUUUUAGAAUUAGGACAAAAAGAUUCAAGACGUAACAACAAAAAAAUUAAUACUAUUUGAAUACCAACUAUGUGCUCAUAAUUAUAAAUAUAUUUUUAAUGAUUUUACUAUAUUUUUUCAUAUAACGCUAUUAAUUAUAAAUUAAUACUAGAUUGGACAUUAUACUUCAAAUACAAAUUAUUAUGUAUUAUAAUCUGAUAACUAUUAUAAUACGACACUGCAUAGUCUACCAUCUUCAAUUAACGACACUUUACGUUCUUACUUUUCUUACUAAUUAUAAAUAUAAUAUAAAAUUACUUAUACAUUUAGUAUAAUUCUUUUAAUUUGUAUUUUGGUCAUUAUUAGUAUUUUUCUGUAAACUUAUAGCUAACAAAAAUGGGUUGCACACUGUGAGGAUUCUGCUGAAAACUUCAUAACUUAUACCAUAGGAUGAAGCCUGUCAAAUUAUGAUCAAUGGCAGAUACAAAUUCAUGGUAUCUCAUUUAUUCAAACUUUGGAUAUUAUUUAUAUUCUUACUAAUUAUACUAAUUAUUGUAUAUCUAUGGGCAACAUAGCUUCACGUAGUAUAUCAAACUCUCUUUAUGCAAUCAAGAUGAUGAUCAAUACUGAUAUAUCAGAAAUAUUGGAGUUCAAAAAUAAGUAAGUUAACCAAUAACCUUAUUAUUUUUUUUAUAUAUAUUGUUCACUUACAUUAAAAUAUAAAAUUUAGGAUUGUAAGCGGAGAACUAAGUCAAUCUAUGGUGCUUAGUGAAAUUUCAACUCAAUCCACUGAACAUAUAUCAUCUUUUCAGCCUUGUGUAUGUGUCACUCUAGCAACUAUUCUAAGUGUUGAGACUGAGCGUGGCUGAUACUACAAUUCUUGCAAAAAAGUGUAGCAAAAAGGUGAUUCCUGAUGGAACUGAAUUCUAUUGUGAAUUUUGUGAUAGAAUGGUAGUGUUGGACUAAGGUGAGAAUUUUUACUUCUGCACUUGACGUGUAUGAUUUAAUGUGAUGUUUUUCUAACAACAAUCUACAAUAUGCAUGCUAUGACAAUAAACAAGAGUCAAAGUCAAUCGUUAUCACAUGUUGGCUUAUAUCUAUCUAGACCGAUAUUCAGUCGUGGUCAGUUAUAUGUUGCAAUAUCUAGAGUUCGAAGCAAGGACGGAUUGAAUAUUCUAAUUUGUGAUAAAGAUGGUUUGUUAUCCAAAACCACAAGCAAUAUGGUUUUUAAAGAAAUGUUUCAGAACUUAAAAUAGGUAAGCGAUUUAUUUUUCUUCAUGUUAUUUCAAAAUUUACUAUUUUUCAACAAUUCAACUCUGUCAUUUUAUUUUUUAAAUAAAUUUAGAUAUUUUUCUGAAAAAAUUAACUAAUAUUAUGAUAUUUAUCAUUUCACUUAUCUAACAAUUUAUCUAUAUUGUUAUUGGAGCAGAUACUUGCCAUCUGCAUGCAACAAAGUUUUUUUUCUUUAUAUUUUGUUGAAGACCAACAUCUAUAUAUUUUUGAAUAUUAAAAGUUUGUAUGUCUCUCAUAUACGUAUGCUUAUUCUAAUUUGUUUCAAAUAUGAAAGUUUAGUUGAUCUUAUUAUAUGCUUAAAUAUUAAUGUCAUUUGUAAUUUUUCAUAUCAAUUUUAAUUAUCAUUUUGUUUGCACAUCAAUAUGUAAACGUAAAUUGUUUUGUAUACCAAUUCAUAGAUAAUAGAGCAGGGUUGAAUUUUGCUUUUUACUUGAGUAUUUACUUUGGUCUAUAAUUUUGUUCUCUACCUUUUGUACUUUAAUAUGUACUAUAAUUAAGAUUGAUAGUAUAUUUCUUUAUUUGUUAAAAAAAUAUAAUAUUAAUUAGAAUAUUUUNGUGGAUAGAGCCCGAUAGUCGCAACGGGGCAGGGACGGGUGUAUUCACAGUCCCGGGGACGGGUAUGCUUACAGUCCCGAUUGGAUUGGGUCAGAUUGGACAUUUUCUACAGUUGAUUAGUGUAGAGCAUGAUAGUGUAGUGUUUGAUAGCGGUAGACUUUAUUCCUGCAUUUACUACUAUUCUUGCUCCCUUCUGUAGACUUAGUGGGUGGACCGAUAUUGUUUUGGGCGGUACCCACUGAGGACUACUUGUUUUUACAGUAGUUCUCACGCCCUGUUGUUACUUCAUCUUUUGCAGAGCCAUCGUCUUUGGCUGCUACUAUUGCUGAUCAGGAUCGAGGCAAGGGCGUCGCGAGUUAGAGCCCUACCCGACGAGCCGAGCUAGAGGUGCUCUACUGCAGGUAGUAGUUUUGUUGGAGUUCUUGUACUUACCUACCUUUAACUCGCCAGUGCGAGUAGCUUUUGUGUAUCUUGGAUUUUGGGGUAUGUAUAUGGAACUCAGUUGGUUUUCUCCGUUUCUCCUAGCAGCUCUAUACUACUGUUUGUAGUAUUGUUUGAUUUACAGAUUCAGCUAUCGCUUCGUAUACAGGGAAAAUUCUUUUGUAUACGGCGGAUUUGUCGGCGCGCUCGGGGAACGAGUAAUCCGGGACGUGACAUAGAGUCAAUCCAUGACUCCACCAUUGACGGUUCCACCUUCUCCCCCUCAAAGGUUGGUGGCUUAAACUUCAUGAACUUGAUAAGAGCCAUCAACGCAUGCUCCCGCUCCACUUCAUCGGCUGUUGUGUCGGGUGUCCCCUAACCCGAAGUCGUUGGAGGUACACUUGUCGGCGGGGGACAUGCCGUCACCGGAACCGCCGCUACGCCCUCACCCUUAGCCGCUCCAAGCGCGCGUGCCAAGGGUGCGGGUGGAUCACGGCUUUCAGUCACUGUCGCGGCCGCCGCCGCCGCCUGCCGCUCCACGAACCCUUAGAGCUGCUCAAACCGAGUCUCCUGGCGCUGCAUCGCGCCCACCAUCGUAGCGCUCGAGAAGAGACGAUCACGCGCGGUCGAGAUCCAUAAGGCUCCUCGUAGGUAUGAACCUGUCACCUUGAACAAGAAUUCAAGGUUUGAGAUAGCGAGGGAGAGAGAGAGAGAAAGAGAGAGAGAGAUAGAGGGGGAGUUGCUCACCAUGAGCCUCCAAAUCCGAUCGAUCGGAGAAUGGAAAAGAGAGAGAGAGAGAGAGAGCCACCAAAUCCGAUCGAUCGAAAAAUGGAAGAGAGAGAGAGAGAGAGAGAGCCUCCAAAUCCGAUCGAUCGAAAAAUGGAAGAGAGAGNNNNNNNNNNNNNNNNNNNNNNNNNNNNNNNNNNNNNNNNNNNNNNNNNNNNNNNNNNNNNNNNNNNNNNNNNNNNNNNNNNNNNNNNNNNNNNNNNNNNNNNNNNNNNNNNNNNNNNNNNNNNNNNNNNNNNNNNNNNNNNNNNNNNNNNNNNNNNNNNNNNNNNNNNNNNNNNNNNNNNNNNNNNNNNNNNNNNNNNNNNNNNNNNNNNNNNNNNNNNNNNNNNNNNNNNNNNNNNNNNNNNNNNNNNNNNNNNNNNNNNNNNNNNNNNNNNNNNNNNNNNNNNNNNNNNNNNNNNNNNNNNNNNNNNNNNNNNNNNNNNNNNNNNNNNNNNNNNNNNNNNNNNNNNNNNNNNNNNNNNNNNNNNNNNNNNNNNNNNNNNNNNNNNNNNNNNNNNNNNNNNNNNNNNNNNNNNNNNNNNNNNNNNNNNNNNNNNNNNNNNNNNNNNNNNNNNNNNNNNNNNNNNNNNNNNNNNNNNNNNNNNNNNNNNNNNNNNNNNNNNNNNNNNNNNNNNNNNNNNNNNNNNNNNNNNNNNNNNNNNNNNNNNNNNNNNNNNNNNNNNNNNNNNNNNNNNNNNNNNNNNNNNNNNNNNNNNNNNNNNNNNNNNNNNNNNNNNNNNNNNNNNNNNNNNNNNNNNNNNNNNNNNNNNNNNNNNNNNNNNNNNNNNNNNNNNNNNNNNNNNNNNNNNNNNNNNNNNNNNNNNNNNNNNNNNNNNNNNNNNNNNNNNNNNNNNNNNNNNNNNNNNNNNNNNNNNNNNNNNNNNNNNNNNNNNNNNNNNNNNNNNNNNNNNNNNNNNNNNNNNNNNNNNNNNNNNNNNNNNNNNNNNNNNNNNNNNNNNNNNNNNNNNNNNNNNNNNNNNNNNNNNNNNNNNNNNNNNNNNNNNNNNNNNNNNNNNNNNNNNNNNNNNNNNNNNNNNNNNNNNNNNNNNNNNNNNNNNNNNNNNNNNNNNNNNNNNNNNNNNNNNNNNNNNNNNNNNNNNNNNNNNNNNNNNNNNNNNNNNNNNNNNNNNNNNNNNNNNNNNNNNNNNNNNNNNNNNNNNNNNNNNNNNNNNNNNNNNNNNNNNNNNNNNNNNNNNNNNNNNNNNNNNNNNNNNNNNNNNNNNNNNNNNNNNNNNNNNNNNNNNNNNNNNNNNNNNNNNNNNNNNNNNNNNNNNNNNNNNNNNNNNNNNNNNNNNNNNNNNNNNNNNNNNNNNNNNNNNNNNNNNNNNNNNNNNNNNNNNNNNNNNNNNNNNNNNNNNNNNNNNNNNNNNNNNNNNNNNNNNNNNNNNNNNNNNNNNNNNNNNNNNNNNNNNNNNNNNNNNNNNNNNNNNNNNNNNNNNNNNNNNNNNNNNNNNNNNNNNNNNNNNNNNNNNNNNNNNNNNNNNNNNNNNNNNNNNNNNNNNNNNNNNNNNNNNNNNNNNNNNNNNNNNNNNNNNNNNNNNNNNNNNNNNNNNNNNNNNNNNNNNNNNNNNNNNNNNNNNNNNNNNNNNNNNNNNNNNNNNNNNNNNNNNNNNNNNNNNNNNNNNNNNNNNNNNNNNNNNNNNNNNNNNNNNNNNNNNNNNNNNNNNNNNNNNNNNNNNNNNNNNNNNNNNNNNNNNNNNNNNNNNNNNNNNNNNNNNNNNNNNNNNNNNNNNNNNNNNNNNNNNNNNNNNNNNNNNNNNNNNNNNNNNNNNNNNNNNNNNNNNNNNNNNNNNNNNNNNNNNNNNNNNNNNNNNNNNNNNNNNNNNNNNNNNNNNNNNNNNNNNNNNNNNNNNNNNNNNNNNNNNNNNNNNNNNNNNNNNNNNNNNNNNNNNNNNNNNNNNNNNNNNNNNNNNNNNNNNNNNNNNNNNNNNNNNNNNNNNNNNNNNNNNNNNNNNNNNNNNNNNNNNNNNNNNNNNNNNNNNNNNNNNNNNNNNNNNNNNNNNNNNNNNNNNNNNNNNNNNNNNNNNNNNNNNNNNNNNNNNNNNNNNNNNNNNNNNNNNNNNNNNNNNNNNNNNNNNNNNNNNNNNNNNNNNNNNNNNNNNNNNNNNNNNNNNNNNNNNNNNNNNNNNNNNNNNNNNNNNNNNNNNNNNNNNNNNNNNNNNNNNNNNNNNNNNNNNNNNNNNNNNNNNNNNNNNNNNNNNNNNNNNNNNNNNNNNNNNNNNNNNNNNNNNNNNNNNNNNNNNNNNNNNNNNNNNNNNNNNNNNNNNNNNNNNNNNNNNNNNNNNNNNNNNNNNNNNNNNNNNNNNNNNNNNNNNNNNNNNNNNNNNNNNNNNNNNNNNNNNNNNNNNNNNNNNNNNNNNNNNNNNNNNNNNNNNNNNNNNNNNNNNNNNNNNNNNNNNNNNNNNNNNNNNNNNNNNNNNNNNNNNNNNNNNNNNNNNNNNNNNNNNNNNNNNNNNNNNNNNNNNNNNNNNNNNNNNNNNNNNNNNNNNNNNNNNNNNNNNNNNNNNNNNNNNNNNNNNNNNNNNNNNNNNNNNNNNNNNNNNNNNNNNNNNNNNNNNNNNNNNNNNNNNNNNNNNNNNNNNNNNNNNNNNNNNNNNNNNNNNNNNNNNNNNNNNNNNNNNNNNNNNNNNNNNNNNNNNNNNNNNNNNNNNNNNNNNNNNNNNNNNNNNNNNNNNNNNNNNNNNNNNNNNNNNNNNNNNNNNNNNNNNNNNNNNNNNNNNNNNNNNNNNNNNNNNNNNNNNNNNNNNNNNNNNNNNNNNNNNNNNNNNNNNNNNNNNNNNNNNNNNNNNNNNNNNNNNNNNNNNNNNNNNNNNNNNNNNNNNNNNNNNNNNNNNNNNNNNNNNNNNNNNNNNNNNNNNNNNNNNNNNNNNNNNNNNNNNNNNNNNNNNNNNNNNNNNNNNNNNNNNNNNNNNNNNNNNNNNNNNNNNNNNNNNNNNNNNNNNNNNNNNNNNNNNNNNNNNNNNNNNNNNNNNNNNNNNNNNNNNNNNNNNNNNNNNNNNNNNNNNNNNNNNNNNNNNNNNNNNNNNNNNNNNNNNNNNNNNNNNNNNNNNNNNNNNNNNNNNNNNNNNNNNNNNNNNNNNNNNNNNNNNNNNNNNNNNNNNNNNNNNNNNNNNNNNNNNNNNNNNNNNNNNNNNNNNNNNNNNNNNNNNNNNNNNNNNNNNNNNNNNNNNNNNNNNNNNNNNNNNNNNNNNNNNNNNNNNNNNNNNNNNNNNNNNNNNNNNNNNNNNNNNNNNNNNNNNNNNNNNNNNNNNNNNNNNNNNNNNNNNNNNNNNNNNNNNNNNNNNNNNNNNNNNNNNNNNNNNNNNNNNNNNNNNNNNNNNNNNNNNNNNNNNNNNNNNNNNNNNNNNNNNNNNNNNNNNNNNNNNNNNNNNNNNNNNNNNNNNNNNNNNNNNNNNNNNNNNNNNNNNNNNNNNNNNNNNNNNNNNNNNNNNNNNNNNNNNNNNNNNNNNNNNNNNNNNNNNNNNNNNNNNNNNNNNNNNNNNNNNNNNNNNNNNNNNNNNNNNNNNNNNNNNNNNNNNNNNNNNNNNNNNNNNNNNNNNNNNNNNNNNNNNNNNNNNNNNNNNNNNNNNNNNNNNNNNNNNNNNNNNNNNNNNNNNNNNNNNNNNNNNNNNNNNNNNNNNNNNNNNNNNNNNNNNNNNNNNNNNNNNNNNNNNNNNNNNNNNNNNNNNNNNNNNNNNNNNNNNNNNNNNNNNNNNNNNNNNNNNNNNNNNNNNNNNNNNNNNNNNNNNNNNNNNNNNNNNNNNNNNNNNNNNNNNNNNNNNNNNNNNNNNNNNNNNNNNNNNNNNNNNNNNNNNNNNNNNNNNNNNNNNNNNNNNNNNNNNNNNNNNNNNNNNNNNNNNNNNNNNNNNNNNNCCGCCGGCGAGCUCCUCCGGCCGCCGGAAAUCCCUGCAUCACCUCUCUUUCUCUCCCUUUUGGCCAACCCCUUCACCGCAUUGUGGUUUGCGGACCCUGGUAGCCACCUAGCUCGAGCACCGUUGUCCCCUGGCCGUGGCCCAGCCUUCGGCGACUCCCCUCGUCGCCGCCGUCGUCCCUGCGCACCGCCGCCGCCGCCCAGACAGGCUGCGGCCAGAUCUUGGCAGAUCUGGCCCAGGAGCUUUAGCUCCCUGCUAGCACUGCCGCCGCCACCUUGGGACGGCCGAGACACCCUUCCUCGGAGCCCCGGCGACCUCCGCCGCCGGCCCCACCGUCAGCGCACGCCGCCGGAGCCGCCCCAGCUCUCUGCGGCCACCUGCAUGCACCCAGGCCGAGCUCGGGUCACCCUUGCAUCUGCGUGCCGCCACCGCUCCCUAUCGGCCGCGCCGCCCUCUGGCGACCUCCGGCGACCUCGCGCGCGCCUCCCCGCCGUCCCCGCACGCCGCCGGCCGCCGCCCGAGCUCUCUGCGGCCGUCCCGAGCGCGUGCGGGCGCUGCUUGGACCAGUACGGCCUUCGAGGGCCGCCGCAGCCCACCGAGGGGUGCACCACCUUCCCCUCGGUCUCCGGCACCGGAUCCUUGCCGCCCCGACCCCCUCCGGCCGCCGCCGCGCCGCCGGGAAGCUCGAACCCGAGAGGAACUUGGCGGCUUUGAGCUGCGCUGCCGCGCCACCGGCCACCUUCCGCCGCCGGCCAGCACCUUCCCCGGACCUCCCCGACCUGCUGCUCCCAUCACUGGCCGGAGCGCCCGCCACCCGACCGCCGGCGACGAGCCCUAGCUCCCACUGGUCCGGUAAGCACUGUUUACAUUGACAUCACUGUAGUUUAGAGUUCCUGUCACCUUUCUGGUGAUCCGAGGAUACUUUGACACUCCGGGAAGUGAGCACGAUGAUCUCAGAUUCGUGCUGAACAUCGUACUCACCUCCGACAGGGUCAACGAUGCCCUAGUUAGCGAAUUAGAGGCGAUCUUAGCGCUGUGCGCGCAAUUUCACUAAUUUUGCGUGGCCCGUGCGCGUGCCACAGUGGCCGGCAGUGCUCCGAAAGGUGAGCACGGCCUCCGGCACGCCGAGACCAGUCAGCGGGAGUCUCGUCUUGGCUGUUUGACUUCUGGUUUGCGUUGUCGGACCAUAAAAGCGCCGAAAUCGCAUGAAAUAAUGCGAUUUCAGGUAUUCAGGAGGGCUUUUAUGCAUUUUGGUUCGUCGUAGCUGUUGUUGGCAGCAAGUGUUGGUUGAGGAUAACCUCUAGACUGAUUGUCCAAGGCCCCAGACCCUUACGAAGAUCGAAAAUGCUUCUCCGGUGCGUUUUUCGGCGAAAUCCGCCGACGGAACGCGGGUUCGGUUCGGAAUUAUUCCGACGGUGCUUCGUGAGCUUUUGCGUAGUCGCUGAGCCUUGUUGGCUGGUCACUUGCGUCAUUUCGAGAGUUCGGAAAUGACGGGUGAGCGACGGUGGGUUCCGGUGUCGAAUUAGACACUUCCGGGAACCUGAAUCGAAACGAUUAUCGGACGAUAAUUGUUUCGACACGAGGAGUUGUGUUCGCUGCCAUGAUGCAUGAUUAUUUAUGUUUAGUGGCAGCUAGUGACUCGUAGCUCGAGUCGGUAUGUUCCGGGACAGUUCGUGGCUCCCGGCGGAGUCCCCGUGCGAUUACGGGACUUCCGGCGUAUUACGGCGAUCGGUUUGGGAAACCGAUCUCCAUGGGUUUGCUUGUAGGUUGUGGAUCUAGUGAUUAUUAGCUGUGGGUUAGACACUAACCCGGUGGACCUUCCUUAGGUCCGGUUGACGUCCUUUUGCAGUCAGGAGACAGGCGCAGCAUUUAUACAGGUGGGUACUUCGAUCCGACGUCGGUACAGUAGUGCACGCUCGGUGAUGGUUUCCUACCUCUGUUCUCUCGUUAUUAUCUGGCAUUUAUAUAUAUAUCUUGAUAUAUAGUAUUGAGCUUGCAUCCCCGUUAUUUCUAUUAUACUCUACUCAUAUGUUUCUAUGCUUAGUAUCAUGUGUAGAAGUAGAGUAGUUUAUCCAUUGUGAUCCCGGUGACCUGAUUGGUCGGUUCUCGUACUUUGUUUCGGUGACCUGAUUGGUCGGUUCUCGUACCUCGUUCGGUGACCUGAUUGGUCGGUUCUCGUACUUAUAUCGGUGACCUGGUUGGUCGGUUGUUGCAUUAUGUAUUGGGUUGGUCUGUUUCUUGACUUCUGUCGUUCGAUGACCUUUGAGGUCGGUGUACCCUGAGGGGUAGGAUUGUCGGCUGGCGCUGACGGUAGUUCUGGACUAUAUCGAAUACACUCCUGUGACCUAUCGGUCGGUUCUUGCGUUCGUACUUUUAGUUGACAUCGAGCAGUAUCUACAUACUAUCUUUAUUUACUCUGCCUGGUUGUUCUAUGUGUAGUAUCCUGUAUAGGGGUAGAGUAGAUGGCAUUCGUAUAUACUAUACUUGUGACCUGGUUGGUCGGUUCUCCUAUUUGCAUCGGUGACCUGUUUGGUCGUUCGUUACUUUCCGUACAUUGACCUAUCUCGGUCGGUUCACGUUGUUACUUGAUGACCUACACGGUCGGUAUGCCCAGAGGGGCAGUGAUUGUCGGCUGAUUGCCGACGGUUGGCUAUUGAUCAUAUCCGCAUUGAUCGCCACAGCUCGAGUGCAUUUCACGUACACCAGCGGGUUGAUCCCCCGCAGGAGGGUGUUCUUUUCCGGAAAAGUGGUCGUACAUCCGACCCGUGAGCCCAGCGGUGUUCUCUUUGUGCUAGGGUUACAUGCCAGGUGUGAGCAGGUAGUGGCUUUUGCCUGAGGUCCUGAGACCGACACGGCGGUUUAGAUUGGGUACUUUUGGACUUCUCGUCCGGUUGACGCAUAUAGCUAUAGUAGCGGUUGUUGCAUAUAUACUUCUAGUUCUUUCUUUACAGUUGUCUUGCUACUAUAGUUUUGAUAUCCUUGUAUGCUUGCAGUUGUACAUUACAGUAGCGGUAGUUGUGCUUUCAUAUAUAUAUCUCAUUCGUUCAUUAUCGUUGCUACUGUAUUUUACUUACCCAUACUGUUGUUUAUCUCUUCCUGAUCCGGUGAGUACUCCUCGCCUUCCUCGGCUUGCGGUACCCACUGGGAGGGAGACAUGUUUACAUGUUCUCACCUCCCCCACUAUUUUUCAGGUAUUACAGGCGUUGAGUUUUGGGACGAGACGUGAGGUACGUUCGUAGCGGUCGAUAGAGCUUCUGACACAGGUUAUCGGUUUAGUUUUAUCCCUACUAUUCUGUUGUUAUAGCUUAGUCAGUUUAUAUGGUUCAGUAUUUUUAUUACAUUGGAAUAUGUGGACUUUCAUGAAUGUAAUAAAAGGAUUUCUGGAUUUGGUAAAAUAAAAGGUUUUCUACCCCUCGUGGUAGCUUUUAUAAAAGAUAAAGGUUUUCGCGUAUGGAACAGUUUUCAAAAGAUUUUUCGUGGACUUUUGUUUAAACAUCGAAUGUAAAACUAUGGUGUGAAUGGUGAAUGUAUGAAGGUAUAGCUAUCUGUUUAUUCAUUUAGUUGUGGUUGUAUACUGUUUGUACUUUUGUACUUGUGCGACGCCGUGCAAAUACAGGGGAGACUCUAUCCGUGUGAACAGUGGAUUCCCUGUAUUUGUGGCGGAUCUGGCAUACUCUGGGGUCAGGUUUUCAAAAAAAAAAUUUAAACGCUUUUUCGCUGUGUUUCAAUCAAAAAGGGGACCCCGGGGCGUGACAAUAUUAUUAUAUUAUCCGUGCAUCGCACGAGUCAAAUACUAGUUAUUUUUCAAAAUAAAAUCACUAUAAAUCGGACCAUGAGAUUCAAGAAGGGAGUUUUUUUGGAACUUUUUUUUAAAAAAAAAAGUGAGAAGGUUGAAAAAAAAAGAAAAAGAAAGUAAAAAAAAAAAGAGCCUUAGGAGGAGGUGGUCCCGCACCUCCCUCUCUCUGGAUCGGACAGAGAAAGAGAGGCGUGAGUCCCUCCCUUUCUCAGACCAGCAAAAAAAUAAAAAAAAAAGCAAAAAAAAAAGAAAAAAAAGAGUGAAGGCACAACGACAACGACGGUGGCUGCGACGACUUCGACGACGACAACGGCGCACGAGGAGGCUGCUUGGCCUCUUCUUUCUUCUUCUUUUGCUCCAACGACGACAAAUUGGUGUAUACGUGCAAACGGUAUAGUAGUGAUCCUUUUAUUGGUUUGAUCAACACAACCGUCUUCGCGAUAGAUCAACCCGAUCAAAUCCGACAUUGGAUCGGUACUAUAUUGUGCGCGCGUAUUCACUAAGCAUCCGUCUCUCAAACAUUGAUGAAAGAUCUAUAUGAACGUGCGAAUGACGUGACGGCGAACCUCCAACCGAUUUGAUUGUGUGGCAGUCUUCGUGUUAGGCUCGACACGCUCAAAUCGCUACAAAAAAAUAAUAAUGAUAAUAAAAUAAAAUAAAUAUUUAUCUUGGAUCGCCGUCUUCGUGGUAGGCUAGAUCCAAUUUGGCUCUUCGUGAUAGGCUUGACCUGAAUUCGGUUCAUUUGCCACGGGUCACCGUCAUCGUGAUAGGCGUGACCCGGGUCCAGUUCGAUUAAACUGGGUCGCCAUCCUCGUGAUAGGCUUGACCCGGGUCCGGUUUAAUAAAUUGGGUAGCCGUCUUCGUGAUAGGCUUGACCCGAGUUCGGUUUAUUAAACCGGGUCGCCGUCUUCGUGAUAGGCUUAACUCAGAUUUGGUUCAGUAAACGGGGUCGCCAUCUUCGUGAUAGGUUUUACCCAGAUUUGGUUCAGUAACUGGGUCACCGUCUUAGUGAUAGGCUUGACCCAGGUCUGAUUUAUUAAGUCGGGUCGCUGUCUUCGUAAUAGGCUUGACCAGGGUCCGGUUCAAUAAGUCGGGACGCCGUCUUCAUGAUAGGCUUGACCCGAGUCCGGUUCAUUAAGCUGGGUCGCCGUCUUCAUGAUAGGCUUGACCCAGGUCCGGUUCAUUAAGUCGAGUCGAUGUUUUCGUGAUAGGCUUGACCUCAAUUUGGUUCAGUAAACCGGGUCACCGUCUUCGUGAUAGGCUUGACCCGGGUCCGGUUUAUUAAGCCGGGUUGCCAUCUCAUGAUAGGCUUGACCCGGGUUCAGUUCAUUAAACCGGGUCGUCGUCUUUGCGAUAGGCUUGACUCAUGUUCGAUUCAGUUAAACCGAAUCGAUUGCAUAAAUAUUUGGUUUGAACUGAACCCAAUAUGAUUGUGAGUUCAAUUUGAAUUUAAUUAAAAAAAGGACGAGCUGAACCUAAGUCAAACUGGCUUGGAUAUAAACUCAAAUUCAACCAACCCAAGUUAAUGUCGGUGCACGCCAGUGAUGGAUCAAAAGUAAGUUAAAGCCCAAGUUGGUGAAUCAUAUAUGACAUUGAGCCAAACUCACAACAGUGAACCGAAUCCAAUUGGGUUGAACUGAACCUAAGGAGGUGAACCGAACCUAAAACGAUGAACCAAAUCGACUAAUAAGCCAGUUCAAUUCAAAUCAUACUAAGAUUCAAGAGGUUUGAAUCAAACCAAAUAAUGAACCAGUUCGAGCCGAUUCGAACUACAAGCUGGCUCAACUUGAACUAAACCACAUGAGAUUUAAGCUAAGCCGAUCGAACUCACAACUUGUGUGACUCAAAUAGAACCAUAAAGGAUUCGACUUGAACCUAAGUGGAUCCGAUCUGAACUGAACCAUAAAGAAUUCGACUUGAACUUAAGUGGAUCCGAUCUGAACCAAACCAUAAAGGAUUCGACUUGAACUUAAGUGAAUUCGAUCUAAACCAAACUGUAAGGACUGAGAUUUUGACAGUGCAUCUAAACUUUCUGUUGACGAUGUUUAUGUGUAUAAUUUAAUUACAUAAGCACUCGUCAAGUUUCAGGAGAAAAUGAGCUAGAAUGAAGAAGUUACGCGAUUAUUAGUUUUCACUUAAAGUGAAUAGUAACCCGUUUUUUUCGGUGAAGCCACGGAGUAGAGUUGGCUUUCGGCGCAUAUCGAACUCCGUUCAUAGUGAUCCAAUAGCUCGUUUCGACCGGUUCAGUUAUUCUGGAACCAAUGGCACUGACGGAUUUUAGAUCUGACGCACGAUUUUCGAGAAAAAGAGAUUUUAUCGAAAAGAGGAUUUUCGCUCUUUGUUGUUCUUGCAUAAUGAGACUCCUCGUGCUCUGUGUAUGCGACCUAGAGUAAGGUGAGGAAUGUUACAUGUACCUACUAGUGGUAGGAGAUUCAAAUUUGAAUUUGAAUCUAGGAUUUAGCGGGAUUACACAUUGGUAUAUGUGUGUGGUUUUUGGAAAUUGGAGAGCGGGCGAGUUUCGUCGCGAAUCCGUGAUCGAUCGAUGUGAACCAAAAUUGUAUGUUUAUGGUCCCCGUCGUGCUGAACGCGAUUGCGCAAUCCGUUCGGAAUUCUGAUGAACGGAUUGCCGGAUAUCGCAUGAUGUUCAAAAAGGGGUCUAAAGUGACUAAUUGGAAUUCUCGCAAAAGUCCGCAUAUUUUAUGUACCGAAUCACACGAGAUCGAAUAUGGAGGUGCGAAUACGCGAUUGUUACCCACUAUGAAGGGCUGGGUAAGAAAUACCAAGCUUCGGUGGACGUUUGUGCAAAAUUGCACCUUGUAUACAAUGUGCAUCUAGGGUUUCCAUGCACGAAACCCUAGAUCUACUCGACCCAGCGCCCCAUCUGUGCCCUAGCCGCCAUCUGCAGGUCCAUGCCCUAGCAGUGCGUGCACCCCGGCCGUCGGCGAGCUUCCCCGACCGCCGGAAUUGCUUGGUCAACCUCUUUCCUCCACCUUGCCACCACCCCCUCGGCCUUCAACAUCAGAGAAUGUCCAAGACACCCUAGGAAGCCUUUCCCUCGGCCGAGACCCUUUCCCGGUGCAGUCCCCGCCGACCUCCGCCGUCCCUGCGCCCCGCCGGAGCUGCCCGAACUCCCUGCGGCCAGCAGCAGUCGCCCAGGUCGAGCCUGGGUGAUCCCUGCCACCGCGCGCCACCGUCGUUCCCCAUCGGUCGCGCCGCCCUCCGGUGACCUCCGGCGUGCCCCCGCGCGCCAUCGCCGCCGCUCCCGACGCCGCCGGCCGCCGCUCUCCCUCUCUGCGGCCGCCCAAACCUUGAACGGGCCGAGACCUGGCCUUCUCGACCAUCGCGCGUCGCCGCCACCCGCAGCAUGGCGCGCCGACCUUCCGCGACCUCCGGCGACGUGCCGCCGUCGCCCCGACAUUCCUUCGGCCGCCGCCAUGGUCGUCGCUACCUUUGGAGCCCGUGGUGAACCCGCGCGGGCUCGGUUUGGUCCAGCAUCGCCGCCGCCGUCUUCCGCCGCCGUCCGGCGUGAGCACCGGCUCCGCCUGGCCAGCCGCACUCAUGCGCCGCUGGCGCCCCCGCCCUCGGAGCUUCCUGUCGGCCGAACUAGGCAUGUGCCCUCCUCGGGUUUGGGUGACUAGGGCAUCAAUGCCUGCCGUCGCCACCGCCUCCCGACGCCGGCCGACGCAUCCCUUGGCCUCCCUGCAUCACCUGAACCCUCCUGCCGCCGGCUCUCCCGCCGUCCGGCCGCCGCCGGGCAGCCCUAGCUCUCCCCUGGCCGGUAAGCUUGAUUUCAACCUUUCUGCGCAUAGUCUCCUGUUUAGAUCACUGUUUCGGUGACCCGGGGCUGUUCCGAUACCCCCGGAGGUGAGCACAGUGAUUUUCAGUCAGUUCUGAUCACAAUGCUCACCUCACUUAGGGUCAGCGAGCUCCGGAUGAGUUAGUUACAUGUGUUUUAGUUUCAGUGCGUGCUGUUUCAUUGAACUUCAUGUCGCUCGUGCGCGUCCCACGGUGGCCGAAAUUGCUCCGAAAGGUGAGCAUGGCCUCCGGCACGUCGAAACCUGUCAGUGGGUAUCUUGGCUCGGCUGAUUGACCUCUGGUUUGCGUGGACGGACCAUAAAAGCGCCGAAAUCGCAUGAAAUAAUGCGAUUUCGGGUAAUCGGGAGGGCUUUUAUGUAUUUUGGGUUGUUGCGGCUGCUGUGGGCAGCAUGGAUGAGCUGUGGGUGACCUCUGGACUGAUUGUCCAAGGCCCCAAACCUUUGCGAAGAUCGAAAAUGCAUUUCCGGUGCGUUUGUUGGCAAAAUCCGCCGACGGAACACGGUUUUAGUUCAGAAUUCUUCCGACGGUGCCUCGUGAGCACUUGUUGAGUCGCUGAGCCUUGUUGGCUGGUCACUUGCGUCAUUUCAAGGGUUCAGAAAUGACGGGUGAGCGACGGUUGGUUCCGAUGUCGAAAUAGACACUUUCUGGAACCCGGAUCCGAACGAUUAUCUGACGAUAAUUGUUUGGAGGCAAGAUUUUGGGUUUGCUGCCAAGACAUCUUAUUUGAUGUGUUUUGUGGCAGCGGGUGACUCGUAGCAUGAGUCGGUGCGUUCCGGGACAUUUCAGUGGUCCCGACAGAGUCCCGGUACGAUUUUCGGGACUUCCAGCGAGUUACGGUAGUCGGUUUUGGGAAACUGAUCUCCGUGGGUUUGUUAGUGGGAUUAUGAUGUAGUAUUUCUUAGUUGUGGGUUCGACACUAACCCGGUGGACCUUCCUUAGGUCCGGUUGAUGUUCUUUCGCAGUCAGGAGACAGGCGCGACAUUCGUACAUAUAGGUACUUCGAUCCGAAGUCGGUACAGUGGUGCACUCUCGGUGAUAUCCUUGUAUCCCUGUUCUUCUGUUAUUACUAUUGCGUAGUAUAGCACAUUGAGCCUUGCACCCCUAUUGUUUACAUCGUACUCUACUCGCUAUUUGCAUGAUUAGUAUCCUGAGUAGGAGUAGAGUAGUUAUACCAUGUUUCCUUGUUGCUCUACUUAGCUAUUCUGCAUAUCCUGUAUCAUGUUUAGAGUAGAGCGGUUUCGUGAUUUCUAGUGAGAUCGGUGACCUAGUCGGUCGGUUCCUUGACUCCUGUCGUUCGAUGACCUAUGAGGUCGGUGUACCCUGAGGGGUAGGAUUGUCGGCUUGUGGCUGACGAUAGUUUCAGAUUAUAUUGAUACACUCUUGAGACCUAUUGGUCAAUUCUUGCAUUUAUAGUUUAGUUGACCCAUUGAGCAGUAUUUGCAUAUCUUUGAGAGGAUGUUGAGUUGUUCCAUCCUAGUUGACCUGAGUGGUCGGUUCUUAUACUUCCUUACAGUUGGAUGACCUUUUGGUCGGUUAGCCCUGAGAGGCGGUGAUUGUCGGCUGGUUGCCGACGGUUGGCUAUUGAUCAUAUCUGCAUUGAUCGCCACAGCUCGAGUGCAUUUCACGUACACCAGCGGGUUGAUCCCCCGCAGGAGGGUGUUCUUUUCCGGAAAAGUGGUCGUACAUCCGACCCGUGAGCCCAGCGGUGUUCUCUUUGUGCUAGGGUUACAUGCCAGGUGUGAGCAGGUAGUGGCUUUUGCCUGAGGUCCUUAGACCGACACGGCGGUUUAGAUUGGGUACUUUUGGACUUCUCGUCCGGUUGACGCAUAUAGCUAUAGUAGCGGUUAGUUGAUUAUAUACUUACAGUUCUUUCUUUACAGUUGUCUUGUACUAUAGUUUGAUAUCCUUGUAUGCUUGCAGUUGUACAUACAAGUUAGCGUAGUUGUGCUUUAUAUAUAUAUAUAUAUAUAUAUAUAUAUAUAUAUAUAUAUAUAUAUUAUUAUUAUAUACUAAUAUAUAUAUAUAUAUAUAUAUCUCAUUCGUUCAUUAUUGUUGCUACUGUAUUUCACUUACCCAUACUGUUGUUUAUCUCUUCCUAAUCCGGUGAGUACUCCUCGCCUUUUUCGGCUUGCGGUACUCACUGGGAGGGGAGACAUGUUUACAUGUUCUCACCUCCCCCACUAUUUUUCAGGUAUCGCGGGCGGUGAGGGUUGAGACGAGACGUGAGAUACGUAGCGGUCGAUAGAGCUUCCGACCCAGGUUAUUCGGUUUAGUUCUACCCUUACUAUUAUGUUGAUAUAGCUUAGAUAGUUUAUAUGGUUCAGUAUAUUUUAUUACAUUUGAAAAUAUGGGUUUUCAUGAAUGUAAUAAAUGGAUUUGUGGAUUUUGUGAAAUGAAAAGGUUUUCUACCCCUCGUGGUAGCGUUUUUAAAGAAUAAAGGUUUCCAUGUAGGAAACAGUUUUCAAAAGAAUUUUCUGUGAAUUUAUGUUAAAUAUUAAAUGCAAAUCUGUGAUGUGAAUGGUGAAUGUAUGAAUGUAUGAAUGUAUAGUUAUUUCUAUAUUCAUUUAGUUGUGGUUGUAUCCUGUUUGUACUGUUGUACUUGUGCGACGCCGUGCAAAUACAGGAGAAACUCUGUCCGUGUGAACAGUGAAAUCCCCGUAUUUGUGGCGGAUCUGGCAUAUUCUGGGGUCAGGUUUUCAAAAAAAAAAAAAUAGACGCUUUUUUCGCUGUGUUCAAACAAAAAGGGACCCCGGGGCGUGACACAAACCAUAAAGGAUUCGACUUGAACCUAAGUGGAUCCUAUCUGAACCGAACCAUAAAGGAUUCAACUUGAACCUAAGUGGAUCCGGUUUGAACUGAACCAUAAAGGAUUCGACUUGAACCUAAGUAGAUCCGGUUUGAAUCGAACCAUAAAAGAUUCUACUUGAACCUAAGUGAUCUGAUCUAAACCGAACCAUAAAGGAUUCAACUUGAACCUAAGUGAUCUGAUCUAAACCGAACCAUAAAGGAUUCAACUUGAACCGAAGUGGUUUCAAUCCGAACAGAAGCACAGGAGGUUCGAGCCAAGUUGAACCGAACUACAAGUCAGUUUGAUUUGAACCAAAUCAUAAAGGACUCAAUUUGAACGGAAGUGGUUUCAAUCUAAACAGACUCAAUUUGAACCGAAGUGGUUUCAAUCUAAACAGAAGCACAGGAGGUUCGAGCCAAGUUGAACUGAACUACAAGCCAGUUUGACUUGAACCAAAUCAUAAAGGAUUCAACUUGAACGGAAGUGGUUUUAAUUUGAACAGAAGCACAGAAGGCUCGAGCCAAGCCAAGUCGAACCAAUUAUGAGCCGAUUCAACCCAAACUAAACCAUAAAAAGAUUCAACUUGAACCGAAGUGGUUUCAAUCUGAACAGAAGCAUAGGAGGUUCGAGCCAAGUUGAACCGAACUACAAGCCGAUUUGACUUGAACCAAAUAAUAAAGAAUUUAACUUGAACUGAAACCAAUUCAACCUGAAUGGCACCACAUGAGAUCUGAGCCGAGCCAACCAUGAACCAGUCAACUCAAACUGAAAGACGAAAAGGUUGCAAGUCAAGCCGAACCAAAUCAUAAGCCGAGUUCAACUCAAACAGAAGCACGGGAGGUUCAAGUUGAGUCAAGUUGAACCAUACAUGCUGGUUCAACCUAAACAGAACCAUAAUAGGAUUUAACUCAAACCAAGUGGUUUCAAUUUGAACUAAAUCACAGAGGAGGUCCGACCCAAGUUGAACCGAACUACAAGCUGAUUUGACCUAAACCAAAUCAUAAAGAAUUUAACUUGAACCAAAGUUGGUUCAACUCAAAUAGAACUAAGAUAGUUCCAAAUCGAGAAAAAUAGAGCUGCAAGCUAGCUCAAUCUGAACUGAAUAAUGGAAUGUCUGAGCUAAGCCGAACCAAACUAUAAGUUGGUUCAACCCGAGCGGAACCACAAGAGGAUCGAGCCAAAUCAAACCGAGCAUAAACCAGUUCAAUUUAAAGCAAACUUGGAGAGAGUAAUAAGUCGAUUCGGCCCAAACCAAAUGCAAAAGGGUUCCAACCCAAGGCGAACCACAAGAUCUCAACUCGAAUAAAAAACAGACCAAUCUCGAACCAAAUCAUAAAGAUUCAAUCCGAAUCAAACUAAAGUAUAAGAAGGGCUAAGUUGAGCCGAACCAUAAGGACUUGACCUAAUUAAAUUCAAAUGAAUCUCGAACUACAUCAUAAAGGUUCGACCUAGACCCAAACCAAACUCAAAAGGGAUAAACCAAGUGAAAAACCUAAGGCGGCUCAGCCCAAAUCAAAUACAAAAUGAUCAAGCCAACUCGACCUAAAUCCAACCUAAGCAAAAGUCCAAUUUAUUUCGGGCUAUAAAUAAAAUCCAAAAUUCACAAAUAAAAUCCCAAAACCCAAGGUCCACAAAUAAAAUCCAAAACCCAAAGUCCACAAGUAAAAACUCAAAACAUAAAGUCCACAAAUAAAACCCAAAAUUCAAAGUCCACAAAUAAAACCCACAAUUGCAAAGUCGCUAAACUAACCCAUCAAAUGAAACGACUGUAAAGUCGCUAAACUAAACAACCAAACGACCGCAAAGUUGCUAAACUAAACAACCAAUCCAAACAACCACAAAGUCGUUAAACUAAACUAAACCCAAAUUCAUACGACCAUAAAGUCGUUAAACUAACAUGACCGCAAAGUCGCUAAACUAAACAAUCCAAACUCAAACCGACUGCCAUGUCGUUAAACUGAGCAACUCAACUCAAACUGACUGUCAUGUCAUUAAAUUGAGCAACUCAGCUCAAACUAACCGCUAUAUCCUUAAAUUGAGUAACUCAACUCAAACCAAUCGCUAUAUCGUUAAACUGAACAACUAAACUUCAAUCCGACCGCCAUUUUGUUAAACUGAGUGCCUCAGCCUAAAGCCGACCGUCAUGUCGUUAAACUGAGUGCCUCAGCUUAAAGCCGACCACUAUGUCGUUAAACUGAGCGCCUCAACUCCAAGCCUACCGUCAUGUCGUUAAACUGAGCACCUCAACUUCAAGUCGACUGUCAUGUCAUUAAAUUGAGUACCUCAACCUAAAGCCGACCGUCAUGUCGUUAAACUGAGCACCUCAACCUCAAGCCGGCUAUUAUGUCGUUAAACUAGGCAUCUCAACUUCAAAUCACUAAGUCGCUAAACUGAGCAAAUUAAAUUUAGACUCAACCCAAUCUGACCGUCAAGUCGUUAAACUGAGAAAAUCAAGUUUAAAUCAUUUAACCGCCAAAUCACUAAAUUGAGUAAAUCUGACUGCCAAGUCGUUUAACUGAGCAACUUAAUUCUAAAUGACCGCCAAGUUCAUAAACUGAGCUUUUCACCAAUAUACAGUAGGGGUAUGCCCCUGUUUAAGCCAUGUACUUGAAAAUUAUAUAAAUACAAGUUCAUCUCUAUACUAUAGUCUUUUUCUAUUAUCGAUAUUAAAUUUGGUCUCUUAAUCGAGGGCUCCUUAACACUGAAAGUGUGGGGUAAUUCAGUAAUUCUUGAGUCUGUUGGAAGCCAUGAACCUAUAAUCUUGAUUUUAAAAUAAAACAUAAAUAGAUAUAAUCUCUACUAUAGAUGAACACUUGCCGGAGAAAAGCUUGCAGCGGGGCCAGUUCGUUCGUGGCAGUAGACAGUUAUAGUGAUGCUAGGGCUAGAGUAGUUCUAUGAUGGAUAUACCCCCCCUAGGAACGAGGCCUCACAAUUGAUAUUAGAGUUAAUCACUAGCCAGAAAUAUAAAAUAAGUCUUGGUUCGGCUAGGUCAUACAGCAGGUAGAGCGCGACUCCUUAGCUAACAACCGUUAUAGAUGGAGCACGCUCCUCAUAAGGUCGGCUAAGACUAGCGAAACGAGUCUCAUAGGGCAUAGUACUUGUGAAUGUCUUGAACCUAAUGAGAACGUCAUCAUUAAAAGGGGAUAAAAAAAUGACAUCAUAGGAUUUGGAAUAGUCACAUGUACCAUUUUAAUUGGGCGAAAUAGAAGAGGCACUUUUAUACAUAAUCUAAGAAAAUUGGGUGUGAAGUGGAUCGUUUCUUCUCUCCUCACCUACACACAUGACCUGUCACAACGCGCGGACUGUAUACUAAUAAGACAUAAUAAGGCUCCCAACUGGAAAAAAAAAAUCAAACUACACUACACUCUCGGCUGUAUGUUAUAUGAUCUGGCUUGAGAGAAAUAACGUGAUGUUUAGAAACACUAGCUCAGAACAGAUUCAAGUUUUUACGCAGAACCACCAUCUUGGAAUCUCUUCUCACCAUCUUUCUUCUUUUCUUUUUUUUGGUCACUCCUGUUAGCCUUUUGUAACUUUUUUUUUAAUUCCCUAAUAAUGGCUUUAGUUACCCCACUUCUAUCGUUAAGCUUAUUAACCUUGAUGAAUGUAGCGAGCACCUUUCUAUAUUUUUUUCAAAAAAGCCCAUAAUUAUUAAGUUCGAAACAGGAAAACGUGGAAAGAAGGAAACCGAUAAAAAAGCUCCAUUGAGACAAAAUCAAUAGCCUAGUUGGUUCAAAUCCAUAACAGCUAUGAUCCCUAACUUCAUCUCAAAGCCCGAUUACGAUGGACCACCUGUGCUUUGAGCAUUGAUGUUGAUAAUUAUAGUGUAAAGUAAUUGGAAAGGAGAGAACAGAUAAAUGAAAAUGAAAACUACAAGAUUUUUUUUUUUUUUUGAGAGACGUGCUACGCGCUUCAUUUAUUUCAUUUAGAAAUAAACUUAGCUGGAAAUGUGAAUCAACUAGGAUUCGAACUUGGGAUAUCGAGUACCAACCACCAAGUCCUUUGCCACUUGCUCUAGAAACGGUCGGUGGCAAAAGGGCUUGGUGGUGGAUACCUGACCUAAGUUCGAAUCCUAGUUGAUUCACAUUUUCAGCUAAAUUUAUUUUUAAAUAAAAUAAAUGAAGCGGGUAGCAUGCUACAUUUCUCUUUAAAAAAAAGAAAAAAAAGAAAACUACAAGAAAAAUGAAUUUGCGAGUAAAAUUCUACUUGAGUUAGAGCUUCUCUACAUUACUAAAUCGAAUGGCAAAGAAGAAAUUGAAAUACUAACUAGAAAUUGAAAUACUAGCUAUAUUUUCUUUGAAGGGUGUGAAUUAUAUACUCAUCUAUUUUGAAAUGGUAUAUAUAAUUCACACUUAUUUUGCAUGUAAGGUUUUGUUUGGGAUUGGAGGAAGAUUGCGUUACGUGCGGUGAAAAAGUAUGUUGGAAAAAUAUUCUGUUUGUUUUCGUACAUAAUAUUGUGUUCCGCAUAUCGCGAUAAGUCGGUUACGAUAUAUUUUCUGCAGCCCCAUUGGAGAACGCAAAAACAUAUCUCUAUAUGCUUUUUUUUUUUAAUUUUAUUUUAUCUAAUAACGUUUGAUAGACCUUAAUACCAAACUAAGCCUAAGUAGGUCUCCGAGUAAAUUUGUUUCAAAUUAAAUUUCUUGACUUUGACCCAAUCAGUUUGACAUUGCCGGUAGUACAGAUCAACUUAGUGUUUGUUGACGCAUAACAGACUGGGCACUUUUUAGGAAACAAAUAGCAAUUUUACAGGCAAGAUGCACAUAUAUAUUUUCUAGUUAUAAUUUAAAUUGGAAAAUGCCUGCAAUUCUUCACAAUAGUUUUAAAAAAAUAUUAUUAAUAAAUUGACAACUAUGAUAUAUAGGCUUAUAAUUGGCUUACAAUAUACUCUAAACUAUAAGAUAAAUUAUUAUAUAUAUUUCUAAUUAAAGUAUAUUAUAAAAUAGUUAAUUAUAAUAAAUUAGGAUUCAUAUUUAAAAAAAAUUAAAAAUAGGACAAUGCGGAAAUUGGCGAGCAUAUUUCUAUACCAAAUUAGAGGAAUAAUAACAAGUGAACGGCUCGGCUCGGAAGAGGUAUCGUCACUCCUAUGAAUCCGCUCCUCCGCUCACUAGUCACUACUCCGUUCGAUCAAGCGCCUGUAGGGUUUUGAACUUUCUACUAAUUUAUCUCCGCUCCUUCCUCCUCCCCCCCCGCCCCCAACGCCUUCCUCCUCUCCUCCCCCCCGGCCCAGUCCGACCUCGCCGCCCGCUUCUUCUCCGCCUUCCUCCUCACCCUCCGCCGUGAGUGGCCCGGCAUCGACUUUCUCCGCCUCGACAAGUUCUACCUCCUCAACCGUCGCUUCCUCCACCACCUCUUCCUCCUCCUCCGCACCCGCCGCUGGGACCCCGACCUCUCCUCCCGCAUGAUCUCCGUCCUCUCCGACACCUCCCUCCUCCCCGUCGAUAACCACCCCGCCAAUGGCGUCGGCUACCACAUCGCCGAGGCCUUCCUCGAGGAGCUCGGCGACUUCCUCCCCGUCGCCCCCGAAACCCUCGAUUUGCUCCUCAAGCCCUUCUUCUCCGUCUUCCAGAAGUCUUCCGAUAAGGUCCUGGUGAACAAGAUCAAGCUGAACUUGUUCGAGAGAUUGCUUCAGAACGGCGCGAAGCUGCUGAGUCUCGCGACGGCCGGGGAGCAGGCGGAGCCCAAGAGCGAUGUUGAAAGGUUUGGUAGGAUAGCUCUGUCGGUGGGCUUCUCGAAGAGGUUCUUCGAAUUGGGGUCGGCUCCGGAGACUCUGCAGGCGAACAGGAAGGUCCUGUUCGGUUUGCACGAGAGCUUUCUAAAAUUGGAAAAAGAUCUGGAAAAAUCUGGGGUUUGCAUUUCGAUUGAGAUUCCAGAGAAUGGUGAUUCGGAGAAGGUGCCUGAGUCAUCGGCCGCAAAGAACGGUGGUGAAGGAUCAGAUGAGAAGCCAUCCAAGAAGAGGAAGAAGUUGAAGAAAGCAUCUGAUGGUGACGAUAAGAAGUUAAAUGCCAAGAAGAAGAAGAAGAAGAAGAGUAAGAGCCUGAAUUCGAUGGAUUUUGUUGCUGACGAUAGUGUUGCUGAACAGAGUAAUAACGAAGCUGCUAACAUUGAAGCUAGCGGUACUGAAAAUAAUGAAAAACCUAACGAAGAUCCAAUGGAGGGUGCUAAUCUGAUAACUUUUGAUGAAGCUGUGAUCUCUAAUCUUCAGAAGCAGUUCGAGAAAGCUGCUGCAGAAGCUGGAAUGGUGAAUGGAAAUGUGAAACCGAGCACUCCACAGACCACACCGGUAAAUGGAGCUGUGGUGAAGAAGAGAAAAAGAGCAAAAAGUGCUGAUGGAAAGGCCAUCGCUAAUGGCACUGAUGCUAGUGGUGGAAACACUGUUGGAAAAAGCGGGGAUAAGAGUGUUAAGAAGGUUAGGUUUUCGAUGAAGAGCAAUUUGGUGUGGAAGCCACACAGCCCUUUGCCACCUCAAAGUUUGAGGUUGCCGCCAUCCGCUACUCCGAGAGGUAGUGCCCUCAAGAAAGGGGUUGCGCCAGGACCCAUUAAAGAAACCCCUUCAGUUUCGAAGAUGAAAAAGGGUAAGGCGAAGGCUAGCUCUGCGAAGAAGAACAGGAUGGGCUCAAAGAGUCCCUCUUCAGCGGUGAAGCGCCUUCGGAAGUUGCAAAGCCUUUCUGCGUGAACUCGCAUACUUGUGAUGGUUGUAUUUCAUAUUUCCACCUUUUUUUAUAGUCUGUGUUCUUUUCACCUUUAUUGUUUCCGAUGACUUUAAACUUUCCCCCAUUUCCUUGCUUUUCGAUUGUCUUAUGCUUCUAUUAGUAUAUGCAUGUUUUCUCCUUUGAUGAAUCAUGGUAUGUUCUUUGCGGUACAUACCAUAAUCCUUUUUUUCCAAGUUAUGGAGUAAAAUUGUUCUUGAUUGUUUAAGCACCUAUGCUUAUUCUAACUUCUAUGUUGAACAUGCCAUCCUGUUCCUUAAUUAUCUGUUAUAUUUUUCGUGGAUAUCGAGAUUUUAAAUGAUUUUGGCAUUUUCAUUUUUUGUUUUACUAUGAAAAUUUAGGAAGAAACUCAGUUGUUACUGAGAAGGUCAAUUCAUUUUGAGAAAAGAAUGAUAGAGAUUUAGGGUACUUUCUUCAUUAAGUUUAUGCUUAGUAGUAUUUAUUUCCUCAGAAUUAUUUGCUUCUUGUCUAGCGAUCAUUUGAGACAUGAUUGCAGGACAGGCAUGUUAACCACUGCUUAGAAUAGGUCAAUUCAGCUGAUACUCAAUUUCAAGCUGGAGCUAAUUGCAGCUCUAUUGGUUAUCUUAGUUGUACUUGUUGAAAUUGGUGUACUUGUAGAGCUUAGAUUAUUCCAACAAAUUAUAGCCAAAAGUAAGUUCACAAUUACCAUAAAGAUGCUAAACAAGAGAGAGUUUUGGCAUAAAUCUUAUAUAGUUGAUUAAAGUAGUAUUACUUUAAUUUGGUCCAAUUUCUAUGGUAUUAACUAUAGAAAUUUUGAUUAGAAGGAAAGUCUUAUAUGUACAGGAUCUAAAUACAUAUGCAAAUUCAAAGUGCUAUUUUAGGCACUGGUUUGGGCAAUAACAGAGUGAUAACUUGUCCUGCAUAUUCUGCCAAACUCAACCAGAAGCAAAAAAUGAAGAAGAGAAAAACAAGGAGAACUGCUUUUAGUUAAACUGUUUUAUUGUAGGAUAUCUUGGGAACAACUGUUAUGGUCGGCCCCUUUAGUAACACUACCCUCACUUUAUCCUAGUUACCUUGAAAGAAUCACAAUUCUCAAUGUUCGUUAUGGAUAUACCGGUGAUCAUUGCAAAUUUAAAGUGCUGCAAUAUAAUAUCAAACACCAAGUUGACUUAGUUUCUAGUAAUCAACUGAUAGCAUGACAAUCCAGUAUAGAAAGAGUAAGCUGUUAUGCUUUAUAAAAGACUAGGCCAAAUUAUGCCCCGUAUUUUUGAUAAUCUGUUAAAUUGUCGAGUACUCAUUUACAAGGGGACAUUGAAGUUAUAAGGCUAAUAUCAAACACAAAGUUGCUAUGGAGGGUUCAUCAUUAGAGUUUAAACUAGAAAGUUUAGCGACGUCAUGUCAAACUUCAUUAUCCUUGAGAUUGAUUAUGUUGGUUUUAGCAAAAUACCGAAAAGCAAGGAGGGGGAAAUAAGGUUUUAAAGUCUCAUGCUUAUGGUCGACUGGCUUCUUGACGGGCAGUAUUUUGUUAUUUUUUCUGAUUUCUUGUGAUUUUCUUGGGAUUGUAAGGUGAUUUUGUGGGAAACUUCUUGGGACAUUAUGCGGACCAUUUAUAAGGAUAUUGAUUUUGCUUAAGAUUCAGUGCUAUUGAUGAUUCUUCUUGUGGGUUGGAGGAUUGUUGAGGCUUUUAGUGUAGAUUUUCUAACAUAGGCAUAUUACAUGUGUUAUGAUCUCCGUAUGCUGUAUGCUGUUCAUUCUUAGAAUAACUGCUAUGUUUAUUUGUAAUUAGGCCUGUGAUCAUCCAGAAAGCUUGCUUUACCUUUUUCAUGCAUUGAUGAUAUAUGCUUUCCGUAUGGCAUUCACUCUCAAAAUAACUGCUUUGUUUAUUUGCAAAUAGAUCUGUGAUUAGUUGCAGUUUCUUAGACUUUAUACCUGUCCCUAAACACUGUUUGUCUUCUCCGAUCAGUUGUGAGAAUUUUUGAUAUGCAAAUUCUAUUCUAGCUUCUAUUCGCAAUGAUGACCCUCUUGUGAAUGUGUUUAAACUUUUAAUACAACUUCUUCAUAAUUGAACUUGUCUUCAUGAAAUUGAUCCAACCAUUCAUUAUUUUGAAAGUCUCUAAUUGCUGCCGCAUCUGUUUAUGUUCAGAUAAUGCAUUUAUAGGUUCAUAUCAGUUAAUGCAUAUGGUUGUACUUUAUAGCUUUACAUGUUCUCUUGAUUAUGAUUACAAAGCAUGUUGUAUAAAUGCAUUGGAGCAUGAUGUAGUUUUGGUAAAAAAAUAUACAAACCCAAGCUAAACUAUCAGCCAUUGGCCAAAAGGGUAGUUAAAUUGUAAUUGUUUGGAUACCUGGAAUAUCCUUUUUGAAAUUCUGCUAUAGUAGUUCACCAGCAGGAAACUGGGGUUGCUGUUGGAAAUACGGGCCACUGAUUACGCGAGUUCAUGUAAAAACUGUGUGAUCAGAGAUUUAAGUCAUGUGAGAACCGUGUUUAUGUGACACACAUUAUCAAAUGUGCUGUUAUCUCUGAUCUCCUGCCCUAAGUUUUCACCCCUAAGCUCUGAACGUUGACAGCCAAGGCCUUGUUUCGUGUUGUGUCUGUUUUUUAUUUCUGUAAAUAGAAUUUUGUAUAUAAAAUUGUGUUAGAGUGGUAGGUGGAUUGUUUGCAAUCCUCUCAUCCAAUAUAUUUAUUUGGCAAUAAAAAAUAAAAACUUAAAAUAACUUAUUAUUAUUAUUAUUAUUUUUUAGACAAGUUGUCACCUAUCACAUAGCCAGAUGUAUUUUAAGCUAACCAAUUGUAACAACAAUAGAAAAUUUUCUUCUAAUGCAUCAAAUUAUAUAGAAUUAGUGUUUUAAAAAAAUAAAAAAAGUGAUAAUGAUACCAAACGAGGCCUAAGGUUCCUGUUUACAAAUAGCUCUGUAUUUGAGGCAGCCUUCAUCCUGUUUAACCAUUAAUUUGUUCUUACUGUUUAGCUUAAUCUUGUCAUUUGUUACAAUUUAGAGUUCUAUUACUUUGAUCGUGAUUAGUGCUAUCUACUAUGAUUCUAUAUGUUUCCUUAUAAUUUGCACUUGAUGGUUAUGAUGUUACUUUUGUUCACGUAAUUGAGGUUACAGAAAAUCACAUUGAUGAUCUGCUCCCUAUUGUUAUUGUUUAUCAGCUGUUGGUUAUAUUUAUACAACUGUGAUGCAAAUUCGAGGCAAUGAAUUUAUUGCCGAGCUCUAUCGUAGGUAGAUAGUUGUCAAUUAGUCAUAUAAGGGACUCAUAUGAGGCCCUAUAACUCGUCACUUCUUAGGAAGAUGCGCUUGCGUGCUACUUUUAUGUUAGUCUUUUUUGCUAGUGAGUGUCUGUUUAGGCUUGCUUGUGUGUUUCUCACCUCUAACAGAGCAUUUGGCAAACAGAAUAGUCUGGAGCUUGUUGUGGCCAGAAGCUAAAACAAGAUUCUAGACUCUAAAAAGAAGCCGUGCCUAUUUGGAGUCUGUACUCCAGCUGUACAGAGUUUCGUUGUUGGGGGGAAUUUAAUUUUUUCUUCUGCAGUGGUCAUGGACUUGGCAAAUAUUCAAUUCGCUAGCUGAGUAUGAAAUUUCCCCAUCUAUUAUUAAAAAGUUUGGUAAAAUUAUAUAUGAGUGCUUGAUUGAUUCAUAAAGUAGUUUGUUUGAGAUGCGUACCACAUCUGAUGUGUUUCCUCAUCUUGCCAUUCGCUUGCUUUGCUUGUCUAUCAAACGUCCUGGCAUUCUGAAUUUUGUGUUUUUUCUACGAGUUAGUUGGUUAGCUGUAAUGAAUAUGUAAGAACAAACUGCUAAAGAUUAGCUUAUUAGAAACUUCACCCCCUUCCGAAAAUGUUCCAAAUUGCUUGUCUCUGAUCGUAUGUACUUACUCUCAAAUGCUUUGCACUGGAGAAGGUUAAUUUAGAAAAGAUGAUGAAAAAGAAAUGCAGAAGUUGAAGAAAGUUACCAAUUCCAUCAGCUAAAAUGUGGAAACUUUGGAAUAAGUAGGAAAGAAUGUCAGCAUGUUUCUGUCUCCAUUGAAUAUUGAUGACAAAUAUUUUUGCUCUGUUUAAAAAUGUUAGAUUUUUUUUCAUUCAUGCAUCUUACCUUUGAGUCCUUAAUCUACCUAUUAUUAUUAUUACUAUAGACUAAAGGGUGUGGAGUGGGUCUUCAUUUGUGGACAUGUGUUCCGACCAUUUUCGGUGCGUCUGCUGUACCAUAGACCCAAUAAAAAAAAAAUCAUUUUUGUGUCAAUAAAUAUGUUUAAAACUUAUAGUUUUAAUCCAUAAAUAUUUGAAAUGUUAUACAACACACUUAAUAAAUUAAAAAUUGAUUUAAAGUUUCUUAUAAUUGAUUUUUGGAAGUAUCAUGUCACUUGGUACACCAUGAACUGCCCCAUGGAGGUUUUUUUGGUCGGCUCAUGUCACUCUUUCAGUUCCAAUGCACCCAAUGCAUGGAAGAUCUAACAAGAAACUCAUUAGUUUUACUUCAAUAAAUACUAGUUAAGGCACCCAUGCUAUGCAACGGGUUCAUUUACCUUCUUUAUAAAUAAUUAAUAAAUAAUAUAUUAGCAACGGGUUCAUUUAUCUUUUUUAUAAAUAAUUAAUAAAUAAUUAAAUAUAUUUUUUAUAAAGUAAAUAAUAAUAAGGAAGUUUUAGAAACAUUUUCACAUGCGUUCAAUUGUAUCAGAUAUGCAAAUUUUGAUUACAAACAAUAAUACUGGUCUUAACAUCCGUUCGGGUUCAGAUCGUAAAUUCAUAAGUUUGUGUUUUAAUUAUAAUAAAAUUUUAAAAUAUAUAAUUAUUUAUGCCUAGUUUUUAAAUAUGUUAGAUGGUAUGUAUUAAAUAUUAAUUUUUUUUUUGAGAGAUAAGUAGCACGCUACCCACUUCGUUUAUUUCAUUUAGAAAUAAACUUAGCUGGAAAUGUGAAUCAACUAGGAUUCGAACUUGCGAACUUGGGUACCAACCACCAAGCCCUUUGCCACUUGCUGUAGGGACGGUGGGUGUAUUAAAUAUUAAUUUUAAUUUUAUAAUUAUUUAGAUAUAAAUAAUCUACUUUUAUAAAAAACACUACAAUUAAGUUUUUUUUAAAAUAUAUUUAAUUACAACAAUUACAUAAAAUAUAUUAACUAAAUAUAUAAAGCUAAGCAAAACAUUCAAAAAUCAUUAAUAAUAAAUUUAAAUUUAAAUUUAUUUUUUGUAUGUGGCCAAUAAUACUCUAAAAUAAGAAGAGUUAGAAAAGGAAAAAAAAAUCAAAAAAGAGAGAGAGAUAGGAUGGGUCCCACAGGAAAAAGCAAAAAAAAAAAAAAAAAGGGCUUUUUUUGACUGACAAAUUUUAUUUGUAAAAAUAGCCCCGUCCAAAAAUUAUUUGCAAAAAUGGCCCUGCCCCUGCCACGCCAGCGCCACGUCAGCGUCACGCGGGCAGGGCGGGCCAGCGUGUUUAAGUUGAACACGGUGAACCAUUCACCGUGUUCAAUACAAAAUUUUUGUAUUGGAUACGGUGAAUGGUUCACCGUGUCCAAUACAAAUACCCAACAAUGACUAAGUUGGAGAUAUUUGUAUUAGACACGGUGAAUCAUUCACCGUGUCAAUUAUUUGUAUUGGAACACGGUGAAUGGUUCACCAUGUCCAAUACAAAUAUUUCGACCUUAGCUAUUUUGUAUUGGACACGGUGAAUGUUCACCGUGUCCAAUACAAAACUUUGUAUUGAACACGGUGAAUGGUUUACCAUGUUCAACUUAACCAUCUGGCCCAGCCCCCCCGCGUGGCGCUGACGUGGCGCUUGCGUAGCAGGACCAGGGCUAUUUUUGUAAAAUAAAUUUUUGACAGGGGCCAAUUUUAAAAAAAAAUUUUGUAAGGGGGCUAUUUGCCAAAAAAGCCCAAAAAAAAAAACCCGUGCAUGCUAGCGCCGGCGCCAGCUCGCGCCCUGCCCACGCCCGCUCGCCUGCCCGCGCCGCUAGCGCCCACCCCGGCCCGCGGACCUGCCGCGCCCACCCCGCGCUCGCGCCUGCGCGGCCGCCCGCUCGCCCUUCGCUCGCGCCCGUGCCCCGCUCGCGCCCGCCAGCCACGUGGCGGGCCAGGUUCUUGAUUCAUAAGUUAUAUAAAUGCCUAAAGCUUAUGAAUUUUAAUAUAUAGACUAGUGUAAUGACCCGCGUGAUGUCGUGGAUAGAUAUAUAUUCUUUUAAAAUUUAAACCCUAAAGUUUAGAUCCUUAUAUUUCUAUAAGUUAUUUUGUAGAGAUUAGAACACAUUUACUUUAAAAGUUUUAGUAAUUUUAAAGUAUAUUGAAAAGUAUAAAGAUUUUUUUUGAAUAUUCUAAUUUUUAACACUGAAGCAUCACGAUAGAUAUCAAACCACAUUUAUUUCCGACAACUUUAUAUAAAUGUCUUAUUAUAAAGAUAGUAACGUGUAGGUUUAAUUAGAAACAACAAGAAAUAUAUUUAGCAAAUAAAUUCCAUCGUAUCCAUUAGAUUGCGCUAAGUAUGGCGUUGGGCUGCAUAAUAAUUAAUCAUUUUAAAAAUUCUAAAUCCUAAUAUAAACAAAUCCAUCAAAAUUUCCAACACAAUCAAAUCAUUAUACAAUGGAGACAAUAUGAUUUGUAAACAAAAAUAAAUAUAAAAAUUUAUAACAUAGUAAUCAAAAUACCGAAAACAAAUAUUAAAAAAAUAUAAAAAUUCUAAAAAAAUUUACCUCAAAUUGGAAAAGUCGAAUCUCACGUAAUUUAAAAUAUACUGUACAGUGAAAAAAUCUGAGUAAACAAAUAAAGCAUCAAAUUCAAAUAAAAAAAAACCUAUCAAAUAUAGUUAAUCGUUACAGACAGAUGCGAUCAAUUUUCUGAAGACAAAGAAAAUAGUAUUUAGUAUAUCAUUUCAUCCAAAAUGAAUAUGAGUACAGCUCUUUAUAUAUACUCUAAUAUGACUUUUUAUAUUCUAAGAUGACUUUUCAUUUUCUUCCAUUAAUAUAUAUGACUGUUUAAAUUUCUAGCUUUUUAAAUUCUUAGAUAUAUUAAGUUACCCAAAUUUUCAACUUCAGUGACCUUCCAACUUUCUUAACAUUUGACAACGUACAAUUUGGAUACUUCUAGAUAAAGUUAUGAUCAAAAUAUUGAACAAUGCGUAGGUUGACUGGGUUAAUCCAAAAAAAACCGGUUUAAUGAGAAAAACGUACGAAGAAGAACCACAUCAAUGAAACAAAAUGAAUAGGAAAACCGCAGGCGGGUCCCAUGCAGAGGCAUAAGAUAACUCGAGAUUGCCACGUGGAUUCUCAAAUAUGGAGAAUUAAUAAGACUAGUGAAUGCCCGCGCUACGCCGCGAAAAAUUUAUAUAAAUUUAGUAUAAUAAACAAAAUAAUGUGAAUCAUGAAUAUAUGUCGUAUUAAAAUAUGAAUCAGAAUUCAGAAUUCAUAUAAAAGGUAACUUAUAUGAAUUUUGAAUGUCUAGUCUUCAGAAUUCAGAGUUCCUAUUUUUUGACCUACUCUUACUUUUACGGUCCAAUUCAGAUUUCCAAAAUUUGAAUUUUGAAGUCAGGUAGGCAAUCCGGAAUUCUGCUAGGUAAUUUGGAAUUUAGCUAGGCAAUUCAGAGAAGGCAUACGAAAGGAGUUUGAUGUAAUUUUUAUGUAUUUCCCUCUUCUAUGCCUUACACUCAUGUUAUAAACUACUGUUUCCUUCUGAGUUUAUUUGAUUCGUUUGGAAAAAAAGAGACUGCAACCUAAGAGGCCUAGGAAAAAGAGGCCUAUUUUUGAACCUCGCAAAAAUUCAAGGGUACUGUAAGUUUAUGAGGAAAGGACUGACUGACAGAUUUGUUAUGGAAAAAGAAAUGUUUGACGCCUAAGAAUUACAUAAUUGAUAACAGACAUGAAGCUAAAGCUUGUUAUGAAAAAAGGACUGCUCGAUAAUUGAACAGUCUAUAACAGGUGCAACUGUUUGUUGCUAAAGUAAUAAAGGUGGAAUUCUCUAGUACUAAAAAAUUUUGUUGAGAUAAUAGAAUUAUUUAGUAGUGGAAAAUGUUGGAUUAUCGCUGUGGUGAAAUGAUCUGAUAAUCUCGGCUUUGCACUAACCUGUGAGUUCUAUUGUGAAAUGGCACUCAAAUAAGUCCAUAUUGUCAAUUAAGGAAAUGCUAGAACCAAUGUAAAUUUACAUGAUUGUUACAUAAUUUUUUUUUUACAUGAUUUUUUUUUGCCAGCAGUAAUCUUAGUAGAUAGAGUGUUCAACAAAGAUAAAGAGAAAACUAAAACUCUUGAUUCAACACAAAGCAGAAAAAAAUUUUGACAAAAAGAGAAGGAAAGAAGAGUAAGACCACAUACUGCACCCCCCUCAUCAUCUGCCUCUCAUUUUGAUUUUGGUAAUACAAAAUCAUCACUGCCUUUCUAACCAGAAUUUCAUUUUGUUCAGAGAAAAUCAUCAUUGCCUCUCCCACAUAAUUCACACCAACCAGAGGAUCAACCAAACAAAUGACACAAUAAUAAGGUAAAUCAAAAGUUGUAAGUAAAGAAUGAACAAAAUCAGAGCAUGGUGGAUAUCAGUUUUUUCCCUCGAAAAAUUAUAGUGGAAAUUUAUCAGAUGACAAAAAAAAUUAGAAAAUACUGGAGCAACACCUGAGAAAAUAAACUCCAAUAAAGUAAAUAUCCAUAAGAGUAAGAGUAAACAAACAAAAAAAAAAGGAUUUUUGAGUUCUAAGUAAGCAACGUUUGAAUUUAUAUAAAACGUUGAGGCAACAUCUAAAGUCCUUGCACAACAGCAAAUCCUAAGCCACCAGUAAUCAACUUCGAAGAAUUCAGUUCAUAAAAUAUCUUACAAACUUCCCAUUAAACAAUUAAGCUUAUACAUCCGGCUCUAUCCUACCAUAAAAUCCAUCCUUACAAUAAAUUAGACCCUAAAAUAUGAACAAUCAAUAGCCAAGUACCAAUUGGAUUCUCGAGAGCUUUCGCUUUUACAAAAGAUGCAGUUUAAAGCUUUCACUUUUACAAAAGAUGUAAUUUCGGUCAAUAAGCAUAAAUAUUUUUUACUUCUCAACGAAUGUGUAAAAAGAAUAUUGUUUUAGACAUUAAGAAGACAACAAAAUAUAUAUAUUAUUCUCAUUCUAACUUUUGUAUACGUAUGAAACAACCCGAUGCAGUUCAAAUCAGAAUUCUGAAUUCUAAACUUUCAUAUGUACCAAUUCAGCUAGGCAAUUCCGCAUUCCAUGAAGAAUUUAGAACUCACCUACACAAUUAAGUAACAUUUUAUGCCCAUCAGAUAUCUUAAUGCAAUUCAGAUCAGAAUUCUCCCAAGAUUCUUCCAGGCAACACAACAUUCAGCUAGGUAAUAUAGAUUCCAGGUAGGUAAUGUAGAAUUUAGUUAGGGAAUUCAGAACUCAGCUGGCCGAUUCAUGGUCCCAUGAAGAAUUCAGAAUCAAGAUCAAGGGAAAAAAACAGAGCUCCAUAAGAACACAAAUGAGACCCACCAAUUGCCCGCUAAGCAAGCCAUCCAUAGUGCUUUCAUGGCCAAUUAAUUACCAAAACCAUCAAUAUUAAACUAUGUGAAAAUAAGCCCAAGUUAAUGUAAAGCAACGGAUAUCAAAAAUAAAUUUUGACAAAAACAAAGUAGAAUUCUGUUAGGCAAUUCAGGAUUCGGCUGGUUAUUUCAGGACUCUAUGAAGAAUUCAGAGCCCAGGUAAAAAAAAAAACAAAUCUGCGUAAGGGCACAAAUGAAAUCCACUGGUUGCCCGCUAAGCGGGCCCUCCAUAGUGCUUCCAUGGCCAAUUAAUUACCGAAACCAUCAAUAUUAAACUAUGUGAAAAUAACAUCAAGGUAAAUAUGAAUUCGAAAAAUACUUAAAAGAGAAGAUAGAAUCCAAAAACAAUCUCAACUAAGAGAAUUGGACGAAAAGUUAACGAAAAAUCAAUAUAAUGCAAAAUUCAGCUUAAGGCUCCAAACUGACUCAAAUUCAAACCUUCUAACCUACAAUUUAGUGAAAGGAUAUGAUCCUCGAGCUCUCCUCCACCAAAUAAUCCUCGACUAAGACCCAAUUCAGGGAUUAUAAGCUCCAAAUUUCCACAAUUCCUGCAGUAGAUGCUGCCACUGCAGCUAUUGCAGAGGCUGCUGCUGUUGUUGCAGCCUGCUGCUGGUGAUUUGUUGGUUUAAAUUAGAGGUUUUCAGUGUUCUGAAGCCAAGGAUCACUGUGGUUACAUUCCCCUUUCCUCUUUUGGGCUGUACUCCUUCCUGCGAGUCCUAGGAAUUGCAGCAACAUCAACAUCAACCUCAACAUUCUACAGGAGCAUAAUUUCAGCAGCCUAUAGCUGAGUUGAAGAUAGAAUUUUGAGAGAUUUCGAAAUCCAAAUUGCUGGAGAAUUGAUUGCUCGCAUUCUUGGUGAAGAGGUGAACAUGAGGAGUGUUUUAAUUCAGCAAAUGACUUGGUAAGUUGUGUUUAAUUGCCAAAAUGGUGAAGGUCGCUGAAAUAGAAGUUUUAUACUGAUUUUGAGCAAGCUGAAUUCUUGAUGGAAUUUCUUUUAAUUUGCCUAUGUAGCUAAGAUUUUGAAAGGUUGCUAGUGAUCUUACCUUUAUCUAGAGUUGGUACGAACUUUGCUUGGACUGUUUUGAAGGUUAGGCUUUUCUGAAUUUUAGUUUUCAUUCAGGCCUUCAACUAAAAAUCAGAUUUUUUGUUGAAGCUGAUUUCUUGAGUCUUACUCCAUCUUCGAGAUGAAAUUUUGUGGUAAUUAAUAGGAUUUUCCUGUAGUUUAGGGAUCAGAGAAUACCCUUGAACUUGUCCCAACAUCUCUCUUUGGCUUGGAUCUUCUCUGUGGAUCAGGAACAACAGUAACAAAAUCCAACUAUUUCUAAAAUUUCAGCACAAAAUCAAUUUCAGCAAUUAAGCUUCAACUAACUUGAAAUUCCAGUCAGUAGUACAUAUAAACUGAGCUCCACUACUAUUCCUUCACUACCACCAGUCCGAAUUAAUAGGAAAGUGAGAAAAAAUCGAACAAACCCCUGCUAGAUUUAAUCGAAUCAAAAAAUAAUUCGAAAAUCUAAUGAAAACCAAUUUGGUUUGAAGAAAGGUGAAAUUCAGCGAUGAUCGCCUCAAAUCAGCUGACAAUACUUAAUUCAUAGGUUCCUCAUUUCCUCAAGAACACCAUGAGCCAUUCCAAUUGCAGUAGUUAACUCCACACAAACCAAAUCCCAAAUUAAAAUAAAUAAAUACCAGUAAAAUCUACAAUCCAAAAUAAAUUACAAAUAUAGCAUUGCUCACUGUAAAUGUUGGUAAAAAUGUAUAUGUCACGCCCCGGAUUACUCGUUUCCCCGGGCUCGCUAACAGACCUGCCAUAUAUAAAGGUAUUUCCUCUGUAUACAAAGCGAAAAGUAAAAGUACCUGUAAUCAUACAAUACUACAGACAGUAGUAUAGAGCAGCAGGGAGAAGAGAAUACAACAUGCAUAUAUAAACUGUGGUUCUAUAUAUACAUAAGAUCUAAGAUACAAAAGCACUCGCACUGGCGAGAGUACAACAUCUGUAUGUAUAAACCAGAACUACACUACCUGCAGCGGUCCUCCACUAGCUCAGCAACUCGACUGGAAGGGUUCUAACUCGCGACACCCUUGCCACGAUCAAUAUCAGCGACAGCAGCAGCCGAAGAUGAUGGCUCUGCAAAAUAGUAGAAACAAACUGGGCGUGAGAACUACUACAAAAAGAAGUAGUUCUCAGUGGGUACCGCCCUCAAUACAUCGGUCCACCCACUAAGUCUACAGAGGUAAGCAAGAAAUAAUAAGGAAAGCUGGAACAUAUCUACAGCUAUCUGCCUCAAUACUAUCAUGCUCUAAUCUAACCAACUGUAGAAUAGUGUCAACUCAGACCCAAUCUCGAAUAGGGACUGUAAUCAUACCCGUCCCUGGGACUAUGAACAUACCCGUCCCGCCCGGUCGCGACUAUACAACUACAUCCACACUAAUAAGUCCGUGGAGAGCAAGUCCAACCUGCACGAACGACACGAACGCAAAAGUACAGCGCCCGCCUCGGGAGUGGCAGUCGUGGGAGCUACCCAACCGAGUAUGCAGCGUAUCUCUGUCGAGCUCAAUCAGGCGCUAAUAAGCCAAAGUUAAGAAGCUAGGGUCAAAACUGGUCUAGAAAUCAAAUCCACGUGCCCUCGACAUAAUUUGAGACCAAAAACAGGACUCUAGGUCCACCGUCCACCCCGACGGUACCCAACAACCCGAAACAGCCUAGACUCUGCUGUAAAAAUAAGCUCGGCGCCCCAGCACGAGUGUAAAUGUAUUUUAAACUACCCCGGGUAUCCACCGCGCUGAAACAGCGGUAAUACAAUCAAACCACGGCUCCUAGAGCUAAAUCAGGUAGCAGAAUUAUAUGACGGGUCAAAAUGCGGGUUUUCUCCUAAGUCAAUUUCCAAGUCCAAUAUGUAUAUUUUGCAAAUUAAGAAUCAUGCUCCAAAUUCAGAUUUCAUACAUUAUACUAUUCGAUGAAUUUGAGCUACAACAUGUUAUACCGAAGUCGAACUAUACAUGUUUACUUUACACAUGCUUAGGAGCAAAACCGAUAAGAAACCCACCUUAAUUGCUAAUCCCUGGCAGCAAGGAAGUCUCAAAGGUGCAAGAUCUCGCAGCUAAACCUCAUCUCAGCCAGCAACGAUCCACAAUUCCGAUCUAAGCACCAAAAAUCACUGAUUCCAUCAUUACAACUAUAAUAUCAGCACUUAAGCUUAAUUAACCACACUCCAAUGUCAAAACUCACCUAAUAACCUCCAAUUCAGGUGAGGACAGUCCCAAAUCCAAUGGAGUAUACUGGAGAAUAAUUCUCAAGUCCCAAAUUCUCCUGCUUCCAAAGAUAGCAUCAAGAAAAGCUCAAAAUCUACAAUUCUGUCCAAAUACAAUAACAGCAGAGUAAAACUUGAGUUCGACCAAGCUAACCUCAACCAAAUUCUGCAAUUCAGGGCUUCGUGGAUUCCUCUGGCAGUCUAGAAUCCAGCAAACUAAGUUUCACCGCGAUCCGACCUUUCUACGUCGCACACGAACCAAAACACUGGAGGUCGUCGCUGAAAAACUGCAGAAUCUGCACCUAUCAAGCUUGGAGUUGUGGAUCUUGAAGCAAUUUGAGUGAUUUGGAGGGGUUGGAAUGCAAAAUAGAGGAUCACUGUGAAGAAGAGAGGAAAAGAGCUCACCAAGGACGCUCCUCAGCUAUUUAUAGGGUGAACAUAUGGUCAGAUGAACCUCAGGAACAAAGGCUGCAAUCUGCUACACUUGCAGAAAUAGCCACUUUCGGGCGCCCAAAAUCCAUUUCUGGGCAUCCGAAACCUCCAGGCUGCACAUUUGCUCCCCUUUGGUUCCAUCGCCCGUGGUGUGCUGCGCCCGUAAACGGCUCCGGCGGACCUCACCUACUACCAGCCACAUGUCAACACAAUCGAUACUCACGAGGUGAACUUUCGGACCCUCAUCCGGGCGCCCGAAACAUGGACCCGAAUUCGCUUCCAGUUAUGAUCAAUUCUGCAUUGAACUUCUGGGCGACCCAAGACCAGUUCUGGGCGUCCGAAUCUAGCAAAAUUCCAGUUUUGCUUAAUUAAGUGCACCGAGUCCAUUUCUGCAUCCAUUUCGUGCAGAAACAACUCUGACUCAGUCCGACACUCUCCAGAUGUGUCGACCAGUCACUAACACUGAAACCAAUCCUAUCCAAAGUGUAGAAACAGUACAGUAUAGAAUUUAUCUGAAACAUGAGCCAUUUCGCGAAGCGCCCUGCGAUCGCCUCGGCAUUUCGUUGAACAGGGCGCGAGCUCUCAAAGCAUAAAAUUUUAAUUAAGCAAUAGAUUGCAAGAGCAAGCAUAGCAAAAUCAAAAAAAUUUGAUAGUGGAGAGAGAAUCAGAGAAAAGACUCUAGUAGGUAUUGCAUCAAACAUAUGAGGGGCGCAGCAAAACGGACAAUUUUUGGAGCUCCCCUUGCUCCACUCAGUAGAGAGAGAUAGAGAGAGAGAGAGAGGCGACAGAAAGCAAGCCAUAGAAUUGGGCGAGGAAGUUUCGGCGGCGGCGGGGAUGGGGAGGGGUGGAAGGAGGCAUACCGUAGCAGGGGGACAAAGGUUCGGGGUUUGCAGGAGCUGCGGGGAGAAGCGCGACCCUCCGCGUUGGACGCAGGAGGAGGUCAGGGUAGGGCCCGACAAACACCCGACAUGGGGGGGCCCGGAUCGGAGAGAGGAGGAGGUGGGGGCCCGGGUCGGAGAGGCUUGCCAUCUGCGGGCGACCCGCACCACCCGCGCGCAGAGAGAGAGAGAGAGAGAGAGAGAGAGAGAGAGAGAGCCGGGGGGGCCCUGCCAUGUGAGCAGCGCUUCGCGCGCCCGCGCCCGCUCGAGGAGAAACGACAGAGAGGAGGGGGCGCUGCGGAGGCGACACGUAGGCGCCCGCCCCGCGCCGGACGCCAGCCGCUGCCGCCCGCUGUGGGGUCCUGCACAUGUGACUGCCGCUGCCGCCCACCCCGCCGUGGGGGCCACCGAAGCCCCCGCCAAACGCGGGGAUGCUUCGAAGGGGCGAGAGAGGAGCGGGGGGCUGAGGAGGUGACAUGUAGGGCACAGUAGAACUCAAGAAUUAUUAUUUCUAUAGAUUACGUAGACACAUCAAACAAUGUGUAAUUUGGAUAACUCUGAAAAAAACUGAUUUAAUGGGAAAAACAUAUGAAGAAGGACAUAUGAAGAAGGACCAGUUCAAUAGAAAUGAGUUUGCAGAGGCAUAAGAUAACAAGAGAUCGCCACGGGGAUUCUCAAACAUGGGGAUUAAUAAGGCUACUAUUAUUAUAUAUAGAUUAUAAAGAUAGAUAUAUAGAUAUAGAUAUUUAGAAUAUUUUUAGCCCUUGUUUGGUUGGGGGUUAAGGGGUGGAAUAACCCCUUAACCCCCAUUUUAUCCCCAAACAUCCCAAAAUAUAGGUGGGGUUAGCUAACCCCACUUAACCCCACCUCAAAUAAAUUAUUCCGGAUUAGCUAACCCCACCUAACCCCACCAAACUCCAACCAAACACUAUUUUCUAUUCAUAAUAACCCACUAUCUUUUUUAUCACACCUACUCCAAUCAAUCAUUAUCUUCUUAUCCCACCUACCCAACCAAACACUAUUUUUCAUUAUUCUAAACUAACUCCAACCCCAACCAAACACAAAAAAACUUUAACCCCGCUUUAACCCUAAACUUAACUCUAUUCCUGGAAUAGCUACUUUUUUCUUAACUCCGAACCAAACGGCGGCUUAGAGCUUACAUUUUACUUGGUACACCAUUAAUCGCCCUUCGAAGGAUGUGUUUUUUUGGUCAACGCACAUCACUCUUUCAUUUCUGAUGCACCUAAUGCACUAAAGCUCAUGAAUUUUGAUAUACAGAGGGAGGAUAUAAUAAAUAAAUAAAUAAAUAAAUAAAAUUUUAUAGCAUAGUGCUUCAAGAAAGUAGCCAUUACGCCGGACUAUUUUGACGCUUUGGCCCCCAACGACUUUUCAUCCCACUCUUCGCUCGGAGGGAACAGAAGUCUUACUCGCUCCGUCUCUCCACUCCAUGGCUACCUCAGGUUCCUCCUCCGCCUCCUCCUCCUCCUCCUCUCCUAUGACGUCCUCGGUAAGCGUGAACGAGGUCGUGAGCGGGUCCCACCUGUUCAAGAUCACCGGCUACUCCCUUACCAAGGGGAUCGGCGUCGGCGAGCCCAUCGCCUCCGCCGUCUUCACCGUCGGCGGCUACGACUGGGCCAUCGAGUACUACCCCGACGGCUGCAAGGCCGACGACGCCGACUACAUCUCCUUUUUUCUCGCCCUCCAAAGCUACCACACCGACGUCCAGAUCUACUGGGCGAUCAAAUUGCUCGACCCCGCGGAGAUGCCGCCGUCCGCAGUCCCGGUGGGCGGAAGCUUGUACACAUUCGACUCAAGCGGCAGAAACUGGGGCUACGGGCGCUUCUUCAAGAGAGCCGAGUUGGAGGAAUCGCGUUAUCUGAAAGACGAUUGCUUCGCAGUUAUGUGCACCAUUCACAUCAAGAUGUCGCGGGUCGAGCGGGUGCCUUAUGCUCACCCGUCGGCCGCGGCGGCGGCGCCGCCGAUCGAGUUGCACGACCACCUCGGCCGGCUCUUGGAGAGGGGAGAGGGGGCCGACGUAACCUUCGAAGUCGGCGGGGAGACUUUCGCCGCCCACCGCUGCGUGCUCGCCGCCCGCUCCCCUGUUUUCAGUGCUCAAUUUUUCGGCCCCUUGAGCGAAAAGAGCACGCAGUGCGUAAAGAUCGAAGAUAUGGAAGCUGCGGCUUUUAGGGCUUUGCUUCACUUCAUAUACCGGGACUCGUUGCCGGAGGAUGGUGAGGAGCCUAAGAAGGCUUCGACUGCAAUGGCGCAGCAUUUGCUCGCGGCCGCAGACCGGUAUGGGUUGGAGAGGCUGAAGCUAAUAUGUGAAGAUAGGUUAUGCAAUAGCAUCGAUGCCGACACGGCGGCUACCAGUUUGGCCUUGGCGGAGCAGCACGGCUGUCUCCGGCUUAAGAAAGUGUGCCUUGAAUUUGCAGUCGUGCCGGAAAAUCUGAUAAGUAUGGUGCUAACUGAAGGGUUUGAGCAUCUGAGGAUGAGUUGUCCCUCGGUUUUGGAGGAUCUCAGAAUGAAGACGACCCGGCACUCUGGUAAGUUUUAAAUUAGCAAAGACAAGAUCCGUUAUAUGUUGUUUUCAUUUCUUUCAAUUAUUGUCCUCAAUGAUAUACUGAUAUAUUUUGGAAGAUAAAUAAGACGAAAUGUCGAUUUAGAGCCAAUUUAUGCAAAUAUAAAUUUAAUCAGUUGGCUCCUUGUAAUAAAAAGAAGUAAAAGGUCUUGGUUGUUUGUGUUAACAUUCCGCUAAUGAAAAACUGGAAUCCUAGGAAGACGUUAAAAGGGUAUGCUUCAUUCAUGAUUCCAAUAGGAAUGGGAAGUGGGAUUAGAUUGUAUUGGAAUGGAAAAUGGAAUGAUGAAUUAUCCAAAAAUAUUUGGUUUAUUAUUGGAAUGGAAAUCAUAAUGAACAUUCAGGAUUUUGGGAGAGGGUGUUGGUUAAAAAAGAUGAGAGUGAUGACUGAUGAAGGGAGAGAAAGGGGAAGUGUUUGUGAGAGAGGGCUUUGAGUGGUUUACUUUUGAAUGGGCUAAUCUGGAAUUCAAAGCUAGAUUGGACCAUAAAUGCAUUAAGGCUAUUCCCAUUCCAGAGUAGAAUGGGAAUCAAAGUCCGAUUCAUGUAAAACAAACAACAACUAUUAGAAUCAAUGAAUCUCAUUCCGAUUCUAUAACCUAAAAUAGGUGGACCAAACGAGCCUUGAAACUGCAAGAUUGUUACCAUAGUUUGAAAAGGGCACGCGCCUCGGCGCCUAGCGUGGGCCUCAGCGCCACAGCAAUAGGGAGGCGCAGCGCUAUUGUUGAGGCGCGCGCCUAGGGCCUGAGGCACGCGCCUCAUGCGAGUUGCGAGGCGCUCCUGAGGCACGCGCCUCGCAAUAUUUAAGUUUACAAGAAUUUUUUAUUCAAGUUUUCGAGUUGUCGGGUUUUGAAUUUGCAUCUUAUACUUUACCCCGAUAAGAUACUUAAAAAAUCUUAAAAGAAAUUUUAAAAAAUUCAAGUUUUCGGAUUGUCGGGUUUUGAAUUUGCAUUUUAUACUUUAAACUCGAUAAGAUACUUAAAAAUCUUGAAAGAUACCCAAAAUACCACUAAAAAAAUCAGCCGCUUGCCCCUUCUCCGUCUCUUAUUCUCUCACAUCCUCUCCCUGUCGAGCAUCCAGCAGCAGCUGUGCUGUCAGCAGGAAGCAGCGGCAGGAAACCGGCGGUGGCUAGAACAAGCAACCAGCAGCAGUGGCAGCAGGAAAACAAGUAGUAGCAGCGAAAACAACAGCAGUGUCAGCAAGUACAUCAAAUUAAACUAUAUGCAUGUGUUUUCUUUACUUUUUGAUGGUUAUUUUGGGGUUUUUUAAUAUAUAACAUCAAAUUAAAUUAACUUUAGUAAAUGUGCGCCUCGCCUUCUUGAGGUGCCCGCCUUGCAGUGCGCCUCUCCGCGCCUCGCGUCUAUGCAAACACUGAUUGUUACACAAGUAUAUAUUUGUUGUGGCAAGAUAAGGAUAAAAGUAGAAUUAGUGAGGAUGGAGGUAUUGUAAACAAUGGAAGUAUUUUUAUGGUGUAUAAUUUGUUAGCAAUGUAACCCACAAGAUUACAGAGAAAUCUUUUCAGAACAACUUGAAUCACACAUAUCAUGCUUUUGAAGUGAACUUGUACUCAUGUUUUUUAUAUGCUGUUUCUAAUUUUGUGAACUUGUGUAUAGCCAAUUAGCAACUAGGUUAUUUAUUUACAAAGCUAUGAUGCAUAGAUACUCUAGAUGCAUCCUUACCAGAUACUGUAUCCAGUAUGAUACUUACUAAAAUACUUCAUAGAUAGCCUCAGAUAUGUGUCUGUAUUAAAGGAGUGUAGCAAUAGUAAUAUUGCUUUGAUAUAGAAGAAGGUAGGAUGGUCCAGACUCUAUACUAGGAGGAUGUCAUCUUUUCAUCAAUUCAAAGUAAAAAUAUGAUCGUGUUAAGCAUCAAAACUAAUUUAAUUUAUUUAAAGACGGAACAAAUAUUAUCUAAUUAAUAGAGCUUGGUCUUAUCUAGGAGUUAGUUAUAGGCUCCCGGUUAUACUAUAAAUUAUAUCCAUUCAUAGUAUGAGUAAGGUAAAAUGGAAGAUAGUUUUACAAAGUAUAGCUUCCUAAAAGAGCCAAUAGUUGAUGUUGAGAUGCUGGCGACAACAACUUUCUUGUACAGGUCAGUAUUUGAAGAUAGAGUAAGGAAUCUGACUUGUGUAACCUAAAAUAUCUAUCAAAAUCUUGAUUUAAUUCCUAUAUGUGGGGUUCAUAGUUGUUCCCAACAGCCUACGUCUAUUAGGCUAUGAGUUACAUAUUCCUGAGAGUUUACAGUAAAAACUUUUAUGUAUUCAGUCAACAUUUGCAUGGUAUGAAGUAUAGGAUGAAUGCCUUUAAAGUGCUUAUACUAUUUUGGAGAAGAAUUUAUGUUAUCUUUUGGAUCUAACUGCAGCUUUCAAAAUCUCUCACCGGUUUAUAUGCACUUCUCAAGUUUGAUGUACAGAGUCUGUUGCAUAAAAGAUGUUUCUUGAACUUCUGAUAAUAUUUAAGUAUCCUGAAUUGUUGAAUCUUCAUCGCUAGAGAGAAUUAAGUGCUGUGGAAUUUGUCACAGAGGACUAGUCUAACCUUGUUUGAUAUCUAACUAUUACUAAUUCUCAAUGAGGAUGGAUUGAUUUGGUUCACAAUUUGCUAAAUUAUAUUCUUGUCCAUAAUUUUCGUAUGAACAUGAAUUAGUUUCUGGGUAGUUAGUGAAUAUAUAUCUUGUUGCUAUAUUUGCUAAAAGUGGUAUCUAACAGAUUCUUACCAGAUUUAGACGGAUUUGAAUAUGAAUAGACUUCAAGUCUGCAGGGGUAUUGCUCAAUAAGAUGCACGCAUAGUAUAAAGUAGUCAUCUAUAAAUAUUUGUUAAAUGUUAGUAAUUUAGUGAUAAGUCUUUAUGUCCUUUAACAAAUAUUCUUAGAAAUGUUCCUUCUUUUGUUUGGUUAGUUGUGGAUUCAUAUUCAGUUUAACCGUUUAUGUUUGGGUCAUUAGCGAUUAUUGCUAUCCUGACACAUUUGAUGUGGACAUUGUAUUAAUAACUACGCAAUUUGAUGAAACUUGUGAUUGCACCUAUGUUCUUUUGUUAUUAAAAAUUGUAUUAUGACGUAACAAGUUUAUGAAAGGAGUUUGUUAUUUGUGGCUACCAUAUAGUGGAUGUUGACUUCUUGUGUACCUUUUCAUGCAAUUAGUAAUUUAUCUUAGGCGGUGUUUGGUUGUCUGUAAAAACACUCCGAAAAUUUUUUUUCGCUUGAAAAGUGGUUUUCCCUUGUUUGGUUGCUCGUAAAAGAAGUUGCCGGAAAAUUUUUUUUACGGAAUCUACGUAAAAAACCAAGUUUUGGUUUUCCGCCCACCGCGGGCGAAAAACGAAAAACUUGAUCCCAAAACGCGCGGCUCACAGCGCUGAAAAAAACGCGGUCCACGAGAAAGCCUGAUUCUCGUGGACUGCGUGAGUGGUCCAACUGCGUGAGUGGUCCAACUGUGGACCACUCACCAACUCUUUCUCUCUUAUNUGGUAAAAAAUUAUUAUACAUAUUUAUAAAUAUAUAUAUUUAUUAUAUAUAUAGUAUUUUAUUUUUAUAUAGAAAUAUUAUUAUAUAUUAUUUUAUUUAUAAAUUUGUAAUUAUUUAUUAAUAUCUCUAAAUAUAUAAUUCUUAUAUAUAUAUGAUGUAAUAUGUUCAUUAUAAUUUUAAAUAUAUUUAAUUUGUAUAUAUAGAUUAUAAUAAUAAUUUAUAAUAUUAUGUUCAUUAUAAUUUUACAUACUAUGAUGUAAUAUGUAAUUAUAUAUAUUUAUUAUAUAUAUAAUAUUUUAUUUAUAAAUUUGUAAUUAUUUAUUAAUAUUUUUAAAUAUAUUAUAUAUGAUGUAACAUAUUUAUUAUAAUUUUAAAUAUAUUUAAUCUGUAUAUAAAAAUUAUAAUAAUAUAUAAAAUAUAUUAAUUAUUAUAUAUUAAUAAUAUAUAAUAAAAAAUAUUAAAUAGUUUUUCAUCUAUUCUUUUUUCUUCCAACCAAACAACCGUCAUGGAAAACUAUUUUUCUUUUCCUACAAAUCAAACACUAACGACGUAAAACCAUUUUUCCACCGAAAAUUUUUUUUCCACAGUUUUACGUGGAACCAAACACACCCUUAGCAAUUAUUGUGGAUGUUGAAUUCUUGCGUACCUUUUCAUACAAUUAGUAAUUUGUUUUACAAUUAAUUGUCACUUGCAUGACCUUCACAUUUACAGACCAUCUUCUUUCAGCACAACAAAAUGUGAAAAAACCUACUUCUCUGACAACUCAAGCUGUUACAGAGCUAUGCUUAAUAUAAUGGGAGCUACAAAUUUAGUUUCUGACAAUUUUAGUUGUCCUCAGAUCUUCAAUUUUAAUAAUUUAAUCCUCGAAGCUUUUUCCAUGUAGCUAUCAAGUGCGUCACGUAAUCUAAGGGCUUAGAAAACAACAAAGCUGCAUUAUUGUUGCAGUUUAAAUGUUAAAAAACCACCAUACAUAUCAACAGAGCUAACAAUGGAGUUAUGAGACACCUUUUUUGGAGGGCAACGUAAUGAAAGGACUUGUUAUAUAGGACAAUUUAUAGGGACUUUAUUGUCAGAAACAUAAUAGAAGUGGGUAAUUAAGAUUGCAGCAUCUUAUAGUCAACACUUUGAUGUCUAGGCUCUCAAAUUUAUUAUGUCCAAAAGUUUGGGUAUGAAUUAAAUAGUUUGAAGUUUAUAUUGUUCUCUCUCUCUCUCUCUCUUUGAGGUUUAUAUUGUUCUCUCUCUCUCUCUCUCUCUCUCUCUGUUUUAUUUUUGAAUGGAUGUUGUUCUCAAUCUAACGGCAGUAGCUCAGAGGGGUUUGGGCUUAGGACAUUUUCUUGCACCUAUUAAUCUAUUAUGUGCAAUGUGAAAUAAGAGGGUGAAGUUUUUCUGUUGGCAAAAUAAAAGGCCUCAUGUGAUUGAAAACUCUGGAGCCUUUGUUUUUAUUCCAUGUGAAAACAUUUGUUGUCUAAAACUCGACUAUUCUUUUUGUUGUCGUAGGAAUACAUUGGUCAUUUCAGGCAUUGUUAUCCCGCAGUGAUAAUGUUUGCAAUCAGUUUGCAUCGAUAUAAUUCUUUUUCAACUCAUUUUCUUUUCUAUUCUGAUAAUAGUAAUGUUGAAUACUAAAUUUUUAUGGAUCCAGGAAACCAUGAUAACAUCAAAUAACUAAUGGAAGGAAGUGUGCGGAUGGCAAAGUUAGAGCAGUGAAGCAAAUUCGGUAUAGUUGUUGUUUUAGAAGUAUACUAACAUGACUUAUAUUGUUCGUAGAAAAAAUGUGGAAUAUUGCAUAUAUAUUUGUAAUUGUAAUUACUAGUUUCUAUUUCUAUAAAUAAAUAAUUGCUUGCUCUAUAAGCCAGAAACUUUCAUUGAAUAUUUAACUAUGUUUUGAGUUUUAAUUGGUGGCCCUCUAGAUAUUUGUUUAGCAUGUGCCUUCUGUUAAGCUCUGGUUUGCAAGAAUGAAGCAAUUUUUGUUGCAAAGAUUUCUGUAACGGUGCAGUUCUUUUUAUCCGUAUUGCAAAGAAGACUUGAUUAGCUUGCUAUUUAAACUGGCCGUCUAUUUUUCUUCUUGUAGUAUGUAAUAUAAAUUAGUUCUCAUUGUAAAUUUUGUAUGCUAUUGGAGUGGCUUCUAAAUAGAUACUGUAGGUAGUUGAGAACAUAUGGUUUUAUGAUGGAUUGGACUCUUUUUAAUUAUUAAAUAGCCUUUUGGUUUGCUUUAUGAGUAUUUGUAGUUUAGUCACUUGUUUUAUUUAUAUUCUUCAGUUUCAGUGCUAAAUUGUAUUCUUUAUGUGAAACUGACUCUAGUAAUGCUAUUUUACAUCCAAAAGUUGAGUGUAAAUUUUAUACCCUACCCAUCGAAGGGUGGGAACAAUCUUUUUUGUAUUUAAAAAAUAGGAUGGUGAUAUGACUAGUGGGAUAGAAUUAACCCGCUCAUUUUGAUGAAAAAAAAUAAAACAUUUAUAAGUGGCAGAAAAAAUGGUUAAAAACGAAUGGAUCUUUUACCUCUGCCAAGAUGGACUGCUCUUUAUGUUCUCCGAUCAGUGACUCCUUUAAGUGUAGUGUGGUAAAAAAUUGUCGAUCUCGAACUGUUGAUCUAUCUAUCUAGAGAGAGAGAGAGAGAGAGAGAGAGAGAGAGUUGGGCUAGAAUACUCUUAAUAGUAUUUGGGCUCUGAUACUAUUAAGUCAUUUUUGAUGAUAGGAUAUCCAAAUCGUCGAUCCAUAUCGUUCAAGUUGAUCUAGAGUGUUUGAACCUUAUAAAAAUUAAGUUUCAUAAUUUUUCGAAAUCAUUUUCUAGUUCAUCAAGUGACUGCAGAAUGCACAGUUGAAAAUGAACAAGCUACUUAAAAUCGAUAAUAGAACUCUCAAAUUCAAGAUCAAGGUUAUUCAUUUGAUCAAGAUAGUUAAAGAAAUUUCGAUUGAAAAUUGAACUAAUUUAGAACGUGCUACACCGUUAAACGAGAAAAUGCAUCAUAUAGACGGUUAAAAUUAUUUAAUUUUGAGAUUACUUGAUCACAAGUAGUUAAUGUCGAAAAAUUACAAAAUUAAAUUUCUAAAAGGUUUAAAUGCUGUAGAUUUACUUGAACGGUAUGGUUCGUCUAUUCGGAUGUCCCAUUAUCCAAAGUGAUGCGAUGGUACCGGAGCCCAAAUACUCUUAAGAGCAUUCUAGUCCAACAUGACAAACAUGACAAUCUUGAAAUAGUCAUUUUCUCUAAAUGUUUAAAGUUAUUAGCUAGAGAGUUGUGUCUUAAAUAUUGGGUUUGAGUUCAAUUUCAAUUAUGUCUUCAGAGCUUUAAUUUGAAAAAUUUAGCCAUUGGAAUUUGUCCCACACAAUCAUUACAUUCUUCACUUAAGAAAACAUCACGUUUGCAUUGUCAUUAUAAUUGAAAGCACAUGAAAAUAUUAGUAGGAUGUUAGGAAGCGCUACUUAGGUUGGUGAGAUAGUGGCAUGGAUUUAAGUGCCAGUUGGCAUGUGUCUUGUCAACUGUGCUGACAAAGCAUUGGCACAACACAACUUUUGUGCCAAUGGCACGAUUCGAAAUCCUUCUUUUGUAAUUUUUUUCAACCAAAUAGGUUUAGCAUUGGUUUCAAAUGAUCUAAUUUUGAUGGAAUGAAGGUGCAGGAAAUUUGAUUUGCAUCAUGCAUACACAAAAUUGAAAUCUCAAUAAAUUUAGCAUUAGUUUUUUAGGGAAUAUAAUUUUCUUCAACUUUUACUCCUUAAUCUAAUGAAUACUUGCACAUUUUAACAUACUUCUCAAAAUUAUUAAUAGUAAAAAAGAAUUCGAUAAUAGCAUAUUUAAGAACAAAUGUGAUAUAUAUUUGUUGAACAAAUAAAAAUCUCAUAUGAAUUUGUGUCGGCACAUGGGUACUGUACCAGCAGCACCGAGGCUAUGCAAAUUUUGUCAUCCUAGCCAGCGCUCAGGCAUGGUCCCGUGUCUCGACACUUAAAACCUUGUAGGGACAUCUUCUUUCAAAUAGAAAAGUUAUGAAAGGAUUCAAUUACUAUGGAGGACAAAUUUCAGGGACUAAAAUUUUUAAAACUCCUGGGGCAUAAUUGUUGUUAUUGAUGUUUUGUAUUAAUUAAUUAGCUUCAAGAAUAUUGUAGGUUUUAGAUGCUAGAUGGUUUUACAAUGUGAGAGUUUUUCUAAUGACUAAAUAGUUGAUGAGCCUGAUUUGGAUCUUUGCUACCACGUGAAACUACCAUAAUCUCUUUUAGGUGUUAUAUGCGUAUUUAGUAUUACUACCAUCAUGCACAUUAACUGAGGUGUUAAGAAUAAUCGUGGUCAUUUCUGAUUGAUUGGUUAUGCAAACGAUGUAUUCUCACAAUAAUAUUACUUGCAAGCAUUUUAUUUGCAUGAUAUAUUUUCAACUUGAUGACUUCUCAUAACUAUUCCAACUGUAGUGGACUUUAUACAUUGGUCAGAGAAAGCUUAUAACUUGCUUAAAUUUUUUUCUGCCGAUCCAGAAAACAGUAGUCACUUCAAAUGGCCAGUGGACUUGCCUGUGUUGAAAAGUUAGAGAGGAGAGAUAUGUUUAGCAGCAGCUGUUGUCUUAAAAGGUAAUGUGGAUAGAACCUAAGCUUUUUGAAUUUUGAAUAGUGAAAGCUUGUCUAUAUAUAUAUGCCCUGCAAUUUUUUGAUCUUCAGGUUAUAUUUUGUUCCAACAUGCAAAUAUUUAGUUGCCCUAUAUAGCCAUGGCCGAAAAUUCAUUAGAUAUCUGAACAAUGUUAUUCGGCAUGUUCUCAUGUCACCUUUGUUUUUUAUGGUUUUGAGGGAUGAUGAAAAUUGGGCAAUUUUUAUUGCAAUCAUAAGUAUGGAAACAACAAACUUCUUUUCUUCUUUACAGACAUUCCGUAAGAUAUAUAAUAGUGUGCUAAAGAGCUUGACAAACUGAUUUUUCUAGAACUAGCCUUUUCUCUUUUUCCUAUUUUUGCUUAAUAGUUUAAUAUAAUUCUAUUCUUAUUGUAAAUUUCUUAUAAUAUUUUAGUGAUUUCUAAGUAAAUACCGUAAAUUGUUGCUGAUAGUUGGUUUAAUGAUUGGAUUCUUGUAUAUUUAGGUCUUGUUUCACAUCACUGCUAAUUUUUUUUAAAUUUUUUGUAAACAUAAGGUUUAUAUAGGGGAAUUAGAUAUAUGUGGAUGUUAUUUUCUAUUCGCGUUAUGAUUAGUUAGAUUGACGUUCAUCUCUUCUAGGUGAUGAUUACUUCCAAGAUUUUAUCUUCUAUAGCCAAAUAAUAUUUUACUUUGAAUGCAAUGAUUGCAAACAAUCGAUCAUUCAUUUAAACAUUCUUUAAUGUGGAACUUUUUUUUUUUUUAAAAUGGUAAUAAUGCCAAAUAAGAUCUUAGUAAAUAUCUUUUGGUUUUGUUUUGUUGGUAUUCUGGAAUUUGCUAAAACAGAUCUGUAAGUUUAGCUAUGGUUCCUCAUGUUCUGUUGUCCACUUACGACAAAUUUUAAAAUCGACAACUAAUAUAUACUCUUUUAGAAAUUGUAUUUCCAUCUAAUCAAUCUUACAUAUAAUGAAAGCCUAUGGAUGUGCUUCUCAAAAGCCAAAAAAAAAAAAAAGUGGAACGUAACAGUGCAUUAUCCCUAUUUUCACUAUGUCAGGUUGCCUAUAAUUUUUUUUUAUAUAUUAUUAAUAAGUUGACAAUGAUAAUACAUAUGGCUUUAAUUGUCUUGUUAGUCUAAAAUACUCACGUAGCACAUACUGUAUGAACCAAUUAAAUUUCUUUAUAUUAUGAAGUCAAGAUUCUCUUGGAUCGAGUUACAGUACACUUUUUUAUGGAAGCAGAUUCCUCCAUUCUUUUUUCACUGUUCAGAAUGAAAAAUUUCCAAACAAAAUGUUUUCUCCUUUUGUAUUGUUUAUUUUAGGUGGCAAUCGCCUAUUUGUACCAACAAAUUUUCACCUUUCAUAUCUACCCAUCAAAAUAUAUGUUCUCAAACAUACCCUGGGAAAAAUCCAAAUCCUUUAUUAUAAACCUUCCAAAUACAGAAAUCUUUCAAUGGUUUAUUUGAGACGAAGGGUAAGUUUCACAAGUUUAUAAUAGUCUCUUAUUUCUUUAAUUAUACUAUACUAAAAUGUACUUAAUGAUUUUGUUUUUUUUGGUAGAUUGAAUUAAAAUUUCCAACCUUUAAAAGAUUUGAUUUUAAUAUCUAACUUUUCAAUUUGUUUGAUUUAAGCUAUUUAAUGGUUCUUCCAGUUUGAAAUUUAGGUAAUCAUUUUGAUGAAUUCUAACCACAUAACCUACAAGAAUAUUAAACUCUAUAUUAAAGUUGAAACCAAAUGCCGUUCCUCCAUCGAGCCACGUAGCCUGAACAUUAAAUACAAUGUGCAUGAACAUUAAAUACAAUGUGCCACGUGUCUCUCUCUCCCUCACAUUCUCUCCCUGUGCAUGAACCAAAACAAUUCAUAUCACAUAGAAUAUUGCCAUGUACUAUUGCUAUCUUGCUAAUCAUUAGGGUGCAUGCAUCCACCUCCCAGCUUUUUCUAUAUAUCUAGCAUUGUUCGCUAUCAAACAAGUGUAUGAAUGUGUAUACUUGUCUCUGCUUAUUUGUUCCUCCCAGCUUUAUCAGUAGUGUUAGAGCAUAUUCUCAACCUUGCUAUAUUUGUUUUGGAAUUAUUUGGGAUAUAUAUCUUCUACUGUUGUUAGGUGAGGUAAAACUAUGUUGCUUUAAACUCUCAUAGAGUGUACUCCUUGAUAGUAUAGGAAUACAAAAUAAAUAAUAUAAAUUUAACAGUAAAUAAUUUUUUAGUAUAUUCCUUGAUAGUAUAGGAAUACGAAACAAAUAAUAUAACUUAACAUUAAACAGAUUGUUUUUUCCAGCAUACUGGAACAAUAACCUUACAUAAACGCUAUACUAAAACUUAAACCAAAUGUCGUCCCUCCAUCGAGCCACGUGAUCUUUCUUUUAUAUGGUUUUCUCUCUCUCCCUCACUUGUUCUCCCUCCCUUUACAUAAAAUAUAUGGUGCAUGAUGGGAAAAAAAUAUAGUACAGAGAAUAUUGCAUUGUACUUUUGCUAUCUAUGUAAUCACGUGGGUUCAUGCAUCCUCCCCCCACUCCAGCAUUCCCUAUAUAUAUGCUGUUCACUACCAAACAUGCGAAUAAAUGUUAAUAUUUGUCUCUACUUACUUGUCUUCCAGCAUCAAUAGUGUUAGAGCAUCUUCUCCAGCUUUCUAUAUAUAUAAACGUUCAGCUUCUAACAUAGUUAUUGGGCCCACCACCCAUUUACUUCCUUAAGGAGUAAGAUUUUUUUUUGGCUGUAUCUACAGAUACAACCAGCUAUAUCCAUCUGUUUGUUUUAGAAUUAUUUGGGUUACAUAUCUGCUACUUUCCUAAGGUAGGGUAAAACUAUGUUGUUGUAUACUCUCAUAGAGUGUAUUCCUUGAUAGUGUAGGAUUACAAAAAAAAAUAAUAGUUAAUUAUUUACAUUCACUAAACAUCUUUAUCUUAAUUGGUUAAAUGAAAGAACAAUAAGCUAACAUAAAUCAAAAUAAAAAAUGUGUGCCUAAUUAUCUUACCGUGCUUUUUAUAUGUCGUUACUUCUUUAUGGAAUGAUAACAUAAACGCUUAAAAAGUAAAUAAUUAAUUGGCUUAUUUGUUUUAACGAUAUGUUGGUGAUGUUGGGUCCCUGGAUUUUUUGAAUUUAAUACUGGACAUAUAUAAAUUUUCAGUCUUUACAGGUGUAUUUUUAAACUAUUUAAUAAUGUGUGUAAUUAAUUACAGGCUUCUCGUCUUUGUUCGUUAGAUGCAUCCUAUUUUUCUUUACUCCCUUAAUUAAAAUUAAUUAGUAAUUGUUUAUGAAAAUUACGAUUGCCUCCAGAGUUUUUUUUCCCUUGCUUCAUAUUUCUAUUUCGAUGACUUUCUUUAAAACUAUAAGGAAGUGUCUUAUUAUUUUUAUCAAUAUAUGUUUCAUGUGGGGAAAAAAAAACCAGGACUUUAAUGUAUUUGGAAUUAUGAUUUUCAUUACUCUUCGUCUUUUUUUUUUUGAUUCCUAUCUUUCUUGAGCAUGUAUACAUGCAGAUUCUUUACUAGUUAAUUAUUUACCUCCUCUAGGCACCUUUAUUUUAAUUGGCUAAAUUAAAGAUCAGUUCUAACAAUUUCAUACUAAGUUUCUUUAUCUUACCGUACUUUUUAUAUUUCGUUAGUUCAUUAUGGAGUGAUAACAUAAAUUGUUAAAAAGUAAAUAAUUAAAUGACUUAUUUGUUUUAAGGAUAUGUUGGUGAUGUUGGGUUCCUUACUUUUUUUUAUUAAUGGUGGACAUAUAUAGAGAUUUGUCUCAGUACUUAAAUUUUUAAUCUACGGCUAUUGAGCAAUGCAUGUAAAGAUGUUAGAAAGUUUCUCUAGACAAUAGCAUUGGAGGGCUGGGAUUAAAAAAACUAAUGCAUUAAUUAUACUAGAUUCAUAACAUAAGUCUUAUGUUUUAUCAUACAUUAAUUAUUUUGCAUUUGGUCAUUCUAUACCUUAGCUUAAAAUGAUUAUCUCGUCUUUUUUAUAUCAUUCUUGAACGUUUAAAGGACAAUGGCGGCCCUACCAGUAUAAUAUAAGCAAUUGUUUACCGACAUACUUGGGGUUCUUGCCUUUCCUCUUCCUAAUUACGGCGCAAUGUUCGGUUCUGAUAGCUUGUAUGUGGGAUGUGCUGAAAUAAAAGUUGAAAAUAUUGAUGGAAUUGAAGAGGUUUUUAAGUGGUUUGGUCAGAAAUGCAUUAAUGUUGAGUUAGCAGAGGAAAAAGCCGCUCAUGAAGCAAUUAUGUGCUUGAAGAAAGCACUUAAUUUCGAUAUUGCUGAUAUUAACUAUGAUGACUUAAUGGUUUAUAAAUCUUUAUACGAACAGUUGUGUGCCAACCACAACCAACUCCAGUCCGACUACUAUUUUCUAAAAGAAUGUUACAGUUAUACUCUCAGCGAGGUUAGGUGCCUUCAAAAUGAGAAUACGUGGCUGGGACAACAAGCCGACCACGCUGCAGAGUUGCUGUGGCCCACUACAAUUAAUAAUCAUCUGCAUCCUUCAGUUGUAAUCUUUAAAGUCUUUUGUAGCAUGAAUUUCGCAGUCUCCCUUUAGUUGUAUAAAAAUGUCAUGACGUUUCGUUUCCUUCUUUCAAUGUCUUGUAUUUUGUUGUUUUUGAUACUGUAGUAUAAUUUGUCUGUCUGAUAGUGCCGUGACGUGUCGUUUCCUUCCUUCAACGUCUUGUAUUUUGUUGUUUCUAGUACUGUAUUGUAAUUUGUCUGUCUGAUACUCUGAGUUUUCUAAUAGUCAUUAAGAUUUGUGCGCUUGAGGGUAGGAGACUGUAUAACGGUANNNNNNNNNNNNNNNNNNNNNNNNNNNNNNNNNNNNNNNNNNNNNNNNNNNNNNNNNNNNNNNNNNNNNNNNNNNNNNNNNNNNNNNNNNNNNNNNNNNNNNNNNNNNNNNNNNNNNNNNNNNNNNNNNNNNNNNNNNNNNNNNNNNNNNNNNNNNNNNNNNNNNNNNNNNNNNNNNNNNNNNNNNNNNNNNNNNNNNNNNNNNNNNNNNNNNNNNNNNNNNNNNNNNNNNNNNNNNNNNNNNNNNNNNNNNNNNNNNNNNNNNNNNNNNNNNNNNNNNNNNNNNNNNNNNNNNNNNNNNNNNNNNNNNNNNNNNNNNNNNNNNNNNNNNNNNNNNNNNNNNNNNNNNNNNNNNNNNNNNNNNNNNNNNNNNNNNNNNNNNNNNNNNNNNNNNNNNNNNNNNNNNNNNNNNNNNNNNNNNNNNNNNNNNNNNNNNNNNNNNNNNNNNNNNNNNNNNNNNNNNNNNNNNNNNNNNNNNNNNNNNNNNNNNNNNNNNNNNNNNNNNNNNNNNNNNNNNNNNNNNNNNNNNNNNNNNNNNNNNNNNNNNNNNNNNNNNNNNNNNNNNNNNNNNNNNNNNNNNNNNNNNNNNNNNNNNNNNNNNNNNNNNNNNNNNNNNNNNNNNNNNNNNNNNNNNNNNNNUCUUAAAAUACACAGUUGGAAAGGUUAUGGUGUAUUAUUUACGUUACUUUAAAUUAUUCAACACCAACCAUUUUUUUUAUAGUUAAUAGUAGAAUGAUUUAAUUUUUACUAUAUAUGUACUAAUUAUCAAAUUUAGGAGACUAUAUAUACAUAUGCAUGAAGUGUGCCAGAAGCAAUUACUUCUCCACUUGGAGCUCUUUUAACGGGCAAAAAUUUAGUGGACACAGUGUCGCAACAAUGCUAUUUGGGGACUCUCCGGAUGGGCGCUGCGUGGCGAGCACGCACCGAUCUCGAAGUCUUUUUUUUUUUUUUAGGCAUUUACAAACAGGCCGUUUCGGAGAUUUCGGAUUUGGAUGCGAACCGUUAAAAGGCGUAAACGGGAAGACAGGGGAGACCCCAGUUGGGGGAGUAGGGCAUUCUCAGGCUUGGAUUUGACUUAACUGGACGCUGGUGCUGUUCAUCGUGUUGUUUCGCGGAUUCCUCAGGUCUUCAGCCUCGGCCGUUCUGUAGUACUGCCCUGCCGAUCUCGAGUCUACGACGACUGCGGCCGGCAGAUUCGUGGGGUGGAAUCAAGAUUUGGAAAAGGAGAGUUCCGGAAAGAUGAAGUGGGUGCAGAAGAAGUAAUGGAUUUGCUACAACUGCAACGAUGGAAAACGGUUUCUCCACGGAUCGCCACCGGAGUGCACAUUACAUUACAUUAAAGUGAUCAACUAAUUAAUUAGAGUCAGAAGCUCAAGCUCACGUUAUUGGAAAUGAUUUUUUUUUUCAGCUUUUUUUUUAAAAUUCUUUUUUUUUUUUCUGGAGCAGUGUUGAUCAAAGUUUACAGUUGUAAGUGCAGCUUUUGUUGAUCAAAGUUUACAGUUGUAAGUACAGCUUUUAGCGCUACAACAUUGAUUGAAUUCUUUAUUUUUUUUUAUUUAUAAUAUUCUGGUCAACACUGAUCACUCAUAUAUAUAUAUAUAUAUAUAUAUAUAUAUAUAUAUAUAUAUAUAUAUAUAUAUAUAUAUAUGGUUAUUUAAAUGUGGAAGUACACAUGGGGAUCGAUGUAUGAUUACGUGGACCUGACCAGUCAAUGAGCUCCUGUACAUAGGAAUUGUUUAAGUGGACCAUCUUCGCCACGUCAGCUGUGGACUGCCAGAGGGGGGACAUGAUACUAUAUGGUACCAUUUGGUUCGGGAACAAGGAGGAGAAUAAGCCCUUAUCCCCCCUUUGUUCCCAAACGCAGCGUUUGGUAACCGAGAACAGUAGCUCCCGGAUUUCUGAAACUAGCUGGUAUAACACUGGAACUAGCUGGAACUGCUGUUCUACCUUUUUCUUGGAACAAGCUUGUUCCUGAAUGAGAACAAGGUUAAUUAAAUAUAAAUUUAAAAUUUAAUGAUAGUAAAUUAUUAAUUAAUCUAACUAAUAUAUUUGAAUUAUUAUCUAUUGCUUAAAUAAUAAAAUAAAUAAAUAAAUAAUCAAUUAUAAUUAAUUAUUUAUAAUUAGAUAAUAAUAAUUAUUAAUUUAAUAAUUAUUAUUUAUUAAUAAUUAUUAAUUAAAUAAUUAUUAUUAAUAAUUAUUAUUCUUAAGAAAUAGAUAAUCGAUAUUAUUAAUAAUUUAUUAUUUAUAAUUAAUUAUUAAUAAUUAGAUAAUUAUUAUUAAUUAAUUUAUUACUUAUAAUUAAUUAUUAAUAUUAUUAUUUAAUUAUUAAUUAAUAAUAAAAUAAAAUAAUUAUUCUUAUUAAUUAGAUAAUCGAUAUUAUUAGUAAUUUAUUAUUAAUAAUUAAUAAUUAAAUAAUUAUUAUUAUUUAUUAAUAAUGAUUUAUAAUUAAUUAUUAAUAAUUAGAUAAUUAUUAUUAAUUAAUUUAUUACUUAUAAAUAAUUAUUANNNNNNNNNNNNNNNNNNNNNNNNNCGCGCCGCGACUUUUUUUUUUUUGCUUUUUUUCUUUUCUUUUCUUCUCCGACUCUUCUCCACCGUCUCCGACGACGACGCCUCUCGUCCUUCCCCGCCCUUCUCAUCUCUCCCUUUCCCCCAUUUUCUGCCGCCUCCAACGACGAUUUAUCUUCGCCGGCGCCGACAUCGACACCGUAGAGGUCACUGCGGCACUACAACCUCGGAGCGGGGGGUCCUUAGCGGCGUUGUCACCGGCGCCGUAGCUGUUGGCAGAGAAGGUGAUAAAAAAAAUUAUAGAAAAAACAGAAAAAAAGUAAAGAUAAAAAAUUAUAUAAAAAGAAGGAUGAAAAUGAAAUUGCAUCGUUAAUUACAAAAAAAAUUAUAAGUUGCACUAUUUAAGAUGUAAACUGCUGCUUUAAGAUAAAAAUUAUACUCUUUGAACAAAAAUUACGCUCUUUGGGAGAUGUUUACACUGUUUCUAUUCUUAUUGCACUCUUUCAGAUGUAAACUGUAAUCAUUAAGAUGAAAAUUACACUCUUGAAACGAAAGUUGCACUGUUUUUCUCUUGUUGUACUAUUUUUUAUCUUAAACUGCAUCCUUUUAAGUGAUAUUUAUACUGUUUCUCCUCUUGUUGCACUGUUUUUCCUUUUGUUGCACUAUUUCUCCUCUUGUUUUUACAGAAAAUGGUGCAACAAGAGGAGAAACAGUAUAAAUAUCUCUUAAAAGGGUGCAGUUUAAGAUAAAAAAUAGUGUAACAAGAGGAGAAAUGGUGCAACAAGAGGAGAAACAGUGCAACUUUUGUUUAAAGAGUGUAACUUUCAUCUUAAUGGAUGCAGUUUACAUCUGAAAGAGUGUAAUAAGAAGAGAAACAGUGUAAAUAUUUCUCAAAGAGUGUAAUUUUCGUUUAAAGAGUGUAGUUUUCAUCUUAAAGCUGCAGUUUACAUCUUAAAUAGUGCAACUUAUAAUUUUUUUUGCAGUUAACGAUACAAUUUGAUGUUCAUCCUUCUUUUUAUAUAAUUUUUUAUCUUUAUUUUUUUUUCUGUUUUUUCUAUAAUUUUUUUUUGUCACCUUCUCUGCCAACAGCCACGGUGCCGGCGACGACACCGCUAAGGACCCCCGCUCCGAGCCUGUAGCGCCGCAGUGACCUCCACGGUGUCGACGUCGGCGCCGGCGAAGAUGCAUCGUCGUCGGAGGCGGCAGAGAAUGAGGAAGAGGGAGAGAUGAGAAGGGCGGGAAAGGACGAGAAAGACGAGAGAGGCAUCGUCGUAAGAGACGGUGGAGAAGAGUCGGAGAAGAAAAGAAAAGAAAAAAGCAAAAAAAAACAAAAAAAAAGUCGUGGCGCGGCCUUAGCGGGGUUGGAGGCGAGGAAGGUGGGGGGUGCGUGGACGAGGGCAAGGGCGAGGGCGAGGGCGAGAGAAUGAGAGUGAGAGGCGAGACAGACCGUUUCUGCCUCCGCUCUGCCGGCGAGAAAAAAAAAAAGAACGAGAGGAAUGAAGAGGAGAGAGAAAGAGGAAAGAGAAAAAAUAAAAAGGAUAUUUUGGUCAGUUUGCUGAAAAAGCGGACCGAGUCUGGAAAAACGAAAAAAUGGCCAAAUUUUGCAAAAGCCCAAAAUAAGUGGAUUUUUUAUGCAAAUUGGCCAUAAAUAAAAGCACGUAUUUUAAAUUUCGCGACAGAUCCAUUUUUUGGCGGGAUAAAAAUUAAUUCAUCUUUCCUUACGUAAAAUAAAUAACAAAAUUAAACAAACUUUUAUUUCCUCUUUAUUUCUAUAACAGAAAAAAAUUUAUAUUUAUCCAAAUUUUUGCCAAUCGGAGAAUAUCUACUGUGAAUUUUUAUUUAAUUCUUCUUUAUCUCUAUCUGUAAUAUAAUAUCUAUACUUAUAUUAUCUAUCUAUAUCUAUAUCAUCUAUACUAUUUAAAAUAAAUUAAAAUAAUUAUUACGUACAUUUACACGUACGCUCAACUAAUAUAUAUAUAUAUAUAUAUAUAUAUAUAUAUAUACAUGCACACCUAGAGAGUAUGUAUCCAAUAAAGCCUUGAAAAUUAAUUUAAAGUUAUGGGGUUAGAAUAAUAGCGGUUCCCUACCUAGGGUUUAGUGGUGGUUGGUUGAAUAGUAUAAUCUAAAGGGUUGAUGAUGUAUUAUAGACUAACAAAUUAUAGUAAGAAAAAAAAGUUUUUUUUUCCAGUGUAAUAAUUUAUAUUAAAUUAUUGGUUAAAAAAUUAAAGAUGGCAAUGAUAUCAAAUGUGAUCUUAAUUUUUAGAUUUGUGCGGUCUCUUUUUAUCUGGAUGUAUUCAAUUUGAUCACCGUACCUUCAACUAGAUUUGGAGAGCCCNAUAUAUAUAUAUAUAUAUAUAGAGAGAGAGAGAGAGAGAGAGAGAGAGAGUAUGUAGCUGUAGUAUUUUUAAAAACACUAAAUACUUGGUACUUACAAAUUUUUCAUCACUUAACUUAUCCCUUUGAUUAAUUAUAUCCCUUAGAUUAUGUUAUUUCAUAAACCUAUUUUUAUCUAAAAGUCGAAAAAUCUUGAAGCACCAAUAAUUUAUUUAUUUAUUUUUUUGAGAGAUAGAUAACACGCUACCCGCUUCGUUUAUUUCAUUCAGAAAUAAACUUAGCUAGAAAUGUGAAGCAGCUAGGAUUCGAACUUGAGACAUCGAGUACCAACCACCAAACCCUUUACCACUUGCUCUAGGGACGGUCGGUAAUAAUUUAAUAUUUUUAAAAGCAUAUGAACUCAAUUACAUACAUAUGAAAAUUAGUAGCUCUGUUCCAAAUUAGUCUUAGUGUUGGGAAUCUGGUACUCACCUUGAUACCAGAUUUUAUACCAGAUUUUGAAAAUCGGUAAUCCGCUCCGAUAUCGAAUGCUGUAAAUUUGAUAUCAUUUAUUGAGAUUCCGCAACGAAAGCAUAAAAUUAAAUUUUUAACGUAAAUCCUACUCCUUGGCAAAAAUCUAGCACAACCACAAAAGAAAGAAAAACCAAAAAUAAAGAAUACAGAUAAAAUAAGAUUCACUAAAUAAGAGAAGAAUUACAUCUAAGUAUCUAACUACUCUUUUAUAUAAAAUAGUUUCAACUCGAGCCCUCUUUCUGAAUCUCUCUCACCCUCUUCUCGUCUUCUAUAAUUCAAAAGAAGACUUCUCUCCCAUCUUAUUCACCCAUGUAUAAGAUAUACUAAUGAUCCACAACCACGAAAAUUGCACACGUCCUCUCCUCUUACACCAAUGUACUAGAUGCAUCCAAAUCAUGACCACUUUGGCCAUGCUAUAUGGAUGUGGCUAAGUCGUACACUCGUACUGCCACCGCCACCGCCACCAAAAUAAAAGCACUCAUGUUAUAUUUACAGCUUACAUCAAAAGUUAUUCAAAUAUUCGUCUAAUUAGAUUUCUACUUUUGUUAAUACUUAAAUCUUAAUUAAUUUAUCUUUAACAGAUUUAAAUAUUAUUCUAAAUCCAACAAAGAUUCAAUUUCAAAUCUAACUAAAUUCUAAUAUAUAAUAUGCUAGCGCUUCUUAACCUUUUUGUUUAAGCUUUUGAAUUGACUCAAACCCUUGGGAAAAAAAAGAAAAGGUUAUUAACAUUAUAGCUUGUACCAGCUUAGAAAGUAACUCAAAAUAAAUCGUGAAAGGCUACGACCAACGAAAAAAUGAACUAAGAAAAAACUCCAUCAUAAGUUAAAAAAAGUUAAUACAUUUAUAAGUUAUGUUAAAUAAGUACUCUUAAUAAUACGGCCAAUUUGCAUAAAAAAUCCACUUAUUUUGGAGUUUUGCAAAACGGGGUCACCUUUUUCGUUUUUGCAGAUUCGGUCCGCUUUUUCCGCCGCCUUACCAAAAUGCCCCUCCUAUACAAUAUCCUCCCGCGUAUUUCUUGACAUACGUAUACUAUCCUACUACCCUGCCGUACGGUCUGGCGCGCAUUAAAUGAGCCGCUUCCGCCUUACGCAAUCUCGCUCAUUUCUCGGAACCCGGACCACAUCCGCCCCCGCUAUUCGCCGGCCCCGCUGUUUCCUGUUCGGCUUUAAAACUUUACGAAAUUUUCUAAAGCUAUUAAGAAAUACUGCGCGCCCCGCAACAGGGAUAAUAGUGCAACGCGAAGGAGCUACGAAAGGAGAAAUGGUGCAACCCCCUCUAUAACAGUGCAUCCGUAGCCUCGUGCCAGUGCAACCAAUCCAUAACAGUCAAAAUCUUACUUAUUUUAUUUCUUAAUGUAAUCUUAAGCUAAUAGUGCAAAUGAAAGGGCAUGGUGACGUCGAAUAUAGCGGUGUGGAGUAGUCGGAGGCUCCACCACCUUUUUAUUGCCGCCGCCACCGUGGCGCUAUCCGCCCCCGCUAUUCGCCGGCCCCGCUGUUUCUUGUUCGGCUUUAAGACUUUACGAAAUUUUCUAAAGCUAUUGAGAAAUACUGCGCGCCUCGCAACAGGGAUAAUAGUACAACGCGAAGGAGUUACGAAAGGAGAAAUGGUGCAACCCCAUCUAUAACAGUUCAUCCGUAGCCUCGUGCCAGUGCAACAAAUCCAUAACAGUCAAAAUUUUUCUUAUUUUAUUUCUUAAUGUAAUCUUAAGCUAAUAGUGUAAAUAAAAGGGCAUGGUGACGUCGAAUAUAGCGGUGUGGAGUAGGAGGAGGCUCCACCACCUCUUAUUGCCGCCGCCGCCGUGGCGCUAUACCUCCGCGCGCCAGGGAUAAUAGUGCAAGGCGAAGGCUCUACGGCAGGAGUAAUGGUGGAACGAACCUUCUAACAUGCAACCGUAGUCUCGUUCCAGUGCAACCUCUCCAUAAGCAGGCAAAAUUUUACUUAUUUUAUUUCAUAAUGUAAUGUUAAUCUAAUAGUGCAAAUGAAAGGACAUGGGGGCCGUCGAUAAUACCGGGCAACCUAGCUAGCAUGUGAAGGCUAGCUCGGAGGAGGAGGAGGAUCGUCAGAGGAAGCCGUCAGAGGAAGCCGGUUAUGGACAAACGCAACCGAUACACUAGCACCUUAACGUCUAUUUGAAGCUAUUAAUGUAUUAGUUAGAAUACUUCUCUAACAAUAUCAACUACAUUAUCUUCCAACGUAACACUAUUUUAGGACAAACAUAAAAUAAUUCAUGAUAUUUUAGCACAUUAGCCGAAUUGUCUAUUACAUUAAGAACAAGUGUCUAAUUACAUGAGGAAUGCUUAAACAAGGUGAUAAAUGUUCAAUGAGAAAAAAUAGUUUGUAACAACGUGACAAAUGAAGUAUAAUAUUAUAAUUAAAGUCUGAUAAAACGUGAUAAUACAAGUACUAUAGUGGAUCGGAUCCUUUGCAAUUAUUCCUUAACGUGAUAAUAAAAACCGCGCGCCUCCAUAUCGCGGUGCCGCCGCCUCCGUUAUUUCUCCACCACCUCGGCGGGGGAUGAGGUGUGGCGAUAUAAGCUGCAGUGGUAUAGGAAAGUAAACGUGAUAAUCGAAUUCUAAUGUAAUUCUUUAUUUUAUUCAUUUUAAAACUGACAAUACCUAACCAACGUGACCUUGGUCCGAUGCCUACGUGACAAUAUCUCCCGCCAACGUGGUAAAGAGGAAAGCAUCGAGGAAGCGCAACGUGAUAAUAUCCUUUUGAGGUAACAUCCAAACUGAUAUAAUUGAGGAAAGCAUCGAGGAUAUUUUCUUGCGGGCUAACUAAGCAUCGAGGAAGCGCAACGUGACAAAUGAAGUAUAAUAUUAUAAUUAAAGUCUGAAAAAACGUGAAAAUACAAGUACAAUAGUGGAACGGACCCUUUGUAAUUUCUCCAGCACCUCGGAGGAGGGUGAGGCGNAAACCUUCUAACAUGCAACCGUAGCGUCGUUCCAGUGCAAGGAGAAUGCUAGGAGGAGGAGGGUCGAUCGGAGGUUAAGAUCCAGCAACGAGGCGAUCAGAAAAAACGAUCCAGCAACGAGGCGUUAAGGUUGAUUCGCACUAUCUGGAAUGUUUCAUUUGCUUUGGGCAAUUUGGAGCUCCGCUCUACCAUGAAACAGACAGUACAGACGGAAAAUAUUAGAAUCCAACGAUAAGAAUAAAUAUCUGCAAGAAAUUAAGAAACUGUAUGACAGGAGGGCCAAUGGGCUCCUAGCAAAUAAAACACUCCAGAUAAUGCGAAUCUUCUCUACGUAAAGGCGAGGAGGUUAAAGCAAGACCAAUAUUUGAGAACGAGUCGAAGGCGACGAACGGCCUUCCUCGUAAGAGGGGAAGCGCUGCUGCAGAGGGGAAGCGCUGCGCUUCCUCUUACCGGGAAUGCCGUUGUCGUCUUCACUUCUUUCACGAACACCACUGUCUCCGUAAUGGGGAAUGCAUCUGAAGAACCGAUAUUUAAACAAAACGAAUCGUCACCUCACCAACCCACCGGUGCCUCUUCGGCUGACCUAAUAAAUUAUAAACCUGAUAGCAAACACUAACGUGUACAUUAUAGCGUCUCUUCGGUGCUCGAAGAGACACCGGUGGGUAUAUCGAAACUGUCUCGAGAAGAUAAACCCACUAUUCAGAAGCCGUGUUGAAUUAGCCUCUGUGCGCCGGUGAUAAUAGUGCAACGGAAAUGUUAUACUGCAGUAGAAUGGUGCAAUUAUCUCUAUAACAGUGCAUCCUUUGUUUGGUUUUAGUACAACCACACUAAACCAGUAAAAAUUUUGAGAUCCUCGUUACACUAUUUUUUAAAUAUGUUGAACUGUUAUCCUCUAUUUUAUACUAUUACAAAAAUUUACAUAUUCAAAUUAUCUAUAUGUUCACUAUUAACAUUAGCCUUGAAUUAUUAUAAUAAGACGUAUGGAUUUUCCGAUAUUUCCUGCGGUGUGCCCGCGGAUGUCGUCGUGGAUGGCUAGUUUGCUCUAGGCACAGGAGGGUUUUUGCAUGACCUUUUGUUGUGCCCCCAUCUCUGGCAAUUCCGGCACCGCUUCUUUAUUAAGCUGUUAGCAAUAGACUCUCGUCGCGAAACCUUUCUUCUGCCCGGUUGUAUGCGGACGUUUGGCGGCCGCAGCGGAACAACGUUACUUGGUAUUGCAGGCCAUUGCUCUUUGCCUCUGGUGGGGGGGACGCAAUCGUUGUAGGUUGCACGAUAAGUCGAGGUCUUAAGCCAGUCCUCGACAAAAUCAUACUGUCACGCCCCGGAUUACACGUUCCCCGGGCACGCCGACAAAUCCGCCGUAUACAAAGAAAUUUUCCCUGUAUACGAAGCGAUAGCUGUACCUGUAAAUCAAACACUACUACGAACAGUAGUAGAGAGCUGCUAGAGAAAACAGAAGCUAAAUAAAACAGAGUUUCAUAUACAUAGUUCAGAUCCAAAAUACAGAGCUACUCGCACUGGCGAGUUAAGUCAACUAUGUACAUAAACUCGAAACAAAACAUCUACCUGCAGUAGGGCACCUCUAGCUCAGCACGUCGGGUAGGGCUCUAACUCGCGACGCCCUUGCCUCGAUCCUGAUCCACGGACGGUGCAGCAGCCGGAACCUGUGGCUAUGCAAAAACAUAGGUAACAACUGGGCGUGAGAACUACUGUAAAAACAAAUAAUCCUCAGUGGGUACCGCCCAAAACAACAUCGGUCACCCACUAAGUCUACAGAAGGGAGCAAGGAUAGUAGGAAAAGCAGGAAGUACACUCUACCGCUAUCAAUCACUACACUAUCAUGCUCUACACUAACCAACUGUAGGAAAAGUCAAGUCUGACCCAAUCCAAAUCGGGACUGUAAGCAUACCCGUCCCCGGGACUGUGAAUACACCCGUCCCUGCCCCGUUACGACUAUCGGGCUCUAUCCACUCUAACUGGUCCGUGGAGAGCAAGUCCAACUGGCAUGAGCGACACCAACGCAAAAGCACAAGCCUGACUCCGGAGUGGCACUCGUGGGCGCUACCCAACCGAGUAUGCAGCGUAUAUCUGUCGAGCUCAAUCAGGCUCCAACUAGCCAAAGUCAAGUAAUCGACUCAAACUGGUCUAACAACCAAUCAGGUAACGUGCCCUCGGCACAAUCUGACGCCAAAAAGGUGAUACGGGUCCACCGUCGACUCUGACGGCACCCAACUGUCCGAAACGACCUGAACGACCCUGUAAAAAUCCACUCGGCGAACCAGCACGAGUGUAAAUACAUUCUAAACUACCUGGAGUACUCGUCUCGAAGAAACUGUGACAGUACAAUUUUCUAACGGCUCCUAGAGCUAAAUCAGGUAGUUAAAACUGGUGACAGGUCCAAAUCGCAGGUUUUCUCCUAAUUCAAUUUCCAAGUCCAACAUGUAUAAUCUACUUAAUUUAUAAAUCAUGCUCAAAAAUCCAGAUUUCACAAUCUACAUAUAGUCCAUGAAUUUGAGCUAACACAAUUUACCGAAACCACGAUUUAUACAUGUCGACUAAUAACACUUAGGAGUAAAAACU
rnacentral:lncRNA from 1 species